UAUAUUCAUCAGCAUUGGUUCCUCUCUUGAAUACAAAUGGAAAAAAAAAGAAAUAAAGAAAAAGAGAGAUGAGCACCAUGCAAAAGAUCAAAGGGUUCAUUCUCAAGCAGGACAAAAUAGCCAGCAGAGCUUCCAUAUUCAUGUGCAGAUUAAUCAAACUACUACCUAUGCAUAUCGAUAAUGGGAACAUCACUCACAUCCUGGGAUCACCUUACAUUACAUAGGCCUCUCAAUUCAUUUCUUUAGUGUGACUCCAUUCCCUCCCACAUACCCUGAUACUACUUUUUCCAAUGACAGACUUCUUUGUACCGGAGUUGAACUCUUAUUUAGCUUUACAAUCUAGAUUUCAGAUUUGCUAUUUUUUUUGAAUUACUUUACCAAGCUCCAGAUAAGCUUUCCACAAAUAUGAAGUAGAUAGGGAAUACUUGGGCUACUGGCCAGUGAGGACUAUAAUUAUGUGAUGAGAGUAAUCCCAGAUCAUGGCGAGGUAAUUUCACUAGAUACCUGCUCUUGGAAGAUUCACAAAGGAAUAAAAUUAUUGGCUACUCAUGUUUCCUUUUGUUCUUGACAUUGAAGUCAAACAACCAAGUGAUUAGUGUUCAUAAACUUUUAUAGCUAUAUUGUUGAUGCUGGUUACUCUCAAAAAAUGAAAUAUAUUCCCUUCUGGCAAUGAAUAAGAGUAGUUAUUUAAGUGCGUCUCAGUCGCUAGCUUGCUACUUUGAUAAGUUUGUGGGAAGUAUCUCUGUCUGAAGCUCAUGAGGAUUAUAGUAAUUGUUUGCACAUGAGCACUUGUUUGCAAUCUAGCUAUGCUAAGCUUUCAGAUAUUUCACAAGCACGUGGGCAAGUCGAAUCAGGAGCCUAAAUCAUCUGGCCGCGAUCGGAGACUCUUUUUCUCGAGGGAAGAAUCAGAAAGGGAGAAGCCUGAGAUGAAUCAUGCCUUUUGUUACUCUUUGUAGCCACUUUCUCCCUGAUAAUGCUAUAAGGAAGAGAGAAUGGUUUUUCACACCUAGUUCUAUUUUCCUUGUAGCUUCAACCUGUAGCAGGUUUCGAUGAGUGGUACGAGAAGAGGCCAAAAAACUCCAUUUGUUUUCUCAGUGUGGACAUGUAUAUUCAGUGAAAUGAAAUGCAGUUCUUUGCAAUAGUAUCUUCUUAUCUGAACGCAUAAUUAGAUAAAGACACUAUAAUGGUUCACUGCAGAAUCUUGCUGGCUGCCUUUUGAUACCCAAUUGGCAAUCUGAACCAGACAUUGUUGCCAUGUUGGUUUUCUUUUCCGAGGAAAACAAAUCAUGUGAUUUCUGUUUACAACACAAGAUCCGAAUGCACCACACCACACCUAUUGCUUGUCUUGUGAGCAGAGAACAGGGUAUGAGUGUGCUUGUCUUGGGAGCACUCAUUGAGUUGCGGGCUUGCAGCCAUUAAUAACCAGCAACAGGGGAACAUGUUGAACGAGCAAACUCCACUAAACACGGGCUAGACCCGAGCCAAGUCUCCCAUUUUUAGUUUCGCGAUGUAUGCCUGCUCUGCUUUCUCUGUCUACGCGCCCGUGCUGUCUUCUCCGUCCAGAUCAGGAUGGAAACCCAGAAAAACAACGCCUUGCCAUGUGAGGAGCGAUGAAGACUUGGGUGUGAGAUUUGAAGCUCGGUCUUGUAUUUUCUUAUCUGACAUCCAUUUGUUAAGUUCCAUCGUAUCCGUUGGUUGGGGCCAUCGUACCCAACUCUAUCUUUUCAUUUUUGAGAUGAAUGCCUGCUCUGCCAGAAUUGUCCCAACUGGUGGUGUAACUAUUAACAGCGGAAGCUUCAGCUUUAUUGUUUUGACAGUAGUAACUGAAUCAAUGUAAAGGCACGCUUUGCUUCAGCUUUAUGAUGUUGCCACUGCUGUCAUCCAUGUACGGAAGCUCCCUAAAUAGUCCUAAAAACUACUCUUACUUCUAUUUCAACUUAGUUGAAUGAUUCACCUAUUGGCAUUGUAUAAGUACCUCUGUUUUUUGUUAAUGUUUAUACUAGUAAUAAAGAAGUUUUUUAUGUAAAGGAAAAGCAAGCGGGGGAGGCGUCAAAAAGGUGUGAUUUUGUGACAUUAGAGAAAAUGAGGUAUCAUUAACUGGGAAAUCACUCGCAUCCUGGGACCACCUUACAGUGCGUAGGCCGCUCAAUCAUUUCUUUGGCGUGAGUCCAUUCUCUCUCACAUACCCUGAUACUAUUUUUUUCAAUGACUGGCAUGUGAAAACUUCCUUGUACUAGAGUUGAACUCUUAUUUAGCCGUACAAUCUAGAUUUCAGAUUUGCUUAUUUUCUUGAAUUACCUUACCAAGCUCCAGAUAAGCUUUCCACAAAUAUAAAGUAGAUAGACAAUACUUCGGCAACUGGCCAGUGAGGGCUAUAAUUAUGUGAUGAGAGUAAUUCCAUAUCAUGAUGAGGGUAAUUUCACUAGAUACCUGCUCUUGCUCUUGGAAGAUUCACAAAGGAAUAAAAUUGUUGGCUGCUCUUGUUUUUUUUUGUUCUUGACAUUGAAGUCGAACCUCCUAGUGACCUGUUCAAAAACUUGAUCACUAUAUUGUUGAUGUUGUUCACUCUCAUAAAAUGGAACCCAUUCUGUACUGGCAAUGAAUAGGAGUUGUUAUUUAAGCUUGUGCUCAAUUGUUAGCCUGCUAUUUUGAUAAGUUUGCAGGAAGUGCCUUGACCCGAAGUUUAUGAGGGUUUAGUAACUGUUUGCACAUGAACACUUGUUUGCAAUCUCGCUAUGCUAAGCUUUCAGGUAUUUCACGAGCACGUGGGCAAGUUGAAUCAGGAACCUAAAUCAUCUGGCCUGCCAUUUGACCACAAUCUGAUGCUUGUUUUCCGGAGGGAAGAAUCUGGAAGGGGGAAGCCUCAGAUGAAUCGUACCUUUUGUUUCUCUUUGUAGCCACUUGAUUCCUAACAAUGUUAUAAGCAAUAGACAAUGGGGUUUCCCCACUUAUUAUGUCACAGUGGUCGCCUGUGCUAAAACAUAAAUAACCCUCCUGUUAUUGUUCAUUGCAAAAAUUUGGCCUCUUUCCUAUUUUUUUUUAUAUCCAAUCGCCUCUCAAGAAAUGUGUUUGUGUAUGCUGGAUUAUUAUUCGCCCUGUUUUCUCUCUCUAAGAAAUGGAUCGUUUGACUUUUAAUUUGAGCAGCACAAGAAAGGAGAAGACAUGAUUUUGGAAUGUAUAACCAAUUGGUAUGUCAGUAUUUGUUUUGACUUGCAAUGGAUUAUGAUGGAUCUCUCCAUAGGAGAUUCAUAUGUUGUUGCCCCAGCCGAGGGAUAGAGGGAAUGCGGCGCACGUUUGGCGACGCGGUUGGCGAACCCAACACGCUAUGGUGGUCGGCGUGGUUCGCCGCCGAUCUAAAGUCGGUGACGGCUCCCAAAUUCCAUCGGGGCGUGGUGGUGCUCCGCCCACACACCACGACGGUGCAUCUCAUUGACGCGCGGGGGUGUACAGUCGACAGACGCUCAGGGGGAGGGAUCGUGCUGACCCCGGGGGCUACGGUCGCGUUCCCCUGCCACGUUGCACAUAUCGAGGAGGAAAUCACCGGCGGGGAUAACGUCUCGGGAGCCGGCGAUGGAGGUAAUGCGGCCGGUGGGAGAGCAAUUAAGGCGGGUGGGGGAUUGAAUUCUAAGGAACCUGCUCAGAUUAUUCCCCAUCCCACUCUUCCUCUCCCGCACGCCUCAUCCACUGCCCUGCCUGCUCGAGCUUGCGGCGGAGAUGGUGGAGAUCAACGAAGAGAAGAUGCAGAGGUUCGCCGGUAGGGAUGCGCGCCUGCGGAUCCGCCUGAGAGAGAUCGGAGCCUGGUACAUGAGCAAGCGCGAGAUGUACGCAGAGGCGGAGGCGAUUGUGGAGAAUCUGACAGAGGAGGAGGAGAGGUCGUUGUUCGGGCCUGGAGGGCGCAAGCAUCCACUGCAGGUGCUCCUGUGGGCGGCGGAUCAGGCGGAUUCGCCGGUGAGGUCUGUGGCGAGGAAGUGGGUAGCCUUCACCAUCUUCACGACUACAAAUCUCGCCCCUGCCAUGAGGGGAUUGGCGCUCCGCCCUCGCGAGGGGGUCCUGGCUCUCCUCGCUCCAGGGUCGGCCAUGGCUCCGAUCGUGAUUCACGUGGAUCUGGUGGAUCAGGCGCCGCAGGGGGCGGUGGAGGCGCCGCGCCGCUCUGCCCGUCUCGCCACAGCCCCACCAACCUCGGAGGCUCCGGAACCUCGCCGCUCUGCACGCCUCGUCGGAAACAGAGUCUGGAACCCUCGCUGGGUGGCAAUCGCUUUUGGUUGCUAGCUAGUGAGGAUUAAGAUGAUGAUUCUGACGAGGAUUUCGCCACUUCAGGUACGAGUUGCUCUUCUGUUUUCAAAUACUUGACACAUACUCAUGAUUGUGAGAGUAGUCAGGGCCAAACUGAUACACAACGUCGAAUUAGACGAGUAAAUCAUAGGAUGGAGAAGACGAUGAACACCUAUGUUCACAGUCUUUUGGUUAAAAAUGAAGGAGUCAAUGAGGCAAAGCAGAGAGACAUAAAUCAAAAUGAACAACAAAAACACUUUAUCCACAUUGAUUCUCCUAAUUGGGGGAGAUUUCAUAAUGAAAAAAUUGACAUGGCAUUGAUAAAAAUUAAGAAUAAGAUACCCAAAGUCUGGGAUUUACCCAGAUUCCCUGAGUAUUUAUUAGAUGUUGAUACUGACUGUGAGGGGGUCAAGACAAGCCAGUAGAUAAAAGUAUUAGAGUGGAUAAAAUCCCAGAAAAUGUCAUGUUGGAAGAAGCAGUGGAAGAAAGUCAGAAUAAUGGAAAAAGAAAAGAGGCAGGAACAGAAAAGAUGCAAGUUGUAGGGGUGUAUCGGGAGAAAAAAAGGAGGGGGGGGGUCUGGUGGGCUCUGAAAAAAUCUGGCCCAGGAAUGUGGUGAGGGAAAAAAGCCCAGAUAAAGGAGGAGAUGGAGUGGGCCUAUAUAUAGGGGGAAUCCCACCCUCCAUUCCAGAACCCGAUUUCCUCCACCUCCUAGACCCUAGUAAAGUCUCGGCGGCGAUAAACAGGGGAGAGGACGCGGAGAAGUGGGAACUACUUUGGGGAGAAGAAGAAUCCAUGGAAGGAAGGCAGGAGAAUUGGAGGCCAAGGCCUGGAAGAGGGGCCAAUCCAGGUGGAAGAGGUAACUUCUAUGGCAGAUCUGAGAGCUUUGGGAGAGGGUUUAACAGGUAGGAUGAAAGAGAACUAGAUGGAUAUGGUUGGAGAAACAAAGAGGGGAAUUUUAGAGGGGGGUCUGGGACUAACAAUAGUGGUUAUGGUGGGGAUGGGACCUCCACAGGAAAUGGUAGAGAUGGGGACAACAAGUUUGGCAGGUUUGCAUCAGACAGGGGUGGAGAUCAACAUGAGAGGUAUCAAGCCGGGAUGAGUGAGAAUAGGCAGGAAAGUGGGUCUGUGGUCAAUAAUGCAAGUAUAAAGCAGAUGGGGACGCAGGGGGGACCGGUCCAGUUGACAGGGGGUUUCCCAGUGAUGAACAACAGUGGUUUCCCUCAGAUUGCACUACAAAAAAAAUACACUUCCGUGAUGAUACGUGUUUGUCACAGUAGGUCGCGUGUUUUGUCAUGCAUGUACAUCCAUGACAAAUUUAUGACAGAAUCGAGAUAGUCAUACCUGUGCUGUCGUAGAAGUGUUCGAUGAUAUUACCAAAAUUAUCAUCACGGAAGUGUCCACUUCCAUGACGAUAAAUCGCGCGUCACAGAAGUGCUUUCGUCAAGGGUGACCGACACGUGGCAUCCACCGUAACGGAACACCGUUAAGCUAUCGGGUCGGGUUUUGGAUCCGAUAACCCGUUAACAGCCCCGACCAAUGGGGAUUUUCCACGUGUAAAAUCAUCAUUGGCUGGAGGAAACACGUGUCAGCUCAUUGUUGGGACAGAUGUCAUCCACUCAUUGGACAGAAGGCGCCUAUGAUACGUCGACACGUGGCACGGCCCAAUAGAGGCCCAUUCCUGUGAAAAGGCCGGCCCGUUUGACUUGGUCAAAAGGUGAUGGGCCGGCCCAUGGGAAGCCUGUUAACGACCUGUUCGCAUAUAGCCCAUUUACAGCCCGCUAAUCCAAGGCCCGUUACGCCCUAUCCGAAUUAGGUCCAGUAGCGUCAUCUGGGCCAUCCAAUAUGAUUCUAGCCCAUUUUCACUUCUGGCCCAUGUAUGGCCCAUGACGUCUUUCGGCCCAUAUGAGGCCCUAUGUAACUCUUGGCCUAUUAAUGGCCCGUGGUGAAACUGGCCCGCGAUGAACAGUGUAUUACUUUAGACCCAUUAACGGCCCGUGGUGAAACUGGCCCAUAAUGAACAGUGUAUCGCUUUAUAUCCAUUAAGGGCCCGUUAUUCAGUUGGGCCGUUUACAGCCCAUAUUAUCUUUCGGCCUUCUCAGAGCCCAUUUAUUCUUGAGCUUAUUUGCAGCAUUCGGUUACUUACGGCCCGUUACUGUCAUUUUCUGCUUGUGGGCAAAAUUCAGCCCGUCGUUACAGUCGGCCCGUUUGUGGUCCGUUAGUCUGUUGGGCCAUUUUCAUAGCAUCACCAAAUACGGCCUAUUAACGGCCCGUUAUGGUCAACCAAUAAAACGUACGAUUUCCAUUAUAGGCCCGUCUACGGCCCAUUAAAGGCCAGUAUGAGACCCAUAAAUGAGUCGGCGGCCAUGGAUCCUACGUGACAUAUUAGGCCGAUGGACCCUGCGAGAUGUAGAAGGCCCAUGGACACUACGAGACGUAGAAGGCCCAUGGAUCCUGCGAGACGUAGAAGGCCCAUGGAUCCUACGAGACGUAGAAGGCCCAUAGAUCCUACGAGACGUAGAAGGCCCAUGGUCGGGCGAGUUGGCCCCCGUUUGAACGAUAUAGCAUAUUCAAAGAAUUAUCCUACUCAAUACUAUCACCUCUAAAAAGCAUACACUAUACAACAAAGAGAUCAAGGCAUAGAAAGGUAGAAUAAUCCUACACUAUACAAUAAAGAAAUUACAGCCGAUUAUACCCAUUGGGCAUUAUGGUACGGCACAGGUGAUAAUAAAGCAUACACAAACAGCAAAUUACAUACACUGGGCAAAUACGGCUCAUACAUCAUGGACGCGCAUCAACUUAACUCCAUUUGAACUAUAAUCUCUUCAGAAAAUAGGAUUGGCCGGAUUCAGAUAGCAAAAAUUUCAGUCUGCAAAAUCUCCAAUUCCUUCAUGGUUACCUCGGUGUCUUGUUUCAUUUUUUUGACUCCUGCAUCUAAUACCUGCAUGUCCAGUCUCAACUUGUUGAUUAUACGUUGACAAUCAUCUACACGUUGUCUUGCCACCUCUAGUUGAUGCUCGAGAACAUCAGCACAUUCCAAUUCCAAUCCAUAAUCAUUCGGUAACGGCCAUGCCGCACUGCUCGCAGAUUUUUGUGUUGAUGUCACUUCAUCCUGAAAUGUUUCUAUAAGUACACAUGACUAGGGCAAAAAUAUAGUUACAACAGUGAAGCGAACAAGACACUAUUUUGUACUACAUGGCAAAACAGGACUAACAAUAAUGUUACACGUCACUUUCAGAAAAAAAAUGUUACACGUCAUGAAGCAUAAGCAGGUGAUAUUUUAAAAAUUAUAAAAAAGAUAGUCUAUGCAGCCUGCAUACAGAAAUCCUCUUAGCUCACCAGAUGAGCAUGAUGUUGGGGCCCAAUCGAAAACACAGAAAAGUUACAAAUUUAGACAGCACGUUGCGUAUAAGUAAGCAAGCAGUUGGCCAUUCUGUACCUCAAUUAAAGUCUUAGGGAGCAUAAUGAAAAGCAGAGUGUUUCAUACGAACAUACUACAGCAGGCAAAACUAUGCAAUCAUUAGCAUAGUAUAAACUAGAUUGUGAGCCUCAUGCAAUAAUAGUUGGUUAAUAGACUUCAAAGCUUCAGUCACACUUCGGCAGAGUAAUUAAAUGGUAAGGCCUUUAAUUAUGUCAACUAAUAGUGAUACAAAUAUCGAACAUCAGGAAUAAUUAUUUGGGCAUCUCAUUAAGUGAGGACAAAUAAAGCAAUUGAAAAGAGAAAAUUAACUAUGCCUGAAACAAACAAGGAAUUGAACUGUUGAGUUGCAUACAGUGACUUACCUUAGCAGGUUGAAGAGGCUUAGCGUAGCUCCUACUUCUCUUGCAAGGCUCCUUCCUAACAUCUUGUACUUGGAAAUCCUCAAUCUUAUCUUCAUUGCACCCCCUCUGCAAGGUGACACAAACUAGUUACUCGUCUCCUUAGAAGAUAAAUAUGCAUACUUUCCAGUCUGUGAAAACAAAAGGAUGAGAUUAUAACAAAACAACACCACAUAAUGAAACAUGCCGCAUCUCUUGCACUUGCACACAAUGAAAUGAGCAUUUACUAUGUUUGCACUAUGUAAAAACUAGGCAUACCUUCGAACUGGAUCUCCAGUUACUCUUGGAGAGCCUACUGUAGUGUACAACCAAACCUUUAUUCACCUAUGAGUUAGACAAGGCCCCACUACAGCAGUCCUUAGUGUUUAAAUCGUUGACAAGCUCUGUUAGAGUGUUAGGUCAAGAACAACAAGUAAUCAAAGCAAACAGUCCUAGUAUGGCUGGCUGAUGCAAACAAGCAAUUGAACAGAUGUGUGAGCAAAUCUUACAUAUCAAGAAAAGAAGCAAAGAAGGAGGCUUAAAGACCAUCACUUGACUGACCAGAUUUAAGGGGCAUUUAAACAUCAUGUGCAAAGUAUGAACUAACAUAAACAUUGCAUAUUCGAGAUUCUACAAUGGAAUGCACAUGUAUUAGGUUAUGCCAUGUAUGAUGAUGCCUAAAUGUACAGAUAGCAGGCAGGAGUGAUUCAUCAUUGCACGCACAAUUAAAUUGCAGGUUAAGGGCCAGUUUGAUUCCGCCUUUUCAGGGUAUAUUGUCAAAAUAAGCCAUAAAAGAUGUAAAGAAGUCAUUUUUGAGUCAUGGGCUUGGGCUUAACUAAUUUCGCUUUGGAGGGGGGUGUUUCGGGUAGAACCUCACUAAAAAUUGAAGGGAAGGGGAAUAGUGAAACGACUCUGUUGUCUGCCUAUAUUACACUCAAAAUGCAACUGCUGACGCCUGUGUCACAGCUGACCCUCAAGUAAAAACAAACACGCAAGCAUUCAUUGCCCUGCCCGCUUGCAUCUCCUCUCCCCUUUCCCUCUACCUCGAUCCCCUGCCUGCAGCACUAGGGUUCCUCCAGUGAGCCGUCGCCACUGGUCCCAUCUGGCCUGGUCCUCGACAAUGCUAUUUCCAGCUAGGCUACAUGGCUGGCGGGUAGGGGCAAAUCUCCAUGGCUGCUCCUCCCUCUGGCGCCGCCCCUCAUUCUCAUGGUCUCCAGCAACUGCUCCACUGUGGUUCGUCCAACGCACUACUCCAGCAGGCGCUGCACAACUAUGGCUGGUGCCACACUGCGGCAGAAGGCACCUUGUUCCCCCUCCCCUCCUCCGAGGCUAUGGCCUUGAGGUGCUGUUGAAGGAUGAGCUCAUCCAACAAGGUGAGGAUCUCCUCUGAUUUUUUGCCAAAUUUUCAUUCUGAUCCACUAUACGAUGAAUUGCUAUGAGCUGCUUCUGCUGCUGCUAUAUGAUGCAUUGCUAUGAGCUAUUCCUGCUGCUACUGCUAUAUGAUGAAUUGCUAUGAGCUGUUGCUGCUGUAUGAUGAGUUGCUAUGAGCUGUUGCUGCUGCUAUAUGAUGAAUUGCUAUGAGUUGCUGCUGCUACUAUAUGAUGAGUUGCUACAAGCUGCUCCUGCUGCUGCUAUAUGAUGAAUUGCUAUGAGCUGCUCCUGCUACUGCUAUAUGAUGAAUUGCUACGAGCUGCUGCUACUAUAUGAUGAAUUGCAGACUGCUGCUGCUGUAUGAUGAGUUGCUAUGAGCUGCUGCUGCUGCUGCUAUAUGAUGAGUUGCUACUAGCUGCUCCUGCUGCUGCUAUAUGAUGAAUUGCUAUGAGCUGCUCCUGCUGCUGCUAUAUGGUGAAUUGCUAUGAGUUGCUGCUGGUAUAUGAUGAAUUGCAGACUGCUGCUGCUGUAUGAUGAGUUGCUAUGAGCUGCUGCUGCUAUAUGAUGCUUUCAGGUGGUGCUGCUAUAUGAUAAUAACCAGCCACUUGGAACAUCGAAUUUCAAUAAAUAAUUGUUCUUCAUUUAAAUGUGGGUCAUGCGUUCUUCUUUUAAAUUAGGCAAUGGGAUCUCUAUGGAAAACAUUGACCAAAGUAGAUUGUGCCAAGUAGAUGGUAUCUUUGUAUUUGCAUUUUGAGCAAAUAGUGAUGGUCUGUUUUCCUAUCAUAUUAAUUACUGCACUGGAUUCAAUUUGUGAUGUUUGCAAGUCAAAUUAAUUUCCAUAUGUGCAGCAAAAUGAAAAAUAUAUAUAAUGCAAUCUAGACUUUCCACUGAUCAUACCAAAGAUAAGCUGAAAACGCAAUGAAAAGAACUGGUUGGCGUAUUACAUGGAGCUUAUAUUCACAGGUGCUUAUUUUCUUAGGAUAACUCGUAAUAACUGUCCCUAAGAAACUUGGCUAAUAGAACUGGCAUACAAAUAACAUGUCACGAUGAUUGCAAUGAAGGAGUGACGUACCAUAGCACACUGUAUAGGCUCACCGCUGCCUCUCCUUUUUUUGCGAUGUUCCAUGAAAUUGCCACAUACAUCUUGUACUUUUUCAUUGUGUAACCCUAUCUGCAAGUUGACACGGCUAAUUUCAGACAUCUCUACAUGAUACUACAUUGCAUAUCCCUUGCACAUAUUUAAACCACCAAUUAACGAUUGUGUGCGUACCAUAAACUAGCCAUGACUCUGUAUGCUGGACUGGCAGGCACUCUAAGGGAGCCUAAUGUAGUGCACUGGAAUUCCUACAUGCCACCUACGAUUUUGUGUAAUGUACUGCCCCUGUUCCUAAAUAUAUGUCUUUGUAGAGAUUCCAGUAUGGACCACAUACAGAUGUAUAUAGAUGCAUUUUCGAGUGUAGAUUCACUCAUUUUGCUCCAUAUGUAGCCUAUAGUGGAAUCUCUAGAAAGACUUAUAUUUAGGAACGGAGGUACGAGGUAGUAUCAUGUAUGACAUCUACAUAUCUAAUUUAGCAGCCAGUAGUAGAAAUCAUUGUCUGCACAAAGGAAUCACUGGUCGAAAAUCCUAGCAAAGCACGCUGGCAGGCACGGAACAAUACAAGAGAGAGAGACGCGCUUACAAGAUCAUAGCAAUGCCUCAGUCCAGGAUCUUGGUUGGCCAAGCCGUUAGAUCCAGAAGAAACAUCGUCCUUGUAGUUUUUACCAGCUGCAUAACAGGUAACAACGACCGGUUAGUAUAUUUGAAGUACAUCGGGCAGGUGAUGCUGGACGGGUUUAAAGGUGACAAGUACCUAGGCCGUGGCGGGUGCUUGGCAUCUCCCCAGACGGUGGGAAUCAGGUUAGAAACGUCGAGGGUGAUGACGCCGCGCUGGCUGUCGGGUUCCGGUAAGGAGAUCUAGAACCGUCGAGUAGGGUGUUUGUGGAGCGGCUCCGGUAGGGUGGACUACGGUGUGGAUGAAGCGGAUCUGUGGCCGUGGACGAGGGCAUAGGUGAAGCUGCUUCGGUGGUUGGGUUAAGGAUGGUGUCGACGACGCGGAUCUGCGAUCGUGGAUGGGGCGUCAGAAGCUGCUCUGAUGGUUGGUUUAAGGAUGGUGUCGACGAUGCGGAUCUGCGGCCGUGGACGGGGCGUCAGAAGCUGCUCCGGUGGUUGGGUUAAGGGUGGUGUCGACGAUGCGGAUCUGCGGUCGUGGACGGGGCGUCAGAAGCUACUCCGGUAGGUUGGAUGAGGGUGCGAGGAAGCGGAUCUUAGGCCGUGGACUUGUGAGUUGGCAAAGCGGCCCCGGUAGGGUUGAGAAUGGUAUAGGCAAAGCUACUCCGGUAGGGUUGACGCUGCUGUCGGCGAAGCGGCUCCAGUAGGGUCGAGGAAGGUGUCGGCGAAGCGCCUCCGGUAGGGUUGAGGAAGGUGUCGACGAAGAGGAUCAGAGGCCGUCGACGGGGGCGUCGGUGGGGCGGCUCCGGGGUGUGUGGACGGAGCGUCUCCGGUGGGGAGUACGAAUGAGCCGCUGCAGAUGCGCGGCGGUUGACGAGAGUACCGGCGAAGCAGAUCCGGCGCCGUGGACAAGGCCUACACUGAAUGGGCUGUGGUACAGUGGUGGAUGAGUAGUCUACUUUUUUCUAGGGGAGGUGGGAGGGGUAGAUGUGGCCGCAGAAGCAGAUCCGGCGAGGUGGACGCCGCUGGCAGUGAAUGGGCUAUGGUACGCCGGUGUAUGAGCAGUCUAGGGUUUCAAGAGGGGAGGGGAGAAAGGGCGAUGAAGUAUGGACGGCGUGAUGUAAGAUGCUCUGGUGCUAUGGAGUUAGUCAUUUUUGCGGGAGGAGGGGAGAGGAAAUGGGGGUGGCGUGUAGUGGGGUGAACCGUAAAUUACCAAAGCAGCCCCGACCUAUCAUGUAGAUGAGGGCGGUAUUGUAACUGUUGGUCUCCGUGCACCAAGGACAAAAGGGGGAUUUCGCAUGCUAAAGACUAAGGUGGCAGAAAUUUUAGAAGGAGGCGGGAGAUUUCGCCACCCGCGGGAUCGUUCGUAUCCAGUUUCAACUAAUUUUGGACCGUGCUAGCGGGAAGGUCAUGCUAGACUGUGUACACGGGGCAUGCGUCAGCAGUUAAUAACUGGUGUGAAGUUCACCCCAGAAAAAAAGACAAUAACUCGGGAUGAUGCACCGAUAACUUGGACGCUCACACGGGCGCGGCCAAUCGUACGGGUGUAGUGACGCGUUCACAAAAAAAAGGAUCAAACGCUCAGCCUAUGUAUUUCUCGUGUAAAUAGAUAAUUUAAUGCCAUUGGUUAUUUACUUUAAACAUAAUGUAUUGACGUGUUAGUGUAGAGGCGCACAAAAAGAAAUGGAUAUUGUAGUUAGCUACUUAAAAGUGUUACCUCAUAUGAUUACAUAGCCUCCAUGAUGUGACGGCGGCCCGAUCUUUCGAUGAGAGUGGGAAUAAAUAUUGAUUUGGUGGAUUUUGACCUUAACGAUCCGGCUAUACCGUACCCGACGAUACGCCUCGACAAUCGCUAAACCAAUCUCCGAUGGUUAUUGACCUUGCCGUAGGCACGAUCAACUUGAACAACGAGGUUCGAGUUCCUGCAAGCAACCGAAGAACCGGCAAGAACAAAGGUGAAUUGCAACUGAAAUUGCGGAUAAUAAACUGAGCACACGAACUAGAUGAAAAGUUGGGGUUCCACUGUGAAUCUGACAAGGCGGUAGUCCUACACGUCUCGUAGAUGCGAAUUGUAGCGAUGGCUAGACAAUACAAUAAAACCCGAGUCUAAACCUAGAUGAAAGCUAACUAUUUAUUAAGAGGGACGACCGUCGGCUGGUGUCACGGGACGCAGGGCCGUAAGCACGCGGGACACUUCAUGGCUCGACAGGACGUGGCGUUUGCUUCGGUUGACAAGACAUGUUGGCCUGACGUGAUGUAUUAGUGCAUCAAAAGAAUUCUGUUGGACCCAACACGUUACUCCUCUUGGUCCAUGUAGACAAAAGCUAAUUGUCUGUCCUUUGGGGUUGGCUUCUUGCACCGUAGCAUGCAUGAUGGAUGGGAUGGCCGGCCAUGCAUGCCACAAGUGAUUUUUGCUACUCUGUUUGAUUCUCCAAUUCCUUUAUUUAUGUACAUAUUUUCGGCAUCUCCAUCUCGCAUCUUGACACGUGGCUUGUACAACUCUUUAACAGUUCUGCAUAAAAUAGAAGACCGUGUUGUAUUUCUAUUUUGGACAACAAAAUAAUAAUGCAUAUAAUUUCUAUUAGAAUUCACCUGAUAAUUAUCUUUGCGCAUAAUGAGUAUGGUUAUAUCCGUAGGGGCCAUGUUCACAUCAUCCUCCCUUUCUUGAAAGCAAUGCCGUCCUCGGCUUUGGAUAAACUGAAAAUGGACUAACCAAAAAGACAAGAUGUAUACAUGGUAUAUGUAUAAGUCAUCCAUUUUAACUUCUCUCCAUUUGGGUACCAUUAAUGUCUUCAUGCUUGAGUAAUUAGCAUAUCGCAUGAGAUAAAGGUCCAAAGAAUUAUCACAGAAAAUGUACCAACAUGUAAUGUUACAACUUAGUGUGCACAUAAAAGUGAAGCUCAUAUUUAUGUCAUGCAUUUUGUAAUGCCCAUCAUUAAACCAUCCCAACAUAGGUAGAUAACUAUUAGGAAUAUCCAAAUUAGCAGGUGUAUAUAUGCAAUCGUGCAACAUACUAUUUGGCAUGUAAUCAACAACGAUGUUGGAGGUCAUAUUAAAAUGAUCAAGCAUUGACUUGUUAAUAUUCGCUUUCAAGCUAGUAAGAUCAUCACAUGUGAUACAAAUUGUAUGCACCAAAAAUUCAUUGUCUAUGCAUUCCUCACCAAUCAAAUUAAAAGUAAGUUUAGGAGCAUAAACACUUUUCAGAGAAAGCAAACAUGUGAUUUCAGCUAUUUUAGUUCUCGCAUGUGACAAACUCAUAGGUGGAUCCAUCAAAAUAGAAUACAAAGAAUUAGCGUUAGAAAUUCUAGCUAAUACGUCCUCAUGUUUAACCAACUGUAUGAGACCCAAAUCAGAUGUAACAAUCAAGUCACGUGGGUCAAUCUCAAUUGCCUUAUUCAGCGGGUAAACUUAAAUGAGCAAGAUGAUCAUCCAAAAUAGGUGAUGUGAGCAAAUCAGUACCUUCGUUAUUACCUUGUAGCCCUCGCUCAUAUGAAGUAAGAACGAUCGGUGGCGAUGCCUCAUAAACUCCAUGUGGCACAAUCAUUGUUGGUGGUGCGGCGGAGGAAGUAACCUUCUUUGAUGGGGAUUCCAUCGCACGCUUGUUCGUCGUGUAUACGUGUCCUCUUAAUUUCUGUUCAGCUUUACACGCAAGACGAAACAAAUGGUCGAUAGAAUAUAGUUCUUCAUGCAUUAUUAUGUCUUGUAUAUCAUGGUUUAAACCUCCCCAAAAUCUAUUCAGGAAUUCUUCUUCACAUUCUUCUAAUCCACAACGAAACAAAGCAAUACACAAAUUAUCGUAAUAUUCUUUAACAGUGUUAUUGCCUUGUGCUAAGCGUUGCAAUUUUCUAAGCAAAUCACUAGCAUGGUAUGAAGGAACAAAUCGGUUUCGCAUAACAAGUUUUAAAGCUUUCCAAGUAGUAGGUCUAUUAUUUCCCCUGCAAUAAUUUCUCCACCAAACUGAAGCAAAACCGAAAUAGCUUUUAGUGACAUCAUUUAUUUUCUUAUGCUCAGAAAAAUCAUGACUACCAAAUAUUUCUUCCACCUCAAUUUCCCAAUCAAUAUAUGAAUCGGGGUCAUAUUUACCCUCGAAAUUUGGCAAACAGGUAACCUGAUGAUGUGUGUUUCUACCAUGAUGUAGAUCAUGUGACAGUCGUCGUACCUUCUGUGGUGAGUAAGAAUGAUCUGUAUCAAAAGGUGGCAAGGCAUCUCCCACAAUAGAUGCAACCCAACCGUUGGCCGUUCUAGAAUCCGCCAUGGUUAGUACCACACAAAAACAAAAUCACAAGUAUAAUGUUCCUAUGGUACUACUCGAAGGUGGUGGAAAAAAUUCUCUCAACACUCUAGCAAUUACCAAGCUCUUACCAGUUCUUACCGUGUUGCAGUGGUUGUCGGCCGUUGGCGAUGUCAAAAGUUAUCAAAAGAUUGAUAUAGCGAUUGCCAAGUGACCGAACAAGGUACAUAUAGGAAGUGGAGCUUGGUGAAGGUUUCCUCAACUCACAAUAUGUGGCACAAUUAAGCAAAAAGUAAUGCAAGUUGAAUAAUUGCUCAAACUCCUAACUAGUGCUGGCAGUCGACUAGUAAGAGAUAAAACAAUCUAAGCCUAGAUACUGAAUCAAGGGAGUGGAAACCGAUAAAAAUAUAAUAGCUCUAAAUAGCUAGAUAUAAGUGAGGUAUAAAGGUAGCGUAUGGCGACGAAGAGCAGAAGAUGUGCAACAGUUAUCACGUAUAUGCACAAAGCAACAGUUCUGAACAACAAGAAAUAUUUCAAAAGAUGUGAACCGGCCAUAACUUUGCAAAACCUUUUUUUUCUCCUUUUUUUUUUUGCUUUUUUUCUCUUUUUUUUCACUUUUUUCUUUUUUCUCUCUCUUUUUUUUUGCAGACCGAUUGCUACUAAAAGUCACGGACACAAGAAAAGAAAGAGGCAGAACUAUUGGACAAGUUGCCACGAUAGAUAGCUAGUACUAGUGCACAAUUACUCACGGUGAUUGUGGUUGCAUGCAGGAUGGAUGGGAUGCUGGAUGUGUACUAUAUCUGUAUAGCACGUGGGGGCAAACACAGACUGCUAGAUGUCUGGUGUCUCGCGUCUGCGUGUAAUGAGCGGCGCGGAGGGACAGACACCGGUGGCUGAUGUUUGGGAUCUCGCGAAAGCGUGAGACGCUGUCUCAGGUACUGUAAAACCUGCAAGACUCUCGGACGGAUAUGUGUCAAUCUGUGUGGCGGAGCGUGCAAAGAUAAUCGCAGGAAGGAAAUAAAUACGUCCAGAAAACAGAUUGUCUUGCAGAUACGAACAGAAGAAGAUCGAAUCUUGGUUCUUUUUUUUUUGUCCGAUCAGGAACGAGCAGGCGGCAGAAAAUAUGGUGGACAAAAUAAAGUGCGAUCUAGUAGACAAUUUUUUUCAAACUAAUCUCAACCAGCACUAAUACUAGGACGAAUGCAACCAAAAAUUCAACUACGCAAAUACUAGAAGCAAAAAUUGCUAAAGGCUAAAAAGGUAGGUGUAAUGGAUGAACUAAUUUAUUUUUUUUGGCUUUUUCGUGGGUGUAUGGGACAGAAAAUAACUAAUCUAAUAAAACUGUAAAUCUCUCACCGAUGAACCUGAAAACUGAUACCACUUGAUGUGACGGCGGCCCGAUCUUUCGAUGAGAGUGGAAAUAAAUAUCGAUUUGGUGGAUUUUGACCUUGAUGAUCCGGCUAUACCGUACUCGACGAUACGCCUCGACAAUCGCUAAACCAAUCUCCGAUGGUUAUUGACCUUGCCGUAGGCACGAUCAAACUGAACAACGAGGUUCGAGUUCCUGCAAGCAACCGAAGAACCGGCAAAAACAAAGAUGAAUUGCAACUGAAAUUGCGGAUAAUAAACUAAGCACACGAACUAGAUGAAAAGUUGGAUUCCACUGUGGAUCUGACAAGGCGGUAGUCCUACACGUCUCGUAGAUGCGAAUUAUAGCGAUGGCUAGACAAUACAAUAAAAUCCGAGUUUAAACCUAGAUGAAAGCUAACUAUUUAUUAAGAGGAACGACCGUCGGCUGGUGUCACGGGACGCAGGGCCGUAAGCACGCAGGACACUGCAUGGCUCGACAGGACGUGGCGUUUGCUUCGGUUGACAAGACAUGUUGGCCUGACGUGAUGUAUUAGUGCACCAAAAGAAUUCUGUUGGACCCAACACGUUACUCCUCUUGGUCCAUGUAGACAAAAGCUAAUUGUCUGUACUUUGGGGUUGGCUUCUUGCACCGUAGCAUGCAUGAUGGAUGGGAUGGCCGGCCAUGCAUGCCACAAGUGAUUUUUGCUACUCUGUUUGAUUCUCCAAUUCCUUUAUUUAUGUAUACAUAUUUUCUGCAUCUCCAUCUCGCAUCUUGACACGUGGCUUGUACAACUCUUUAACAGUUCUGCAUAAAAUAGAAGACCGUGUUGUAUUUCUAUUUUGGACAACAAAAUAAUAAUGCAUAUAAUUUCUAUUAGAAUUCACCUGAUAAUUAUCUUUGCGCAUAAUGAGUAUGGUUAUAUCCGUAGGGGCCAUGUUCACAUCACUCCAUUUCAUAAAUUGCGUAACCGUUGAAUUCAUAUAUGAAUAUUACAUAUAUAUUACUUCAAAAUAGAAACUUAAAUCAUCCAAGACUAAUGAAUUUGAAUGCAUGAGUAACAAUGGUGCAUGUGCAUGAUAGCUACAUUGGUUGUUUGAAGAAACAUCACUGUAACUUUGGCAUGCACAACCGAAAAAGAUUUAUUUAAAUAUAAGAAAAAUGUGAUAUGUGAGUGUCCAAUCUUUAUAGCAUUGAAUCGAUAUUGUACCUUUGGCCAUGAUACGAAGUAGAUAUUGACUUAUGUUCAAGUGAUGCACGUCCACGGUCGCUAGAUAGUGAUACAUGAAUGAAUUGUGCAAUCUCUCUCACACACAUACAUAUCUCAUUUCCCUGUGGGCGUCGGAAUCACACACGCGCAUUUCGUGUAUUUCUCUCCCUCCGUCAGGGUUAAAUUCGUCUUUCUACCCCGUCCUACAAGUCUGUCACACAGAAACACACACGCUCUCUAUGUCUAACACGCCCACCCCUUUAAUUCCGCCCACCCACAGCCACUAAUGUCUCAAAGUAUAAUAAUGUCUCUCACACAUAUGCUAUCUAUCCCUUAAUAUAGCUAGAUAUGUGUCACACAAACUCCUUCUUUCUACUAGCAAGAUGCCCAUGUGCGUUGCAGGGAACAUCAAGAUGAAUUUGUAUGAGAAGUUUAUCUUGUGGGGGAAAAGGAUGAACAAGGGAAUGCCUUAUUUGCAAAUGCGGAGAGGGGUGUGGGUAUCUUUUUGCAAAAUUGCCAUAUUUUCCUUCAUGUCCGUCGGAUAUAAAUCGGAUGGCCUAUAUUGCAGGAUGGCAGGAACACCAUCAUCACCAACUAUGUUUUUUAUAAGAGUAGAGAUAUGUGAGUGUCGCUACCCCCUCCCCCCCCACACACACUUCCCAACACCGAAGGAGUAGGGUGACACCUCGAUCUUGGUACUAAUCUAUCGUCUGGCUUCUCUCUCAAACAUACACACACACACACUACCUGGCACCGAAGGAGUAGGGUGACACCUCGAUCUUGAUACUAAUCUAUCGACUGGAUUCUCUCUCUCUCUCUCUCUCUCUCUCACACACACACACACACACACACACUGCCCGGCACUGAAGGAGUAGGGUGGCACAUCGAUCNNNNNNNNNNNNNNNNNNNNNNNNNNNNNNNNNNNNNNNNNNNNNNNNNNNNNNNNNNNNNNNNNNNNNNNNNNNNNNNNNNNNNNNNNNNNNNNNNNNNNNNNNNNNNNNNNNNNNNNNNNNNNNNNNNNNNNNNNNNNNNNNNNNNNNNNNNNNNNNNNNNNNNNNNNNNNNNNNNNNNNNNNNNNNNNNNNNNNNNNNNNNNNNNNNNNNNNNNNNNNNNNNNNNNNNNNNNNNNNNNNNNNNNNNNNNNNNNNNNNNNNNNNNNNNNNNNNNNNNNNNNNNNNNNNNNNNNNNNNNNNNNNNNNNNNNNNNNNNNNNNUCUUUCAAACACACACACACACACACACACUCACUAGUUGUGCCUCUGUGCCUACCGUGCACACUCUCGAUACGUCUUUCUCUCCCUCCCCCCCCCAACAAUGACAGCAGAAGGGUGACAACUCGAUCUGAUCAUAAUCUGUCAAUUGGUUUCUCUCUCAAACAUUGUGUCUCGGUGCCUCGCUCGGUAGCCCCCUCGAUAUGUAGACUUCUCGCGCGCGCACAACUGUAGUGAUGAUGACCCUGAACCCAAUGUGCCUUGUUUUUACCGGCCUCAUGUGAUAGUUUUCACCCUGUUUUCUGUUAAUUAACAAGGCAACCUUUUCUUUGUUACUACUAGUGAAUCUAAAAUCAUUCGGGGCAGACAUAAAACAUAUCACUUCAACCCAAUUAUCACAGCAACUACUUUAAAAGAAAUUAGCUAGCUGCCCGUGCGUUGCACGGAACAUCAAGAUGCAUUUGUAUGAGUAGUUUAUCUUGUGAGAGAAAAGGCUGAACGAGGGAAGGCCUUAUUUGCGAACGUGGAGAGACGUGUGGGUAUAUUUUUGCAAGAUUGCCAUAGUUUCUUUCCUAUCCAUUAGACAUAAAUCCGACGGGCUAUAUUGCAGGAUGGCACGCACACCAUCAUCACCAACUCUGUUUUCUACUCCCUCCGUCCGAAAAUACUUGUCAUCGAAAUGGAUAAAAAUAGAUGUAUCUAAAACUAAAAUACGUCUAGAUACAUUUCCUUUUAUCCAUUUUGAUGACAAGUAUUUCCGGACGGAGAGAGUAUUUGUCUUUUUAGAGAUUUCAACAAGUGACUAUGACCGGACCUUACCAACAUACUUCAAAAAUAGUCCAUAAUUUUGAUGUUACCCUCUUUUCUUGGCGGUGCAGUGCCAUCUGGAUACCUCAUAAAUAAAUCAAGGACAAAUCUGACCCCUUCCUGACAAGACAUACGUAGCAAAAUGAGUGAAUCUACACUCUAAAAUAUGUCUACAUACACAUCCGUAUGUGGUAGUCCAUUUGAAAUCUGAAAAAGACAAAUAUUUAGGAAUGAAUGGAGUAUAUAUAAGAGUAGACAUGGAGAUAUAUCUCCAGCAUGGUCUACAACAAAAAUGUGCUGGGCUGGUUAGCGCCGGAUGCUUGCAACGCGAUGAAUGAGUUCGAAUUCUGUCUUUUAACUUUAGAUUUAUAUAUUAUAUAUUACUCUAAUUAUUUAAUAUAUAUACUUCUUUCGCUACUGUACUGACAGUGGAACCCACAGAGUACUUAGAAUAUUAAGGAUGGACUUGUUUCUUUUUAACUUUCUGUACGAAGCUGUAGCCACCCUGCAAGUCACGUGUACACUAUAUAUGCAAUUAACUUUUUAUAGAGGGACAAUCAUACAAGCAAUUAACUCAAAUGGAUUGGAUGUCACUCUAUUAUUUCCAGCAUAAAGAGCAUCUCCAACGGCAGCCGGCAAAUUUCCUACCGCUUCCUUCCGCGGAGGAUGACAUCAAACGCUAGCGGAACCUCUUUCAAGCAUUGGUGGCCCUGCGACUGCCCGCCGACGCCACGAAGAAUGUCCACCUGGAGGUCGCGCUCGCUGCGAGGCGCCUCGCCCUGCAAGAAUUCGUCGACCUACACAUCCACGCGUACGAGCAAAUCGUGUACAUAGGUAUCUACAAGGCCAGUGAGGACGCUACGACGUUGGCCUUCCUCAACCGACUGGAAGCCGUGGAUGCCUUUGUUGAGAAGCACCUCGACCUCGCUACAAAAGCCGCCUCUCCUUAGCCGCCGGACGGUGGCCUGGCGCACUAAGUUGAGGAGGAGGUCGUAUGUUCGUGGAUCCAUCUUUCUUCUUGCCUUCUGUAACCACCAUUGCGAUCGCAUCAUCAUGACCUUAAUUCUUAUUGUGUUGUUGCAUUCUCGUUUCAGUCAAUACCGACAUGUGCGAUCCCUUUGCUUAAUUAUAUGCAUCACUGUAACUAGUACUCCAUCCGUCAAUUUAUAAGUUGUGCUUACCUUUUCCAUCAACUUCGUGCAACGUGCGGGCAUCUUGCUACUACCUCCGUUUCAGUUUACAAGUCCUGUGCGUAUACCUAGGUUACCAAUUUUAUCACCCUAAUAUAAACUAUAUAACACAAAAAUUAUAUCUUUUGAAAGUAGAAACUCCGAGUUUAUGUUGGUAUAUUUUUGGUAAUAUAUGACUAGUAUUAGGUUGGUCAAAUUGACGACCUAGGGGUACGCGCACGCCCUGUAAACUGAGAGAGGUAGUAGAAACACUAGAAUAUGUCUAUAUAAUCCGUAUGUGAUAGUCCAUUUGAAAUCUCAAAAAAGAAAAAUAUUUAGGUACGGAGCGAGUAAUAUAUUAGGAGUAUAUCAAAACAAUAGUGAUUUCUUUCAAGUUUGUGAACAAAUACUGCUAUUCUACUACUUUGGAUCCGUCGCAACGCACGGGCACAUUGCUAGUAAAAGGAAAAAGGCCUGCCACGUUCGCAUCGCACCCCCACACGCCCGGGAAUCGGGAGUACAACACGACCCAUCCGGCACGACACAUAGCUUAGGGCAGGCGUGUUGCCUACAGCCUAGCAUUUUCACUUUCAUGUGGGACCUCCCGUUGAGCAAACCGACACCCCGCCCGCCACCGGGUUGGAAAACAGAAACAAGGGGAAGAUCUAGCUGUAGCACAGAAUCGAAGAAUUUUUGUGUCAGACAGGGCUCGUUGAUAGAGUAGGAGCAUUCCGUAUUAGUACCACUCCUACCAAGUUUGUACUCCUAAUACUAUUAUAUUACUAGUACUACCACUAUACAACUAGUAGAUACGUGCACGGCACAACAUGUAGGAACAAAAAAUGGGAAGAUCUUGUUUUGGGUGAUUUAUCUUUUUUUCAAUCAACGUAGUAUGAAUAAUGUGAUGUGGGGGGCACCCAUGAAGCUUAUGUGGCUUGGUUGCAUGGCUACGGAAGGUUAGAGAAAAAUAAAUAGGUAAUGUGUUUAGAGUGCACUCCACUAAAUAGAUAUACUUUGGAUCCAUUGCAACGGACUGGCACAUCUAUAUCUAUACCCCCUAUAUAGUGUGUGAAAAACUUUGAAAGUUGGUCGUUGGAUGAAGCCAAUCCGACGGUACAAAGAUGGCAAAUCCGAGCACUACUGGCCAUUGGAUAUCAUCCACGAGAUUCUGCCAGAUGUAUAAUCUAGAAGACUCCAUGGUUGAACUUAAUUCAUGACUAACUUUGCCACAACUAAGCUCAGGCAAAGUUAUUAAUAAGUUCUUCAAUAUGAGAGCCACAAGUUGGCAAGCCUAAGGGAAUCUUGCCACAUUUUUUGUGUGUAUGUCAUGUGGGGCCAGUGUGACUUGCCUAAGGCGUGGCUUGAACCAAACACUCACCUAAGUUAAUCAAACUUGCCUAACCUUACAUUCCACCAAAUUUUGCCACAAGUUGGCAAGCCUAAGGGAAUCUUGCCACAUUUUUUGUGUGUAUGUCAUGUGGGGCCAGUGUGGCUUGCCUAAGGUGUGGCUUGAACCAAACACUCACCUAAGUUAAUCAAACUUGCCUAACCUUACAUUCCACCAAAUUUUGCCACAUGUUAGAAUCCAGAAAACUCCACAUGUAGAAGCAUAAUGCACAAACCACCAGAAUCUCAUGCGUGCAAUGCNNNNNNNNNNNNNNNNNNNNNNNNNNNNNNNNNNNNNNNNNNNNNNNNNNNNNNNNNNNNNNNNNNNNNNNNNNNNNNNNNNNNNNNNNNNNNNNNNNNNNNNNNNNNNNNNNNNNNNNNNNNNNNNNNNNNNNNNNNCAAAUUUUGCCACAAGUUGGAAAGCCUAAGGGAAUCUUGCCACAUUUUUUGUGUGUAUGUCAUGUGGGGCCAGUGUGGCUUACCUAAGGUGUGGCUUGAACCAAACACUCAUCUAAGUUAAUCAAACUUGCCUAACCUUACAUUCCACCAAAUUUUGCCACAAGUUGGCAAGCCUAAGGGAAUCUUGCCACAUUUUCUGUGUGUAUGUCAUGUGGGGCCAGUGUGGCUUGCCUAAGGUGCGGCUUGAACCAAACACUCACCUAAGUUAAUCAAACUUGCCUAACCUUACAUUCCACCAAAUUUUGCCACAUGUUAGAAUCCAGAAAACUCCACAUGUAGAAGCAUAAUGCACAAACCACCAGAAUCUCAUGCGUGCAAUGCACGUGUACCUUCCUACUAGUACUAGUAGUUGUAAGAAACAAAUUCCAGUUUUGGCACGAGCUCGUACUGCGGGAGCACCACAAGGCCUGCCGCAGGAGUUACAUUUUCCUCUCGGGGCCCAUGGGACCGAACUUUAGUGGCUUAGUGCCCGGCCUAUGAGUCAAUGACAUGUGGGCCUUAAUUGCGGCUGGCCCACAUGUCAUUCUCAUGGUGGUGGCGUUGUUCGUGACUCACUCGUUCGAGAUAAACCGGCUGGUGGUGGCAUGGCCGUGGCGAGGGUACCACAGCUGGGCGUCGGGGCGUUACGAGGCGUAGAUGGCCACACCGGUGGGUACUACCUGUAGUAAAUAAGUACUCCAGCUGAGGAUUGAUGCCCGGGACGAAAUGUGUCAUAGCCGCUGGAUGAAAAUUCGAUGGUGCGGGAGUACGGAUUGGAGCACAGCAACGGAGCAGGCAAACCACGUCCAAUUGGGUGUGUCUGGGGUAGAAAGUUGAUGGUCGCCGCAGUUCAGCUGGCCCACAUGUCAUGCACACAAAGGCAGAGGAGCGGUGGGGCCGAGAGGGAUGAGGGGCACGAACAAUCCUACCAUUCUGUCACUGACAUGUGGGACCCAUAAGCAUGGGUCCCACCUGUCAGCGAAGGAAAGGCAGGGCAAGGCAGUGAUAGCCAUGUCAGAGGAUCCAUGUCCACGUCGGGGGACGUCGUGCCGUGGGUUGGAGCGGCGUCGUGGGAAUCGCGUGUGGGUGUGCCAGUGGUAGAAACAAGAAACGUGAUGGUCGCCGUGGUUCAACUUCCAUGGACAAGCUGUCGUGUCUGCUGACACAUGUAUAUCAAAACUAGAGUGUUUAUAUUUCAAGCACGUGAACAAGUAUUAUUCUACUAGUUUGGAUCCAUUGCAAUGCACGGGCCAGCACAUUGGUAGUAGUAGUGUCCAUCUCUAUCUCUAGAGGACUUCCCUCGUUCAUCCUUUUCUCUCACAAGAUAAACUACUCAUACAAAUGCAUCUUGAUGUUCCGUGGAACGCACGAGGAUGUUUCCUUGGGGGUCUCUCCAGCGCGGCGUGGCCGUAGUUGCAAGUUGACGCCCCUUGAGAUGCCGACGUUGAGGGGCACUCGAAUUUCCUCCGAUGAGCAGGUAAGAUGAGUUUGAUCACGUAGUAAAUGCAUUCUAAAGACUACUUCCGCGUCCAUUUCCUAAUUCUCCCCCUGCCCACUGUUUCACACGCUAGGCUCGGUGCGAGUGGAGAUUGGCUUGCAUAUGUACCAACACCAAUUUGCACAACAUUUACAACGGUGACACCGUUCCCUUAGAACCUUUGUCCAACAUUGGGAUCAGCCAUGCAACGGGCCACCGCAUGAAUUGGUAUGAUGGAACCACGGUGAGAUUGAAUAAAAGAUAGCACGAACCUUGCACAUGGCGGUCAAAGGCGGACCAUGCUGUCUGCGGCCGAUUUGUUGUCGUACAAGUAGGAAGAUGUUGUGCUCCUUUCUAACCGCAUCUUCGCGGUGACAAACCAGGGGACUUAUUUUGUAUGGGACACAUUCUACGAUAUACUCCCUCUCUCCCAGUUUAUUUGUUUUGAAUCUUUUCAUUUUAUAAGUUUCAAAUUCAAAUUUAGAGCUCCCCAUCACAUGUUGAGAUUACAAUGUCCAUUAAAUCGUUGCGUGCAUGUAUAGUAAAGAAACAAAUCUUGAGUUUGGCACGAGUUCGUGCUGCGGGAGCACCACAAACCCUGGCGCAGGAGUUACAUUUCCCUCUCAGGGCCGUCGGGACUGAGCUUCAGCGCCUUACUACACCUACCUUUCAGUCAAUAACAUGUGGACCCGAUAGGUGACUGGUCCACAUGUAAUGCUCCUGAAGGCAGAGGGGCAGUGGGGCCAAGAGGGGUGAGCAGCAGGUCGGGGGACGUGUGGUUUCAUGGAUUCGAGCGGCAUCGUGGGAAUCGCGGGUGGCUGUGGUAGAAACUUGAUGCUCGCCGCAUUUUAGGUGGCCCACAUGUCAUGCACACAUAGGUAGAGGGGCGGUACGGCCGAGAGGGGUGAGGCACACGUCGGGGGGCGUGGUGCCGUGGGUUGGAGAGGCGUCGUGGGAAUCACGAGAUGAAACAUGAUGGUCGCCGUAGUUGAACUUCCAUGGACAAGCUGUCAUGUCUACGGACACAUGCACUGUAUACCGAUCACUGGAAGGAGUAGCAGAGAAAGCUAUAUAUGCGGAUAAAUAGUUCCUUAUAGUCAAGCGGACCCAUGCUACUACUCUGUUCCAAAGACAUGGAUACCAUCGAAAUAGUCCAUCUAUAUCAAUAUACACCGAGAGGGAAUAAUUUUUUUUACAAGAGAGGAAAUAGUUCAUCCAUCCAUAAUAUAUGCCCUCCUGCUGGUGCAGCGUUUUCUUCUUCUUCUUCUUCUUCUUCUUCUUCUUCUUCUUCUUCUUCUUCUUCUUCUUCUUCUUCUUCUUCUUCUUCUUCUUGUUCUCAUUCUCUGUGGGAGACGGCUUCACAACAAGCUCUCUAGACCUUGCAGCUAUCUCGAAACUCACACGGGCAUCGAGGGCAGCAUAUUUUAUCCACUCGUACGUCAAGGGAUAAUUCUCCCAUCCAGACGACCUUAAUGCCACCGUCUCUUCACCCUUCUGAAGAUUUGUACCGAGCACAAAAUUUGCUACGUCAAAUAGGGAUGGUGUCUGUUUAGCACAAUCUUCUACAGGAAUUUUGAUUCUGGUUUGUAGGUCAGCGAUGCUUUUCAAAUCGAGGUUGUACGGCUCCAGCUUCUGUUUGUCCCCUUCGAUGGCUGCCCCACAGAAGUAUACGUCCUCCCGAGACAAGAAAUCGUGAAGCUCACCUGGUAUGGAGGGCGAGUGUAUGAUGUGGUACACCAAAACAUCAUCUUCGAGGCACAGCUGAAGGACGGCGGCGCGCCGGAUCUUCCCAGGGGCACGCUCCGUGUACUCUGCGUCGAGACCGAUGACCCUCGUCUCUACCUUUUCGAGGGAGUUGGAUACGUUGUUGAUCCACUGCCGAACAACCCUUGGGUUGACGGUGACGGUGGCAACUAUGGGCAUCGAGCCUUCGACGAGGACAUGUUGGACGCUAAAAACCUGCAUCUCGAUCUCUUUCGCCAUUUGGAACCGCUGGAACAGAGGGCUAUGGUUUGGAGAAUUAGGAUUAGAUGGCUAGUCUAACUGAAGUAGUAGAUGAUUAUUUAAGGGACAUUUACAUCUGUGCCCCUAACUCGAACCCACUACUCAGAUUUACCCUUAAUUUUGAAGCAUGCUCAAAUUUGCCCCUCCGCCGUUAAGUCACUACUCAGAAAUGCCCUUCCGUACAGUACUGUAGCACUUUUCAUCCAAUACUGUAGCACUUUCCGUCUGCUACAGUACACAUGGGCCUCUGACGGUCAAAGGCCUUUGACUGGACGGAAGGGCAUUUCUGAGUAGUGACUUAACGGCAGAGGGGCAAAUUUGAGCAUGCUUUGAAAUUAGGGGCAAAUUUGAGUAGGUGGUUCGAGUUAGGGGUAGAAAUACAAAUGGCCCAUUAUUUAAAGAGGUUAAAACAAUGUGAACGCAGUGGGGUUUGGAUGCAAAUGAAUACGAAGGGGAGGUGAACAAGCCGAGGCGAAUCGGUUCCCGAUUGAGAAGUAAAUGGGAGAAGUGGCAUGCAGGCAGUUGAUUAGACGACUAGGUAGACUAAACGAAAAGUCUAUGCGGGUAGACUGAGGAGUCAUACCUGUUCAUGUACAUGCCCAUCCUUCCUGAUAGGUGGGACCUAUGCAAACAGAUAAAAAAUGUGUCGUAGCUUUUUUUUUGAGCCUGUGCGUGGGAGACACAACAUUCUCUGGUUAAGGAAUAAUCCCUCUGUUUAGGUGAGUAUAAGUCACCUUAUGAAAAUCAGGUUUUCCCAAAACCUUUAGGCAUGGAGCAUUAACUUCCCGCUCGAUCCCCUCCCAGCCUCGUUAGCCAGCGUUCUCUUCCUCUGCUGCCGCGUUCUACCUUUCCAUUUUUCCUCUUCUCAAGUGUGGAACGAUCUGCAUGCUGUCCUUCAUGCACCAGAAUGACCACUGCAUGCAUCGCGGCAGGGCGUUGAUUGGGCAUGCACGAGAAUUUGGUUCUACUCGCAAUAUGGAUGAUACCUGAACGAUGAAGUGAACAGGCAUGCUAGCACGGGAGACCUAUUUCCGCUAUACAAUACUGGAGUACUCAUGUUCCUACAAGUAGUAGUAGUAGUAGUAGUAGUAGUAGUACAGCUGUGGUACACUUGAUGGUCAAAAUACUAUUCAUCCGGUCCUCACAGUGAAGUGACAACACCCUGCGCCUGACACUAGUCCAGGUGAGGCGGCGUGUUCGGGUUACCAAAGUCAGCCUCACCCCGUGCACUGAGCAGUCUGUCACCGCCGCUGUACAGCACAUUGGCGCCUUGCCUCGUCUCCCUCUCCGCUCCCAUAGCACCACUCCAUCUCCAUCUCCUUCUCCGUCUCCAUCUUCGUCUCCAUCUCACUGUGCCCACGUGUACCGUAGCCUCACUCGCCUCCCCCAGUACCACUAUUCCCUCGCUAGGCGCUCCAGCACCGGCAUCCUUCUCCCCCGUAAAUCAAGCCCCCUUCCAAACUCCACCAUGGCCGAACGCGAACCGCGCAGCAUCCAUAUGAGCCGCGAUUGGACCAAUCUCCCCAGUGACAUCCUCGACCUCUAUUGUUCGUGUAUGGAUAUGUUGACCGCCCUGCAGCUGGCUGCAUGCUCGAGGGACAUGCACACGGCCAUCGUCGAAGCAAGGCCUAAGCUUUUCAAGACACCCUGCUUGCUGCUAUCUGGUCUUGCGAGAUUGGCUCACCAUGAUACGGAGGCGUGCAUGAUGCCCCUCGACUUCAAUCCGAUCUCCAUUAGCCGAAACUUCUUUGCAGGUAUGUAGUGUGUCGCCGUACAUCAUUUCCCUCGACAUCGAUCCGAUCACCAUCGCCGGAAACUUCUUGGCAGGUAUGUACUGGGUCGGCAUGAACUCCCACUGGAUGGCUGCCUUCAGAGAAGACUGUAAAAAGUUGGUGCUCGUGAACUUCCAGACCUCCCAUGAGAUUAUCCUUCCUCCGUUGGAUUAUAUAGAGUAUUACCAUCGCGGUCCAAGUCAUCUAGAUUACUACGUCAGUUGGACGGACCUUGUUUUGCAGAAGAUUGUAAUCUGCCAAGUACCCACACGACAUGCGAAUUACGCAGACCUCAAGCUAAUUGCCUUGUUCGACCGCGGACUCGCCUAUCUUUACGCCGGUGCCUUUUUUAGCUGGAGACAACUUGGCUCUCAGUGGAUCAUCGUCAAAGAUGAUACAUACUUUUGUGAUGCUAUUGAACACAAUGGCAUCAUCUACGCAAUCGACAAAGCAGAUGGCACCACGUAUUGCUGGGACGACGCAUGUAAGUUGUUUCCGUCUCAUGUUAAUGAUUUCAUCAUGACACUGUUUGAACUUUUUUUGAUGAUUGGCAUAUCCCUGUUUGAGCAGAAUUUGAGUAGAACUAUGGCAAUAUAUUAGGGACGCCAUAAAUCAGCUAUAUUUGGAAUGAUUUAAUUCAUGCGAUUGUGACCAUGUCAUUACAGCCAAUUUGUACCCUGAAUAAGCAAACGGUUAGCAAUAUAUGGAUAUUAUCCUUAUUUUACAGUAAUCUAUAUACUACUACUAAAUAUGAGUGUAUCAAUGGCCAUGUUGGUUUCCUCAUUUUCAUGAUGUAGAAACAUGCACCACACUGUUGGUUUCAUCUAACCAUACAUUAGGGAAGUAAACGUGCAUAUGGAGAACUCUAUAUUUGGAAGUAGUGAAAUCCUGCAAUGCUUACCAUGUGUACAUACCUAUAUUCGCCCUUCAGCAAUCAAUGACUAGAAUAAUAUCCUCACAAAAUUUUUGCCCACAGAACACGAGUAUAUAAUAAUGCAUGGUAUGUUAGUUACCUUGAAGAAUUUGUUUGUGAGGACAGAACAUGAUUACAUAACAUGCAUGACAUGGUAGUUUCCUGUGAAGAAUCGAUUCCGAGAUAACAUGAGUAUAACCAUGCAUGGCACUUCUAUAUUUUCGAACCCGGUAUACAUUUCACUGUAUUGUCCUCCCAGUUCCAAUAGGGACAUAUCAAUGUUGUUUCUUGCAUUAUCCUACUCAUACUCUGAACAAUGCUGAUCUUACAUUAACAAUGCCUGUCCUUUUUGAUAUGAUGCAGUGUCCCUACAGUUACUGCCCUUUGUAAUUACACCACCCUUGCCAAAAACAGGGAAGCACAACUGGUUCCUCGCUCGAUCAGACGACGACAAAAGAUUGAUGAUCAUUCGGACACAUGAGCCGGAAAAGUUAUAUUGCAAAAACCCCACUGUAUACAAGCACCAUGUAAUACGUGAGUAUCCGGACAGUGGUUGUUACGUCUAUGAGCAGGAUACCAGCUUGUUGGGGCCUUUAGGAUUUUUUAGUUGGAGGCGGGUAAACAGCCUGGGUUCACACUCUCUGUUUCUCAGACUCAAUUAUCCGAUUAACCAGGAGAUCACAGUUGGCAAGGACCUUGAUGGCAGAGAGGCUCUGUUUGCUAUGGAAAAUUGUGUCUACACGGCGAGCCCUAGGAGUUCGGGAGCAUACUCCCUUGAUUGUCAACGAUACAGCCUGCAGCCAAAAGAAGGUGAGAAUGACAAAGGCAUCUGGAUUAACUUUGAUCCUUGGAUGUCUCAAUUACGACAUGCAGUGAUGUGGUUCAAGCCUUCAGGUUGAUAGGUAAUUGGGCUGUUGCAUCGAAAGGGUGGAGUACUGGUGUCUCCAGAUCACUGGUCGCUGAAGCAGGGCUGCAAAUUAUGAUGGUGUUGGAUCAUCUCUUCAAAUGAAUUUGUUCUCUUUGCUGCUGGUUCUGGAUGGGUAGUUCUUUCUUUUGUUAUGCAUAUUCCUUGUCAUUUGAUCAUCCUCGUCUAUGUCACUCUUUCUAUGUAAUAGUUGCUUCUGUUUAGAAUGUCAUUCUCGUCUGGAUCACAAGAGUCUGAGCGCUGCAGAUGGGUACGUUUUGGUGGUGUAGCAAGACUUCUUAUGAACUAUCAUGUCUUGCUGUUUAUGUCAGUAGUAGUCACUAGUCAGUGUUUGAAUGUUGUAUAUAUCGUUGUUUCGAACUGUUUAUUCUCUCGAACUACUGGUGGGCUAAAUGAGGGCAUCACAAUUCUCCAUUGUUUAGAGUAUAUCUCCUUUUUUCAAGUUAUAUAAUUUGAGCUCACUGUCUUUUCGAUGAUGUACACUUGUUUGGGCCAGUGAGGUGUUGUUGAAUAUGGGCCGAGUAGUAACGCAAUACCAAAUAGGUCAAUUAUGACUCUCGGGCUGGGCUCUCAAAAGAUCUUGAAAAAAAGCCCAGCUCUCCAAAAAAGAAAGAAUAAGGACUCUUAGGCCGACAUGUGGGCGCCACCGGUGUUUUCGUGCGCUUGCGCGCCAAGAGCAUAUUGGCGCGUGCUCGAAAUUCAUGCUACCUUUUCAUCCCCAGUCUCCCGCCCCUCCCCCACCUCUGGAAUCUCGAUUCCUACUCCAGUUCGCCAAAUCCCCCUCCUGUACUCCCUGUACUCAAGCGCACUAUCAUGUCAUCGGUCAACGCGGAUCUCCGAGCCGGAGAUCCUGAGGUCCGUCCUGCCUUCGGUCACUGCGUGCUGUCGCUCAACAGUGGCAUGGCGGCGCUUGACGACCAGUUUGCCGGCAAAGUGCUGAUGGUAACCAUCAACGGCGACCGGCCUCCCGUCUCGCCGGACGACCUUGUCAAAGCUCUUGGCAUCGCACACGACAUCCAAAUAAGUGACUUGCUCGUCGAAGUCUGUCCACCACCGGCUGAUUUCUUCAUCAGGUUCCGAACAACUUUCGACUGCAGUCGUGUGUUCGAAUCUUCCCGGCGUUUGUUCUGCGAUGGCACGCUGGUGAGCUUUGAUCGGUGUCAACCAGGAUGGGGCUCAGUGCCCUCUGAGCUUGAGUUUUUAACAAAACUUACCUUCCACAGCAUGCCUCGACGUGCUUGGAACAGCGAGUCCAUGAACGAGCUUAUCAACGACCUUGGAGGUGAGCUCGUAAGUAUGUUUGUUCCUCCAGACAGCUGGGCUCUGACGGUUAUGGCAUGGAUGAAGAAGCCGUCCACCAUACCGAAGGUGAUUGGUGUUGAGAUACUGGUGCAGGAACCGGGGUUUUACUAUUCGUCGCCACCAAGGCCGUCGCGGACCAUGUUAGGGAUGUACCUGUAUCGAGUGUUCGUGCAUGUCGAAGAAGUGGUCAAUCCAUCAAUCGAAGUCCUUCCGCCCCCGCUGGUGCCAGGGUCCGUCGACGACAUCCAUUACCAGAGUCAACGUCAUACUUUCCCCGUGUUGCUCGGCACGAUGGAUGGCACAGGGCCUACUCCAUCGCGCAGCGGAGGCCACUGCUUCUUUGGGAGAAGAGGCAGGGUUGGCUGCCUGGAUGUGCUCUAAUUUGAGGUAACAACUGAAUCUUGUCAGAUAGUACUAGUUAAAUCCGAGCUAUGGGUCUGAAGCACUGAUAUGCCAAUACAUUUGAUUGUGACCUGUUCUAAUUUUGUACCUGAACUUUUUUUAGAAAGGGCUGUACGUCAACUUAAUGUGCUAGCAGAACUUAUUGUGUUGUCUGUCUGUUUUCUUUACACAAGAUUCAAGAUAUUUCCCCAUCAUUUAUAAAGACGAUGAACCGUUAUGUACGACUUCGUUGGUUUCAACAUAGCCCUUCCCGUAGCGAUCCACUGCUUCCAUCCUGAUUGUGCCGCCUGCGUGAAAUUUUUGUAUGCAAGUUCAGUAUGCUAUGAUGUUCUAUAUGAUUGUGUCAACUAUAUAAGUUUUUACUGAUCAUCAACAAUGCAUAUGGCUGAAAGAUGUAUUUACGAGCAUCGACCGAUGGGUCUUUCUCUCUAUCUCUCUCUCUCACACACACACACACACAUGCACACACACGCGCACACGCACAAGUGGGACCCGUUAAAUUAUUUAUUUGCUCGUGGCAGCUUUUAAUUAGGUUCCACUGUAAUCUAACUUUUUCUUAAGUUAUUAAAUGAGCUCAAUGACUUCAAAAGGUUGUACAGAAGCAUUGUUUGGGCCUUUCCGGCGUCCCUGAAUGUGGGCUGGGUAACCACGUUAGGUUGUACUGUACUACAUAGGCCUUUUUUCAACAUCAGCAAUGCAACUGGGCCGACAGCUGUACACAAUAUCCGGGUCAACUUGUUAUCUGCCCCGCUGGGCUGCAAAGUUUCCUAGGAGGUAUGCAUUGGCUUAACAAGAAAAUGGCCUUUAAGAAAUAAUAAAUGGGAUGUAAUUAUAAUAACUGGGCAAUUACUAUGCACCAAACACGUAAUUAGUUUGAAAAAUAUAUUAUUUUUGGAAUUUAGAAAUUUUAAUUUCAUUACUUGUUGCGCACGCAAUAUUUCGUUGGAUUUUAACGUCAUACAACUUUAUUUUGAAAUUAUAUUUAACCUGACUAGAAAUUUCGGAUAAAAAUAUUUCGGAUCCCAUCAAAAUGUGGGAAUUUUUUUUUGAAUUCUGUUUUGAGCGGUUGUUUGAAAUUAUUAAUCGUUGUCCUACCUAGAAGUUGGGCUGUACUUUUAACAAACCCGUAAAUGGGCUGUAGUAAAUAACAUUAGAAUUGAAAAAUGGGCUGUAAAUUCUUACAAAUCGUAAAUGGGCUAUAUGUUCUCUGCCAAAUCCGAGCUGUGGGCCUACUAAGUUGACGCGUACCAAGGGCUUUGUCAACUUAGUCAAUAUAAACGAUUCUAGCUGCAGUGAUCGUACAAUGUCCAUCCAACGGCUGUAGUGCUUCUUUAACCUCUGGUAUUCUUGCUCCAGCCGCCCAAAGCAGCGCCGGCCGUGUCGCGUGCUCCUGCCUCCCGUGGCCGCAAGGAAGUGCCUCCUUAUUACGCGCAAAAUAAUUAUUCCUCCACCUGACAUCAGGGACCCACCGGAAGGGCCACCUUAUUUCGUGAAAUAAAUGUUUCCCCCCUGACUGCUGGGACCCACCGGACGAGCCAGCGUAUUUCGCGAAAAAAACAUUCCCCGCGCUAUUUGCUCGGACCCACCGGAAGUGCCUCCUUAUUACGCACAAAAAAAUGAAUACUCCCCCUGCUAGCUGGGACCCACCAUGGUGGAAGGCUGACUUGUGGGCCUACUAAGUUGACUGGGACGGGGGCCUUUGUCAACUUUAGUCAAUAUGAACGAUUCUAGCUCCAGUGACCGUACGAUGGCCAUCCAACGGCCGUAGUGCUUCUUCAACCUCUGGUGUUCUUGCUCCAGCCGCCCAAAGCAGCGCCGGUCGUGCCGCAUGCUCCUGCCUCCCGUGGCCUGCUGUGCUGCCGCGGAGGCCUCACCGCCCCUACUAUUCCCAUCGCUAGCCAGGCCCUGCGGCGACGGUAGCCUCACACCGCAGCCGAACCAGUGAACCCUCAUACUCCUCUCCGCGCGGGCUUCCACUGCCGCGUCUUCCCCGGCUCCCCGUCGUCCCCUUCCUAGGCCUCACCGUCGUCCACCACCGUGGUGCUCUCGGCGCGGCGUGGUCAAUGUGGUCAACGACCGACUUCCAUCGGAAGAGUACUGUACAUGGAGAGGCUGACAGCUGGGUCCACGGCAGCCGCAAGGAAGUGCCUCCUUAUUACGCGGAAAAUAAUUAUUCCUCCACCUGACAGCAGGGACUCACCGGACGGGUCAUCAGUAUUUCGCGAAAAAAAACGUUUCCCCCUGACUGCUGGGACCCACAGGACGGGCCACCAUAUUUCGCAAAAAAACGUCCCCCCCCCCCGCGCUAUCAGCUCGGACCCACUGGAAGUGCCUCCUUAUUACGCACAAAAAAAUAAAUACCCCCCUGGUAGCUGGGACCCACCAUGGUGGGAGGCUGACUUGUGGGCCUACUAAGUUGACUGGGACGGAGGCCUUUGUCAACUUUAGUCAAUAUAUGAACGAUUCUAGCUCCAGUGACCGUACGAUGUCCAUCCAACGGCCUUAGUGCUUCUUCAACCUCUGGUCUUCUUGCUCCAGCCGCCCAAAGCAGUGUCGGUCGUGCCGCCUGCUCCUGCCACCCAAAGCAGCGCCGGUCGUGCGGCCUGCUCCUGUCGCCCGUGGCCGGCUGUGAUGCCGCGGAGGCCCCACCGCCCCCUACUACUCCCACCGCUGGCCAGGCCAUCCCUCUAUGCACCCGGCACCCACACCCCCUGUUAUUCUGCGGCAACGGCAGCCUCACACCGCAGCCAAACGAGUGAACCCUCAUACUCCUCUACGCGUGGGCAUCCACUGUUGCGUCUUCCCUGGCUCGGCGUCGUCCCCUUCCUAGGCCUCACCGUCGUCCACCGCCCUGGUGCUCUCGACGCGGCGUGGUCAACGUGGUCAAGGAAUGGCUUCCAUCGGACGUGGACUGUACGUGGAGAGGCUGACAGCUGGGUCCAUGACCGCAGCAAGGAAGUGCCUCCUUAUUACGCGCAAAAUAAUUAUUCCUCCACCUGACAGCGGGGACCCACCGGACGGGCCACCAUAUUUUGUGAAAAUAACAUUUCCCCCUGUCUGCUGGGACCCACCAAUUACAUCUUCGCACGCAAGGAAGUGCGUCCAAAAAAAACGAUUCGCCCCUUAACUGCUGGGACCCACCAACUACAUCGUCGCACGCAAGGAAGUGCCUGACAGUCGGGACCCACCUGGUCGAAGUGUACGUAGCAUUGUCAUUCUGGUCGCGAACGUGUACGUACAUAAUGGUCAUAGUAGAGGUGUGCACGUACACGUACGUACAUCGGCGAGGGUGCAAGAAAAAAAAAACGGCCACGUACGUACAUACGGGCAGGGUCUCGAACGCCUACUCACGCAUACGUACAUGGCUGGGUUGGAACGGAGAAACAACGUCGUCGUCGUGUUCAUGGGGAGCCAACGGAAUGCGUCGUGUUCAUCGGGAGGCAACGGAACGCGUGGGAGCCAACCGGCUGGGUCAGAACGGAAUGCGUGGUCGUGUUCAUCGGGAGGACUUGGACAGAACAGGCGAUGGAAACGAGGCCAGGCGUACCACACAACGGGGGAAACAGACCUCCUACGGUCGAACCGAGGGUCCUGUUGAUCGGGAGGGGUGUGGCGUACCGCAAAACGGACGAAACGGACCUCCUACGGUCGAAACGGGGGUCCUGUUGAUUGGGAGGGGUGUGGCGUACCGCAAAACAGACAAAACGGACCUCCUACGGUCGAAACAGGGGUCCUUGUUGAUCGGGAGGGGUGUGGCGUACCGCAAAACGGACGAAGCGGACUUGUGUUAGAGCGCUACGGUCGAAACUUGGGGGGGAGGGAAGGGUGUGGCAUACCGCAAAACGGGACUCCACUGGAUACUGUUCAUCUCCACAGUCGACCUCCUCCAGCCUCCACGGGCUACCGUCGACCUCCUCCAGCCUCCACGGGCUCCUGUUCAUCGAGCCUCCACCACGCGCUACUCGACCGGCUACUAUUCAACCACCCCUCCACGGGCACCCCUCCACCGUCUACUGUUCAUCCAGCCGUCCACACCAUGGGGUCCUGUUCAACCACCCCUCCAUGGCCACCCCUCCACCGUCUACUGUUCAUCCAGCCAUCCACACCACGGGUUCCUGUUCAACCACGCCUCCACGGCCACCCCUCCACCUGAAGGAAAUAUGCCCUAGAGGCAAUAAUAAAGUUAUUAUUUAUUUCCUCAUAUCAUGAUAAAUGUUUAUUAUUCAUGCUAGAGUUGUAUUAACCGGAAACCUAAUACAUGUGUGAAUACAUAGACAAACAUAGUGUCACUAGUAUGCCUCUACUUGACUAGCUCGUUUAUCAAAGAUGGUUAUGUUUCCUAGCCAUGGACAAAAGAGUUGUCAUUUGAUUAAUGGGAUCACAUCAUUGGGAGAAUGAUGUGAUUGACUUGACCCAUUCCGUUAGCUUAGCACUUGAUCGUUUAGUAUGUUGCUAUUGCUUUCUUCAUGACUUAUACAAAGUUCCUACAACUAUGAGAUUGUGCAACUCCCGUUUACCGGAGGAACACUUUGUGUGCUACCAAACGUCACAACGUAACUGGGUGAUUAUAAAGGUGCUCUACAGGUGUCUCCAAAGGUACAUGUUGAGUUGGCAUAAUUCGAGAUUAGGUUUUGUCACUCCGAUUGUCGGAGAGGUAUCUCUGGGCCCUCUCGGUAAUACUCAUCACUUAAGCCUGGCAAGCAUUGUAACUAAUGAGUUAGUUACAAAAUGAUGUAUUACAGAACGAGUAAAGAGAAUUGCCAAUAACGAGAUUGAACUAGGUAUUGGAUACCGACGGUCGAAUCUCGGGCAAGUAACAUACCGAUGACAAAGGGAACAACGUAUGUUGUUAUGCGGUUUGACCGAUAAAGAUCUUCGUAGAAUAUGUAGGAACCAAUAUGAACAUCCAGGUUCCACUAUGUGUUAUUGAUCAGAAACAGUUCUAGGUCAUGUCUACAUAGUUCUCGAACCCGUAGGGUCCGCACGCUUAACGUUACGAUGACAGUUUUAUUAUGAGUUUAUAAGUUUUGAUGUACCGGAGUUUGUUCGGAGUCCCGGAUGUGAUCAUGAACAUGACGAGGAGUCUUGAAAUGGUCGAGACAUAAAGAUUGAUACAUUGGACGGAUAUAUUUGGAUACCGGAAAGGUUCCGGAUGAGAUUGGGACUAUACCGGAGAUCCGGGAGGUUACCGGAACCCCCCGGUAAGUAUAUGGGCCUUAUUGGACCUUAGUGGAAAGGAGGGAGAAGGGGCAAAGGAGGGGGCGCGCCCCCCAAGCCCAAUCCGAAUUGGGAGGGGGGCCGCCCCCCCUUUCCUUCUUCCCUCCCCUCUCUUCCUUCCCUCUCCUACUCCUAAUAGGAAAGGGGGGGCCAAACCUACUUGGAGUAGGAUUGCCCCCCCUAGGGCGCGCCUCUCCCCUUGGCCGGCCGCCUCCUCCUCUCCCCCUUUAUAUACGGGAGAGGGGGGCACCCCUAAGACACACAAGUUGAUCUACGGAUCGUUCCUUAGCCAUGUGCAGUGCCCCCUGCACCAUAUUCCAUCUCGGUCAUAUCGUCGCGGAGUUUAGGCGAAGCCCUGCGCCGGUAGAACAUCAUCAUCGUAACCACGCCGUCGUGCUAACAGAACUCAUCCCUGACGCUUUGCUGGAUUGGAGCACGGGGAAAGUCAUCGAGCUGAACGUGUGCUGAACACGGAGGUGCCGUACGUUCGGUGCUUGGAUCGGUCGGAUCGUGAAGACAUACGACUACAUCAACCGUGUUGUCAUAACACUUCUGCUUAACGGUCUAAGAGGGUACAUAGAUAACACUCUUCCCUCUCGUUGCUAUGCCAUCACCAUGAUCUUGUGUGUGCGUAGGAAUUUUUUUGAAAUUACUACGUUCCCCAACAGUGGUAUCAGAGCCAGGUUUUAUGCGUUGAUGUUAUAUGCACGAGUAGAACACAAGUGAGUUGUGGGCGAUACAAGUCAUACUGCUUACCAGCAUGUCAUACUUUGGUUCGGCGGUAUUGUUGGAUGAAGCAGCCCGGACCGACAUUACGCGUACGCUUACGCGAGACUGGUUCUACCGACGUGCUUUGCACACAGGUGGCUGGCGGGUGUCAGUUUCUCCAACUUUAGUUGAACCGAGUGUGGCUACGCCCGGUCCUUGCGAAGGUUAAAACAGCACUAACUUGACAAACUAUCGUUGUGGUUUUGAUGCGUAGGUAAGAACGGUUCUUGCUAAGCCCGUAGCAGCCACGUAAAACUUGCAACAACAAAGUAGAGGACGUCUAACUUGUUUUUGCAGGGCAUGAUGUGAUGUGAUAUGGUCAAGACGUGAUGCCAUAUUUAUUAUAUGAGAUGAUCAUGUUUUGUAACCAAAGUUAUCGGCAACUGGCAGGAGCCAUAUGGUUGUCGCUUUAUUGUAUGAAAUGCAAACGCCCUGUAAUUGCUUUACUUUAUCACUAAGCGGUAGCGAUAGUCAUAGAAGCAAUAGAUGGCAUAGACGACAACGCUGCUACGAUGGAGAUCAAGGUGUCGCGCCGGUGAAGAUGGUGAUCACGCCGGUGCUUCGGAGAUGGAGAUCACAAGCACAAGAUGAUGAUGGCCAUAUCAUAUCACUUAUAUUGAUUGCAUGUGAUGUUUAUCCUUUAUGCAUCUUAUCUUGCUUUGAUUGACGGUAGCAUUUUAAGAUAAUCUCUCACUAAAAAUUAUCAAGAAGUGUUCUCCCUGAAUAUGCACCAUUGCCAAAGUCCAUCGUGCCCAGACACCACGUGAUGAUCGGGUGUGAUAAGCUCUACGUCCAUCUACAACGGGUGCAAGCCAGUUUUGCACACGCAGAAUAUUCCGGUUAUACUUGACGAGCCUAGCAUAUGCAGAUAUGGCCUCGGAACACGGAGACCGAAAGGUCGAGCGUGAAUCAUAUAGUAGAUAUGAUCAACAUAGUGAUGUUCACCAUUGAAAACUACUCCAUCUCACGUGAUGAUCGGGUAUGGUUUAGUUGAUUUGGAUUACGUGAUCACUUAGAUGACUAGAGAGAUAUCUGUCUAAGUGGGAGUUCUUAAGUAAUAUGAUUAAUUGAACUUAAAUUUAUCAUGAACUUAGUACCUGAUAGUAUUUUGCUUGUCUAUGUUUGUUGUAGAUAGAUGGCUCGUGCUGUUGUUCCGUUGAAUUUUAAUGCGUUCCUUGAGAAAGCAAAGUUGAAAGAUGAUGGUAGCAAUUACACGGACUGGGUCCGUAACUUGAGGAUUAUCCUCAUUGCUGCACAGAAGAAUUACGUCCUGGAAGCACCGCUGGGUGCCAGGCCUGCUGCAGGAGCAACGCCAGAUGUUGUGAACGUCUGACAGAGCAAAGCUGAUGACUACUCUAUAGUUCAGUGUGCCAUGCUUUACGGCUUAGAACCGGGUCUUCAACGACAUUUUGAACGUCAUGGAGCGUAUGAGAUGUUCCAGGAGUUGAAGUUAAUAUUUCAAGCAAAUGCCCGGAUUGAGAGAUAUGAAGUCUCCAAUAAGUUCUACAGCUGCAAGAUGGAGGAGAAUAGUUCUGUCAGUGAGCAUAUACUCAAAAUGUCUGGGUAUAAUAAUCACUUGAUUCAACUGGGAGUUAAUCUUCUGGAUGAUAGCGUCAUUGACAGAAUUCUCUAAUCACUGCCACCAAGCUACAAGAGCUUUGUGAUGAACUAUAAUAUGCAAGGGAUGAACAAGACAAUUCCCGAGCUCUUCGCAAUGCUAAAGGCUGCGGAGGUAGAAAUCAAGAAGGAGCAUCAAGUGUUGAUGGUCAACAAGACCACUAGUUUCAAGAAAAAGGGCAAAGGGAAGAAGAAGGGUAACUUCAAGAAGAACAGCAAGCAAGUUGCUGCUCAAGAGAAGAAACCCAAGUCUGGACCUAAGCCUGAAACUGAGUGCUUCUACUGCAAGCAAACUGGUCACUGGAAGCGGAACUGCCCCAAGUAUUUGGUGGAUAAGAAGGAUGGCAAAGUGAACAAAGGUAUAUGUGAUAUACAUGUUAUUGAUGUGUACCUAACUAGAGCUCGUAGUAGCACCUGGGUAUUUGAUACUGGUUCUAUUGCUAAUAUUUGCAACUCGAAACAGGGACUACGGAAUAAGCGAGCACUGGCCAAGGACGAGGUGACGAUGCGCGUGGGAAAUGGUUCCAAAGUCGAUGUGAUCGCGGUCGGCACGCUACCUCUACAUCUACCUACGGGAUUAGUUUUAGACCUGACUAAUUGUUAUUUGGUGCCAGUGUUGAGCAUGAACAUUAUAUCUGGAUCUUGUUUGAUGCGAGACGGUUAUUCAUUUAAAUCAGAGAAUAAUGGUUGUUCUAUUUAUAUGAGUAAUAUCUUUUAUGGUCAUGCACCCUUGAAGAGUGGUCUAUUUUUAUUGAAUCUCGAUAGUAGUGAUACACAUAUUCAUAAUGUCGAAGCCAAAAGAUGCAGAGUUGAUAAUGAUAGUGCAACUUAUUUGUGGCACUGCCGUUUAGGUCAUAUCGGUGUAAAGCACAUGAAUAAACUCCAUACUGAUGGACUUUUGGAAUCACUUGAUUAUGAAUCACUUGGUACUUGCGAACCGUGCCUCAUGGGCAAGAUGACUAAAACACCGUUCUCCGGUACUAUGGAGAGAGCAACAGAUUUGUUGGAAAUUAUACAUACAGAUGUAUGUGGUCCGAUGAAUAUUGAAGCUCGUGGUGGAUAUCGUUAUUUUCUCACCUUCACAGAUGAUUUGAGCAGAUGUGGGUAUAUCUACUUAAUGAAACACAAGUCUGAAACAUUUGAAAAGUUCAAAAUUUUCAGAGUGAAGUGAAAAAUCAUCGUAACAAGAAAAUAAAGUUUCUACGAUCUGAUCGUGGAGGAGAAUAUUUGAGUUACGAGUUUGGUUUACAUUUGAAACAAUGCGGAAUAGUUUCGCAACUCACGCCACCCGGAACACCACAACGAAAUGGUGUGUCCGAACGUCGUAAUCGUACUUUACUAGAUAUGGUGCGAUUUAUGAUGUCUCUUACUGAUUUAACGCUAUCGUUCUGGGGUUAUGCUUUAGAGACGGCUACAUUCACAUUGAAUAGGGCACCAUCAAAAUCCGUUGAGACGACACCUUAUGAAUUGUGGUUUGGCAAGAAACCAAAGUUGUCGUUUCUUAAAGUUUGGGGUUGCGAUGCUUAUGUGAAGAAACUUCAACCAGAUAAGCUCGAACCUAAAUCGGAAAAAUGUGUCUUCAUAGGAUACCCAAAAGAGACUGUUGGGUACACCUUCUAUCACAGAUCCGAAGGCAAGACAUUCGUUGCUAAGAAUGGAUCCUUUCUAGAAAAAGAGUUUCUCUCGAAAGAAGUGAGUGGGAGGAAAGUAGAACUUGAUGAGAUAACUAUGUCUGCUCCCUUAUUGGAAAGUAGUUCAUCACAGAAAUCAGUUCCUGUGACAUCUACACCAAUUAGUGAGGAAGUUAAUGAUAUUGAUCAUGAAACUUCAGAUCAAGUUUCUACUAAACCUCGUAGGUCUACCAGAGUAAGAUCUGCACCAGAGUGGUACGGUAAUCCUAUUCUGGAAGUCAUGUUACUUGACCAUGAUGGACCUACGAACUAUGAGGAAGCGAUGAUGAGCCCAGAUUCCGCAAAAUGGCUAGAAGCCAUGAAAUCUGAGAUGGGAUCCAUGUAUGAGAACAAAGUAUGGACUUUGGUUGACUUGCCCGAUGAUCGGCAAGCCAUUGAGAAUAAAUGGAUCUUUAAGAAGAAGACUGACGCUGACGGUAAUGUAACUGUCUAUAAAGCUCGACUUGUUGUGAAAGGUUUUCGACAAGUUCAAGGGGUUGACUACGAUGAGACUUUCUCACCCGUAGCGAUGCUUAAGUCUGUCCGAAUCAUGUUAGCGAUUGCCGCAUUUUAUGAUUAUGAAAUAUGGCAGAUGGAUGUCAAAACAGCAUUCCUGAAUGGAUUUCUGGAAGAAGAGUUGUAUAUGAUGUAACCGGAAGGUUUUGUCGAUCCUAAGGGAGCUAACAAAGUGUGCAAGCUCCAACAAUCAAUAUAUGGUCUGGUGCAAGCCUCUCGGAGUUGGAAUAAACGCUUUGAUAGUGUGAUCAAGGCAUAUGGUUUUAUACAGACUUUUGGAGAAGCCUGUAUUUACAAGAAAGUGAGUGGGAGCUCUGUAGCAUUUCUAAUAUUAUAUGUGGACGACAUAUUGUUGAUUGGAAAUGAUAUAGAAUUUCUGGAUAGCAUAAAAGGAUACUUGAAUAAAAGUUUUUCAAUGAAAGACCUCGGUGAAGUUGCUUACAUUUUGGGCAUCAAGAUCUAUAGAGAUAGAUCAAGACGCUUGAUUGGACUUUCACAAUGCACGUACCUUGAUAAAGUGUUGAAAAGGUUCAAUAUGGAUCAGGCAAAGAAAGGGUUCUUGCCUGUAUUACAAGGUAUAAAGUUGAGAGCCAGACUCAAUGUCUAACCACUGCAGAAGAUAGAGAGAAAAUGAAAGGAAUUCCCUAUGCUUCAGCCAUAGGCUCUAUCAUGUAUGCAAUGCUGUGUACCAGACCUGAUGUGUGCCUUGCUAUUAGUUUGGCAGGGAGGUACCAAAGUAAUCCAGGAGUGGGUCACUAGACAGCGGUCAAGAACAUCCUGAAAUACCUAAAAAGGACUAAGGAUAUGUUUCUCGUAUAUGGAGGUGACAAAGAGCUGGUCGUAAAUGGUUACGUCGAUGCAAGCUUUGACACUGAUCAAGACGAUUCUAAAUCGCAAACCGGAUACGUGUUUUUAUUAAACGGUGGAGCUGUAAGUUGGUGCGGUUCUAAACAAAGCGUCGUGGCGGGAUCUACAUGUGAAGCGGAGUACAUAGCUGCUUCGGAAGCAGCAAAUGAAGGAGUCUGGAUGAAGGAGUUCAUUUCUGAUCUAGGUGUUAUACCUAGUGCAUCGGGACCAAUGAAGAUCUUCUAUGACAAUACUGGUGCAAUUGCCUUGGCAAAGGAAUCCAGAUUUCACAAGAGGACCAAGCACAUCAAGAGACGCUUCAAUUCCAUCCGGGACCAAGUCCAAGUGGGAGACAUAGAAAUUUGCAAGAUACAUACGGAUCUGAAUGUUGUAGACCUAUUGACUAAGCCCCUCUCACGAGCAAAACAUGAUCAACACCAAGACUCCAUGGGUGUUAGAAUCAUUACUAUGUAAUCUAGAUUAUUGACUCUAGUGCAAGUGGGAGACUGAAGGAAAUAUGCCCUAGAGGCAAUAAUAAAGUUAUUAUUUAUUUCCUCAUAUCAUGAUAAAUGUUUAUUAUUCAUGCUAGAAUUGUAUUAACCGGAAACAUAAUACAUGUGUGAAUACAUAGACAAACAUAGUGUCACUAGUAUGCCUCUACUUGACUAGCUCGUUUAUCAAAGAUGGUUAUGUUUCCUAGCCAUGGACAAAAGAGUUGUCAUUUGAUUAACGGGAUCACAUCAUUGGGAGAAUGAUGUGAUUGACUUGACCCAUUCCGUUAGCUUAGCACUUGAUCAUUUAGUAUGUGGCUAUUUCUUUAUUCAUGACUUAUACAAAGUUCCUACAACUAUGAGAUUGUGCAACUCCCGUUUACCGGAGGAACACUUUGUGUGCUACCAAAUGUCACAAUGUAACUGGGUGAUUAUAAAGGUGCUCUACAGGUGUCUCCAAAGGUACAUGUUGAGUUGGCAUAAUUCGAGAUUAGGUUUUGUCACUCCGAUUGUCAGAGAGGUAUCUCUGGGCCCUCUCGGUAAUACUCAUCACUUAAGCCUUGCAAGCAUUGUAACUAAUGAGUUAGUUACGAAAUGAUUUAUUACGGAACGAGUAAAGAGACUUGCCAGUAACGAGAUUGAACUAGGUAUUGGAUACCGACGAUCGAAUCUCGGGCAAGUAACAAACCGAUGACAAAGGGAACAACGUAUGAUGUUAUGCGGUUUGACCGAUAAAGAUGUUCGUAGAAUAUGUAGGAACCAAUAUGAAAAUCCAGGUUCCACUAUUGGUUAUUGAUCAGAAACAGUUCUAGGUCAUGUCUACAUAGUUCUCGAACCCGUAGGGUCUGCACGCUUAAUGUUACGAUGACAGUUUUAUUAUGAGUUUAUAAGUUUUGAUGUACCGAAGUUUGUUCGGAGUCCCGGAUGUCGGUGUACUAAAGUAGGGGGGUACCUUAGUAUCCCGAACUUGUGCACGGACAGUCGCAGCGACCCGCGGCAGGGCUUGCCGGGCGUCCGCCAAGAUCCUCCACGGCUACCUUGAUGCCAUUCAAGAUCAAAGUACUCAAACCAAGGCCCCGGCAAGAGGAGCUUGCCGGGAAGGCCAACCAAGGCCCCGGCAAGAGAAGCUGGCCGGAAGAAUACAAGGUCCCAGCAAGAGGAGCUUGCCGGGAAGGCCAACCAAGGCCCCGGCAAGAGAAGCUGGCCAGAAGAAUACAAGGUCCCAGCAAGAGGAGCUUGCCGGGAAGGCCAACCAAGGCCCCGGCAAGAGGAGCUUGCCGGGAAGAACAAAGGCCCCGGCAAGAGGAGCUUGCCGGGAAGGCCAGCUAAGGCACUUCAAGAAACUUGCCGCAACGCCCCACGCGUCCCGGCAAGGCCCAGUGAGCGGCAAGCUUGCUGGUGCGACAAGACAAGGGCCGCGGUGAGGCACUUGCCACGGCAAGGCUGCCACUCUGCGCCCACGCUCCAGCACAUCCGACGACGUGUCGCCACAGGAUCGCUCCUCGUGCACGUGGCGGGCGGCUGUGCAGCAUGGCGGUGCGAGGUGGCAAGCGGAGCUGACAGAGACGCCAUCGUGGCAACCGGUGGCUCACAUAACGGUCGUUUCCUUGCACUGUUGGGGCGACCGGACGGGCAUUAAAUGCCCUUGUCCCCUGCUGUCAGAGUUAGGUAGGGGACACUGUUGGUAGUAGUUGUACCAACCCGCAUUUUUACCUUUCUAUGCUGCCACCUGUUGGAGCCCCCUUCAGACUAUAAAAGGGAGGUCCAUGCGCACGUAGAAGGGGUUCGGUUCGGUUCGGGAAUUUUGGUUCCGCAGCUUGGAGGUUCGGUCCAUUCGACACACGCAAGACCACCAUACGCUCACUCUCAAGCAAGAUCAAAUACAAACACAAAGCAGCAGUAGGAGUUUUAUCUCUCCGGAGAGAUCCGAAGCUGGGUAAAAAUUGCCCGUCUCCCCCGCGCGCGCCCGACCUCGAUCUGCUCUGUGCGCGGCCUCCGCCCCCCUUGCCGGACUAGAAGGGGCCCCCCAGUGCCCCAUAGGUGCUCGCGGCCACAGAAAGAAACGGCCCCGACACCGGAUGUGAUCACGGACAUGACGAGGAGUCUCGAAAUGGUCGAGACAUAAAGAUUGAUAUAUUGGACGGAUAUAUUUGGAUACCGGAAAGGUUUCGGAUGAGAUUGGGACUAUACCGGAGAUCCGGGAGGUUAGCGAAACUCCCCGGUAAGUAUAUGGGUCUUAUUGGGCCUUAGUGGAAAGGAGGGAGAAGGGGCAAAGGAGGGGGCGCCCCCCCCAAGCCCAGUCCGAAUUGGGAGGGGGGCCGGCCCCCCCUUUCCUUCUUCCCUCCCCUCUCUUCCUUCCCUCUCCUACUCCUAAUAGGAAAGGGGGGCAAACCUACUUGGAGUAGGAUUGCCCCCCUAGGGCGCACCUCUCCCCUUGGCCGGCCGCCUCCUCCUCUCCCCCUUUAUAUACGGGGGAGGGGGGCACCCCUAAGACACACAAGUUGAUCUACGGAUCGUUCUUUAGCCGUGUGCGGUGCCCCCUCCACCAUAUUCCAUCUCGGUCAUAUCGUCGCGGAGUUUAGGCGAAGCCCUGCGCCGGUAGAACAUCAUCAUCAUCACCACGCCGUCGUGCUGACGGAACUCAUCCCCGACGCUUUGCUGGAUUGGAGCACGGGGAACGUCAUCGAGCUGAACGUGUGCUGAACACGGAGGUGCCGUACGUUCGGUGCUUGGAUCGGUCGGAUCGUGAAGAAGUACGACUACAUCAACCGUGUUGUCAUAACGCUUCCGCUUAACGGUCUAUGAGGGUACGUAGAUAACAUUCUCCCCUCUCGUUGCUAUGCCAUCACCACGAUCUUGCGUGUGCGUAGGCUUUUUUUUUAAAUUACUACGUUCCCCAACAACACUGUCUACUGUUCAUUCAUCCCUCCACACCACGGGUUCCUGUUCAUCCAAAGGCAACGCCACCACUCACUGUUCAUCCAACCCCUCCCCCUCCCCCGCAACACUCACUGUUCAUCCUAGAUGCAGCAUCGAUCGGCUUCAGUUAGCAGCAGUAGCGAAGGAAUCGCUCCAUCGAGUUCAGUUAACAGCCAUCGAUCGAUCCGUCGGGUUCAGUAACGCGUAGCCUGCAGUGCAAUCGCUCGGGUUCAGUUAGAGCCCAAUGCCUCGCUCGGGUUCAGUUAGAGCCAACGCCUCGCACACACACGCGUACGUACGAGAGAAACGCGCAUCGCUCCGCCCCCGACCUCCCACCGUAACCGGCAACUCCCCGAAAUUUUCCUCCCCCUCGCUUCUACCACGGUUUUUUCCAUCAUGGACGGCCCAAAGAAUGUCAUGCAGCUGUGUCUCCGGCCCGCACAGGACGAAAAGCCCAUUUUCUGUCAUGAGUUUUUGUCAUAGAAGUAGGAUCCCACCACAUCUAUGAUGAUACCGGGUUUUGUCACAAUUAUCGUCAUAGAAGUGUCAUAUGUAUGACAGAAAAAAAUUUCGUUCGGCCAAAAUGUCACCGAUGUGUCUUUUUUUGUAGUGUUGUGCCAGUGGGGAUGGGGCUUGGGCAGUUAGGUUUCAUGCCACAAGAGAAAAUGGCACAACAAUAUCAGUUUCUUCUCUCCAAUAUGCCAAAACGGGAAAUUCUACAGACACAAAGAGGUGCAAGAGUGGAAGGAGCUAAAAAACAACAAAAAAGAAGGAAACAGGAAAUCCCAAGGAGCUUUUCUGCAUCAAAUGCAAAGAACAGGGACACAUAAAGAGUGACUGUAAAAACAAGGUCUUCUAUGUGGUGUGCCAGAGGCCAUCUCACAACACUGAGGAAUGCACUGUGUUGAAGCAGGCCAAACCAGUUGCCAAGUAUGUUGGAUAUGGGGCUAGGGGAUUGGGAUGCCUUCUAGUACAAAGCUGUCAGGACCCCAACUCAAUGCCACAUCGAUCUAGCAUGUAACACCUCAUAUCACUUUGCGGCCUCACGCACGGUAUUCCCAUGGGUGUCGCCUUACCUUUGCCCGGGACCGUUUGCGCCUUUUGGCACACAUAUAUGAUAGUGUCGCUAGCAUCCAUAUGAUAAGGAGCCCGGGCUGACAUGGCUAGUCGUAAACCCAAAGUGGCACAAACUUACAGGGACAUGCAUCCAUGAUCCAGCAUCGAACGUGUCGGUCAUCAGCGAGUGAAUCCAGGCUGUAGCACUGGGCUAGCAGGACUCUGGUGAACCGGGCUGUAGCGGGAUAACAAGACUCCGGUAUUCAUCGCGUGACAUUUCCCUGAGGGGACAGACACAGGAACGAAGAAGGACACAUGCCGGCCAGCCUAAGUGUUCCGGAGCAGUAGCAAGCUACCAUGGCUCAGUGGAAGCACUAGGAGACAUUUCCCGGUAAGAGAGGCUACCAAGGAUAAACAACUAGAUAGUCAGAUCCCACACAUACCAAGCAUUUCAAUAACAUACACACAAUAUGCCCGAUAUGUGCAAAUACAACAUGGCAUCACAACAUGACUCUACAACUCAAGUAUUUUAUUCAAUAGGCUCCGAGGAGCGAUAUAUUACAAACAUGGGUCUCACGACCCAACAUUCAGAGCAUACAAGUCAAAGCACAUGCGGAAGCUUAACAUGUCUGAGUACAGACAACUACAAAUGAAAAAGGCUGAGAAGCCUGACUAACUACCAGAUCCUGCCGAGGGCACAAGAUCGUAGCUGAGGUAACAAGCUAAACGUCGAAGUCCACGCGAAACUACUAGUGAGACUAAAGUCUAUCUGCCAAAACAUGAAAUAGGCAAACGUGAGUACAAAUGUACCCAGCAAGACUUACAUCAAAACUAUCUACAUAUGCAUCACUAUCAUCAAAGGGGAUGGUGGGGUUUAACUGCAGCAAGCCAGCUUUGACUCGGUGGCUAUCCUGAACUACGACUGCAAGUAACUCUUUUGAGGUGGCGCACACGAGUCCACAUAUUCACCAUAUCAAUACACCACUAUGGAUCCGCUCUCUCCCUACGAGAACGCCAUCCAUAGCACUCACGCUUAUCUUGCGUAUUUUAGAGUAUCCACUUUCACUUAUCUAUGAACUGUACAGGCAACCCAGAAGCCCUUUACCGUGGACACGGCUAUUCGAGUAGAUGAUGUUAACCCUGCAGGGGUGUACUUCUUCACACACGCUCUCACCACUUACCGCCGUUUACAUGUCAUGUACUCGGCAACAUUCAAGCGGAAGCCCAACGUGGGUGUCGGCCACAGCCUACCUAAGCACUCAAGUCUCUAUCCAGGUUUAUCGCCUAUUCAGGUUCUAUCCGCAGGGAGUCCAGCCGACGUUUCCACAUACAGCCCCGAACGAUGUGAGCCAGGUUCCCGGUACACCGUGCCACGUGCCUACCGCAUCACAGCCCACCCCUCCGGUCAGCGCUGCCCAUGGCCUCCAGCAUACUACAAACACCAGAAACUACUUGCAACUCCUGGACAGAGGACAAGGGUGAUUAAGAGGCCGAGAGGGUCCAUUGGUUUCGGGCCCAAUGCGUGGUAGUAUCUGUUUCAUGCAUCACAAACACAGAACUCAGUUCCUGAGGACGGCUUCAAUGAGACAACCCACCAUGUACUCCUACAUGGCCUCUCACCACUACCUUUACCAAAUCGUGUUCACACACUUUGCUCACACACACAGUAGGACAUGUUCACACACCUCUGAUUCAUCCUCGAUGAAUCAGACCUGAAUCAACUCUAAGAAGUAGCAGGCAUGACAAACAAGCAUGAAUGAGUAGGCACAACAGGGCUCAAACAACUUCUACUCAUGCUAGUGGGUUUCAUCUAUUUACUGUGGAAUGACAGGUCAUGCAAAGGAUAAAGGGGUUCAGCUACCACAGCAAGUAACAGAUGAAUCGUUGUUGUCCUAAUGCAGUAAAAGAGAGCAGGAGCGAGAGAGUAGGAUUUUAUCGGAAUGAACAAGGGGGUUUUGCUUGCCUGGCACUUCCGAAGAUAAUAUAGCUCUUCAUCAGUGUCAUCGAUCACGUCGUCAGAACACGUCUAUCGAGAGGGAACAACCACCGGCACACAAGAAGGAACACAAUCAAUGCAAUGCGAAAAUAUGAUGCAUGAACAUGACAUGGCAAUAUGCUGUGAUUUGGGCUAAUGCAACAGAAAGUCAUUUUGAUUGAAGUGGAGUUCAAUGCUAGAUCAAACUCCAACUCCAAAUCUAUUAUCAAAUUUGCCCUAACCAUGUUUUAUCCUAAACAAUGAGGUUAACUAGCUCAUACAUGCAUGAAAAUUUUACAAAUGGAUAGAUUGGAUUUUUCUGAUCAUUUUUCAUAUAUAAUUUAUUUGAUUUGGAGCUACAGUUGAUUUUAUAUGAUUUUUAGAAGUUUGCAUUAUUUUCUGAAAUUUCCUGAAUAAGAAUAAAUACAGAAAAUAAUUAACUAUGUCAGCACUACAUCACUGUGAUGUCAGCGGUCAACAGGCGUCGACCAGGUCAAAACUGACCAGUGGGACCCACUGGUCAGUGACCCAGUCAACUAACUAAGUUAGUUAGCCCUAACUAACUGGGCAGGGCCCACUAGUCAGUGGUUGUAGUAACUAACCUAAGUAGUUAGUUAGUGCUAACUAGAGUAAUUAGUCGGGCAGGGCCUGCAAGUCAGUGAGAGAGAGGGGGAAGUCAAACCGGGCAGUGGGGUCAACCCACGCCGGUCAAUGGGUCAGCGGUCGCCCGCGUUUAGCCGCCGGCGAGUCCAAACGCGGCGUGGCUUUGGAAAAUGCCACAGGGCUCGGUUUUGGACGCGGUUUGCGGCUACGGAAAGCUGAGAGUCUCGCGCAUCCAACGGAGGCAACAGCUCGCCCAGAGUGGAAUAAAUCGAUGGCGGCGGCGACUUUUGCGGCGGCCGGAGUUCGGGCGAGCUCGGGUUUGGUGUUAGGGAGCACGGCAGGAGGAGAUGGUGCAUGCGUUCGGCUCCUGGGAGCACGGUGAGAACGGCGACACGCUCAGAAGUGGGCGGAGGCAGCUCUGCCGCGGCAGCGACAUGGCACGGCGGCGGCAAGAUUCGGGCACGGCGGUGAAACUAGCUGGGGGCGCAAAAAGAAGAGAGAGGAGAGGGGGAGAUGCAGUAGCUCACAGGGAGGACGGGAAGAGGGUCAGUGUGCUCGAGGAAGGCUUGACGGCGGAGGAAUCCCGGCUACGAUGUCCCGUGGCCGAGGAAGAAGAUGAGAUCGAGGACGACACGUCGGCGCUCUUCCGGUCGCCUGAGUCGACGUAGAGGGCUACGGCGAUGAUUCGGAGCUCCUGGAUUGCUCAAGGGGAGGAGGGAGAGGCAGUGGCCGCGGCUAUGGCGGCAGCGAGCUCGUGGGCGUCUCGGCCAUGGUGGAGAGGGCGAGAGGGAGACGGGGGGAGAGUGUGGGGCGGUCAGAGCGAUCCAGACGGUUCUCGCGGGUCUGUCCGCGGCGCCACGCAAGCUAGCAGGCAAGAGGUGGCAUGGGCGCGUGUGUGCGCACGACGAGCACGCACUCGGCGUCCUUCUAGCGCAGUGGAGACGAUGACUGGCAGUGCCAGUCAGCUGGGCCAGAGUAGAUGGGCCGCCAGGUAAGUGCCCCAGGUAGGUUCUCUCUCUCUGGUUUUUCUAUUUAUUAAUGUUUUCUAUUUUCUGCAAUUGGUUUUGAUUUGAUUUAAAACAUCAAAUCAUUUUUUUAACUUUCCGUAACUUGUAUGUGAGCUCAGGAACUAGUCCUAGGGCACAGGCAACUUACAAAAAUAUUUGAAUUUUAUUUCUUAUAUAAUAGAAAUAAAUUCAACUCAAAUAUGUCAUUGGUUUAAGUCAAAGGCCCAAAAUAAAUAUUUCUGUGAUUCCAAAAAUAUUGAUUUGAAUUUUACUUCUUACCAAUAUUUUCACAAAGUAACAGGAACAUUUCUUUGGACUCAUUUGAUGAGAAUUAAAUGUUGAUUACUUUUAAAAGGUUUCUGAGGCUUUGAAAAUUCCCUCAAUUAAAAUUUCAGAAUUUAGACAUGAUGAUCAUGCAAGGACAAGCAAAGGCUAAACUAGGGUUGUGACAACUCACCCUCACUAAACAAGAAUCUCGUCUCGAGAUUCAAGCGUAGGGUAAGAUGAAGGGGGAACGCAAAUUAACACAAUCUUCACGAUCUGGGGUGCACUUCAAGUGAACGUUGAUUCGAUCACCAACUUUGAUCGGUGUCUUGCUCUGAGAACUCCAACCAACAUGACAACGGGAGGAAAGGAAAAAAACUCUAGAAGGAUCGAUCUUCUCGAAGAUCAAACAACUUAGGAUCAACUCACGGGAUGAGACAUUGAAACUACUCUCGAGCUCAGACAUGAAACAUACAUCCAAAGGAAUAGAGUGAAACAGAUGACAAAGGUUCACUAGGUAGACAACAAUUCCACACCUGAGAGGGUGGUGAACGGUUGUCAACGUAGCGAUAAUUUGAGUUGCCAUGAUACCAUAGCAAGACAUCUCAGAGAGGGUGACUCAUAGAAAUAUCCCCUUAAGUGGCAAAAAGAAUUACCUUUGAUUCAAAGAGCAUUGAAACCCUUUAUACUAGCUUAAGGCAAAUCGUAAUCGAUCACUUGAAGGAGUUCGGAAGAAUGACAUACCCGGACUAAUAUGGAUGAUGUGGACUACCUUGUUGAAGACAAUGCAUGGGAUGACUUUUGAUUAUCAUCGGAAAUGGAUGGAACCCAUGGUAGGAUGGCACAAUGGCGGUGCAAGCUGGGGCAGAAUGCAAACGUUGGAAUGAUUCUAGUAACUAGGGAGGAGCUCAACAGUAGAGAGUGAUUCCACUAUUGGAGUGGUUAUAGCAUAACCGAAGAGACUAGGAGCAAUCCCAGUUAGUGUCGGUGAUAAUACCUAGUGCUUUUGCGUGCUGUCAAGAACUUGAGAAUUUCCAUAUUCAUCAAGGUUUUACCAAUAUCCGUGUCAAGGAUCCUGGCAACACAACAUACCACCAAGAUGAAUAGUGAUGGACGAUGCAGAUGCAAAGGAAGAUAACACCUUCUCAGAUUUCACCUUAGCGAGGCCAAGGGAUCAAAAUUAGGAUGAUCGACCGAGAGACAUUUAGCACUCCGCUUCUAAUGUUCUCCUUGAUGUACUAGCGUAUCCCAUUCAUAGAUAUGGUUUGAUAUCUAGAACAUCAAGUAAAAGGUCGGACUUCGGAAACACAAAAUCUACAAGGGACAACUAGGGAGUAAAUCCUACGAAAUCCCUAUGGGGAGGUGGUCAACUUCUUCAACCAAGAUACUACAAUAAUAGGCCUUCCGGCUAGGUGUGUUGGCCACGACAUCCACGUUACCGGGUACAGAGAGACCAAUAUUAUAAUUCUUGGGACACGUUCCAACCAUCAUAUCUGCCUGAGAUUCAGAUCUAGUUGGUAGUCUAGACUCAUCAACUCUAGAAAGAAAAAUGAAAGUUUGCAACACAAAUCGACGAGAUGACGUUGCGAGAUUCUCGGGGAUGAACUACGAUAGCAAGCUCCAAAACAUGAGCCGGUUCUGCUACAAACAUGUGAACACGCUGCCUCAGGCAAGCAUGACCAAGUAGUGGUCUUAUAAUAAAACACUACCGAGUCCAGGUGGGGAACCAUCAUCGAGGAUAUCGAAGUCCUUACAUAAGUCUAGCUCUUAAGAAGGAACUUCUUCUCCUUGAACAAAUCAAUCAGUGGCUUGGUGUGCUAGGAAACUCAUAUAGAAUGGAGGCGGCCAACCUAUCAAACCAUAGAGUACUUCGCACAUGCGUGACUAACUUGGGAUGAUUCCAAAGAGGCAACAUUGACUUUAUCGAAUUCAUGGUGGCAACUUGCAACAAAUGCACAUGAAUUGUAGGAAGUCACUUAUUCCAUCCAGGCAUAUGCUUCAUGAGUUAGCAUGAAGAAAUGCUUUCAAACGUUUCCAAUACUAGCUUAAUGUUCAACAAGAUUAUGGAGAAGAUAAGGAUGUUGUCGAUGGGCUCAACAACAAUUCAUCCAGUUUCCAUAUAAAUGGAAUUCCACAAUUAUGUGAACAUGGUGAUAGCAUUGGUCAGAACAAAAGAUAUAAUGGUGUAUACUCAAAGGAUCAACCACGAGUAAGACAACAUUAAGAACAUCGUUGGUUCUGAUUUGAUUUGAGAAUAUCCCACACUCAAAUCAAAGUUUUGAUAAGAUAAUAGGUCCAACAACUGAUCACAGGGACCAAUCGAUGAAUAUAUCAUCUUUCAUCAACAUACAUACAAGAAAUCCCUUAACAUGAGCUAAGUCGGACAAGCUUUUAACUUCCAGCUCUCCAAGUUGUUGUUUAGCUUAACCAACUAGCUCAGGGUUAUCAACACGGAUUCUUGGAGAAAGGGUGGUUUACAAGAAUCCAACUUGAUCACGAACUCAACAUACCGGUCAGGUGACAACCUGGUGAUACUUCCGAGAAGAUAUUCGGAAAAUCACGAACCACCGAUAUGUAACUAAGCUUGACAACAAUCUUGCUUUCGAGACAAGACAAUAUGAUCAAAAGAGCGAGGGAUUGGCACAAUCCUAACUCACUGAUCGAAGAGUGCACCAGAAGAUAAGGACUAGGUAGCACAAUCAACCUUAGGGUGAUGAUUCAAUAAUCAACAUACUAAGAAUGAAGCUACAGUCCUUUAACUACCAAGCAACGGGGUUGCUCGGAGUAUAGAUUUCACACAUCACGAUUCACUUGUCCGCGUUCCGGUUGCAACAACACGGGGACCGAGAAAUGAAUAACGAUGGUGAGAAGUAUCACUACAUCAAGAAUCCAUAAGAGAAGGUGCAACCCUCAUGACAUUCCUGACAUAAAGUGGGUAAUACUUCAUGGUAGAACAGAACAAAAGCUAGGUUGGCAUUUUGAUCUGCGAGAUACAACUACUUUGACCCAAUCCUAGAUAUGGACGAGGUACUGGAGUUUGUUUCUCCUAGUCAUUCCAGAAUAGAAUGGCUUGACGGACCACAAGAGUAAUAGGCAUCGAUGAACGAAGGCACGCAUACUCUUGACUAUCAAUUGAUAGACGAAGGUCAGAAAACAACUAAAAAGGGACAACCGAAAAGAACAUAUGAUUUUUGGAGUUGUGGAUGCAUAGAUUAGCAUGUCGAACGAGUUCAACAUAUUUCUUCCGAAUAAUCCAUACAGAAAGGUUGAGUUGGCAGAGUCACAAUAUAGAAUGAAGAACUCAUCGAGAGCACUCCUGUUGUGAUCUUUUGAUCCAACAAACUUCUGCCAGAAGUGGCUCAUAGUAUUUGGAAGAAGGAAAUACCACAGACCUCGAGGACUAAUUCAAAGGUUACUAAUAUCCUAAAGGAACGAGCAAACACUAACAACAUGAAGUAAGUAGGGUGAAUCUCAGGUUCAAAGCCCCAGGAAUAGAAUACCUACUAACUAAAUGGCAUCACGGGAUGCUUUUGAGAAUAAAGUCCAGAAUCAUCAUACUGGGACACAAAUCAUGGCUAGAUUACUAGAUGAUCCCCUAAGACACCUAGGGUCAUAAUAAUAGCUCCAACAUAUACGUCGAGGCAAUAGAGUACCUCAACUCACCAUUUAGUGUGGUUAACCUGGCCAGAAAGGUCAUUGAAAAUAGAGGAAAGGAUUUUGCAAUUGCAUCAGAUUGUUUAGAAACCUGGGAUGACUCGGACAUCAUAGUGGUUGUAAAUGCUCAAAAAGAUUGGAGACAUGCUACAAAAAUGGUGGCAUCGCCACUCAGAAGCACCAUAUCAAGGUUUCGAGAUCAACAAUUAACAUACGGAAGUAGUAGGAACUUAACUGAGGCUUGAAACCAACAAUCAUAUAAGUCUACGAAUUAGUAACACGUGAUCCUAAUAGAAAGAGGAGAUAGCCUAGUUCCUUAACCCUGUAGGAAAGAUAAGAUGACUCAGAUCAGAAGGGCAUAAGGUAUAAGGAGUAAAAAGAGCCUUACGUCCAUCCCACAAUCAAUUCCCUUAUAUAACUAAACAAUUUCUAGACUCAACUUCGACCAGUUUGGCUUGGUAAUCCUACAGGCAGUCAAGCUCUGAUACCAAAGCUGUCAGGACCCUCAAUGCCACAUCGAUAUAGCAUGUAACACCUCAUAUCACUUUGCGGCCUCACGCACGGUAUUCCCACUGGUGUCGCCUUACCUUUUCCCGGGACCGUUUGCGCCUUUUGGCACACGUAUAUGAUAGUGUCACUAGCAUCCAUAUGAUAAGGAGCCCGGGCUGACAUGGCUAGUCGUAAACCCAAAGUGGCACAAACUUACAGGAACAUGCAUCCAUGACCCAGCAUCGAACGUGUCAGUCAUCAGCGAGUGAAUCCAGGCUGUAGCACUGGGCUAGCAGGACUCCAGUGAACCGGGCUGUAGCGGGCUAACAUGACUCCGGUAUUCAUCGCGUGAAAUUUCCCUGAGGGGACAGACACACGAACGAAGGACACGUGCCGGCCAGCCUAAGUGUUCCGGAGCAGUAGAAAGCUACCAUGGCUCAGUGGAAGCACUAGGAGACAUUUCCCGGUAAGAGAGGCUACCAAGGAUAAACAACUAGAUAGUCAGAUCCCACACAUACCAAGCAUUUCAAUAACAUACACACAAUAUGCCCGAUAUGUGCAAAUACAACAUGGCAUCACAACAUGACUCUACAACUCAAGUAUUUUAUUCAAUAGGCUCUGAGGAGCGAGAUAUUACAAACAUGGGUCUCACGACCCAACAUUCAGAGCAUACAAGUCAAAGCACAUGCGGAAGCUUAACAUGUCUGAGUACAGACAACUACAAAUGAAAAAGGCUGAGAAGCCUGACUAACUACCAGAUCCUGCCGAGGGCACAAGAUCGUAGCUAAACGUCGAAGUCCACGCGGAACUACUAGCGAGACUAAAGUCUCUCUGCAAAAACAUGAAAUAGGCAAACGUGAGUACACAUGUACCCAGCAAGACUUACAUCUGAACUAUCUACAUUGCAUCAUUAUCAUCAAAGAGGAUGGUGGGGUUUAACUGCAGCAAGCCAGCUUUGACUCGGUGGCUAUCCUGAACUACGACUGCAAGUAACUUUUUUGAGGUGACGCACACGAGUCCACAUAUUCACCAUAUCAAUACACCACUAUGGAUCCGCUCCCGUCUCCCUACGAGAACGCCAUCCAUAGCACUCACGCUUAUCUUGCGUAUUUUAGAGUAUCCACUUUCACUUAUCUAUGAACUGUACAUGCAACCCAGAAGUCCUUUACCGCGGACACGGCUAUUCGAGUAGAUGAUGUUAACCCUGCAGGGGUGUACGUCUUCUCACACGCUCUCACCACUUACCGCCGUUUACACGACAAGUACUCGGCAACCUUCAAGCGCAAGCCCAACGUGGGUGUCGGCCAUAGGCUACCUAAGCACUCAAGUCUCUAUCCAGGUUUAUCGCCUAUUCAGGUUCCAUCCGCAGGGAGUCCGCCCGAGGUUUCCACAUACGGCCCCGAACGAUGUGAGCCGGGUUCACGAGACACCAAACGGGCGCCCGGUACACCGUGCCACGUGCCUACCGCAUCACAGCCCACCCCUCCGGUCAGCGCUGCCCAUGGCCUCCAUCAUACUACAAACACCAGAAACUACUUGCAACUCCUGGACAAAGGACAAGGGUGAUUAAGAAGCCGAGAGGGUCCAUUGGUUUCGGGCCCAAUGUGUGGUAGUAUCUGUUUCAUGGAUCACAAACACAGAACUCAGUUCCUGAGGAUGGCUUCAAUGAGACAACCCACCAUGUACUCCUACAUGGCCUCUCACCGCUACUUUACCAAAUCGUGUUCACACACUUUGCUCACACACACAGUAGGACAUGUUCACACACCUCUGAUUCAUCCUCGAUGAAUCAGACCUGACUCAACUCUAAGCAGUAGCAGGCAUGACAAACAAGCAUGAAUGAGUAGGCACAAUAGGGCUCAAACAACUCCUACUGAUGCUAGUGGGUUUCAUCUAUUUACUAUGGAUUGACAGGUCAUGCAAAGGAUAAAGGGGUUUAGCUACCGCAACAAGUAACAGAUGAAUCGUUGUUGUCCUAAUGCAGUAAAAGAGAGCAGGAGCGAGAGUGUAGGAUUUUAUCGGAAUGAACAAGGGGGUUUUGCUUGCCUGGCACUUCCGAAGAUAAUAUAGCUCUUCAUCAGUGUCAUCGAUCACGUCGUCGGAACACGUCUAUCGAGAGGGAACAACCACCGGCACACAAGAAGGAACGCAAUCAAUUGAAUGCGAAAAUAUGAUGCAUGAACAUGACAUGGCAAUAUGCCGUGAUUUGGGCUAAUGCAACAGAAAGUCAUUUUGAUUGAAGUGGAGUUCAAAGUUAGAUCAAACUCCAACUCCAAAUCUAUUAUCAAAUUUGCCCUAACCAUGUUUUAUCCUAAACAGUGAGGUUAACUAGCUCAACCAUGCAUGAAAUUGUUACAGAUGGAUAGAUUGGAUUUUUCUGAUCAUUUUUCAUAUAUCAUUUAUUUGAUUUGGAGCUACGGUUGAUUUUAUAUGAUUUUUAGAAGUUUGCAUUAUUUUCUGAAAUUUCCUGAAUAAGAAUAAAUCCAGAAAAUGAUUAAAUGCGUCAGCACUACGUCACUGUGACGUUAGCGGUCAACCGGCGUCGACCAGGUCAAACCUGACCAGUGGGACCCACUGGUCAGUGACCCAGUCAACUAACCAAGUUAGUUAGCCCUAACUAACUGGGCAGGGCCCACUAGUCAGUGGUUGUAGUAACUAACCUAACUAGUUAAUUAGUGCUAACUAGAGUAAUUAGUCAGGCAGGGCCCGCAAGUUAGUGAGAGAGAGAGGGGGAAGUCAAACCGAGCAGUGAGGUCAACCCACGCCGGUCAACGGGUCAGCGGUCGCCGGCGUUUAGCCGCCGGCGAGUCCAGACGCGGCGUGGCUUCGGAAAAUGCCCACAGGGCUCGGUUUUGGACGCGGUUUGCGGCUACGGAAAGCUGAGAGUCUUGCGCAGCCAACGGAGGCAACAGCUCACGCCAGAGUGGACUAAAUCAACGACGGCGGCAACUUUUGCGACGGCCGGAGUUCGGGCGAGCUCGGGUUCGGUGUUAGGGAGCACGGCAGGAGGAGCUGGUUUCAUGCGUUCGGCUCCUGGGAGCACGGUGUGAACGGCGACACGCUCAGAAGCGGGCGGAGGCAGCUCUGGACGUGGCAGCGACAUGGCACGGCGGUGGCGAGAUUCGGGCACGGCGGUGAAACUAGCUGGGGGCGCAAAAAGAAGAGAGAGGAGAGGGGGGAGACGCAGUAGCUCACAGGGAGGACGGGAAGAGGAGCAGUAGCUCACAGGAAGGCUUGACGGCGGCGGAAUCCCAGCUGCGAUCUCCCGUGGCCGAGGAAGAAGAUGAGGUCGAGGACGACGCGUCGGCGCUCUUCCGGUCGCCUGAGUCGACGUAGAGGGCUACGGCGAUGAUUCAGAGCUCCUGGACUGCUCAAGGGGAGGAGGGAGAGGCGGUGGCCGUGGCUAUGGCGGCAGCGAGCUCGCGGGCGUCUCGGCCAUGGUGGAGAGGGCGAGAGGGAGAUGGGGGGAGAGUGCAGGGCGGUCAGAGCGAUCCAGACGGCUCUCGCGGGUCUGUCCGCAGCGCCACGCAAGCUAACAGGUAGGAGGUGGCAUGGGCGCGUGUGUGCGCACGGCGAGCACGCGCUCGGCGUCCUUCUGGCGCGGUGGAGACGAUGACUGGCAGCGCCAGUCAGCUGCGCCAGAGUAGAUGGGCCGCCAGGUAAGUGCCCCAGGUAGGUUCUCUCUCUCUCUGGUUUUUCUAUUUAUUAAUGUUUUCUAUUUUCUGCAAUUGGUUUUGAUUUGAUUUAAAACAUCAAAUCAUUUUUUUAACUUUCUGUAACUUGUAUGUGAGCUCAGGAACUAGUCCAAGGGCAUAGACAACUUACAAAAAUAUUUGAACUUUAUUUCUUAUAUAAUAGAAAUAAAUUCAACUCAAAUAUGUCAUUGGUUUAAGUCAAAGGCCCAAAAUAAAUAUUUCUGUGAUUCCAAAAAUAUUGAUUUAAAUUUUACUUCUUACCAAUAUUUUCACAGAGUAACAGGAACAUUUCUUUGGACUCAUUUGAUGAGAAUUAAAUGUUGAUUACUUUUAAAAGGAUUCUGAGGCUUUGAAAAUUCCCUCAAUUCAAAUUUCAGAAUUUAGACAUGAUGAUCAUGCAAGGACAAGCAAAGGCUAAACUAGGGUUGUGACAAAAACACCAAGGACACUGUAGCUACUGAACACAUCAAUCCCAUGGCUUUGGUUAUUAUGCAGGAAGGACUGCUGAAUGAUACUACUGUGGCCUAUAGUUUCAGCAAAAUGUUUGACUGGAGAUGGACCUAGAGAGCCAAAUUUCAGAGUCCCAAAACUUUCCUCAUGAGAUUUCCUAGUAAGGCCAAGUUGGUGGAGUUGAAGAACUUUGACAAGUUCACCCUGCUUGGCACAGGGGCCAUGGUGGAGGUGGAUUUCUGGAGUCCAGAUGAUAAAGCAAAGGGAAGCUUCACUUAGUUUGGAUCAAGAUGUGGGGGUGCCUGAUACUCUGAGACAUUACUUGGGUGCAUGUUAGAUUGGUUCAGCUCUGGGGCCAGUGGUUCAAGUGGAUGUAGAACACAUAUAUUUCAAUGAAGAGAUCAGGGUGAAGGUGGGAGUGAGAGACUUACACAAAAUACCUGCUAGCACUGAGAUAACUACUAAAGACUUGUUGCUUUAUGAUAUUGGUUUUGAGUUUGAUUCCAUUGCAGAACAGGGGUGGUACAAGUUUGAAGAAGGCAAUAAAAGGAAAAUCUUUGACUAUCUUGAUUUGGAAAGUUCUGAAACACAGAGGGAGAAUGAGAUGCAGAAAAAAGCAAGCAAUCUGAAGCUGGGAAGUCAAAUGUCACUCUGGGGAGCCUGGGGUUGAAACAAUAUGAACAGGUGGUGCAUAAAACAGGAGACAUGUACCAAAAAAUGAAAUAAACAAAGAGAGGGUAGAGGCAGGGCUGACUGGAGAUGUUCAGGGUGAAGAAGAAAGUUUGAGGGCUAGAUUACAUAAAGCAGAGGAACUUGCAGCCAGACAGAUGCACAGCUUAUGUUGUAGGAGAAGAAGAGAAAAGAAAUGGAUAUCAUAAGAAAAUCACUGGAAAGGGAGGUAAAGAGACGACAUGAAUUGCUACAAAUCAAUAUGAAGGCAAGUGAAGAGGUGAGGGGGUCAUAGUCAGGGGAGAAAGUCAUUGAGAGUGAAGAGGAAAAAGAAGACACUGAGGAGGGAGCAACAGCAAAAGACAAUAAGGAGGGGGUAAGAGGGGAUGACAGAUCUGGAAUUGAUUGAGCAGGCUGUGGGGCUGGGUUAUAUGGAGCGUGUGGAUUACACUGCUAGUCAGGAGACUGAAUCCUUUGAAACUAAAAUUAAGAAGUCUGGGAUAGGGGAACUGGAAUCCCAAGAGGAAGAAGAAUUGAGAAGAUGCAUUAGACUGAAAGGCAAAGAGGACAAAAAAAAUCACUGAACUGGCUAUAGAGAGAGUGGCACAGAAGAACAACUAUGGUGAGUACACACCUUCUGAUAUUAUCUCUCAAUCCAAUAAUCUUUUGCAACAGAUUGCUGAGAGGGUUAGAGUUAAUUUGGGGAAUAAGCCUGACACUAUUAACCAUAAUUUGGAGUUAAUAAAAAUGGCUGAACAGGCAAGGAUUGAUAUGUGUCUAGUAGACUAUAAUAACAAUCAAAAACAAACCUCUAUGCAUGAGGAACAUAAUAUCAUUGAUACUGGAGAACAUUCUCCAGAAGAUCUAUUGGAUAGUGGGGGAAAUGAGAGAGAAGAAGAAGAAAAUGAAGAGUGGGAACUCAUAAAAGAGCUUUUUUCAUCAAAAAAGGAGAAAUAAAAGAAAUAAAACUACCAAAGGUUCUGGAGUUAAAAUUGCCUCUGUUAUAAAAAACCUAGAGUCUUCUGGUAGGAAAAACAAGAAAAAGAGAUGAGGGGGAUUUUCUGGAAUAUGAGAGGAUUUGGGGGAGAUAUCAAAAAAAAGAUUCCUUAGGGAAAUGAUUAUGGAUAUGAGAGUGGAUUUUUUGGGAUUGCAAGAAACUAUGAGACAACAAUUUUCUAGAAAUGACCUACAACAAAUUUGUGCAGGAAGGGAUUUUCAUUGGCAUUUUACCCCAGCUAGGGGGAAAUCUGGUGGUCUCUUAUUGGGGCUGAAUUAUACUACAUUACAUGUGAUCUCACAGGAUGAAGGGGACUACCAUAUUAAGAUGACAGUCCAGGAUGUUAAAAAUAGGAUGAUUUGGGACCUGGUGGUGAUAUAUGGAGAUGCACAACCAGAAAGGAAAGCUAUAUUCCUUGCUGAAUUUUCCAGAGUUUUCCAGAAUUGUGUUAAUCCAAUUCUGAUUGGAGGGGAUUUUAAUAUUAUUAGAAAAACUAGUGAGAAAAAUAAACCAGGAUCCCCUGGACAUUGGAGUUUCUUAUUUAAUGCCAUCCUGGAACAAGCUGGGGUGAGAGAGCUUGACAUGAAUGGGAGACAAUUCACUUGGGGGAAUAAUAUGCACAUUCCUACUUUUGAAAAGCUGGAUAUAAUUCUCUGUAGCAUAGAGUGGGAAGAGGCAUAUCCCUUAACCCAAGUGACAGCCCUAACUAGAGAGAAAUCUGACCACACUCCCCUUUUCUUGGAUUUUGGAGAUUUCCAGAAAUCUGAUCCAAUUUUUAGAUUUGAGGAUGCUUGGUUCUUGAGAGAAGGAAUUGAUGAGAUUGUUCAGAAAGUUUGGAAUGACCCAAACAUCAAAGGAGACAGCAUAGAUAGAUUGCUAGGGAAACUUAGAAAUCUACUCCCUCCGUUCCAAAAUAGAUGACCCAACUUUAUACUAACUUUAGUACAAAGUUGAGUCAUCUAUUUUAGAACGGAGGGAGUAAGACCUAAACUUAAAGGGUGGAACAGGAAUAUGAAUGCCUGGUAUAUAGAAUUAAAAGAAAGAUAUUUUACUGAAAUUGGAUAUUAUUGAUAAAAAUUAUGAGAUUAAUGGCCUUACAUCUGCUGAUAGAAAAGAAUAGAUACAACUGAGAGCCCAGCUUGAUAGACUCCUUAAACAGGAGGAGACUAAAUGGAGGCAGAGAGCCAAAAUUGAUGAGAUUUUGAAGGGGGGCAGCAACACUAAAUUUUUCCAUGCCAAGGCAAAUGGGAGACUUAGAAGAAACAAAAUCAACAGGUCGAGACAAGAUGAAGGGGUGAUAGAAGGGGAUAAAAAUCUGAUAGAUUAUAUUACCACUUUCGACAAAAACUUGUUUGGUCCACCUGAUAAUUCUUCUGUCUCAUUGAAUAUUGAUAAUCCCACUAAGAUUCAGGAGAGAUAUGAAAAAAUUCUGAUUGAAGAAUUUUCUUUGGAGGAAAUUAAGAAGGUUGUCUUUAAAGUGGCACACAAUAAAUCACCUGGGCCAGAUGGCUUCACUGUUGAAUUCUAUCAGCAUUACUGGGAGCUGGUGAAACAUGAUCUAAAAGCACUAUUGGAUGACUUUGCUAGUAGGAAAAUUGAUAUUAGUAGAUUAACUUAUGGAAUUAUAACUCUAGUCCCAAAAGGAAAGGAAGCUAAUCAAAUACAAAAAUUCAGGCCUAUUUGCUUGCUGAAUGUCUGCUUCAAAAUCAUUACAAAAGUGUUAAUGAAUAGGCUGAACUUGGUGGCUGCUGAUGUUAUUUCUCCUGUCCAGACUGCUUUUGUGAAAGGCAGAUAUAUUAUGGAAGGAGUUUUGAUUCUUCAUGAGGCUUUGAACAACAUAAAGAAGAAAAAGCAAAAUGCUCUGCUUUUGAAAAUUGGUUUUGAAAAAGCAUAUGACAUAAUCAAAUGGUCUUUCCUCUUUCAAAUGUUGAAAAUGAAAGGAUUUCCAGACAAAUGGAUUGAUUGGGUUAUGGAGACUAUUAGAGGGGGAAAAGUAUGUGUCAAGGUUAAUGAGAAUCUAGGGAAAUAUUUUCCUACUCACAAGGGAUUAAGACAGGGAGAUUCCCUGUCCCCUCUGAACUUUGAUCUGGCUUCUGAUGCACUGGCAAUCAUGUUAGAUAAUGCCAGAAAAAGUGGGCUGGUGAAAGGGGUUUCAAAUGAAUAUAGUCCAAAUGGGGUUAAUAUCUUACAAUAUGCUGAUGAUACCAUAUUUUUUUACAAGAUGAUUUAGAAAGUGCACAUAAUUUGAAAUACAUCCUAUGUUUGUUUGAGCUAAUGUCUGAUCUGAAGAUUAAUUUUCACAAGAGUGAACUUUUUCUGUUUAGGAGCCAUUGAUAAAAAAGAUGAAUAUGCAAAAAAAGAUCACAUGUCCACUGGGUACUUUGCCCAUGAAAUAUCUAGGACUGCCUAUAGAUAAAAAUAGAAUUUGUAAUAAACAUUGGAAACCUCCGGAGAAUAAGAUGGAGAGAAAGUGUGAAACAUGGCAGGGAAGACUGCUUGCUAGCGCAGGAAGGGUUAGGUUGAUUCAGUCGUCUCUGACAGACAUAUCCUACUUUAUGAUGUCCUUUUAUGGGCUCCCUGUUGGGGUAGAAAACGCAUGGAUUUCUUCAGAGCCAGACUGCUAUGGCAGGAGAAUGACCAAAAAAAGAAAAUACCAUUUAGUAAAAUGGUCUGAGGUGUGCAGACCAAAAGAUAUGGGGGGUUUGGGAAUUCAAAAUCUUACAUAUAUGAACAAAGCACUACUUUGUAAAUGGUGGUGGAAACUGUACACAACUGAAGGUUUGUGGCAGGAUGUUAUUUGGAAAAAAUAUAUUAAGAAUAAAAAUCUGGGUACUAUGAUGGCCAAACAGGGAGAUUCCCAGUUUUGGAGGGAGAUACUGAAACAUAGAUACCAUUUUGCCUCUUUGUGCAAGUUUAAAAUUGGAGAUGGAGAUAGAACACGCUUUUGGGAAGAUUGGUGGAUUGGCUCUGCCCCACUAAGUAAAAACUUCCCUAGGCUUUAUGAGCUUUGCUUUGAUAAAAAGAAAACAGUUAAGGAGGUGUUUGAAUACAGUUUGGAUAAUGUGCAUUUUAGAAGAACUCUGAUAGGAGAUGCUAGAGAGCUAUGGGAGCAUAUUAAAGAGGCUUGUAUUUUGGUGACUCUAAAUGAGAAUAAAGAUGAGAUAAAAUGGUCUUUAACCAAAAAAGGAGUAUACACUGUAAAAUCCUUUUAUAGACAUGUGGAAGAUUACAAUGCCACCCAGAAUCAAGGUGUUCAUGUGGUUGGCGCUUAGGAAUAGUAUACUUACCAAAGACAAUUUGCUUCGUAGGGGGUGGAAAGGUGAUGGUAAGUGUCCUUUCCGUGGAAAUAAAGCAAAUAUCAAUCACCUUUUCCUAUCCUGUUCAGUUGCUAGAUUGUUGUGGAACAUUUUAAAAUGUGCUUUCAAUUUGAGAAACAUUCCAGAAUCCCUGGAUGUGAUAAUGAAGACCUGGGUGAAAACCUUUGGAAAAGAUGAAAAAGGUUUGGUUAUGAUAGGUAUUUCAACGAUUUGCUGGACUAUUUGGAAGAUAAGGAAUAGCAUUAUUUUUUUAACAACAACAGGGUGAAUGAUCCUUGUGUGCUGUUAAUCUGUUUCUCAAAAAUCUAAAUGAUUGGAAUGUUUUGCAGACAAACCCCGCAAGAAGUAAGAUGAUGGAGGCUGGAGUGAAACAAGUAAGCGUGGUGGCAGAAGAAGUGAUCAAAGCAGCUCAUGGGUGGCGCCUGAAGAUUGAGAGAAUCCUGGGGUGAUGAUAAUCUACCUCAGGACGAGUCUGCUGCUGCGAUGAAAAUGACUGCUUCCACUACAUCUUAUCUUGCUUCCUUCUGUUUCUUCAGCUUGUCUUUGAACUUGUGAUGCUGUUAAAAAGACCGUAGCCAUGAUGUAUGCCUCUGUUUAAUUAGCAGACAUGUUUCCAUUCCAGGGCUGGUUUUCGGUUCUGAAUCCAAACCCUGGGCCGCUCCUACAGGUUAUUGCCUAGAUGGGGCUUUGGGAGGGAAGGGAUGGCUUUCCUCCCCUCCUCAGUAGGGUAGUAAUAGCUGCGUGAGAAAUAGGGGUGGAGUAUUAUGUUACUUCUUUAGUUUCGCUGUAAGACAUGGUGAUUUCUCUUAAUGGAAAUCGGAGAGAAUUCUUUCUUUUGUCAAAAAAAAUGUGGUUGCCCCAGCCGUCGCUUUUAUGGCUUAUCUAGAUGUUGGUUGUAUGGAUCUUUGCUUUAUCUAUGAAAAGCGGGGCGGAAGCCUAUUUCGAGGAGAUUCAUAUUCAGGGCAUUCUCUUGUUCUGAAGAUAAAAAUGGAGAGUUUCAAUUAGUAUGGAUGUAUGUGUAUUCAGGCUUCCGCGAAGAUAAUAGAAGUGGAGGGUCUGUAACUUGUUCAUAGAUUAGUACGUAGUACUACAUGUUUUUCUUUUUGAGAGAUCAUGGAGCAUUGGGCAAAGGCAACUUCACUCGCACGCUGCGCUGGUAUGGGCUUGCGGUGCGGAGUGUAGUGCAGCGUGGCUUGUGCAUCCCGUGGUUUGAUUACUUGGCCCCAGGUGCGCGCGAUUCAAUCUAUAGCUAGUGGAAGGAAAAAGUCCAAAACAAAUCUUGAAUUUGUCGGCGAAAGCUAAAUCAAACCCUAAACUCUCAAUCCCUGAAAUCAGCACACCAAACUCCCUUAUCCCGGUCUAUUUUAAACCUUGAGCGGACUUAGCCGGUAUUUGCUGAAUUAGGCCAGCCCAUUAACGUCGUCGUUCGCGUGCGCGCACUGCUCUGUUUUUUUUUCUUUUCUCUUUUUUACUCAUGUCUAUUUUUUCUUCUUAUCCAAUGUACAUUUUUAACGCACACAUAAAAUAUUUUUUGUUAAACUUUUGAUACUUCCAUAUACAUUAUGUACAUUUUUAAAUUAAUUUUUUUCAUUUUUUUGAAUACAUGGUUAUAUUUUUUCCAAAUGCAUGUUUACAUUUUCUCAAUGACAAUAAACAUUUUAUGAAACCAAACGAACACUCUUCUGCAUGGUUCAACAUUUUUUAAAUAUGUAGACACUGUUUUCAAAAACAUGCCAAGUAUAUUCUGUUAAAUGUAAGACACAAAUUUUUACAACACGCACACUUUUUCUUUACACUGUACACACAUUUUUGUUUGAAAAUGUCACAAACACAUUUUUUGAAACUCAUGAACAUUAUUGAAAUGCUACAUUUUUUCGAUUGUACGAAACAUUUUUUGAAUCACACAAAUAUUACUAUAAAUUAUAUAAACAUUUGUUUGAAUUGGUCCGUACAUUUUCAUAAAACCUGCGAUAUUUUUUAGAUGUCACAAAAUAUUUUCUUACAAUUUGUUCAGAUUGCGAAAUUUGUUCCUAUUUUCUAAAUUUUCAAAAAGCAUUCACACAUUAAAAUUAUGUUUAUGUUUAUAGUUGUUUUUAGAAUCACAAGCAACUUUUAAAAAUGCGAAUAGAAUUUCAAAAUUCCAGAAAAAAUUCAAAACACAAAAUGAAUUAAAUUUGUGCGAUAAAUAGAAAACAGGAAUGUUUUUUAACUGCUGGAUAAUUUAGAAAUGCGCGAAUAUAUUUUAAAGUUCAUGAUUUCUUGUUGUGUUAUAGUGGGCCGGCCCAAAUUCAGAGUAGCAGGUUAUCCCGGCCGGGAUUUUCUUAUUCCCAGUGUGCCAAACAGGUCUAGGGUCUACGGGAUUACAAGUUCAGAGUGCCAAUUUCCGGGAUUCAAAGUUCAGGGUUUGAUUUAGUUUUCGUCUACCACUUCAAGUUUCGUUUUGGACUUUUUCCCUAGUGGAAUAUUUGGUUCCGGCGUUCCGCCACCAAACGCACGCACGCGGGUCUCGAUCGGACCCAAGACUGGGACUUUGAGCUUUGUCUCUCUCUCUCUCUCUCUCUGGCCGCUAGCUCUUCCUCGUCGUCCAGCUUUGAGGUUUGAUUAACAAAAUCAGUUCAAUUAGGGUAAAGCACACGUAAAACAAGUACUACCUCCGUCUCGAUGAAUAAGUCAUUCGCGUAGUUCUAGGUUGACGAUUUAACCAUCUAAAUAUGUAUUAUAUGUGACAAAAAAUAUGUAUUUAGAAACUACAUCAUUGUAGAAAUCUACUCCCUCCGUCUAGGUGAAUAAAUCACCUUAGGAGUAGCAGCGCAACCUAGGUGGCUUCAGAUUGGGUGAGGAGGAGCAGCGGGAUGAGCUAAACUUUCAAUCACAGCAGAGUAUAAAAGGGAAGCAAAACCAGCAUUUAAUGGUUACUAAUUAGGAUGCCUUUUCAGCUCUCCAUGCAAGCCCACGUACUGGUGGGGAGGGGUUUCCACGGGGUGAGAACGAGGCAGCAAAGGGAAUCAAGGAGGAUGCGGGCGCUCGUGAACGAGGUUGGGCUGGGAUCGAGGAGAAUUUAAUGUUCUGCGCCUUAUGGUUUUGGAAAAAUCUGGAUUUCGUAAGGUGACUUAUUCACCUAGACGGAGUGAGUAGUGAUAUACUUUUCAUGACAUAUAACACAUAUUUAAUUACUCAAAUUGAUGACCUAGAACCACGUGAAUGACUUAUUCACCUAGACGGAGGUAUUAGUACGCUCGGGGGACGAGGCGUCUUUGGAUGUAGCAUUGCUCUCGCGUGGCUUCACGUGCUGUGACUCGUGGGUGGCGCCAGCUAUUGUCCGUGACUCCGCCACUCCGGCAAGUUAAAGCGGAGUAGUGAGCGCUAGCCGCCGGCCGGCAACUGCAUCGGCAAGCACUCCAGCCUAUUGAUUACUUGGUCCGAUGCCGUCGCCUAGUGCCGUGCCAGUGUGCCACCACCACGCACGGUGGUUGUUCGAGGCGAGACUCCGGAGUCCACACGCAGAUAUGGUUUUGAGAUGUACCCACCAAACGCACGCGUGCAUGCAUCAGGAGUUUUUUCCUUUGGUUUUGUCCCUCCAAAGGCGGUCGAUCCCGCCUCGUACAUCUGCUCCAUGCUUCGAAAUGUGAAUGGCCGUGCACAGUUGUACUGCAAUGAACUGUCGCUAAUAAAAUACUCUCCUCCAUCUAGGAGUACAUAGUAUUCGUCCACACAGCGUCACAUAAUCAAGCCAUGUGAUUAACUCUACAAACCGUGAAAGAUACCCGAUUCAUUGUCCCAAUGGUCACUGGACUGUUCACAACAUAAGACGCAUUCUUUACUCGUCAGCCAAUUAUCAAUUUGUUCUUCUAGGUAGUCCCGACACUCAACAUACUAAUAAGACGCAUUCUUUACUUAUUUCUGUCCUGAUGAAAUAGUGGUUGUGCCACCGUCUAAGUUGCAUGCCACCGUUAACAGAGGCUUGCACCACUGGAGUAAAAAUUUCUCAAGACUGUUUAUACGAACCCUACAUGGUACAAGUUGUAAAUUAUAGUAAACACAGAGUGCCUCUUGAUUACUUGGCCCGAUGCCGUCGCCUAGUGCCACCCACCACACACGGUGGUUUUUCGAGGCAAGACUCUGUAGUCGUCAGCCGACACGCAGAUCUGGUAUCGAGAUGUGUGCCACCCACCACGCACGGUGGUUCUUCGAGGCAAGACUCCGCAGUCGACAGUCCACACGCAAAUCUGGUUUCGAGAUAUGCGCCACCAACGCACGAGUGCGUGCGUGCAUGUGCGUCUUGGAUUCUGAGGUUUUACUUUGGUCCCUCCCCACCCAAAAGCGGUUAUCGAUGCCUUCUCAUACACAUCAUUUGCUCCAUGCGUCGAUAUUGAAAUGGGCGCACACAGCUGCACUGUAGCAUCAACUUGAUGAUACUAUGGUAAGUGUAAGAAUCUUUGUCUUCGUAGAUAAGUAAUAGUAAGACUCGGGCGUGAAACCAAACUAGUGUUUCGUCAUAUGAUUUGGCGUGAUAUGCAGAUACCUAAAAUGGCGAAAAUGAACAAAAACAGAUAUUUGAUGGAACAUAUUAAUAAAUUAGAUAAAAUAGAAACAGAAAUGGAACCUUGGCAGCGUCAGAUAAUCAAGUUGUGCGAUUAACUCUACAAACCGUGUGAUUAGCUUUGGCGCUCCGAUUAAGUCUUGCUCUUGCGCAAAGGGUAGGAUGCAACUGACUCGUUAUUAAUUUUGAUAAUCCCUUAGUUGCAUGCCACUGUUAGUAGAAAUUUGUCACUAUUUGUACUCCCUCUGUCCAAUUAUGUAGGGCCUAACGUAUUUUUUGAGGCUAACUUUGACCAUCUGUUAGAGCAAUAAUAUAUGACAUGCAAGUUAUAUAAAGCAUACCAUCAAGUUAUAUAAACGAGCUUGCAAUGUUAUAAUUUUCACAUUGUACAUCUCAUAUAUACUAUUCAUCUUAUCAAUAGCCAAAGGCAUUCUCGAAAAACGCAUUAGGCCCUAUAUAUAUGGAGGGAGGGAGUACGGACCCUACAUCCUACAAGGUAAAAAUUGUAAAAUUGUAGUAAACACAUAGUGCUCGGAAAAAAGGCACACUCUUGCCAAUUUUGAUAUCUAUGUGUUCCAACCCUGCUUUCUACAUGCGCAAAGUAUUUCAAGAGUUUUUGGAUUUAAUUUUUCUUGUUGUAUUCUAACAUGAUUCUUGGAUAUACACCCCCAUGCGAUUAUUCUGAUAAUAAAUAUUGUUAUGCUUGGGUACUUUUCUGUUUUGUGCACAACAUGUUAUUGAUUCUGUCAUACUAGCAACUGUGCCACUUAUAACGGCGAAAGUUUGGAACCUGAGUGCAUAUGCACCUAUUUUUCAAUUAAAAAUCAGAAACACAAAAAGUUUCGAAAAUUCUUUUUUUGGCAACAAACGUAAUCAAGUGUUCUACUCGUGAAUUUUUUGCCAAGGAAUGACUUUGAUGGUAUUGUGGAUGAAAAAAGAACAAAGUCACAAAUGUGUUGUUCUCAUCCUGAGCUCAUGUACGCAUCAUCUGCUCCAUGCUUCGAAAUGUGAAUGGCCGUGCACAGUUGUACUGCAACGAAUUGUCGCUAUUGAUGUACUGAUCUAGGAGUACACAGUAUUCGUCCGCAGCAUCUGUGUGCAUUGGUGAUAGUAAAGUUCAUACUAGAUCUCCUGCAAAAAAAAAGUUCAUACUAGAUCAACUUGAAAGUAAUAGCAAGACUCUGGCGUGAAACCAACUGGUUUUCCUUGUAUAAUUCGGCGUCAGAUGCACAUGGUUACGUAUGACAAAAAUGAGCUAAAACAGAUAUUUCAUAUAACAUUUGAAUCCAUUAGAUAAAAUACAAACAUAAAUGAAACCUUGGCAGCGUAAGAUAAUCAAGCCGUGUUAUUAACUACGAACCGUGAGCGAUGCCCGAUUCAUUGCCCAUGCCCUAUACUCAUUUUACUGAUGCUCCCAAUGGUCACCGGACUGCCCUCAACAUUACGCUCAACAUACUAAUAAGACGCAUUCUUUAGUUAUUUCUGUCCUGAUGAAAUAGUGGUUGUGCCACCGUCUAAGUUGCAUGCCACCGUUAACAGAGGCUUGCACCACUGGAGUAAAAAUUUCUCAAGACUGUUUAUACGAACCCUACAUGUUACAAGUUGUAAAUUAUAGUAAACACAAAGUGCCUCUUGAUUACUUGGCCCGAUGCCGUCGCCUAGUGCCGCCCAGCACGCACGGUGGUUCUUCGAGGCAAGACUCUGCAGUCGACAGUCCACACGCAGAUUUGGUAUCGAGAUGUGCGCCACCAAACGCACGCAUGCAUGUGCGGCUUGGAUUCUGUGGUUUUACUUUGGUCCCUCCCCACCCAAAAGCGGUUAUCGAUGCCUUCUCAUACACAUCAUCUGCUCUAUGCGUCGAUAUUGAAAUGGGCGCACACAGCUGUACUGUAGCACCAACUUGAUGAUACUAUGGUAAGUGUAAGAAUUUGUUUGUCUUCGUAGGUAAGUAGUAGUAAGAUUCAGGCGUGAAACCAAACUGUGUUUCGUCAUAUAAUUUGGCGUGAGAUGCAGAUACCUAAAAAUGGCGAAAAUGAGCAAAAACAUAUAUUUGAUAGAACAUUUUAAUAAACUAGGUAAAAUAGAAACAUAAAUGGAACCUUGGCAGCGUCAGAUAAUCAAGCCGUGUGAUUAACUCUACAAACUGUGUGAUUAGCUUUGGCGCUCCGAUUCGGUCUUGCUCUUGCGCAAAGGGUAGGAUGCAAUUGACUCGUUAUUAAUUCUGAUAAUCUGGAGGUCACCGAAACUAUGAAGAAGAGUGGUCUUUCUCUGGGGCGGCUGCGAUGAUUUUCAGGGAUUGCUAUAAUUCUGUUUAUGAUUUUACUAUUGCUAGGUUUCGACAAUGUAACAGGAAAGCAAAUAAAGUUGCUCAUGGGCUUGCUAGCUUGGCUAAAUUUUCUUUGAUGUUUGAUUGGUUUGAGGAACCCCCGAGUGAAAUUGUACCAUUGCUUAUAAAUGAUGUAAGCAUUAUUUUCAAUGAAUAAAGUCUUUUAAAAAAACGCGAGUGAUGCUCAAUGCAUUGCCCAUGCCCUGUACUAGUUUACUGAUGCUCUCAACGGUCACUGGACUACUCUUUUAUUACUUGUCAGUAAAUUAUUAAUUAUUCUUUUUGAGGUAGUGUCUUCUUUAGUUAUUUCUUUCUCUAUCUAGGAUGACGUGUUAAGAGACAAUGCAUUGGGAGUGCCCCUAGUUGCAUGCCACCGUUAGUAGAAAUUUUUCAAUAUUUGUACUCCGUCUAUCCAAUUAUAUAGGGCCUAAUAAGUUUUUGAGGCUAAGUUUGAGUACUUGUUAGAGCAAUAACAGCAACUCCAACGCGGCGACCCAUUUCGUCCGCGCGCGUCUGUUUUUGUCGGCGCAGAAAGAAAAGUCGGCCCAAUGCGCCGACCCAAACGGGCGCGCGUCCGCUUUUCGCUGCUUACCGACCCAUUCCCGACCCAUUUUUGAGCCUCAUUUGCAUCGGCGCGGACACGAGGCGGACGCGCGCGGCGCCCGCCUACUCCUCCCCCUGGCUCGCCAGUCGGUGGCAGCCUCCACCAUUUUCUCAAAACCCUUCCGCCCGCGCGCACUCACACCGCUCGCCAUGGAUGAAGACCUCGAUGCCGCCCCCGGCCUCGCCUCCCUUGCCUCGUCCGGCAUCACGACCGCCCCCUCUGGCAAAGGCAAGCCUUGCGCCCCCCGCAAGACCGCCGCCGCGUCAAAGCCGAAGAAGAAGCUGACGCCCGAAGAGCAGGCAAGGGAGUCGGCGAAGAGAAAGGGCCGAAGGCACGCGGCAGACGCAAGGGAGGAAGCCAUCGCGGUGGCCACCAUCGCCGCCACCGCGCAGCAGGAGGCCACCAGCGCCCGCGUCGUGGCGGUAACGAGGGAGGCGCUGAUGUACCUAGGGUUAAACCCUGGCAAGCACGGCGUCGUCAACGCCGCCGUGGCCGCGGCCAACACUGGCUCAUCUGCGUUUCCUUGGAUGGUGUUGCCCGACUCACCCCGCGCGUCGGCGACACAGCCGAUGCCCGACUUCCACGUCUGUCCGUGAGCGGCAUCGGCAUGCAAGACAAGGAAGAGCAAAUGAACGCCUUCAUGGAGAUCCAAAGAAGGAGGCUUGAGAUGGAGGCAGACAAGCAAGCCAAGAUGCUUGAGAUGGAGGCGGAGAAGCAAGCCAAGAUGCUGAUCGAGACCGCCAAUGCCAAGACCAAGGCGAAAGAAGUGGCUCUCGCUGAUUGGGAUGGAGAUCAUGAAGGUGGAUCUCAACACCGUGUCAUCAAGGAAGAGGCCGUGGUUCAAGAAGAUGCAGGCCGACAUGCUCAAGUUCCAAGACGAGUGACCUAUGGCGGCGAGCGCCAUCCUUUCUUGUAUGUCGGCAAGUGUGGCAUGACCACGACCACGAUGGCGUGGUCGAACUCCCGCCCCUUUUUGUGUGCCGGCAUGUGUGCCAGCCGCUGGCAAGUGCGCCAGUUUGAACUAUGUGGUGUUUUUAUGAAGCUAGCAUUGUAUGCCGGCGCCGGCAUGGUGCCGGCAUGAACUUCGGGUGACGACAUGACCGCUGGCAUGAUCUAUGGCCGUGGACCUUUUUCAAAAUUUGCAUGCGGGCAUGAAAUGGUUCGCGGCCGUGGGGCGCAAUGCCGACCCAAAUCUCAAACACGACGGACGCCGAGCGGGCAACCGACCAAACGGACAAAAGUCGGAUAAAGGCGCCGUCCGUUUGCGUCGGCGCGUUGGAGUUGCUCUAAUAUUUGCCAUGCAAAUUAUACAAAGCAUACAAUUAAGUUCAUACGUGAAAUGAGCUUUCAAUGUUAUACUUUCAUAUUGUACAUCUCAUAUAUGCUAUUCAUCUUAUCAAUAGUCAAAGACACUCUCGAAAAACGAACCCUACAUCCUACAAGGUACAAGUUGUAAAAUUGUAGUAAACACAUAGUGCCUCAGAAAAAAGGCGCACUCUUACCAACUUUGAUAUCUAUGUGUUCCAACCUGCUUUCUACAUGGGCAAAGUAUUUCAAGAAUUUUUGGAUUUAUUUUUUCUUAUUGUAUUCUAACAUGAUUUUUGGAUAUACACCCCCCUACAAUUAUUUUGAUAAUAAAUAUUGUUCUGCUUGGGUAUUUUUCUGUUUUGUGCACAACAUGUUAUUGAUUCUGUCUUACUGGUUACUUUGCCACUUAUAACGAAGAAAGCUUGGAACCUGGGUGUAUAUGCAUCUGUUUUUCAAUUAAAAAUAGUAAACACAAAAAGUGUCGAAAGUUCUUUUUUUUGGCAACAAAUGUAAUCAAGUGUUCUACUCGUGAAUUUUUUUGCCAAGGAAUGACUUUGAUGGUAUUGUGGAUGAAAAAAGAACAAAGUCACAAAUGUGUUGUUUUCAUCCCGAGCUCAUGUGACCUCGGGUGAAUAGUAAAAAAUAUCAAAAAACGGUUUUUUGUGCCAAACAUGGACAAAUGUUUUGAUUGGUUACGAAUUUUCAUCACCGGAUGACGUCCAUGGGAAACUGGUCAAAAAAAUACAAAACCGAUGUUCCAAAAUGCUUUUGAAAAUAAUAUUUUGGAGCUUGCUUUUUGCCACGUUUUUCAUGAAUGUCAUAUGGUGAUGAAACUUUGUAACCAAUCAAAGCGUUUGAAUUGUUCGGCACAAAAAAUCAGUUUUUUUAAGUGUUUGCCAGAGAGCUCACAUGAGCUCGGGAUCAAAACAUCCAUGUCUACAAAGUCAGCACUAUAUUGAACUUACUGUUCACACUUUUUUGUCCUUGAAAUUUUGUUUUAUUCAUUGUUGAGAAAAUCGUUAACUGGUAGCUGCUCGGUUGGUUGCCGAGUAGAGGAUUAAUAUAUUAAUUGGCCAUUUAUAAUUAAUUGGACGAUUUAUCGGUUUAUCAGCUACAUGGUGACCCUACGAGUGGGGAUUAAUUAGCAAGUUAAUCGGCCAUUUAAUCAAAUAAUCAGACAAUUAAUCGGUUUAUCAGCUACUCGUGACCCUACGAGUGGGGGUUAAUCAACAAGUUAACUGUUUAAUCACAUGAAUUAUUGAACAUGGGUUUUAUUUGCCAAAAAGACGAUGGGAGUUUCUUGUUGGCCAGUUUUUUUAAUACAAGGACAAUAGAAGGUCAAGUUUGUUAACAAAAAGGGUCAGUUUUAUAAAUUUUUCUUCAAUUUCUAUUUGGCAUAUAGGAUGCAUAUGACCCAAGGGUCAAGGGGUAUUUUCCGCUAAUGACAGUAGUUUUUUUUUGGCGGUAAUAUAACGACACUAGUUGAACAACGGGCGGAUGCAUUACUGAUGACACAUGCUUGUAUGUAAUCACAUGAGGUUAUUCACGAGCCGUACGUACGUGUGAUGCAUUUUUAUACAACAAGAGCAUGUUAUGAUGUAUGUAGUACUCCCUUCAUUUCAUUUUUAUUUCACAUAUAAAAUUUGUUUGAAGUUAAGCUACGUAAAUUUUGUCAAAAUUUAUAUUAAUAAAAUUAAGAUCUACAAUAUUAAUACUAUAUAGUAUGGAAAUUAAUUUCAUGAUGCAUCUAAUGGUAUUGAUUCCAUUUUGUGAAUGUGAUAUUUUUUCUAUAAAUUGGUUAAACUUUACAAAAUUUAACUUCUGACAAAUUUUAUAUACAAAAUAUAAAGAAACCGAAGGAGUAUAACAUGAGAUUCGAGGUCAGUCUUUGCUUUGCUCUCCCUUCCGCAUCCAAAAAGUUUUCACGGGCAUGCAGCGAUUAGUUUAGUUCAUCCGCUUUGAGCGGUGGUUAUUUUAGUCCAUCCUACUGGCUACCCUUACACUGAAUCUGUCCACGCUGCUUUUACCUCUAUAAAUAUCGCCUCUAAGUAUCUCCACAUCUCCACACAGCUCCCUGUCAUCCGUAUUCUCUUUGCAUUUUGACACACCUUCGCCUUUCACAUUUCCUCCUCUAGUGCAGCGUCGCCUUAACGCCCUCCUCUGGUACGUACACAUUCUCCACCUCUUCAUGCUCUCUUUGCAACAGUAGUGUGUAUAAGCAUUUUUUUUUUCUUUUCAAGGGAGUGUGUACAAAUUUCCCUAGGUUCUCAGAAUCUAGAGAUACCUUUUCCUUUUUUUAGCGGUUAGAGAUAGCUUUCCUUAGAGAAGAUAAUCGAGAGAAACUAGUUUUUUUUUCUUUUUGUGAGAAAAUAAUCUGGAGAAACGAGGAAACCCUGUCAACCGGUCUGGGUUGUGUAUGGGCUUUGAAUGAAUCCCUCGUUUUCGUCGCCACGGCCCAUCCCAAAUCCGCUAGCUUGUCCUCUACGGUGAGCGGCGGAAUCGGUGGCGGCGGCUCCCGCCCCGCGGCGCCGUCCCUUGCUCAGUUUCCAUGGCCUUUUCCUUCUUCUGUAAAUAGUUACCCAGUUUUUUUGUGCAAAGUUGGAAAGUUGGUGCUUUCUCCCAGCCGGUGGUGUAAAUCUUCAGCUAAAUCUCGAUUGCUCUCACGCAGGCAGGACCGCAGUCAACGGGUCGAUGGAGACGGCCGGCAUCCGCGCGGCGGCAUGGGUUGUGGGCAAGGCACUGAGCCCACUGUCCGGCGGCGUGUUGGAGUCGUGGGCGGCGAGCACCAAGCUCGGGUCUAACAUGCAGGACCUAAAGCUGGAACUGUUGCACGCGCAGGCGAUGUUGAACAAUGUCCGCGGCAGGGAGAUCCACAACCCCGCCCUGGCUGAGAUGCUGGACAUGCUGCGGCAACUGGCGUACGUGGCCGACGACGUGCUGGACGAGCUCGACUACUUCCGCAUCCAGGAUGAGCUCGACGGCACCUACCAUGCCGCCGACGCGCAUGCCGCUGGCUGGGUCCGUGACCUCGCCCUCAACGCUCGCCACACGGCCAGGGCUUGUGUGAAUACACUCAAUGUCGGUAAACACCUCUCUUGCUUCUCCUCGUCAGCGUCUGUCAAUCGUCAUGCUCAACCACCAAAACUGAAGUUUGAUAGGGUCGAAAUGUCAACAAGGAUAUCGGACCUCACAGAGCAGCUGAAGCCCGUAUGUGCUAGGGUCUCCAACAUUCUCAAUCUAGAGUUACUCAACUCUAGCAACACCCCUUUCCAAGAUAUUGCGAUGAACAGACCCAAAACCACCCCACAAAUUAUAGAGCCUAAGUUAUAUGGGAGGGAUCUCCAUAAAAAUGCUGUCCUACAGGAAAUUGCUAAUAGUGAAUGCUCUAAACUUACGGUGCUUCCAAUCAUUGGCCCCGGUGGUAUCGGGAAGACAACUUUCACACAACACAUAUAUGAACAAAUGAAGAGCAAUUUCCAUGUUCCCAUUUGGAUAUGUGUCUCUCUCGAUUUUAGUGCAAAUAGGUUGGCAAAAGAUAUAGUUCAAAAGAUCCCCAACGUUGAAAAUGAAAACAAAAAUUGUUGCGAUGAAGAGCUAAUCAAACAAAGAUUAAAAGGAAAGAGGGUUUUACUUGUAUUAGAUGAUGUAUGGCCACAUCAUGAGAGUGAGUGGAAAAAAGUAAUAGCUCUAUUUAAAGAAGAGGAUGCAAAAGGAAACAUGGUUAUAGUAACCACUCGGAUAUGUGAGGUAGCAGACACGGUUAAGACAACUAAAUGCUCGCUAGAAUUGGAGCAUCUGUGCUCGGUAGAUAUUAUGUCUUUCUUCGAAGAGUGUGUAUUUGGUGACCAAAAACCAUGGGUUGACUAUCCAGAACUAGUUGACGUUGGGAGUAAUAUAGUGGAAAAGCUGAAGGGUUCCCCUCUUGCAGCCAGGACGGUUGGUAGAUUACUAAGAAAUAAACUUACAUUGAACCACUGGAGAAGCGUUCUGGAAAGUAAAGAAUGGCAAUCACAAAAGGAUGAUAAUGACAUCAUGCCAGCUUUAAAGCUCAGCUAUGAUUAUCUUCCUUUCUAUCUACAACGAUGUUUUUAUUUUUGUGCUUUGUUUCCUGAAGAUUACGAGUUUGGUAGUGAGGAAUUGAUUCACUUGUGGAUUGGGCUAGAAAUUCUGCAUUCAUGUGAUCGGAACAAAAAAAAACUUGAAGAUGUUGGACUGUGCUAUUUAAACGACUUGGUCAAUCAUGGUUUUUUCAAAAUGAAUAAAACAAAAAACGGAAGUACUUCUUAUGUUAUUCAUGACCUACUGCACGAUUUGGCGGUGAACGUUUCGUCGGAUGAGUGUCUAUACAUUUAUAUGUCUAAUGCGAGGGACAUAGAAAUUCCGCCAUCCCUACGCCACUUGUCUAUCAUCAUAGAUAACACAAAUGUCGAGGAUGGGGUGUCCUUUGAAGACUACAAUGGAAAUUUGAGUGCACUUGGUGAAAGAUUGAAAGUUGAAAACCUACGCACCUUUAUGCUAUUUGGAGAUGACCAUGAAAGUUUCGCCAAAACUUUUGCUGGUUUGAUUAGGGAAGCUAGAGCGCUUCGCGUAAUUUUUUUGUCCGGGGUCUCGUAUAAUUUGGAGGAUAUAUUGCACAAGCAUUCAAAACUUGUACAUCUUCGCUACCUAAGGGUCAGGCUGGAGUAUUCAUGCCAUCACUUUUGUUUAUCAAGUUCAUUGUCUAGAUUGUAUCAUUUAGAGGUGAUUGAUCUACAAGAUCAGUAUUGUGACGUUAGGUCAACAAGACAUAUGAGAAACCUUGUAAAAUUGCGUCAUUUCCUUAUCUCAAAAGAAAAGCAUAAUCUUCAUUCUGAUAUUCAUGGGGUGGGAAAACUGAAAUUCCUCCAGGAAUUAAGGGAAUUUAGAGUGGGAAAGGAGGGUGAGGGUUUUGAGCUGAGUCAGCUCAAGCCAUUGAAAGAGAUCGGAGGGUUACUUGGCAUUUAUAAUCUUGAAAAUGUGCAAACAAAAGAGGAAGCAAGAGAAGCAAAACUGUUACAGAAGAACAACUUAAGAGAACUCAUAUUAGAAUGGGAUGUCAAGCGAUCCAAUAAGGAUCCUGUAAAAGAAGAAAAUGUUCUUGCAAAUCUUGUACCACAUGGCAAUAUUCGAGAGUUGUGCAUUAGAGGGCAUGGGGGCACUAACUGCCCAGCAUGGCUAUGUGAGAAUCUCUCGGUAGAAUGUUUGGAAUCUCUUUGUCUAGAUGGCAUAUCUUGGAAAAACCUUCCGCCACUAGGAGAGAUGUGGAUGGCUAAUGGCCUUGGAGGAGAGUAUCAGGGUUGUAGUGUCUCAUCUCCAACCUUUCAUAAUUUGAAAAGUCUAGAAUUAAGUAACAUAUCAAGUUUGACAAAAUGGGUCGGGAGUGGCACUUGUCCUUUAUUUUCUCACUUGGAAGGGCUAAAAAUUAGAAAUUUCUCUGAACUCAUCGAGUUGCCGUUUUCACAUCCUCCUACUUGCUGUCAAGCACAGCGGAAUGAGAAAAUAAGCUGGUUUCCUAAACUAUGGAAGCUUGUCAUUGUAGAAUGCCCGAAACUAGUGUCGUUCCCUCCUAUCCCUUGGCGGACUGGUGCUAUGUGCUCUGCUUACAUAGCACGAGUUGGGUCGUGUUUCGAGGAGCUGAUUUACCCGAGACGUGAAUUGGAAUUAAAUCUGCAGAUUGAGGGAAGAGGUGGCCAGGGUGAUGUAUUCUGGAGCGGGUUGAAUUUCUCUAAUCUAACUGAUCUAGAAGAGUUGCGUAUGAAAAAAAUUCCUUUCCUGCCAUUGAAACACCUACGAGCGCUAACAUCUCUGAGGAAGAUCGAGAUAGAGGGUGCGAGCAGUUUCUUGUUGCCUGUUGAAGGUGCCGAUGAUGGCAUAUACAGGCUUCCAGUUGAACACCUCGAGAUUACUGACUGUGAUGUUAGUGGGAAAGAGUUGACACUGGUGCUCUCUUUCCUUCCCAACCUCUCAAUACUGAGAAUAGAAAACUGUGAUAAUAUAGCUGGGUUGGGUGUGGCAUUAUAUGCAGAAACUGUUUCUGGAGAGCAGCCGGAGCAAGAGACUAGAGUCGGAGAGGAGGAAAUCAUAACAGCAGCGGCAGCGGAAGGUCUGCUUCUCUUGCCUCCCCACCUACAGGAGUUGUGGAUUUUCGGUUGCAAAAAUAUGAGCAUACUUUCCGAUCCAAUUUACGACAACGACCAAAAAUCAGCAGGCAGUGGAGAAGGAGGUGGAGGGGGACUCCAGCGUCUCCGCUCCCUCCGCUGCUUGUAUGUAAGCACAUGCCCCAAGUUCCUCUCCUCCUAUUGGUCAUCAUCCUCCCCCUCUGUUUUCCCUUUCCCGACCUGCCUGCAACGCCUGACCCUACGUGGCGCGAAGUACAUGAAGACACUGCAAGCCCUCUCAAACCUCAGCUCUCUCACCAAGUGUGAGUUAUUGUUUGAAUUGAGGGGUUUAGAUGGUUUGUGGCCUCUCCUCAGCCACGGCCGCCUUAAAAAAUUAGCAAUCAAUUCUGGCUCGGUAUAUGCAUGGGAUUCCUCGAUUCUGACUCCAAUUUGCAGCAACCCUCUUCAUCUGCAAACGGGGAGCAACACAGGAUUCCUUGCUGCGCCCAUGUGCAGCCUCCUCUCUUUCACCCUCACCAAAUUGGACCUCAGUUUGGAUCAGGAGAUGAAGUGCUUUACAAAGGAGCAAGAGGAGGCCCUCCAGCUCCUCACCUCCCUCCAGGAGCUGCAAUUUUCAGCCUCCGAAAACGAGCGGCACUGCUACCUCUCGAAGCUGCAGUGUCUCCCUGCAGGGCUAGACAAGCUCAUCAACCUCAAGAGACUAAUGAUCAAUUGUUGUUCAUCCAUCCGGUCGCUGCCCAGCCUUCCGAGCUCUCUGCAGGAAUUAGUGAUUGACAACUGUUAUGCACUCCAGUCGCUGCCAAACAGCCUCCCGAGUUCUCUGGAAAUAUUGAGCAUCUACGGCUGUCAAGCCAUCAAGUCGCUGCCAGAGAGCCUCCCGAGUUCUCUGAAAAAAUUGAAGAUCUCCGGCUGUUGGGCCAUCAAGUCGCUGCCCAAGGACGGCCUUCCAAGUUCAAUGCUAGAGUUAGAUGUCAACCUUGGCUUGGACAGCGACAACUUAAGAAAGGAGUGCCGCAAGCUAAAAGGAACCAUUCCGAUAGUCAAAGUCAUCAAUUAAUCCAAGGUAUGUAACGGGCUAACACUUCCCUUUCUAUAUAUAUAUACUCGUCUACUUAUUCCCAGUUUGUUUCCCUGCCUUUUCGAUUCCUAACUUCGUAAGCGUCAAAUUAAUUCUUAUUUGUUUUGUUUGGUUAAUCGCACUUGUUUUCAUCUUAAUAGCUCACUUGUUUUACUUUACUGUGCAGGCUCCUUUGAUUUCUAUAUUCUUCUCGCCUCUUAGAAUACUCUCUCCAUCGAAGCAUGGUUUCUGGUGCCAAGCAUGACGUUCUCAAUAUGUAUCUGCCAUCCUGCAGUACAAACAACUGGUUAGUACAUGCAUUUAAUUAAUCAACCACUGCCAUGAUAUUGUUUUCAAAACCUGGAGCAGCUUUCCCUUCACGUGCUGAUUUUUUAAGGAAAAAUUCGUGAAUUCAACCAGUACUGUGAUUAUUCUUUUCAGGCAGAUUCAUGUGUCAUUAACUAAUUAUGACUACUGAGUAUUGUAAUCCAGUUUGAACAAACACUUCACUAUUUGAAUCCAUCCAUAAUUCCCACCACUGUUUCCCUAGUUCGGUUUAUGUUAUAAAAAAAGUUCACACAUCAGUUCAGAAAAAAAAAAUCUCGUUUGGUUUUCCUCAUUGUUGUAUAAUCUGAAGUCUGAGCAUUUUAUUUACAAAGCAGGAGUUGUACAUUCUCUUAGGCUUGCAGAAUCUACUGCACCCAGUAAAGUUGCACAUAAGGUCUUCCGUGGCAUCUCCGUCGCAUAGAUAAAAUCCAUAAAUCUGGUAAGUGUGUGAAAUGUAACAGUAGUCAUUUUAAAAUUCGUACCAAAUUAAGAAAUAUAAAGGAAACCAGUGUGAUCAUCAUCUAACACCAUUUCGGAGAUUCUCUGUUUUCCUCUCUGGACGAAUUAUAUGUAUAUGCGUUAAAGAUUUGUCUUUCUUGUGUAGGUAUUCUCAUGCUCGUCCUGGUUGAUUUCUAGAUGAGUGUCAUUUACAUUUGGAUCGUUUCUCAUAGAUACUUCCUAGUGCACUUGGCUUGUUCACUGUGAAAGUGAGAUCACCACAUAAUGGUGGAAGAAAUGAGACUCGAUGAUUUGCUACUAAAAUAAAGGUUCGUACUUUUUCACUUUGGUUUUAAAUUGAUGCCUAUACAAGGUGCUCUUUAAAUUGUUCAUAAUUGUUUACUUAAUGAUUUUUUUUGAAUUAUAGGAACUUUAAAUGACCCUUCGUAUCAUCUCAGUGCUUGGGGUGGAGCCAGUUCAGACCUGGGCUGUUAUUUUAGUUCAUUUCAGUUCCAAACUGUCAGAGUCAACUAUGGUUCUUGGUGUCUUCGUAGAUAUGGCUUGUGCUUUCCAAUAGGAACAUUUCUGUUUUUCGAGGGAAGGUUAGUAAACCUCUGCUGAAAUUCAUGAUCGCUUUAGCUAUUGCUAGACUGUGUUCAAUGUGCAAGUGUGAAACUGUUAUUGCCUCAUGAGACCUAGGUUAGAGAACUUGCUGCAUUCUUCAAAAGUUGGUAUUCUAGCUUUUGAGCACACUAAUAUUCUCGGUAUUCAUUGCCACGCUAAAUUAAAUAACAUAAAGAGAGUGUUCAGUUGACACAUAUAGUUGUAAAGGUAGAGAACACCGGUUGUUAAGGGAUUGAUGAACAUUGAUUGAGCAAAAAGACUCGAGCUUCCGACUUUUUAUUCAUCGAACCUCCUGAGUUAAGUAUGGUGAUGGUGAUUUUAUUUUCUAAUUGAUCUGGAGUUUUUUUUUCUAUCCCACCAAUGCCAAAAACAGAGCAGAUUUCAUGAGCCAUGAUUAUUGCAAUCUGAAUAUUUAGUGUGUAUUGUUAAGUUUGAUGUUCCUCUAGUAUGGAGUCUUUCAAUGCCAGUCAUACUUUUUGCGUAACUUUGUUUCUCGCUAGCCUCUCUGACACUCGGUAUUGCAUUCCUUAAUUAGGAUAUCGCAUACUCCGCCGGUGUACAUACUACAUAUACAAAUCACAGAAAUUAAACCAUUUCUUCGAUGUGUUUACAUCAUACCUACAUUCUAUAGCACAUCCCUUGCUAUUCCGCAGUAGUUGAUUGUUCCAUAAACACACUCAUCAAAGUUCGAGAAGAUUCAAAAGAGAGCUUUACUGUCAUCGUCAUGAACCCUGCCAAUUUCAGCACUAUGAAGAGCUAUAUUCAUCAAUAUUAUUCAUGCCUCUCCCACACACAUAUGAAAAAAGAAAGAAAAAAGAAAAAUAGAGAGAGGCACCAUUCAAAAGAUCAAUGAAUGGCCCUCAAGCAGGAAGAAAAUGUCAGCAGCGCUACCAUAUUCAGUGGCAGAAUGGCUAAUCAAACUACUACCAUAUUCAGAGCAUCAUUCACAUCCUGGGAUCACCUUACAUUACAUAGACAUCUCAAUCAUUCCUUUCACGUGAGUCAAUUCUGUCCCCCAUCCAUCCCCUGGACACUACUUUUUCCAAUGACUGGCAUGUGAAGACUUCUUUGCACUGGAUUUGAACACUUAUUUAGCUUUACUAUCUAGAUUUCAGUUUUGCUCAUUCUUUGAAUUACCCUACCAAGCUCCAGAUAAGCUUUCCACAAAUAUAAAGCAGAUAGAAAACACUUCGGCCAGUGGCCAGUGAGGACUACAAUUAUGUGAUGAGAGUAAUUCCAGACCAUGACGAGGUAAUCUCACUAGAUACCUGCUCUUGGAAGGUUCACAAAGGAAUAAAAUUGUUGGCUGCUCGUGUUCUCUUUUGUUCUUGAAAUUGAAGUCAAACCUCCUAGUGAUUGUGUUCAAAAACUUUGAUGGCUAUAUUGUUGAUGCUGUUCACUCUCAUAAAAUGGAACCCAUUCCUUACUGGCAAUGAAUAUGAGUUGUUAUUUAAGCUUGUGCUCAAUUGCUAGCCUGCUACUUUGAUAAGUUUGUGGGAAGUGUCUCGAUCCGAAGUUUGUGAGGAUUUUAAUAAUUGUUUGUACAUGCACACUUGUCUGCAAUCUCGCUAUGCUAGGCUUUCAGGUGUUUCACAGGCACAUGGGCAAGUUGAAUCAGGAGCCUAAAUCCUCUGGCCUGCCAUUUGCUGUGGUCUCUGAGACUCUUUCUUGGAAGGAAGAGUCAGAAAGGGAGAAGCCUGAGAUGAACCAUACAUUUUGUUUUUCUUUGCAGCCUGAGAUGAACCAUAUGGAGAGCCUAUAAGGAAGAGAGGAUUUUUUUUUUUGCACUCAUUUCCUUGUAGCUUCAGUCUGUAGUAGGUUUUGAUGAGUGGUACAAAAAAAGGACAAUUUUUGUGUCAUUCGUUUUCUGAGCGUGGACAUGUAUAUUCAGUGAAAUGAAAUGCAGUUCUUUACAAUACUAUCUUCAUAUCUGAACCUAUGCUUGGGUGUCACUUUUGGUUGUCUGUACGAACGCGUACUUAAAUGAAGACACCGCAAUUGUUCACUGCAGAAUCUUCCUGAUUGCCUUUUGAUACCCAAUUGGCAAUGUGAACCAAUCAUUGUUGCCAUGUUGUUUUUCUUUUCGGAGAAAAAAAAUACUGUGAUUCUAUUUACAACACAAGAGUCGAAUGCACAAGAUACACAGCCAUGACCUGGAGUCUGGACACACUACACAUAUUGCUUGUCUUGUGCUUGUCUUGCUCCAGGUAUGAUCCGGUGAGAUUUGGUUUUGGUUUUGGGCCCUUACUGAAGAAGUAGCAUCCUAGGUGUGGUUCAGGAGGGAGCACUCAUCCGAAUGAACAAACUCUACUAACCACGCACGAGAUCCGAGCCAAGUCAGUCUACGUGCCCGUGCCUCCGGCCAGAUCGGGAAGGAAGGAACCCCAGAAAAACAACGCCUUGCCACGUGAGUAGUGAAGUAAGCGUCUCAAGACUGAAUGAAGACUUGGUGCAAGAUUUGAAGCUUAGCCUUCGUUUUUCUGUUUCGCGCCACCAGGUUCUUAGCUGACAGUUAUUUGUUAAAUUCCAUUGUAUCCUUUGGUUGGGGCCAUCGCUACACUUGUUUGCAGCCACUGGUCAAUUGUACUAGCACUCACCGAAUCUCUCACACAUCUGUCUUUGAUCCACCCUCAGCUGCUCUACCCAGCUCUAUCUUUUCAUUUUUCAGAUGAACGCCUGCUCUGCCAGAAUUUGUCCCAACUGGUGGUUUAAUUUCUCAGAUUUUACUCGCACUCCGCACAGGUGGAACAUACACAUACUAACCACAUUUAUGGGUUUUCAUACUAGACCCUCAUGUGCCGCCUGCACGGACGUGUAUGGAGACGUACUGCAAAUACUGUUGCACAUGACUUGCUAGUAUUGGUCGUAUGUGCGAAUGGAACCACUCUGUACUGUGGGAGUCUGAUGUUCCAGCCACUGUGGCUGCUUGUGCUGCGGGCGACCUGCCUAAGCACCGUUAAGUUAUAAAGCUCCCCUCAAAAAAAAGUGAGGACUAUGAUUAUGUGAUGAGAGUAAUUCCAGAUCAUGACGAGGUAAUCUCACUAGAUACCAGCUCUUGGGAGGUUAACAAAGGAAUAAAAUUGUUGGCUACUCUUGUUUCCUUUUGUUCUUGACACUGAAGUCAAACAACCUAGUGACAUAGUGUUCGAAAACUUUGAACGCUAUAUUGCUGAUGUUGUUCACUCUCACAAAACUGAAACCCGUCCUCAGAACACUCGGAGUUCCCUCAUGGCAAUGAAUGAAGUUGCUAUUUAAGCUUGUGCUCGAUUGCUAGAUUGCUACUUUGAUAAGUUUGAUGGGAGUGUCUCAACCCGAAGUUGAUGAGGAUGUUAAUAACUGUUUGCACAUAGCACUUGUUUGCAAUCUCUCUAUGCUAAGCUCUCAGGAAAUUCAGAAGUACAUGGGCAGUCUGAAUGAGGAGCGCAGAUCCUGUAAAGAAAUUUGGUCCACUGUGCACUACAGUUUCAGAUCAUUAUUUUUUCCUCAAGGGGGGUGUCAGCAAGGGAAGGAGAAUCCAGAGAUAAAUGAUGCCCUGUAUUUCUCUUUGUUGCAAGAAUAAUGUAUAUAGUGAAUAGAGAAUGUAUACUGAUCCCUCCCAUGUAAUUUUUUCCCCUUUAGCUUGUGUAGCAUCUUUCCUAUGAUGACAGGUACUAAAGCAGACCGACAUUAAUUUUCCAUUCAUUCUUGUAAGUAUGGGUGUCUAUUGUAUUUCUGAUUAUCUCAAACUUCUCUUCGAUGACAGGCCGGUUGUUCGUACCUAUGACGGUUCACAGAUUUUGUUGUGGUCUCCUGUUGGUGCCAAAUUAGAUUACUUGGGAAUGAUGGCUCUCCAUGCAUUGCGCAGUGUGUGCGCUUUCAUGUUGGCCAAGUAGCAGCAGCAGUGCACUUUCUACACGGGAAUGUAGCUGCUGAUGCUGCUGUUGUAAAUCUGAGCUGGCCGACACUCGAGGGUCUGAAUCUGAAAGAAACCCCAUCAUCUUUUAAAAUUCACGGCACUUGCUGUUUUUAUUUGCAUGUUGUAUUAUCCCAUGGGCCCUGCAUCUUAACGCUGCCACGAUGGUGAACCACCACCAGCCUCCUGUCAAAUUAAGCUGGCUGGCCCACUUUUCUAGUUGUUGAACAAGAAGAAGCAUAUAUACAGUCAACAAAAAGGAAAAACAAGAAGAAACAUAGUACUCCUGUCCUAUUACAGUAAACGAGACAACAGUGGGAACACUAGUGUUUUUCACAAGCACUAUUUCUCAGACUUCGCUGAAUUGCUAUCGAGAUUCAUAUUCAUCUUGAGGAUUAAAUAAAAGUAACAAUGUAAAGCCAUACGUUUUCAAAAGUAAACGAAUUACAAAGGGCCUGCCACUUUUCUAGUUGUACGUACAACAAGAAGAAACAUAGUAGAACGGGGUAAACCAAAUAAAGUGGCAACAGUAAUGUUCACAAGCGCUGGUUCUCUGACUUGGCUGGAGUGCUCUGGGGAUCCAUGUUCAUCUUGAGGAUUCUCUGGCCUCUGAAGCUUGUCUGCCAUGGUCUCCAUUCAGGGUGGACGGCACGAGCGGUCUUUAGGACCGGCUCGUGGCCCGCUCGGUCCGGCCAGGCUCGGUCCUGGCCCGGCAUGAAAUCCAGCCGGUCCGGGCCCUGCAAACGGGACCGAAAAUCCCUCGGUCCGGUCCGGUUAAAGCUCGGGCCGACCGAGCGGACCGGCGAACACGAGCUGCGGCAUGGCGGGAGCAUGGCAGGGGCAUGUCAGGACGAGGCGGGGGCGUGGUGGGGGCGUGCCCAGGGCGUCCCAGGGGCAUGGCGGGGGCGUGUCGACGUCGUGGCAGGCGCGUGGCGAGCACUUGGCCGGAGCUGCGUGGCGGGCGCGUCGGUCGUGCACUGGUCAGCGCCGCCGUCGUUCAUCCGCACGGCCACCGGCCUCCCUGACGCUGGCAAACAUGUCUACUGGAUGCGCCACGCCUGGAUCUAUCACCUGGAAGGUAUAACUUGAAGCGGGAGGCCCUACACCGCCGCUGCACACUGGCCGUCGUGCACCAGCCGUCGUGCCAAAUUCUUCGUGGCUGUUGCUUCCUGAGCUCUGCCUGGCCGUCGUGCCGUCCACCGUGAGUCACAGAAGUCGCCGGACACCUCCACGACGAGCCCCUCUGCCUCCAGCGCCCUCCCCGCGUCGCCGUGCUCCAGCGCGAGCUCUGUGGUGACCACCGGCCGGUCCAAACGAGCCGCUCGGUCCGGCUCGGGCUUUCGUCGCUGCGGUCCGGUCCCUGAAAACAGGACCGCGACACUGCUCGGUCCGGUCCGGUCCGGACCGCCGACGGCCGGUCCAAACGACGGCUCGGUCAGGGACCGGACCGGCCCGGACCGUGUCCACCCUGAGUCUCCAUCCCCAUGAACGACCAUAGGAGCCAGAUGCUAGUUAGGCACUCGCCACCGUCCCCUAUGCUCCUGGCGUGCAGGUACCUUCUUCAUCUGACAGCGGAAUAACAGAGCAUCUCCACCCAGGCACCCUGGAUUACUGUUUACUGAUCACCUCUCCUCCACUUCCAGCUCCAUCAAUUUGUUGGCGAGCCUGCACGCGCCAGGAAUUAGAGUAAACUUGGCGGCUUUGUCCGGCGAAGAUUUUACCGUGUCGAUAAUCUCCCGCGCCAGCCUCUCUUCUUUGUCAAGCGGUACCUUGCUAUCACUCAAGAUGAGCUCGAUCUCGUGACUUGCAACGGCGAAUAGACCUGGCCUCGUGCCUCAAGAUGGCAACGGGACCCAUCCCCACGAGAAAAUCGCAAGCCCGUCCCCGUCCCCAUCACCAUGCGCGGGGCUAGCUAUUUGCCCGUCCCCUAUGUGCGAUGAACCGAAACGACUUACCCUAUCGUGGGGGGCGUAUUGCGUGUUAUAUAGAGGAUUGCGAGUUCUGAUACACAUACAAGUUUGUUGGAGAUAUACAUCUUGAGGGAGAAGAAAUACAGGAGAUAAGGAAGCUAGUUAUAACCGGAUAGAAUACAAAGUUAAACCGUGCGCCUAUCUAUCUCCUGGAUACCAGAAAUAUCUCCUAAUGCGUAUCAAUGCGUAUCUUGUUUGACAUCCUCCCUUAAUCACAACUUCAUCAAGUUGAGAUUAUGCUUGAAGUCUUCAAAACUCCUUGUAGGCAAAGCUUUUGUAAACCCUUCUGCCACUUGAUCCCGUGAAUGAAUGAAACGAAAGUCCAAGAGUUUAUCACUAACUCUUUCUCUGACAAAAUGAAAAUCUAUCUCAAUGUGUUUCGUUCUGGCAUGAAACACUGGAUUUGCAGACAGAUAGGCAGCACCAAGGUUAUCACACCAUAAGCAUGGAGCUUGAGAGCUUUUCACACCCAACUCCUUCAAGAUAGACUGUACCCAUAUGAUUUCUGUUGUUGCAUUGGCCAAGGCCUUGUAUUCUGCCUUAGUACUAGACCUGGAAACUGUAACUUGUUUCCUAGCACACCAUGAUAUAAGAUUGGGUCCAAAAAUACUGCAAAGCCACCAGUUGAGCGUGUGUCAUCCAAACAUCCUGCUCAAUCUGAAUCAGAGAAAGCACUGACAAGAGUAGAAGGUGACUUGCUGAAAUUUAGACCAAUAUUCAAAGUAUACUUGACAUAUCUCACAAUGCGCUUGGCUGCAGUCAAGUGAACUGUAGUGGGUGCAUGUAGGAACUGACAUACUUUGUUGACAGCAAAGGAAAUGUCUGGCCUGGUCAAUGUUAAGUACUGAAGUGCACCUACAAGACUUCUGUAUUUUGUACUGUCCUCUGGACUUAAAAGUGUUCCCUCUGUAAGAGAUAAUUUUUCUGUACUAGAGAGAGGAGUAGGUGUGGGUUUACAACCUUGCAAGCCAGCGUUCCUUACCAAAUAUGUUGCAUAUUUUUUCCAAGAAAGAUGUAGCCCAUCCUUGUGUUGCUUCACCUCAAUUCCUAGGAAGUAAUGUAAUUCUCCUAGAUCUUUGAGAACAAAUUCAGCACCUAAAUCCUUCAAGAGUCCUGAUAUUGCCUCAUCAGAUGAGCUUGUGACAAUAAUAUCAUCAACAUAUAUAAGAACAAACAUGGAGGUGUUGAACUUAUUAUAAAUGAACAAGGAGGUGUCAGAUUUGGAAGGAACAAAGCCAAGUGUCUGCAUCUUUUUACUGAGACGGGAAUACCAUGCCCUUGGAGCUUGUUUCAGUCCAUACAAUGCUUUAUCUAACUUGCACACAUGAGAGGGUGCAUGUUUGCUUUGAAACCCAAGAGGUUGUUUCAGGUACACUUCCUCUUCCCGAACACCAUGAAGAAAUGCGUUUUAUACAUCUAGUUGUCAGAGGCUCCAUCCCCUGGAAACAACAAUAGACAAUACGAGACGAAUGGUAGCAGCUUUUACAAUUGGACUAAAAGUAUCCUCGUAGUCUAUGCCGUACCGUUGUUUGAAGACUUUUGCAACAAGUCUAGCCUUAUAACGAUCAAUGGUUCCGUCAGACUUUCUCUUAAUUCUGAAUACCCAGUUGCAGUCAAUGAGGUUUUUAAUUACCUUGCUUCGGAGGAACCAAGUGCCUUGUUUUAUUUCUCUCAAGAGCUUUAUAUUCUUCUAGCAUUGCCUUUUUCCACUUUUCAUCACCGGGAGCCUCUUCAAUCGUGUUGGGCUCACUUGGUUCACCCGUGGAACAAACUAGAUUAUAUUUGGUUAUGUUUUUAUAAUUUUUCAGUUAAAUCACACCUUGUUGUAGUCUUGUGCGGCGUUUUGGUGAUGCAGCAAAAUCCGCAGCCACAGAAGAUCCCGCAGCCGCCAGAUCAGCAGCAGAGUCCGAGGAAGAUCCGCCCGCCACUGCCGGUUCCAGGUGCACGGGAUUGUCUGUGGCGGCGGCCUGAGACGAUGGUGAGGAAGACGCCGUAGGAGCCUCAGAAGAUCCGGGGCAGCCGAUCGGCUCAUCAUGAGCCCGUGAUGGUGCGGGCCCGUCUGAGUCAGGGGCUGGCCCCACGUCCGCAUGGCGCAUGAGGGCGCGCCGCUUGUAGCAGACCGGUUUGUCCGCGGAGCGCGUCGAGUCCGGGCCACCGUCGAACUGCCGCGUGGCAGCGGGAGACUGCCGCGGGCUGGAGGGCGCAUCUCGCCCUGUCGGGAGGGCCUGCAUGUCAUGCAGUGGGCUGCUGGAGCCCGCGCGACCGACCGCGCCUGGCGCGUCUGCCCGUCUGGCACAGGCGUGUGGCUGGCGGCUGGCAUGGAUCCCAGAGGCGAUUGCCUGGGCAGCUGCAGCUCUGAUCCCGAGGGGGAUAUGCUCCCCAUGCCACGACACAUGCGAUGAAGCCCGUUUGGGUUGAUUUCUUCACCGUUUGAGUUGAUUUGUUCAACGUUUUCUUCUCUGUUUCCAUAGUUUGGUGCUCCUGUAACAUCAUCAGAUGACUCAUGCGCAAGGUUAAGAGGGUUAGCCAACAUAUGAUCACGACAAUUAUCAACGCCCCCUUGAUCAUAACCGGAGAGACUUGGAGGAAGCAAAAGAAUUUCUUUUUGUAGUAGGGCACCGACGUUUGGAUGAAGAUCUGAAAAAGGGAAUUUUGUCUCAUUGAAAACCACAUCGCAUGAGAUAUAGCCUCGACUAGUGGAGAUGUCUAGGCAUUUCACACCUUUGUGUUGGGCACUGUACCCAAGAAAAGCACAUUGGAGUGACCGAAACAUGAGCUUGCACUUAUUGUAUGGGCGGAGGUUAGGCUAGCACGCACACCCAAACACGCUAAGAGUGGAAUAGCCGGGCUUGACAUGAAGAAGUCGUUCUACUGGAGUUUCAUUAUUGAUGACACGACUAGGAAGCAUGUUGAUAAUGUGAACAACAGUAAGGAAUGCUUUGUCCCAAAACUUUAAUGGCAUGGACCCAUGAGCUAAAAGACCAAUGCCAACCUCAACAAUGUGACGGUGUUUGCGUUCAGCUGAGCCGUUUUGUUGGUGCGCGUGGGGGCAUGACACAUGGUGUGAGAUGCCAAGGGUUUGGAAGGAGGAGUUCAACUUCUCGUAUUCCCCUCCCCAGUCAGACUGGACAGUGAUGUUUUUGGAUCGAAUUUACGCUCAACAAAUGCUUGAAAGUUUUUGAACACUUGGAAAACGUCGGAUCUUUUCUUAAGAAGAUAGAUCCAAGAAAACUUGUUGUAGUCAUCAAUAGAACUUACGUAGUAGGUGUGUCUACCAACAGAGGUAGGGGCCGGUCCCCAAACAUCAGAAAAAAUCAAUUGCAAAGGUUGAGUAGACACACUAGUAGAAAUUGGAUAAGGUAGCUGAUGACUUUUAGCUCGCUGACAAGAAUCACAAAUAGUUUCAACAUUGCACUCACCAACAUACGGGAGCUUAUUUUUCCUAAGAAGUUUUUCAACUAAAGCAAAAGAAGCAUGUCCUAAACGAUCGUGCCAUCGUGUUUACGAGAGUUUGACAACACCAAAAGCUUGUUUAUUGAAUCUUGUGUGCUCCGGAAUCAACAGGUAAAGCCCUCGAACACAUCUACCACGAUAGAGGAUUCUCUUCAUAGCCUGAUCCUUGAUCAAAAAGAAAUAUGGAUGAAAUUCGAGAAAAACAUGAUUAUAAAGAGCAAUUCUAUGAAUAGAACGAAGGCUUUUAUUGGCACUAGGGACAUGCAAGAUUUUCUUAAGAUCAAUUUUUCUAUGGGAGGUAUGAAAAAUUGAGUGACCAAUGUGGUUUAUCCUCAUACCUUCACCACUAGUUGUGUGGAUUUGAUCCUUGCCACGAUAUUUUUCCUUCAUGGUCACCUUUUCAAGUUCGUUGGUGAUGUGGUUGGUGGCACCACUGUGGACGUACCAGUUGGUGUCGAUCCUGUAGGAGCCAUCCGCAGCAGCAGCAAUCUUGUCCUCAUCUUGGGAGGAGUCACCAUCGUCGUCGUAGCGGUACUAGCAGUCUUUGGUCAUAUGCCCUGGCUUACCACAAAUUUGGCAGUGAGGUGCAUCCGGUCGUGAUCUGGUGGAACCACCGCGGCGGCCCCUGUUGUUGCCAGAAGAGGGCCGUCCGCCGCCGCGAGUGUUGGAGUUGUUGUUGUCGUGUUCCCCGUCCGAGGUCUUGCCCCUGUUGCGAGGUGGUCCGUGCUGAUGAGAGGAGCCGCUGCCACGGCAACGAAAGGCGGCGUUGGCAGACGACUGGAAGCCGCUCGAAGACUAGUAGAGCGCCACACACUAACCAAAAUUGCUCAUCAUGGAGAAGAGCUCGUCGAGGGAGACCGGUGUGAUGCGCGCGUCGAGGGCGGACACCAGGGGCUGGUAGUACAUGUCCAGCCCAUGGAGGAUGUAGGAGACAAGCUCGUCGUCUUGCAGAGGCUUGCCGGCCGCAGCGAGUUCAUCCGCGAGGCCGCGCAUGUGGGCGAAGUAGGUGGCGACGGAUUGGUUCCCCUUCUCCACGUUGAUGAGGGUCGUGCGGAUGUUGUUCACCCGGCUGAGGGACUGCGACGAGAACAUGCCUGCCAGAGCAGCCCAGAGCGCGGGCGACGUGGUGAUCGCGGUCACCUGCACGAGGACCUCCUUGGAGAGAUUGUUGAGCAGGUAGCUGAGGACCUGCUGGUCCUCCCGCACCCAUAUCGGGUGGAGAGGGUUGGGCUCCGAUGACUCCUUCCUAUCUUUUUCCUUGCUGACGAGGAGUCAGGCCGGCUCCCGUGUGGUGCCGUCGGCAUAGCCGAAGGCACUGGCGCCACGCAGCUGCGGCACGAUCUGGGCGUGCCACAGAACAUAGUUUGUGCGGGUAAGCUUCUCCGUGACUUGUUGGUUGAGGUUUGGGUGGGAGGAGCCAGAGGAAGACAUGGCUAGGGCAUUGAUGGAGAUGAGCUAGGCUAGAUGAGAUUGGAAUAGGAGGCUCCGUAUACCAUGUGCGAUGAGCAGAAAUGUCUUACCCUAUCGUGGGGGACGUGUUGUGUGUUAUAUAGAGGAUUGCGAGUCCUGAUACACGUACAAGUUUGUUGGAGAUAUACAUCUUGAGGGAGAAGAAAUAUAGGAGAUAAGGAAGCUAGUUACAACUGAAUACAAAGUUAAACCGUGUGCCUAUCUAUCUCCUGGAUACCAGAAAUAUCUCCUAAUGCGUAUCAUUGUGUAUCUUGUUUGAAACCCUAAACCCAUUGGGUUUUCUAAACCCAUGGGAAGCCCAUGAGGAAAUCGACAUAUUUAAGCAAACAUGAGGACUGGAGCUCUACAGCCUAGAACUAGAACUCUACCACUUGUGCUAAACAUUGACUCUGAGGCAACCGCGCUGACUGGAGUUGCAAAAGUAUCACGUGCUAGCAGUCUCAAAGUUGGAUUGUGUGUUCCACCAACUUUCCAUCAAUCUAACAGACUAAAUUUAUCUUUGUACAAUGGAACUAGCUCAUAUUCCAAGUAAUGGUCUAGCUCAGAUUUCAUCCUAAAAGAUGUUGGCCAUUUUUCAGCAACGCGUUCAUUGAAGAGUGACAUAAGGUCUUGAGCUUGCAAAGAAGAGAAUGAGCAAGAUGGUUGUCCAUGAUCAUCAUCACUCUCCAGAUUGUACUCCUCGAAUAUGCUUAUUGUAGUAUUUUGACGGGGAUGGCGGGUUUCGGGUUCGGGUACUGUUGAAACGGGUUUGAACCCGUUGAACGUGUCGGGUUUUAUACUUUACCCAACAGCAGCCCCGCGGGGUUAAACAGACGCCCAUCUCCGUCCCCCAAUAGGGUAAAACCGUGCGGGUUUUGGGGCCCCAUUGCCAUCUUGACUCGUGCCGGUCAUUAGAAUUUCAGGACGAGCGGAAAGCAGGUAAACCAUGUAGUUGGAGAUCGCCAUGCUUCCCUGCUGCAAAGCAUCUCCUUGAAGCACUGUAGCUGCAGAUGGGUGAUAAAAACAAAGGUCCGUGGUGAUGUGCCAGAGAAGGACCAUAUGGUCGAACGGCACCUUGGAGGCCCAACCUAGACAUCUCAGUUGACUGUUGAAUUUCUUGUAUCCACCAGGGUUGCCAAUGUAGUCCUUCCACCCACCUCUAAUGUGCCGAUGAACCAACCCGGUGAUCUGACGGCCAUGAGGCUCAUACCGAAUGUAACAGUUCAUGUUAAUGUACUAUCUCAGGCAAGUGAAGAUAGCAAGCUUCAUCAAAAUUGUGGGCUUCUUCUUGCGAACGCAGAAGGACAUGACGCUGAACUGGGAAACCAUGCCAUGCCACAAUUUGCCUGAAUGCGCUUGACGACAACACUUGAAAGGACUGUACAUGAUGGCUAAGAUCCAAGGUAUGAAGUCCAUUAAAGCAUUGCCACAAAAGAGGAUGUACGUCACCCUAACGUCGUUCUUGUUGUAACCAGCCUUUUUGCUUGUAGCGAAGAGCAGUACAGAAGCUAAGGACAAGGAUCGAAUAAACACAAACCAUAACCACCGCCUAAGACGAUUGGGCAUUGUCUUUGUCAUUGAUCCCAAUCUGCAAAACAAGAGCUCAAAGGUAUGAAUGAGGCACCGCUGCAACAUAUCAUGUGCAUGCUCAUCGUCAAGCUUCAUGAAAGAUUGCAGCUCACUAAGCCGAACAGAGUAAGGAGCAGACACUUUUUUUUAGAAAAAGAGGAUGACCCCCGGCCUCUGCAUCUGGGCGAUGCAUACGGCCAUUUUAUUAAUUAUUCUCACAAGACCUUACAAAGUCAUACAACAGUAAGACUAAAGCCGCCGUCUAAGCAACAAACUGUUGCUACACCUAUCCAGUUGAUGAAGGGGCGCAGAUAGCCUGGGCCUAAUACCAAGCGGACAUCGCAGCCAAGCCUAACAUCUAAGACCUGAGACCCCAACCUAGUCACCUGCCGGGUCUGGGGCUCACACUGGUCCGGCGUGCUCUCAGAGGCCGCCGCCGCCAACUGCCACCCCUCCAUCUUCAGAAUUGUACUGAUGCAUCAACCUUACUCGGUCCAGCUAUCGUCGACGCCACCGCGGCGCCCAACGACACCUCCUCCCUGCGCGCAAACAGCUGAACACGUCGCGGUCGCCACUGAUACACCUCAGCACCAUGUUGCCAAGUACCACCAGCCAACACAGCUUGAAGCCCUUGGAGGAUCUGUCGUGCGUAGCACCUGCCGACCAGGCAUGACCAAGCGUAGCACCUGUCGGUCCGGCAUGACUUAACAUCUCCACCGAAGCUCCGUGCAAGACGAAGCCGCUCCACCUCCUGCCUCCGACUUCCAGCGUUGCUCCACAAAACGAUGCUCCCAAGAGAGAAACGACACCGCGGUGCCGCCAUCGUACGGUCUUGAACACCAGAUCCUAGGGUUUCCCCCGGAGCAAUAUGAGUGGGUCGAUGGUAGUCACAUGACGAUGCCUUUAUCAAGGUAACGACAUGGAACGCCGCCAUCGCCCGCCGUCGGCUCGGUUUUCACCGGCAACUACAUCUUCCCGACUCACAGCUGGUGCCAGAUGACGGAUCCCGAGAUCCGAACACCCAACCUCAGGCCGACCACCUCUGACGAAAGAGAUGACCACCACCGCCGGCUGUAUCGGUCAGAACAGAUCUGAUCGGAGGUGUCCCCGACGAAACCACCAGGCCCAACACGCCGCCGUCGCCGAUCUGAAGGCAAGAUGCACGCCACCAUAGCCAAGCCGGCCGCCGCCUCCGUCGCCCGAAGGGCCAUCCGCAGCGCCCGCAGCCCUGGCCUCCGCCGCGCCAAGCCAUCGCCGUCCGAGGACGGGUUGGCCUCCCGCCGCCUGCAGCCAUCCGCCGUGCCGCAGAUCCCAGAUCGGUCGCGCCACCACAUGCCUUGGGGUCCGCCCCACCCCGGAGACUCGCGAGAGAGGAGAUCCCCCGCCACCGCCGUCGGCCCCCGGGCUUAGCCCGACGGUGUCUUCCGGCGGCGGCGGAGGGAGAGGAGGAGAGACUUUACAGCGGCGGCGGCUAGGUUUCUGGCUGCCCAAGUCGCCCUAGGGGGAGGACGACGCGGGGGCUUCUCUGGCGCCCCUCUAUUACAGCAGCGAUUUCUGUUUGCGAGCUGGGCGUGUUACCGAAAAAGGGUUUCCCCCGCUUUGUAUACAAAGCAACCAACCGAACCAUACAGGAAUAGGUGCUGGGACGGAAGCAGCACAGUCACGCCAAAAAAAAACGACGGAGAACGAACAAAAGAAACAAAUGCCGACAACGGCGGAUCAACAAAAACGAAGAAGCCUCGCGAUCGCUGCGCCCACCGGGCUCUUCCACUAGGCUCCAAGACUCCAAAGCACCGGCACCAAUCAACACCUCCAAGAAGGAUCGCGACGAUGACGACGCUACUUCCAAGGGUUUCUCCUGGUACACGAUGAGGCGAGAGGAAGGGUAGCCCCCGACGCCCUCCCGGAAGGUCAGGUGGCACCCACAAGCGCCACCGCGCUGGAGUCGGCCACGCCGACAGGGGUUUCCCCCGAUCCCAACCCGCACCUCGGGCGCUCCGGAUCCAACACCAAACCAACCACCACCAUGCGCCAACGCGGUCAUGAGGCCUCCACACCGUCUCACCACGGCACCGCGAAGUGAGGACAGCGCGGCGAAGAAUCAGAGCCGGGACUAGGGCAGCAGCAGCAUCGGCGUGCGGGAGGGCCCCACCUCCACCGUCAGCGACGGUAGCCGUCCGAACGCAAUAGCAGGAGCACACCAGGCCCGUAGGCCCAUAGGCCCGGCCGAGCCCUCGUGGGCCCGUAAAGCUCCCGCCUUCGCGCUGCUUCCGNNNNNNNNNNNNNNNNNNNNNNNNNNNNNNNNNNNNNNNNNNNNNNNNNNNNNNNNNNNNNNNNNNNNNNNNNNNNNNNNNNNNNNNNNNNNNNNNNNNNNNNNNNNNNNNNNNNNNNNNNNNNNNNNNNNNNNNNNNNNNNNNNNNNNNNNNNNNNNNNNNNNNNNNNNNNNNNNNNNNNNNNNNNNNNNNNNNNNNNNNNNNNNNNNNNNNNNNNNNNNNNNNNNNNNNNNNNNNNNNNNNNNNNNNNGGGCGCUAGGGCCUAGAUGGGGCCCGUCAGGCCCAAAUCUGGGCCGGGGGCACGUCGACGGCCACCCAACACCACCUCGCCGCCCCGCCUCCAAGGAGCGGCGCUGUCACCACGCCUACCGCUGGCCGCCGGACCGCAGCCAAGCCGGGCUGCACCGCCGCCGCCUCCCUGCCCCGGGAAGGCCCUUACUGAAGAAGUAGCAUCCUAGGUGUGGUUCAGGAGGGAGCACUCAUUCGAACGAACAAACUCUACUAACCACACGCUAGAUCCGAGCUAAUGCUCCCAUUUUCAGUUUCCUGAUGUACGUCUGCUUCGCUUCCUCUGUCUACGCGCCCAUGCCUCCAGCCAGACCGGGAAGGAAGGAACCCCAGUAAAACAACGCCUUGCCACGAGAGUUAGCAUCUCAAGAGUCAAGACUGAAUGAAGAGUUGGGUGCAUGAUUUGAAGCUCUGCCUUCGUUUUUCUGUUUCACGCCACCUAGGUUCUUAGCUGACACCCAUUUGUUAAGUUUGAUUGUAUCUGUUGGUUGGGGCCAUCGCUACACUGGCAGCCACUGAUCAACCCUUCUACUAGCACUCACUGAAUCUCUCACACAUCUGUCGUUGAUCCACCCUCAGCUGCUCUACCCAGCUCUAUCUUUUCAUUUUUCAGAUGAAUGCCCGCUCGGCCAGAAUUUGUCCCAACUGGUGGUUUAAUUUCUCAGAUUUUACUCACACUCCGCACAGGUGGAACAUAUGCAUAUGACGUGUUUGGUUUCUUGCAUUUCCCUCAACCAGACCCGCGUGGGAAGUUUGUGGCCGGUUUGGUUGCUCGCAUACACUGUUGGUCCUGCAUCGCAUGAAGUUUAACGCGCCUCUUUGUUAGACUGUAUAGCUUCUGUAUUUACAUGUGUAUACUGUAACAUUGUAUACCACCUCAUUAUAUAUAUGUGAUAGGCCAUCCCUAGAGGGUUGUGCUGGUUUCCCCCAAACCUAUUGUUUUACAUGAUAUCACGCUAGGUUACGAUCGCUUCCGCUAAACCCUAAUACCCGCACCGCCGCUGCCGCCGCCGUCGUCUUCACCGCCGCGCCCCCGAUCGCCCCGCCGCCAUGUCGAGCGCCGCCACCUCUGGUUCCACCUCCGCAGGGUUCCUACCGGCCUCCCUCGCGGCGCUGCUGAACCUUCCGUUGGACACCGCUGCUGUGCCGCCCCCGCUCGGGACCCGGAGCAUCGGCUCCUUCUUCUCGACUACGCCGACGCUCUCGCCAUUCGGGUGCGAGCUCGCGGUCCACACCGCGGCUGCAUUGUCCGCCCCGGUUCCUGCGGGUGCUACCCCGCCGCCACCACCGGUCGCGCCAGAGACCACCCUGCUGGCGGGCCUCGCGGCGUCAGCCCCGGCCGCGGUGCUGUCGGCCCCCCCGCCAUCUUCGGUCCCUCCGGCUGCCUCCAUGGUGCUCCCGCCCCAGGCAGCUUCUUCGAUUGGAUCGUCAUCGCCGCCACCGUUUCACUUCGGCCACCUCAUCACCAUCAAGCUGUCCGCCGACAACUACAUCUUCUGGCGCACGCAGGUUCUCCCACUCUUGGGGAGCCACUAUCUGCUCGGCUACAUCGACGGCUCACUUCCCUGCCCCCCGCACUGGUGGACAGCGUGCAGGGUCCGGUCUACAAUCCGGCCCACCGCGUCUGGACAGGGCAGGACCAGGCGAACCUCUCCUCUAUCCAGGGGUCGCUCUCGCCGGCUGUCGCCGGGCUUGUUGUUUUCGCCAAAACGUCUCAUGAGGCCUGGACCAUCCUUGAGCGCACCUUUGCGGCGCAGUCUCACGCCCGUGUCUCUACACUCCGUCGUCAGCUUGGCGAGUGUGUGAAGCUUGACUCCACGGCCACAGAGUUCUACAACAAGGUCAAGGGCCUUGCUGACACGUUGGCCUCCAUUGGACAGCCGCUCACCGACUCCGAGUUCAACUCCUUCAUCGUCAACGGGCUCGACGAGGAGUAUGAUGCCUUGGUUGAGAUCAUCAGCGAGCGGGGCAACUCGACUCCCGUGAUGGCACAUGAGAUCUACUCCCGUCUUCUCCUCACGGAGCAGCGAGUCGAGGCGCGUCGCUCCAAGUCCAGCCACGGCUCCCUCUUCGCGAACGCCGCCACUAAGGGUGGCCGCUCUUCUUCAUCAUCCCGGGCUUCUUCGGGGCUGCCACGACCGCCCGCCUCGGCCCCCCCUCCUACUGCGACAUUACCGGGGGCUGGCGGUCAGCGUGUGUGUCAGCUUUGUGGCCGCGAUGGGCACUGGGCCUCCAAGUGUCACAAGCGCUUCCAGCGGAGUUUUCUUGGUCUUGGCAAUGAUGGCAAGGAUACACGUAACCUUGCCCGUCAGGUCGCCAUGGCUGAUCGUCCGGCGACGCAGAAGCAACAGGGACACACUCAGUCCUACUCCAUUGAUCCACAUUGGUACAUGGACUCUGGGGCGACAGAGCACCUGACAAGCAAGAUGGGGAAGCUUCACACUCGUGAACCCUAUCAUGGCUCCGACAAGAUCCACACCGCCAAUGGAGCAUGUAUGCACAUCUCUCAUAUUGGUCAAGCAUCGCUUCUCACUAGACAUGCCAAUAGGAGUCUUCAGCUUCGCAAUGUUCUUCGAGUUCCAUCUGUGACACGUAAUCUUCUUUCGGUUCCUAAACUCACACGUGAUAAUGUGCUUUGUGAAUUUCAUCCUUUUGAUCUUUUUAUUAAGGAUCGGGGCACGAGGGACAUUCUUCUUAGUGGGCGGCUCUGCCAGGUGAUGGGGUUAUGUACCUAGGGUAGGGUCAUGGACCUGAUCCAAGUAAACUUACCCAAGGACAUCUUUAGAAGAGGUCGCCUUCCAGUCGACCAACGAAGGACUCACUCGACUGACCUGAAGGACUCGACCACGAAGACUCACUCGACCACCAGGAGGUCAAGAGGUACUCUGCACUGCAACGGCCUGUAAUUAAGUAGCCUUUAUAAUAGUAAAGGCACUUUAUGUGGGGCGUUAUCAGUAACACCCCAGACUUAACUCACCUUAAACCCUCUCCUACGUGGGCUGGCUGGGGUCCUGGCGCACUCUAUAUAAGCCACCCCCCUCCACAGGCAGAAGGGUUCGGCACCUUGUAGCUCAUAUACUCAUAAUCCACUCGACCGCCUCCGGGCUCCGAGACGUAGGGCUAUUACUUCCUCCGAGAAGGGCCUGAACUCAUACAUCCUUUGUGUUUACAACCUCUCCAUAGCUAGGACCUUGCCUCUCCAUACCUACCCCCCCACUCUACUGUCAGGCUUAGAACCAUGACAGUUGGCGCCCACCGUGGGGCAGGUGUUUUAGCGAUUUUGUGGAGAAGUUGCGAUUCUUCCGAGUACUUUCAUCAUGGUGUCUGCUGGAGUUAUGGUCGAGGGUCAAGAGAUCCGUCUCGGCACCCUCACCUUCAUCGCCGACGACUCCGCAUGGCUCCAGGAGGCUCCACUCGACGUAGAUGCGCUUCCCGUCCGUGGUGCGACGCACUUUCGCGCAUGUGUCCGCGGCGUUCUGCUGCGGCAGCCAUCGACCCAGUAUCGGUCGGCUCCUCCAUCGUCCACCCUCCCGGUCUCCCGCCAGCGCAGGCGCUCGGGCCGGUCGAGGCUUCAGCGAUGGGUGAGGCACGCGGUGGCUCGCCAAUCAGCCACCACCCAAGUCGCGGCAAUCGAGCCCGACGAAUACCUCUACGGCUUGUUCGACCUGUCGACUGGCUCCGUAGAGACUGCAUCCGAGUGCGGUAGCAAUGAUCCGGCGGCAGAAAUCUUGAUGGUCGACGGGCCCCGCGGUCCCCCUGGCUUCGCCCAUGACGGUGGAGCAGGUGACGGAGACGACCCCGCACGAGGCUACGAAGAGUACCAGCCCGAGCCACUCGACUCUCUGCAAAGAGAGGAACUUCGCCGCAGGAACGUGGAUGCUCUGCAUACUCCCAUCGCAGGAGAAACCCCCGAGGCUCGUGCCUUGGAGGAGGCGCGUUUGGCCAAUUUGGCCGAGUGCACUCGGCUGGAGAACCUUCAGCGAGCACUCGACGAGCGCGCGCGGCAACGAGUUCCCAACACCAAUCGACGUCAACUCUUCCCGCCGACUCAGGUAUAUCGAACCCCAAUCCAGAAUUUAGCAGCUGCGACCCGUAUAGCAGAGUCCAUCCAGCCUUCGCAGUCGGAAGCUGGCAGAGGUUUGCUGCAGAUCAAGGAUCUGCUUCGGGCAGCAGGGGAUCAGAAUUCAGCCGUGUCUCAGUCGCGCAACAGAAUUCACAGUCGAUCCGUCACUGUGAAUACAGUUCAGUCGGCUCACAGCCCCAGAUCGCCUCCGCGGCGUGAAGGGCGCGAGAAUCGGCGAGAUCAAUAUGGCGAUAGACUCGACCGAGAUGAUAGGCGUCGAGUGCCCAAUUCCCCUCCGAGGGAAGGGUCUUACGCUCCUCGGCAGCCAGAUGAUAGGCGUCAGUACAGUACAGGGCGUAGGGCUCCAGUCGACCCCAGAGAACCAGGCUUCGACGCGCGAUCCAUUAUCGUGCAAGGGUUGGUCGACCGGAACAGAGCCCAUCGAGGUGGACUCGACAGAGAUGUACCCACAAGCAGUCGAGUGCAUGUUUCUGGUCCUGAAUGUUUCAGCAGAGCUAUCAGAGCUGCAGUUAUCCCUCCCAAUUUCAGGUUGGCAACAGGAGUCAGCAAGUUCACUGGUGAGUCUAAGCCUGAAACUUGGCUUGAAGACUACCGAGUGGCAGUUCAGAUUGGCGGUGGGAACGACGAGGUGGCCAUGAAGAAUUUGCCCCUCAUGCUGGAAGGUUCUGCCAGGGCAUGGUUGACUCAAUUACCUCCCAGCAGCAUUUACACUUGGGAAGAUCUGUCCCGAGUGUUCGUCAGAAUGUUUGAAGGAACUUGCAAGCGACCAGCUGGAUUAACAGAGUUGCAAGUCUGCGUGCAGAAGGCUAAUGAGACUCUCAGGGAGUAUAUUCAGAGGUGGAUCACUUUGCACCACACUGUGGAAAAUGUGUCUGAUCAUCAGGUAGUCUGCGCCUUCAAAGACGGCGUCAAGAACAGAGAACUGAGUUUGAAGUUUGGUCGAACCGGUGACAUGACCUUGAGUCGGAUGAUGGAGAUUGCUACUAAAUACGCCAACGGUGAAGAAGAAGACCGACUCCGAAGCGGCAAGCACAAGCCGAGUCAGUCGGAAAAAGGAAACACCAGUCGGAAACAGAAGCGGAAAGCUGAACCGGCAGCUCCUGGAGAGGCUCUGGCCGUGACUCAGGGAAAGUUUAAGGGGAAACCAAAAGGAUCCUGGAACCCCAAGAAGGUAAAGGAUAAAGAAGGGAACGACGUAAUGGAUAUGCCAUGUCACAUACACACGAAGAAAGACGAAGAAGGGAAUAUCAUCAACCCGAAGCACACCACUCGCCAAUGUCGACUCCUGAUCCAGCAGUUUCAGGGAAAACAGUCUAAGGACAAGGAGAAGGAGUCGGACAAAGCUGAAGACAAGGAGGACAGUGAGGAAGGAUAUCCGCAUAUCAACUCCACUCUGAUGAUCUUUGCAGAUGUGGAAAGCAAGAGUCGACUGAAAGUCAUUAACCGAGAGGUGAACAUGGUUGCCCCAGCGAAAGCAAAUUAUCUGAAAUGGUCUCAAACACCCAUCACAUUCGACCAAUCUGAUCACCCGACUCAUAUUGCCACCCCUGCGAGGCAAGCUUUGGUGGUCGAUCCAGUUGUCGAAGGCACGCGACUGACAAAGGUGCUGAUGGAUGGUGGAAGUGGGCUGAAUCUGUUAUAUGCAGACACACUGAAAGGAAUGGGCAUUCCGAUGUCCCGACUAAGCACUAGUAACAUGAGCUUUCAUGGAGUUAUACCAGGGAAGAAAGCCGAGUCACUCAGCCAAAUAGCUUUGGACGUGGUGUUUGGUGACUCGAAACACUUUCGCAAAGAAAAGUUGACGUUUGAGGUCGUGGAUUUUCAGAGUGCAUAUCAUGCCAUUUUGGGGAGACCAGCUUAUGCACGGUUCAUGGCUCGACCAUGUUACGUGUACCUCAAAUUGAAGAUGCCCGGUCCCAAAGGAGUGAUCACUGUCACCGGUGAUAGGAAAAAGGCAGAAGAGUGCUUUCAGAAGGGCUCCAAGAUUGCCGAUUCCCAAGUGACAGCGGUCGAGUUCGAGGAGUACAAGCAAAACGCAGAUCCGAGUGAUUUGCUGCGAUCAAAGAAACCCGCCACAGAGUCUGCAUUCCAGUCGUCUGGGGAGACGAAGCCUGUUCAUAUUCACCCGACCGACCCCGAUGCAGCUCCGACCCGCAUCUCCACAACACUCGACCCAAAAUAGGAAGAAGCGCUCAUCCAGUUCCUUCGUGAGAACUGGGACAUUUUUGCAUGGAAGCCCGCUGACAUGCCAGGUGUUCCCAGGGGACUGGCUGAGCAUCGGUUAAGAGUCGACUCAUCUGCAAAACCAGUCAAAGAGCAUCUUCGGCGGUCCGCCGUCCAGAAGAGAAAAGCCAUUGGUGAAGAAGUGGCUCGACUGUUGGCGGCAGGAUUUAUCCGAGAGAUAUACCACUCCGAGUGGCUCGCUAAUGUCGUCAUGGUUCCUAAGAAGGACAAGUCGCUCCGAAUGUGCAUUGAUUUCAAGAACAUCAACCGGGCCUGCCCGAAAGAUCAUUUUCCUCUCCCUCGCAUAGAUCAAAUUGUUGACUCGACCGCGGGAUGCGAGAGGUUAUCUUUUUUAGAUGCUUACUCCGGGUACCACCAGAUCCGUCUGUACGGGCCCGACGAGGUAAAAACAGCUUUCAUCACUCCAUUCGGGUGCUUCUGCUAUAUCACCAUGCCAUUCGGCCUCAAGAAUGCCGGAGCCACAUUUAUGCGAAUGAUUCAGAAGUGUCUACUCACUCAAAUCAGUCGGAAUGUGGAAGCAUAUAUGGAUGAUAUCGUUGUCAAGUCACGAAAAGGUUCCGACCUGCUCGCUGAUCUCGCCGAAACAUUUGCCAACCUCAGAAGGUAUGAUAUCAAGCUCAAUCCAUCAAAGUGCACAUUCGGAGUUCCUGGUGGCAAGUUACUCGGUUUUCUCGUUUCCGAACGAGGAACCGACUGAUGAAGAAGACAGACAAGUUCGAGUGGACUCCAGAAGCUGAUGCAGCGUUUGCCGAGCUCAAAACUCUGCUCUCCACCCAGCCGGUGCUUGCUGCUCCAAUCAGCAAAGAGCCUCUGUUGCUCUAUAUCGCAGCCACAGGACAAGUCGUCAGUACUGUGCUUACGGUCGAGCGGGAAGAAGAAGGAAAAGCUCUCAAAGUUCAGCGCCCAGUGUAUUAUUUGUCUGAAGUCUUGAAUCCAUCCAAGCAGAGAUAUCCUCAUUAUCAGAAGCUUGUGUAUGGAAUAUACAUGACCACAAAAAAGGUUGCUCAUUAUUUUUCUGAUCAUUCCAUCACAGUCGUCAGCGACGCUCCACUAUCAGAGAUUUUGCACAACAGAGAUGCAACUGGUCGAGUGGCCAAAUGGGCGAUUGAACUUCUUCCUCUUGAUAUCAAGUUUGAGGCAAAGAAAGCCAUUAAGUCCCAGGCAAUAGCAGAUUUCCUCGCCGAGUGGAUUGAACAACAGCAGCCGACUGAAGUUCACUCGGAGCAUUGGACCAUGUUCUUCGAUGGCUCUAAGAUGUUGAAUGGUUCCGGUGCUGGGGUUGUCCUGGUUUCCCCCAGAGGAGAUAAGCUCAGAUACGUGCUCCAGAUUCACUUCGAUUCCUCCAACAAUGAGGCAGAAUAUGAGGCCCUCUUAUAUGGGUUGCGCAUGGCCAUUUCACUCGGCGUCCGUCGCCUGAUGGUCUAUGGCGACUCGGAUUUAGUGGUCAACCAGGUGAUGAAAGAGUGGGACGUGAGAAGCCCAGCCAUGACUGGAUACUGCAGUGCAGUGAGGAAGCUGGAAAAGAAGUUCGAGGGGUUGGAGCUCCAUCACAUACCCCGACUGAAAAAUCAAGCAGCUGAUGAUCUAGCAAAGAUAGGUUCCAAGAGGGAAGCCAUUCUGAGUGGUGUGUUCUUGGAGCAUAUACACACUCCGUCAGUCAAAGAAGAUCCUUUCACCGAAGAGACUCCACAGCCCAAGAGUGCCACAGAUCCGACUGUGGUCGAAGUCCCAGCAGUGGUCGACUUAAUCAUGGAGGUCUUGGUGGUCAUUCCCGACUGGACAGUUCCAUAUGUCGCGUAUAUCCUGAGAAAAGAGCUUCCGGAGGAUGAGGAAGAGGCUCGGCAGAUCGUCCGUCGAUCUAAGGCCUUUACCGUAAUCAAAGGACAAUUAUACAGAGAAAGCGCGACUGGAGUUGGUCAGAAGUGCAUAACGCCAGAAGAAGGUCGACUCAUCCUCAAUGAUAUCCACUCGGGGACCUGUGGUCAUCAUGCGUCCUCUUGGACCAUCGUGGCCAAAGCAUACCGAGCUGGAUUUUACUGGCCAAGGGCGAAUGAGAUGGCAAAAGAGAUAGUGGAUAAGUGCGAGGGAUGUCAGUUCUACUCGAAUAUGUCACACAAGCCUGCGUCAGCUCUGAAGACCAUCCCACUCGUCUGGCCUUUCGCAGUAUGGGGAUUGGACAUGGUCGGUCCUUUGAGAAUAGGACGAAGUGGCUUCACGCAUGUACUGGUGGCAGUCGACAAGUUCACCAAGUGGAUCGAGGCUAAACCAAUCAAGAACCUUGACGCCAGUACUGCCGUUAGCUUCAUCAGGGAACUAAUAUUCAGAUAUGGAGUCCCGCACAGCAUCAUUACAGAUAAUGGGUCGAACUUUGACUCGGAGGAAUUCAGAGAUUUCUGCAAUUCCCAAGGCACACGGGUCGACUACGCUUCAGUCGCCCAUCCGCAGUCGAAUGGACAAGCAGAGCGAGCUAAUGGACUGAUUCUUAAGGGAUUGAAGCCCCGACUGAUGCGUGAUCUCAAACACGCAGCUGGAGCUUGGGUCGACGAACUUCCCUCAGUGCUUUGGGGGCUGCGGACCACACCUAAUCGGUCGACCGGAAGAACUCCAUUCUUCUUGGUCUACGGAGCCGAAGCAGUCUUACCGAGUGAUCUUCUUCACAAUGCUCCACGAGUUGAAAUCUACAACGAAGCAGAGGCUGAACAAGCGCGGCAGGACGCAGUCGACCUUUUAGAGGAAGAAAGGGAGAUGGCUCUGAUCCGCUCGACCAUCCACCAACAAGAUUUGCGUCGUUUUCAUGCCAGAAAUGUGAGAGGUCGAGCCUUCCAGGAAGGAGAUUUAGUUCUCCGAGUGGAUCAGCACAAACCACACAAGCUUGCUCCUUCUUGGGAAGGUCCCUUCAUCGUCACCAAGGUUCUCCACAACGGGGCGUACCGUCUUUACAACGUCGAGCAUAAUAUCGACGAGCCCCGAGCUUGGAACGCGGAGCUACUCCGCCCAUUUUAUACUUAAGUUUUAUCACUCGGAUGAGUUGCAAUAAAGUACUUCAGUAGUCCAUGGACCUCAAAAUAAUAGUGUCAUAGUUCCUCCAUAAUUUCUGUCACUUUUUAUUUUUGUACAAAUAAAAUUCCCCCUCAGUGGGUGAUUUAGCCGCGAAUCCGUUUCGCCUAAGUUUGUAAAAAUCCUACCGAGUGAGGAGCCAGACUCUCACUCGGAGGCUUAGCUACGAAUCCGUUUCGCCUAAGUUAUCAAAAUCCUACCGAGUGGUAAGCCAGACUUUCACUCGGGGGGCUUAGCUGCGGCCCUGUGCUCGCCUAAGUUGUAAAAAAUCCUACCGAGUGAAGAGCAACCCUCUCACUCGGGGGCUUAGCUGCAGCCCUGUGCUCGCCUAAGUUGUAAAAAAUCCUACCGAGUGAAGAGCAACCCUCUCACUCGGGGGCUUAGCUGCAGUCCAAGCACUCGCCUAAGUUAUCAAAAUCCUACCGAGUGAGGAGCAACCCUCUCACUCGGGGGCUUAGCUGCAGUCCAAGGACUCGCCUAANNNNNNNNNNGUUCUCCGAGUGGAUCAGCACAAACCACACAAGCUUGCUCCUUCUUGGGAAGGCCCCUUCAUCGUCACCAAGGUUCUCCACAACGGGGCGUACCGUCUUUACAACGUCGAGCAUAAUAUCGACGAGCCCCGAGCUUGGAACGCGGAGCUACUCCGCCCGUUUUACACUUAAGCUUUAUCACUCGGAUGAGUUGCAAUAAAGUACUUCUGUAGUUCAUGGACCUCAAAAUAAUAAGUGUCAUAGUUCCUCCAUAAUAUCUGUCACUUUUUAUUUUUUGUCCAAUGAAAUUCCCCUCAGUGGGUGACUUAGCUGCGAAUCCGUUUCGCCUAAGUUUGUAAAAAUCCUACCGAGUGGUGAGCCAGACUCCCACUCGGAGGCUUAGCCGCGAAUCCGUUUCGCCUAAGUUAUCAAAAUCCUACCGAGUGGUGAGCCAGACUCCCACUCGGAGGCUUAGCUGCGAAUCCGUUUCGCCUAAGUUAUCAAAAUCCUACCAAGUGGUAAGCCAGCCUUCCACUCAGAGGCUUAGCUGCAGCCUCGUGCUCGCCUAAGUUAUAAAAAUCCUACCGAGUGAAGAGCAACCCUCUCACUCGGGGGCUUAGCCGCAGCCAUGUGCUCGCCUAAGUUAUAAAAAUCCUACCGAGUAGAGAGCAACCCUCUCACUCGGGGGCUUAGCUGCAGUCCAAGCACUCGCCUAAGUUGUGAAAAUCUUACCGAGUGAAGAGCAAUCCUCACACUCGGAGGCNNNNNNNNNNNNNNNNNNNNNNNNNNNNNNNNNNNNNNNNNNNNNNNNNNNNNNNNNNNNNNNNNNNNNNNNNNNNNNNNNNNNNNNNNNNNNNNNNNNNNNNNNNNNNNNNNNNNNNNNNNNNNNNNNNNNNNNNNNNNNNNNNNNNNNNNNNNNNNNNNNNNNNNNNNNNNNNNNNNNNAGUAGAGAGCAACCCUCUCACUCGGGGGCUUAGCUGCAGUCCAAGCACUCGCCUAAGUUAUAAAAAUCCUACUGAGUGAAGAGCAAACCUCUCACUCGGAGGCUUAGCUGCAGCCCUGUGCUCGCCUAAGUUAUAAAAAUCCUACCGAGUGAAGAGCAACCCUCUCACUCGGGGGCUUAGCUGCAGUCCAAGCACUCGCCUAAGUUAUCAAAAUCCUACCGAGUGAGGAGCAACCCUCUCACUCGGGGGCUUAGCUGCAGUCCAAGCACUCGCCUAAGUUAUCAAAAACCCUACCGAGUGGUAAGCCAGACUUCCACUCGGAGGCUUAGCUGCAGCCUUGUGCUCGCCUAAGUUAUAAAAAUCCUACCGAGUGAGAGCAAACCUCUCACUCGGAGACUUAGCUGCAGUCCAAGCACUCGCCUAAGUUAUCAAAUCCUACCGAGUGAAGAGUAAAACCUCUCACUCGGGGGCUUAGCCGCAGCCCAGUGCUCGCCUAAGUGGACUAAAGAAUAAGUCAAUUGCAGUAAAGGCGCCUUGCUUUGAACCUGCAAAAGACAUUUCGAGCCGAAGGCAAUCGUAUUCAAGCACCGAAUUCAAGUUUGAAUCGAUAUCUAAAGGAACCGAAAGUGCUCAGGCGUCAAGCCCGUUAAGGUUUGUCGGUUACAAUUCCACUCGGCAUACCGAGGCAAAUUUAAAGCGUCGAGCCAGAAGAAGUUUUUUACCCCUCCUGUGGAGGGCUGGAAGGUGCAACGAAUUCAUCAAGGUCAAUUCCGUCGGCGAUCCGAGUGGCAGCUUCAAGGAAAGUUUCCAUAAAGGACCUGAAGUCGUGCUUCUUGGUAUUGGCCACCCGAAGGGCCGCCAGCUUCUCUUCUCGCGCAUCUUUGCAGUGGACUCGGGCCAGACACAGAGCGGCAUCUGCACCACACCGAGCCGAGGACUUCUUCCACUCCUGCACUCGACCAGGGAUCGUGUUCAAGCGGGUCAUCAGCGACUCAAGGUCAUUCUGAAGUGUCUCCUCAGGCCAGAGCGUCGAGUCGAUGCACGAUGUGGCGGCCUUCAACCUUGCGAGAUAGUCCACGACAGCUGCAACACGGGACUCCAGUCGGAAAACUUCCAUGGCAACUUCGUCGUUCACCGGAGAAUUGACGGGGUCGAGGUUUGGCUCCAGCCGGCUAGUUUCUUCUUCAAAGUUUUGACAAAAUUCUGCAAGGGUGAUCACUAAGUCAAGGGGAUGGUCGAAUGGAAAAAUCACAAUUGGAAAUGUCUGCCAAGCAUAGAGGUUUACCUUCAAGCAUAAGAAACAGCUUCUUGGCAAGUCCACUCAGGAAGGCCUCCAGAUCAGUUCUCUUCCCAGUCAAUUUGCUUACUUGGUCGGUCAGGGCAGCUUUAUCAGUUUUCAGUCGACUGACCUCCUUGUUGGCAAUCCCAAGAGCAGCUUUCAGAUUGGUAUUGUCUUGUUCCAGCUUGGUGACUGAAGCUAACUUCUCGUCAGCAAGCUUGAUCUUCUCAGCUAGCUCAAGGUCUUUCUUCUGUUGGGCCUCCCUUACCUUACCUGCAAGUUACAGCAAGAUCAGAUUUUGAAACAAGUAAGGGGAAAAGCAGUCGUCAGGGUCUCACUAAACAUACCUUCGGUCUCCUCCUUUGCCUUUGUCAGCUUCUCCUGAACCAGCUUCAAGCUCAGCUCGACUUGAGUAUGCUUGUGUUCCAGCUCUGAGUAGCGCGCCACAAGAUCACAAGAGUUCUGCGAAGAACCAAUCGACUAAAUGUCAAAUAUAAUCCACUUCCGAGUGAAAAAGGGAAAAACACACGUUUCUAAGACUACAGCCGAAUACAAGCAUUCGACCGUAGUCUCGGGGACUACACCCAGUGGGUGCACUCAGCGUGCCCCCACUAAUCCUGUUGAAGACAAAGUCGACCAGUCGACCUCAAAAAAAAUGUGCGAGAUGCAUUCUCUAAGACUGUGAUCAACUGCAAGCAGUCGACCACAGUCUCGGGGACUACACCCAGUGGGUGCACUCAGCGUGCCCCCACCGGUUCGUGAAAUCCAGUCGACAUAGUCGACUGACAGCAAGAUUGACAUCAAUAAAGCCUAAGGCCGACUGCCAGCAGUCGACCUUAGCCUUGGGGACUACACCCAGCGGGUGCACUCAGCGUGCCCCCGCUAAUACGGAGCUCAAUCGACAACACCCAGCGGGUGACUACUAUAAAUCCCAGAAAGGAAAAGUUUGUGGCAGCAUAUCCAACAGAACAAACGGUGGUCGACUGACCUGAACAUUGCUUUGGAGGGCAGAACUGGCGUCAUAAGCUGCCUGGCUCGCGUCCCGGAUGGUCUUCAGCUGCUCCAUCAUGAUUCCCGCCUGGUGUAUCGCCUCCUUCGCUGCGCCAGCUUGGUCCUCUGGGACGUGGUGCGUCGUGAAGAGGGAGGGUUGCUGAGCACUCGUCAGCGGAUUUGCGAAGGACACCGUGUGUCGAGUGGUGUUCUCUUCCUCCACAGUCAGAAUCUCAGGCGCCGUCACAUCCUGAGGCACCUUACUGACGGAUGCUUUCCGACUCCUCCUGCGCUUCAGCGGCUCUUCGUCCUCAUCAUCAUCAGGAAGAUUAAUAACAGUAUUGGGUGGAGCUGCGGAGGAGAAUCAGGAUUAGAGAUCGCGAGUUAGUCGACUAAGAACGGCGUUAAGAAUACAGUACCUAGGUUCGAAGUUGCUGCGUCCUCCAUCUCGUGGUCAUCGGCCCGGGCCGAGGUUUCAGAAGUAGCAGCACUGCAACUCCAAAGGAUCAGUCGACUAAUUUCAGCGUCGACCGGAGACAAAGUCCACACAAAAUAAGAAGACUUAAGCAGCACGAUUACCCUGAUAUGGUGGGGAUGGACACCUUCAUCUUCGGCAGGAGCUUGAUCGGCUUCGACGAGGCCGCCCUGGGCUGCUUCGGCGCCUUCUCAGUCGGCACCGGAGAGGUGGUCCGAGGGCGCUUGGUCGACUGAGCGGCGGUCGCAACCCCCUUACCACGUUCGGUUGAAGGGUCGUGGACAAGCUUCGACCACCUUUCCGAGCGCGGUGGUACGACCUCCUCCUCCUCUUCCUCCUCGUCUUCAACGUCAUCUUCAUCACCACCAUCAUCGUCAUCAUCAUCAUCAUCCUCUGCAAUGUCCGAGUCCCAUUCCUCCUCGUCCUGGCUCUCGCCCCCACUCGCCUCACCCUCCUCAGUCGGAGUUUGUGCCCCAUUGGGCAUCGAGUACAGCUCGGUGAGGGCCUAGCAGAUAUCAAGACAAGGAUCAGUCGACCAGUCGGCAGAGUAAACAGAAAUGAAUGCGACAAGAACGCAGUGGAGUGCAGAGCAAGUGUACCUUGUUUGGAUCGCUUUUGUGGUCGAGUGGAGGAAUCCUUCUAGCUCCGCGUGGGUUGUCCUUGUUUCCGGUAACGGCUACCAUCCAUCUUUCCAGAGUGACAUCGUCAACUGCUUCCGGAUGGACUCGAGUCUCGUCUUCAGUCCCACAGUACAACCACAUGUAGUGGCUCCGGAACUGCAGGGGCUGGAUACGACGCCUAAGGAAGACCUCCAAGAGAUCCAUGCCCGUCACUCCCUCCUGAACCAGCUGCACCACGCGCUCCAUCAACAUCUUCACGUCCGCUUUCUCCUCCGGAAUCAACUUCAGAGAGGAAGGCUUGUUCACUCGGUCCAUUGUAAACGGUGGGAGUCCACUCGACUGCCCCGGCGUCGACUGGUCCUGGCAGUAGAGCCAAGUCGACUGCCAGCCUCUGACCGACUCGGGAAAGGUCAUGGGCGGGAAGGUGCUCUUAUUCCUCACUUGGAUCCCCAGACCCCCACACAUUUGGACGACUCGGGUUCUCUCAUCACCUGGGCUCGCCUUCUUCACGGUCUGAGAGCGACACGUGAAUAUAUGUUUGAACAAACCCCAGUGCGGUCGACAGCCCAAGAAACCCUCACACAUGGACACAAAUGCGGCAAGAUAGGCGAUAGAGUUUGGGGUAAAGUGGUGGAGCUGCGCUCCGAAGAAAUUCAAGAAGCCACGGAAGAAAAUACUCGGAGGCAAGGAAAAUCCAUGAUCAACAUGGGUGGCCAAGAGCACACACUCACCCUCUUCUGGCUGGGGCUGCCAUUCCUUCCCCGGAAGCCUCGCAGCUCCAUGAGGGAUCAAGCCCUCGUUGGCCAUGUCGAGGAGGUCCUUCUCUGUGAUGGUCGACUGGAUCCAGUCUCCUUGGACCCAGCCCUUCGGCAGGCGAGAUCUGGAAGAAGACCCUCCGCGGCUGGUAGAUCUCCCCUUCGCCUUCUCCGACGCCGACGCCUUCUUCGCACGCUCCAGCGCCGCCGUCUUCUCCUUGGCCAUGGUUGCCGGCGAGGUGCGCGCGGGGGAGUUGUGCGGGGGCGAGAGCGAGCGCGCUGAACGGGAAUGAAGGGAGCAGAGAGAGAGAGAGAGAGAGAAUGCUGAGGCACAGUACAGAAAUCCUCGCCGGGCGCAUUUAUAAGGUCCCUUCCGAGUGGCUGACAUGUGGGCCCGGUCGAUCCAAUCAUAUCAGGAACAGUUAUGCAGACGGGAUACGUGGCAGAUAAAGCGGCGCGGAGAUCGAGGCGUCUAUGUCCCGUCCCAUCCGAACGCCGCGGUCCGCUCCACUUCACGCGCGUCCCCAAAUUUCGCAUCCCGCGGAAUCCGCGAGCAGCAGAUCAGUCUAUCAGACACGAGGUUUCCGGCGAUCCGUCGCUCGGAGAUCGUCGAAGCCCGAAAGAUCACUCGACAAAAGAAGAGAAUGGAUCAAGUCGACUGAAGACAAGUUGUACACUGUCGAUGAAGAGGUUCUUUGGUCCAGAACAGCGCACGACCAGAGCGCGAAGUUUAAUCGGAAACAACAUCAACUCCUUCUUCACUCGAAGCCUCAAUCCAUUCGGGGGCUAAUGAUGGGGUUAUGUACCUAGGGUAGGGUCAUGGACCUGAUCCAAGUAAACUUACCCAAGGACAUCUUUAGAAGAGGUCGCCUUCCAGUCGACCAACGAAGGACUCACUCGACUGACCUGAAGGACUCGACCACGAAGACUCACUCGACCACCAGGAGGUCAAGAGGUACCCUGCACUGCAACGGCCUGUAAUUAAGUAGCCUUUAUAAUAGUAAAGGCACUUUAUGUGGGGUGUUAUCAGUAACGCCCCAGACUUAACUCACCUUAAACCCUCUCCUACGUGGGCUGGCUGGGGUCCUGGCGCACUCUAUAUAAGCCACCCCCUCCACAGGCAGAAGGGUUCGGCACCUUGUAGCUCAUAUACUCAUAAUCCACUCGACCGCCUCCGGGCUCCGAGACGUAGGGCUAUUACUUCCUCCGAGAAGGGCCUGAACUCGUACAUCCUUUGUGUUUACAACCUCUCCAUAGCUAGGACCUUGCCUCUCCAUACCUACCCCCCCACUCUACUGUCAGGCUUAGAACCACGACACCAGGGCCUCUAUCGUCUAGAGCAUCCUAGCGUCGCUCGCGUUUUCAGUGGAGUACGAGUAUCUCCGUCACAGUGGCAUGCUCGUCUUGGUCACCCGGCCACACCUAUUGUCCGGCAUGUUUUGCGUCGUCAUGAGCUUUCUAGUGUGUCUAGCAAUAAAGAUGUAGCAGUGUGUGAUGCUUGUCAGCAGGGGAAGAGUCAUCAACUUCCUUUUUCGGAGUCCAGUCGUGAGGUGAAACAUCCUUUAGAACUUGUGUUUUCAGAUGUAUGGGGUCCUGCUCAGACUUCUGUCAGUGGUCAUAAUUAUUAUAUCAGUUUCAUUGAUGCUUACAGUCGCUUUACUUGGCUUUAUCUUAUCAAACGUAAAUCUGAUGUGUUUGACAUUUUUGUUCAGUUCCAAAAACAUGUUGAACGCCUUCUCAAGCACAAAAUUGUUCAUGUUCAGUCGGACUGGGGCGGCGAGUAUUGCAACCUCAACUCCUUUUUUCAGUCGCUUGGGAUCGCUCACCGUUUAGCAUGCCCACAUACACAUCAGCAGAAUGGUUCAGUAGAACGUAAGCAUCGUCACAUUGUUGAAGCUGGUCUUACUCUUUUGGCCCAUGCAUCUGUUCCGUUUCAGUUUUGGAGUGAUGCUUUCACCACUGCAUGUUUUCUCAUCAAUCGUACUCCCACUCGUGUUUUGCACAUGAAGACUCCCAUUGAAGUUCUCCUUAAUGAACAACCGGACUACACCUUUCUCAAGGUGUUUGGGUGUGCUUGCUGGCCCCAUCUCCGUCCAUAUAACAAGCGCAAGCUCGAGUUUCGUUCUAAGAAGUGUGUUUUUCUUGGUUAUAGCUCUCUUCAUAAAGGAUACAAAUGUCUUCAUGUGCCCACUAAUCGUGUCUACAUCUCUCGGGAUGUUGUGUUUGAUGAGCAUGUAUUUCCCUUUGCCAAACUCCCUGUGUCCACUACCGAAACACCACCCAUGCAUUCAUCCUCUGUUGCUUCUGACCAAUUUGAUGAUGUUGCAUUUUCUCCUCUGUUGUUACCUAACCAGGGUGCAGGCACUGGUCGUGGGGCUCGUUUGGAGAUUUUAGAGGCGCCAUCGCCUCCUUCGUCGCCAUCGCUCUUCUCGUCGGCACCUUCAGCUGUGCAUGACGAUCACAUGGCGCCCCUGCAUGGCCUCGGUCCCCGUGCCCAUGCACGACCAAUCGCUGCCCCGGUCCAGCCGCCCGCUUCGUCGCCUCUGGCUUCUGGGCCGACAUCGCCACAGUCGUGCCCCGCGACCCCGGUCACGCCAGCAGCGACUGGGCCGCCCUCACCUGCCCCCGUCUCGCCCAGGGCGUCUGGGCCGUUGUCACCAGGGUCGGCCUCGCCCGCCCUCGUCUCGCCUAGGGCGUCUGGGCCAUCGUCACCGGAGCCGGCCUCGCCCGUCCUCGGUUCGCCCAUGGCCUCUGGGCCACUGUCAUCAGGGCCUGCUUCGCCCAGGCCGGUUUUGGCCUCUUGCAGCCCGGAGCCGUUCGGUACUGGCUCUCCUGAGGCGACGUCUGGCUCUUCGCUGACCGCGCCGUCUCCAUUGCCCUCGACUUCGAUGGCUCCUGCUGCUGCUCUACGUCCACAUACGCGCAGCCGGAGUGGCAUUUUUCAGCCUAAGCAACAUCAUGAUGGAACAGUUGCCUGGUUAGCUGCCUGCAUGUCUGCUGCUCUUGCAGAUCCAUCCUCCGAGCCACGCACGUAUCAAGCUGCUAUGCGCAUUCCUCGUUGGAGAGAGGCCAUGGAGCAGGAGUAUCAAGCUCUCAUUCGUAAUUAGACAUGGACUCUUGUUCCUCCACCAUCACGGGUUAAUGUCAUUGAUUCUAAAUGGGUUUUCAAAGUGAAGAGGCAUUCUGAUGGAUCCAUUGAGCGCUACAAAGCUCGUCUGGUUGCCCGUGGUUUUCGACAACAUUUUGGUCUUGACUAUGAAGACACCUUCAGUCUAGUGGUCAAGCCUACUACCAUCAGGCUUCUUCUCUCUCUUGCCGUUACUCGAGGUUGGUUUCUUCGUCAUCUUGAUGUUCAAAAUGCCUUCCUUCAUGGUGUGUUGGAGGAGGAGGUCUACAUGCGCCAGCCUCCGGUUUUCUCUGAUCCAGAUCGCCCUGAUCAUCUCUGUCGUCUGUCCAAGGCACUCUAUGGUCUGAAGCAGGCUCCUCAUGCUUGGCAUGCUCAUCUUGCAAUGGCUCUUCAUGCUCAUGGUUUUGCAUCAUCAACUGCUGACUCCUCACUGUUUCUUCUAUAGAGGCCUGAGGUUACUAUGUACUUGUUGGUCUAUGUCAAUGAUAUCAUUUUGGUCAGCUCUUCUCAGUCGGCUGCUACUGCGCUUGUUCGCUCGCUUGGUGCUGAUUUUGCGGUCAAGGACCUUGGGAAGCUUCACUACUUUCUUGGUGUGGAGGUUACUUCUCGGGCUGAUGGUCUUGUUAUGAUGCAGAAGAAGUACUCUGGAAUUGUUGCAGCAAGCUGUGAUGCUUAAGUGCAAACCGACGACUACACCCAUGUCUGCCACUGACAAGCUCACUGCUGUUGAUGGUGUGCUUCUAUCUUCUUCUGAUGCGACGGAGUACAUGAGUAUUGUUGGUGGUCUUCAGUACUUGACGAUCACACGACUGGACAUUUCCUUUGCUGUUAACCGAGUCUGCCAGUAUCUGCAGUCACCCCGUGAUACUCAUUGGUCUGCUGUUAAGCGUAUUUUGCGCUACAUUCGAUUCACGGUGACUCAUGGAUUGCAUAUUCGACCGUCAUCCUCUGGCUGUCUUUCAGCAUAUUCUGAUGCAGAUUGGGCUGGCAAUCCAGAUGACAGGCGAUCCACGGGGGGUUAUGCUGUGUUCUUUGGCUCUAACCUGAUUUCUGGAGUGCUCAGAAACAGGCCACUGUCUCGCUUAGCAGUACUGAGGCUGAGUAUAAAGCUGUGGCCAAUGCCACUUCAGAGAUUAUCUGGGUACAGUCUUUGCUCCGGGAGUUGGGUAUAUCCCAAUCACAGCCUCCUAUUCUUUGGUGUGAUAACAUCGGUGCUACAUACCUUUCUGCAAAUCCGGUAUUCCAUGCCCGAACGAAACACAUUGAAGUUGACUAUCACUUUGUGUGUGAAUGUGUCUCUCAGAAGCAACUACAGAUCAAGUUUAUUUCUUACAAGGAUCAACUUGCAGACAUCUUCACCAAGCCAUUGCCUUUACCACAGUUUGAGGCUUGCAGGCGCAAUCUUACCCUUCUAGAUUCUUUAGGAAGUGGCUAAGAUUGAGGGAGGGUGUUAGACUAUAUAGCUUCUGUAUUUACAUGUGUAUACUGUAACAUUGCAUACCACCUCAUUAUAUAUAUGUGAUAGGCCACCCCUAGAGGGUUGUGCUGGUUUCCCCCAAACCUAUUGUCUUACACUCUUUUCCUUCAACAAUGUGCAGAUGUUGACUUUUUGCCUGCUUUCCUUCAACCAGGCUCGGUUGGGCCAUGCUGAGCUAGCCAGGCCUGGCUCCUACGGCAACCAAAACAUGCCCAUACUAACCAGAUUUAUGGGUUUUCAUACUAGACCCUCAUGUUCCACCUGCAUGUACAUGUAUGGAGACGUAGUGCAGAUACUGUUGCACAUGCAGAGGCCGGGGGUUUAACCUCCUUUUCUAAAAAAAAUACUGUCGCACAUGAACUUCCUAGUAUGGGUCGUAUGUGCGAACCGGAUCGCUCUGUAAUUUGGGAGUCUGAUGUUCCAGCCACUAUGGCAGCUUGUGCUGUGGGCGACCUGCCUAAACACCAUUAAGUUAUAAAGCUUUGCUUUUCCCCUAAAAAUAGGUGAGGACUAUGAUUAUGUGAUGAGAGUAAUUCCAGAUCACGACGAGGCAAUCUCACUAGAUACCAUCUCUUGGGAGAUUAACAAAGGAAUAAAAUUGUUGGCUACUCUUGUUUCCUUUUGUUCUUGACAUUGAAGUCAAACAAGCUAGUGACAUAGUGUUCGAAAACUUUGGUCGCUAUAUUGUUGAUGUUGUUCACUCUCACAAAACGGAAACCCGUCCUCAAAACACUCGAGUUCCCUCAUGGUAAUGAAUGAAGUUGUUAUUUAAGCUUGUGCUCAAUUGCUACUCCCUCCGUUCCUAAAUAUUUGUCUUUCUAGAGAUUUCAAAUGGACUACCACAUACGGAUGUAUAUAGACAUAUUUGAGAGUGUAGAUUCACUCAUUUUGCUUCGUAUGUAGCCACUUGUUGAAAUAUCUAAAAAGACAAAUAUUUAGGAACGGAGGGAGUAGAUUGCUACUUUGAUAAGUUUGAGGGGAGUGUCUCAACCCGAAGUUGAUGAGGAUCUUAAUAACUGUUUGCACAUAGCACUUGUUUGCAAUCUCUCAAUGCUAAGCUCUCAGGAAAUUCACAAGUACAUGGGCAGUCUGAAUGAGGAGCGCAGAUCCUGUAAAGAAAUUUGGUCCACUGUGCACUACAGUUUCAGAUCAUUAUUUUUUCCUCGAGGAGGGGUGUGUCAGCAAGGGAAGGAGAAGCCAGAGAUAAAUGAUGCCCUGUAUUUCUCUUUGUAGCAAGAAUAAUGUAUAUAGUGAAGAGAGAAUGUAUACUGAUCUCUCCCAUGUAUUUUUUCCCCUUUAGCUUGUGUAGCACCUUUCCUAUGAUGACAGGUACGAAAGCAGACCGACAUUUUCCAUUCAUUCUUGUAAGUAUGGGCGUCUAUUGUAUUUCCGAGUAUCUCAAACUUCUCUUCGAUGACAAACCGGUUGCUCGUACCUGUGACGGUUCACCGAUUUUAUUGUGGUCUCCUGUUGGUACCAAAUUAGAGUACUUGGGAAUGCUGGCUCUCCAUGCAUUGCGCAGAGUGUGUGCUUUCAUGUUGGCCAAGUAGCAGCAGCAGUGCACUUUCUGCACGGGAAUGUAGCUGCUGAUGCUGCUGUUGUAAAUCUGAGCCGGCCGAGACUCGACGGUCUGAAUCUGAAAGAAACCCCAUCAUCUUUUAAAAUUCACAGCACUUGCACUCCUACUAUGGUAAACGAGACAACCAUGGGAACUCUAAUGUUCACAAGCGCUAUUUCUCAGACCUCACUGAAUUGCUAUGGAGAUUCAUGUUCAUCUUGAAGAUUAAAUUAAAGUAACAACGUAAAGCCAUGCGUUUUCAAAAGUAAAUGAAUUACAAAGGGCCUGCCACUUUUCUAGCUGUACUUAUACAACAAGAAGAAACAUAGUAGAAAGGGGUAAACCAAAUAAAGUGGGAACAGUAAUGUUCACAAGCGCUGUUUCUCAGACUUGGCUGAAGUGCUCUGGAGAUCCAUGUUCAUCUUGAGGAUUCUCUGGCCUCUGAAGCUUGUCUGCCAUGGUCUCCAUCCCCAUGAACGACCAUAGGAGCCAGAUGCUAGUUAGGCACUCGCCACCGUCCCCUAUGCUCAUGGCUUGAAGGAACCUUCUGCAUCUGACAGCGGAAUAGCAGAGCAUCUCCACCCAGGCACCCUGGAUUACUGACCACCUCUCCUCCACUUCCAGCUCCAUCAAUUGGUUGGCAAGCCCGCACGCGCCAAGAAUUAGAGUAAACUUGGCGGCUUUGUCUGGCGAAGAUUUUACCGUAUCGAUAAUCUCCCGCGCCAGCCUCUCUUCUUUGUCAACUCGUGCCUUGCUAUCACUCAAGAUGAGCUCGAUCUCGUGACUUGCAACGGCGAAGAGACCUGGCCUCGUGCUAGACAUCAGCAUGUCAGGACGAGCGGAAAGCAGGUAAACCAUGUAGUUGGAGAUCGCCCUGCUUCCCUGCUGCAAGGCGUAUCCUUGAAGCACUGUAGCUGCAGAUGGGUGAUAAAAACAGAGGUCCGUGGCGAUGUGCCAGAGAAGGACCAUAUGGUCGAACAACACCUUGGAGGCCCAACCUAGACAUCUCAGCUGACGGUUGAAUUUUUUGUAUCCAGCAGCGUAACCAAUGUAGUCCUUCCCCCCAUCUGUGACGUGCCAAUGAACUAACCCGGUGAUCCGGCGGCCAAGAGGCUCAUGCCGAAUGAAAACAAUUCAUGUUAAUGUACUGGGACGCGUCUAGUGGGCGGCUGACUGCCCACUAGGGCAACCGAGUGGCCGGCCGAAAAGGAUAACCUCUUGUCCCCCGCGUAACAGAAAAGGAAAGGGCCACCAAACCGAUCGAUCGAGCGGCCACCAACAGAAUCGCCCCCCCUCCCACAUGGCCAGCUGUCCCCAGCUCCCCCCCACGCCCCAGCCCCUUCCCCGCUGCCUUCUUCUUCUUCUGCACGCCAGAAGGAGAUCCAACAGAAUCGCCCCCAGCCCUUCUUCCUCCUCCUACACAGCCGCCAUGGGAGCCCCAAAGUAGAAGAAGGAGCUGCUUCAGAAAAGAAGAUCUAAGGGCAGGAUGGUCAGAGCCACACCAAGCAGCAACAUCAAGUAGGUAAGCCCCCUCUGCCCCUCUUGACUUUCCCCUUUCUUCUACUGCAUAUAUGUAGGCAUAUGUAAACCCCCUUCUCCAUAGAUCUAGCACAAAUCCAUGGAGAAGCUGCUUCAAAAAAGAGGUGAAUCUGGCACAUCACACCACCCUACACCCCUCCCCCAAUGAAUGACAUAUCUGCAACUGAAAACAAGUACCACGAAUUACUGUGCAACUAACCAUGGAUGGAAGCCUACUAUUUCCUGGUUUGUGCAACUAAACACAAGUCAUUUAGGUUUAGUUGCACAGCUGCCUAGUUGCACACUAAACAUGGUUUGAUACCAACUUUACUGAAUAUGAUGCAUGCCAAACAAGUUUCUACAACCUGGAUGUGUUAAACAAGCCAACUAAAACAAGUUCUCUGGCCAAUUAAAACAUUAUUAAAGCUAACUCAACAAGCAUUGUAGCCAAAAAUUAAACAUGCAUUCUACCAACUUGUAGUUAUUGUUUGCAAAUGAACAAAUUGACUGGCCAAAAGAUAUGUGCAACGAAAAAUUCAUAAAUGUGCAACUGAACAUCCAUCCCAGCCACUGAACCUAUAUUCUAGUAACUCAACAUGCAUGCUAGCCAAACUAAAACAUGCAUUGUUCCCAAAUGUACUGGAUAUUUGUGAGUGAACACUUUAGGAAACCUGUAGUAUAUGUGCAAUAAAAACAUGUUUUCUGGCCAACUAAACAUGCAUGUUGGCCAAAACUGAAAAAAUGUAUCCUGGCCAACUGAAACAUCUAUUCUAACCAAUUGAACACAUUAACUGUCCAAUUGAACAUGCAUGUUGGCCAAAACUCAAAUAAUGCAUCCUCGCCAACUGAGACAUCUAUUCUAACCAACUAAACACAUUGACUGUCCAACUGAAUAUGUAUGAUGGCCAACUAAAAAAAUGCAUCCUGGCAAUUGAGACAUCUAUUUUAGCGAAAACCAGAAAUCUGUAGUACGACAGCAAAAACACAAGAACUUUUGUCCAUAGCUAAUGAAGCCACAAACCAUAUUAAAAUAUUCACGCAUAUAAUCUUGUCCCACACAUAUAUUCUGGUCUCACACCUAUUGCAAAGCUAUAGUGUAAAAAUAUGUUCAAUAUACCAGAACUAAAAACAUAAACGGUGAUGAAAACAUAUAACUAUAAUCUGUCAUACAAUUCUUAUUUCUUCUUUCACCUGGAUUUUCCGUCUCACAUGUAACAUCAAAUUAUGUGCAGAAAAAUCUGAAACAGAUCCUUGCCAAACAAAAUACCUGCAGAUCAUUGCAACAAAUAGAGGAAAAAAGUCAGAAAACUCUGUAGCAAAAAGAAGUCAUGUUCUUGCCAGCUAUUUACUGCAAAUUGUGCAACUAACAUAAUAAAUGUGUGCAAACAAAAAAAUGCAUAAUUGUUAUAAUAAAGAUUAUGCUACAGUCAUGUUGCUUUUGGAACUAAGAUUGUCAUAAAAUGGUGUGCAACCGCCUAUUUACUAAGUUUUUAGCUUGUUUGAAAUACUCUUUCCUGUGGUUAACAACUGAUGAUAUCACUUUCUUCUUUUUUAUAUGUGCAGGGAGUGUGUGGCACCAUCCAAAAAAGGAAAAGAAAUUCUUGAUCUCAAUGAGUUGCCUCCUGAUCUCAAUGAGCUUCCUCAUGAUAUGGAUCAGCAGCAACCCAGCAUACCACAAGGAAAUUGGACAAAAAAUGGGCGAUCUGUUUACUACACGCAGGCAAGUCGUGGUGGUAACCCUGUGGGCCAUGACAAUGUGGCAGGCCAGUCAUCAACCCGUGGUGCCCCUGUAGUGGCGUCUUUGCAGUCAGAGAGUCAUACUCUUGAUGACACGGGAACCGCGGCAAAUAUUCCUGGUCCAACCAGGACUGAGCUAGGAGCUGGGGUUGUUGACGGAGUUGUGCAAGGAGAAGAAGGAGAGGAUGAGGCUAGUUCUCAACCUAUGGAACCCUAUGUUGGCAUGAGGUUUGACAACCUUCAAAUUGCUAAGGAUCACUACAAUAGCUACGCACUACGGAUGGGUUUCUCUAUCAAGAUGAACACCUCUAGGCGGACACCCCACACCAAUGUAUUGGUAAAACAGCAGUUUUGCUGCAACAAGUUCAAGAAGCCCGAAGGUGAUGAUGGAGGAGCUGAGGCUCCUCCUGUCGUGGACCCUAUUCCAGAUCCAAAAACUGUUGACAAUGAUGAGGAAAUGGAAGAUGAACCUCCAAUCUUGGCUAAAGAGGAGGCUGGUCCUAGUAAGAAGAAGAAGAAACGGAAACGCGAGACAAUAAAGCAGACUCAAUGCAAGGCGAAAAUGUUGGUGAAGCUGAUAGAUGGGCGAUGGGAGGUGACACACUUUGUUCGUGACCACAAUCAUCCGCUCGUGAACAAACCUUCGGUGUCCAAAUACUUGAGAUCCCACCAAGGCAUCUCACCUGAUGAAAAGGAGUUUUUACGCAUCUUGUAUAACUGCAACUUGACUACAGGUGUGGUGUUUCUAUAUCCCUUAAAGAAUUAAGUUUCCCUCUGGGCAGUCCAGUGUGCAACUGUUAUGGUACUACUGUGCAACUGAAAUGACUUAACUGUGCAACUGGUGUCCAACUUCCCAUGCUGUUUGUAUAUCACUUUUGGUGCUUGUUGUGCAACUAGAUUGCCUUCACUGUGCAACUACGCAAUGUCCUGUAUGCAAAAAGUGCAAAGUGUUCUUAAAAAGGUGCAGCUAGGUGUCCAUUUCCUGUAAUUAUCUUCUAUGCCAACACAUGUUCUAUUACUGUGCAGCUGGAUGUGCGCAUUCGUGCAACUAAAAAAAGGAUAUACUGUUUUGUUUUUGUAUUAUGCAGGACGUAUGAUGCAUAUAAUGGCAGAGUUCUACGGAUCUGAGAUGAUGGUGCCGUUCGGACCAAAGGCAAUAACAAAUGUGUGUACAAGUUUCUGUAGAGAUGACACAAAGGAGGGUGACAUGAUUGAGACAAUUGCGCACUUCAAGGAUAUACAGAAAACCGAUCCAGACUUCUUCUAUAAGGUAAAAUAUGAUGAAGAGGACAGAGUUGUCAACAUAUUUUGGGUGGAUGGCUUAGCUCAAAAAGCUUAUGCUGAGGCAUACCAUGAUUGCAUAUUGUUUGACACUACCUACAUGACCAACAUGUAUAAUAUGCUGUUCGCACCCUUCAUUGGAAUAAAUAGACAUUGCCAAUCUUUUAUGCUCGGUUGCGCGUUUGUGAGGCAGGAGUUGGCAUCAAGCUUUGAUUGGGUAUUCCAAACAUUCCUAGAGGCUAUGGGUGGCAAACCUUCUGGCAACUUCAUAACUGAUCAAGAUGGUCCAAUGAGGCAGUCAAUACAGAGCAUCUUUCCAACCACCGUGCAUUGAUGUUGUCGAUGGCACAUCAUGAAGAAGGCCCAGGAAAAAGUUGGUUGGCUGUUGUGCCGGAAUCCAGGGCUCUCUGAUGAUUUCAACUACUAUGUUGACUUCACCUUCACUCCAGACGAGUUUGAACAGAAUUGGGCUAGGUUAAUGAUGAAGUAUGAGGCUAUAACACACACACACACUUUGAGAAGUUGUACGAAUACAUGUCAACUUGGGUGCCGUGCUACUUCAAACACAGGUUCUUCCCCUUCCUGCAGUCUACAUAGCGUAGUGAGGGGUUCAACACCGUCCUAAAAAGAUAUGUGAACCCACACAACUCGAUGCUGAACUUCGUCAAGCAAUAUGAAAAAAUUUAGAACCACAUCCUUGCCAAGGAAGGCUGCAAUGAUUAUAGGACAGAACACCUUGAGAUUGAGCUAUGGUCCAACUUCCCAAUAGAGAAGCAAGCUUACAAGACCUACACUAGGGACCUUUACCGCAAGUUUAGAGAAGAGUUUGAGCUGAUUGGCCGUUAUAAUGCAUUCCAAGUUGGUGCGGAUAUAUUUGAGCUCAGACCGAACCAGGAAUUUGUUGCCAAAUAUGGUUCUCGAAAAUACUUGGUGCAGGCAAGGGCGGAGGAUGGUUCAUAUUUGUGUGAGUGAUGUAAAAUGGACAAGGACGGCAUCCUCUGUUGCCACAUCCUCAAGGUGUUCACUCAUAUUGGAGUUGAUGUCAUACCGGAAAGGUACCUGCUAAGAUGGUGGACACCUACUGCUUGUCACACCCUAGCUAGUCAUGCAUCAGAGUGUGUGCAUCAUGUUUAAAAUUCCAUUUAAUUUGAAAUGGGGAUUUGUGAAACCCUCAGAAUCAUUUUGAAAAUGACCCAAAUAAAAAUUUCUCCAAAAGGGUCCAAGAAAAUGCUCAUGUUGCUCUCUGAAAAUAUUGGACAGAGAUAAUAAUCAAACCAAUAUUUUUAAGAGCUCAUAGGUAUUUAUUUUGGGCAUUUGGAAUUAAUGCAUAAAUAUUUGCUUUGGAAAUAUAUUAAUUAUAUAUAUUAAUAUAUGUCCAAAUAUUAUGCCAUUUAUAAAGGAGCUCUGAAAUAAUAUAUCUAGCCCCUGCAAAAAUUGGCAUAAGUUAAAUAAAUGAUUUAAUAUAUUAUUUAAAUCAAAAAAAAUGUCAGAAAUUAGAAAACAGAAAAAAAUAAAAGGGAGAAGCUUACCUGGGCUCCUCCCUGUGCAGCCCAGCCAGCUGGCCGGCCCAGCCAGCAGCCGGCCCAGCCCACCUCCCUCCUCUGUCGUCUUUGUCCUCGACAGAGGGAGGGGAGUGUGGCCGGCGCGCGCGCGCGCCACCGCGCCACGCCACCUCUCUCCCUGCUUGCCUGCCCUCCCCUCCUCGCUCGAUGCCCCGGACAACGCCACGCCUCCCCCCUGCUCUCUCUCACUCUCCCUCAGUUCCUCCCUCCUCUCCCUCGCUCUCUCUCUCACACGGCCGAACACCACCAUCGCCGCCGUUCGCCAUAGCAGCCGUCUCCGGCCACCCCUCGCUCCCCUGACUAGCUCAGAAGCUCCGCCACAACCCCCUCUUCCUCCCCACCGCUCCACGGGCCUCCGGAAGCCCUGCAUCGCCGCCACGUCGCCGUUCCCCUCUUCGGGCUCCGACCAUCAUCGCCGUCGAAUUCGCCGUCUCCAGCGCGUCUCCGAGCCCGCUUCGACGCCCACUGCAACCGCGGUGAGCCCCCGAGUCGUUUCCCCCUUCUCCCCUGGUCUCUUUCGACCUCUAGGCCUUAGCCCCACCUUGGCCGAGAGCUCCACGCCGCCGGCGAUGUCGCCGUCGUGGCCACGGUCACCGUAGCGCCCAACCGAGCACACUAUCGUGCUCCACGCCUCACUGGGAGCACGCAGCACGCACCAACGCCUCCCCAAACACCCUGCAACGCCGACUCCGACCGCACCCGAACUCCGGCCGCCGCUCACGAGCUCGCCGUCGACGGUACCGGCCACCCCAGGCUCGGCCACCACCACCGUUCGACGCGCGGGAGCAAGAGCUCUCCAACGAGCCCAAGAACGGCCUCGCCCGUGCCCUGUAGCGCGAUCCCGCAUCGCGCCGCCGUCUCGGGCCUCGCCGGCGUCACGUCGCCGGUGGGUUUGACCCACUUUGACCACGGCAGGACCCCCUGAGUCCCUGACAGGUGGGCCCAGCCCUGUAGCUAAUUAGGAUUAGCGCUAACCACUGUUAGUUAACCCCCUGACACUGACAGUGGGCCCCAGCGCCACUAAUCCCUAAUUAAGAUUAUUUUAAACCUGUUAAACCGCCCCUGUCACUGACGUGUGGCCCCCACACGUCAGGUUUGACCCCAGCCAGCCGCAGUUGACUACUGACGUCAUGCUGACGUCAUGCUGGCGCAAUAAUUAUAAUUUUUGGAUUUAAUUUAAAUCAGGAAAUUCCAGAAUAUUAUUUAAACUUCAAAAAUUCAUAACUUUUAUUCUGUAACUCCAAAUUGGACAAAUUAUAUAUGAGAAAUGAUCAGAAAAAUCCAAUCUAUCCAUCUGUACUAUUUUCAUGCAUGAUCAAACAAGUUAAAUUGAUGUUUCAAGCAGAACAAGGAAAAGCACUUUAAGAGGCCAUGUUUGAGUUUGAAAUUUGAAUCUAUGAUUCAAAUUUGUUCAAACCCUUCUGGUUUUAGUUGCAUUAGCCCAACACACUCAUAUUGCUAUGUUUCAUGCAUGCAUCAUAUUGUUGCACAUUGUUUGGUGAUGGUUGUGUAUCAGUGUCCUUUGCGACAGGUUCUGCCUCCGAGGAGUACCGUGAUUACCCUAACGAAGAACCGUAUCCGUGCAUCGAACCAUCAGGCAAGCAACCAACCAUUUGAUCAUAUCGAUACAAUCCCAUGUUCUCGCUCCUGCUCUCUUUUACUGCAUUAAGACAACGCGUUUCAAACUGCUGUGUGCUACGGUAGUUGAACCCAUUUCCUCUGCAUGACCUGUCAUUGCCACAGUAACUAGAUGAAACCCACUAGCAUGUGUAGGAGUUGAUUGAGCCAUAUGUAUGUGUUGUUCCUACCUUGCUAUGACUGCUAUGCUUAGAGUCGUGUCAGGUCUGGUUCAUCUGGGUGAUGGCUAGAGUGAAAUGAUUAUGUCGGUAAUGAGAGUGGUGUGGUGAACACGAUUUGGUAAAGGUAUCGAUGAGAGGCCAUGUAGGAGUACAUGGUGGGUUGUUUCAUUGAAGCCGACCUUAAGCACUGAGAUCUGUAUGUGUGAUUUAAGAUACAGCUACUACCAUGCAUUGGGCCCUGAAAUAUGACCCCGCUCGACUUCUUAUUCACCCUAGCUCUCUGUCCAGGAGUUGCAAGUAGUUUCUGGUGUUUGUAGCCUACUGGAGGCCGUGGACAGCGCUGACCGUAGGGGUGGGCUGUGAUGCGGUAGGUACGUGGCACGGUGUACCGAAUACCCGUUAGGUAUCUCGGGAACCCUGUUCACAUCGUUCGGGGCCGUAUGGGAAACCUCGGCCGGACUCCCUGCGGAUGGAACCUGAAUAGGUGAUAAACCUGGACUAGAGGCUUAAGUGUUUAGGUAGGUCGUGGUCUACACCCACGUCGGCUUUCGCUUGAAGUCUGCCUAGCACAUGUCGUGUGCAGACGCUAAGUGGUGGAAACAUGUAUGAAGAAGUACACCCCUGCAGGGUUAACAUGAUCUAUUCGAAUAGCCGCGUCCGCGGUAAAGGACUACUUGGUUGCCUAUACAGUUCAUAGACAAGUAAAUGGAGACUACUAAAAGCCUCAAGAUAAGUGUGAGUGCCGAGGAUGGCUCUUCCGUAGGAAGACGGAGGUGGAUCCUCGGUAGUGUAUUGAAGUGGUGAGUAGUGGACUCGUGUGCGCAAAACAUUUCAAGUUGGAGUAUCGUAGGAUAGCCUAGCCAAGAGUCAAAGCUGGCUUGCUGCAAUAACUCCACCAACCCUUCUUGAUACUAUGCAUGUAUGUAGGAUCUGAUGUAAGUCUUGCUGAGUACCUUUGUACUCAUGUUGCUAUAAUCUAUAUUUUUACAGAAGACGCUGCAACCCCUUCUGAUGGGUUCUAUGUAGACGUUGACAUCAACGAGUAGGCUAAAGACCCAGGUGGUGACCCUGAGCUUGUGAUGGACCACGUAGUAUAGCUAGGCUUUCCAAGCCUCUUUUAUUUUACUAGUUGUCUGUACCCAGACAAUGUACUUCCGCUGCUGGUUUGUAUGACUGUAUGACUUGUAUGUUGGGUCGUGAGACCCGUACCUUUGUGUAUGAUAUGUAUGGCUCCCUGAGCCUUAAAUAAAGUACUUGUGUCGUAGAGUCAUGUUGUGAUGCUUCGUUGUAUUUGCACAUAUCGAGCAUAUUGUGUGUAUGAUUGAAAUGCUUGGUAUGUGUGGGAUCUGACUAUCUAGUUGUUUAUCUUUAGUAGCCUCUCUUACCGGGAAAUGUCUCCUAGUGUUACCGCUGAGCCAUGGUAGCUUGCUACUGCUCUGGAACACUUAGGCUGGCCGGCAUGUGUCCUUCUUCGUUCCUGUGUCUGUCCCUUCGGGGAAAUGUCACGCUUUGAGUACCGGAGUCCUGUUAGCCCGCUACAGCCCGGUUUACUGGAGUCCUGCUAGCCCAGUGCUACAGCCCGGACCCACUUGCUGAUGACCGACACGUUCGAAGCUGGGUCAUGGAUGCUUGUCCCUGUAAGUCUGUGCCACUUUGGGUUUACGACUAGUCAUGUCAGCCCGGGCUCUUUAUCAUAUGGAUGCUAGCGACACUAUCAUAUACGUGAGCCAAAAGGCGCAAACGGUCCCGGGCAAAGGUAAGGCGACACCCGUGGGAACACCGUGCGUGAGGCCGCAAAGUGAUAUGAAGUGUUACCGGCUAGAUCGAUGUGACAUCGAGUCGGGGUCCUGACAGCGUUGGCAUCAGAGCCGGACUGCCUGUAGGUUCUCCAAGCCAAACUGGUCGAUGUUGAGUCUAGAAAUUCUUUAGUUAUAUGUAGGGGAAUUGUUUGUGGGUUGGAACAUAAGGCUCUUUUUGCUCCUUUGUCUUAUGACAUUCUGAUCUGAGUCAGUCCAUUCUUCCACCGGGGGUUAAGGAAUUAGGAUCUAUUCUCUCUAUCAGGAUCACGUGUUACUAAUCAGUAGUACCUUAUAGGUAUGAAGGAUACAAGCCUAGUUCAGUUCUUUUACCAUAUUAUGUUGCUAGGAUGGUCUCAGAACUUUGAUAUGAUGAUGUUAAGUGUGUAUGAAAUCCUUUGUCAAAUGUCUCAAAAUCCUUCUUGAGCAUUUACAGCUGUUAUGCUGCCGAAAUUUUGCUAGAAAUUCUAAUGCCUUUGCAUUAUGAUUGUGCUUUCAGAUGGCCACUCGCGACCUCAAUCAAGUGGUUCGCUUGACUCGAUGCCUAGAUGUACUCGGCCAUACUGCCAAGUUGGUCAGGGUAAUGACUGAGGCUGGAUACCGCUGGUAUCCUGAGUACACGGUCGAAGAGCAAUUCCGAGACUUUAAUCAAAGCCAGUAUCUCUGCACUGUCAGGAUAUUUCCAUCUUAUCCUGGAUCCACCGAGCCUCUUCACUGCUCCUAUGGACUCGGGGUUACUAUUGAGAUGGCUGUGCAGGACGCCGCCUACUCUAUGAUGACCAUUAUGCGAGUCAGAUCUGGUUUAUUUCGGGACUCUGAUUUCCGGUAUAUGCCAGGAUCACUUCCGGGAGCACAAGGGUAUCUCCAGGCUAUCUAUGCUGACCCCACUCAGGAGGAUUCACGGACUCGCACCACUGCUGAGAUGCUCGAGGAUAAGGACCGUGAAAAUCGGGCCUUGAGGUUAGAGCUCUUCAAUACCCGUGCUGACCACUGGGCCACUUUGACUCGGUUCGCACCGGCGGUGCAAGCUGGAUUCUCAGAUAUGCGCGAUCUCUAUCCUGUGAGAUCUGCUCUGCCAGACGUGAUGGUUUGGCGUGAUGUAGGAGGCAUCACCCCACCUCGCGGUCCCCGCAGGCCACCGUCUGUUGGUCCAAGGCCUCAUCCUAGCCCCUAUGGUCCACAAGCUCCGCGAGACCGUCUGUUUCCGGAUGAUCAUGUUGAACUUCCAGGCUAUGGAGGUGACUUCUACGAGGACUACUACGGAUCGGUCUGAGUUAGUGGUAGUAUCACUAGUUCGCACUAGCUGUGUCUUCUAUCGUCCCGCGUGACUCGUGGGAUAUGACCUAGUUUGUACUCUUUCCGGAGGUGUAGAAAAAUAAUGUAUAGGAGCUUGGGAUGCCUCCGAUGAGAUGUAAUCCUUUUUUUUCACCAUAUUAGUACUUUGUUUGGUCUUGUACUAAACCCUGUAUGGUGUGUAUGACGAUGGAAUAAAAGAAGCAGUUUCUGUAUCUACCAUGUCAUACGGAUGAUCAUCUUGCAUUCCGAGUUAUUCCUUACAUUAUGUAUCCUAUGUCGGAAAUUAUCAUCCUGACUAACUCAUUGUCUUGUUUACCUAGGAUGGUCAACACGCGCACUAACCCUGCUCCUCAAGAGCAGGCCGAAGGCAGUGAAGUCAGGGAUGCAAAUCUGCCUCAUCCUCCUUCAUUAGCCGAGGUUAUGAUGGAAGCUGAGAGAAACAAGCGGGAAACCAACCGUUUGUUGGAGCGUAUUGAACAGAACACAGCACACCAUCAGAGGACUAACGUGGUGUCACUCAGUGAUUUUAUCAAAUUACGUCCAUCCACGUUCCACCACUCCGUCGAGCCUCUCGACGCCGAUGACUGGCUUCGCAGUAUCUCUCACAAACUGCGUUCCGCGCUGGUAGCGGAGGCUGACAAGGUCACCUUUGCUGCAUAUCAUCUUGAAGGCCCCGCCAGUCUAUGGUGGGAAAAUUAUGGAGCUAUGCGCCCAGCAGACCAUGUCACUACUUGGGCUGAAUUCAGCGAGGCUUUCCGUGAACAUCACAUUCCGGAGGGUCUCAUGGACCGUAAACGUGAGGAAUUCUGCAAUUUCACCCAAGGCCGACUUUCUGUGGAUGCUUAUAGUAGGGAGUUUGGUAAUCUCGCACGAUAUGCAACCGAGGAAGUUUCUACUGACGCCAAGAAGCAAGCAAGGUUCCGUAAGGGACUUAGUCCUGAGCUUCGCCGCGACCUCCGUCUGCAUGAGUGCACAUCUUUUCAGAAACUUGUCAACAAAGCCAUCAGUGCUGAAACUGGUCAGACUGACUAUGACGCAACACGCAAGCAUGGCCGUGAUAUGGGUUCCUCAUCCGGUGCUGGUCCCCAGAAGCGCCGCGUGUGGGUACCCAACACCGCCCUGCCACCCAGGUUCACACCGAGGCCAUCUUUCCAGGCGCCUCGCCCCGUUCAACAGUCUGCUCCAGCCAAGCCCUAUGGGGGUCCAAUCAAUAAUGCUCCUCCACGUACCAGUUCCGUGACUUGUUUCAAGUGUGGGGAAUCUGGUCACUAUAUGCGUGAGUGUCCCCAGACCAACCCCAAUCAAUCUGCUAAAGCUGUUGGCCGUGGCAAGCCGACAGGGAAAGUGUUUCAUGCUAAACCGGUCACCGCUUCACGUGGCCAUGUCAACUGUAUCUCUGCCGAAGAAGCUCAAGAGGAUCCCAACGUCGUUCUCGGUAUGCUUCUUGUUAAUUGCCACCCGGCAUCUGUUCUUUUCGAUACAGGAGCCUCUCAUUCUUUUAUAUCUGAAAACUAUGCUCGCUUGCAUAACGUCGCAUUCGGUGAUAUGCCAACCUCUAUGGUAAUUCAAACUCCGGGAUCCAAAUGGCAAACUUCUAGAGUAAGCCAUGGAAAUGAAAUCCAAGUCGACAGACUUGUUUUUCUCGCAUCUUUGAUAGCCCUUAAAUCUUCAGAUAUUAAUAUCAUUUUGGGUAUGGACUGGAUGUCAGCUCAUCAAGCCAAAAUUGAUUGCUUCUCUAGGACUGUUCAACUCACCCAUCCUUCGGGGAAGAUAGUCAAUGUCUUGACCCGAAUAGCCAAGCGACAAUUAUAUUCUCUUAACGCCAGCCCUUUGCCAGACCUUGAGGACGUGCCGGUAGUCUGUGACUUCUCGGAUGUCUUCCCAGAGGAAUUGCCAGGUGUUCCACCUGACAGGGAUGUUGAGUUCGUAAUAGAUCUCAUUCCAGGAACCGUUCCGAUUGCUAGAAGACCCUAUAAGAUGGCACCCCUAGAACUAGCCGAGCUUAAGAAACAACUCGAUGAGUCCUUGAAAAAGGGUUUCAUCCGACCUAGCUCAUCUCCGUGGGCUUGCCCCGUCCUCUUCGUCAAGAAGAAGGAUGGUACGGACCGGAUGGUUGUAGAUUACCAACCUGUCAAUUUGGUCACAAUCAAGAACAAAUAUCCACUUCCCAGGAUCAACGACCUGUACGAUCAGCUCGCUGGAUCCUCAAUCUUCUCCAAGAUGGAUUUGAGGUUGGGCUACCAUCAAAUAAAAAUCAGAAACGGGGACAUCCCUAAAACGGCCUUUGUUACUCGUUAUGGCCAAUACGAGUACACCGUCAUGUCCUUCGGUUUAACCAACGCUCCAGCCACCUUUUCUCGGUUAAUGAACUCAAUCUUCAUGGAGUAUUUGGAUAAAUUCGUCGUAGUUUAUCUCGAUGAUAUACUCAUCUACUCCAAGAACGAGGAAGAACAUGCCGAACAUUUAAGGCUAGUGUUGAAGAAACUUCGAGAGCAUCGCCUUUAUGCCAAAUUUUCGAAAUGUGAAUUCUGGUUGUCAGAAGUGACCUAUCUGGGUCAUGUAAUAUCUGGUAAAGGUAUUGCUGUUAACCCCGAGCGAGUUCAAGCCGUCCUUAAUUGGACUCCACCUGAAUCGGUCAAGCAAGUUCGGAGUUUUCUAGGCUUAGUGAGCUAUUGUUGUCGCUUUGUCGAGAACUUCUCCAAAGUUGCCAAACCUCUAACCGAACUCCUCAAGAAAGAUAAGAAGUUCGAAUGGACUCCACAAUGUGAGCACAGCUUUCAGGAACUAAAAAGACGCCUGACUUCUGCUCCCGUACUGGUACCGCCAGACUUCUCCAAUGAUUUUGUUAUCUACUGCGACGCCUCGCGACAAGGACUAGGUUGCAUUCUCAUGCAAGAUCGACACGUAAUUGCCUACGCUUCACGGCAAUUGCACCCACAUGAGGAGAAUUAUCCUACUCAUGAUCUAGAGCUUGCAGCCGUAGUCUAUGCACUUAAGACCUGGCGACAUUACCUCCUCGGUAAUCGUCGCGAAAUAUUCACUGAUCACCAAAGUCUGAAGUACAUUUUCACCCAACCGGAUCUGAAUCUCAGGCAGAGACGUUGGGUUGAAUUGAUCACAGACUUCGACUUAGGAAUAACCUACACCCCAGGGAAAGCCAACGUCAUGGCUGAUGCACUAAGUCGUAAAUCUUAUUGUAACAACCUGAUGUUACAACAAAGUCAACCGCUUCUCCAUGAGGAAUUUCGGAAGCUAAACCUUCACAUUGUACCUCAAGGUUUUCUUUCCACCUUGGUAGCAAAACCUACUCUUUCGGAUCAAAUCAUUGCUGCCCAAAAGCGAGAUAAGGGAAUAUCUAAAAUCAAGGAGAACAUUGCUAGCGGAGGUGCUAGUUGUUUCUCCACAAAUGAUCAUGGUGUUGUGUACUUUGAGAACCGUCUAGUGGUUCCCAAGAACCAGCAUCUACGGCAGUUGAUCCUUAAGGAGGCUCAUGAAUCUCCUCUCACCAUUCAUCCCGGUAGUACUAAGAUGUAUCAGGACCUACGCCAGAGGUUCUGGUGGACUAGGAUGAAGAGAGAAAUUGCUCAGUUUAUUGCUAAUUGCGACGUCUGUCGUCGUGUAAAAGCAGAGCAUCAACGGCCUGCUGGCACCCUUCAACCCUUCGCUAUUCCUGAAUGGAAAUGGGAUAAAAUUGGUAUGGAUUUCAUUACCGGUUUUCCCAGGACCAAGAGAGGGAAUAAUGCUAUUUUCGUCGUGGUCGAUCGUCUUUCCAAAGUAGCCCAUUUCUUACCUAUUCGUGAGAGUAUAACUGCUAGUCAGCUGGCAGACUUAUACAUCUCCCGAAUAGUGUCCCUCCAUGGUGUUCCUUUGGAAAUUAACUCGGAUCGAGGAAGUCUUUUCACCUCUCGAUUUUGGGAAAGUUUCCAAAAUGCUAUGGGAACUCGUCUCUCCUUUAGCACCGCUUUCCACCCUCAGUCGAGUGGUCAAGUGGAACGCGUCAACCAGAUUCUAGAAGACAUGCUUCGAGCCUCUGUUAUCUCAUUCGGAAUGGACUGGGAGAAGUGCCUUCCAUUUGCCGAAUUCGCUUACAACAACAGCUAUCAAUCUAGCUUGGGUAAAGCCCCUUUUGAAGUUCUCUAUGGACGACGGUGUCGAACACCCCUUAACUGGUCAGAGACCGGGGAAAGACAAUUCUUUGGACCGGACAUGAUUCAGGAAGCAGAAGAACAAGUUCGUAUCAUUCGUGAAAAGUUGAAAACAGCUCAAUCUCGUCAAAAGAGUCAAUAUGACCGAAAACAUAAGGCUAUGACUUUCGAGGUUGACGAGAAGGCUUAUCUUCGGGUCACCCCUCUGAAGGGAACCCAUCGUUUCGGUAUCAAAGGCAAAUUGGCUCCUCGUUACAUUGGACCUUUUCGCAUUCUCGCCAAACGAGGAGAAGUUGCCUACCAGCUGGAACUACCUCCGCAUCUCUCCAGAGUCCACGAUGUCUUCCACGUUUCUCAACUCAGGCGUUGCUUCUCGGAUCCUAUCCGUGAAGUGGACCACGAAACGCUUGAUCUCCAAGAUAAUCUUACAUAUCGAGAGUACCCCGUUCGUAUCCUCGAUCAGGCCGAACGUAUCACCCGACGUCAGAACAUCAAGUUCCUCAAAGUACAAUGGUCGCACCAUUCUGAGGAUGAAGCAACUUGGGAAAGGGAGGAUCGUCUUCGACUCGAGUACCCCGCCUUCUUCCCGGAGGAACCCAAAUCUCGGGACGAGAUUCUUUUGAGAGGGGGUGAGUUGUCACACCCUAGCUAGUCAUGCAUCAGAGUGUGUGCAUCAUGUUUAAAAUUCCAUUUAAUUUGAAAUGGGGAUUUGUGAAACCCUCAGAAUCAUUUUGAAAAUGACCCAAAUAAAAAUUUCUCCAAAAGGGUCCAAGAAAAUGCUCAUGUUGCUCUCUGAAAAUAUUGGACAGAGAUAAUAAUCAAACCAAUAUUUUUAAGAGCUCAUAGGUAUUUAUUUUGGGCAUUUGGAAUUAAUGCAUAAAUAUUUGCUUUGGAAAUAUAUUAAUUAUAUAUAUUAAUAUAUGUCCAAAUAUUAUGCCAUUUAUAAAGGAGCUCUGAAAUAAUAUAUCUAGCCCCUGCAAAAAUUGGCAUAAGUUAAAUAAAUGAUUUAAUAUUUUUUUUAAAUCAAAACAAAUGUCAGAAAUUAGAAAAACAGAAAUAAUUAACAGGAGGAGCUUACCUGGGCUCCUCCACUGUGCGGCCCAGCCAGCUGGCUGGCCCAGCCAGCAGCCGGCCCAGCCCACCUCCCUCCUCUGUCGUCUUCGUCCCGACAGAGGGAGGGGAGUGUGGCCGGCGCGCGCGCGCGCCACCGCGCCACGCCACCUCUCUCCUUGCCUGCCUGCCCUCCCCUCCUCGCCUCGAUGCCCCUGGACGACGCCACGCCAAACCCCCUGCAACACCGAUCCCGACCGCACCCGAACUCCGGCGGCCGCAGCCGAGCUCGCCGCCGUCGACUCCGGCCACCCCAGGCCCAGCCACCACCACCGUUCGACGCGCGGGAGCAAGAGCUUUCCAACGAGCCCAAGCACGGCCUCUCCCGUGCCCUAUAGCGCGAUUCCGCAUCGCGCCGCCGUCUCGGGCCUCGCCGGCGUUACGUCGCCGGUGGGUUUGACCCACUUUGACCAACGGCAGGACACCCCCUGAGUCCCUGACAGGUGGGCCCAGCCCUGUAGCUAAUUAGGAUUAGCGCUAACCACUGUUAGUUAACCCCCUGACACUGACUAGUGGGCCCCAGCGCCACUAAUUAGUAAUUAGGAUUAAAUUAACUCUGUUUAACCCCCCUGUCACUGACGUGUGGGCCCCACACGUCAGGUUUGACUUCAGCCAGCCGCAGUUGACCACUGACGUCAUGCUGACGUCAUGCUGGCGCAAUAAUUAUAAUUUCUGGAUUUAAUUUAAAUCAGGAAAUUCCAGAAUAUUAUUUAAACUUCAAAAAUUCAUAACUUUUAUUCUGUAACUCCAAAUUGGACAAAUUAUAUAUGAAAAAUGAUCAGAAAAAUCCAAUCUAUCCAUCUGUACUAUUUUCAUGCAUGAUCAAACAAGUUAAAUUGAUGUUUUAAGCAGAACAAGGAAAAGCACUUUAAAAGGCCAUGUUUGAGUUUGAAAUUUGAAUCUUUGAUUCAAAUUGGUUCAAACCCUUCUGGUUUUAGUUGCAUUAGCCCAACACACUCAUAUUGCCAUGUUUCAUGCAUGCAUCAUAUUGUUGCACAUUGUUUGGUGAUGGUUGUGUAUCGGUGUCCUUUGCGACAGGUUCUGCCUCCGAGGAGUACCGUGAUUACCCUAACGAAGAACCGUAUCCGUGCAUCGAACCAUCAGGCAAGCAACCAACCAUUUGAUCAUAUCGAUACAAUCCCAUGUUCUCGCUCCUGCUCUCUUUUACUGCAUUAAGACAACGCGUUUCAAACUGCUGUGUGCUACGGUAGUUGAACCCAUUUCCUCUGCAUGACCUGUCAUUGCCACAGUAACUAGAUGAAACCCACUAGCAUGUGUAGGAGUUGAUUGAGCCAUAUGUAUGUGUUGUUCCUACCUUGCUAUGCCUGCUAUGCUUAGAGUCGUGUCAGGUCUGGUUCAUCUGGGUGAUGGGCUGGAGUGAAAUGUUUAUGUCGGUAAUGAGAGUGGCGUGGUGAACACGAUUUGGUAAAGGUAUCGAUGAGAGGCCAUGUAGGAGUACAUGGUGGGUUGUUUCAUUGAAGCCGACCUUAAGCACUGAGAUCUGUAUGUGUGAUUUAAGAUACAGCUACUACCAUGCAUUGGGCCCUGAAAUAUGACCCCGCUCGACUUCUUAUUCACCCUAGCUCUCUGUCCAGGAGUUGCAAGUAGUUUCUGGUGUUUGUAGCCUACUGGAGGCCGUGGACAGCGCUGACCGUAGGGGUGGGCUGUGAUGCGGUAGGUACGUGGCCGGGUGUACCGAAUACCCGUUAGGUAUCUCGGGAACCCUGUUCACAUCGUUCGGGGCCGUAUGGGAAACCUCGGCCGGACUCCCUGCGGAUGGAACCUGGAUAGGCGAUAAACCUGGACUAGAGGCUUAAGUGUUUAGGUAGGUCGUGGUCUACACCCACGUCGGCUUUCGCUUGAAGUCUGUCGAGCACAUGUCGUGUGCAGACGCUAAGUGGUGGAAACAUGUAUGAAGAAGUACACCCCUGCAGGGUUAACAUGAUCUAUUCGAAUAGCCGCGUCCGCGGUAAAGGACUACUUGGUUGCCUAUACAGUUCAUAGACAAGUAAAUGGAAACUACUAAAAGCCUCAAGAUAAGUGUGAGUGCCGAGGAUGGCUCUUCCGUAGGAAGACGGAGGCGGAUCCUCGGUAGUGUAUUGAAUUGGUGAGUAGUGGACUCGUGUGCGCAAAACCAUUUCAAGUUGAAGUAUCGUAGGAUAGUCUAGCCAAGAGUCAAAGCUGGCUUGCUGCAAUAACUCCACCAACCCUUCUUGAUAAUAUGCAUGUAUGUAGGAUCUGAUGUAAGUCUUGCUGAGUACCUUUGUACUCAUGUUGCUAUAAUUUACAUUUUUACAGAAGACGCUGCAACCCCUUCUGAUGUCAGGACCCCGACUCAAUGCCACAUCGAUCUAGCAUGUAACACCUCAUAUCACUUUGCGGCCUCACGCACGGUAUUCCCACGGGUGUCGCCUUACCUUUGCCCGGGACCGUUUGCGCCUUUUGGCACACGUAUAUGACAGUGUCGCUAGCAUCCAUAUGAUAAGGAGCCCGGGCUGACAUGACUAGUCGUAAACCCAAAGUGGCACAGACUUACAGGGACAGGCAUCCAUGACCCAGCUUCGAACGUGUCGGUCAUCAGCAAGUGGGUCCGGGCUGUAGCACUGGGCUAGCAGGACUCCGGUAAACCGGGCUGUAGCGGGCUAACAGGACUCCGGUACUCAAAGCGUGACAUUUCCCCGAAGGGACAGACACAGGAACGAAGAAGGACACAUGCCGGCCAGCCUAAGUGUUCCGGAGCAGUAGCAAGCUACCAUGGCUCAAUGGAAACACUAGGAGACAUUUCCCGGUAAGAGAGGCUACUAAAGAUAAACAACUAGAUGGUCAGAUCCCACACAUACCAAGCAUUUCAAUAACAUACACACAAUAUGCUCGAUAUGUGCAAUACAACAUGGCAUCACAAAAUGACUCUACGACUCAAGUAGUUUAUUCAAUAGGCUCCGAGGAGCGAGAUAUUACAAACAUGGGUCUCAUGACCCAACAAUCAGAGCAUACAAGUCAAAGCACAAGCGGAAGCUAUCAUGUCUGAGUACAGACAUCUAUAAAUGAAAAAGGCUGAGAAGCCUGACUAUCUACCAGAUCCUGCCGAGGGCACAAGAUCGUAGCUGAGGUAACAAGCUAAACGUCGAAGUCCACGUGGAACUACUAGUGAGACUGAAGUCUCUCUGCAAAAACAUAAAAUAGGCAAACGUGAGUACAAAUGUACCCAGCAAGACUUACAUCAGAACUAACUACAUAUGCAUCAUUUUCAACAAGGGGAUGGUGGGGUUUAACUGCAGCAAGCCAGCUUUGACUCGGUGGCUAUCCUAAACUACGACUGCAAGCGACUCUUUUGAGGUGGCGCACACGAGUCCACAUAUUCACCAUAUCAAUACACCACUAUGGAUCCGCUCCCGUCUCCCUACGAGAACGCCAUCCAUAGCACUCACGCUUAUCUUGCGCAUUUUAAAGUAUCCACUUUCACUUGUCUAUGAACUGAUAUAAGCAACCCAGAAGUCCUUUUCCGCGGACACGGCUAUUCCAAUAGAUGAUGUUAACCCUGCAGGGGUGUACUUCUUCAUACAUGUUUCCACCACUUAGCGUCUGCACACGACAUGUGCUCGGCAGACUUCAAGCGAAAGCCGACGUGGGUGUAGACCACGACCUACCUAAACACUCAAGUCUCUAGUCCAGGUUUAUCGCCUAUUCGGGUUCCAUCCAUGAGGAGAUCCGGCCGGAGUUUCGCUCACAGCCCCAAACGAUGUGAACAGGGUUCCCGAGAUACCUAACGGGCAUCCGGUACACCGUGCCACGUACCUACCGCAUCACAGCCCACCCCUACGGUCAGCGCUGUCCACGGCCUCCAGUAAGCUACAAACACCAGAAACUACUUGCAACUCCUGGACAGAGGACAAGGGUGAAUAAGAAGUCGAGCGGGGUCAUAUUUCAGGGCCCAAUGUAUGGUAGUAACUGAAUCAUGGAUCACAAACACAGAACUCAGUUCCUGUGGACGGCUACAAUGAGACAACCCACCAUGUACUCCUACAUGGCCUCUCACCGCUACCUUUACCAAAUCGUGUUCACACACUUAGCUCACACACAGUAGGACAUGUUCACACGCCUCUGAUUCAUCCCCGAUGAAUCAGACCUGACUCAACUCUAAGCAGUAGCAGGCAUGACAAACAAGCAUGAAUGAGUAGGCACAACAGGGCUCAAACAACUCCUACUCAUGCUAGUGGGUUUCAUCUAUUUACUGUGGCAAUGACAGGUCAUGCAAAGGAUAAAGGGGUUCAACUACCGCAGCAUGUAACAGUUGAAUCGGUGUUGUCCUAAUGCAGUAAAAGAGAGCAGGAGCGAGAGGGUAGGAUUGUAUCGGAAUGAACAAGGGGGUUUUGCUUGCCUGGCACUUCUGAAGAUAACAUUGAGUCUUCAUCAGUGUCAACGAUCACAUCAUCGGUAUCACGUCUAUCGAGAGGGGACAAAUACCGGCAACACAGAAAGGAACACAAUCAAUGCAAUGCACAACAUGAUGCAUGAUCAUGACAUGGCAAAAUGAAUGUGUUUUGGGCUAAUGCAACUAGCAACAGAUUAAAUGAAGUUGGUUUGAAUAUAAAAUUCAAAUUCAAACUCCAUAUGUGAUUAUUCAAAUGCCAUUUAUAUGAUUUGUGCUAAACAGCAUCUAUAAGUUGUUCUAGCAUGCAUGAAAAUGGUACAGAUGGAUUCCUUGAAUUUUUCUGAUAAUUUUUCAUAUAUAAAUUAUUUAAUUUGGAGUUACGGUUAAUUUUCUAUGAUUUAUUAAAGUUUAUACAAUUUUCUGGAUUUUCUGAUUUAUUUUAAAUCCAGAAAAUCAUUUAAUGCGUCAGCAUGACAUCACCUUGACGUCAGCAGGUCAACAGGGCGCCUCCAGGUCAAACCUGACCAGUGGGGUCCACUGGUCAGUGACCCAGGGCUGGUUAGUGUCAAUGGCAGGUGGGGCCGGGUCAAAGGCCACGUCAGCAGGGUCAAAGCUGACGGGUGGGGCCACUGGAUUAGUUUAAAACUAAACAGAAACUAAUCUAUACUUAAUUAGCAGGUGGGGCCCUGCUGUCAGUGUCACGAUUAAUUAACAGAAUUGAUUAACUUUAAAUUAAUCCUAAACUAGAAUUAGCCAGGGCCGGGCCCACAUGUCAUUGACCCAGGGGAGGUCAAACCCCCUGGUCGACUGGGCUAAUGCGCCGGCGUUUAGCCGCCGGCGACAGCAAACGCGGCGGAGGGGCUCGGGAUCGCCGCUCCGGCGACCAUUCGGGCGGCGGAGACCACCCACGCGAAGCCCAGACUCGCGCGCGUCUGGUAGUGCAAGUGGGAGGAGCUGGGGUGGCCGGAGCUGCCGGCGGCGAGCUCUUUGGCGGCUGCCGGAGCUACGGUUUCGGGCGGCUUAGCGCUAUGGUGCACAAGAGGAUGAGCUGGUGGCGGCGUUAGCUUGCUAGCACUUGCGCGCAUCCAUUUGUAGCAUCGGGAGGGUGAGACGGGGCCUGAGUCGAGCGCAGCGUCGACUUCGGCGGCGGCCGGAGUUUGGGGGUUUGCGGGACCGGCGCUAUGGUGCAUGGGAGGAGGGGUUGGUGGGCGCUACGGGCUCCUGGGAGCGCUCUGAGUACGACUGCGUGCUCGGUUUGGACGGAGGUGAACCAAAACGAUGACGGCGACAAGUCCGGCGCCGGUGAGGUCUCGGUCUCGACGGAACUAUGGCCUAGGGCUCGCAAAAACGAGGGGAGAGAGAGGGGUUCUGCACAGAGGCUCACCGCGGAGCUGUAGGGAGGGUCAGUGGGCUCGGGGGCGCGCCGGAGUGGCCGAAUUCGACGGAGAACGGCGCCGGGGCCGAAGCUUGGGGAUGAUGUCGAUGGCGGCUGCUCGGGGCCCUUCUGGUCGCGUGAGACGUCGAGGAGGUCGAGGGAGGCACUGCGGAGCUUUGGGAAGCAUCGGGGAGGUGAGAGGGGGAUGGUGGCCGCGGCGAACGGCGUUGGUGGCGACGGGCUCCGCUCGGCGCGUGCAGGGAGGGAGGAAGAAGAGGGAGAGGGGAUGCAGCAAGUGAGGGAAAGGAGAGAGGGGACACGGGGCGUCGUCGUGGCGCGAAUUAGAACGAAGGGCGGCCUCCAGCGCGAAGCAGGAGGUGGCCGGGGCGCUCGGGCGCGCGCCACGCCUCGCCUCUGCCUUCUGGCAGAGGAAGAAGAGGACAAGGGGGGGGGGAAGGUGGGCUGGGCCGCGCUGGUGGGGGAGCUGGGCCGGCUGGGCUGCACGGUGAGGCCAGGUACUUCUUCUCUCUCUUUUUUUUAUUUUUGUUCUGUUUUUCUUUUAACUAAUUCUUUUGCCACUGUUUGAAUUAAAAAUAAUAAUUCAAACAAUGCCAAAGCUCCUCUGAAUAUUUUUAUAUUGCUAGAUGGACUUUUCCAAAAGCUCAUAAAAUAUAUCAAAGGUAUUUGAAAAUAUAUUCAUUAUAUAUUAUGAAUAUAAUUCCAAAUUCAAAUAGAAUAUGAUUUAAAUUCAAUGCUCAAAAUAUUCCUCAAAAUGUUCAUUAUUUUUGGUUUGGUGUAAAACCCUUGCCAAAAUAUAACCAACAUUAUUUAAGGCCAUUUUGAAAACAUUGAAUGCAUUUUCCAGGGUUCUUUGCCCCUCUUUUAUUUAAGUUUUUGAGGCUUUCCAAAAUUCCCUCAGUUCAAAUUUCAGAAUUUAAACAUGAUGCAAACAUGAAGCUAGCCUAGAGCACUACCAGCAUCUAGGGAUGUGACAACUCACCCCCACUAAACAAGAAUCUCGUCUCGAGAUUCAAGCGUAGGGUAAGGUGAAAGGUAAACGCAACUAGUAUAAUCUUCACGAUCCAGGUUGCACUUCAUAGAAACGUUGAUUCGAUCACCAUCUUUGUCUUGUCGUCUUGCUCUGAGAAAUCCUGCCAACAUGACCUGGAGGGAAAGAGACUCUAGAAGGGUCGAUCUUCUCGAAGAUCGAACAACUCACGGAAUGAGACAUAGCAACAUCUCUUGAGCUGGGAGACGAAGCACAGAUUUGAAGAAAUGGAGUGGAGCAGAUGACGAAGGUUCACUAGGUAGACAACGAUUCCACGCUUAAGAAGGUGGUAAACGAUUGCCAACGUAGCGAAGAGUUGAGUUGCCAUGAUACCACGACGAAACAUCCUGGAGGAAGGUGAUCGUAGAGUAUUACCUUAAGUGGCAAAAAGAAUUACUUUUGAUUCAGAGAUCAUUGAAACUCUUCAUACCAGCAUAAGGCAAUUCACAACGAUCGUUUGGAGGGGGUCUGUAGAAUGGCAUACUCGGACUUGGAUGAUGUGGAUUACCUUGUUGAAGACAACGUAAUGGAUGAAUUUGCUUAUCACCGGAGGUGGAAGAGACCCAUGGUAGGAUGGCACAUUGGCGGUGCAAGCUAGGAACAAAAUGCAAAUGCUGGGAAUGAUUCUGGUAACUGGGGAAGAACCCAACAAUAGAGAGUGAAUUCACUGUUGGAGUGGUUAUAGCAUAACCGAGGGAAUCUGGGGCAAUCCCAGCUAGUGCCGAUGAUAAGACGUAGCGCUUGUGCGUGCUCUCAAGAACUUAAGCAUUUCCACAAUCAUCAAGGUUUUAUCAACAACCGCGUCAAGGGUGCUGACAACACAACAUACUACCAUGAUGAAUAGCAAUGGACGAUGCAGAUGCGAAGGAGGAUAACACUUUCUCAGAUUUCACCUUAGCAAGGCCAAGCAAAUAAAAUCUGGAUGAUCGACCGAGAGACAUUUAGCACUCCGCUUCUAAUGUUCUCCUUGAUGUGCUAGUAUAACCCAUUCAUAUAUAUGGUUUGAUAUCUAAAACAUCAAGUAAAAGGUCGGACUUCGGGAACACAAUAAGCAUAAGGCACAACUAGGAAGUAAAUCCUACGAAGUCCUUAUGGGAAGGUGGCCAACUGCUUCAAUCAAGAUACCACAAUAAUAGGUCCUUCGGCUGGGUGGUGCUGGCCACGACAUCCACUUUACCGGUUAUCAAGGGACCAAUAUUAUAGUUCUUGGGAAAUGUUCCAAACCAUCAUAUCUGCCUGAGAUUCAGAUCUGGUUGGUGUCAGGAUAUUCCAGACUCAUCGAGUCUAGGAAGAAAAAUGAAAGUUUGCAACACAAUUCGACGAGAUGACGUUGCGAGAUUCUCGGGAAAUGAACUACGAUAGCAAGCUCCAAAACAUGAGCUGGUUCUGCUACAAACAUGUGAACACGUUGUCCAAGACAAGCAUGACCACAAAGUAGUCUUAUAAUAAAACAUUACCGAGUUCAGGAGGGGGAACCAUCAGCGAGGAUAUCGAAGUUUUGUACAAAUCCGUCUGGUACCUUCGGGACUAGCACUUAGAACUUAUUAAUCUUGAACAAAUCAAUCAGUGGCUUGGUGUUCUAGGGACCCAUAUAGAAUGGAGGUUGCAAGUCUCCGAACCACAGAAUACUUCGCACGUAUGCAUGACUGAUUUGGGAUGAUUCCAAAGGAAACAACAUUGACUUUCUCGAAUCCACGGCGGCAACUUGCAUCAAAUGCACAUGGACUGGAGGAAGUCACUUCUUACAUCCGAACAUUUGCUCCAUGAACUAGCAUGAAGAAAUGUUUUCAAAAGUUUCCAACACUAACUUAAUGUUCAACAACAUCAUGGAGGAGAUAAGAAUGUUGUCAAUGGGCUCAACAACAACUCAUCAGAAUUUCCAUAUCACUGGACUUCCACCAUCGUGUGAACACGGUGAUAGCAUUGGUCAGCCCCAAAGAUAUAAUGGUGUAUGCUCGAGGGAUCAACCACGAGUAAGACAACAUUACGAACAUCGUUGGUUCUGACUUGAUUUGACGAUAGCCCACACUCAAAUCAAAGGAUUGAUAAGACAAUAGGUCCAGCAACUGAUCACAGGGACCAAUCGAUGAAGAUAUCAUCUUUCUUCAACACACACUACACAAGAAUAUCCCUUUGGAACGAACUAAGUCAGACAAGUUUUUAUCUUCCAACUCUCCAAGUUGUUGUCCAGCUUAACCAACUAGCUCAGGGAUAUCUAACACCGAUUUUUGGAGAAAGGGUGGUUCACAAGAAACCAACUUGAUCACGAGCUCAACAUAGCGGUCAGGUGACAACCUGGUAAUACUUCUGAGAAGAUAUUCAGAAAAUCACGAGCCACCGGUAUGUUACUAAGCUCGAGAACAAUCUUGCUUUUGAGGGCAAGACGAUAUGAUCAAAUGAGUGAGGACUGGACAAGAUCCUAACUCAUCAAUCGAAGGGUGCACCGAAAUAAGGACUAGGUAGCACGAUCAGUCUUAGAAGGAUGAUUCGAAAACCAACAUACUAAGAAUGAAAUUAUUAUCCUUUAACUACCAAGCAACAGAGUUGCUACCAGUAUUGAUUUCACACAUCACAAAUCAUUUGUCGGUAUUCCGGUUGCAUCAACACAGGAACCGAGGAAUGAACAAUGAUGGUAAGAAGUAUCGCUGUACCAAGAGUUCAUAGGAUGGUGUGCAAUUCCUAUAACAAUCCCGAUAUAAGGAUGGUAAUACUCCAAGGUAGAACAGAGCAAAAGCUGGAUUAGCAAUUUGUUCUGCGGAAUACAACUACUUUGACCCAAUCCUAGAUAUGAAUGAGGUACUGGAGUUUGUUUCUCCAAGUCAUUCUGGACAGAAUGGCUUGACGGACCACAAGAAUAACGAGCAUCGGUGAUCACGAAUGCUCGACUACUCUUGACUAUCAAUUGAUAGGCGAGGGUCGGAAUGCAACUAAAGAGAACAACUCAAAGGAACAUAUAAUUUUCUGAGUUGUGGAUGCAUAGAUUAGUAUGUCGAACCAAGUUCAACAUAUUUCUUCCGGAUAACCCAUGCAGAAAGGUAGAACUGGCAGAGUCACGAUUUAUGAAUGGAGAACUCCUCAAGAGUACUCUAAUUGUGAUUUUUUUGAUCCAAUAAACAUCUGCCAUAAGCGGUUCAUAGUAUUUGGAAGAAGGAAAUACCACGGACCUCGAGGACUAUCGCAAAGUUACUAAUAACCUAAAGGAACGAGCAAAACUAUCAACAUGAAGCAAGUAGGGUGAAUCUCGGGUUCAAAACCCAAGGAUAGAAUACCUACUACUAGAUGGCAUCACGGGAUGCUUUCGAUAAUGACGGCCAGAGUCAUCACACUGGAGCAUAAAUCAUGGCUAGGCUACUAGAUGAUCCCCUGAGACACCUAAGGUCAUUAUAGUAACUCCAACAUAAUGUCAAGGCAAUAGAAUACCUCAACUCAACAAUUAGUGUGAUUGAGCUGGCAUAAAGGAACAUCGAGACCAGAGGGAAAGGAUUUUGCAAAUGCAUCAGACUAUUUAGAAACCUGGGAUGACUCGGACAGCAUAACGGUUGUAAAUGCUCAGAAAAGAUUUGAGACAUUCACAAAAUGGUGGCAUAACCACUCAGAAGCACGAUAUCAAGGUUUCGAGAUCAACAAUUAACAUACGGAAGUAGUAGAAACUGAACUCAAGCUUAAAUCCAACAAUCUUAUAAGUCUUCGGAUUAGUAACACGUGAUCCUGAUAGAAAGAAGAGAAAUCCUAGUUCUUAAUCCCCGUAGAAGAGAAGAUGAUGACUCAGAUCAGAAGGCCAUGAGGUAUAAGGAGUAAAAAGAGCCUUACGUUCCAUCCCACAAUCAAUUCCCUUAUAUAACUAAGAAUUUCUAGACUCAACUUCGACCAGUUUGGCUUGGUAAUCCUACAGGCAGUCAAGCUCUGAUACCAACGCUGUCAGGACCCCGACUCAAUGCCACAUCGAUCUAGCAUGUAACACCUCAUAUCACUUUGCGGCCUCACGCACGGUAUUCCCACGGGUGUCGCCUUACCUUAGCCCGGGACCGUUUGCGCCUUUUGGCACACGUAUAUGACAGUGUCGCUAGCAUCCAUAUGAUAAGGAUCCCGGGCUGACAUGGCUAGUCGUAAACCCAAAGUGGCACAGACUUACAGGGACAGGCAUCCAUGACCCAGCAUCGAACGUGUUGGUCAUCAGCGAGUGAAUCCAGGCUGUAGCACUGGGCUAGCAGGACUCCGGUGAACCGGGCUAUAGCGGGCUAACAGGACUCCGGUAUUCAUCGCGUGACAUUUCCUCGAAGGGACAGACACAGGAACGAAGAAGGACACAUGCCGGCCAGCCUAAGUGUUCCGGAGCAGUAGCAAGCUACCAUGGCUCGGUGGAAACACUAGGAGACAUUUCCCGAUAAGAGAGGCUACUAAAGAUAAACAACUAGAUAGUCAGAUCCCACACAUACCAAGCAUUUCAAUAACAUACACACAAUAUGCUCGAUAUGUGCAAACACAACAUGGCAUCACAACAUGACUCUACGACUCAAGUAAUUUAUUCAAUAGGCUCCGAGGAGCGAGAUAUUACAAACAGGGGUCUCAUGACCCAACAUUCAGAGCAUACAAAUCAAAGCACAAGCGGAAGCUAUCAUGUCUAGGUACAGACAUCUAUAAAUGAAAAAGGCUGAGAAGCCUGACUAUCUAUCAGAUCCUGCCGAGGGCACAAGAUCGUAGCUGAGGUAACAAGCUAAACGUCGAAGUCCACGUGGAACUACUAGUGAGACUGAAGUCUCUCUGCAAAAACAUAAAAUAGGCAAACGUGAGUACAAAUGUACCCAGCAAGACUUACAUCAGAACUAACUACAUAUGCAUCAUUUUCAACAAGGGGAUGGUGGGGUUUAACUGCAGCAAGCCAGCUUUGACUCGGUGGCUAUCCUAAACUACGACUGCAAGCGACUCUUUUGAGGUGGCGCACACGAGUCCACAUAUUCACCAUAUCAAUACACCACUAUGGAUCCGCUCUCGUCUCCCUACGAGAACGCCAUCCAUAGCACUCACGCUUAUCUUGCGCAUUUUAAAGUAUCCACUUUCACUUGUCUAUGAACUGAUAUAAGCAACCCAGAAGUCCUUUUCCGCGGACACGGCUAUUCGAAUAGAUGAUGUUAACCCUGCAGGGGUGUACUUCUUCAUACAUGUUUCCACCACUUAGCGUCUGCACACGACAUGUGCUCGGCAGACUUCAAGCGAAAGCCGACGUGGGUGUAGACCACGACCUACCUAAACACUCAAGUCUCUAGUCCAGGUUUAUCUCCUAUUCGGGUUCCAUCCAUGAGGAGAUCCGGCCGGAGUUUCGCUCACAGCCCCAAACGAUGUGAACAGGGUUCCCGAGAUACCUAACGGGCAUCCGGUACACCGUGCCACGUACCUACCGCAUCACAGCCCACCCCUACGGUCAGCGCUGUCCACGGCCUCCAGUAAGCUACAAACACCAGAAACUACUUGCAACUCCUGGACAGAGGACAAGGGUGAAUAAGAAGUCGAGCGGGGUCAUAUUUCAGGGCCCAAUGUAUGGUAGUAACUGAAUCAUGGAUCACAAACACAGAACUCAGUUCCUGAGGACGGCUACAAUGAGACAACCCACCAUGUACUCCUACAUGGCCUCUCACCGCUACCUUUACCAAAUCGUGUUCACACACUUAGCUCACACACAGUAGGACAUGUUCACACGCCUCUGAUUCAUCCCCGAUGAAUCAGACCUGACUCAACUCUAAGCAGUAGCAGGCAUGACAAACAAGCAUGAAUGAGUAGGCACAACAGGGCUCAAACAACUCCUACUCAUGCUAGUGGGUUUCAUCUAUUUACUGUGGCAAUGACAGGUCAUGCAAAGGAUAAAGGGGUUCAGCUACCGCAGCAAGUAACAGAUAAAUCGGUGUUGUCCUAAUACAUUAAAAGAGAGCAGGGGCGGGAGAGUAGGAUUGUAUCGGAAUGAACAAGGGGGUUUUGCUUGCCUGGCACUUCUGAAGAUAACAUUGAGUCUUCAUCAGUGUCAACGAUCACAUCAUCGGUAUCACGUCUAUCGAGAGGGGACAAAUACCGGCAACACAGAAGGGAACACAAUCAAUGCAAUGCACAAUAUGAUGCAUGAUCAUGACAUGGCAAAAUGAAUGUGUCUUGGGCUAAUGCAACUAGCAACAGAUUAAAUGAAGUUGGUUUGAAUCCAAGAUUCAAAUUCAAACUCCAUAUGUGGUUAUUUAAAUGUCAUUCACUUCAUUUGCCCUAAACAGUAGCGAUAAGUUGUUCUAACAUGCAUGAAAAUGGUACAGAUGGAUUCUUUGAAUUUUUCUGAUAAUUUUUCAUAUAUAAAUUAUUUAAUUUGGAGUUACGAUUAAUUUUCUAUGAUUUAUUGAAGUUUAGAAUAUAUUCUGGAAUUAUAAAUCAUUUCCUAAUUUAUUUUAAUUCCAGAAAUACUUUACUGCGUCAGCAUGACGUAUUAGUGACGUCAGCAGGUCAACAGGGCGCCUCCAGGUCAAACCUGACCAGUGGGGUCCACUGGUCAGUGACCCAGGGCUGUUUAGUGUCAAUGGCAGGUGGGGCCGGGUCAAAGGCCACGUCAGCAGGGUCAAAACUGACGGGUGGGGCCACUGGAUUAGUUUAAAACUAAACAGAAACUAAUCUAUACUUAAUUAGCAGGUGGGGCCCUGCUGUCAGUGUCACGAUUAAUUAACAGAAUUGAUUAACUUUAAAUUAAUCCUAAACUAGAAUUAGCCAGGGUCGGGCCCACAUGUCAUUGACCCAGGGGAGGUCAAACCCCCUGGUCGACUGGGCUAAUGCGCCGGCGUUUAGCCGCCGGCGACAGCAAACGCGGCGGAGGGGCUCGGGAUCGCCGCUCCGGCGACCAUUCGGGCGGCGGAGACCACCCACGCGAAGCCCAGACUCGCGCGCGUCUGGUAGUGCAAGUGGGAGGAGCUGGGGUGGCCGGAGCUGCCGGCGGCGAGCUCUUUGGCGGCUGCCGGAGCUACGGUUUCGGGCGGCUUAGCGCUAUGGUGCACAAGAGGACGAGCUGGUGGCGGCGUUAGCUUGCUAGCACUUGCGCGCAUCCAUUUGUAGCAUCGGGAGGGUGAGACGGGGCCUGAGUCGAGCGCAGCGUCGACUUCGGCGGCGGCCGGAGUUCGGGGGUUCGCGGGACCGGCGCUAUGGUGCAUGGGAGGAGGGGUUGGUGGGCGCUACGGGCUCCUGGGAGCGCUCUGAGUACGACUGCGUGCUCGGUUUGGACGGAGGCGAACCAAAACGACGACGGCGACAAGUCCGGCGCCGGUGAGGUCUCGGUCUCGACGGAACUAUGGCCUAGGGCUCGCAAAAACAAGGGGAGAGAGAGGGGUUCUGCACAGAGGCUCACCGCGGAGCUGUAGGGAGGGUCAGUGGGCUCGGGGGCGCGCCGGAGUGGCCGAAUUCGACGGAGAACGGCGCCGGGGCCGAAGCUUGGGGAUGAUGUCGAUGGCGGCUGCUCGGGGCCCUUCUGGUCGCGUGAGACGUCGAGGAGGUCGAGGGAGGCACUGCGGAGCUUUGGGAAGCAUCGGGGAGGUGAGAAGGGGAUGGUGGCCGCGGCGAACGGCGUUGGUGGCGACGGGCUCCGCUCGGCGCGUGCAGGGAGGGAGGCAGAAGAGGGAGAGGGGAUGCAGCGAGUGAGGGAAAGGAGAGAGGGGACACGGGGCGUCGUCGUGGCGCGAAUUAGAACGAAGGGCGGCCUCCAGCGCGAAGCAGGAGGUGGCCGGGGCGCUCGGGCGCGCGCCACGCCUCGCCUCUGCCUUCUGGCAGAGGAAGAAGAGGACAAGGGGGGGGGGGGAAGGUGGGCUGGGCCGCGCUGGUGGGGGAGCUGGGCCGGCUGGGCUGCACGGUGAGGCCAGGUACUUCUUCUCUCUCUUUUUUUUAUUUCUGUUCUAUUUUUCUUUUAACUAAUUCUUUUGCCACUGUUUGAAUUAAAAAUAAUAAUUCAAACAAUGCCAAAGCUCCUCUGAAUAUUUUUAUAUUGCUAGAUGGACUUUUCCAAAAGCUCAUAAAAUAUAUCAGAGGUAUUUGAAAAUAUAUUCAUUAUAUAUUAUGAAUAUAAUUCCAAAUUCAAAUAGAAUAUGAUUUAAAUUCAAUGCUCAAAAUAUUCCUCAAAAUGUUCAUUAUUUUUGGUUUGGUGUAAAACCCUUGCCAAAAUAUAACCAACAUUAUUUAAGGCCAUUUUGAAAACAUUGAAUGCAUUUUCCAGGGUUCUUUGCCCCUCUUUUAUUUAAGUUUUUGAGGCUUUCCAAAAUUCCCUCAGUUCAAAUUUCAGAAUUUAAACAUGAUGCAAACAUGAAGCUAGCCUAGAGCACUACCAGCAUCUAGGGAUGUGACACUCUGCAUGACCUGUCAUUGCCACAGUAACUAGAUGAAACCCACUAGCAUGUGUAGGAGUUGAUUGAGCCAUAUGUAUGUGUUGUUCCUACCUUGCUAUGACUGCUAUGCUUAGAGUCGUGUCAGGUCUGGUUCAUCUGGGUGAUGGCUAGAGUGAAAUGAUUACGUCGGUAAUGAGAGUGGUGUGGUGAACACGAUUUGGUAAAGGUAUCGAUGAGAGGCCAUGUAGGAGUACAUGGUGGGUUGUUUCAUUGAAGCCGACCUUAAGCACUGAGAUCUGUAUGUGUGAUUUAAGAUACAGCUACUACCAUGCAUUGGGCCCUGAAAUAUGACCCCGCUCGAUUUCUUAUUCACCCUAGCUCUCUGUCCAGGAGUUGCAAGUAGUUUCUGGUGUUUGUAGCCUACUGGAGGCCGUGGACAGCGCUGACCGUAGGGGUGGGCUGUGAUGCGGUAGGUACGUGGCACGGUGUACCGAAUACCCGUUAGGUAUCUCGGGAACCCUGUUCACAUCGUUCGGGGCCGUAUGGGAAACCUCGGCCGGACUCCCUGCGGAUGGAACCUGAAUAGGCGAUAAACCUGGACUAGAGGCUUAAGUGUUUAGGUAGGUCGUGGUCUACACCCACGUCGGCUUUCGCUUGAAGUCUGCCGAGCACAUGUCGUGUGUAGACGCUAAGUGGUGGAAACAUGUAUGAAGAAGUACACCCCUGCAGGGUUAUCAUAAUCUAUUCGAAUAGCCGCGUCCGCGGUAAAGGACUACUUGGUUGCCUAUACAGUUCAUAGACAAGUAAAUGGAAACUACUAAAAGCUUCAAGAUAAGUGUGAGUGCCGAGGAUGGCUCUUCCGUAGGAAGACGGAGGUGGAUCCUCGGUAGUGUAUUGAAGUGGUGAGUAGUGGACUCGUGUGCGCAAAACCAUUUCAAGUUGGAGUAUCGUAGGAUAGCCUAGCCAAGAGUCAAAGCUGGCUUGCUGCAAUAACUCCACCAACCCUUCUUGAUACUAUGCAUGUAUGUAGGAUCUGAUGUAAGUCUUGCUGAGUACCUUUGUACUCAUGUUGCUAUAAUCUACAUUGUUACAGAAGACGCUGCAACCCCUUCUGAUGGGUUCUAUGUAGACGUCGACAUCAACGAGUAGGCUAAAGACCCAGGUGGUGACCCUGAGCUUGUGAAGGACCACGUAGUAUAGCUAGGCUUUCCAAGCCUCUUUUAUUUUACUAGUUGUCUGUACUCAGACAAGUUACUUCCGCUGCUGGUUUGUAUGACUGUAUGACUUGUAUGUUGGGUCGUGAGACCCGUACCUUGGUGUAUGUUAUGUAUGGCUCCCCGAGCCUUAAAUAAAGUACUUGUGUCGUAGAGUCAUGUUGUGAUGCUUCGUUGUAUUUGCACAUAUCGAGCAUAUUGUGUGUAUGAUUGAAAUGCUUGGUAUGUGUGGGAUCUGACUAUCUAGUUGUUUAUCUUUAGUAGCCUCUCUUACCGGGAAAUGUCUCCUAGUGUUACCGCUGAGCCAUGGUAGCUUGCUACUGCUCUGGAACACUUAGGCUGGCCGGCAUGUGUCCUUCUUCGUUCCUGUGUCUGUCCCUUCGGGGAAAUGUCACGCUUUGAGUACCGGAGUCCUGUUAGCCCGCUACAGCCCGGUUUACCGGAGUCCUGCUAGCCCAGUGCUACAGCACGGACCCACUUGCUGAUGACCGACACGUUCGAAGCUGGGUCAUGGAUGCCUGUCCCUGUAAGUCUGUGCCACUUUGGGUUUACGACUAGUCAUGUCAGCCCGGGCUCUUUAUCAUAUGGAUGCUAGCGACACUAUCAUAUACGUGAGCCAAAAGGCGCAAACGGUCCCGGGAAAAGGUAAGACGACACCCGUGGGAAUACCGUGCGUGAGGCCGCAAAGUGAUAUGAGGUGUUACCAGCUAGAUCGAUGUGACAUCGAGUCGGGGUCCUGACAGUUUAAAUUUCAUUUAAACCUGAAAUGGGGAUUGACUAAACCCUAGCACCAAAUGAAUUCAACUAGGGUCAAAAUAAAAUCUUUUUCAUUAAACCCAAAAUGCCCUCUAAAAAUGUUCAACAUUUCUGGUUAGAGGUGAAAGCAUCUACCAAAAAUGAUUUAUAUUUUUGCAGGACAUAUUGGGCUCUGAAUUAAAUCAUACUCUAUUUGCAUUUGGGCAUUUAAAUGCUAUAAAAUAUUCUAAAUGCCCAAAUAAUUCUGAAAAUAAGUGUGGGCUGUUGGAAAUAAUCUAAAUAGAGCCCUUGAUUAUUCCAGGAUUUUUUUAAGAUGCCUAAGUAUUUUUAAUAAAGCCCUACAGUUGCAGAAAUAAUAGAAAACAGAAAAUAGAGGAGAGAGAGAGAACUCACCUGGACCUACCUGGCAGCCCACCUGGCCGGCCCAGCAGGCGGCCUGGCCAACUGGCCCAGCCCACCACCGCAGCCCCUCCGUCGUCUUCCUCCCCUCGCCCCGAAGCAGUUGCGUGCCCGCACGCGAGCGACCGCGGCCACGUCCUCCCGCCACCUCCUGCUUGCCCUCCCUCGUCCUGACCUGCGCCACGGAGACGCCACGCACCCCCUGGCCCCUCUCAUUCUCCCUGUGCUCCUCCCCCUCCUCUGUUUCCCUCUCCCGCGAACGGCCGAACGCCAUCGUCGCCGCCGUUCGUCACCGCCGCAGCCACAACCACUCCCUCGCUCCCUCUUCGUAUCCCCGAGCUCCGCAUCAUCGUCCUCCUCGUCCACCCCGAGCCAAGCAACCAGGGGAGCGCUGCAUCGCCGCCCCGGACGUCUUCUUCAACCUCGGUGCCGGCGAUCUCCGUCGCUUGAUUCGCCGCAUCCAGAGCCUCCCCGGCCCCGCCGUCUGCACCGUCUGACUCGCCGUGAGCCACUUACCUUAUCCCCUAACUCCUUGUGCUCGCCCCCGUGCUGUAGCGCCGUUCCCCACGAGCACUGAAGCCACCGUCCGCCAUUGCUGCUGCACGCAUAGCCUCCAUGCCCCUCUGGCCUCACCAUGCUGCUCGUGGUGCUCCCCGUGCCUAGCAGGUGCUGCCCAGCCUCUCCUUUUGCUCACCGACGCAUCGUAGCGACGCGCCCGUGCAUCACCGACCACCACCACCGCCAAAGCUCGUCGCCGGCGCCUUUUCCGGCGACCCCGAACCCAACUACCUGCACCACUCGCCGCGGGCCACUCCCAGCUAUCCAUAGCGCCCAACGGCGCCCCGAACGGUGCCCUGUACGUGAAACCCGCACCUGCACCGCCGCGUUUAGCCUCGCCGGCGGCUAAACGCCGGCGAGUUGACCCCGCCGACCAGGGGGUUUGACCCUUUGACCCCCCCUGUGUCCAUGACAUGUGGGGCCGGCCUGUUAAUUAGGCUAGGAUUAGUGUUAACUAAAUAUUAGUUAGUUUAAUAGACACUGACAAUGGGCCCCAGGCCGCUAACUGAAUUAGAUUAGUUAGGUUAGUCACUGACGGAUGGGACCCACUGGCCAGGUUUGACCUGGACCAGCCACGUUGACCUGCUGACGCCAUAAUUCAUUUUCUGGAAUUAUUCUAAUUCUAAAUAUUCAGGAAAUUCCAGAAAAUGCCUAAAACUUCUAAAAUUCAUAGAAAAUUAACCGUAACUCCAAAUUAAAUAAUUUAUAUAUGAAAAAUUAUCAGAAAAAUUCAAGGAAUCCAUCUGUACCAUUUUCAUGCAUGUUAGAACAACUUAUAGCAGCUGUUUAGCACAAAUCAAAUAAAGGGCACUUAAAUAAUCACAUAUGGAGUUUGAAUUUGAAUCUUGUAUUCAAACCAACUUCAUUUAAUCUGUUGCUAGUUGCAUUGGCUCAAAACACAUUCAUUUUGCCAUGUCAUGAUCAUGCAUCAUAUUGUGCAUUGCAUUGAUUGUGUUCCUUUCUGUGUUGCCGGUAUUUGUCCCCUCUCGAUAGACGUGAUACCGAUGAUGUGAUCGUUGACACUGAUGAAGACUCAAUGUUAUCUUCAGAAGUGCCAGGCAAGCAAAACCCCCUUGUUCAUUCCGAUACAAUCCUACUCUCUCGCUCCUGCUCUCUUUUACUGCAUUAGGACAACACCGAUUCAUCUGUUACUUGCUGCGGUAGCUGAACCCCUUUGUCCUUUGCAUGACCUGUCAUUGCCACAGUAAAUAGAUGAAACCCACUAGCAUGAGUAGGAGUUGUUUGAGCCCUGAUGUGCCUACUCAUUCAUGUUUGUUUGUCAUGCCUGCUAUUGCUUAGAGUUGAGUCAGGUCUGAUUCAUCGGGGAUGAAUCAGAGGCGUGUGAACCUGUCCUACUGUGUGUGAGCUAAGUGUGUGAACACGAUUUGGUAAAGGUAGCGGUGAGAGGCCAUGUAGGAGUACAUGGUGGGUUGUCUCAUUGCAGCCGUCCUCAGGAACUGAGUUCUGUGUUCGUGAUCCAUGAUUCAGCUACUACCAUACAUUGGGCCCUGAAAUAUGACCCCGCUCGACUUCUUAUUCACCCUAGUCCUCUGUCCAGGAGUUGCAAGUAGUUUCUGGUGUUUGUAGCCUACUGGAGGCCGUGGACAGCGCUGACCGUAGGGGUGGGCUGUGAUGCGGUAGGUACGUGGCCGGGUGUACCGAAUACCCGUUAGGUAUCUCGGGAACCCUGUUCACAUCGUUCGGGGCCGUAUGGGAAACCUCGGCCGGACUCCCUGCGGAUGGAACCUGAAUAGGCGAUAAACCUGGACUAGAGGCUUAAGUGUUUAGGUAGGUCGUGGUCUACACCCACGUCGGCUUUCGCUUGAAGUCUGCCGAGCACAUGUCAUGUGCAGACGCUAAGUGGUGGAAACAUGUAUGAAGAAGUACACCCCUGCAGGGUUAACAUGAUCUAUUCGAAUAGCCGCGUCCGCGGUAAAGGACUACUUGGUUGCCUAUACAGUUCAUAGACAAGUAAAUGGAUACUAUUAAAAGCCUCAAGAUAAGUGUGAGUGCCAAGGAUGGCUCUUCCGUAGGAAGACGGAGGUGGAUCCUCGGUAGUGUAUUGAAGUGGUGAGUAGUGGACUCGUGUGCGCAAAACUAUUUCAACAUGGAGUAUCGUAGGAUAGUCUAGCCAUGAGUCAAAGCUGGCUUGCUGCAAUAACUCCACCAACCCUUCUUGAUACUAUGCAUGUAUGUAGGAUCUGAUGUAAGUCUUGCUGAGUACCUUUGUACUCAUGUUGCUAUAAUCUACAUUUUUUACAGAAGACGCUGCAACCCCUUCUGAUGGGUUCUAUGUAGACGUUGACAUCAACGAGUAGGCUAAAGACCCAGGUGGUGACCCUGAGCUUGUGAUGGACCACGUAGUAUAGUUAGGCUUCCAAGCCUCUUUUAUUUUACUAGUUGUCUGUACCCAGACAAAGUACUUCCGCUGUUGGCUUGUAUGACUGUAUGACUUGUAUGUUGGGUCGUGAGACCCGUACCUGUGUGAAUGAUAUGUAUGGCUCCCUGAGCCUUAAAUAAAGUACUUGUGUCAUAGAGUCAUGUUGUGAUGCUUCGUUGUAUUUGCACAUAUCGAGCAUAUUGUGUGUAUGAUUGAAAUGCUUGGUAUGUGUGGGAUCUGACUAUCUAGUUUUUUACCUUUAGUAGCCUCUCUUACCGGGAAAUGUCUCCUAGUGUUACCGCUGAGCCAUGGUAGCUUGCUACUGCUCUGGAACACUUAGGCUGGCCGGCAUGUGUCCUUCUUCGUUCCUGUGUCUGUCCCUUCGGGGAAAUGUCACGCUUUGAGUACCGGAGUCCUGUUAGCCCGCUACAGCCCGGUUUACCGGAGUCCUGCUAGCCCAGUGCUACAGCCCGGACCCACUUGCUGAUGACCGACACGUUCGAAGCUGGGUCAUGGAUGCCUGUCCCUGUAAGUCUGUGCCACUUUGGGUUUACGACUAGUCAUGUCAGCCCGGGCUCUUUAUCAUAUGGAUGCUAGCGACACUAUCAUAUACGUGAGCCAAAAGGCGCAAACGGUCCCGGGCAAAGGUAAGGCGACACCCGUGGGAACACCGUGCGUGAGGCCGCAAAGUGAUAUGAAGUGUUACCGGCUAGAUCGAUGUGACAUCGAGUCGGGGUCCUGACACUGCUAUACCUAGUGCGCCAGGUACUAGUUAUGAGCAACCAGAUGAAAUGCCUCCUCAAUCAAAGAAGCAGAUAAGGGAGAGGAACAUGAUAUACGAUUUUUCGGAAACUAGCAAAGUUUGCGAGUGGUUCUGAUCCAGCACAAGCUAUUGUAUACAAGCAUAUGCACGCAGCACGUACCGAGAUCAGCCACCUGAACAAGUCCAAGAAAAAGAAAAAACCAACUACUGCCACGGGGCCAUCUGAUGAUGGCAACCCUCGAGGACCUCCUCCACCUCCAAGCCCUACACAGCAUGGUCCUCCACCUCCUCCCCCGCCUGGCCCAACAAGCAGUGCCUCGCGUGCUCCUCCCAAUGGCCCUACAGGGAGUACUCACGGGCCUCAUCAUUCAGGUAAUUACCUGUCCAACACCCUCAUCUAACUACGUGUGAGAUUUCAAUUGCACACAUCAUGGUGCCCAGUUGCACAGAACAUGCUACCCAGUUGCACAAAACAUGCUACCCAGUUGCGCACGCUAUGAGCAUCAAGAUAAAACAACUAACUGGUUUUUCUUGUUUUGGCUAUAGUUGAUGGCAACCCUCAAGGACCUCCUCCACCUCCACACCCUACACGGCGUGGUCCACCACCACCUCCCCCGCCUGGCCCAACAAGCAGUGCCCCGCGUGCUCCUCCCAAUGGCCCUACAAGGAGUACUCACGGGCCUGAUCAUCCAGGUAAUUACCUGCCCAACACCCCCAUCUAACUAGGUGUGUGAUUUCAGAUGCACACAUCAUGGUGCGCAGUUGCACAGAACAUGCUACCCAGUUGCGCACGCUAUGUUAUUUUGAGCAUCAAGAUAAAUCAACUAACUGGUUUUUCCUGUUCUGGCUAUAGUUGAUGGCAACCCUCGAGGAUCUCCUCCACCUCCAGGCCGUACACAGCAUGGUCCUCCACCUCCUUCCUUGCCUGGCCCAACAAGCAGUGCCCCACGUGCUCCUUCCAAUGGCCCUACAGGGAGUACUCAGAGGGCUCGUUGAGGGAGUCCUGGAUUAGGGGGUGUCCGGAUGGCCGGACUAUGACCUUCCGCCGGACUCCCAAACUAUGAAGAUACAAGAUUGAAGACUCCGUCCCGUGUCCGGAUGGGACUUUCUUUGGCGUGGAAGGCAAGCUUGGCGAUACGAUAUGAAGAUCUCCUCCCAUUUUAACCGACUCUGUGUAACCCUAGCCCUCUCAAGUGUCUAUAUAAACUGGAGGGUUUUAGUCCGUAGGACGAACAAGAAUCAUACCAUAGGCUAGCUUCUAGGGUUUAGCCUCUCUGAUCUCGUGGUAGAUCCACUCUUGUACUACCCAUAUCAUCAAUAUUAAUCAACCAGGAGUAGGGUUUUACCUCCAUCGAGAGGGCCCGAACCUGGGUAAAAACAUCGUGUCCCUUGUCUCCUGUUACCAUCCGCCUAGACGCACAGUUCGGGACCCCCUACCCGAGAUCCGCCGGUUUUGACACCGACAUUGGUGCUUUCAUUGAGAGUUCCUCUGUGUCGUCGCCUUUAGGCCCGAUGGCUUCUUCGAUCAUCAAUCACGACGCGGUCCAGGGGGAGACCUUUCUCCCCGGACAAAUCUUCAUAUUCGGUGGCUUCGCACUGCCGGCCAACUCAUUUGGCCAUCUGGAGCAGAUCGAAAGCUACGCCCCUGGCCAUCAGGUCAGGUUUGGAAGCUUAAAUUACACGGACGACAUCCCCGGGGACUUGAUCUUCGAUUGAUUCGAGCCAUGGCCGAGCACGCCGCACUGUCACGAUGGGCAUGAUUUAGCUCUGUCGCCGGACAACGCCUAGAGCGUCGCUCAGGUGCCCGCUCCGACCAUUAGCUUGGAGCCUGCUGCGCUAGUCGGGGGUGGACGGUUGGAUGACACCCCGGGAGCCGCAAUCUCUACGGCAAUAGAGCCGAAUACCAGCCUAGUCCUUUACAGGGCCCGUGACUCCAAGGUGCCGGACUCCUCUCCAGACUCCAUAUAUUCCGCACCCCUUCCGAUCGAACCCGAUUGGGCUCCGAUCAUGGAGUUCACCGCCGCGGACGUCUUACAACACUCGCCCUUUGGCGACAUCCUGAAUUCACUAAAGUCUCUCUCUUUGUCAGGAGAGCCCUGGCCGGAUUACGGUCAGCAUGGUUGGGAUGCGGUCAACGAAGAAAUUUGAAACCCACUCACCACCCACUUGAUAGCCACUAUCGACGAUCAAACUGACAUGCUCGACUUCGACUCCGAAGGCAUCGACGGUAUGGACGCCGAUAAAGGAGACGAACAAGAACCAGCACCUAUAGGGCAUUGUAAAGCCGCCUCAUCAUACGAUGUAUACAUGGUGGACACACCUAACAUAAAUGACAAUGAGGAUCAAAAGGGCGCAACCAGGGAUCGCUCCCUGGAAAAACAAUCAAAGCGGCGGCGUAAGCGCAAGGCCAAGCCCCACCUCGACAAAGACCCAGCCAUAGAGCAGGGUGAAUCAACGGAAGACGAACAUGCCAUCGAGCAACCGUCCAAACAGGGCGGACAAUCCGAACAACCCAUCCCCGGGUAAGAUAAUAGUCCGGACGACUUCACGCCGUACAAAUUGCUGGAACAUCAGAACCUCCACCAAAGGCUCGUUGCCACUGCACGUAGCCUGAAAAAGCAGAAGCGAAGGCUCAAAACAGCGGAAGAUGCACUCAGGAUCAGAUGGGGCAAAGUACUCAAUACCGCACACAAAUACGACAACAGUCGUCAUACAAAGAGCUAUCCAAAGCGAAAACUACUUCCGGAAUUUGAUGAAGAGGACAUAAAGCCCCAGCAGUCAAAAAAUAAGGAAGCCACAAGGCUGGAUAGACAACCCCACGAUCGAUCUCAAACAACGAAGGGCGCCGCACUCAAUACAGCGCGUGACCCGUCCAAGAAUUCGCAUCAAAAAACUGGCCCAACCAGAUCCAUCUAUGGGCCGAGAAAGCAAGCUCCAGUGGGCAAUGCAAUGCAAAAAAUAUCCAAACAUCGCGGCACACCUAAAUACAGGGGCGUCGCGCAUCCCCUAUGUUUCACCGAUGAGGUGCUGGAUCACAAAUUUCCAGCGGGAUUCAAGCCCGUAAACAUAGAAGCAUACGACGGAACAACAGACCCUGGAGUCUGGAUCGAGGAUUAUAUCCUGCACAUACACAUGGCCAGAGGAGAUGACCUCCACGCCAUAAAAUACUUACCCCUUAAGCUCAAAGGGCCAGCCCGACAUUGGCUUAAAAGCCUUCCCAAAAACGCCAUGGGAAGUUGGGAAGCGCUCGAGGAUGCUUUCCAGGCAAAUUUUCAAGGGACCUAUGUCCGACCUCCGGAUGCAGAUGAUCUGAGUCAUAUAACUCAGCAGCCCGGAGAGUCAGCCCAGAAACUCUGGAACAGAUUCCUCACUAAAAAGAAUCAGAUAGUCGACUGUCCGGACGCCGAGGCUCUAGCAGCUUUCAAACACAGUGUCCGAGACGAAUGGCUCGCCAGACACCUCGGCCAAGAAAAGCCAAGAACAAUGGCCGCAUUAACAAGCCUCAUGACCCGCUUUUUUGCAGGAGAGGACAGCUGGUUGGCAAGAAGCAGCACCAGCGACCCGAAUACAUCCGAACCCAGAGAUGGGAACGGGAAACCAUGCCGUAACAAAGAACCGCGCCGGAUAAAGAACAAUAGCCCGAUGAGCGCGACAGUAAACGCCGGAUUCGAAAGCUCUCGGCAAAAUCAGAAAAAGCCGCCCCCAAAGAUGACAGGGACGAGCUAUCCAACCUCAAUAAAAUCUUGGACAAAAUAUGUCAAAUCCACAGCACUCCUGGGAGACCUGCAAACCAUACCCACAGAGAUUGUUGGGUCUUCAAGCAGUCCGGCAAACUCAACGCCGAACACAAGGGGCUCGACACACCAAGCGAGGAUGAUGACGCACCCCACAAGCAGAACACCGGAGAACAAAAGAAGUUCCCACAAGAAGUCAAGACAGUAAAUUCACUUCAGAUGACAAAAGGGAAAAACAGAAUGGCGCUUACGAAGACACGCGCCGUAUGGCCAACCCCAGAGGAGCAUCGCCACUGGUUGUUACAACCAAUCACCUUCGAUCAUUAGGAUUACUCCAAAGGAGCCCGUAACGCAGGCUGGACUGCCUUGGUCGUGAACCCGAUUAUUAACAGACUCCAAUUUACAAAAGUCCUUAUGGACGGCGGCAGUGACUUGAACCUGUUAUAUCAGGACACAAUCCGCAAACUCGGGGUAAACCUAGCUAUAAUCCGCCAUGGCAACACUUCCUUUCAAGGAGUCACGCCAGGUCCAGAUAGCCAAAGUAUGGGUUCCCUUCCGUUAGAAGUCACGUGCGGCUCACCCGACAACUUCUGAAGCAAAAAGCUAACAUUCCUCAUCGCCCCAUUCGUAAGUCGCUAUCAAGCGCUACUGGGACGUGAAGCUUUCGCCCGCUUUAACGCAAUACUGCAUUAUGCAUCCCUUACACUUAAAAUGCCCGGCCCAAGGGGCAUCAUUUCAUUACAUGGGAAUAUAAAUUGACCCCCAAAAUACGGUCAAAGGUGCGGCCGCCUGGACAGCCGCCCACUAGUCCAGCCCUCCUAUCCCGGACACGGCUCGACGAGUCAGGCGUAAACAUGCUUAAUAGCCGCAUAACCCCGUACAAGGGGCUCCAUGUGUUCACGCCCGGAGACAAUACGGCUCAAUUCUUGCUCCAACUAUAUUUUGUUUAUUUUAAUAUAGAUUUCUCGCACGCUUAUUUUUUACUAAGUUCCUCUCUUUCGCAGACGAACAUCGUGCUACGCCCGUCCAGGAUACGGCACAAUGGAGACACAGGCGCAGACAUGCAGCAGGGACCCGUUUCAAGGAUUCUUUAGAUUAAGACCCUGCGUAAACCUUUUUUACUGUCUCUUGUUGACAACAUCCCCCGGUUUUCUCUAUAACCGAGGAGGAGGCUGGCGUCUUGGCAUGUGGCCACGCCAGAAUUUUUGCAGGUACCUGGACACCAGGGGCUUCUUUACCAAGGGCUCUAUUUCGGCCCAUCCUCAUAAAGACCGAAUACCUUAGGGAGUGUUCGGCGUCGCGAGUUUGGCCCUAUAUGCAUCAGCUCCGAAUCAUGUCUUUGGUCAAAUGUUGGGUUUGCCUGGCUCCUAUGUUUUGCAGCCUUACAUUCCGUCAUAUUGGCUAACGCGGCACCAGGAGAACUACUGCGAUUGUGCCCCGGUUCGGCCAGGCGAGCACCUCAGUAGAGAAAGCCGAAAACUGACUGUCAUGAUAUAGCGAGAGACAGGUCAACCACUCGAUGAGUUUCGGAAUCUUUAGGUUUCCUCCGCAUUAACGAAGGGCCGCUUCCCGGUAAGGCACACUCGCGCCCCGAAUUCGGGUGAGCGUAGUGCCCCUAGGGGCUAUUCAGUAGCCCCACUGUCAAACUCAUAUGGCUAAGUGAAAGUGAUAACGCAUUGUAGUCUGGUUGCCUAGUUCGCCGCGCCACCACCUCCUUUAUAGGACCAAGACGUUGGAUUUAGUGUGAAAAGGCGCCUUUUUGCGAACACCCCCGCAUUCUAUGCAUGGGGGCUGAAGCCAACGACUGCCAUCUUUCAGGUUAUAUACAUUAAACGGCUGCACAGGAGGCAUCAUAAUUCUUGCAAGCACAAGUAUAAAAAGCUUUUUCCAUCAAAAUAUUCGUUUUACAAAUUGUAUAAGCUAUUCGAACACAACAUCCUUCGAGCACUGCGACUCUAUUAAACAAGCGCCAUGGAGAACUUCCUCAAAAUAGUGCUUGGCAGGUACUCGGCUUUCGUCCGAAUCUCGGGAUGCAACAACACUGGCCUUCAUAUCUGCCCCGUAUGUUUUGACACGGGCAAGAGCCAUCUGUGCGCCCUCUAUGCACACCGACCUCUUCAUUGCAUCAGCAUGCGGCACCGAACCAAGGAACUGCUGCACCAAGCCAAAAUAACUCUUCGGCUCCGGCUUCUCCGGCCACAGACGACUCGCAACAUACCUCAUGGCGAGUCCGGAUAACCUGUUCAGCUCCGCCCAGGCGGCUAAACGGUCGGAUACUGAAAGUGGGCGUUCUGGAUUGUGGAACUGCGACCAGAAAAGCUCUUCCAAUCCAUGGUCACCUCGGCCGCGGAAGUGUUUGGUCGCGUCCGCCGCACUAGCUGCCAAAUCCAGAUAAGUGUUUUCCGCACUCCACUGCCGGUCUAACAGAGCAUACUUGGGGUCUCCGAACUUCAUCUGCAGCAUAUAGGGCUUUCCAGACGUGAUAUCUCCGGCCUGACGCAGCUCCUCCUUCAUAACUCUCAUUGCAGAGCGAGUAUCCUUGGCUUCGGCAGUGAUCUCUUCAAGGUCCUUCUGAGACGCCCUAUCUUCUUGUUCAAAAAAUUUACAGCGGUCGGUAGCAUCCUUCAAUUUUAUGGCCAUUUCGGCUACCACCUUUUUGCUCUGGCAGUGAGCAGCCUGUUCGGCUUUUAGCUCUUCAGCCGCUUUAACGGCAGCCGCAUCGCUUCUCCUUGCUUGCUCCUUGGCUCGGGCAAGUUCCACCCGAAGGUUCUCCACGGCAGCAGCACCAGCUACAUUAAGCACAUAUAUAUAAGGCCCGAGCAUCGAGCUCCUAUUACCAGGUGUCUUUGGAACAUACCUUGUGCCUCGUCCAGCCGCUUAUUUACAAGCGCGAUGUCGGCAUCUGCUACGUCAAGUUGCCGCUUUAGCUCGGCAGAUUCAUCAAUCCGGGUAGCCACCGAACGCCUCGCCACCUUCAUGGAAAUGGCGACAUAUUAUACCUGGGGUUAUGAUCCUCUGUGCGCCAUCACUCUUGACGACACACAGAGUCUCAGGGGCUACUAUUUAUACAGGGCACAUUUAAUAUGCGGCUCUACCAAAAGGUACAACUUUUUGCGUACCUCAAAGCCUGUUAGCAAACUCUUGGCAGCCUCGUACAAUCCGCUUUCCGCAGAUGAAACCCUUCCAAUCACCAUAUUCAUCAACAUACGGUGUUCUUCUGAGAUGGACGCCCUACCAAGCAAAUCCUUCAGCCCCUCCGACUGCGCACCAGAGGGUGCCGGACUAGCCUGACCACCUUUUUCAGGGUCCGGACUUGGGAAAACCCUCCGAGACGACACCUCGGGGUCGCCUGCCUCGUGAGACGGUGCAAGAAGAGGAGGCGUUUCGCUCUCUAUCAUCUCCGGACGAAGAUCCCCUGAAGAUGAGCUCUGCUGAGAAGGGUUGAGAUCCGAACUGCAAGGUAAUGUUUCGGUCACUUUCCUCAGAAAUAAGACAGGAGUGUCAUUUAUUAUGGAACCCCUCCCUUCACUUACAUCUCGAGAGAGAGCGGGUCCCCUUUAGGGGGCAAUUCGGCCGGGGCGUUCUCCGGUGCCGAACCCUCUGGUGAAGAUUUCUUCCCCCAUUUUGAGGCCAUCACCUCCGGGUCUUCAGAGGCAGUCCUUUUCUUUCCCUAGUCGGGGGAAUUUUCGAUUCUUCCCUUCCUAACAGCCUCCUUCGCGGAGGCAGUAGCUCCUUGGUUCCCCCCUUCGCCUUCCGCCAAAAGUGCGACCUCAAGCAUCCUAAUUAGCAUGGGAUUCGGCGCAGUCUCGGGCAGGGGGCCUGGACACCUGAUAAGCUUUUCCUUCACUAUCCACUCCUGUUCAAAGGACAACUCUGUUAAGGGUAAUUUUGUGAUGAAAAUACGGAUGGUGUGUCUAAAUACGGGGCUACUUACCUUAGCAUCCGAGCGAUUGCAGCUCAGACCUGCGUCCUCGGACAAAUCCGGACACCUUGCUUGUGAUCCGAAGAACAAUUUGUACAUCUCCACGAGUGUCGCACCCAUGAAAUGUUGGAGGACUCGCGGUCCCUCCGGAUUAAUUUCACAUAGGCGGAGAGGUCGACGUUUGCAGGGCAGUGUGCGGCGAAUCAGCAUGACUUGCGCCACUACGGUCAAAUUGAUAUCUCUUUCUAGGAGAUCUCGAAUGCGGUCCUGCAGCAAGGGCACGUCUUUGGGCGCCCCCCAGAUAAGUCCUUCAUUAACCCAUGACACUAGCCGUGGUGGGGGACCCGAGCGAAAAGUAGGUGGCGCCACCCAUGUGGUGCCCCUGGGGGCUGUGAUGUAAAACCAGUCCCGUUGCCAUAAGACGAGCUCCUCUUGAAAAGAGCCUUCGGGCCAUGGAGCGUCGUCCAUCUUGCUUAUUAUAGCUCCUCCGCACUCAGCAUGCCGCCCCUCGAUCAUCUUCGGUUCCACCUUGAAGGUUUUUAGCCACAAUCCGAAGUGAGGAGUGAUAUGGAGGAAGGCCUCACACAUGACAAUGAAUGAUGAGAUUUGGAGGAUGGACUCCGGAGCUAAGUCAUGGAACUCCAGCUCAUAAUAAAACAUAAGCCCCCUCACGAAGGGAUCAAUCGGGAAGCCUAGCCCCUGAAGGAAGUGAGAUGCGAACACCACGCUCUCACUGGGCUGGGGAGCGGGAAUGGCCUACCCUUGAGCAGGCAGCCUAUGCGAGAUUUCGCCGGUUAGAUACCCGGCAUCUCUCAGCUUUCGCACAUCUUCUUCCGUAACGGAGGAAGGCAUCCACCGGCCUUGAAGGUCGGAGCCGGACAUCGUCGAAGGUCCGAAGUGCCUAAAACUAGAGCUUUGGGUGUCGGAACUCAAAGCAAGGGGCGGAUUCGAUUGGAUUGAGAAGAAGGGAGCCGAGCCUUGGUCUCUUUAUAAAGGAGUCGAAUACCAAGAGCCCUCCCCGUAACCAUUUGAGACUCACUUUCAAUUAGGGAGUCAUACCAAAGGCACGGUUGGGUUACCCAUGCCCGUAUUGAUGAGAAUCCCGGAAUAAGGGGACACGAUCUCUGCUUUGACAAGACGUGCCAAGGAAACCGCCUCGCUAAACGCGCUGAGGUGGAACAGUAAAAUGAUUCGAAUAAAGGCCUGGCCGUGACGUCACGCUACGGAAUACGUUAGCAAAUUAGAUUUGUGCAAAUAUUAUUCUCUCUACGGUGGCAUGUGGAACUUAUCUUUCAGAGCCGGACACUAUCCUUGUGUUCAACAUCAUCUAUGAAGUAUUCGGAGAAGGAACCCGUCUUGCAAUGCCGAAGACAAUUUGCGCGCCGGACUCGUCAUCAUUGAAGCCUGGUUCAGGGGCUACUAAGGGAGUCCUGGAUUAGGGGGUGUCCAGAUGGCCGGACUAUGACCUUCGGCCAGACUCCCGGACUAUGAAGAUACAAGAUUGAAGACUCCGUCCCGUGUCCGGAUGGGACUUUCUUUGGCGUGGAAGGCAAGCUUGGCGAUACGAUAUGAAGAUCUCCUCCCAUUGUAACCGACUCUGUGUAACCCUAGCCCUCUCCGGUGUCUAUAUAAACCGGAGGGUUUUAGUCCGUAGGACGAACAACAAUCAUACCAUAGGCUAGCUUAUAGGGUUUAGCCUCUCUGAUAUCGUGGUAGAUCCACUCUUGUACUACCCAUAUCAUCAAUAUUAAUCAAGCAGGAGUAGGGUUUUACCUCCAUCGAGAGGGCCCGAACCUGGGUAAAAACAUCGUGUCCCUUGUCUCCUGUUACCAUCCGCCUAGACACAUAGUUCGGGACCCCCUACCCGAGAUCCGCCGGUUUUGACACCGACACUCGUCAUCUAGGUAAUUACCUGCCCCAACUCCCCAAGCAAGUGUGUGUGUGAUUUCAGUUCCGCACAUCAUGGUGCCCAGUUGCUGUCAGAACAUGCUACCGAGUUGCACGCGCUCUAUUAGUUCAAGCAUCAAGACAAACAAAACUAACUUGCUUUUUCCUGUUCUAGCUAUAGGUGAUUACCAACCAAGUGGGAUGACGGGCCGUGCUACUAUAGGUUUUAUUUUUAACUUAAUUUGCACACAACAACCAAUUAGUUGCACAGCAUAAGUUGUGUGGUUUUAGAGAACAUCAGUCAUUGUUGCGCGAAAAAACUAAACUUUUUAUAUGAUUGUUCCACAGGUGAUCAAACACAAGCUCGUGAUGGUCCUGCCCAGUUGGAGGCUCCAUCCCCAACACAAGCCUAUGAUGAUUUUGUGCCUAGGAUCCUCCAAGGUCUAUUACAAAGGGUAGGGCGAAGAGUCGACGGUACAAAUCGGCGCUAGAGCUACACCCAAAGAAGAAAAACAAAUGCAGCCACUGCCAACCUACACAGCACACUGCUGGUCUGUCCACUCACGCUGCUGUGAUUCUCUUGUAUCGUUUGUAUCAGAAAAGGGAAAAACGAAAAUAAUGAUGGUUUUUGAGCGAUUUAGGGGGCAAAAAGUGGACACAUACAGCUGUUGGGGAGCGUAGUAAUUUCAAAAUUUUGCUACGUGCACGCAAGACCAUGGUGAUGUAUAGCAACGAGAGGGGAGAGUGUGUCCACGUACCCUCGUAGACCGAAAGCGGAAGCGUUACCACAAUGCGGUUGAUGUAGAUACGUCUUCACGAUCCGAUCGAUCCAAGUACCGAAUGUACGGCACCUGCGAGUUAAGCACACAUUCAGCUUGAUGAUGUCCCUCGAACUCCGAUCCAGGUGAGCUUUGAGGGAGAGUUCCGUCAGCACGACGGCAUGGUGACGAUGAUGAUGUUCUACCGAUGCAGGGCUUCUCCUAAGCACCACUACGAUAUUAUCAAGGUGGAAUAUGGUGGAGGGGGGCACCGCACACGACUAAGAGAUCAAUGAUCAAUUAUUAUGUCUAGAGGUGCCCUCCCUGCCCCCUUAUAUAAAGGAUCAAGGGGGAGGGGGCAGCCGGCCAGGAGGAGGCGCGCCAGGGAGGAGUCCUACUCCCACCGGGAGUAGGACUCCCUCCUUUCCUAGUCCAAGUAGGAGAGCGGGAGGAAGGGAGAGAGGAGAGGAAGGAAGGGGGGGGCGCCGCCCCCCUCUCCUUGUCCUAUUCGGACUAGAGGGGGAGGGGGCGCACGGCCAGCCCUGACCGCCCCUCCUCUUCUCCACUUAGGGCCCAUGAGGCCUAUUAACCCCCCGGGGGGUUCCGGUAACCCCCCGAUUCUCCGGUAUACAUCCGAUAACCCCCGGAACCAUUCCGGUGUACAAAUAUAGUCGUCCAAUAUAUCAAUCUUCAUGUCUCGACCAUUUAGAGACUCCUCAUCAUGUCCGUGAUCACAUCCGGGACUCCGAACUAUCUUCGAUACAUCAAAACACAUAAACUCAUAAUAUAACUAUCAUCUAACUUUAAGCGUGCGGACCCUACGGGUUCGAGAACUAUGUAGACAUGACCGAGAGAUGUUUCCGGUAAAUAACCAAUAGCGGAACCUGGAUGCUCAUAUUGGCUCUUACAUAUUCUUGGAAGAUCUUUAUCGGUCAAACCGCAUAACGACAUACGUUGUUCCCUUUAUCAUCGGUAUGUUACUUGCCCGAGAUUUGAUCGUCAGUAUCUCAAUACCUAGUUCAAUCUCGUUAUCGGCAAGUCUCUUUACUCGUUAUGUAAUGCAUCAUCCCGCAACUAACUCAUUAGUCACAUUGCUUGCAAGGCUUAUAGUGAUGUGCAUUACCGAGAUGGCCCAGAGAUACCUCUCCGACAAUCGGAGUGACAAAUCCUAAUCUCAAAAUAUGCCAACUCAACAUGUACCUUCGGAGACACCAGUAGAGCUCCUUUAUAAUCACCCAGUUACGUUGUGACAUUUGGUAGCACACAAAGUGUUCUUCCGGUAAACAGGAGUUGCAUAAUCUCAUAGUCAUAAGAACAUGUAUAAGUCAUGAAGAAAGCAAUAGCAACAUACUAAACGAUCAAGUGCUAAGCUAACGGAAUGGGUCAAGUCAAUCACAUCAUUCUCCUAAUGAUGUGAUCCCGUUAAUCAAAUGACAACUCAUGUCUAUGGUUAGGAAACACAACCAUCUUUGAUCAACGAGCUAGUCAAGUAGAGGCAUACUAGUGACACUAUGUUUGUCUAUGUAUUCACACAUGUAUUAUGUUUCCGGUUAAUACAAUUCUAGCAUGAAUAAUAAACAUUUAUCAUGAUAUAAGGAAAUAAAUAAUAACUUUAUUAUUGCCUCUAGGGCAUAUUUCCUUUAGUCUCCCACUUGCACUAGAGUCAAUAAUCUAGAUUACACAGUAAUGAUUCUAACACCCAUGGAGCCUUGGUGCUAAUCAUGUUUUGCUCGUGGAAGAGGCUUAGUCAACGGGUCUGCAACAUUCAGAUCCGUAUGUAUCUUGCAAAUCUCUAUGUCUCCCACCUAGACUUUGUCCCGGAUGGAAUUGAAGCGUCUCUUGAUGUGCUUGGUUCUCUUGUGAAAUCCUGAUUCCUUUGCCAAUGCAAUUACACCAGUAUUGUCACAAAAGAUUUUCAUUGGUCCCGAUGCACUAGGUAUGACACCUAGAUCGGAUAUGAACUCCUUCAUCCAGACUCCUUCAUUUGAUGCUUCCGAAGCAGCUAUGUACUCCGCUUCACAUGUAGAUCCCGCCACGACGCUUUGUUUAGAACUGCACCAACUAACAGCUCCACCGUUCAAUAUAAACAUGUAUCCGGUUAGCGAUUUAGAAUCGUCCGGAUCAGUGUUAAAGCUUGCAUCGAUGUAACCAUUUACGACUAGCUCUUUGUCAACUCCAUAAAGGAGAAACCCUUAGUCCUUUUCAGGUAUUUCAGGAUAUUCUUGACCGUUGUCUAGUGAUCCACUCCUAGAUUACUUUGGUACCUCCCUGCUAAACUUAUUGCUAAACAUACAUCAGGUCUAGUACACAGCAUUGCAUACAUGAUAGAGCCUAUGGCUAAAGCAUAGGGAACAUAUUUCAUUUUUUCUCUAUCUUCUGCUGUGGUCGUGCUUUGAGUCUGACUCAACUUCACACCUUGUAACACAGGCAAGAACCCUUUCUUUGCUUGAUCUAUUUUGAAAUUUUUCAAAACUUUAUCAAGGUAUGUGCUUUGUGAAAGUCCAAUUAAGCAUCUUGAUCUAUCUCUAUAGAUCUAGAUGCCUAAUAUAUAAGCAGCUUCACCGAGGUCUUUCAUUGAAAAACUUCUAUUCAAGUAUCCUUUUAUGCUAUCCAAAAAUUCUAUAUCAUUUCCAAUCAACAAUAUGUCGUCUACAUAUAAUAUCAGAAAUGCUACAGAGCUCCCACUCACUUUCUUGUAAAUACAGCUUCUCCAAAAGUCUGUAUAAAACCAUAUGCUUUGAUCACACUAUCAAAGCGUUUAUUCCAACUCCGAGAGGUUUGCACCAGUCCAUAAAUGGAUCUCUGGAGCUUGCACACUUUGUUAACACUUUUUGGAUCGACAAAACCUUCUGGUUGCAUGAUAUACAACUCUUCUUCUAGAAAUCUAUUCAGGAAUGCAGUUUUGACAUCCAUUUGCCAUAUUUCAUAAUUAUAAAAUGCGGCAAUUGCUAACAUGAUUCAGACAGACAUAAGCAUCGCUACGAGUGAGAAAGUCUCAUCGUAGUCAACCCCUUGAACUUGUCGAAAACCUUUUGCAACAAGUCGAGCUUUGUAGAUGAUACGUCUCCAAUGUAUCUAUAAUUUCUGAUUGUUCCAUGCUAUUGUAUUACCCCUUUUGGAUGUUUAUGGGCUUUAUUUUACACAUUUAUAUCAUUUUUGGGACUAACAUACUAACCAGAGGCCCAGCCCGUAUUGCUGUUUUUUUGCCUAUUUCAGUAUUUCGAAGAAAAGGAAUAUCAAACGGAGUCCAAACGGAAUGAAACCUUCGGGAGCGUGAUUUUUGGAAUGAACGUGAUCCGGAGAACUUGGAGUGCAAGUCAAGAAGCAAAUGAGGCGGCCAGGAGAUAGGAGGGCGCGCCCACCCCUCCUGGGAGCACCCCCUAUCUCUUGGGCCCCUCGAGCGGCCACCAACGUACUUCUUCCUCCUAUAUAUACCUACGUACACCGAAAACAUUCAGGGAUCCACCGAAACACAAUUUCCAACCGCCAUAGCCUUCUGUAUCAGCAAGAACCCAUCUUGGAGCCUUCGUCGGUACCAUGGAGGGCUUCUACAUCAAUACCAUAGCCCCUCCGAUGAGUUGUGAGUAGUUUACCACAGACCUUCGGGUCCAUAGUUAUUAGCUAGUUGGCUUCUUCUCUCUUUUUGGAUCUCAAUACAAUGUUCUCCCCCUCUCUUGUGGAGAUCUAUUCGAUGUAAACUCUUUUUGUGGUGUGUUUGUCGAGAUCCGAUGAAUUGUGAGUUUAUGAUCAAGUUUAUCUAUGAGAAAUAUUUGAAUCUCCUCUUAAUUCUUUUAUGUAUGAUUGAGUUAUCUUUGCAAGUCUCUUCGAAUGAUCAGUUUGGUUCGGCCUACUAGAUUGAUCUUUCUUGCCAUGGGAGAAAUGCUUAGCUUUGGGUUCAAUCUUGCGGUGUCCUUACCCAGUGACAGAAAGGGUUGCAAGGCACGUAUUGUAUUGUUGCCAUCGAGGAUAAAAAGAUGGGGUUUAUAUCAUAUUGCUUAAGUUUAUCCCUCUACAUCAUGUCAUCUUUCUUAAUGCGUUACUCUGUUCUUAUGAACUUAAUACUCUAGAUGCAUGCUGGAUAGCGGUCGAUGUGUGGAGUAAUAGUAGUAGAUGCAAGCAGGAGUCGGUCUACUUGUCACGGACGUGAUGCCUAUAUACAUGAUCCUGCCUAGAUAAUCUCAUAAUUAUUCGCUUUUCUAUCAAUUGCUCGACAGUAAUUUGUUCACCCACCAUAAUACUUAUGCUAUCUUGAGAGAAGCCACUAGUGAAACCUAUGGCCCCCGGGUCUAUCUUUUAUCAUAUUAGCUUUCAAUCUACUUUUAUUUUCCUCUUUACUUUUUGCAUCUAUAUUAUAAAAUACGAAAAAUAUAUUUAUCUUAUCAUACUAUCUCUAUGAGAUCUCACUUUUGCAAGUGGCCAUGAAGGGAUUGACAACCCCUUUAUUGCGUUGGUUGCGAGUUCUUUGUUUGUUUGUGUAGGUGCGUGGGACUUUUGAGGAGCCUCGUACUGGAUUGAUACCUUGGUUCUCAAAAACUGAGGGAAAUACUUACGCUACUAUUGCUGCAUCACCCUUUCCUCUUCAAGGAAAACCAACGCAAGCUCAAGACGUGGCAAGAAGGAUUUCUGGCACCGUUGCCGGGGAGGUCUUUGCUCAAGUCAAGACAUACCAAGUACCCAUCACAAACUCAUCUCCCUCACAUUUACAUUAUUUGCCAUUUGCCUCUCGUUUUCCUCUCCCCCACUUCACCCUUGCCGUUUUAUUUGCCCUCUCUUUCCCAAUCUCUCUCUUUUUCGCGUGCCCUUUUCUGUUUGCUUGUGUGUUGGAUUACUUGUUGCCAUGGCGCAAGAUAAUACCAAAUUGUGUGAUUUCUCCAAUACCAAUAAUAAUGAUUUCCUUAGUACUCCGAUUGCUCCUCUUAAUGAUGUUGAGUCUUGUGAAAUCAAUACUGCUUUGCUGAAUCUUGUUAUGACAGAUCAAUUCGCUGGCCUUCCUAGUGAAGAUGCUGCUACUCAUCUAAACAACUCUGUUGAUUUGUGUGAUAUGCAAAAGAAGAAAGAUAUGGAUAAUGAUAUUGUUAAAUUGAAUUUAUUUCCGUUUUCACUUAGAGAUCAUGCUAAAGUUUGGUUUUCGUCUUUGCCUAAAAAUAGUAUUGAUUCUUGGAACAAGUGCAAAGAUGCUUUUAUCUCUAAGUAUUUUCCUCCUGCUAAGAUUAUCACUCUUAGGAACGAUAUUAUGAAUUUUAAACAACUUGAUCAUGAGCAUGUUGCCCAAUCUUCGGAAAGAAUGAAAUUGAUGAUUCGCAAUUGCCCUACUCAUGGUUUGAAUUUAUGGAUGAUCAUACAAAAAAUUUAUGCCGGUUUGAACUUUGCUUCAAAAAUCUUUUAGAUUUGGCCGCGGGAGGUACGUUUAUGGAAAUCAUGUUAGGAGAUGCUACAAAACUUCUUGAUAAUAUUAUGGCAAAUUAUUCUCAAUGGCAUAUCGAAAGAUCUUAUAGUAAAAAAGUGCAUGCUAUAGAAGAAAUUAAUGUUUUAAGUGGAAAGAUGGAUGAACUUAUGAAGAUGUUUGCUACUAAAAAUACUCCUCUUGAUCCCAAUGAUAUGCCUUUGUCUACUUUGAUUUAGAAUAAUAAUGAAUCUAUGGAUGUGAAUUUUGUUGGUAGGAAUAGUUUUGGAAACAAUGCUUAUAGAGGAAACUUCAAUUCUAGACCGUUCCCUAGUAAUUCCUCUAAUAAUUAUGGAAAUUCCUACAAUAAUUCUGGUAAUUUUAAUAAUAUGCCCUCUGAUUUUGCGAAUAGCGUGAAAGAAUUUAUGAUUUCUCAAAAGAAUUUUAAUGCUUUGCUUGAAGAAAAAUUGCUCAAAGUUGAUGAUUUGGUUAGGAACGUUGAUAGAAUUUCGCUUGAUGUUGACUCUCUUAAAAUUAGAUCUACUCCUCCUAAGCAUGAUAUCAAUGAGUCUCUCAAAGCCAUGAGAAUUUCCAUUGACAAGUGCAAGGAAAGAACCGCUAGAUUGCGUGCUAAGAAAGAUUGAUUUGUAAAGGCGUGUUCUUCUAGUUUCAAUGAAAAUAAUGAUGAAGAUCUUCAAGUAAUUGAUGUGUCUCCUCUUAGAUAUUUGUUUUGCAAUAUGAAUCUUGAUAAUAAUGGGACUGGAGAUGAGUCAACUUUAGUUAGAAGGCGUCCCAAGAAUUCAGAGUUUUUAGAUCUUGAUGCUAAAUUUGGUAAAAGUGGGAUUGGAGAGGUCAUGACUUUAAAUAGUAUUGAACCCACUAUCUCGGAUUUCAAGGAAUUUGAUUAUGACAAUUGUUCUUUAGAAAGUUGUAUUUCCUUGUUGCAAUCCGUUGUUAAUUCUCCUCAUGCUUAUAGUCAAAAUAAAGCUUUUACCAAACAUAUCGUUGAUGCCUUGAUGCAAUCUUUUGAUGAAAAACUUAAUUUGGAAGUUUCUAUACCUAGAAAACUUAAUGAUGAGUGGGCACCUACUAUAAAGAUUAAAAUUAAAGAUCAUGAGUGUUUUGCUUUGUGUGAUUUGGGUGCUAUUCUUUCCACGAUUCCGAAAACUUUAUGUGAUAUUCUAGGUUUCCAUGAUCUUGAUGAUUGCUUGAUUUGCACCUUGAGGAUUCCACCAUUAAGAAGCCAAUGGGAAGGAUCAAUGAUGUUCUAAUUGUUGCAACUAUAAAUUUGGUGCCCGUAGAUUUUAUCGUUCUUGAUAUAGAUUGCAAUCUUUCUUGCCCUAUUAUACUUGGUAGACCUUUCCUGAGAACGAUUGGUGCGAUUAUUGAUAUGAAGGAAGGGAACAUUAGAUUCCAAUUUCCAUUAAAGAAAGGCAUGGAACACUUUCCAAGAAAUAAAGUUAAAUUACCUUAUGAAUCUAUCAUGAGAGCAACUUAUGAAUUGAGUGCCAAAGAUGGCACUACUUAGAUCUAUCUUUGCUUUUAUGCCUAGCUAGAGGCGUUAAACGAUAGUGCUAGUUGGGAGGCAACCCAAUUUUCUUUGUGUUUUUUGUUUUUGUUCCUGUUUAGUAAUAAAUUUUUCAUCUACUUUCUGUUUAGAUGUGUUUUCAUGUUUUAAUUAGUGUUUGUGCCAAGUAGAACCUAUAGGAUAACCUAUGAUGAUAGUUGAUUUGAUUCUGCUGAAAAACAGAAACUUUGCACGCACGAAAUUAGUUUUUUGAAAUCACAGGAACGUGCUUUUGCGUUUAUUAUUUUUGCUAAUGAUCAAUAAACAAAUUAUCCAGGACUUCCUAUUUUGGUAGGAUUUUUAGAGUUCCAGAAGUUUGCGUUAGUUACAGAUUGCUACAGACUGUUCUGUUUUUGUCACAUUCUGUUUUUCGUGUGUUGUUUGCUUAUUUUGAUGCAUCUAUGGCUAGUAUUAAGUGGUAUGAACCAUAGAGAACUUGGAAUACAGUAGGUUUAACACCAAAAUAAAUAAAGAAUGAGUUCAUUGCAGUACCUUAUGUGGUGGUUUUGUUUUCUUUCACUAACGAAGCUUAUAAGAUUUUCUGUUGAGUUUUGUGUUGUGAAGUUUUCAAGUUUUGGGUAAAGCUUUGAUGGACUAUGGAAUAAGGAGUGGCAAAAGCCUAAUCUUGGGGAUGCCCAUGGCACCCCAAGAUAUUCAAGAAUAGCCAAAAUCCUAAGCUUGGGGAUGCCUCGGGAAGGCAUCCCCUCUUUCGUCUUCGUUCAUUGGUCUUUACUUGGAGCUAUAUUUUUAUUCGCCACAUGAUAUGCGUUUUGCUUGGAGCAUCGUGUAUGAUAUUAGUAUUUGCUUUUUAUUUUACCAUAAUCAUCUUUCUUGUACACACAUUUUGGGAGAAACCUCUUGAUUGAAAUUUAUUAGAACACUCUAUGUGCUUCACUCAUAUCUUUUGAGCUAGAUAGUUUUUGCUCUAGUGCUUCACUUAUAUCUUUUAGAGCACGACGGUGGCUUAAUUUUGUAGAAAUUGCUAGUCUCUCAUGCUUCACUUAUAUUAUUUUGGGAGUCUUUUAGAACAACAUGGUAUUUACUAUGGUUAUAAAUUGGUCCUAGAAUGGUAGGCAUCCAAGUUGGGUAUACUAUCAUAGGAAGUGAAUUGGAUGCUAUGAUCAAUUUGAUACUUGAUAAUUGUUUUGAGAUAUGGAGGUAGUGAUAUUAAAGUCAUGCUAGUUGGGUGAUUAUGAAUUUAAAGAAUGCUUGUGUUGAAGUUAGCAAGUCCCGUAGCAUGCACGUAUGGUUAAAGUUGUGUAACAAAUUUGAAACAUGGAGUGUACCUGGCUUGUGCAUCCAUAUGAGUGGCGGUCGGGGACGAGCGAUGGUCUUUUCCUACCAAUCUAUCCCUCUAGGAGCAUGCGUGUAGUGCUUGAUUUUUGAUGGCUUCUAAAUUUUUGCAAUAAGUAUAUGAGUUCUUUUGACUAAUGUUGAGUCCAUGGAUUAUACGCACUUUUACCUUGCCACCAUUGCUAGCCUCUUCGGUACCGUGCAUUGCCCUUUCUCACCUUGAGAGUUGGUGCAAACUUCGCCGGUGCAUCCAAACCCUGUGAUACGAUACGCUCUAUCACACAUAAACCUCCUUAUAUCUUCCUCAAAACAGCCACCAUACCUACCUAUUAUGGCAUUUCCAUAGCCAUUCCGAGAUAUAUUGCCAUGCAACUUUCCACCGUUCUGUUCAUCAUCAUCAUGACAUACUUUACUUUUGUCAUAUUGCCAUUGCAUGAUCAUGUAGUUGACAUCGUAUUUGUGACAAAGCCACCAUGCAUAAUUUUUUAUACAUGUCACUCUUGAUUCAUUGCACCAUCCCGGUACACCGCCGGAGGCAUUCAUAUAGAGUCAUAUCUUGUUCUAGUUUCGAGUUGUAAUUCAUAAAUCAAUGGAAGUGUGAUGAUCAUUAUUAUUAGAGCAUUGCCCAAAAAGAAAAAAAAAGAAAAAACGGAAAAAAAGUAGAAAGGCCAAAAUAAAAAAAAGAAAGGCCAAAGAAAAAAAGAAGAAAAGAAAAAAAAGAAAAAAAGAAAAAUAAUAAAAGGGGCAAUGUUACUAUCUCUUUUUCCACACUUGUGCUUCAAAGUAGCACCAUGUUCUUCAUGUAGUGAGUCUCAUAUCUUGUGCUUCAAAGUAGCACCAUGUUUUUCAUAUAGUGAGUCUCAUAUGUUGUCACUUUCAUAUACUAGUGGGAAUUUUUCGUUAUAGAACUUGGCUUGUAUAUUCCUACGAUGGGCUUCCUCAAAUGCCCUAGGUCUUCGUGAGCAAGCAAGUUGGAUGCACACCCACUAGUUUUCUUUUGUUGAGCAUUCAUUUAUAACUCUAGUGCAUCCGUUGCAUGGCAAUCCCUACUCCUCGUGUUGACAUCAAUUGAUGGGCAUCUCCAUAGCCCGUUGAUUAUCCUCGUCAAUGUGAAACUUUAUCCUUUUUUGUCUUCUCCACACAAUCCCCAUCAUCAUAUUCUAUUCCACCCAUAGUGCUAUAUCCAUGGCUCACGGUCACGUAUUGCGUCAAGGUUGAAAAAGUUUGAGAUUAUUUAAGUACGAAACAAUUGCUUGGCUUGUCAUCGGGGGUGUAGAAUUUGGGAACAUCUUUGUGUGACGAAAAUGAAGCAUAGCCUAACUAUAUGAUUUUGUAGGGAUGAACUUUCUUUAGCCAUGUUAUUUUGAGAAGACAUGAUUGCUUUGAUUAGUAUGCUUGAAGUGUUACUAUUUCUUUUAUCAAUAUGAACUUUUAUUUUGAAUAAUUUGGAUCUGAACAUUCAUGCCACAAUAAAGAAAAUUACAUUGAGAAUUAUGCUAGGUAGCAUUCCACAUCAAAUUUUUUGUCUUUGUCAUUUACCUACUCGAGGACGAGCAGCAAUUAAGCUUGGGGAUGCUUGAUACGUCUCCAACGUAUCUAUAAUUUUUGAUUGUUCCAUGCUAUUAUAUUAGCCCUUUUGGAUGUUUAUGGGCUUUAUUUUACACAUUUAUAUCAAUUUUGGGACUAACCUACUAACCGGAGGCCCAGUCCGUAUUGCUUUUUUUGCCUAUUUCAGUAUUUCGAAGAAAAGGAAUAUCAAACGGAGUCCAAACGGAAUGAAACCUUCGGGAACAUGAUUUUUGGAACGAAUGUGAUCCGGAGAACUUGGAGUGCAAGUCAAGAAGAAAAUGAGGCGGCCAGGAGAUAGGAGGGUGCGCCCACCCCUCCUGGGCGCGCCCCCUGUCUCCUGGGCCCCUCGAGCAGCCACUGACGUACUUCUUCCUCCUAUAUAUACAUACGUACCCCGAAAACAUCCAGGGAUCCACCGAAACACAAUUUCCACCGUCGUAACCUUCUGUAUCCGCGAGAUCCCAUCUUGGAGCCUUCGCCGGCGCUCCACCGGAGGGGGAAUCGACCAUGGAGGGCUUCUACAUCAACACCAUAGCCCCUCCGAUGAGUUGUGAGUAGUUUACCACAGACCUUCGGGUCCAUAGUUAUUAGCUAGUUGGCUUCUUCUCUCUUUUUGGAUCUCAAUACAAUGUUCUCCCCCACUCUUGUGGAGAUCUAUUCGAUGUAAACUCCUUUUGCGGUGUGUUUGUCGAGAUCCGAUGAAUUGUGGGUUCAUGAUCAAGUUUAUCUAUGAGAAAUAUUUGAAUCUCCUCUGAAUUCUUUUAUGUAUGAUUGAGUUGUCUUUGCAAGUCUCUUCGAAUUAUCAGUUUGGUUUGGCCUACUAGAUUGAUCAUUCUUGCCAUGGGAGAAGUGCUUAGCUUUGGGUUCAAUCUUGCGGUGUCCUUACCAAGUGACAGAAAGGGUUGCAAGGCACGUAUUGUAUUGUUGCCAUCGAGGAUAAAAAGAUGGGGUUUAUAUCAUAUUGCUUGAGUUUAUCCCUCUACAUCAUGUCAUCUUUCUUAAUGCGUUACUCUGUUCUUAUGAACUUAAUACUCUAGAUGCAUGUUGGAUAGCAGUCGAUGCAGGCAGGAGUAGGUCUACUUGUCACGGACGUGAUGCCUAUAUACAUGAUCAUGCCUAGAUAAUCUCAUAAUUAUUCGCUUUUCUAUCAAUUGCUCGACAGUAAUUUGUUCACCCACGUAAUACUUAUGCUAUCUUGAGAGAAGCCACUAGUGAAACCUAUGGCCCCCGGGUCUAUCUUUUAUCAUAUUAGCUUUCAAUCUACUUUUAUUUGCCUCUUUACUUUUUGCAUCUAUAUUAUAAAGUACAAAAAAUAUAUUUAUCUUAUCAUACUAUCUCUAUCAGAUCUCACUUUCGCAAGUGGCCAUGAACGGAUUGACAACCCCUUUAUUGCAUUGGUUGCGAGUUCUUUGUUUGUUUGUGUAGGUGCGUGGGACUUUUGAGGAGCCUCCUACUGGAUUGAUACCUUGGUUCUCAAAAACUGAGGGAAAUACUUACGCUACUAUUGCUGCAUCACCCUUUCCUCUUCAAGGAAAACCAACGCAAGCUCAAGACGUAGCAGUAGACAGUAACAUUACCAUCAGCGUCAAUCUUGUUCUUGAAGAUCCAUUUAUUCACGAUGGCUUGCCGAUCAUCAGGCAAGUCAACCAAAGUCCAUACUUUGUUCUCAUACAUGGAUCCUAUCUCAGAUUUCAUGGCCUCAAGCCAUUUCGCGGAAUCUGGGCUCAUCAUCGCUUCCUCAUAGUUCGUAGGUUCGUCAUGGUCAAGUAACAUGACUUCCAAAAUAGGAUUACCGUACCACUCUUGUGCGGAUCUUACUCUGGUUGAUCUACGAGGUUCGGUAGUAACUUGAUCUGAAGUUUCAUGAUCAAUAUCAUUAGUUUCCUCACUAAUUGGUGUAGUUGUCACAGGAACCGGUUUAUGUGAUGAACUGCUUUCCAGUAAGGGAGCAGGUACAGUUACCUCAUCAAGUUCUACUUUCCUCCCACUCAGUUCUUUCGAGAGAAACUCCUUCUCUAGAAAGGAUCCAAAUUUAGCAACAAAAGUAUUGCCUUCAGAUCUGUGAUAGAAGGUGUACCCAAUAGUCUCCUUUGGGUAUCCUAUGAAGACACAUUUCUCCGAUUUAGGUUCGAGCUUAUCAGGUUGAAGUUUUUUCACAUAAGCAUCACAACCCCAAACUUUAAGAAACGACAACUUUGGUUUCUUGCCAAACCACAGUUCAUAAGGCGUCGUCUCAACGGAUUUUGAUGGUGCCCUAUUUAACGUGAAUGCGGCCGUCUCCAAAGCAUAACCCCAAAAUGAUAGCGGUAAAUCUGUAAGAGACAUCAUAGAUCGCACCAUAUCUAGUAAAGUACGAUUACGAUGUUCGGACACACUAUUAUGUUGUGGUGUUCCGGGUGGCGUGAGUUGUGAAACUAUUCCGCAUUGUUUCAAAUGUAAACCAAACUCGUAACUCAAAUAUUCUCCUCCACGAUCAGAUCGUAGAAAUUUUAUUUUCUUGUUAUGAUGAUUUUCUACUUCACUCUGAAAUUCUUUGAACUUUUCAAAUGUUUCAGACUUAUGUUUCAUUAAGUGGAUAUACCCAUAUCUGCUCAAAUCAUCUGUGAAGGUGAGAAAAUAACGAUACCUGUUGCGAGCCUCAACGUUCAUUGGACCGCAUACAUCAGUAUGUAUGAUUUCCAAUAAAUCUGUUGCUCGCUCCAUAGUUCCGAAGAACGACGUUUUAGUCAUCUUGCCCAUGAGGCAUGGUUCGCAAGUACCAAGUGAUUCAUAAUCAAGUGAUUCCAAAAGUCCAUCAGUAUGGAGUUUCUUCAUGCGCUUUACACCAAUAUGACCCAAACGGUAGUGCCACAAAUAAGUUGCACUAUCAUUAUGAACUCUGCAUCUUUUGGUUUCAACAUUAUGAAUAUGUGUAUCACUACUAUCGAGAUUCAAUAAAAAUAGACCACUCUUCAAGGGUGCAUGACCAUAAAAGAUAUUACUCAUAUAAAUAGAACAACCAUUAUUCUCUGAUUUAAAUGAAUAACCGUCUCACAUCAAACAAGAUCCAGAUAUAAUGUUCAUGCUUAACGCUGGCACCAAAUAACAAUUAUUCAGGUCUAAAACUAAUCCCGGGGGUAGAUGUAGAGGUAGCGUGCCGACCACGAUCACAUCGACUUUGGAACCAUUUCCCACGCGCAUCGUCACCUCGUCCUUAGCCAAUCUUUGCUUAAUCCGUAGUCCCUGUUUCGAGUUGCAAAUAUUAGCAACAGAACCAGUAUCAAAUACCCAGGUGCUACUAUGAGCAUUAGUAAGGUACACACAUCAAUAACAUGUAUAUCACAUAUACCUUUGUUCACCUUGCCAUACUUCUUAUCCGCCAAAUACUUGGGGCAGUUCCGCUUCCAGUGACCAGUCUGCUUGCAGUAGAAGCACUCAGUCUCAGGCUUAGGUCCAGACUUGGGUUUCUUCUCCUGAGCAGCAACUUGUUGGCCAUUCUUCUUGAAGUUCCUUCUUCUUCCCUUUACCCUUUUUCUUGAAACUGGUGGUCUUGUUGAUCAUCAACACUUGAUGCUCCUUUUUUAUUUCUACCUCCGCAGCUUUUAGCAUUGCAAAGAGCUCGGGAAUAGUCUUGUUCAUCCGUUGCAUAUUAUAGUUCAUCACGAAGCUCUUGUAGCUUGGUGGCAGUGAUUGAAGAAUUUUGUCAAUGACACUAUAAUCAGGAAGACUAACUCCCAGUUGAAUCAAGUGAUUAUUAUACCCAGACAUUUUGAGUAUAUGUUCACUGGCAGAACUAUUCUCUUCCAUCUUGCAGCUAUAGAACUUAUUAGAGACUUCAUAUCUCUCAAUCUGGGCAUUUGCUUGAAAUAUUAACUUCAACUCUUGGAACAUCUCAUAUGCUCCAUGACAUUCAAAACGUCGUUGAAGUCCCGGUUCUAAGCUGUAAAGCAUGGCACACUGAACUAUCGAGUAGUCAUCAGCUUUGCUCUGCCAGAUGUUCUUAACGUCAUCAGUUGCAUCUGCAGCAGGCUUGGCACCUAGCGGUGCUUCCAGGAUGUAAUUCUUCUGUGCUACAAUGAGGAUAAUCCUCAAAUUACGGACCCUGUCAGUGUAAUUGCUACCAUCAUCUUUCAACUUAACUUUUUCAAGGAACGCAUUAAAAUUCAACGGAACAACAACACGAGCCGUCUAUCUACAACAAACAUAGACAAGCAAAAUACUAUCAGUUACUAAGUUCAUGAUAAAUUGAAGUUCAAUUAAUCAUAUUACUUAAGAACUCCCACUUAGAUAGACAUACCUCUAAUCAUCUAAGCGAUCACGUGAUCCAAAUCAACUAAACCAUGUCCGAUCAUCACGUGAGAUGGAGUAGUUUUCAAUGGUAAACAUCAUUAUGUUGAUCAUAUCUACUAUAUGAUUCAUGCUCGACCUUUCGGUCUCAGUGUUCCGAGGCCAUAUUUGUAUAUACUAGACUCGUCAAGUUUAACCUGAGUAUUCCGCGUGUGCAACUAUUUUGCACCCGUGGUAUUUGAACGUAGAGCCUAUCAGACCCGAUCAUCACGUGGUGUCUCAGCACGAAGAACUUUCGCAACGGUGCAUACUCAGGGAGAACACUUAUACCUUGAAAUUUAGUGAGAGAUCAUCUUAUAGUGCUACCGUCAAACAAAGCAAAAUAAGAUGCAUAAAGGAUAAACAUCACAUGCAAUCAAUAUAAGUGAUAUGAUAUGGCCAUCAUCAUCUUGUGCUUGUGAUCUUCAUCUUCGAAGCACCGCCAUGAUCACCAUCGUCACCGGCGCGACACCUUGAUCUCCAUCAUAGCAUCAUUGUCGUUUCGCCACCUAUUGCUUCUACGACUAUCGCUACCGCUUAGUGAUAAAGUAAAGCAAUUACAGGGCGAUUUCAUUGCAUACAAUAAAGCGACAACCAUAUGGCUCCUGCCAGUUGCCGAUAACUCGGUUACAAAACAUGAUCAUCUCAUACAAUAAAAUAUAGCAUCACGUCUUGACCAUAUCACAUCACAACAUGCCCUGCAAAAACAAGUUAGACGUCCUCUACAUUGUUGUUGCAAGUUUUACGUGGCUGCUACGGACUGAGCAAGAACCGUUCUUACCUACUCAUCAAAACCACAAUGAUAGUUCGUCAAGUUAGUGCUGUUUUAACCUUCUCAAGGACCGGGCGUAGCCACACUCGGUUCAACUAAAGUUGGAGAAAAUGACGCCCACCAGCCACCUAUGUGCAAAGCACAUCGGUAGAAGCAGUCUCACGUAAGCGUACACGUAAUGUCGGUCCGGGCCACUUCAUCCAACAAUACCGCUGAACCAAAGUAUGACAUGCUAGUAAGCAGUAUGACUUGUAUGGCCUACAACUCACUUGUGUUCUACUCGUGCAUAUAACAUCUAUGCAUAAAACCAGGCUCAGAUGCCACUGUUGGGGAACAUAGUAAUUUCAAAAUUUUCCUACGCACAUGCAAGAUCAUGGUGAUGUAUAGCAACGAGAGGGGAGAGUGUGUCCAUGUACCCUCGUAGGCUGAAAACGGAAGCGUUAGCACAACGCGGUUGAUGUAGUCGUACGUCUUCACGAUCCGACCAAUCCAAGUACCAAACGUACGGCACCACCGAGUUCAGCACAUGUUCAGCUUGAUGACGUCCCUCGAACUCCGAUCCAGCCGAGCUUUAAGGGAGAGUUCCGCCAGCACGGCGAUGUGGUGAUGAUGAUGAUGUUCUAUUGACGCAGGGCUUCGCCUAAGCACCGCUAUGAUAUUAUCGACGUGGAAUAUGGUGGAGGGGGGCACCGCACACGGCUAAGAGAUCAAUGAUCAAUUGUUGUGUCUAGAGGUGCCCCCCUGCCCCCGUAUAUAAAGGAUCAAGGGGGAGGGGGUGGCCAGCUAGGAGGAGGCGCGCCAGGGAGGAGUUCUACUCCCACCGAGAGUAGGACUCCCUCCUUUCCUAGUCCAAGUAGGAGAGGGGAAGGAAGGGAGAGAGGAGAGGAAGGAAGGGGGGGCGCCGCCCCCCUCUCCUUGUCCUAUUCGGACUAGAGGGGGAGGGGGCGCGCGGCCAGCCCUGGACGCCCCUCCUCUUUUCCAAUUAGGGCCCAUGAGGCCCAUUAACCCCCGGGGGGUUCCGGUAACCCCCCCCAGUUCUCCGGUAUACAUCCGAUAACCCCUGGAACCAUUCUGAUAUCCGAAUAUAGUCAUCCAAUAUAUCAAUCUUCAUGUCUCGACCAUUUCGAGACUCCUCGUCAUGUUCGUGAUCACAUCCGGGACUCUGAACUAUGUUCAGUACAUCAAAACACAUAAACUCAUAAUAUAACCGUCAUCUAACUUUAAGCGUGCGGACCCUACGGGUUCGAGAACUAUGUAGACAUGACCGAGACAUGUUUCCGGUCAAUAACAAAUAGCAGAAGCUGGAUGCUCAUAUUGGCUCCUACAUAUUCUACGAAGAUCUUUAUCGGUCAAACCGCAUAACAACAUACGUUGUUCCCUUUGUCAUCGGUGUGUUACUUGCCCGAGAUUCGAUCGUCGGUAUCUCAAUAUGCAAGUCUCUUUACUCGUUAUGUAAUGCAUCAUCCCACAACUAACUCAUUAGUCACAUUGCAUGCAAGGCUUAUAGUGAUGUGCAUUACCGAGAGGGCCCAGAGAUACCUCUCAGACAAUCAGAGUGACAAAUCCUAAUCUCGAAAUACGCCAACUCAACAUGUACCUUUGGAGACACCUGUAGAGCUCCUUUAUAAUCACCCAGUUACGUUGUCACAUUUGGUAGCACACAAAGUGUUCUUCCGGUAAACGGGAGUUGCAUAAUCUCAUAGUCAUAGGAACAUGUAUAAGUCAUGAAGAAAGCAAUAGCAACAUACUAAAUGAUCAAGUGCUAAGCUAACGGAAUGGGUCAAGUCAAUCACAUCAUUCUCCUAAUGAUGUGAUCCCGUUAAUCAAAUGACAACUCAUGUCUAUGGUUAGGAAACACAACCCUCUUUGAUCAACGAUCUAGUCAAGUAGAGGCAUACUAAUGACACUAUGUUUGUCUAUGUAUUCACACAUGUAUUAUGUUUCCGGUUAAUACAAUUCUAACAUGAAUAAUAAACAUUUAUCAUGAUAUAAGGAAAUAAAUAAUAACUUUAUUAUUGCCUCUAGGGCAUAUUUCCUUCAACAUCAACUAUGCUUUCUCCUCUCUAAGUUGUUUUCCUUGAAUUAGUUAAUGCAAUGUGUAAAAAUGGUUUCUAUUUGUGCCUUUGUUGGCAAAUCAUUUAAUAUUUAGUUGUCGAACAAUUGUAUGCCCAGUUCUCGUAAUGUGUGAACAAAAGUGAUGACAUUGAGUUGCAAAAGAAAUACUACUAGUAUGCAACUACAAAAUGUUUAUAAAAAUUGUGCAAACCUGCAAGGCAUCGAAAAAAAUGGCAAAUGAAUAAAAAAGUGUACUGACCUAGUCCUUUUCGUAUCUCGGCACCUUCCUCCAUGCGACAGAGUUGUGCGGGCUGGUGACCCAAUCAGAUGCCAGCUUCUUCCUGAGGUUGAGAUCUUCCUUGGGCUCAUAGUUGGGCAGUAGGCUCCCGUUCCACUCAGUGGCGUUAAGCAGUGCGAACAAACCACACUCAUUGCUGCAGUGGGGAAAAGAAAAAAAUGUUGGAGGCUUUUAAAACCAAUAAGACAAUAUACUCUGUGGAACUGUGCAACUAAUUAUGUGUUAAUGUGCAACUACUUAUGUGGCACUGUGAUACUAAUUAUGUGGCACUGUGCAGCUACUGAUGUUCAACUGAGAAAGUCAUAAAAAUGAAAAACAGAUUGCAAACUAGUCUUGUGUCUUGAAAAACUAAAGAUUGCACAAGUAGGAAAUUUUAAAAGACUACAGAUUGAUUGAAAAAAAAUGAAGAAGAAUGUAAUGCUUCUUGUCUUACUUGCUAAUCUGCUUCGGUACGUCGAUGUCAAUAAUCUGGAAGUGCUCGAUGCUCUGCUUUGGGUAAUGCUUCCUCCAUAGCUGGCGUACUGCCCCCGCAAUCAUAGAGGUGUUGUCCAUCAACUUGAUGUCUUCUAGAUUUCUGUUUGAAUCAAGGACUUCGAAACAUUCGUCCCUCAGGUUGAUGUUGAAGACCCAAUAAUGCAUGCCUCCUUCACAGUCGUUUACAUUAUCGCACUCAAGCACUGGCAGCAUGACCUGCACGCGUGAACGAUUCAGAUACAGAUACACACUGUAGGUAAGAAAAAACACUACAAAAAUGAGAUGUGAAAGUUGAAACAGGUUGGCAGAAGGUAUUUGCCAACUAAUAGAUGUGUCAUGUGCAAAUGAACGUGCCGUGAGUGCCAAAUAUGAGAUGGAUCAUGUGGGCAGAGCACUCACCAAAUCUUUCUUGUCGAGACGGUUCUUGUGUUCAAACUUCUUGUUUAUCUCAUUCGUAUUGUGGAUACCCUACUGUAAAUUGAUCUGCAGAAAAAUUAUAAAUAUGCCUCAAGCACUAGGGUAUGAAAAAGACUCCCUGGUUGGUCAACGAAAAUGGUACCAAAAAAGGAAGAGUGUAUAAAGAUUUUGAAAAACUUACAGAAACCUCCGUGGCAUGACAACUUUCUUUGACCCUUCUGGUAAGUUAUCCAUGAUGUGUAUGAUUGCAGUCUCAAUAACAAUUUUUGAAAGCCACUACUUUGGCUUCAUUGAAUCAACUAACUCCUUCAAAGAAAUGAAGAAAUUAUCAUACCUGAUUAUCUCAGGGCUACAUAAGAAAGACAAAGUUAGCUUGAAGGAUCACAUAAAGAAAGGAAAAAAUGUGCAAUUAAAAAAAAACAAGAGUCUGCAAUUUAAAGCAUUGUUCUAUGCAACAUGCUCUGCUUGCUGUGCAACUAAGUGGGUGGUACUGUGCAACUGAAAAAAGAUAUGUAUAUAGGCUGUGGGGAGUUGGCUUGCCUGGUGUUCUCAUCAUCUAGUAGACUAAAAAAGAUAGCCAACCCCCAACUAAGCAGACUAAUAGAGAAACUAACCUAGUACAAAUAGGAAGCCAAACUAGACAUGACACCUAGUGCUUAGUACCACCCAGGCAAAAAUCUGUAAAACAUGAGGACAACCAACUACUACAGUGAUGCAGCCAACUGGGCAGUCAGCCUUGUGCAACUACAUAGCUUAUAAGUCAACUAGUUUCACUAAGGCAAGAAAUAACUAGGUCGAAAAAAAGUUUAGUAAAGCCAGCCAGUUGAGUAUGAUAAUUUGUGCAACUGGGACAAACAGAAGGACUAGGGCAAAAAGAAAUGCAAAACAUGAAGCAGAGCAACUUUCUGCAACUCAACAACAUAUAGAAAACCAACCUACUACAAAACAGGAACAAACCUAAAGCAUGAAAACUAGUGCAAAAAAGCAAAACAUGUGGACAACCAACUAGUACAUGGAUGCAGCCAACUAAUCAUGCAACUUGUGCGAACUGAACAACGCGUAGACAACCAACCUAGCACAAAACAUCAAGCAAACGGGCAACUAGUGUCCAGUGUAGAACACAUGGACAGCCAACUAGUAUAGUGAUGUAGACAACUCAGUAGGCAAAACUUGUGCGCCUGAACAACGUGUAUACAACCGACUAGUACAAAACAGUAAGACAACUAGUACAACAACAGAGCAGAUGGACAACCAACUAAUAUAUGGUUGCAUCCAACUGGGAAGAACAACAUAGAACUUGAAGAAGAACUAGGGGAAAUCAUGACCAUAUCUCAAAACCCCUGCCCUAACCAACUACACUACUCAGCUUUGCAAUUUAAAAAAACAAAGAGUGCGCAAUUUAAAGCACUAUUCUGUGCAACAUGCUCUGCUUGCUGUGCAACUAAGUGGGUUGUAUUGUGCAACUGAAAAAAGAUAUGUACAUGGGCUGUGGGGAGUUGGCUUGCCUGGUAUUCUCAUCAUCUGCUCCUGGGAUAUGCCUGACCCAAUACACAAUGGCAGCAUAAAGCUUGUUGACUGCCUCGUUGGAGUUGAAGGUCUUCUUUUUGUUGUAAUCAAUGAAUGGAGACCUUUGAGAUGCUCUGGGCCUUAUUACCCUCCUUUGUCUUCGUGCAAUAGGUGGUCCUGAAGAACUGCUCGUGCCAACUGUUGGUUCUUUGCAUAUCGGGGUGUGGCAGCUGUCUGGUGAUCCAACAUCUGGCUGGUGAGCUAAUCCCUUGCCAGCAUCAGCAGCAACGCAUCCUUCAUUCACUGUUGCUGGGUCCAACUCAUUCUCGUCUAUGACAACCACAUUUGCUUCCCCUGUUUGUGCUCCUGGAGCAAGUGCUACAGCAUGCCCAUCAUCAUCAUCUAGGCACAGGUCAAAAGGUGGUGCAUCGCAGUACCCAUCACCAUGAUAGCUGCAAGAAUUUGAUCUGCAUAUGGGUUGAAGGCCAGGGGCAUCUUCUUGUGGAACAUUCACAGGUGCAUCGUUCGCUGACCUGGUUCGCAAUAAUGUUGUAGUUGGCGGCCUGGGAGGUUUGCACCUGCUUACAAUGUUGAACACCUCCUCUUGUGUUAAUCUGUUCUAAAAAUCAGCUCUUGGUGAUGCAGACUUGCUUGGAUGCUCUGUGGUAGCUCUUGGAGACGGCAGUUUGACAGAUUGACAACCUCCUUCCGUGUUUGGCAUUGAAGAAUCUGUAUGAAUUGUCACCUUGGGGCUUGCGGUUGCAGUUGAGUCUUCCUGAACAACUCUGCUGGUUUUGACUAUGACCAUUUCAGUUGGUACACUAGUAUCUCCAGUUGGCACCUUUGCAGUCUGAGUUGGCACCAAACUAGCAGAACUUGGCAGUCCUACAGCGUUGGUUGUGGCACGUUGUUCUGUCUCGUGUCUGGUCCCCACACCUUUCCUGCCCUGUUCCACCUUUGUGCCCUUGGCAAACUGGACAAUCUUUUGCUGCUUAGCUAGUUUAGGUGGGGCUGUUGACAGAGGAAUAUUCCCCUUGACAUGGAGGCUGAAAUACAAGGAAUUCAGUUGUGGUUCAUUCAAGGAAUAUUGGAAGAAGGAAUUCAGUUGUGGCUGAAAUACAAGGAAUAUUGAGUGAGGCUGACCAGAGGAAUAUUCCCCUUGUAGUUGACAAGAUAGAUUUGGGGUUCAUAUGUUGUCACACAAGUCUCGCUCAUGGACGUCUGGCACAGGGAAAGUGGUUGGCAAAGCUGGCUUCAUGUUGCACAGCUUGAACAUGUCAAUGCUGCCCUGAGACUCUGCUUCAUCAUUUCUCUUCGACUUUGGCAAAUUCUUGUCUUUCCAGCAAGUUUUUGUCAAUCAACAUCUGUAGUGUGCUCCUGCUGCUCAUUGAGUUGAUGCUGCUGGCAGGGUUGGCAGAUCUGGUUGUGUUGCCCCCUGUACCACCAGAACCAGGGGCAUUGUCAUCAUCAUAUGUACUGUCACUGCCUCCAUUGGGUCCCCGUUGAUCAUCGGGAUCGGCAUCCUCAUCUUCUUCCUCGUCAUCUUGUUCCCCCUCACUGCCAUCGAUUGCUGCAGCUUUGUUUCCAUCUCCUUCUUUAUCAAGAUUUUCUUGUUCCUCCUCCUCUGCCUUACUAUCUUCUUCCUUGCCCUCCUCCUCUCCUUUGUCCUCUUUUCCUUUGUCCUCCUCCUCCUCUUCCUCCUCCUCCUCCUCUUCCUCCUCCUCCUCCUCCUCUUCCUCUUCAUCCUCAUCGUCAUCAUCAUCCUCUUCUUCUUUGUCAUCCUCCUCUUUGUCCUCCUCCUAUGAAUCAUCCUCAUCUGUCUCCCCGUCAUCUUCAACAUCUUGUGGUACUUCCAUUUCAUCAUCUUCGUCUGACUCCUCAUCAUUGAACUCUUCUUCUUCUGGUAUAGGUGAAACCCGUCUCUUCCUUUUUGGAGCACGACAUGAUGGAGCGGUUCCCGUUGAUGUCUACUGUACAUAGGGAUCAACAUCUGGUUCCUCAUCAUCGAUCUUGGCAACUGCUUCAAUGAAGGUGCCAACCUGUUCAGUUACUGCCUUGCACAAGUCAUUGACCACUUUAGCAAUAUUUGCCUUUUUCUGCAUCAAAAAAUUGAGUACUCAUUCAAUUAUAAACAGUUAAAAAAAAGAAAUGUUGGUAAAUGAUCAAAACUGAUUUAUGCAAAAGACUUACCUGGGGAUUGUACGUUAGUGGUAAUUUGGAUGCAACGAAUGCUUGAGCUUGCAAAAGACCACCAAACAAGGGUGUCUGAUCGUGCCCCUAUACUCCUCUUUAAGCUCAUGUGAAAAAGGAGAAAAAUAAAAUGACAAGGUUAUCAAAGCAGAUAUUGUGUUGAAAGAAAAAUAGAAUUUUAUAACUUGUGCAACUACAACAACAUGUUGGGCAGACAGGAUUCUACAUGAAUGCAACUGCACAAAACCAAAAAAAAGUGCACCCAGAAAGGUCACUUGAAGAAAAUGUUUCUGCCAACUAUUGUCACACAUUUGUGCAACAAUAUAAGUAAAACUAUGCAACUUGAAACAUAUGAUGUCUCAUACAAAAAUGAACAUGUGACCACAUGCCGAAAAGUAGAGCUACAAGAUGUACAACUACAGGCAUUCUUGUGCCAACUAAUUAUAGUUUUUGCGCAACUACCGAAAAGUGUCUACCUAAAAUUCUACCAACUUGUGCAACUGAACAACAUAUGCAAAACAACUGCAGAACAUAAGGACAGCCAACACACAACUAAGUAGACUAAUAGACAACCAACAUAGUACAAACUGGAAGACAACUAAUGCAAAGUGCAGAACAUGUGAACAACCAACCACUACAAGAAAUAUGUCAACUAGUGACCUUCUGUCAGUGACCCUGGAAGAAUUUGUCAUAGAUCCAUGACCAUUUCAGACCAAUUGGUCAAAAGCUGUUCGGGGGGAUCCAAACCCUAAACCAUUGCAACCAUUUUGGUCAGAAAGGUCGUAAUUUCCUUACACAAAAUGGUCAUAAAGCAAACAGUGCUAGUCCGCUACCUUAUUUCUAGUUGUUAACGACCAAUAUAGAUGGUCAUAGCCUUGUAGAUUGUGGUGGGUUGUGAUGACUAGGCGCCAUCUCAUCAGUUUUGCCUAUGUGUCAUGUCCAUGUGUCAAUUUUUGCCCUAGGUUGUGAAGCAACCUAUAUUUCUGUUAUUCCAAAAAUUCCCAAAAAAUUCUCAUAAAUUGUUUGGAUCAUAUCUUCAUCAAAUAUGUCAAAAACCUUCCUUGCCUAGUUCAAAAAUAACUCAACAAUAUUCAUUUUCCUAUUCUGUUCAAAGCAGCACUUUGUGAAGGAAGUACCACUUUGGCAUGUCCAAAUGGUAACCAUUUUCUACAGUGCUUUCCUAUGCCUAAAUAACCAUCCUCCACCAAAUGCCAGCUCAAUCCAUUCAAUGUUUUGAGCCCAGCUUCAACAUUCAUAUUUAUGUCCGGUGUGGUACUUUGCAAAGCAAGUGCCACAUAGGCUCCUCUAUUUGAGCUGAAAAUUGGUGAAGACGGUCUUCUUAGUAACUGAUCAUCCUCAGCCAAAACUCACGCCCAUUAGCCAUGUGCAUUUCCCGUACCGCUAAUCAAACACUUGCCUGCUUAUUCAUGUUUGAGCAUCGAUCGGUCUCCUCAUGAGAAUCUUAUGUUGUGAUUUUCUUCCUAGCACCUACCUGGGGAGUGCCCAACCCACUAGACAUGCCUAGGCCGCCCAGAACACAUGGCAAUGUCACGGUCACGCGGUGACCACACGACGGGCAUGCGAGUUUACGCGCUCUAGAGUUGGGGCCCUCGGCCACCGUCCAAACCUCGACGUAUCGCCACCAAACCAUGUAUUUAUGAUUAAAUAGGUACUUAUGUAACUAGAAAUGAUUUUUGGAAAAAAUAAAUAGCAAACUAUGAGGCAGCUGCAGUUCAAAUUUGACCCGCUUCCUCCUGAAUCGGUGGGAAUUUGUCUUUUUCACCAGAGGUAGAUCAAAAUUUUUGACACCCAACCAUUUUGUCAAUUGUGCAUUAUAUAUGGCCUAGUAUUUUAUAAAAUUGAUUAGGUCCAAUUUUGCAACAAAUAUAUGGUAGGUCUUUCACAAAAAAACUCAUUUUGGGUAGUCGAAAAAAUGGAAAAUGAAUUUCUCGUGCAAAGAAAAUGAAAACUUCCUUAGGCAACAUUGUUUGUCAUUCCAAGAUGCACCCUUAUGCAUGAUAUGAGGUCAUUUGAACAAACUAUGCCAUGAAUGUGGCCAUAAGAUUGAUCAUUUGGCUUGAAAGCCAUGAAUCUUCACGCAUGAUAGCUCAUUUCUGAGAACACUUUUUUAAAAUAAUUUCCGCAUUACAAGUUUAUUAUUUUUCCUGGAAACUUGGUCACAUAUGAUGACACAAUACGGAGGUUUUCCAAUUUAUUGAUUUUUUUGAAUUUUUUAUGCCCGUUUCAAAAUGCGGUCAAAACGGCGGGAAUGACCGUUCCUAGCUAGUGGUUGAAUCUUGGAAAACUUUUGAUGUUUAUCUGAUUAAAUAGAUACUUAUAUACCUAGAAAUUAUUUUUGGAAAAAAUAAAGAGCAAACUAUGCGGUAGCUGCAGUUCAAAUUUGAGCCGCUUCCAGCUGAAUCGGCGGAAAUUUGUCUUUUUCACCAGAGGUGGAUCAAAACUUUUUACACCCAACCAUUUUGUCAAUUGUGCAUUAAAUAUGGCCUAGCAUUUUAGAAAAAUGAUUUGGUCCAAUUUUGUAAUAAUUAUUUGGUAGGUUCUUCACAAAAAAAACCUCAUUUGGGGCACUCGAAAAAUGAAAAUGGCUCUUUUGUGCAAUGAAAGUGAAAACUCCCCAAAUCAACAUUGUUUGGAAUAUGCACCCUUGUGCACAAUAUGAGAUCAUUUGAACAAACUAUGCCAUGAAUGUGGCCAUAAGAUAGAUCAUUUGGCUUGAAAGCCAUGAAUCUUCAUGCCUGAUAACUCAUUUCUGAGAACACUUUUUUAAAAUAAUUUCCGUAUUACAAGUUUAUUAUUUUUCCUGGAAACUUGGUCACGUAUAAUGACACAAUGCGAAGGUUUUCCAAUUUUUUGAUUUUUUUGAAUUUUCUAUGUCCGUUUCAAAAUGCGGUCAAAACAGCGGGCAUGACCGUUCCUAGCUAGUUGUUGAAUCUUGGAAAACUUUUUGUGUUUCUAUGAUUAAAUAGAUACUUAUGUACCUAGAAAUGAUUUUUGGAAAAGUAAACAACAAACUAUGAGGCAGCUGUAGUUCAAAUUUUACCUGCUUCCAACUGAAUCGGCCGAAAUUUGUCUUUUUCACCAGAGGUGUAUUAAAACUUCUAACAACCAACCAUUUUGUCAAUUGUGCAUUAUAUAUGGCCUAGUAUUUUAUAAAAAUGACCUGGUCCCAUUUUGCAACAAAUAUAUGGUAGGUCCUUCACAAAAAACUCAUUUUGGGCACUCAAAAAAUAGAAAAAUGAAUUUUUCGUUCAAAGAAAAUGAAAAAUUCCUUAGGCAACAUUGUUUGCCAUUCCAAUAUGCACCCUUGUGCAAAUAUUUGGUAGCUUCUUCACAAAAAGAAUUCACUUUGGACACUCAAAAAAUAAAAAAUAAAAUGCUGACAUGAUUUUACACUAUUUUUAUUUGACUACGACCAAUUUUAGAUGGUCAUAACGUCCAAUACUAGAUGGUCAUAACGUCAUACAUCCGUACUGCUUUCUGAUUGGUCCAUAGCCAUCUCACACGGAUCAUGCAUCAAGCACCAUUGGAUGCUCCUGGAUCCAACGGUAGUGCACGGCCCCUCACCCUCUCACCCACCUAGCCCUAACACAACCCCCACCUCCCCACGCCCCCACUUCCCCACCACAGCCUUCUCCACCUUCUGUCCCGUACCCUUAGCUGCCGCUGCCCCCUUUGGCCAAAACCCUAGCCGCCGCCCCUGCCCCCGCACCAUGGUUGACGGCGAGGAGCCCGAGUCCCCAUGCCUCCCCGCCGUCAACGGGAUAGAAACCCACUAGAGGAGAGCAGAGCGCCGCUCCUCCUCCGUCUAUCUCAAUUCCCAGUCCACCCACCCAACCCGCCGUCGCCGACCUCCAUCCUCUCCGCCAACCUCGGCCACCGGCGACCACUCCCCUCCCCUCCUCUCCCACGGUCGGGUCGGACCCUCCUCACUCGCGCCCUAAACCUAGCCGCACCGCAUGUCCAUGGCCAGAUCUAGCAGCGGCCAGAUCCAGCAGCGGCCAUGGUUGGUUGGUUUUACGCUUCGCAGGCGGACGCAUCCACAGACGAGGUGUACGCGCAGCUCUCGCUGCUCCCCGAGAACAAGCUGCGUGCGUGCCGGCAUGCCCGUGCUCUGAGUAUUGACGCUGGCAAUGGCGGCUCUGUUCGAUUCGUUUCACUUUCUGUGGCGGCGUUUUGCUGAGCCUCGACCUGAUCUGCUGCAGGAGGUGGUCCGGCGGAUGCCCGAGUCCACUGAGGACGGGAGCGGCGGCGAGGACGGCGAGACCGUCAAGCAGCGCUUCACGAGGAUGCUGCACAUGUUCUACAAGACGCUCACCUCCUCCAACACCAGCACCCAUGGCGGCUUCUUUGUGCCGCGCCGCGCCGCCGAAGACUGCUUCCCCCCUCUGGUGUGCGCAUUGGCCUGCUAGGCCCCUCUCUCCAUUGAUUCUGCCAUUGGUUCUUGCUAUGUUUUCAGUCCACUGGCUUGCUGAAACUCUCUGGUUUGGUUCUGGGAACACAGGAUUACAGCCAGCAGCGGCCGUCUCAGGAGCUGGUCGCCAAGGAUUUUGGUUCUGUGUAGCACAAUAUGUAUAAAUUUUUGCUCUAGUCUGAAUCUAUUGAAGUCUGAAACUGUUAGGUGUUAAACUACUUGUCUUACUGAAAUUGCUCUAGUCUGAAUCUGUUGAAGUCUGAAAUUAUUAGGUGUUAAAACAGUUCACUGAAAUUAUUGUAGUAUGAAAAAUAGUUAACUGAAUCUGCUGAAGUCUGAAACUGCUAGGUGUUGGGAAUUGUCUGCAACUGCUGUAAUCUUGUAGAUAAGUAAAAUAUGAAUGUUAUUGGGGACAUAUAUCAUUAUGGAACUUGAAACUGCAACUCAAUUGAUUCGUUUGAUUUAGCCAACAAUACUAAAUAAAUCUCGUUUCGGCACCCGAGCUUUAUUCAGGUUUUGUACAUGAGCUUGAACCUUGGUCUUGUUAUUCCUUUUAUUUUCUAACCUGAUCGUCCUUGGAAAAAAGAUAUUAUGAUUCGUUUUGUUAUGACUUGGAAAAAGGUACAAGUAGGUGCUCGACCUCGGCAUCGGCGAGUACAACGAGACCUGUCGCAGCAUCGUCACCAAGCACGUCGCUGAGUGGGAGGCCGUCGUCAUGCGCUUGGGGAGGUGGAUCGACUACAAGGCCGACUGCACGAGGAGGUGGUCCAUCGCCUUGGCUAUCCUCACCGUCGACUUCUCUCCUCUAAGUUAUCCCACUGAUUCCUCCCCUCUGCUUAUCUCCUAUGCUCUAUGUGGUAAAUCUUAUGAUGGCAUUUCUACUUUGGCCAUAAGAUCUUGGACGUGCUGUCAUCUUGGAAUGAUUAUAAGCUUGCUGUCGUCCUGGCUUCUCAAAACUAAGAAUAGUAACCCUCCAAAGUGAUAAUAUUCAGAAGCUCGUUGCACAUUUAGCUCUGAAGAAUUGUUCUACUCACAAUUUAUAUCAAACUUCUUACACAUUAAGCUCUGAAGAAUGGGUGCCGUGCUUUCGGCCCCGUCAAGAGGUAACUGAAAUACCAGCACUGUCCUCUGCGCUUUGGUGAGCUGAAUUUAUGAUUGUUCCGGCGCUAAGCUGAAUUUUUGAUUGUUCUGGCACUGGCUUGCUUCCUGACACAAAUGCGAAUUGUAAACGAAAUUGCGAUUUCUGAAAUCAGUUUUCUUGCCAGUACAACACUUGUAGACUGUAGUUAAAUUCGUUCGUUCUAAAUUCGACUGCAGAUAUCAUCCGUGUUACUGACACACUAUAAUAUUUGGGCAAAACUGGGUUAUCAGAGAACUGUGCUACUAUAUAAAGAUCAUUUUGCGUAUGAAUAUGAUACAAUGUGAAGUAUGUGUUACAUCUGCUGCUGCAGACAUGAGACUGCAUGUGUAUAGAUAAAUUUCUCUUGAUCUGUAGCACAUAGCAUUUUUAUUUCCAUAGAACUGAAUGUCGCGGAUAGAACUGUUCUGUCAGUCUGUCUUAGUAGUAGCUACUGAAAACCGACUUGCAUUGCUUCAUGGAAAUCUCUCAUGGUCACAUGAAGAACUCAAUUUUGUACAACCAAAAUUGAUUCAAAUCCUACAUAUCUAGAAUUGCAUCUUCACAUUCGUUAGUGCAGCUAUGUAGUAGCACUGUAGUAACCUUCUAGAUCAGUUCAUUUAGCGAUUUUUUCGGGGAGUUCAUCUUGUAAUCUAUUUAUAUCAUGAAUUUUGUAGGACAGUUGCCUGCUUGCUUGUAUGAUAGGCGUCAGCUUACGUGUAUGAAAGAAACAAGCUGAUCCGGUUCCUUUGGUUGAACAAGAUGUUCUUGGGUAGUGUGAGCAACUACUACAUCAACAGCGUGGGCUGCCCCGUCGUCGUGAUCAAGGGCACCUGACCCAUCCUUGACCCAACAAACAUUCCUCAUUGUAUUCCACACAAUGAUUCUUGAGGUUUCUACUGUGUUGUACGUACGUACUCCUAUGCAAAUUCACUGCACACUUCCAAGACUACUGUAUGGCUUAUGUUAGUAUCAUUCAUGUUGUUUGUUAGUGCUUGGUUGGAUGAGGCUGGAUUUGUGCGUCUCCAAUCUGAUGCAUUUGUGCGUGCGUGUGUUGAACAGGGACCUUGGAUCUGGUGAAGGGCACCAAGGAGAAGCAGCUCAAGGUCAAGGGCCCCGUCAGGAUGCUGCCACCAUCAGUUUCAGACGCUGUUGUUCGUGAUCGUGGUCAACCCGGCGAUCAGCAUCCUGCCGCACAUGAUGCGCUCAGCGCCAUGGAGUACCUCACGGGCGUGCUUGCCUCCCCCAGCAUCGCAAUCUCAAUGAGCCUAGCGGCCGCCGUCCUUGUCCCGCUCGAGGAGCAGGAGGAGGAGGGGUGCAUCUAGCCAACCACAAAGGGCAUGCUCUAUACCACCACGUCAUCGGCCUGCUGCAACAUCGAGUUCAAUAUGUCAGGUGACCCUUCCUAUCCCGUCUGAUAUGAUGGUCAAUAGUUGCUUGUAGAUGAAUGACAAAGUGUUGCUAUGAAUGUGAAUGAGCAGCCACAAGUCUAUUUGCGUCAUUGCCAUAGCUAAUGAAUGAGCAGCCACAAGUCUAUUUGCGUCACUGCCAUAGUUACCUGAAUGCAAAUGAUCAGCCACAAGUCUGUCUGUACUGUCACAUUGCCAUCCAUAGCUACCAAUCACUGUAGAUAAAUAGAAUUGCCCCAAAACUAUGUGGAAAUUUGGUUAACCUUGUUGAAUCAGAUAUAAUUCUGACACCUGAUUAGCAUUUCACUUGUCUAUGUUCAGUUAACAGUAUUCAGUUUAGAUGCAGAUUUAGUCAACACUAUGGAUCAAUAUUCAGUUUAGAUGCAGAUACAGUCAACACUAGGGAUCAAUACAUGUUUGUGAAAUAAUUUAACUAUAUUCAACAUUGGCCUGCUAUAAUAACUUCAGGUUGGAUUUGCAUGGUGAUUUUUUCAUCUAACUUUUUCCAUCUGGUAGGUAAUUGGGCUGCUUAAAUAUUUCCUUUGAUUAGUAAAUUCAUUUACCAAUAGGUACUGGUAGUAAAAUAAACUGACAUCCAAUCAGUCUUAGGGAUUGAAUGACUUAGUUACCACAUUGUGUCAGUUAGUCUGCUCUUUGUUCCAACAUGAAUGAUAUAUAUUACCUAAUCAUGUGUAAUUUCCUUUCCAUUUGCUAUGUUGUAAGUGGAUGUAUAGUUUGCCAGUUUUUAUCUCUGUUUGAUGGGUUUAACCAAAGCUCCCGAGUACUCGCUUGCUUUGUUUCUUUAAGCAACUACAAAUUGUAUGGGCAUUUGAAGUUCUGGCUUAUAAUUGAUCAAUAUUGUUCUGUAACAUGCAGAUGCUGAUCGGGACAAAGAAGUUGGAGGAAACAUAGUUCUAACAUUCCUGUCAACUGUCAAGUUUUGCAUUGAUGAAGCCCUUUAUACUGCUCAUGUUUCUUCAUGAACCAUAGUUCGUAUGUGUGUAUGAUGUAGCAGAACUUGUGCUUGUACACUUGUGGAGCAGAACUGGCUCAUGUGAUUGUACACUUGUGGAGCUUGUUAUAUGAUUGUAAACUUGAUGCUUAUCACAUUUGUAUUUGUGUUAUAUGUUGUAGCACUUUGAUGGUUGAUAAUAUUUGAAGUAUUUCGUGUGUUUUCUGUGUGCCAAUUUAAAUACCAGGUAUUUAUUUGCGUGAAAUAAAACAAUGAAGAAUAUUGCCCUGAUGGCUAGGACCCUGUACUAGAACCUGACAAUGGGGACCCACCUGACUAGUGAACCCAAUUUAGAAAAAAAGAAAAAAAAUGGAAUUGUUGAGACAAAAAGGCCAUGGCCCAAAAAUAAAAAGGCUGCAAUGUUGGGUUGGUCCAUUUAGCUGACAAAAAAUUCAUAGGAAAAAAUAUAUAAAUGGGCUGAAUUAAUGGGCUCGGCCCAUGUAGAACACUGAAUUGGACCGGGCUGAUUCUUGUGCCACAUCAGAUUGCCACGUCGGAUGCCUACAUGGCCUGGGGAGGCUGCUAGUGACCAAAACGAAACAGUAGGCAUAUUUUGGUCGUAAACGUCUACAACCUUCUCACAGAGAAGGUCAUUUAUUUCAGUUUACGACCGUCAGCUUUUGAUCAUCUGUUUUUGGUCACAAAAAGGUCACAAAUGGAAAAUAAUGACCAUUCAGUGACCAAUAGUCAAGGUCACAAGUUGACAUAUUUCUUGUAGUGAACUAAAAAAGGGAUGCAACCAACUAGGUAGAAUUUUGUGCAACUAAACCAAAAACUAGUUCAAUCAGCAAUUGAAAUUUCUGCCAACUGUUGUCACACGUCUCAGCAACAAGAUAAGUAAAACUGUGCAACUGAAAACAUGUGACCACAAGCCAAACUAGGGCUACAAGCUGUGCAACUACAUGCAUUAUUGUGCCAACUGAUUACAGUUUUUACGCAACUACCAGGAAGUGUCGAAAAGCUGGUCUCAAAAUUGUAUAUGAACCUACCAAGGAAUUAAAACUGGGCAGAAAUGAAUAGAACAUAAAAAUAGCCACUGUUGAAGAAAAACAAAACGGAACUCACUUGUAAUUUGCUGAACACACCAGGAGAGAUCGUGUCCUUCUUGAUCACCUUGGUAAUUAGGUUACUGUCCCAUGCAUUCGAUCGUAUAGCACAGUUGUUUACCGGGAUGUCAUGAACGAGCGCGUCAAGGUACAGGAUAUGCCGCAGAACCAAAAAAGAAAAACCAAAUUUCAGUUAUUAUCAUGGGUAUUUUUCAGAAACUAUGACUGCACAAAAAGAAGAAAAACACAUUGAAGUACUAGUUUCACUCACCAUCAAGUGAUACAAGCAGCAGCAAACAGUUUGCUUCGCCUGGUCCAUGUUCCAGAACGCUUCAUUGAUGUGUUCUGCUACAAAAAGGCAGAUGUUCAUGUUCUUGAGGUUUUCAUGAUCUAGCACAAGUCCAUAGCACUUUGGGCUCAGCCUCCGGGCCAUGGUUGGUGCUAAGAAAGUGCUGAAUGCAACCGUAAGCCAAGCCAUAAAGAAUGUGUCAUCCGUUCUCCCCCCCAUAUAUUUAAUCAUCUUGGUCCAUGUACUGAUCUGGGGAUGAGAAGUUCUAGUUAUGUUGAAAGUCUCUCUGAAUCUCCUAGUUGUAUCCUUGUCAACUUUAUAAUUGACUUUUAGACCCCUGUUAGGAAGAUCAAAUACCCUUUAAACACUGUCAGCAGCGACACGGAUACUUCCCCUGCCUGGGAACACCAUUUCAAAUGUCUCUGGCUGGUAGGACUGCACCAGGAAUUUACUGAAGUCCCCUAGAAGUGUAUCUGAUAAGCUCAAGAGGCCCCCAAACAACCUUGAAACUAGCUCUGACUUCUAUGGCGGGGAUAGCGAGCUAUUGAACUUCACAAACCGCCCUGGUGAUGCCCUUAACCUGCCAGCUUGUGAUGGUCUCUCCACAUCUUCCCGGGCGGCCACCUCAACUCCUUCACCGCUGGCCUGAUGAUGAAAAAUUAAAAAAAUUAAACAGAGGACAGAAAACUGAACCGUGAAAAAACUAGCAAUGAUCAUGUGGAUCAGUAGUGCAAAAACUAUAUAAACAUAAAAUGGAUCAUUCCAACUGAUUUGGCAUUUUUGUGCAACUAAGAAAGCUCAUCAUGGCAACUGAAGACUACCAGUGUGCAAACAGCAAGAAAACUAGGAAAACAUACUAGACCUGACAACUACAGAAAGUUCUAGGGGGUGUGCAACGAUAAAGCAUGAUGUUGGAAAGAAGAUAACAACAACUAAAAAAAGAUUUGCAAGAAACAGUUCAAUAGCUCGUAAACACACACACAAAAUCACAUACCUCAGCAUCUGCUGCGGAAGAUGAGGCAGCUCCUCCACCAACUGCUGGCUGCACAAAAAUGGUGACAAAUGAUGUCAACUACAAAAGAUGUCAACUUCUGUGAAAACUAUAUGUACAUCAAGAUGACCAGUGAUGUCAACUACAAGAUGGUAAUUGAGCAACUAGAACAAAAAUAGUUGUGCCAACAGCAUCAUAAAUUCAUCAGCCCCUAAAAACCCGAGAAACAUUGAUAUUCAAGGAUUUAGAUACCCUAGUAGUUGAUUCAGCUCACCCAGCUGCUGCUACAUGUUUAGUCCGCUUUAGAAUCCGAAACCGAUCAACAUCCUAAGAAAAUAAAAAAACAUGGGUGUGGGAAAAAAUUAUUAUAUGACCCAAAAUAAGGUGAAUGUGUAAUCAGCAUGCCCUUACCUCAACUUCCUCUCCCUGCUCAACACUACGUUUUGGGCGUGGCUGGCGAUUAGCAGCACGCUUUGUCCUCCGCCGAAGGGACUGACUUCUAGAACCCUAAUUAAGCAACCAUAAAAACAUGAAAAAAGGACAUAAGCAUACAUGGAUAAGUUGAAAACAACUCAAAAAUGCAGAAAAAAUGAGAAAAAUACAUCUCCUUCAUUGCCAUCAGCUUCUCCUCCUAUUAAAACCAUAUUUAACCUGUGGGGGAAAUACAAGAAAAGAAAACCUAGUUAGAAGGUUCGCAAAUGAAGUACAGAACCAACUAGUACAUGGAUGCAGCCAACUAAUCAGGCAACUUGUGCAACUGAACGACGCGUAGACAGACAACCUAGCACAAAACAUCAAGCAAACUAAGCAGGGCAACUAGUGUCCAGUAUAGAACACAUGGACAGCCAACUAGUAUAGUGAUGCAGCCAAAUCAGUAGGCAACUUGUGCAACUGAACAGCGUGUAGACAACCAACUGGUACAAACAGUUAGAAAUGGUAAACCAACUGACAAAGACAACAAGUGCAACUGCAGAGCAUAUGGACAACCAACUACUAUAUGGAUGCAGCCAACCGGGGAGAAUUUUGUGCAACUACAAGCAUAUACAACAAGUUCAAUCAGCCAUUGCAUUGCACACAACAUGUGCACAUCUAACAAACAAGAACAUGAACUCGACAUAGAACUUGAAGAAUGACUAGGAGAAAUCAUAUAAACCAACUAAAGUUUAACUGUGGCAAAGGAAUAACUAGGCAUAAAAUAGUUAACUAAAGGCAACAAGCUCAUUAUGAUAACAUGUGCAACUGGGACAAACAGAACUUGUGCAACAAGAAUAUACUACAUUGGAAAAUUGGCAGGCAUUGGAACUAAUUCGUACAAAUAAUUGUCCCUGGUUGCACACGGUAGGGAAAACACACAUGAACAACCACAUAGACAACAAUACUGACAGAUUGGGUAGACCAUAUUGGAAAACUGGCAAGCAUUGGUGCUAAAUUGCACGAACAAGGGUGCCAGGUUGCACACAGCAGGGGAAACGCACAUGAACGACCAGAUCCAGCACAAAGGCUGGUAGAAAAAUCAGUAGACUAUAUUGGAAAAAUGUCAACCAUUGGUACUAAUUUGCACAAGUGAUGAUAUCUAUUUGCACACAGCAGAAUAAAAACACAUGGACCACCACAUCCACCAUAAGGCUGGCAGAUUGGGUGCACUAUAUUGCAAAAAAUGGCAAGCAUUGGUGCUAAAUUGCACAAAACAAGGGUUCCUAGUUGCACACAGCAGCGGGAAAACACACGAACCACCAGAUCAAUCACAAAGGAUGGCAGCUUGGAUAGUUAAUGUUGGGAAACUGGCAAACAUAGGUACUGAUUUGCCCAAGUAAUGGUCUAAUUGCACACAACAGGGAAAAACACAUGACCUAGGAGAACCACCACAAAGGCUGACACAUUGGCUAUAUUGUCUCAAAAAUUGUCUACUACUGCUCCUAAUUUGCACGCAAGGGGCAACACAGUUGCACACCACGGGGGGAAAACACUCAUCAAAAACACUAGAUCCAUUGCGAGGCUACAAUCCACAUACGAGCCUCUAUCGCCGCCAUCCUCCCUGAACCACUCAUCCCGUACGUAUAUGCACGAGCUCUCCUCCUAUUGCAACGCAAAAACGACGGGAUGAGCACGACCCUAGCUCGUCCCUGCCAAUCCGGUGGUUUCCCAAACGAAGUAGUCCGCGGGGGUGACCUCAACCUUGCCAGAAAAUGAGUUCGACCUCCCUAACCCCGACCGCGACCUCGAGUUUGACCUCUACCUCGACCUCCCUGACAACGACCGCGACCUCACCGGAAAACGUGCGACUGAUACGUCUCCAACGUUUCUAUAAUUUUUGAUUGUUCCAUGCUAUUAUAUUACCCCUUUUGGAUGUUUAUGGGCUUUAUUUUACACAUUUAUAUCAUUUUUGGGACUAACCUACUAACUAGAGGCCCAGCCCGUAUUGCUGUUUUUUGCCUAUUUCAGUAUUUCGAAGAAAAGGAAUAUCAAACGAAGUCCAAACGGAAUGAAACCUUUGGGAGCGUGAUUUUUGGAAUGAAUGUGAUCCACAGGACUUGGAGUGCAAGUCAAGAAGCAGCCAAGGUGGCCACGAGAGGGUAGGGCACGCCCCCUGUCUCGUGGGCCCCUCGGGCGGCCACCAACAUACUUCUUCCUCCUAUAUAAGCCUAUGUACCCCGAAAACAUCCAGUGAGCAACCGAAACACAAUUUCCACCGCCGUAACCUUCUGUAUCCGCGAGAUCCCAUCUUGGAGCCUUCGCUGGCGCUCCGCCGGAGGGGGAAUCGACCAUGGAGGGCUUCUACAUCAACACCAUAGCCCCUCCGAUGAGUUGUGAGUAGUUUACCACAGACCUUUGGGUCCAUAGUUAUUAGCUAGAUGGCUUCUUCUCUCUUUUUGGAUCUCAAUACAAUGUUCUCCCCCUCUCUUGUGGAGAUCUAUUCGAUGUAAACUCUUUUUGCAGUGUGUUUGUCGAGAUCUGAUGAAUUGUGGGUUUAUGAUCAAGUUUAUCUAUGAACAAUAUUUGAAUCUUCUCUUAAUUCUUUUAUGUAUGAUAGAGUUACCUUUGCAAGUAUCUUUGAAUUAUCAGUUUGGUUUGGCCUACUAGAUUGAUCUUUCUUACCAUGGGAGAAGUGCUUAGCUUUGGGUUCAAUCUUGCGGUGUCCUUACCUAGUGACAGAAAGGGUUGCAAGGCACGUAUUGUAUUGUUGCCAUCGAGGAUAGAAAGAUGGGGUUUAUAUCAUGUUGCAUGAGUUUAUCCCUCUACAUCAUGUCAUCUUGCUUAAUGUGUUACUCUGUUCUUUGUGAACUUAAUACUCUAGAUGCAGGUAGGAGUCGGUCGAUGUGUGGAGUAAUAGUAGUAGAUGCAGGCAGGAGUCGGUCUACUUGUUACAGACGUGAUGCCUAUAUACACGAUCAUGCCUAGAUAAUCUCAUAAUUAUUCUCUUUUCUAUCAAUUGCUCGACAAUAAUUUGUUCACCCACCGUAAUACUUAUGCUAUCUUGAGAGAAGCCUCUAGUGAAACCUAUGGCCCCCGGGUCUAUCUUUUAUCUUAUUUACUUUCAAUCUACUUUUAUUUUCAUCUUUACUUUUUGCAUCUAUAUUAUAAAAUACCAAAAUAUAUUUAUCUUAUCUUACUAUCUCUAUCAGAUCUCACUUUUGCAACUGGCCGUGAAGGGAUUGACAACCCCUUUAUUGCGUUGGUUGCGAGUUCUUUGUUUGUUUGUGUAGGUGUGUGGGACUUUUGAGGAGCCUCCUACUGGAUUGAUACCUUGGUUCUCAAAAACUGAGGGAAAUACUUACGCUACUAUUGUUGCAUCACCCUUUCCUCUUCAAGGAAAACCAAUACAAGCUCAAGACGUAGCAAGAAGGAUUUCUGGCGCUGUUGCCGGGCAGGUCUUCGCUCAAGUAAAGACAUACCAAGUACCCAUCACAAACCCAUCUCCCUCGCAUUUACAUUAUUUGCCAUUUGCCUCUUGUUUUCCUCUCCCCCACUUCACCCUGGCCGUUUCAUUUUCCCUCUCUUUCCCAAUCUCCUCCUCUCUUUUCCGUUUGCCUUCUGUGACACUCCAAAUUUUUUUGUUGUUUUUGUUUUCAGCAAGAGCCUUGCUUGGUUUAAAGAAGGUCAUUUAAACCCUUCUUAAAAACCUCUCUUCUGAGUUUUCCUUCUCAAAAUCUUUUCUUGGAUUUAGUUCCUUCUAAAAAGAAAACCUUUUUGGUUUUGGGCUCUUCUUUGGUUUUGAUCCAUUCUUGUUUUACCAUGCCUCUUGUGGUAAAAUUCUCCCAAAACCCCUCCUUCCACUUUGGGACAACCCAAACAUUCUGUCCCAACUAGUUAAAUCCAUUUUUGGAUUUUACCUCAUUUAUUUCUUUUCCCAAAACAAUUCUGUCCUAUAUUUUGAGCCUAGGUAAUUUGCAAAGCAAGUACCUUAAUGCCUUUGAAAUUUGAUCUCAACUCAACUCCUCGGGAUAGUCCUUAGCACCCACAACCUAGAACCCUCAAGAUCCACUCUUCUCCUUUUCAAAAUUUUCAAAAUUCACCCUCUGCAAGUUUGGACCAGAUUUGUAAAAUUUGGUGAAAUUCAUAUCUCCACUUCUCCAAAAAUUCCACCAAAAUUCAGGCAACCCCCAGUUGCAAUGAGAGACCACUCCACCAAAAACCAGCUCAAGGAAAAAUCCCCACAUGCCAAAAUCAUUCUGUCGAACACCUGGCCUAAACUGUUACUGUACAUCUUCAGAAAUUCAGUAAGUUCAGUGUCGUUUCUUCGUCAGAGUUCAGUCACAUGUCGACUGUGUGCCUGGCGCGUUGUGCACGGCUCCUCCUCCCUGUCCGGAGCACCACACGCGCGCUUGGCUCGUUCCUGGCGUCGGUGGCACCCUGGCGCUCCUGCGCCGGCGUCUUCCGCGGCGGCAGAACACCCCGUGGCGGCCGACAGGGGGCACCCUGCGGCAUAAUGCUGUUUGGCACUGCCCAAACCACCUGAGAGCUCCGCGUGGCCAUCGCCCUUGCCAGCGCACGCAUGCAGCACCGUCGCCGUGGCCUGGCACGCUCAGGGCGCGCUCUCUGCCGCCGACGUGCCGUACGGCCGUUCCGUCGGGGACAGGCCGUAACCACCCCUACCUUGUUGGGUUAGACACUGGAAUGGAACCAGUGCUCCAUCUAGACGAUGCUCAAGCCACUAAACCAACCGUCCAGCCACAGCGCCGCCGUAAUCGCUCGCCGGACUUAUCCCGUUCACGGCAACCACCUCGGGCCGGCUAUAAAUAGCGCCUCCGAGCUCGCUCUCGACCCCGCACACCUCCACCACCUCACCAGACCCCGCCCAACCUCUGGAAGAGCCUCGAGGGGCCCUUCUUCCUCAACUCCGGCCACCUCCGUCUGCUUCGGGCUCCGGCAGCGUUCUCACUGGUGAGAACUCCUCCACCGCCCUAGACUUGCCCGUAGCCUCAUGCCACCUCUAGGAGACUAACCCCCACUCCAAUUUGACCCCAACAGCUCUCUUCGACGAGGUCCACGACUACCCGAACUACCGUCCGCCGGAGCAAGGGCCGCCGUCGACAUAGUGCUCGCCGGCGACCACCACCACCACCCACCGAUGCGGAAGGACGUACUGAACACGGAGGUACCACCCGAUCCCCUUGCCUCGCCAUGGAUCGCCGUCGGAGACCACCGCAGCUCUCGGGCGCCGACGAGCCCCGUCUCCCUCGUUUUAAUAUUCAAACCUGACUGGUAGGACCCGCCUGUCAGUCUCUCAUUCCUUUUUUUAAACGAAUUGUUUUCUGGACUUUUCUGCAGAACCCCCUGAGAGUUUUCUGUUUCAUUAUAGAAAGGUCCCCGAAUCAAAACCCUUAUAACUUUUAAACAGAAAAGGAUUUUGUUUGAUUCUUUUUCUAUUCUCUUUAAAAUUUUGUCUAGUUUUUUAUCAGAUUUAUUUGAGAAUUUUUAUGGAAUACUUUUGUCCACCUCGCGGUAUUUACGUUACGUGCGUAUUUUCUUAUACCGUAGAUACCGGAGGAGGUGACGGAGCCGCAAACUUCACCUAGUUAGACUCCGACUACUCCGAACCAGGCAAGCAUGUUUGAACUCUUGAUAUGAUGAGUGUUUGUUGCAUGUUUGCAUUUAGGAGUUUCAUGGCAUGUUUAUGAACAUUUCUUUGAAUGUUAUAUUUCAUGCACAGAAGUGGAAAGUAAGUUUCGGAAAGCCAUAUGUUGUUGGAUACAUAUUUGCAUGGCCAUGUUAUGGCAUGAGGAUGGGUAAGAUGGCAGUGUUGUGGCAUGCCAGUCUUAUGCCAGUCUAUGUGACUUCAGUGUCAUCGUGAAUCAAAUCACAUUCCCAUUCACUUCCUUUCCUGUGCUGCCACAUGUUUUCCCGCAAGGAAUAUGGCUUAGUAAGUUGCAAACCGUUUUCCUGGUACACACCAAAUAGAGAGGCCGGGAUGAGGGUUCCAUGGCCCUGGAUUAAAGCCCGUCAUCCGGUCAGGGGGCAUGGGUGUUUCCGGUUGGGACCAAGAGGGGGGCACCCCUUAGAGCGCGCGUAUAGAAAUUUGAUCCCAUUCUAUUCGAGGUUGUGACCUCCCCGUCUCAAAGUUUUUCUUGAACGUUGUCUAGGGUGAUUCCUGGCAUCGUGAGGUGGAAUGGGUGUGUACUGGUUAAAUGUGUUUCUACCUAAAUACCGUAAAGGGAACUAGUCCUUCGUGACUACGGAAAUCCAUUGGCUGUGGUCAGUUAGUACAAACUCUGCAGAGUCACAAAUCCUUUAAAUCAUCUUGUACAUGUCCUAGUACUGUGUUCAUCUUAUCUUGUCAGAUAUCAGCCUCAGUGACAAAACCCGGUGGACUACAUGAGUUUUAAAUCCGGUUAAAAGUUUAUUCUUGUGGAUGGACUAACCCGUUAUUUACUUUUGAUAUAAGCCCUUUCUGUGAUGUCGCUCAGACGUCCGACUGUGGCAUACUUGUUAUUUACAUUUGAUAUAAGCCCUUUCUGUGAUGUCGCUCAGACGUCCGACUGUGGCAUUUCUUUUUUUAAGCCCUUUCUGUGAUGUCGCUCAGACAUCCGACUAUGGCAUUUCUUUUAUAAGCCUUUUCUGUGAUGUCGCUCAGACAUCCGACUGUGGCAUUUCUUUUACAAGCCCUUCAUGUGAUGUCGCUCAGACGUCCGACUGUGGCAUUUCUUUUAUAAGCCCUUUAUGUGGUGUCGCUGAGACGCCCGACUGUGGCAUUCGUUUUUAUAAGCCCUUUAUGUGGUGUCGCUUAGACGCCCGACAGCGGCAUGAGCUUUAUUUGUUUACCUUUCGAGGCGUCACUCCAGACACCCGAUCGGUUUUCAGUUAUUUAUUUUACUUAUCAAGUCGUGCAACAGCUUUAUUAUUGGGAUGAGCAUCAUUAAUUUUGCUCAGAACGCAUUCAUGCAUGCAUUUGUUAUAUCUUUUGUCCGAACUUUCUUGCGAGUACUUUCAAAGUACUCACCUGGCUUGUUGAUUUGGCCAGAUGUUGAUGAAGGCGAUCUCAUGGAUGAAGAGUUCAAUAGCGAGUACGACGCCUAGAGGAGUCCCAGUCACUGUAUUAUAUCCGCUUCCGCCUCCCCAGAAAUAAAUCCAUCGAGCCUCACCUUGAUGCUCGAUGAGCUGCCAGUUAGGAGUCAAGUUAUCCACCACCACUUUUUAUCUCAAGCUAGUAGCAUGUCACCACACCCCUGUGUCAUAACCGCCCUUAUGUAAGAUAUUGGUGAGUUUGUAAUAAAUUGUUGAGCAGCCUCAGCUCAACCCUGUAAUAUAUUUAAUGCUACUGGUCCUCUGUUUAUCAAGUAUUUGUCUACCAGUGAGGAUAAUUUUUCCUAUACUGGGAUCUAAAGAUCAAUUUUCUCAAUAAGUAUUUUAUUGAAAAAUUGGUCGUGACAGACUUGGUACCAGAGCCAGGCUGACUGUAGGAAUCCACUAGGUGCGAUCGCUAAUCGGUUAUUAGCAUGAUAGAGUUUAUUCAUGUUUUUACAAAUUUAGUCAUUUUUCUGACAGUCAGCAUAAAAUUUAUGAUCUAAUCGCUCAGAAUUUUUGCCUACUUUUGUAGAUGGCUGGCAAUGACUGUGAGUCACAAAUGUUUGCCAACGUGCCUGAGGGGUUCGUCAAGCUCCUCUCCUUCAUCGCUCAGGUCGCGAUGGGGGCAUCCGUGCGCCCAGUCUUCACACUUUAUCCACACAAGAUCAACGACAGUCUGACCAUGCACCAGGCAUGCUAUUCAAGGGAGGGCAUGCUUAGAUACGCCGCUUCCGAUUCUUGGGGAGAGCCAUGCCUACAGAGAGGCAUGCUAUGCAGAUGGCUGCCCGCGAGGCGAUAUCUCAUCUUUGGGAUGUCCUUCCUGCUAUGAAGACCUGUCGCUACCGCUACCUUCCAUGCCACGUGCCAUACACCUGUCACUACUCAUUCUCUUGCCCCAGAGGAGAGCGAGACGAGGCCUUCGAGAUGCUUGUCGAGUACCUCCGAGCCCUGGAGGCAGCCUUCGACAGCAUGGUGGACGACCUCGUAGCUGCCCGCAUGGACUCAGUCCAUGGCUGUGCCGCCAACAGGAGGGAACUCCUACACACCGCUCCACCACUGACUUUUAUCUCAUCCUCAGCUUCUCAUUCACCUACCAUUCUCGCCACUGCUCGUCGUUUUCCUACCACUGAGGAAUUUAACCAAGCUAUUGCACCCACUCCCGUUCGCUCUGCACCACUUAUUGCACCCACUCCCAUACGUGCUACUCCACCUAUUCCACCCACUCAUAUUCGUGUUACUACGCCUAUGGCACCUGCUCCAUCAGCUCAGCGCAGCGCUUCUCGUAUGGAACCUAUUAGCGAGGAGGAGGUUGAGUCCCCAGCGUCACUGCAUCUCACCCUCGGCAGGCCAAGGGAGAUCCUCACCAUCUCUGACUGAGUACGUUUAGACGCCAUGCGAUGUACCGACUUGUGUGAUAUGUUUAUAUGUACAUAGGUUGUGAGAAGUAGUCUGUUUGCGCGUCAUGUAGGAUAUGGAGAAGUGCACUAGUCUCAAUAACAUGUCAGGAUUAUGUACGCAUAUCCUGAGUGAUGUAAUGUAUAAUUAUGCUUGUGUGUAAGAUAUGUAAUAGUCCUUCUCCACGCGCAAUCGUGUAUUUUCGAAAAAAAAAUCCUGGAGUUUUAAAAUUUUCUUUAUGUGUGAUUUUAUUGACUUUUGCGACUCUCCUUCUUGUCUUACGAGUUUCACAAAAUAUAUCCCCAGAGUGAAAGAUGUCUCGUCCGUGGAUGCACUCCAUGCCUAAUCAGCCCGAAGAAAAUUAUGGCACACCACCAAACCACAAUUUCACUCAGGGACAAACAAGUCAACAGGACAGUGAAACAGCAUUUACCCAAGUGUGUCGUCUAUAUGAACAGAGUCAGCAACAACACGAGGAAAUGAUGAACCAAUUCAUUAAUAUGGGAAAUCACCAUGGUCAGUAUCAGCAGCAAUCCAAGUUAUCUGAGUUACAGAAGACGCGUCCUCCAACAUUUUCUCAUACUGACAAGCCUCUUGAGGCCGAUGACUGGCUUUGAGACAUGGAGAGAAAAUUAGUUAUUGCACAGUGUUUAGGCCGUGAAAAAGUAUUGUAAGCACCUCAUUAUCUCACCGGAGCAGCUGCAUCAUGGUGGGAAAACUUCCUGGACAUGCACCCCAACGAAAAUGAAAUAACCUGGGAGGAUUUCAAGGAAGGUUUUCGUGGGGCACACAUUCCUAAGAGUGUUAUGAAAAUCAAGAAGAGAGAAUUUGAUGACCUCAAGCAAAGGACCAUGACAGUGUCAGAAUACAACAGCCAAUUCACUCUGCUGUCUCGCUACGCCAAUGAAGAGCGCAUGACCGAGAGAAAGAAGAUGGAAAAAUUCUUGGAAGGCUGGCACCCGCACUUAAAUGCCAGCUGGUUGUGCAUACCUUUCCAGAUUUUAAAACACUGGUGGAUAAGGCCAUUACUCUGGAAAAUGAGCGACGCAGCUUAGAAGAUUUCUGCAAACACAAAAGGGACCAGUCUACUUUUGCUCGCAACCACAGAAGCAAGACAGAAUUUCAGAAGGGUGGAACACACAAAACCCCGACGAAUAAUUCACGCCCAAUCAAGAAUUUCCAUGCAAGAGACAAGGAGUUCACAUAUCGCUCAGGUGUUACGUGUUACGCUUGUGGAUAAGAAGGGCACUAUGCCAAGCAGUGCCCCAAGCCAAGGAACUCAACCCCGAAGCCUAACAAUGGUGGAAAUAAUUCAGCGCCAAAGAGAAACAAUUUCAACCCCAAUAACAACCACCGGAAGGGUCACCUGAACCACGUGACCAAAGAGGAAGCACAGAACGCCCCAGAUAUCGUACUCGGUACGUACCCCGUCAACACAAUACCUGCCAUGGUUUUGUUUGAUUCUGGAGCUUCUCACUCAUUCAUUUCGAAGAGUUUUGCUUUGCAAAAUAAUUUUUCGAUGCUUCCCUUGGAAAAAUCCAUGAUCAUCAAGUCCCCUGGGAUUAAGCAAGUGACCCAGAGUUACUGUCAAGGUGUGGUUAUUGAAUUUGAAGGAUUGAAGUUUUAUGCCAACCUUAUUGUAUUGGAAAGCAAAGGACUGGAUGUCAUCCUUGGGAUGGAUUGGUUAACCACCAACAAAGGUUUUAUUGACUGCUUCAACCGGAACGUGAUUCUCACACACCAUCACGGGAAGACAAUAAAAGUUUCAGCCAAAGAGAGACAAAUACCUCGGCAACCGAGAUUAAACAAGGUGGACGUUUCUGAGCUGAACAAGGUUCCAGUAGUGUGUGGAUUUCUAGACGUAUUUCCAGAAGAACUACCAGGCAUGCCACCGGACCAAGAGAUAGAAUUCAGCAUUGAGCUAGCACCCGGAACCGCUCCCAUUUACAAGAAACCAUACAGAAUGGCACCGUCCGAAUUGGUAGAAUUGAAGAAGCAAAUAAAAGAAUUAUUGGAGAAAGGAUACAUACGAGCCAGUUCCUCACCUUGGGGUUCUCCAAUUUUAUUUGCCAAGAAAAAGGAUGGAACACUGAGAUUGUGUAUUAACUAUCGAGCUCUUAACAUGGUCACAAUCAAGAACAAAUAACCAAUGCCCCGAAUAAAUGAUUUAUUUGAUCAGCUCGCACAGGCCAAAGUAUUCUCGAAAAUCGACUUGAGAUCGGGAUAUCACCAAUUAAAAGUGCGAACAGAAGAUAUUCCCAAGACAACCUUCACCUCUAGAUAUGGAUUGUAUGAGUUCACCGUAAUGCCAUUUGGGCUAACAAACGCCCCCGCAUAUUUUGUUCACCUCAUGAACAAAGUAUUUAUGAAGUAUAUGGACAAGUUUGUUGUGGUAUUCAUCGAUGAUAUUCUGAUAUACUCCAAAACACCAGAAGAGCACGCCGAGCAUCUUAGGAUUGUACUAGGAGAACUCAGGAAACAUCAACUGUACGCCAAAUUCAGCAAAUGUGAAUUUUGGCUAAGACAGGUGGGUUUUCUGGGCCACGUACUCACCCAAGAAGGUAUUGCAGUAGACCCAAAAAAGGUCAAGGCCGUACUUGGCUGGAAACCACCAGCUAGCGUAACGGACGUACGGAGUUUCUUGGGAAUGGCAGGCUAUUUUCGGAGAUUUAUUGAAGGAUUCUCCACCAUAGAAAAGCCAAUGAUGCAGUUGCUCAAGAAAGACAAGAAGUUUGAAUGGACGGAAGCAUGUGAGAAAAGCUUCCAAGAGCUAAAAAGGAAAUUAACAACGGCACCAGUAUUAAUUGUGCCAGACAUACACAAGAAUUUUGAGGUAUAUUGUGACGCAUCCCGGAAAGGCCUUGGAUGCGUAUCGAUGCAAGAAGGCAAGGUAGUUGCAUAUGUCUCCAUACAACUUCGCAAGCAUGAGGAGAAUUAUCCCACUCAUGACUUAGAAUUGGCAGCGGCCAUCCAUGCACUCAAGGAAUGGAGACACUUUCUACUUGGAAAUCGUUGUGAAAUAUACACAGACCAUAAGAGUCUUAAGUAUAUUUUCACACAGCCGGAACUUAAUUUACGGAAACGACGCUAGUUGGAGUUGGUGAAGGAUUAUGAUGUUGGAAUCCACUAUCAUCCUGGAGAAGCAAAUGUUGUGGCAGAUGCCCUUAGUCAGAAUCCCAGCACGGACAACGACAGUAUGCCAAAUUUGAGGCCAGAAGUUCAACAGGAAUUUGCCAAACUCAAUUUAAUAGUGGUCAUCGAAGGCAGUGUGGCGAAUUUGGAAAUACAACCUACCCUGAUGGAAAAGAUUAAGGAAGCUCAGCAUGGACACCCCAGCAUUGAUGGCAUAAAAAGGAAAGUGAGAUUGGGCAAGGCCUUAGAAUUCAACGUAGAUGAGCAAUGAAUAUUGUGGUACAGAGAGAGACUUUGCGUACCAGAUAUCAAGGACCUCAAACAACAGAUUCUGGCUGAAAGCCACACCGCUCCAUAUUCAAUCCAUCCUGGAGGAACAAAAAUGUACAAAGACCUUCAGGAAAAUUUUUGGUGGCAUGGUAUGAAGAGAGACAUAGCCACGUUCAUUGCAUGCUGUGACUCUUGUCAACGUAUCAAGGCCGAGCACCAGAAAUCAGCCGGGCUGUUACAGCCAAACAAGAUACCUGAGUGGAAGUGGGACGGGAUUGGAAUGGAUUUCAUUGUUGGACUACCACGGUCACGACACGGAAAUAAUGCCAUAUGGAUCAUCACCGACAGGUUAACUAAGGUAGCACAAUUUAUCCCGGUGAAGACAACUCACACCACUCAGAGACUGGCCAGACUUUAUCUUGCCCGUAUCGUCUGCCUGCAUGGAGUCCCAAAGACUAUCAUAUCUGACAGAGGCACACAGUUCGUCUCUAGAUUUUGGGAUCACCUACAACAGGCACUGGGAACCCAACUAGCAUUCAGUACCGCAUACCACCCCCAAACUGAUGGGCAAACUGAACGCAUAAAUCAAAUUCUAGAAGACAUGCUGAGAGCCUGUGUCCUCACCUACGGAACCAGUUGGGAAGAAAGCUUUCCAUAUGCAGAGUUUGCAUACAAUAAUAGUUAUCAAGCCAGCUUGCAAAUGGCACCCAUUGAAGCUCUAUAUGGGAGAAGAUGUCGUACCCCGCUAAACUGGUCAGAAACCGGGGACAGCCACAUCUUCGGCCCAGAUAUGCUCAAAGAGGCUGAGGAGAAAGUUAAGACGAUUAGAGAUCGACUCAAGACAGCUCAAAGUCGGUAGAAGAGUUAUUACGAUCGAAAGCAUCGGGAAAUCAGUUUUGAACCUGGAGAGUUUGUAUACCUAAGAUUUUCUCCUAUGAGGGGUCUGCAACGAUUCAGGGUUAAGGGAAAGCUAGCACCAAGAUUCAUCGGACCAUUCCGUAUAGUGGCCCGAAGAGGCACGGUAGCCUACCAGCUAGACCUACCCGGGGAUUUAUCCGAUAUCCACAACGUGUUCCACAUCUCGCAGUUGAGAAAGUACGUGAGCAACCCAAAGAAGCAAGUAUCACAUGAAAAUAUUGACGUACAACCAGACCUCACCUACCGGGAGCACCCAAUAAAAAUAUUAGAAGAGUCUGAGAGGAGGACCCGAUAGAAAACCAUCAAGUUUUUCAGAGUUCAGUGGAGCAAUCACACCGAGAAUGAAGCAACUUGGGAGAGAGAGGAUUUUCUUCGGACAGAGCACCCACACCUGUUUAAGGAUCAGCUGAAAUCUCGGGGACGAGAUUUUUCCUAAGGGGGUAGGUGCUGUGACACUCCAAAUUUUUUUGUUGUUUUUGUUUUCAGCAAGAGCCUUGCUUGGUUUAAAGAAGGUCAUUUAAACCCUUCUUAAAAACCUCUCCUCUGAUUUUUCCUUCUCAAAAUCUUUUCUUGGAUUUAGUUCCUUCUAAAAAGAAAACCUUUUUGGUUUUGGGCUUGAGGGAGUCCUUGAUUAGGGGGUGUCCGGAUAGCCGGACUACCAUCAUCAGCCGAACUAUCAUCGGCCGGACUAUCAUCAUCGACCGGACUCCAAGACUAUGAAGAUACAAGAUUGAAGACUUCGUCCCGUGUCCGGAUGGGACUUUCCUUGGCGUGGAAGGCAAGCUUGGUGAUACGGAUACGUAGAUCUCCUACCAUUGUAACCGACUCUAUGUAACCCUAGCCCUCUCCGGUGUCUAUAUAAACCGGAUGGCUCUAGUCUGUAAGACACGACAACAACCAUUACAAUCAUACCAUAGGCUAGCUUCUAGGGUUUAGCCUCCUUGAUCUCGUGGUAGAUCCACUCUUGUAAACAUCCACAAUAUCAAUAUCAAUCAAGCAGGACGUAGGGUUUUACCUCCAUCAAGAGGGCCCGAACCUGGGUAAAACAUCGUGUCCCUUGUCUCCUGUUACCAUCCGCCUAGACACACAGUUCGGGACCCCCUACCCGAGAUCCGCCGGUUUUGACACCGACAUUGGUGCUUUCAUUGAGAGUUCCUCUGUGUCAUCACCGAUAGGCUUGAUGGCCUCUUCAAUCGACAACGACGCAGUCCUGGGUGAGACUUUUUUCCCCUGACAGAUCUUCGUAUUCGGCGGCUUCGCACUGCGGGCCAACUCACUUGGCCAUCUGGAGCAGAUCGAAAGCUACGCCCCUGGCCAUCAGGUCAGGUUUGGAAGCCUAAACUUCACGGCCGAUAUCCGCGGGGACUUGAUCUUCGAUGGAUCUGAGCCACAGCCGAGCGUGCCGCGCUAUCACGAUGGGCACGACCUAACUCUGCCGCCGGACAACACCUUGGAGGCCGCACACAAAUCCGCUCGGACCCAUAGUCCGGAGCCGAUCGCUCAGAUCGAGGAUGGAUGGCUGGACACCGCCUCGGGAGCUGCAACUUCUACGGUGAUGGAGCCGAACACUUACCUUGUCCCGCAUAAAGCCCAUGACUCCGAGGUGCCGGACCCCCUGCCGGACCCCGAACCUCCUGCGCCCCUGCCAGUCGAAUCCGAUUGGGCGCCGAUCAUGGAAUUCACCGCUACGGACACACCCUUCGGCGAUAUCUUAAAUUCGCUGAAGCAUCUCUCACUAUCCGGAGAGCCCUGGCCGAACUACGGCCAGGAUGGUCGGGACGCGGACAAUGAAGAAAUUCAGAGCCCACCCACCACCCACUUCGUAGCCACCGUCGACGAUCUAACUGAUGUGCUAAACUACGACUCCGAAGACAUCAACGGUAUGGACGACGAUGCCGGAGACAAUCAAGAACUAGCACCUACAGGGCACUGGAAGGCCACCUCGUCACAUGACAUACAUAUGGUGGACACCCCAAAGGGAAGCGAUAAUGAGGAACAACGGGACGCACAGAGGAUAAUCCCGCCGAUAAACAACCAAAACGGCGACGUAGACGCUGCCCUAAGUCCCGCCUCGAUCAAAGCAGCAUUCCUAACGACCCAGCGAUAGAGCAGGGCAAACCAGCGAACAACGAAAAGGACGAACUGGAUAAUCAACCCCUUCACGGAGCAAUCAACAGUCCGGACACAACACCGGAGCAUAAGAACCUUCACAAAAGACUCGUCGCCACUGCAAGAAGUUUGAAGAAGGAAAAACGGAAGCUCAAAACAGCGGAAGACAUACUCAGAAUGAAGUGGAGCAAAAUACUCAAGACCGCAGACAAAUAUGACAAUGGCCAUCAAACAAAGAGCUACCCGAAGCGCAAGCUGCUGCCAGAAUUUGACGAGGAAGCCAUAGAGCCCUCACAGUCAAAAAAUAAAGAGGCCGCCUGGCCGGAUAGACGGCCAGACGACAGGCCAAAAGCGACAAGCGGCGCCGCACACAAGGCGACUUAUGAUCCUGGGAAAACGGACGGCCCAACUAGGUCCAUCUACGGGCCAAAAAGGAGGGCCCCAGGAAGUAACACAACACGACAAGUGUUCGAAGACAGCGGCACACCCAAAUAUAGCGGCGCCGCACACCCGCUAUGUUUACCGAUGAGGUGCUGGAUCAUGAAUUUCCAGCAGGGUUCAAACCCAUAAACAUAGAGGCAUACGACGGCACAACAGACCCAGGAGUCUGGAUAGAAGAUUACAUACUACACAUACACAUGGCUAGAGGAGAUGAUCUCCACGCCAUAAAAUACCUACCCCUCAAGCUCAAAGGGCCAGCUCGGCAUUGGCUCAAAAGCCUCCCAGAAAACACCAUUGGAAGUUGGGAAGAGCUUGAGGACGCGUUUAGAGCAAAUUUUCAAGGGACUUAUGUCCGCCCUCCGGAUGCAGACGAUCUGAGUCAUAUAACCCAACAGCCCGGAGAGUCAGCGCGCGAAUUCUGGAACAGGUUCCUUACCAAAAAGAACCAAAUAGUCGACUGUCCGGACAAGGAAGCCUUAGCAGCUUUUAAACACAACGUCCGAGACGAAUGGCUCGCCAGACACCUCGGCCAAGAGAAGCCAAAAACAAUGGUCGCGCUAACAGGCCUCAUGACGCGCUUUUGCGCAGGAGAAGACAGCUGGCUAGCAAGAUGCAGCACCAGCAACCCGAGUACAUCCGAGAUCAGAGAUGGAAACGGAAAAUCACGGCGCAGGAAAGAUCAGCGCCGGAAUAAAGAAAAAAGCCCAAAGGGCACGGCGGUCAAUGCCGGAUUCAAAAGCUCGCGGCCAAACAAUAAGACAUGGCCUCUUAAGGACAACAGCGACGAGUUAUCAAAUCUAAACAAAAUUUUAGAUCGGAUAUGUCAAAUCCACAGUACCUCCGGAAGGCCUGCAAACCAUACCAACCGAAAUUGUUGGGUUUUUAAACAGUCCAGCAGACUCAACGCCGGACACAAGGGGCUCGAUAUGCCAAGCGAGGAUGAUGAUGAACUCCACCAGCAGAGCACCGGAAGUCAAAAUACUUUCCCACAAGAAGUCAAAACAGUAAACUCACUUCAUGUGAUAGUACGGAAAACCAACACGGCACUCGCUAAGACAAGUGUCGCACGGUCCACCCCAGCGGAACACCGAGAUUGGAUGUCAAAACCAAUCACUUUCGAUCAUCUGGAUUAGUCCAGAAGUAUCCGGAACGCAGGAUAGACUGCCCUGAUAUUGGAUCCCAUAAUAGACGGACUGCAAUUCACGCAGGUUUUGAUGGACGGCGGCAGUGACUUAAACCUGCUAUAUUCGGACACAAUCCGCAAGUUGGGAUAGACCCUACUACAAUUCGGCAUAGCCGCACUUCCUUCAAAGGAGUGGCGCCAGGCCCUUACGCCAGGUGCACAGUUUCAUUAUUACUAGAAGUUGUGUUCGGGUCACCUGACAACUUCCGACGCGAAAAGCUAACCUUUCAUGUCGCCCCAUUUAAAAGUAGCUAUCAAGCAUCACGGGGACGGGAAGCUUUCAUUCGCUUCAAUGCAAUACCACAUUACGCGUCUCUUACGCUUAAAAUGCCCGGUCCACGUGGCAUCAUUUCAUUAAAAGGUCGCCUGAGACCCCGGACACGGCUGGAGGAGUCCGGAAUAAAUAAGCUAGGGGCUACCUAGCCACACACCCCUUCACUAGGGUUUAUACGUAUAAGCCAUAAUGAGCUAGCAUAGGCUCAGCUUUAUUAAUCUAUAUUUCAAUUUUUUAUGCACUUUCUCGCACGAUUUCUUUUCAAACUAAGUUCCUCUCUUUUUACAGAUGAACAGCGUGCACACCCGUACAGGAUACGGCACAACGGAGACACAGACGUAGACGUGCAGUAGGGACCCGUUGCAAGGACUCUUUUAGACUAAGACCCUACGUAAACCUUUCUUACUAUCUCUUGUUGUUAUAAUCCCCUGGUUUCUCAUUAUAACCAGAGUGGAGACUGGCGUUUUGGCAUCGGCCGCGCCAGAAGAACUUGCCCGUACCUGGACACAAGGGGCUUAGGGCAUUGUUUUGCCCGCUAUUGUAAAGACCGAACACCUUCGGGAGUGUUCGGCGUCUCGAGUUAGGCCUUAUAUGCAUCAGCUCCGAAUCAUGUCUCUGGUCAAAUGUUGGGUUUGCCCGGCUCCUGUGUUUUGCAGCCUUACGUUCCGUAUCAUCGGCUAAUGCGGCACCAGGAGAACUACUGCGAUUGUGCCCCAGUUCGGCUGGGCGAGCACCUCAGUAGAGAAAGCCGAAAACUGACUGUCAUGAUACAGCGAGAGACUGGUCAACCACUCGAUCGACCAUGGGAAUGUUUAGAAUUCCUCCGCUUUGACGAAGGGCCGUUUCCCGGUCAGGCACAUACGCGCCCCAAAUUCGGAGAGCGCGGUGCCCCCAGGGGCUAUGUCGUAGCCCCACCCUCGAACUCCAUGGCUAAGUGAAAGUGAUAAAGCAUUAUAGUCCGGUUGCCUCGUUUGCUACGCUACCACCUCCUUUACAGGACUGAGACAUCGGAUUAAGUGUGAAAACGCGCUAUUUUUUGCGAACACCCCCGCACCUUGUGCGUGGGGGCUGAAGCCGACGACUGCCAUCUUUCAGGUUAUACACAUGUAUACAUGAACGGCCGCAUAGGAGAUAUUCUAUUACUUGAACGCACAAGUAUAAAAGGCGCUUACAUCAUAAAUAUUGUUUUACAUCAUAAAAACGUUCAUUUGAACGUAACAUUUUUUGAGCACUGCGACUCUAUUACACGAGCACCACGCAGCACUUCGCCAAAAUAGUGCUUGGCGGGUAACCGGUUAUCAUCCGAACCCGGGUUCGCAACAGCGGUGGCAUCCAUCUCUGUCCAAUGUGUCUUCACACGGGCGAGUGCCAUCCGCGCACCCUCUAUGCAGGCCGACCGCUUCAUCGCCUUGAUAUGCGGCACCGCUCCAAGAAAUUGCUGCAAUAAGCCAAAGUAACUCUUCGGCUCGGGCCUAUCUGGCCAGACAUGGGUCACUAUAUCCGUCAUAGCACGCCCGGACAACCUAUUUAGCUCAGCCCACUCGGCCAAACGGUCGGUCAGCGGAAGUGAACACUCCGGACUAUGGAAUUGAGACCAAAACAGCUCUUCCAUCUUGUGAUCCUUCUGGCUUCGAAAAUGCACAACGGCAUCCGCCGCACUCGCUGCUAAGUCCAUAUAAGGGUCCUCUGGACCCCACAGUUGGCCCUGCUGAGCAUAGUUUGGAUCCGUAAACCUUCGGCGCAGCAGAAAAGGCUUGCCAGCUACAAUCUCUCCGGCCUGGCGCAGCUCUUCCUUUAUAGCCCGCAUUGCAGAGCGGGCAUCCUUGGCUUCGGCGGUGGCCUUCCCCAGGUCUUCUUGCCCCACUAGGCACUCCUUCCCAAGAGCCUCAUUGCGGUCGGUAGCAUCUUUUAACUUCACGGCCAUUUCGGCCAUCUCUUCCCUACUCCGGCAGUGUGCGACCCUUUCGGCCGCUAACUCCUCGGCCGCCCUCGAGGCCGCCGCAUUACUCCUUCUGGCCUACUCCUUGGCUUGAGCAAGUUCGGCCCGAAGGCUCUCAACAGCAGCAACACUAUCUGCAUUUCACGCACAUAUUGUAAGGAGCUGGCUUCGGCUCCCUUACCAAGUGACCGCACAGUAACACUUACCUUGCGACUCAUCAAGUCGCCUGUUGACCAACGUGAUGUCCGCAUCCGCAACAGCGAGUUGCCGCUUUAGUUCAGCAACUCCAUCAGUCCGGCUGGCCCCCGGACGACCCGCCACUUGCAUCGGCACGGCGGAAAUUUAAACCUGUGAUUUUGAUCCUCGGCACGCUAUCGAUUUCGACAACCUACCGAGUCUCAGGGGCUACUAUCUAUACAGGGCGCAUUCUAUAUGCAAAACUGUUAAAAGGUGUGUCAUUUUUACGUACCUCAAACCCCGCCAGCAAACUCCUGACGGCAUUAUGCAACCCGCCUUCGGGGGACGAAAUCCUUUCAAUCACUAUGCUCAUCAAUGCGUGGUGAUCUUCUGAGAUAGACGCCUUCUCAAGCAGAUCCUUCAGCCGUACACCAGUUGGCGCCGAACUAUCCGGCUUUGCCAAACCAGGGGGCUCCCUCCGUGACGACACUUCAGGCUCAUCCGCCCUAUCCGACGGCGCCCCGGACGGAGGCGUCUCGCUCUCCAUCAUCUCCGGACGAAGGUCCCCCGAAGACGAGCUCAUUUGCGAAGGACGGAGAUCCGAACUACAAGGUAAAAACUUUAGUUAUCCUCAAAAGCACAAAUAGGGAUGUCCCUUAUUAUAAAACUCCUUUCUUUCUACUUACGGCUCGUUGGAGGGCUGAUUCUUUAAGGGAGAUUGUGCGGACGGGGCUUCCCCGAACACAGGGCCCUCUGGCGAAGAUUUCUUCCCCCAUUUAGGGGCUUUUGCCCCCGGGUCCUCGGAGGCAGUCCUCUUCUCCCCUUGGAGGGAGGGAUUCUUGACCCCCCCUCUUUCAAGAGCCUCCUUAGGCGAGGCGGUAGCUUUCCUGCUUUCCCCUUCGCCUUCCUCUGGAGGCGCAACCUCAAGCAUCCGGACUAGCACGGAAUCCGGCGCGGUCUUGGGGAGGGGGGCCGGACACCAUAUCAAUUUUGCUUCCGCUAUCCACUCAUGUGUAGAAGGAAGUUGGUCAUAAGGUGAAUCAUCGAAAGGCAAACAAACGGUAUGUCCGGACUUGGAACUACUUACUUGAGUAUCCGGGCGAUUGCAGCUUAGGCCAGCAUCCUCGAUCAAUUCCGUACACGCCUCUUGCAAUCCAAAGAAUAAUUUGUACAUCUCCAGGGGUGUCAUGCCCAUGAAGUGUUGAAGAAUCCGUGGGCCCUCCGGAUUGAACUCCCACAGACGGAGAGGGCGGCGUUUGCAGGGCGGAAGACGCCUAAUCAGCAUAACCUACAUUACCACCACCAUAUCAACCUCCCUCGUUUGGAGAUCUCGAAUCCGGCCCUGCAGUAGGGGCACGUCCUUUGACGGCCCCUAGUUGAGCCCUUGGUUGACCCACGACAUCAACCUUCGUGGAGGUCCCGGGCGGAAUAAGGGCGGCGGCUUUUGUCUGCGGCCCCUCGGAACGGUAAUAUAGAACCACUCUUGCUGCCACGGGCCGAGCUCCUCUUGGAAGAAGCCAGUGGGCCACGGGGCAUCGGCCCUCCUACUUAUGGCCGCCCCGCCGCACUCCGUUUGACGCCCCCCGAUCAUCUUUGGAGCCACCUUGAAGGUCUUCAGCCACAGGCCGAAGUGAGGGGUGACACGGAGGAAGGCUUUGCAGACGACAAUAAAUGCGGAAAUAUGGAGGAUGGACUCCGGAGCCAAAUCGUGGAAUUCCAACCCAUAGUAAAACAUGAGCCCUCUCACAAAAGGAUCCAUCGGGAAGCCUAAACCCCGACGGAGGUGGGAUACAAAAACGACAUACUCGCCGGGCUCGGGGGUGGGGAUGGCCUGCCCUUCGGCAGGCAACCUGUGCGAAAUCUCAUAAGCCAGGUACUUGGCCUCCCGCAGCUUUAGCACGUCCUCCUCCGUGACGGAGGAGGGCAUCCAUCGGCCCAGGAGGUCGGAACCGGACAUCGUUGAAGGUCCGAAGCACUCGAAUCUGGAGCUCUAGGUGCUGGAACUUGGAGCGGGGAGAGGAUUCGAUGGAGGAUUGAAGAAAAUAAACGAGCCUUGGUCCCAUUAUAAAGAGGGAGAAUACCGAGAGCCGUCUCCAUGACCGUUGGGACUCGCCUUCGAUAGAGGGGGCAUAGCGACGGGCGCGGUUGGGUUACCCACGUCCGUAUUGAUGAGAAUCCCAGAUUAAGGGGGAACACGAUCUCUGCUUCGACAAGACGUGCCAAGGAAACCGCUUCGCUAAAUGCGCUGAGGUGGUAGAGUAAAAAACGAUUCAAGUAAUGGCUUGGUAGUGGCGUGACGUCAUGCUGCAAAAAACGUCAGCAGAUUGAACUUGUGUAUAUAUUAUUCUCUCUACGGCGGAAUGUGGAAUUUAUUUUGCAGAGCCGGACACUAUCCUGGUGUUCACAAUCUUCUAUCAUUCGGAGGAGGAACCCGCCUUGCAAUGCCAAGCAAUAUACGCGCCGGACUUAUCGUCAUUGAAGCCUGGUUCAGGGGCUACUGAGGGAGUCCUGGAUUAGGGGGUGUUUGGAUAGCCGGACUACCAUCAUCAGCCGAACUAUCAUUGGCCGGACUAUCAUCAUCGACCGGACUCCAAGACUAUGAAGAUACAAGAUUGAAGACUUCGUCCCGUGUCCGGAUGGGACUUUCCUUGGCGUGGAAGGCAAGCUUGGCGAUACGGAUACGUAGAUCUCCUACCAUUGGAACCGACUCUAUGUAACCCUAGCCCUCUCCGGUGUCUAUAUAAAUCGGAUGGCUCUAGUCCGUAGGACAUGACAACAACCAUUACAAUCAUACCAUAGGCUAGCUUCUAGGGUUUAGCCUCCUUGAUCUCGUGGUAGAUCCACUCUUGUAAACAUCCACAAUAUCAAUAUCAAUCAAGCAGGACGUAGGGUUUUACCUCCAUCAAGAGGGCCCGAACCUGGGUAAAACAUUGUGUCCCUUGUCUCCUGUUACCAUCCGCCUAGACGCACAGUUCGGGACCCCCUACCCGAGAUCCGCCGGUUUUGACACCGACAGGGCUCUUCUUUGGUUUUGAUCCAUUCUUGUUUUACCAUGCCUCUUGUUGUAAAAUUCUCCCAAAACCCCUCCUUCCACUUUGGGACAACCCAAACAUUCUGUCCCAACUAGUUAAAUCCAUUUUUGGAUUUUACCUCAUUUAUUUCUUUUCCCAAAACAAUUAUGUCCUAUAUUUUGAGCCUAGGUAAUUUGCAAAGCAAGUACCUUAAUUCCUUUGAACUUUGAUCUCAACUCAACUCCUCUGGAUAGUCCUUAGCACCCACAACCUAGAACCCUCAAGAUCCACUCUUCUCCUUUUCAAAAUUUUCAAAAUUCACCCUCUGCAAGUUUGGACCAGAUUUGUAAAAUUUGGUGAAAUUCAUAUCUCCACUUCUCCAAAAAUUCCACCAAAAUUCAGGUAACCCCCAGUUGCAAUGAGAGACCACUCCACCAAAAACCAGCUCAAGGAAAAAUCCCCACAUGCCAAAAUCAUUCUGUCCAACACCUGGCCUGCACUGUUACUGUACAUCUUCAGAAAUUCAGUAAGUUCAGUGUCGUUUCUUCGUCAGAGUUCAGUCACAUGUCGACUGUACGCCUGGCGCGUUGCGCACGGCUCCUCCUCCCUGUCCGGAGCACCACACGCGCGCUUGGCUCGUUCCUGGCGUCGGUGGCACCCUGGCCCGCCGGCGCCGGCGUCUUUCGCGGCAGCAGAACCCCCCGUGGCGGCCGACAGGGGGCACCCUGCGGCAUAACGCCGUUCGGCACUUCCCAAACCACCUGAGAGCUCCGCAUGGCCAUCUCCCUUACCAGCGCACGCAUGCGGCACCGUCGCCGUGGCCUGGCACGCUCAGGGCGCGCUCUCUGCCGCCGACGUGCCGUACGGCCGUUCCGUCGGGGACAGGCCGUAACCACCCCUACCUUAUUGGGUUAGACACUGGAAUGGAACCAGUGCUCCGUCUAGACGAUGCUCAAGCCUCUAAACCAACCGUCCAGCCACAUCGCUGCCAUAAUCGCUCGCCGGACUUAUCCCGUUCACGGCAACCGCCUCGGGCCGGCUAUAAAUAGCGCCUCCGAGCUCGCUCUCGACCCCGCACACCUCCACCACCUCACCAGACCCCGCCCAACCUCUGGAAGAGCCUCGAGGGGCCCUUCUUCCUCAACUCCGUCCACCUCUGUCCGCUUCGGGCUCCGGCAGCGUUCUCGCUGGUGAGAACUCCUCCACCGCCCUAGACUUGCCUGUAGCCUCAUGCCACCUCUAGGAGACUAACCCCCACUCCAAUUUGACCCCAGCAGCUCUCUCCGACGAGGUCCACGACUACCCGAACCACCGUCCGCCGGAGCAAGGGCCACCGUCGACACAGUGCUCACCGGCGACCACCAGCACCACCACCCACCGACGCGGAAGGACGUACUAAACACGGAGGUACCACCCGAUCCCCUUGCCUCGCCGUGGAUCGCCGUCGGCGACCACCGCAGCUCUCGGGCGCCGACGAGCCCCGUCUCCCUCGUUUGAAUAUUCAAACCUGACGGGUGGGACCCGCCUGUCAGUCUCUCAUUCCUUUUUUUAAACGAAUCGUUUUCUGGACUUUUCUGUAGAACCCCCUGAGAGUUUUCUGUUUCAUUAUAGAAAGGUCCCUGAAUCAAAACCCUUAUAACUUUGAAAUAGAAAAGGAUUUUUGUUUGAUUCUUUUUCUAUUCUCUUUAAAAUUUUGUCUAGUUUUUUAUCAGAUUUAUUUGAGAAUCUUUAUGGAAUACUUUUGUGCACCUCGCGGUAUUUACGUUACGUGCGUAUUUUCUUAUACCGUAGAUACCGGAGGAGGCGACGGAGCUGCGAACUUCACCCAGUUAGACUCCGACUACUCCGAACCAGGCAAGCAUGUUUGAAAUCUUGAUAUGAUGAGUGUUUGUUGUAUGUUUGCAUUUAGGAGUUUCAUGGCAUGUUUAUGAACAUUUCUUUGAAUGUUAUAUUUCAUGCACAGAAGUGGAAUGUAAGUUUCGGAAAGCCAUAUGUUGUUGGAUACAUAUUUGCAUGGCCAUGUGAUGGCAUGUGGAUGGGUAAGAUGGCAGUGUUGUGGCAUGCCAGUCUUAUGCCAGUCUAUGUGACUUCAGUGUCAUCGUGAAUCAAAUCACAUUCCCAUUCACUUCCUUUCCUGUGCUGCCACAUGUUUUCCCGCAAGGAAUAUGGCUUAGUAAGUUGCAAACCGUUUUCCUGGUACACACCAAAUAAAGAGGCCGGGAUGAGGGUUCCAUGGCCCUGGAUUAAAGCCCGUCAUCCGGUCAGGGGGCAUGGGUGUUUCCGGUUGGGACCGAGAGGGGGGCACCCCUUAGAGCGCGCGUAUAGAAAUUUGAUCCCAUGCUAUUCGACGUUGUGACCUCCCCGUCUCAAAGUUUUUCUUGAACGUUGUCUAGGGUGAUUCCUGGCAUCGUGAGGUGGAAUGGGUGUGUAUUGGUUAAAUGUGUUUCUACCGAAAUACCGUAAACAGAACUAGUCCUUCGUGACUACGGAAAUCCGUUGGCUGUGGUCAGUUAGUACAAACUCUGCAGAGUCACAAAUCCUUUAAAGCAUCUUGUACAUGUCCUAGUACUGUGUUCAUCUUAUCUUGUCAGAUAUCAGCCUCAGUGACAAAACCCGGUGGACUACAUGAGUUUUAAAUCCGGUUAAAAGUUUAUUCUUGUGGAUGGACUAACCCGUUAUUUACUUUUGAUAUAAGCCCUUUCUGUGAUGUCGCUCAGACGUCCGACUGUGUCAUACUUGUUAUUUACAUUUGAUAUAAGCCCUUUCUGUGAUGUCGCUCAGACAUCCGACUGUGGCAUUUCUUUUACAAGCCCUUUCUGUGAUGUCGCUCAGACGUCCGACGGUGGCAUUUCUUUUUUUAAGCCCUUUCUGUGAUGUCGCUCAGACAUCCGACUGUGGCAUUUCUUUUAUAAGCCCUUUCUGUGAUGUCGCUCAGACAUCCGACUGUGGCAUUUCUUUUACAAGCCCUUCCUGUGAUGUCGCUUAGACGUCCGACUGUGGCAUUUCUUUUAUAAGCCCUUUAUGUGGUGUCGCUGAGACGCCCAACUGUGGCAUUCCUUUUUAUAAGCCCUUUAUGUGGUGUCGCUUAGACGCCCGACAGCGGCAUGAGCUUUAUUUGUUUACCUUUCGAGGCGUCGCUCCAGACACCCGAUCGGUUUUCAGUUAUUUAUUUUACUUAUCAAGUCGUGCAACAACUUUAUUAUUGGGAUGAGCAUCAUUAAUUUUUCUCAGAACGCAUUCAUGCAUGCAUUUGUUAUAUCUUUUGUCUGAACUGUCUUGCGAGUACUUUCAAAGUACUCACCUGGCUUGUUGAUUUGGCCAGAUGUUGAUGAAGGAGAUCUCAUGGAUGAAGAGUUCGAUAGCGAGUCCGACGCCUAGAGGAGUCCCAGUCAGUCCCGUGCGAUCCUGCAUUUGGUCACUGUAUUAUAUCCGCUUCCGCCACCCCAGAAAUAAAUCCAUCGAGCCUCACCUCGACGCUCGAUGAGCUGCCAGUUAGGAGUCAAGUUAUCCACCACCACUUUUUAUCUCAAGCUAGUAGCAUGUCACCACACCCCUGUGUCAUAACCGCCCUUAUGUAAGAUAUUGGCGAGUUUGUAAUAAAUUGUUGAGCAGCCUCAGCUCAACCCUAUAAUAUAUUUAAUGCUACUGGUCCUCUGUUUAUCAAGUAUUUGUCUACCAGUGAGGAUAAUUUUUCCUAUACUGGGAUCUAAAGAUCAAUUUUCUCAAUAAGUAUUUUAUUGAAAACCGGUCGUGACACCUUCCCGGUGCCAUGGCCGAAUCAAAAAGAACUAAGGGUUUUCUCCCAGGUUCUAGUGCCUUGGAUAACCCCUCUAUCCUCUCUAAGCUCAUAAAUAAUGAUGCUAUGGAAAGACCCACCGGGGUCACCAAUGAGAGCUUAAAUAAUUUUGAUGAAGAUGACUCCGGAAUUUUUCGCUAUUUACUUGAUGAGUCUUUAAAAUAUGCUUGGGAUAGGUUCUUAAGGAUUCGGGCUAGCUAUGUGCCACAAUAUCAAAUUGAAGUUUACCAAAAAAGUUUCUAUGUUGGUUGAUACAUCUCCAAUGUAUCUAUAAUUUAUGAAGCAUUCAUGCUAUUUUAUUAUCUGUUUUGAAUGAUUACGGGCUUUAUUAUACAAUUUUACAUUACUUUUGGGACUAACCUAUUAACCGGAGGCCCAGCCCAUAUUGUUGUUUUAUUGCCUGUUUCAGUAUUUUGAAGAAAAGGAAUAUCAAACGGAGUCUAAACGGAAUGAAACCUUCGUCAUCGUGAGACUUGAAGUUCACGUCAGAAGAUCCUCGAGGAGGCCACGGGGGUGGGGGGCGUGCCCCCCUACUGUGUGCGCCCCCCUGUCUCAUGGCCCCUCGAGCACCUCCUGACUGACUUCUUUCGCCUAUAUAGUCCCACAUAGCCUAAAAACAUCCACAGAGAAGAUAGAUCAGGAGUUCCACCGCCGCAAGCCUCUGUAGCCACCAAAAACCUCUCGGGAGCCCGUUCCGGCACCCUGCCGGAGGGGGAUCCCAUCACCGGUGGCCAUCUUCAUCAUCCUGACGCUAUCCAUGACGAGGAGGGAGUAGUUCACCCUCGAGGCUGAGGGUAUGUACCAGUAGCUAUGUGUUCGAUCUCUCUCUCUCGUGUUCUCUCUAUGGCACGAUCUUGAUAUAUCGCGAGCUUUGCUAUUAUAGUUGGAUCUUAUGAUGUUUCUCCCCCUCUACUCUCUUGUAAUGGAUUGAGUUUUCCCUUUGAAGUCAUCUUAUCGGAUUGAGUCUUUAAGGAUUUGAGAACACUUGAUGUAUGUCUUGACGUUCUUAUCCGUGGUGACAAUGGGAUAUCAUGUGCCACUUGAUGUAUGUUUUGGUGACCAACUUGCGGGUUCCGCCCAUGAACCUAUGCAUAGGGGUUGGCACACGUUUUCGUCUUGACUCUCCGGUAGAAACUUUGCGGCACUCUUUGAAGUACUUUGUGUUGGUUGAAUAGAUGAAUUUGAGAUUGUGUGAUGCAUAUCGUAUAAUCAUGCCCACGGAUACUUGAGGUGACAAUGGAGUAUCUAGGUGACAUUAGGGUUUUGGUUGAUUUGUAUCUUAAGGUGUUAUUCUAGUAUGAACUCUAUGAUAGAUUGAGCGGAAAGAAUAGCUUCAUGUUAUUUUAGUACAAACUCUUGAAUAGAUAGAACAGAAAGGAUAACUUUGAGGUGGUUUCGUACCCUACCAUAAUCUCUUCAUUUGUUCCCCGCUAUUAGUGUCUUUGGAGUGACUCUUUGUUGCAUGUUGAGGGAUUGUUAUAUGAUCUAUCUAUGUUAUUAUUGUUGAGAGAAUUUGCACUAGUGAAAGUAUGAACCUUAGGCCUUGUUUCCUAUCAUUGCAAUACCGUUUACGCUCACUUUUAUCAUUAGUUACCUUGCUGUUUUUAUAAUUUCGGAUUAGAAAUACCUUUAUCUACUAUCCAUAUUGCACUUGUAUCACCAUCCCUACGCUGAACUAGUGCACCUACACAAUUUACCAUUGUAUUGGGUGUGUUGGGGACACAAGAGACUCUUUGUUAUUUGGUUGCAGGGUUGUUUGAGAGAGACCAUCUUCAUCCUCCACCUCCCACGGAUUGAUAAACCUUAGGUCAUCCACUUGAGGGAAAUUUUCUACUGUCCUACAAACUUGUGCACUUGCAGGCCCAAGAACGUCUACAAGAAGAAGGUUGUGUAGUAGACAUCAAGCUCUUUUCUCGCGCCGUUGCCGAGGAGGUGAGUGCUUGAAGGUAUAUCUUUAGAUCUUGCAAUCAAAUUGAGGGAGUCCUGGAUUAGGGGGUGUCCGGAUGGCCGGACUAAGACCUUUGGCCGGACUCCCGAACUAUGAAGAUACAAGAUUGAAGACUCCGUCCUGUGUUCGGAUGGGACUUUCCUUGGCGUGGAAGGCAAGCUUGGCGAUACGAUAUGAAGAUCUCCUCCCAUUGUAACUGACUCUAUGUAACCCUAGCCCUCUCCAAUGUCUAUAUAAACCAGAGAGUUUUAGUCCGUAGGACGAACAACAAUCAUACCAUAGGCUAGAUUCUAGGGUUUAGCCACUCCGAUCUCGUGGUAGAUCUACUCUUGUACUACCCAUAUGAUCAAUAUUAAUCAAGCAGGAGUAGGGUUUUACCUCCAUCGAGAGGGCCCGAACCUGGGUAAAAACAUCGUGUCCCUUGUCUCCUGUUACCAUCCACCUAGACGCACAGUUCGGGACCCCCUACCCGAGUUCUGCCAGUUUUGACACCGACAUUGGUGCUUUCAUUGAGAGUUCCUCUGUGUCGUCGCCUUGUAGGCCCGAUGGCUUCUUCGCUCGUCAAUCGCGAUGCGGUCCGGGAUGAGACUUUUCUCCCCGGACAGAUCUUCGUAUUUGGCGGCUUCGCACUGCGGGCCGACUCAUUUGGCCAUCUAGAGCAGAUCGAAAGCUACGCCCCUGGCCAUCAGGUCAGGUUUGGAAGCUUAAACUACACGACCGACAUCCGCGGGGACUUGAUCUUCGACGGAUUCGAGCCACAACCGGGCGUGCCGUACUGUCAUGAUGGGCACGAUUUAGCUCUGCCAUCGGACAACGCCCAGAGCGUCUCUCGGGUGUCCGCUCUGACCAUUAGCUCGGAGCCCACUAUGCCAGUCGAGGACGGACGGUUAGACGCCACCCCAGAAACUGCAAUCUCUAGGGCGAUAGAGCCGGAUACCAGCCUAGUCCCUCGCAAGGCCCGUGACUCCAAGGUGCCGGACUCCGAUCCGGACUCCGUAAAUCUCGCACCUCCCCCGGUUAAGCCCGAUUGGGCUCCAGUCAGGGAGUUCACCGCCGUGGAUGUCUUUCAGCACUCACUUUUUGGCAACAUCCUGAAUUCGUUAAAGUCUCUCUCUUUGUCAGGAGAGCCCUGGCCGGACUACGGCCAACACGGUUGCGAUGCGGAUGACAAAGAAAUUUGUAGCCCACCCACCACCCACUUCAUAGCCACUGUCGACGAUUUAAGCGACAUGCUCGACUUCGACUCCGAAGACAUCGACGGCAUGGACGCCGAUGAAGGAGACGAUCAAGAACCAGUGCCUAUAGGGAACUGGAAAGCCACCUCGUCAUAUGACAUAUACAUGGUGGACACCCCUAAAGCGGGGGAUGGCGAGGAGAAAACGGAGGAUGACCCCUCCAAGAAGCAACCCAAGCGCCGACGUCAGCGGCGCCGCUCUAAGUCCCGCCAAAGCAAAAACGGCGAUUCCGGCACCGAAGAUAACAAUACACCGGACAGUGCCGAAAACAACCCCCUCCAGCAGGAUUCAGUGCAGGAGGACGAAGGAGCCAGCCCUCACGAGAGAGCGCCCGACAAAGAGGAUGAGGACGACAAUUACAUGCCUCCCUCCGAAGAAGAGGCAAGCCUCGACGACGAUGAAUUCGUCGUGCCAGAGGAUCCCGUCGACCAAGAGCGUUUCAAACACAGACUCGUAGCCACGGCAAGUAGCCUCAAGAAGAAACAGCAGCAGCUUAGAACUGACCAAGACUUGCUAGCCAACAAAUGGACCGAAGUCCUGGCAGCCGAAGAGUAUAAACUAGAACGCCCAUCCAAGAGCUACCCGAAGCGUAGGCUGCUUCCCCAACUUGAGGAGGAAGCAACUAAACCUACAUCACCAGCGUACGAUGCGCCCAAUCGGCCACCCCGUGGCCGCGAUAGAGAGGCCUUCAGGCCCUCAACCCAAGCCGCACCCCGACACCGCUCAAAACAUACCAGAGUAUGGGGAGACGCAACAGACUUGCGAGACAUCUUGGGGAAUAAGGCAAGGCAAACAAGAUCGAUCUACGGAUCGCAUGGGCACCCCGCUUCACGUGACGCUAGCCGUCACGCCGGACAUAACAAGUAUGGCCCGGCCGAAUACAAUAGACCAAGCUCGUCCGAGCUACGUUGCGAUAUAGCCCAGUACAGGGGCGCCGCACACCCACUAUGCUUCACAGAUGAAGUAAUGGAUCAUCAAAUCCCCGAGGGCUUCAAACCCGUAAACAUCGAAUCAUACGAUGGCACAACAGAUCCUGCAGUAUGGAUCGAGGAUUACCUCCUUCAUAUCCACAUGGCCCGUGGUGAUGAUCUACACGCCAUCAAAUACCUCCCGCUCAAGCUUAAAGGACCAGCUCGACAUUGGCUUAAUAGUCUGCCAGCAGAGUCAAUUAGUUGUUGGGAGGACCUGGAAUCCGCAUUCCUUGACAACUUCCAGGGCACCUAUCUGCGACCACCAGACGACGAUGACCUAAGUCACAUAAUCCAGCAGCCAGAGGAAUCGGCCAGACAAUUCUGGACACGGUUCCUGACCAAGAAAAAUCAAAUAGUCGAUUGGCCAGACGCCGAGGCCCUCGCAGCCUUCAGGCACAACAUCCGAGACGAAUGGCUUGCCCGGCACCUAGGACAGGAAAAGCCGAAGUCUAUGGCAGCCCUCACGACACUCAUGAUCCGCUUCUGCGCGGGAGAAGACAGCUGGCUAGCUCGUAGCAACAACAUAACCAAGAGCCCCGGCAAUUCGGAUACCAAGGAUAACAACGGCAGGUCACAUCGCAACAAGCAUAAACGCAGCAUUAACAGUGAUAAUACUGAAGAUACGGCAGUCAAUGCCAGAUUCAGAGGCUCUAAACCGGGUCAGCGGAAGAAGCCAUUCAAAAGAAACCCUCAGGGCCCAUCCAGCUUAGACCGGAUACUCAAUCGCUCGUGCCAGAUACAUGGCACACCCGAACAACCAGCCAAUCACACCAACAGGGAUUGUUGGGUGUUCAAGCAGACAGGCAAGUUAAGUGCCGAGACCAGAGACAAGGGGCUACAUAGCGAUGACGAGGAGGGGCCCCGGCCGCCGAACAGCAAAGGACAGAAGGGAUUUCCCCCGCAAGUUCGGACGGUGAACAUGAUAUACGCAACCCACAUCCCCAAAAGGGAGCGGAAGCAUGCUCUCAAGGACGUCUAUGCGCUAGAGCCAGUCGCCCCAAAGUUCAACCCAUGGUCCUCCUGCCCGAUCACCUUCGAUCGACGGGACCAUCCCACCAGCAUCCGUCAUGGCGGAUUCGCCGCACUGGUCCUAGACCCAAUUAUCGACGGAUUCCACCUUACCAGAGUCCUAAUGGACGGUGGUAGUAGCCUAAACCUGCUUUACCAGGACACAGUGCAAAAAAUGGGCAUCGAUCCUUCAAGGAUUAAACCCACAAGGACAACCUUCAAAGGUGUCAUACCAGGGGUAGAAGCUAGCUGUACAGGCUCAGUCACACUCGAAGUGGUCUUCGGAUCCCUGGACAACUUCCGGAGUGAGGAGUUAAUCUUCGACAUAGUCCCAUUCCGCAGCGGCUAUCACGCCCUGCUCGGGCGAACCGCAUUUGCCAAAUUCAAUGCGGUGCCGCACUAUGCAUAUCUCAAGCUGAAGAUGCCAGGACCUCGCGGAUUCAUCACGGUAAAUGGAAACACCAAAUGCUCUCUCCAAACGGAGGAGCACACGGCGGCCCUGGCGGCGGAAGUACAGAGUAGCCUCUCAAGGCAGUUCUCCAAUCCAGGCGCCAAACGUCCGGACAACGUCAAGCGAGCCCGAAGUAACCUACAAAAAAUCCGGCUGGCACGUUCUGAGCAAGUAUAGCAGUGCGGCCCCAACCCCAGCCCCCGCCAAACAGCAAUACUGGUACCACGCGUACAUAAUUACGCCUUAGAGAUACCAUGGGCAUAAGGGGAGGGGCACAACAACGACAUGCCCAGAAUGCGGCUAAACCGCACUAGGGGGCUCCCUAUUUCACCAUUUUCCUUUUUCACACACUUUCAGGACCCAACUAUUCGGAAGGCCUGUCCGCCAAUACUCUCGCUGAACCAACGAUGCAAUAGCCAGGGAGGAAGCAAGCCACGUCAAAAGUCAAGGUGGUCUCUAUAACGAGUUUAAUACCUGUUUCUCUUACAAUCCUGCAGCUUGCCCCUGAAGGGGAAUAUGUCACCCAUCUCUUGCUUACCGCACUUUUUGUAUCGUUUUGCUUUUGCAGCAGCCCUUUUUUAAUGAACACUAUAUAGCUCUUACCUAUUAUUGUACUUAUUUUUAUAUGCAAAUAUAUAUGUUCAGUCAUGACACUAUGCAACCGUGCACUUUGGUACGGAUAAUACACCAGGGGCUUACAACACCCCAUAACACGGUGUGAGAAGACCGAACACUCUAACAAGUGUGGCACCUCGAACUUAUAGCACUAUAUGCAUCGGCUCCGAAUCAUGUCUUUGGUCAAUAGUUGGGUUUGCCCGGCUCCCAUGUUUUGGUACCUUACGUUCCGCAUUGUUGGCUAAGGUAGCACUGGGAGAACUACUGCGAUUGUGCCCCAGUUGAGCUGGGUUAACACCUCAGUAGAGAAAGCUAAAACUGACUGUCAUGAUAGUGCGAGAGACCGGUUGCUCUUCGCAAGGUUUCUUCGAGUCCUUAAAGACUUAUGCCGCUUCGAGCGAGGAACUGGACUCAUCCGGCCUAGGCGUGGAUAGCGCCCCGAACUCGGUCUUCCGAAUACUAGGGGCUUCGCCGAAAUUUAAAAUAAUAGAAUUCUAUGGCUAAGUGAGAGUGAUAAAGCAUUAUAAGUCCGACGGCCUGGUUCGUUGUGCUGAACGCCUCCCUAGAUGGACCCAAGAAUGGGAGCAAGAGCGCUCAGGUUUAUCCCGAACACCCCAGCACUCGUGGCAUGGGGGUCGAAGCCGACGACUUGCAUCUCUUAGAUUUGAUAAAUGGCCCCACAGAAGGUAAUAUUUUAAAUUAACAAGCGUUGCUUAACGCAUAUGAACAAAGCUUCAGCGUACAGGAUAACAAAUGCGAGUUUACUCAAAAAUUACAUCUUUGGAGCACUCAUCCGCUAUGCGGCGGGCACCCUUCAGAACGCCAUUAUAAUACAUCUCGGGCGUAUGAUACUCCUUGCCCGGCGGUGGCGCGUCCGUCAACAGCUUCUCUGUGUCUAGCUUGCCCAGUGCACCUUAGCACGGGCAAGGGCCCGACGGGCACCUUCAAUACAAACGGAGCGCUUCACGACCUCAAUCCACGGACACGCGUCCACCAGCCGCCGCACCAGACCGAAGUAGCUCCCAGGCAUGACUUCUCCAGGCCACAGCCGAGCUAUGAGGCCCUUCAUGGCCUGUUCGGCCACCUUGUGGAGCUCGACCAGCUGCUUCAGCUGGUCGCUCAGGGGCACCGGAUGUUCGGCCUCAGCAUACUGAGACUAGAACACUUUCUCCGUCGAGCUCCCCUCUUCGGCUCGGUAGUAUGAGGCGGCAUCAGACACACUACAGGGCAGAUCGGCGAACGCUCCUGGAGAGCUCCGGAUUCGGGUAAGUAGCAGAUAAUUAACUUUUAUAUUUUUGCUUUGCAUAAAGAAUGCCUUACCCGCCGCUAUCUUCUUCAUCGCCUCGAUCUCCUGAAGGGCCUUCUGGGCUUCGGCCUUAGCGGUCUUGGCACUCUCAAGAGCCAAGGCAAGCUCGGACUCUCGAGUCUUCGAGUCACGCUCCAAACUCUCGUGUUUUUCCAUGAGAGCCUGGAGCUCUUGCCGCACCUCCGCCACCCAUGCCUCCUGCUUAUCUCGCUUGGUGCGCUCCAAGGCUGCACUCUUUUCGGCCUUCGAAACCGCCUCUUUCAGGGUCGCCACCUCGGUCAUGGCUCCUGCAACAUUAACGUUGGUCCUGUUAUUAUUAUGCAACCAAGUAUUUCUAUAUACAUUUACAGGAGGUACUAUGUACCCUCUUUAUCCUCGAGCUGCUUCUUGCCACGGCCAAGCUCGCUCUCGGACCUCUCGAGGCUUUCCUUCAAGGCAUUGACCUCCGCAGUCAGUGCGGCAGAGGUCAGCAGCGCAGCCUGUAUUCCCAUAUUGACAUAUUUCUAUUAGACUUCUGCGUAUAUCUUUUGAGACCCUCAGCUCGGCUUUUCUUUCUGAACACCGAACUAAGCAUCAGGUGCUACUGUCUAUGUGGUAACAUUUUUUAUAUAUGUUUUUGAACACAUACCUCAAAGCCCGUUAACAGGCUUGUAGAGGCUUCCGUCAGCCCGCUCUUUGCGGACUGAAUCUUCUGAAUCACGGCACUCAUAACAGUGCGGUGUUCUUCGUCGAUGGAGGCGCCGUUAAGCGCCUCCAGCAAAUUUUCCGGCGCCUCCGGGUGGACGGAAGUCGCCGGCGUCGCAGGCUUGCCCUUCUUAUGAAGGCGCCGCCUGUCGGGCUCUGGAACCACUGAUGGUUCCGGAGCAGUGUCCGGCCCAGGGCCGGACUUAGAUCCCUCCGGGGCUUUACCCCCUUUGGGCUGAGAGUCCGGAAGGUCGCCUUGUGGCGCUUCCAGGACCAUCUCCUCCUGGUUUUGUCCCCUAUGGGACUCCACCUCAGCGUCGUCUGUAGGGAGAGGGGAGGAGGCCGCCGGAAGUGAAGCGCUAUUCACAUCCGACGAAUUCAGAGAUCCGCUCGACGAAUCACCAAGCUGAGCUCUGGGCGGACUGCAUGAUUAGCUUCGGUGUUAGGAGCUAUCAAAUAAUAAAGGAGUGCAAUAAGUCAUUCGGGUAGCCGGACACUUACGAUUUUGCCAGGGGCUUGACCCUAGAUGGCCAGUCCUCCUCGCCAUCUUCGGCAUCGAGGGCGUACUCCGGCAGUAGGGGCUUCCCCUUCUUGGACCCUCCGGCUUCCCCAGUUGGGGCGACCUUUCUCUUCUUUCCUCCCCCCGUUGGAGGGCGAGAGGCAUCUUCUUCUUCCUCCUCCUCCUCAUCGUCGGAGGCAGAGGGUGUGUUGGAGCCGUCGGGCAAAUCAGACGACACCGGGCGCCGAGAACUCUUUCGGGUCCCCGUGGCCUUCUCCUUGGCCUUCUUCUCCGGCACCACGUGGGGUGCCGGAACCAGUAGCUUCGCUAAGUGUGCGUCUACUAGGCCUUUGGGCAAAGGGGCCGGACAAUCAAACUGUCCGGAUGUCCUCUUCCAAUCAUGUCAGAGGAACGGGAGUUUAGAUCCCACGUAAAGUCACACUAUGAAAUUCGGGUAUCCCGUAAGGGACUAAAGGUAAGCUUACUUCGGAGGCUUGACGCUUGGCGCAGAACUUGCGAUCCUCGGUGACGGGAGGGGAGACCUCGGAACUCUUGAAAAGCACCUUCCAGGCAUCCUCGUGCUUCGUUUCGAAGAGCCUGGAUAGAGUCUGGUGCCGGGCCGGGUCAAACUCCCACAAAUUGAAGUCCCGUCGUUGACACGGGAGGAUCUGGCGGAAGAGCAUGACCUGGACCACGUUGACAAGCUUGACCUUCUUGGUCACCAGGUCUCGGACGUAGGUUUGGAGUCCGGUCACCUCUUCCGGAUUGCCCCACGACAGGCCCGUCUCUUUCCAAGAUGUGAGCCGGGUGGGAAUGCCGGAUCGAAAUUCAGGGGCCGCUGCCCAUUUAGGGUCACGCGGCUCGGUGAUAUAAAACCACCCAGACUGCCACCCUUUGAUAGUUUCCAUGAAGGCACCCUCGAGCCAGGUGACGUUGGCUAUCUUGCCCACCAUGGCGCCUCCGCACUCUGCCUGUCAGCCUUGCACGACCUUCGACUUGACGCUGAAGAUCUUCAGCCAUAGGCCGAAGUGGGGCUGGAUGCGGAAGAAGGCCUCGCACAUGAUGAUAAACGCCAAGAUAUUGUGGAUGAAGUUCGGGGCCAGAUCGUUGAAGUCCAGGCCGUAGUAGAACAUGAGCCCCCGGACGAACGGGUGAAGAGGGAAACCCAGCCCGCGGAGGAAAUGGGGAAGAAAAACAACUCUCUCAUGGGGCCUGGGGGUGGGGAUGAGUUGCCCCGCAUCUGGGAGCCGGUGCGCGAUGUCGUUAGACAAGUAUCCGGCCUUCCUCAGGUUUUUGAUUUGCCCCUCCGUGAUGGAGGAGGCCAUCCAUCUACCUCCCGCUCCAGACAUGGUUGGAGAAGGUUGAGGUGGGAAGUGCGGGCUUGGGCGCUAGAGCUCGAGCACGUAGGGACGGAUAAGCAGAGGAGGAAGAGGGCGUGAAUGGAAAGGGCGGAUCCUUAUCCCCUUAUAUGGGCGGCCAAAAAUACGAGCCCCCCACCGGCCUAAUAAAACUCGCUUAUCUUCCAAGCGCCGCGGUUAAUGGCGCGGUUUUGUUACCCACACCCGUAUUGAUGAGAAUCCCGGAAUAAGGGGACACGAUCUCUGCUUUGACAAGACGUGCCAAUGAAACCGCCUCGCUAAACGCACUGAGGUGGAACAAUAAAAUGAAUAAAGAGCCUGGCUGUGGCAUGAUGUCACGCCACGGAAUACGUCAGCAGAUCCGAUUGAUACAAAUAUUAUUCUCUCUACGAAGGAAUGUGGAACUUGUUUUGCAGAGCCGGACACUAUCCUGGUGUUCAACAUCUUCUAUGAAAUAUUCGGAGGAGGAACCCGCCUUGCAAUGCCGAAGACAACUUGCGCGCCGGACUCGUCGUCAUUGAAGCCUGGUUGAGGGGCUACUGAGGGAGUCCUGGAUUAGGGGGUGUCCGGAUGGCCGGACUAAGACCUUUGGCCGGACUCCCGGACUAUGAAGAUACAAGAUUGAAGACUCCGUCCCGUGUCCGGAUGGGACUUUCCUUGGCGUGGAAGGCAAGCUUGGCGAUACGAUAUGAAGAUCUCCUCCCAUUGUAACUGACUCUAUGUAACCCUAGCCCUCUCCAGUGUCUAUAUAAACCGGAGAGUUUUAGUCCGUAGGACGAACAACAAUCAUACCAUAGGCUAGAUUCUAGGGUUUAGCCACUCCGAUCUCGUGGUAGAUCUACUCUUGUACUACCCAUAUGAUCAAUAUUAAUCAAGCAGGAGUAGGGUUUUACCUCCAUCGAGAGGGCCCGAACCUGGGUAAAAACAUCGUGUCCCUUGUCUCCUGUUACCAUCCACCUAGACGCACAGUUCGGGACCCCCUACCCGAGUUCCGCCAGUUUUGACACCGACAUUGGUGCUUUCAUUGAGAGUUCCUCUGUGUCGUCGCCUUGUAGGCCCGAUGGCUUCUUCGCUCGUCAAUCGCGAUGCGGUCCGGGAUGAGACUUUUCUCCCCGGACAGAUCUUCGUAUUUGGCGGCUUCGCACUGCGGGCCGACUCAUUUGGCCAUCUAGAGCAGAUCGAAAGCUACGCCCCUGGCCAUCAGGUCAGGUUUGGAAGCUUAAACUACACGACCGACAUCCGCGGGGACUUGAUCUUCGACGGAUUCGAGCCACAACCGGGCGUGCCGUACUGUCAUGAUGGGCACGAUUUAGCUCUGCCAUCGGACAACGCCCAGAGCGUCUCUCGGGUGUCCGCUCUGACCAUUAGCUCGGAGCCCACUAUGCCAGUCGAGGACGGACGGUUAGACGCCACCCCAGAAACUGCAAUCUCUAGGGCGAUAGAGCCGGAUACCAGCCUAGUCCCUCGCAAGGCCCGUGACUCCAAGGUGCCGGACUCCGAUCCGGACUCCGUAAAUCUCGCACCUCCCCCGGUUAAGCCCGAUUGGGCUCCAGUCAGGGAGUUCACCGCCGUGGAUGUCUUUCAGCACUCACUUUUUGGCAACAUCCUGAAUUCGUUAAAGUCUCUCUCUUUGUCAGGAGAGCCCUGGCCGGACUACGGCCAACACGGUUGCGAUGCGGAUGACAAAGAAAUUUGUAGCCCACCCACCACCCACUUCAUAGCCAUUGUCGACGAUUUAAGCGUCAUGCUCGACUUCGACUCCGAAGACAUCGACGGCAUGGACACCGAUGAAGGAGACGAUCAAGAACCAGUGCCUAUAGGGAACUGGAAAGCCACCUCGUCAUAUGACAUAUACAUGGUGGACACCCCUAAAGCGGGGGAUGGCGAGGAGAAAACGGAGGAUGACCCCUCCAAGAAGCAACCCAAGCGCCAACGUCAGCGGCGCCGCUCUAAGUCCCGCCAAAGCAAAAACGGCGAUUCCGGCACCGAAGAUAACAAUACACCGGACAGUGCCGAAAACAACCCCCUCCAGCAGGAUUCAGUGCAGGAGGACGAAGGAGCCAGCCCUCACGAGAGAGCGCCCGACAAAGAGGAUGAGGACGACAAUUACAUGCCUCCCUCCGAAGAAGAGGCAAGCCUCGACGACGAUGAAUUCGUCGUGCCAGAGGAUCCCGUCGACCAAGAGCGUUUCAAACACAGACUCGUAGCCACGGCAAGUAGCCUCAAGAAGAAACAGCAGCAGCUUAGAACUGACCAAGACUUGCUAGCCAACAAAUGGACCGAAGUCCUGGCAGCCGAAGAGUAUAAACUAGAACGCCCAUCCAAGAGCUACCCGAAGCGUAGGCUGCUUCCCCAACUUGAGGAGGAAGCAACUAAACCUACAUCACCAGCGUACGAUGCGCCCGAUCGGCCACCCCGUGGCCGCGAUAGAGAGGCCUUCAGGCCCUCAACCCAAGCCGCACCCCGACACCGCUCAAAACAUACCAGAGUAUGGGGAGACGCAACAGACUUGCGAGACAUCUUGGGGAAUAAGGCAAGGCAAACAAGAUCGAUCUACGGAUCGCAUGGGCACCCUGCUUCACGUGACGCUAGCCGUCACGCCGGACAUAACAAGUAUGGCCCGGCCGAAUACAAUAGACCAAGCUCGUCCGAGCUACGUUGCGAUAUAGCCCAGUACAGGGGCGCCGCACACCCACUAUGCUUCACAGACGAAGUAAUGGAUCAUCAAAUCCCCGAGGGCUUCAAACCCGUAAACAUCGAAUCAUACGAUGGCACAACAGAUCCUGCAGUAUGGAUCGAGGAUUACCUCCUUCAUAUCCACAUGGCCCGUGGUGAUGAUCUACACGCCAUCAAAUACCUCCCGCUCAAGCUUAAAGGACCAGCUUGACAUUGGCUUAAUAGUCUGCCAGCAGAGUCAAUUAGUUGUUGGGAGGACCUGGAAUCCGCAUUCCUUGACAACUUCCAGGGCACCUAUCUGCGACCACCAGACGACGAUGACCUAAGCCACAUAAUCCAGCAGCCAGAGGAAUCGGCCAGACAAUUCUGGACACGGUUCCUGACCAAGAAAAAUCAAAUAGUCGAUUGGCCAGACGCCGAGGCCCUCGCAGCCUUCAGGCACAACAUCCGAGAUGAAUGGCUUGCCCGGCACCUAGGACAGGAAAAGCCGAAGUCUAUGGCAGCCCUCACGACACUCAUGAUCCGCUUCUGCGCGGGAGAAGACAGCUGGCUAGCUCGUAGCAACAACAUAACCAAGAGCCCCGGCAAUUCGGAUACCAAGGAUAACAACGGCAGGUCACGUCGCAACAAGCAUAAACGCAGCAUUAACGGUGAUAAUACUGAAGAUACGGCAGUCAAUGCCAGAUUCAGAGGCUCUAAACCGGGUCAGCGGAAGAAGCCAUUCAAAAGAAACCCUCAGGGCCCAUCCAGCUUAGACCGGAUACUCGAUCGCUCGUGCCAGAUACAUGGCACACCCGAACAACCAGCCAAUCACACCAACAGGGAUUGUUGGGUGUUCAAGCAGACAGGCAAGUUAAGUGCCGAGACCAGAGACAAGGGGCUACAUAGCGAUGACGAGGAGGGCCCCGGCCGCCGAACAGCAAAGGACAGAAGGGAUUUCCCCCGCAAGUUCGGACGGUGAACAUGAUAUACGCAACCCACAUCCCCAAAAGGGAGCGGAAGCAUGCUCUCAAGGACGUCUAUGCGCUAGAGCCAGUCGCCCCAAAGUUCAACCCAUGGUCCUCCUGCCCGAUCACCUUCGAUCGACGGGACCAUCCCACCAGCAUCCGUCACGGCGGAUUCGCCGCACUGGUCCUAGACCCAAUUAUCGACGGAUUCCACCUUACCAGAGUCCUAAUGGACGGUGGUAGUAGCCUAAACCUGCUUUACCAGGACACAGUGCAAAAAAUGGGCAUCGAUCCUUCAAGGAUUAAACCCACAAGGACAACCUUCAAAGGUGUCAUACCAGGGGUAGAAGCUAGCUGUACAGGCUCAGUCACACUCGAAGUGGUCUUCGGAUCCCUGGACAACUUCCGGAGUGAGGAGUUAAUCUUCGACAUAGUCCCAUUCCGCAGCGGCUAUCACGCCCUGCUCGGGCGAACCGCAUUUGCCAAAUUCAAUGCGGUGCCGCACUAUGCAUAUCUCAAGCUGAAGAUGCCAGGACCUCGCGGAUUCAUCACGGUAAAUGGAAACACCAAAUGCUCUCUCCAAACGGAGGAGCACACGGCGGCCCUGGCGGCGGAAGUACAGAGUAGCCUCUCAAGGCAGUUCUCCAAUCCAGGCGCCAAACGUCCGGACAACGUCAAGCGAGCCCGAAGUAACCUACAAAAAAUCCGGCUGGCACGUUCUGAGCAAGUAUAGCAGUGCGGCCCCAACCCCAGCCCCCGCCAAACAGCAAUACUGGUACCACGCGUACAUAAUUACGCCUUAGAGAUACCAUGGGCAUAAGGGGAGGGGCACAACAACGACAUGCCCAGAAUGCGGCUAAACCGCACUAGGGGGCUCCCUAUUUCACCAUUUUCCUUUUUCACACACUUUCAGGACCCAACUAUUCGGAAGGCCUGUCCGCCAAUACUCUCGCUGAACCAACGAUGCAAUAGCCAGGGAGGAAGCAAGCCACGUCAAAAGUCAAGGUGGUCUCUAUAAUGAGUUUAAUACCUGUUUCUCUUACAAUCCUGCAGCUUGCCCCUGAAGGGGAAUAUGUCAAAUACUCCCAUCUCUUGCUUACCGCACUUUUUGUAUCGUUUUGCUUUUGCAGCAGCCCUUUUUUAAUGAACACUAUAUAGCUCUUACCUAUUAUUGUACUUAUUUUUAUAUGCAAAUAUAUAUGUUCAGUCAUGACACUAUGCAACCGUGCACUUUGGUACGGAUAAUACACCAGGGGCUUACAACACCCCAUAACACGGUGUGAGAAGACCGAACACUCUAACAAGUGCGGCACCUCGAACUUAUAGCACUAUAUGCAUCGGCUCCGAAUCAUGUCUUUGGUCAAUAGUUGGGUUUGCCCGGCUCCCAUGUUUUGGUACCUUACGUUCCGCAUUGUUGGCUAAGGUAGCACUGGGAGAACUACUGCGAUUGUGCCCCAGUUGAGCUGGGUUAACACCUCAGUAGAGAAAGCUAAAACUGACUGUCAUGAUAGUGCGAGAGACCGGUUGCUCUUCGCAAGGUUUCUUCGAGUCCUUAAAGACUUAUGCCGCUUCGAGCGAGGAACUGGACUCAUCCGGCCUAGGCGUGGAUAGCGCCCCGAACUCGGUCUUCCGAAUACUAGGGGCUUCGCCGAAAUUUAAAAUAAUAGAAUUCUAUGGCUAAGUGAGAGUGAUAAAGCAUUAUAAGUCCGACGGCCUGGUUCGUUGUGCUGAACGCCUCCCUAGAUGGACCCAAGAAUGGGAGCAAGAGCGCUCAGGUUUAUCCCGAACACCCCAGCACUCGUGGCAUGGGGGUCGAAGCCAACGACUUGCAUCUCUUAGAUUUGAUAAAUGGCCCCACAGAAGGUAAUAUUUUAAAUUAACAAGCGUUGCUUAACGCAUAUGAACAAAGCUUCAGCGUACAGGAUAACAAAUGCGAGUUUACUCAAAAAUUACAUCUUUGGAGCACUCAUCCGCUAUGCGGCGGGCACCCUUCAGAACGCCAUUAUAAUACAUCUCAGGCGUAUGAUACUCCUUGCCCGGCGGUGGCGCGUCCGUCAACAGCUUCUCUGUGUCUAGCUUGCCCAGUGCACCUUAGCACGGGCAAGGGCCCGACGGGCACCUUCAAUACAAACGGAGCGCUUCACGACCUCAAUCCACGGACACGCGUCCACCAGCCGCCGCACCAGACCGAAGUAGCUCCCAGGCAUGACUUCUCCAGGCCACAGCCGAGCUAUGAGGCCCUUCAUGGCCUGUUCGGCCACCUUGUGGAGCUCGACCAGCUGCUUCAGCUGGUCGCUCAGGGGCACCGGAUGUUCGGCCUCAGCAUACUGAGACUAGAACACUUUCUCCGUCGAGCUCCCCUCUUCGGCUCGGUAGUAUGAGGCGGCAUCAGACACACUACAGGGCAGAUCGGCGAACGCUCCUGGAGAGCUCCGGAUUCGGGUAAGUAGCAGAUAAUUAACUUUUAUAUUUUUGCUUUGCAUAAAGAAUGCCUUACCCGCCGCUAUCUUCUUCAUCGCCUCGAUCUCCUGAAGGGCCUUCUGGGCUUCGGCCUUAGCGGUCUUGGCACUCUCAAGAGCCAAGGCAAGCUCGGACUCUCGAGUCUUCGAGUCACGCUCCAAACUCUCGUGUUUUUCCAUGAGAGCCUGGAGCUCUUGCCGCACCUCCGCCACCCGUGCCUCCUGCUUAUCUCGCUUGGUGCGCUCCAAGGCCGCACUCUUUUCGGCCUUCGAAACCGCCUCUUUCAGGGUCGCCACCUCGGUCAUGGCUCCUGCAACAUUAACGUUGGUCCUGUUAUUAUUAUGCAACCAAGUAUUUCUAUAUACAUUUACAGGAGGUACUAUGUACCCUCUUUAUCCUCGAGCUGCUUCUUGCCACGGCCAAGCUCGCUCUCGGACCUCUCGAGGCUUUCCUUCAAGGCAUUGACCUCCGCAGUCAGUGCGGCAGAGGUCAGCAGCGCAGCCUGUAUUCCCAUAUUGACAUAUUUCUAUUAGACUUCUGCGUAUAUCUUUUGAGACCCUCAGCUCGGCUUUUCUUUCUGAACACCGAACUAAGCAUCAGGGGCUACUGUCUAUGUGGUAACAUUUUUUAUAUAUGUUUUUGAACACAUACCUCAAAGCCCGUUAACAGGCUUGUAGAGGCUUCCGUCAGCCCGCUCUUUGCGGACUGAAUCUUCUGAAUCACGGCACUCAUAACAGUGCGGUGUUCUUCGUCGAUGGAGGCGCCGUUAAGCGCCUCCAGCAAAUUUUCCGGCGCCUCCGGGUGGACGGAAGUCGCCGGCGUCGCAGGCUUGCCCUUCUUAUGAAGGCGCCGCCUGUCGGGCUCUGGAACCACUGAUGGUUCCGGAGCAGUGUCCGGCCCAGGGCCGGACUUAGAUCCCUCCGGGGCUUUACCCCCUUUGGGCUGAGAGUCCGGAAGGUCGCCUUGUGGCGCUUCCAGGACCAUCUCCUCCUGGUUUUGUCCCCUAUGGGACUCCACCUCAGCGUCGUCCGUAGGGAGAGGGGAGGAGGCCGCCGGAAGUGAAGCGCUAUUCACAUCCGACGAAUUCAGAGAUCCGCUCGACGAAUCACCAAGCUGAGCUCUGGGCGGACUGCAUGAUUAGCUUCGGUGUUAGGAGCUAUCAAAUAAUAAAGGAGUGCAAUAAGUCAUUCGGGUAGCCGGACACUUACGAUUUUGCCAGGGGCUUGACCCUGGAUGGCCAGUCCUCCUCGCCAUCUUCGGCAUCGGGGGCGUACUCCGGCAGUAGGGGCUUCCCCUUCUUGGACCCUCCGGCUUCCCCAGUUGGGGCGACCUUUCUCUUCUUUCCUCCCCCCGUUGGAGGGCGAGAGGCAUCUUCUUCUUCCUCCUCCUCCUCAUCUUCAGAGGCAGAGGGUGUGUUGGAGCCGUCGGGCAAAUCAGACGACACCGGGCGCCGAGAACUCUUUCGGGUCCCCGUGGCCUUCUCCUUGGCCUUCUUCUCCGGCACCACGUGGGGUGCCGGAACCAGUAGCUUCGCUAAGUGUGCGUCUACUAGGCCUUUGGGCAAAGGGGCCGGACAAUCAAACUGUCCGGAUGUCCUCUUCCAAUCAUGUCAAAGGAACGGGAGUUUAGAUCCCACGUAAAGUCACACUAUGAAAUUCGGGUAUCCCGUAAGGGACUAAAGGUAAGCUUACUUCGGAGGCUUGACGCUUGGCGCAGAACUUGCGAUCCUCGGUGACGGGAGGGGAGACCUCGGAACUCUUGAAAAGCACCUUCCAGGCAUCCUUGUGCUUCGUUUCGAAGAGCCUGGAUAGAGUCUGGUGCCGGGCCGGAUCAAACUCCCACAAAUUGAAGUCCCGUCGUUGACACGGGAGGAUCUGGCGGAAGAGCAUGACCUGGACCACGUUGACAAGCUUGACCUUCUUGGUCACCAGGUCUCGGACGUAGGUUUGGAGUCCGGUCACCUCUUCCGGAUUGCCCCACGACAGGCCCGUCUCUUUCCAAGAUGUGAGCCGGGUGGGAAUGCCGGAUCGAAAUUCAGGGGCCGCUGCCCAUUUAGGGUCACGCGGCUCGGUGAUAUAAAACCACCCAGACUGCCACCCUUUGAUAGUUUCCAUGAAGGCACCCUCGAGCCAGGUGACGUUGGCUAUCUUGCCCACCAUGGCGCCUCCGCACUCUGCCUGUCAGCCUUGCACGACCUUCGACUUGACGCUGAAGAUCUUCAGCCAUAGGCCGAAGUGGGGCUGGAUGCGGAAGAAGGCCUCGCACAUGAUGAUAAACGCCAAGAUAUUGUGGAUGAAGUUCGGGGCCAGAUCGUUGAAGUCCAGGCCGUAGUAGAACAUGAGCCCCCGGACGAACGGGUGAAGAGGGAAACCCAGCCCGCGGAGGAAAUGGGGAAGAAAAACAACUCUCUCAUGGGGCCUGGGGGUGGGGAUGAGUUGCCCCGCAUCUGGGAGCCGGUGCGCGAUGUCGUUAGACAAGUAUCCGGCCUUCCUCAGGUUUUUGAUUUGCCCCUCCGUGAUGGAGGAGGCCAUCCAUCUACCUCCCGCUCCAGACAUGGUUGGAGAAGGUUGAGGUGGGAAGUGCGGGCUUGGGCGCUAGAGCUCGAGCACGUAGGGACGGAUAAGCAGAGGAGGAAGAGGGCGUGAAUGGAAAGGGCGGAUCCUUAUCCCCUUAUAUGGGCGGCCAAAAAUACGAGCCCCCCACCGGCCUAAUAAAACUCGCUUAUCUUCCAAGCGCCGCGGUUAAUGGCGCGGUUUUGUUACCCACACCCGUAUUGAUGAGAAUCCCGGAAUAAGGGGACACGAUCUCUGCUUUGACAAGACGUGCCAAUGAAACCGCCUCGCUAAACGCACUGAGGUGGAACAAUAAAAUGAAUAAAGAGCCUGGCUGUGGCAUGAUGUCACGCCACGGAAUACGUCAGCAGAUCCGAUUGAUACAAAUAUUAUUCUCUCUACGAAGGAAUGUGGAACUUGUUUUGCAGAGCCGGACACUAUCCUGGUGUUCAACAUCUUCUAUGAAAUAUUCGGAGGAGGAACCCGCCUUGCAAUGCCGAAGACAACUUGCGCGCCGGACUCGUCGUCAUUGAAGCCUGGUUGAGGGGCUACUGAGGGAGUCCUGGAUUAGGGGGUGUCCGGAUGGCCGGACUAAGACCUUUGGCCGGACUCCCGGACUAUGAAGAUACAAGAUUGAAGACUCCGUCCCGUGUCCGGAUGGGACUUUCCUUGGCGUGGAAGGCAAGCUUGGCGAUACGAUAUGAAGAUCUCCUCCCAUUGUAACCGACUCUGUGUAACCCUAGCCCUCUCCAGUGUCUAUAUAAACCGGAGAGUUUUAGUCCGUAGGACGAACAACAAUCAUACCAUAGGCUAGAUUCUAGGGUUUAGCCACUCCGAUCUCGUGGUAGAUCUACUCUUGUACUACCCAUAUCAUCAAUAUUAAUCAAGCAGGAGUAGGGUUUUACCUCCAUCGAGAGGGCCCGAACCUGGGUAAAAACAUCGUGUCCCUUGUCUCCUGUUACCAUCCGCCUAGACGCACAGUUCGGGACCCCCUACCCGAGAUCCGCCGGUUUUGACACCGACACAAAUCUUUUUGUUUCUUGUUUUAUCACUAGUUUAGUUUAUAAAAGAAAACUACAAAAAAUGGAAUUGAGUUUGUCUCAUACACUUCGUCUUUUUAAUAUCUUUCGUGAGUAUGAUGAAAAGGAAAAUUGUGCUCAAGUGUUAGAAGAAGAAAUCUAUAGAAUUUUUUAUACUAAAUCGUUGAAUGAUGAUCAUGAUUGCAUUGUUGUUAGUAUGAACUCUUUGAAUAUCCAUAGUACUAAUGAUGAUUGCACUAGUCAUGAUGAAAAUAUCUCUUAUGAGCAUGUCAACUUUUGUGGAGUGCAUGUUUGCAUGAACACACCGAAUAGAGAAGAUAUAUAUUGCAAGAGGCAUAAGCAUUUACAAACUAAAUUGUUGCAAGAAAAAUUAAAUGGGAGUGCUGAAAAUUUACAUUUCCUUUGCCGUACUUGUGAACUAUACAAUGAACAUGGUCAUCUACAUCUCCUAUGCAAAUUAUUUCAUGAUCGAAUCGUGUCCAAGAAUUGCGAUGAUUUGAUUUUCCUUGCACAUUAUAAUGAACUUAGUUUUCUGUUGGGUUAUGAAGAAUUGAAACGUUUAACUAAGGAUCUUCCAGAUUUUGCCCUUAAGAAAUUCCUUGAUAUUGAUCUAGAGAGGAUUUAUUUGUAUUGUACAGUGAAUUGCAUUGAAAAUCCUUAUAUUGACAAUUACCUAAAGAAAAGAAAAGAAAUAGAAGAUGAAGAGAAUACUAAUGGAAGGGAAGAGACUUCCCAUUAUCCUCCUAUUAUUUCUUAUGAUGAAUUAUGUAUCGAGGAGGAGCCUUAUAUUCAACCAAUCUCAUCAAUAAGGAGCUCAAGGAAGAAGGUUGAACCCACACAUAAUGUGAAGAAGAAAAGGAAGAGAAGGAGUAGCAAAGGUAAAAAGUACCCCUCCCAAAUGAUGUUUCUCCUACUACUCAUUGUGAUGAUGAUAAUUGCUAUACUAUUGGUGCUAUCCAUACUAUUAAUGAUGAGAGUGAUUGUGCUUAUGAUAUGAAAAGGCCCAAGAUUGGGGAAGCUAUGUUUGAUGAGUAUGAAAUAUUUGAGAAUAUAUUUGCUGAAAUUAAUGAUUUUCCCAAGCUUGGGGAUGCUAUGUUUAAUGAAGAUGAUAUUUUUAGCCUCCCAAGUUUUGAUAUGCAAAGUUGUUAUGAUGAUAGCAUGCCUUGUACCUAUGAUGAUUAUAUUGAUGAAAGUGGGUUUAGAAGAGUGUCAACUUUAGGAAGUAGUGAUCCCACUAUUUUGGCGGAUGUUGAAUCUUAUAAUAUUUAUGGAAGUGGAUUUGGAAGAGUGUCAACUUUAUUUAGUGAUGAUUCCACUAUCUUGGAAGAGGUUUCAAUCGAUUAUGAUGACAAAGUUGCUACUUAUGAUGAUUAUUGUGAUGAAACUUAUGCUAUAAAAAGUAGUGAUGAUUAUAUUUAUAAAACUUGUCAUGAUUAUGACUACCCUUUUUUCUAAACAUUACUCUUUUAAUGUGGAAACAAUUUAUAGUAUUCAAGUCUCUUAUGAUACUCCCACUAUUCCGAAUGAGAAUAAAUUUGCUUAUGUGGGGAGUAGUAAAUUUUCUAUGCUAGUAGAUCAUGAAAAGAAUGAUUUAGGUGCUGGUUAUAUUGUGAAUUCAUUCAUGAUGCUACUGAAAAUUAUUAUGAGGGAGAAACAUAUGCUUGUAGGAAUUGCAAUAAUGUCAAGUUUCCUCUCUAUGUGUUGAAAUUUUUAAAGCUAUGCUUGUUGUACCUUCCUAUGCUAGUUGAUUAUUGUUCCCAUAAGUUGUUUGAUCACAAAAUACCUAUGCAUAGGAAGUGGGUUAGACUUAAAUGUUCUAGUCAUAUUCUUCAUCAUGCUCUCUUUAUGUUUCAAUUCUUAUCUUUUAUGUGAGCAUCAUUGAAUCAUCAUGCCUAGCUAGAAAGGCAUUAAAGAAAAGUGCUCGUUGGGAGACAACCCAAUAUUUACCCUUACUGUUUUUGUGCGUCCACAUGAUUAUGCUACUGUAGUAAUCAUGUUUUAUAGCUUUUUUUCAAUAAAGUGCCAAGUAGAACCUUUGGGAAGACUUGGGUGAAGUUUAUGUGAUCUUGCUGUAAAAAACAGAAACAUUAGCGCUCACGAGAUUAACUUCCAUGUUUUACUGGAGAGUGAUUUUAGGUUGAUUCUUUUUGCAUAUGAUUAAUAGACAAAUUCCUCUGGUCCACCAAUUUAUUUCAGAAUUGUUUGAGUUCGAUAAGUAUACGUUUGAUACAGAUCACUACAGACUGUUCUGUUUUUGACAGAUUCUAUUUUCAUUGUGUUGUUUGCUUAUUUUGAUGAAUCUAUGGCAAAUAUGUAAGGGUAUGAACCAUAGAGAACUUGGAAUACAGUAGGUUUAACACCAAUAUGAAUUUAGAAUUAGUUCAUUACAGUACCUAAGUGGUGCUUUUAUUUUUUUAUACUAACGGAGCUUACGAGUUUUGUGUUGAGUUUUGUGUGGUUGAAGUUUUCAAGUUUUGGGUAAAGAUUCGAUGGACUAUGGAAUAAGGAGUGGAAAGAGCCUAAGCUUGGGGAUGCCCAAGGCACCCCCAAGGUAAUAGCCAAGGACAACCAAGAUCCUAAGCUUGGGGAUGCCCCGGAAGGCAUCCCCUCUUUCAUCUUCGUUCAUCGGUAAUUUUACUUGGAGCUAUAUUUUUAUUCGCCACAUGAUAUGUGUUUUGCUUGGAGCGUCAUUUUAUUUUGUUAUUAUUUGCUUGCUGUUAUUUAUAGUAAUUUUUUGCAUCUAUAAUUUCAAUAAAAAUGUCAAGGAUAGCCUUUGCCAUGCUUAUUUUGCUAGUAUACAUGUUGCUGUUUGAAAACAGAAAGUUUACCGCUGUUGCAAAAAUUCCCUAGAAAAGUGAGAGCAUGAUACAACGUUGAAACUUUUUGCAUAAUGAGAUCUGAUAAAUAUUCUACAGCAUAGUAUUUUUCUCAUAAUUUUUGGAGUUACGGAAGUAUGAUGAAUCUUGCAUUCUUUACAGACUAUACUGUUUUGGCAGAUUGCUGUUAUGUUUGCAUUGUUUACAUAUGUUUGCUUGUUUAAUGAUUCUAUUUGAGGAUAGGAGUAUUAAAUAUGCAGAGAGAUUUAGUAUGCAAUGUUGAAUUAUAAUUUUAAUGAUUUGUUACAGUAGAAAAUGAUAAGGUUUUGCAUUGGUUUAUACUAACCUAUCUCACGAGUUCUUGUUGAGUUUGGUGUGGAUGAAGCUUUUGAUAAAAAGAGAAACCAUGAUAUGAGAGGAAUUAAGGAGACAUAAAAGCUCAAGCUUGGGGAUGCCCAAGGCACCCCAAGAUAAUAUUUCAAGAAGUCUCAAGCAUCUAAGCUUGGGGAUGCCCUGGUAGGCAUCCCACCUUUUUUCUUCAACUAUCGGUUAGUAUCGGUUGAGCCUAAGUUUUUGCUUCUUCACAUGAGUUGUGCUAUCUUUGCAAUGUCAUUUUAUUUAGCCUUGCUUGCUAUUUGAAUACAAUACCAAGAUCUGAAAUUCUUUAAUGAGAGAGAGUGUUCACAUAGUUACAUAAUUAUUUUGCUACUCAUUGAUCUUCACUUAUAUCUUGUUGGAGUAGUUUGUCAUUUACUCGUGUGCUUCACAUAUAUCCUAUGAGUAAAUUUUUGAAUGAGUUGAUUGUCAUAAAUCUGAAAUUAUAUAUGUUUCAUUUGCUUAUCCCAUGGGGAGUAAUGACUUCACAUCUAAGAAGUAGAGGUUGUAAAUUUAUUGAAGGUUAGCAAGCAUUGUAUUGGUAAUUUGAACAAUUCAUGAAAGAAUAUUGAAGGAAGAGAGAUUUCACAUAUAAAUAUACUAUCCUAGACAUCUUUUAUAAUUGUGAGCACUCAUUAAGUAUGACAUGCUAAAGAGUUGAUGUUGGACAAGGAAGACAACGUAAUGGGUUAUGUUUUCUCACAUCUCAGUUAAAGUAUAUUGUCAUGGAUCCACUACUAGGGAAAAGCCUAGCAGCAGCGUGGGUUUUAGGGUUAUCAGUAGCGCGGGAGGAGGCGCUACUAAUAAGGCGCUACAGCUAAACCAUAGCAGUAGCGCGUGCACGCCCGGGCUACUGAUAUACAAGUCUAGCAGUAGUGUUCUUCUGUGGAGCUCGCUACUGCUAAUAGCUAUAGCGUGCUUCCCGUGUGGGCGCUACUGAUACUACCGCGCUGCUGCUAACUUUUCUCCACUCGCUACUGCUAAUUUUAAUAUAUUUUUCUGCAUAUUUGAAUAGCAAUACAUGCAAGUCUCGAAUACUUGCAACUACAACGCCAUCCAUCUAAACAAAGGUAUACGCGAGAAGAGCUAUCACUAUGAGUGAGAGCGGAACUAUGUAGUACAUGAGGCGGCGGUUACGAGUCCUCUCUCGCGCUAGUGUGAACCUCAAGUAACUAGCUUCUCCUUCUUGUCUGCUUUUGAAGCCUUUAUGGCUGGCGCCCGAGAACCCAUUCACUUGCGCCUGACACUCAGGCCACUCGUUGUACACCCCCAGAACCUUCCCUUUGUACACGACAUAGCACUUCCAUCUCGCCAUCAAGAAACUAGGUACCUGUUAGAGAUGCAUGUUUAUGAAGAGGAUGUACAAUCAUAUAUAUGCAACAAAAUAUACUAGAGCAACACCGAAAAAGAAAGGGUUAGUAACUAGAUGCAACAUACAAUACGCAAACUAAUUAACUAGAGGUACGCAUGUAAUCAUACGCAAACUAACAAAGUAGCGUUACGCAAGUUUGGCAGGGACCGUGGACAUCACAGAGUUUCAUCGCUACAAAAAGUAUACAAGUUCAACCGACACAUAUCAUCAUCAUCGGCAUCAUAAAUCACUAGAAGUUCCAUACUUCCAUAUCAUCGAGGAUGGACCCUAGCUUCUUGAACGACAUGAGGUCUAGAUGUCGCAUGCCUAUGCGAGUUCGGACGUCAGCUCGCGAUAUAGGGCCGUGGUGGAACAUCCCCUUCUCAUCGACGACUUCUUUCAUGAUGAUCGUCGCAAUGUCCCUUUGGAUGCUAAAGAAGCCAUCUCUAAUUUUAUAAUCCGCUUGUCCAUGAGAUUCUAGCCACUUGUGGAUAUGAUCAUCAUCUCUGCUUCUCAUGCGAAGAUUUUGGUGAUCCGUGUUGAACUGAAUCAUGAGAUGGACGAUGUAGAAUCCAUCCUUCUUGCUUGGUUUUGGGACAUGGAUACAGGAGAAGUUAGUUUUACGUGUGAAACCCAUCUUCUUGUUCCUUUGUUUCCUGGUCUGCAUGUGGCCACCUCUAAUGCUGAAGCCUUGGAGAGCAUCAUCUAGAAUAUUCAUUAUGUGGGUGUAGUAUUUUUCUCGUAGUCUCUAGAAGGGUCAAAAUACACGGCGUGGGAGACUUGUGGGUAAAGAACGAUAAGGAUGGCGCGCCCGUUGCUGCAAGGAAAAGACACCUCAAAUUAUUCCCCAUAUGAGAGAGAAGGAAUGAUUGAAAUGUAAGAAAGGGUUGUCCGGAACUGACUUACUUUGGAUGAUAAGGCAUGAGGACAAUUUCCCGGUCCUUAUUCUGUACCAUGAAGUUUUUAAGGUACUCCCUAGUAGUUCCACGCUCAAAGUCGCCAAGACUCAAGAAAGACUCGUGCAUGUAGUAUGGAUCUGCCACACAGAUUUGCGAGACUUCUUCACUCUUCAUGACAGAGCUCAUAUGUAGCGCAAAAAGGCAGACGACUGUAAAAUCGAGCCGCCUUGUCAGAAACAUCUCAAUGAUAUGGUCAAACCGCAGGAAGAACACCUCCAUGGGUUGUGUCUCGACAUAGCACUUCCCCUCAGGCACACGAGCCGCGCAUGUCGGAUAUCCUGGAUCCUUUGAGGCUAGUAGGCUUUUCUCAGUCGAUAGCACAUGGUCGUGCAGUCUCCUGAGAUCCCCUGAUAGUACCUCCAGUGGUUUCGGCGGUAGCAUCGGCUCGCCUGUGAGAUGGAACAUGGCCGCACCUUUCACGGGUACAUGCUCUUCAGAAUGCAUCGUCUGGCUGCUUUGUGCUAUGGCUUGUUUGGAGGCAGUUAUCUUCCCCAAUCUCUUCCUCUCCUUUUUCUUGGGCACACCUUCCAGACCCUUCCUUAACCCCUGCCCCAGGGUUCCCGGGCUAAGCACUGUACGACCCCCGGCUAGUUGAGCCUAUGUUGAGGCGACAUCUUCAGGCGUGUCCUGUGAGGAAUUCAUGAAGAGAGACUUUUUGCAAUCCUUCCAACGACCUUCCUGCCCGGGCAUAUCAUCCAUAUCCUCAUUAGCAUGCUGAUAUCCCAAUUCGUCAUAUGGUGGACUCGUCAUAUCUAUGUCACAGUCAUACGCGUUUGUAUUGAGGAAACCCAUAGGGUCGACCUCCGUCUCAUCAUCCAUUCUCUGUUCUAUAGGACCGAUUACAUCAGCCAGUACUAUUGCACCCCCUACAUCACGUUGUCUGCCGCUCUCACUCGGAACUACAGGAGCUGGUAAUUGCAUAGGCGGGGUGGUGGUCUCCGCACAUGCUUGUUGAUGUGUGGUUAUUGGUGUGCUCUCGACCCGCUCCAGACGAAUAAGAUUCUUCGGCCAUAGCAGCACCCAACCCUUGCAGCUUCCAAUCCGCGGCGUGAUCUCGUCGUCCUCUCCCACAUGCUGUACUGGAGGAGGCAACGCCUUGUGCCCCGAUUUCACACUGGACAAGCUAACCCUGAAGUGCCCAGCGGGGAUCGGCUGGUUGUGGAACGUGGGUUUCAAGGGGUUCAAUAUCAUCCCCUUUCCCGCGUCGACCUUCUGGACUUUUAUCAAGUAGAGUAUGGUGCACGGGGUUUCUUCGCCCUGCAAACACAUAUGUCUGUGGCGUAAAACAUCCGAAAGGCAACAAAAAUGGAAUAUUCUAUAUAUAUAUAUAUAUAUAUAUAUAUAUAUAUAUAUAUAUAUAUAUGUUGGUGCAACAUGUAAUUACCGUGACGACGUCGAGCUCAGCCAAAGAGGAAGGCCCACCUAGCGCGCCAAAGACUGAGGGCAGGCCGCUAUGAGUAGGAGCAACCACGAGAGGAGGUCCGGUUGCGUGAGCAAGUGAUGGUGUGGUGUUGUUGUUGUUCAUGGAGUUGCUCCCGAUGAAACUGGGCAUCGGGAAAUCAUGUACCGUCUUGUCUGGAUUUUCCUUCGUCCAGUUGAUGAUAGCUGGAACCAAGUUAGUAGCAAAAUCAUUUCUGCAGGCAGUUACAACUGCAUUAACUACCUGUUGUAGCAACUCAUUUUUCUCCUCGGCUAUUUUUUCCGCGUCCUCAGCUGUUUUUUUCUCGACCGCAAGCUUCACCUUCGCGUCGAUGCCCGCCUGACUAAACUUCUUUUUCUGCUUCUUGGCCUAUGGGCCCUUGUUGUAAAACACCUUCCACGUGGCGCCGUCUCCAGCGUCGUGCACACGAGCAUAUUGCGGCUGCAGGCCCAAAGGGAGUCCCUUAAGUUCGUUCAAGGCCCGGUUGAGAGGGGUGUCCCAUUUGGGCCUCAUCGGAUAAGUAGGGCUUUCGGCUGCAAGCUGGUGAUGCUUCUCCAGUAGUCUAAUCAUUUUCCUCGUGAUCUAGUCCGUGUCAAAAACCUUUUUCUCCUUGUCCCACUUGUAGAGGGCCCUGAUGAAGUCAUGCUCCAAGGGGUUGGUGAACUUCGUGAAGGGGUCUGGGAGACCCGCGGCUUCACGUUCCGCGUCCUCCUUAUCCCAUAUGGGCCUUUUACUGAGGUAGCCACAACUUCCGAGGCGAUGCUUCCCCGUGUUCCUUUGCUGAGGGCUCUUAAAUUUUGCAGGCUUAGCCUUGGCUGCCUCUGUAGCACAAGUGUCCUUGAACUUUUCAAACUCCUCUUCCGUAAGUGUCGAAUUUUCCUCCAGAAUCUUGGACAGGGGUUCCUCAGUCUCAAUAGCUCGUUUCACCCUCCCUUUCUAGGAGGCCAAAUCAUUGCUGAACAUGCCCAUGGCGUGAUUGUUAAUCUUUUUCAUCUUCGGAUCAUCCCAUGGGUGUUCUAUGUUAUCGUCCCGGUCGGGGAACUUGAAUCUCUUGUGCAACUUCGUUAGGAGCAACUGCAUCAAAUGUUCUUUAAUCCUUAAGUCAUUGUCGUUGAUGCUCGCGCAUUCCCGUAGGAUGCAUCCUACUUGGUUCCCAUAGCACUUGCGAGGUUCUUCCGGCUCUAAUGGCUCAAACUUGCCAGGUGCCAUAUUUUUUAUCACAAGUCGUCCAAUCCCUAGUUUAUUGGGUUUUUGUAUCCUCUGCUUCUUAUGCUUCCUCUUUUUGCUAGCGGCAUCGGCGCUGGUACCUUCCCCGCUAGUAUCUUCCCCGCCGGCACCUUCUCUGCAGGUCUGCCGUCGGUGUCAAUGUCGGCGUCAGUACCAUCAUCGAGGCCGACCUGCAAACCUUGCUUAGCAGUCAAAUAGUCGAGGUACUCUUGUUCACCCUCAUAAUCCAUCUCGUCUGCAUCUUGGUCAGAAGGCCCAGUUUCUUCGUUGUUCGACAUGUUUCCUAUGAUUAAGUGUCCUCAUUUAUUUCUAAAAGUAUGAAAAAAUGAGAAAUGACAUAAAAAAGAAAUCUAUGUGCCAGCACUUCAUAUGCCAACUAUCUAGCACAAAUCAUGCCAAAAUUCAUGGCAAAUUUCGGCAUGACCUUUGCUAAAAAUGGACAUAUCGAGCGCCUGAAAUUCACCGGAACGGAAAUGAAUCAACAUUCCGGCGUAACAUAGGCCACUCGAAUCAUUUACCAAAAUUGAACCAAAACAUCACAUGUCCAAAUGGCAUGUUCAAAUUCCAAACAUGACAUGUCCAAAACAUGACAUAUCCACAUAUCACAUGUCCAGUUCAAAUUUGCAUAUAAAUUCAGCCUACCUAAAUUUGCUUUAACAAGGGAUGUUGAUUUGGACAAUUGCUUAAAUGUUGCCUUUUCUUUUAACUACAAUUGCUUAACCCUAAAUUUAUGUCCUAUUUUAAAACCUAGCUAAAUUCAUAACUAAAUAGAUAACCUAAUUAACCAACUGCCCUAACUAAAACCUAAGUAAAUUAACCGAAGAACCCUAGCUAGCAGAGAGAGGGGAGGGGGUUUACAGAGGGUGCAAGGGCGAGGAAGGGAGGAAGCAAAGGAGGGAGGCAAGGGCUGAUGGGUCGGGGGCGAGGGCCGGGUCGGGGGCGAGUGCCGGGGUCNNNNNNNNNNNNNNNNNNNNNNNNNNNNNNNNNNNNNNNNNNNNNNNNNNNNNNNNNNNNNNNNNNNNNNNNNNNNNNNNNNNNNNNNNNNNNNNNNNNNNNNNNNNNNNNNNNNNNNNNNNNNNNNNNNNNNNNNNNNNNNNNNNNNNNNNNNNNNNNNNNNNNNNNNNNNNNNNNNNNNNNNNNNNNNNNNNNNNNNNNNNNNNNNNNNNNNNNNNNNNNNNNNNNNNNNNNNNNNNNNNNNNNNNNNNNNNNNNNNNNNNNNNNNNNNNNNNNNNNNNNNNNNNNNNNNNNNNNNNNNNNNNNNNNNNNNNNNNNNNNNNNNNNNNNNNNNNNNNNNNNNNNNNNNNNNNNNNNNNNNNNNNNNNNNNNNNNNNNNNNNNNNNNNNNNNNNNNNNNNNNNNNNNNNNNNNNNNNNNNNNNNNNNNNNNNNNNNNNNNNNNNNNNNNNNNNNNNNNNNNNNNNNNNNNNNNNNNNNNNNNNNNNNNNNNNNNNNNNNNNNNNNNNNNNNNNNNNNNNNNNNNNNNNNNNNNNNNNNNNNNNNNNNNNNNNNNNNNNNNNNNNNNNNNNNNNNNNNNNNNNNNNNNNNNNNNNNNNNNNNNNNNNNNNNNNNNNNNNNNNNNNNNNNNGGGCGAGGGCCGGGGUCGGGGGCGAGGGCUGGGUCGGGGGCGAGCGCCGGGGCCGGGUCGGGGGCGAGCGCGGGGGCGCGGCUGUGCGACGGGGGAAGAGAGAGUGGGUAUUUGGGGGAAAAGAGGCGGGAUGAAGCAGGGAGAGUGAGAAUUUUGGGUUAAGUGGACGUAGCAGUAGCGCGUUUAGACAAAACGCACCACUACUACCUUCACUAGCUAUAGUGGUAUAGAUCAAACGCGCUGCUACUACCUUAACUAGCUGUAGCGGUUUUAUAAGGAAAUCGCUACUGCUAGCUUGACUGUAGCUCUUUUUCAGUAAACUGCUACUACUAUAACCAGUUUUUCUUUUUCUUUUCCUUUAUUUUCUCCCACUUAUUUUCUCCCACAUUUAUUUCCCGAGAGCAGUGAACGAAGGGAAGGCGAUAUAUAUUGCAUCAUUUGACGGUUAAAUAUGUAUACAAAAUAGGAACAUAUAUAUUACAUCAUUGGACCCAUGCAUAAUAAUGGCUAAGUGUGUAUACAAAAUAGGAACAUAUAUAUAUAUAUAUAUAUAUUACAUCAUUUGGCCGAUAACAUACAGUUCCUCAGCAUUGACGUUUUCGUUUUUUAGUCAGCUUCUUUCCCUUCUUGUUCAUCGAAGAAUAAUUGAGCCCCUCAUUGUGACUUUGCCUUUUCCAUGGAGUACGAUUUUUCUUCGGUAAUGUAGUAUUGAUUCUUCUUUUGACGUAUACUUCAUCAUCAUCGUCAUCUUCCCUCAUUGGGUUGCCGUACUGAUCAUAGUCUUCCUCGUUGGUGACUCCAUCCAUUCCAAUGAUGUUCCUUUUGCCUCUCCUCACGACAACAUGGCUGGGAUUGCGUGGGUCGGUUAUGAAGAAGCAUUGUGUCACAUGCUUAGCGUGUACCCAUGGCUCGUUUUUCGCAAUAGCGUUCACGGUAGCGCUCUUGGUGUCGGUUAUAGUCAUGGUAGUGAAAUAUGGUUUUCUCUUUCGACAUUCUUAGCCCAUCUGACAUGGAACAUCGUCUUGUUGUGCAGUCCAGAGUAGUCAAGCUCCCAAAUCUCCCCGGACCCUUCCAUAAAAUCGUUCAGUUGCGCCAUUGUCGCGCCGGUCAUGCAUUCCAUCGUCACCCCUGAGUUCUGAUCAUCACUGUCCAUAUCUUUGGCCUCCGUGUAGAACGUGUAUCCGUUGAUAUCAUAUGCCUGAUAGGUUACGAGGUUGGGCGAGGGGCCAUGUGCUAAGGCGUAUAUGAACAAUCCGUCUUUAGAGCCCUCCUCCGGGGGAUUAGCAAUAAUAUGCUCUUUGAACCAAUGCAGGAAAGUGGAGUUGUGUUCUUUAGUAACUUCGGCGUCCGUCCUACAUACCCCCGGUCACGAUACUUCUUUGCGAUAGUUUCUUUGUGCAGUGCCACGAAAGGAUCUACCUCGUCUAGGUGUUGUAGCACUACCAAGUUUGCUCUGUCAAAGUCGUUGCGUCGAUCUGAGUAUGCCACGUGCAGUUCCCUGCGACCGUUGCAGUGACCUUCUCCUUUGAGCCUCCCAUCGUGCUUGUUAACGGGCAAACCAACACUAACACCAGGCGGCUGGUCUGCGCCAUAUAGAAAAUUCUCAUAGAAAGAGAUGCACUCUUGUGUCACAUAGCCCUGAACGAUGCUUCCAUCCGGACAGGACAUGUUACGAACGAAUCCUUUGAUGAUCCCAUUCAUCCUCUCAAACGACAUCAUGUUGUGCAGGAAUGACGGCCCCAGGUCUAUUAUGUCAUCCACAAUAUGGACACACAGAUGCACCAUCACAUCAAAGAACGCGGGUGGGAAGUACAUCUCAAGCUCAUUCAGUAUCACAACGAUCUCUUCCUGUAGCCUUCGGAGCUGCUUCACACUGAUCUACUUUCGAGAGAUGACAUCGAAAAAGUUGCAGAGACCAAUAAGUGUGUCACGAACGUGCUUGUCCAUUAUCCCUCUAAGGGCAACAGGUACUAUCUGCGUCAUCAUCACAUGACAGUCAUGGGACUUCAUCCCGCUGAACCUUUUCUUGUCUAUGUCUAGAUAUCUGCUUAUCUUGCCACAGUAACCGGAACUAACUUUGACUCUGGUAGGGCACUUAAAGAAUUGAUCGAUCUCAGCCUAACUUAAGGUGAAGCAAGAAGGGGGCAAUAAUCCUCUUUCUUUAUUUUCUUGCCCUUCUUCUCCCGUGCCUCUGUCUCCUUCUCUGUCUCGUCUGACAUUUUACGGGGCGGCAUGUGCAGAUCUUCCCUGAUUUUCAAAUCUUGCAAGUCUUUUCUUGCCUUUGGCCCAUCCUUGGUCUUAUCCAGCAUGUUCAUCAGUGUUGCGAGCAAGCUCUCAAGGACAUUCUUACAGAUAUGCAUUUGAUCAAGGCAAUGAGGUGUAUCGAGUUUGUGCCAGUACUCCAAGUCCCAGAACACAUACCUCAUCUUCCAUACCUUCAGCAGCGGCUCUGGCGCCUUUCUCAUCGUCUUUCCCGGCGCGGGGCACUCCUUCUAGUUUUCAACAGCUCAUCAAUUUUGGCACCGCUUCGCUUACGUGGAGGUCCUCGAUGCUCAGCGUGACCAUUGAAUAGAUCUCCACGGUUUCUCCACGGGUCGUCUUGUUCGAGCCAUCUUCGAUGCCCCAUGUACACGAUUUUCCCAGACCCGCCAUCUUUCCUUGACGUUAGCUGCUGAGACGUCGUAUCAUCCAUGCACCGCAUGCAUCCGCAAUAUCCAUGGCACACCUGGCCUACCACAUAUCCGUAGCCGAGAUAGUCCUACACUGUCAUGAUCAGCGCGGCUCUCAUGUUGAAAUACUCGCCUUUGCUGGCGUCCCAUGUCUUGGACGGUGUUUUCCAUAACAUGUCUAACUCCUCUUGAAGUAGCCGCAGAUACAAAUUAAUAUUAUUUCAUGGUUGUUUCGGCCCUUGAAUAAGCAUGCUCAUGUGAAUGCACUUUGAUUUCAUGCACAAUCAGGGGGGAGGUUGUACUUCCAUACAAACAUGGGCCAUGUGCUAUGGUUGGUGUUAUGGUUGCCAAACGGAUUCAUGCCAUCGGUACAUGCGUCGAGCACGAUGUUCCUUGCAUCACAUUCAAAAUACCAAUAGAAGUUGUUCAACGCUCUCCACUGGCUUCCAUCCUUGACGUGUCUCAGCUUCGAAUCAUCUCCAUCGUCGGGCUUCUUCCUCUCCGCGUUCCAGUGCAUUAGCUUUGCUUCCUUGGGAUCUACAAAAUACCUCUAGAGACGAGGAGUGAUCGGUAAGUACCAUACAACUUUCUAGGGACAUUUCUUCCCGGCCUUCUUGUAUCGAGAAGCAUUGCACAUCGGACAGCUUGUUUUUUCCACGUGCUCCUUCCGAUAAAUUAUGCAAUCGUUGAUGCAUGCAUGGUAUCUAACAUGUGGCAGAUCAAGAGGGCACACAAUCUUCUUGGCCUCAUCAACACUACUAGGACAUAGAUUACCCGCGGGAAGAACAUCCUUUAGGUACUUGAGAUGCUCAUCCAGGCUAGUGUCGGUCCAUUUGUUUUUAGCCUUCGUCUUCAGGAGUUGGAGCGUGAAACUCAAGCGGGUCACCUCAGGAUUGCAACCAUCAUACAAUGGAGUGUUCGAGUCUACCACCAGCUGCUCGAGCUUAGCCUCCUCUCUAGAAGCAGCUCUCUUAGUACUCGUCUCCUUGCGAAGCAAUGCUUGAACAUGAGGUCCCGCACGAUUGAACUUAGUACCGAUGAACUCUGCUGCAUGGAGUCCACGUCGUUCUCUCCGCUGCCAUGUCCGACCCCUUCUCCUCCACCAUGUCCGGCCCCUUCUCCGCCGCCAUGUCCGGCCUCUUCCCCGCUGCCAUUAUCGAUCAUCUCUUCGUCUUGCCCCAUGUCAUCAUUGCCUACCCUGUCGGCAUCCUCAACAUCGUCAUCCUCAUCUUCAAUUAUCCACCGAGUAUAGCCAUCCAUGAAACCAGUCAUGAGCACGUGCGCUUCGACACGACCAUCGUCAUGGGGGUCGAGCCAAACUAUUCCUUUGCAUUUUCGACACGGACAUAAAAGCUCUGUCCGGUUAUUUUCUUUCAUGUCCUGCACCACCGACCGCAACCACCUGUCCACCAUCAUUCCACUGACCAUCAUCAACUCUGCACGGUAAUAAUAAACAAAUUGAUUAUAAAAAUGCGUGCAUGCAUCAAAGUCAUACAAAAAUUCGGCAUGACCUUCCUUAAAAAUAGGACAUAUAUAGAUCUAGAGUUUGCCCGGAAUUUGCCAAAAUAGAAAUAAAUCGACAUUUCGGCAAAACAUAGGCAACUCAAAAGCACAAUUUGGCGUCAACUCAUGCCACACACACAAUUUCCAUAAACAUAUCACACACACAUAAACAUAUUUCCUUUUUGCAAAAGCAUGAAAUUUUAAUCACCUCUAUCUCGAGAUCGAGCACACGGUGGAGAUGAUGAUGUAAGGAGAUCAAAAGUGCACAAAGCUCUUCUUGACAAAGAUAGAUCUAGUUAGGGGGAAAAUAGGUCACUUAACUAAAUGCUACAUCUACCUAGCUACCUAAUUUGGGAGGAGACAACUUCAACUAGUGGAGGGGGAAGGAAAAAGGGAAAGGAGAUGCAUUAAUGGAGGUGGUGUAGUUAGGUAGGAGUAAUGAAGAGAGAGAAAGGUAGGUAGAAGAGGGAGAGUAAUGGGGGAGAAGUGUUGAGGAAGAAGAAGAGUGAGAGUGGGAGGAUGUGGGAGGUAGGGGAAAGGGAAGAGAGGGGGGGCGGGUGGGGAAAAGGUGGUGGGUUGGUGCGGAUUAGCAGUAGCGCGGGACGUAAAACGUGCUGCUGAUAAGAAAGUAGCAGCAGCGCUCUUUCGGCAGAAGCGCUACUGCUAACCGGGACAAAAAGUGUGUCCAAUUUGAAAAUUAGCAGAAGUAACCUCAGAAAAACCGCGCUACUACUAAAGCUUUAGCAGUAGCACGGCUCGCGGCACCGCGCUGGUGCUAAAUGGAGUUUGGGGGGCACUGUCGGUCGAUAUUUGUAGCAGCGCGGGUAACACCGAGCGCGCUACUGCUAAACACUUGUCAGUAGCGGGUUUUACACACCCGCGCUACUGCUAAUUAGCAGCAGCGCUCCUUUUUGAGCCGCGCUGCUGCUAAGAUUCUGUGUAUAGGGUUUUCCCUAGUAGUGAUCAUUCAAACAUGUUGAGCUUGCCUUUCCCCCUCAUGCUAGCCAAAUUCCUUGCACCAAGUAGAGAUACUACUUGUGCUUCCAAAUAUCCUUAAACCCAGUUUUUGCCAUGAGAAUCCACCAUACCUACCUAUAGAUUGAGUAAGAUCUUUCAAGUAAGUUGUCAUCGGUGCAAGCAAUAAAAAUUGCUCUCUAAACAUGCAUGACUUAUUAGUGCGGAGAAAAUAAGCUUUGUACGAUCUUGUUAUGGAAGCAAUAAAAGCAACGGACUACAUAAUAAAGGUCCAUAUACAAGUGGCAAUAUACAGUGACGUUCUUUCGCAUUAAGAUUUUGUGUAUCCAACCCUAAAAGCGCAUGACAACCUCUGCUUCCCUCUGCGAAGGGCCUAUCUUUUACCUUAUGUCUUUUACUUUAUGCAAGAGUCAAGGUGAUCUUCACCUUUCCCUUUUUCAUUUUAUCCUUUGGCAAGCACUUUGUGUUGGGGAGAUCCUGAUAUAUAUAUCCAAUUGAAUGUAAGUUAGCAUGAACUAUUAUUGUUGACAUCACCCAAAGGUGAAUACGUUGGGAGACAACACUAUAAGCCCCUAUCUUUCUCAGUGUUCAAUUAAGACUUCAUAACCACAAGUAUUGCGUGAGUGUUAGCAAUUGUUGAAGAAUAUAUGAUAGUUGAGUAUGUGGAGUUGCUAUUCCUGAAAAUAAGAUGAAUUGCAAUUGUUUGAUGACUAAGAAUGAAGUUUGCUAGUUUUGAAGAAAGUUUAUGGUCUAUGCUUUAACAUGUGAAUUGUGUGUUACUUGUUUGUGAGAAGUUUUAUGAGAUGAACUACUGUUAUGACAUAUAAUCAUGAUAGAAAAGGUGAUUGAAAUUAUCAUUGAUCAAACUUGUGCACCUACUAGCAUUCAAACUUCAUAAAUUCUUUCUUUUAUCAUUUACCUACUCGAGGACGAGUAGGAAUUAAGCUUGGGGAUGCUGAUACGUCUCCAAAAUAUCUAUAAUUUAUGAAGAAUUCAUGCUAUUUUAUUAUCUGUUUUGAAUGAUUAUGGGCUUUAUUAUACACUUUUAUAUUACUUUUGGGACUAACCUAUUAACCGGAGGCCCAACCCAUAUUAUUGUUUUAUUUCCUGUUUCAGUAUUUCGAAGAAAGGAAUAUCAAAUGGAGUCCAAACGGAAUGAAACCUUUGGCAUCGUGAUUUUUUGGAAGAAUAUUAUCCGGGAGACUUGGAGUUCACGUCAGAAGAUCCUCGAUGAGGCCACAAGGGUGGGGGGCGCCCUCCCGCUACUAGGCGCGCCCCCUCUCUCGUGGGCCCCUCGAGCACCUCCCGACCGACUUCUUUCGCCUAUAUAGUCCCACGUACCCUAAAAACAUCCACGGAGAAGAUAGAUCGGGAGUUCCCCUGCCGCAAGCCUCUGUAGCCACCAAAAACCUCUCAAGAGCCCGUUCCGGCACCCUGCCGGAGGGGGAUCCCAUCACCGGUGGCCAUCUUCAUCAUCCCGACGCCAUCCAUGAUGAGGAGGGAGUAGUUCACCCUCGGGGCUGAGGGUAUGUACCAGUAGAUAUGUGUUUGAUCUCUCUCUCUCUCUCGUGUUCUCUCUAUGGCACGAUCUUGAUGUAUCGCGAGCUUUGCUAUUAUAGUCGGAUCUUAUGAUGUUUCUUCCCCUCUACUCUCUUGUAAUGGAUUGAAUUUUCCCUUUGAAGUUAUGUUAUCGGAUAGAGUCUUUAAGGAUUUGAGAACACUUGAUGUAUGUCCUGCCGUGCUUAUCUGUGGUGACAAUGGGAUAUCAUGUGCCACUUGAUGUAUGUUUUGGUAACCAACUUGCGGGUUCCGCCCAUGAACCUAUGUAUAGGGGUUGGCACAUGUUUUCGUCUUGACUCUCCGGUAGAAACUUUGGGGCACUCUUUGAAGUACUUUGUGUUGGUUGAAUAGAUGAAUCUGAGAUUGUGUGAUGCAUAUCGUAUAAUCAUGCUCACGGAUACUUGAGGUGACAAUGGAGUAUCUAGUUGGCAUUAGGGUUUUGGUUGAUUUGUGUCUUGAGGUGUUAUUCUAGUAUGAACUCUAUGAUAGAUUGAGCGGAAAGAAUAGCUUCAUGUUAUUUUACUACGAACUCUUGAAUAGAUAGAACAGAAAGGAUAACUUUGAGGUGGUUUCGUACCCUACCAUAAUCUCUUCGUUUGUUCUCCGCUAUUAGUGUCUUUGGAGUGACUCUUUGUUGCAUGUUGAGGGAUUGUUAUAUGAUCUAUCUAUGUUAUUAUUGUUGAGAGAAUUUGCACUAGUGAAAGUAUGAACCUUAGGCCUUGUUUCCUAUCAUUGCAAUACCGUUUACGCUCACUUUUAUCAUUAGUUACCUUUCUGUUUUUAUAAUUUCAGAUUACAAAUACCUUUAUCUACUAUCCAUAUUGCACUUGUAUCACCAUCUCUUCGCCGAACUAGUGCACCUAUACAAUUUACUAUUGUAUUGGGUGUGUUGGGGACACAAGAGACUCUUUGUUAUUUGGUUGCAGGGUUGUUUGAGAGAGACCAUAUUCAUCCUACACCUCCCACGGAUUGAUAAACCUUAGGUCAUCCACUUGAGGGGAAUUUGCUACUGUCCUACAAACAUGUGCACUUGCAGGCCCAACAAUGUCUACAAGAAGAAGGUUGUGUAGUAGACAUCAUUGGUUUGCCCGCUUCUUUCAUACAAGUUCUAGAUUCUAUUUUUGAAGAAGGUUUUCUUGAAGGGGAUGCUAUAGAUACCUAUGAAAAAAUGAAAACCAUAUUUGGGCACCCUAUGAAUGAUAAGGUUGAAUCAACUACUCUCUUGUGCUUUUAUCAAAAUGAAAUUAUCAAAGAGAUGAAGUCUAGCUUAGAGGCAAAUUUCCGUAACAUGCUUAAUCUUACUUCAUCCAUUAAUGGCAAUGUGCUUACCCUGAAUAGAAGAAUGAAUGCCAUAGAAAGGAGAUCCUCUUUUUCCUUUCCAAGUGCCAAAGAUGGCACUACUUAGAUCUAUCUUCGCUUUUAUACCUAGCUAGGGGCGUUAAACGAUAGCGCUAGUUAGGAGGAAACCCAAUUUUCUUUAUGUUUCUUAUUUUCGUUCCUGUUUAGUAAUAAGUUUUGCAUCUACCCUCUGUUUAGAUGUUUUUUUAUUCUUUAAUUAGUGUUUGUGCCAAGUGUAACCUAUAGGAUAACCUAUGAUGGUAGUUGAUUUGAUUCUGCUGAAAAACAGAAACUUUGCGCUCACGAGAAAAAAUUCAAUAAAUCAUAGAAACGUGAUUUUUCAUUGAUUCUUUUUGAUGCUGAUCAAUAAAUAAUUUGUCCAGUAAGUCCUAUUUUGGUAGGAUUUUUAGAGUUCCAGAAGUUUGCGUUAGUUACAGAUUGCUACAGACUGUUCUGUUUUUGACAGAUUCUGUUUUUCGUGUGUUGUUUGCUUAUUUUGAUGCAUCUGUGGCUAGUAUGUAAGGGUAUGAACCAUAGAGAAGUUGGAAUAUAGUAGGUUUAACACCAAAAUAAGUAAAGAAUGAGUUCAUUACAGUAUCUUAGGUGGUGGUUUUGUUUUCUUUCACUAACGAAGCUUAUAAGAUUUCCUGUUGAGCUUUGUGUUGUGAAGUUUUCAAGUUUUGGGUAAAGCUUUUAUGGCAAGAUCCUAAGCUUGGGGAUGCCCUUGGCACCCCAAUAUAUUCAAGGAUAUACAAAAGCCUAAGCUUGGGGAUGCCCCGGGAAGGCAUCCCCUCUUUCGUCUUCGUUCAUUGGUAACUUUACUUGGAGCUAUAUUUUUAUUCGCCACAUGAUAUGUGUUUUGCUUGGAGCGUUGUGUAUUAUUUUAGUCUUUUAUUUUUAGUUUACCACAAUCAUCAUUGCUGUACACACCUUUUGGUAGAAUCCCACUUGAUUAGAAUUUGCUAGAAUACUCUAUGUGCUUCACUUAUAUCUUUUGAGCUUGAUAGUUUUUGCUCUAGUGCUACACUUAUAUCUUUUAGAGCAUGGCGGUGGAUUAAUUUUGAAGAAAUUGCUAGUAUCUCAUGCUUCACUUAUAUUAUUUUGAGAGUCUUUCAGAACAGCAUGGUAUUUUCUAUGGUUACGAAUUUGGUCCUAGAAUGAUGAGCAUCCAAGUUGGGUAUAAUAAAAACUAUCAUAGGAAGUGAAUUGGAUGCUAUGAUCAAUUUGUUGCUUGAUAAUUGUUUUGAGAUAUAAAGGUAGUAAUGUUAGGGUCAUGCUAGUGGAUAAUUAUGAAAUUGAGAAAUACUUUUCUUGAAGUUAGCAAGUACCAUAGCAUGCACGUAUGGUAAAAAUUGUGUGACAAAUUUGUUGCAUGAGGUGCUCUUUUGAUUGUCUUCCUUAUGAGUGGUAGUCGGGGAUGAGCGAUGGUAUUUUCCUACCAAUCUAUCCCUCUAGGGGCAUGCGUAGUAGUACUUUGCUUCGAGGGCUAAGUAGAAUUUUGCAAUAAGUAUAUGAUUUCUUUAUGACUAAUGUGAGUCCAUGGAUAUACGCACACUCAUCCUUCCACUUUGCUAGCCUCUAUUAUACCGCGCAACUUUCGCCGGUAUCAUGAACCCAUUAUUUUCCUUCCUCAAAACAUCCACCAUACCUACCUAUUAUGGCAUUUCCAUAGCCAUUCCGAGAUAUAUUGCCAUGCAACUUUCCAUCCGUUCCGUUUAUUAUGACACGUUUCAUCAUUGUCAUAUUGCUCUUUGCAUGAUCAUGUAGUUGACAUCGUAUUUGUGGCAAGGCCACCUUCAUAAUUUUCAUACAUGUCGCUCUUGAUUCAUUGCAUAUCCCGGUACACCGCCGGAGGCAUUCAUAUAGAGUCAUAUUUUGUUCUAGCUUUGAGUUGUAAUUCUUGAGUUAUAAAUCCAUAAAAGUGUGAUGAUCUUCGUUAUUAGAGCAUUGUCUCAGUGAGGAAAGGAUGAUGAAGACUAUGAUUCCCCCACAAGUCGGGAUGAGACUUCGGACUUUACAAAAAGAAAAGAAAAAAUGGGGAAAAAGAGAAAGGCCAAAAGGAAAAAAAAGAAAGGCCAAAGAAAAAAUAAGAAAAAAAAUAAAAAGAAAAAAUGAGAGAAAAAGAGAGAAGGGACAAUGCUACUAUCUCUUUUUCCACACUUGUGCUUCAAAGUAGCACCAUGAUCUUCAUGAUAGAGAGUCUCCUAUGUUGUCACUUUCAUAUACUAAGUGGGAUUUUUUCAUUAUAGAACUUGGCUUGUAUAUUCCAAUGAUGGGCUUCCUCAAAAUGCCCUAGGUCUUCGUGAGCAAGCGAGUUGGAUGCACACCCACUAGUUCUUUUGUUGAGCUUUCAUAUAUUUAUAGCUCUAGUGCAUCCGUUGCAUGGAAAUCCCUACUCACUCACAUUGAUAUCUAUCGAUGGGCAUCUCCAUAGCCCGUUGAUACGCCUAGUUGAUGUGAGACUAUCUUCUCCCUCUUUUUGUCCUCACAACCACCAUCUGUUACCACCCAAGUGCUAUGUCCAUGGCUUACGCUCAUGUAUUGCGUAAGAGUUGAAAAAAGCUUAAGCGCGUUAAAAAGUAUGAAACAAUUCCUCGGCUUGUCAUCGGGGUUGUGCAUGAUGGGAGUAUUUUUGUGUAAUCAAAAUGAAGCAUGGCCUAACUAUAUGGUUUUGUAGGGAUAAGCUUUCUUUGGCUAUGCUAUUUUGAUAGGACAUGAUUAUUUGUUAGUAUGCUUUGAAGCAUUAUUAUUUUUAUGUUUUAUAAGCUUCUAUCUUGAAUCAUUUGUAUCGGAACAUUCAUGCCACAAUAAAGAAAAUUACAUUGAGAGUUAUUCUAGGUAGCAUUCCACAUCAAAAAUUCUGUUUUUAUCAUUUACCUACUCGAGGACGAGAAGGAAUUAAGCUUGGGGAUGCUUGAUAUGUCUCCAACGUAUCUAUAAUUUUUUAUUGUUCCAUGCUAUUAUAUUACCCCUUUUGGAUGUUUAUGGGCUUUAUUUUACACAUUUAUAUCAUUUUUGGGACUAACCUACUGACCGGAGGCCCAGCCCGUAUUGCUGUUUUUUUUUGCCUAUUUCAGUAUUUCGAAGAAAAUGAAUAUCAAACGGACUCCAAACGGAAUGAAACCUUCGGGAGCAUGAUUUUUGGAACGAAUGUGAUCCAGAGGACUUGGAGUGCAAGUCAAGAAGCAGCCGAGGCGGCCGAGAGAGGGUAGGUUGCGCCCACCCCUAUAGGGCGCGCCCCUUGUCUCGUGGGCCCCUCGGGUGGCCACCGACGUACUUGUUCCUCCUAUAUAAGCAUACGUACCCCGAAAACAUCCAGGGAGCAACCGAAACACAAUUUCCACCGCCGUAACCUUCUGUAUCCGCGAGAUCCCAUCUUGGAGCCUUCACCGGCGCUCCGCCGGAGGGGGAAUCGACCAUGAAGGGCUUCUACAUCAACACCAUAGCCCCUCCGAUGAGUUGUGAGUUGUUUACCACAUACCUUCGGGUCCAUAGUUAUUAGCUAGAUGGCUUCUUCUCUCUUUUUGGAUCUCAAUACGAUGUUCUCCCCCUCUCUUGUGGAGAUCUAUUCGAUGUAAACUCUUUUUGCGGUGUGUUUGUUGAGAUGCGAUGAAUUCUGGGUUUAUGAUCAAGUUUAUCUAUGAACAAUAUUUGAAUCUUCUCUGAAUUCUUUUAUGUAUGAUUGAGUUAUCUUUGCAAGUCUCUUCGAAUUAUUAGUUUGGUUUGGCCUACUAGAUUGAUCUUUCUUGCCAUGGGAGAAGUGCUUACCUGUGGGUGCAAUCUUGCGGUGUCCUUACCCAGUGACAAAAAGGGUUGCAAUGCACAUAUUGUAUUGUUGCCAUCGAGGAUAAAAAGAUGGGGUUUAUAUCAUAUUGCAUGAGUUUAUCCCUCUACAUCAUGUCAUCUUGCUUAAUGUGUUACUCUGUUCUUUGUGAACUUAAUACUCUAGAUGCAGGCAGGAGUCGGUCGAUGUGUGGAGUAAUAGUAGUAGAUGCAGGCAGGAGUCGGUCUACUUGUUAUGGACGUGAUGCCUAUAUACAUGAUCAUGCCUAGAUAAUCUCAUAAUUAUUCACUUUUCUAUCAAUUGCUCGACAGUAAUUUGUUCACCCACCGUAAUACUUCUGUAAAUCCUAUAUACGUGUGUUUGCACCUGAGGAAUACAACACGUAAUUCCCACAACAUACAUGGUAUCAUAGCCAAGAGGUCUUGAGUUCAAGACCUGGCUGGCGCAAUUAAAAUUGCAGCCCACUUUCGGUCCACUUUUAGGCCUGAGCGAGCCACACAUGAGGGGGAGUGUUGACGUAUAAUGUGCUGCCUAGUCUUUUCCAUCAGAUCAUUUUUUUGCUGCAUUGGCUAGAGCAUGCACUUCUACAUGGUAUCAGUUUCCGGGUUCUAACCCUAGUCUUCUGCCGCCGCCGCCGCUCGCUUCCUCUAUGCCGCCGCCGCCUCCCGCGCCGGCCACCGCUCCUUCCUCUCCCUGCCACGCGCGCGCUACUCCAGCCGCCCACCAGCCGUGAUCGCCUCGAUCGCCCGCCCGCCGAACCCGCUCACCCGCUACUCCAGCCGCCGCCAGCCCCACCUGCCUGCCAGCCCGAUCACCCUCGCCCGAUCUUGCUCGCCUCGCUAGCCACUUCCAGCACCCGAUCGCCCGCUCGCCUACAUUGCCUCGCCAGCCGCUGCCGCCACCCGAGCCGUCGAAGCCGCCACACACGAGCCAUGUCGUCCGUCACGUCUUCUGCACCCACCAACUCCAGUCCGUUCGCCGACGCCAACCCUCCUGAUGUCAAUGACAUUCGCAACCCGAACAUCUAUGAGUGGGUGCCGGUUCGUCUCUCUCAGGCGUACUCCUCCUAACUACACGUGGAAGACUUACUUCUCCCUCGUGUUUUGGUAGUAUGAUCUCGUUGAUCACAUGGACGGCACCGUCGACUCCAGCCUCGUCCCCGAGUUCCAUGACUGGUCCACCAUCGACACCACGAUCAUCCGGUGGUUCUUCCUCACCAUCUCGCCGGACCUCUUUUAUAUAGUCGUGCAGGACGGUGAUGAUGCAUGCGCCAUGUGGACCAAGCUGAACGUGCUCUUCAUCGACAACCAACUCCAAUGUUGCCACCAGGACAAGUCCUCCAUCGACGAUUAUUAUCGCUGCCUCAAGACUCUCGCUGAUGAGCUCCGUGACAUUGGCACGAAGAUCGAUGAUGACCUCCUCCUCAACACGCUCACCGCUGGGCUCAACAAGGACUUUGGCAAUGCCGCGGCGAACCUCACCCUCAUCCCCAACCCGUCCUUCACCAAGUUUGUUGCUUACCUCCGCUUGGAGGAGCAGUGGAUGAAGCAGGUGAAGGCGUGAGCCAUCCACAACGCCCUCGCCGCCGACACCACCCGUGGCAGACCCCCGACGCCUCCCGCUGCCUCGGCGCCCCAGCAGUCGUCGUGCCACCAGGCGCCUUAUCCGGCCCCGCCACCGCUGUACACGGCGCCCCAGCAGCCGGGGCUCCUCCCACUGCUGUACGGCCGGCCUGCGCCUCCCGCCCCUCCCGCCGAACGGCGCCGCAGGGGACGGCUCAGUGGCCACCGUGGCGGUCAACAUCAGAAGCCACAUCAGGCCGGCUAGCCUCAUCAGCAACAGGAACAGCAGCUCCAGGUGCCGCCCCCAUGGGCUUCCUACUACAACCCCAAGACAGGUGUCGUCCAUGCGUACACCAUGUCGCUUCCAUGGGCUCCUGCACCAAUGUUUCCCGUGCCACACCCAUCGACGCACCAGGUGUACUACGCGGCUCCGCAUCCCUAUGGAGGGUACCCACCGCCGUAACAGAGCCUUGGCUACGGCAUCCCUGUGGCGCCGCCGUCCCCCUCGCCAGCCCUGCCGCCGGCGCCUUGGGAUCUGGCGCUCCUCGCCGUGCUGCACACCGGUCCUACGCCAAACAACUACACAUGAGGCGGUGAUUGGUACAUGGACACCGGGGCCAUGGCUCACAUGUUUGCUCAUUCUGGUAAUCUUGCCUCGUUCACCCUCGUCACCACCGACCGCCGCAUCAUUGUGGGUGACGGUUCCACACUUCCCAUCACACACGUCGGGCACACUUCUUUUCCUUUUAAUUCCAUGCCUAUAUCUUUGUAUAACAUAGUUUUGUCUCCUCAUCCUAUUAAGAAUCUUAUUUCUGUUCGUUGUUUAACUCGUGAAAAUCUUCUCACUGUUGAAUUUGACGAGCUUGGUUUUUGUGUUAAGGACGCUCGAGCCAGGAUGGUACUCCAUCGAUGUGACAGCCCCGACGACCUCUAUCCGGUGCAUUCGCCUUCAUCCACCACCACUGCACCAGUUGCUCUCUCCGCUGGCGUCGAUCUCUGGCACGCUCGUUUGGAUCAUCCCAACCCUGUCACACUUCAUCAUAUUCUUAGGAGUUUCAGUUUCAGUUGUAAUAAGAUAGAGGAUCACACUUUUCAUGCCUGUUGUGUCGACAAACAUGUCCGUCGCCCAUUUAAUAACUCCACCACCAUUGCUUCUUUUCCCUUUCAUUUGAUUCAUAGCGAUGUGUGGACCUCUCUGGUUCCUAGUAAUUCGGGGUUGUUAUAUUAUCUGGUUAUCCUUGAUGAUUAUUCUCAUUAUGUGUGGACUUUUCUUUUGCGACGAGAGUCGGAUGCACUCUCCACUUUGAUGGCUUUUUACUCCUAUGUUAGAGUGCAGUUUGUGCAUCCCAUCCUUACUCUUCAGACUGACAAUUAAAAAGAGUUCAACAAUCUUGCUUUCCGCACUUCUCUGUCGCACCAUGGCACAAUUUUUCAUCUCACAUGCUCGUACACUUCACAGCAGACCGGACAAGACGAACGCGUCCUUCACACUCCGAAUGCCUACAUUCACACGCUCCUGUUUCACGCUAACGGGCCGCCUCCCUUCUGGAUGGACGCACUCCCUACUGCAUCCCUUCUUCUUAACCUUCGACCAUUACGCCCACGGUGGAACUAUGCACCUCACCAUCUUCUCUUUGGUACGCCCCCGUCUUAUGAUGGCUUGUGUAUUUUUGGGUGCCUUUGCUAUCCCAGCACUGCCGACACUCCUCCUGACAAUCUUGCACCACACUCUGUCGCUUGUAUCUUCAUCGGCUAUCCCUCUAACUCCAAACGAUAUCGGUGCUAAGAUCCCGUCUUCCACUGUGUGUUCACUUCCCGGCACGUUUACUUUGAUGAGCAUGUGUUUCCGUUUCAGCAGGUACCCCGGCUGUUCCUCCUGCCGCCGAUGACGCAGGCUCUUCAACGCCUCUCCCAGGGCGCUCGCGCGCCAUCCUUAGCCUGCACCUGCCUUUGAGGCACGCCCCCUCUGGCCCCGACGCUGGUGCCCCUGGCGCCCCCUCCCGCGAUCUUGGUGCCCGCGGACGCAACUCCUGUGGCUGUGGCCCCUCUGGCCCCCACGGCACCCGUGGCUCCCGCGGCCCCAUUGGAGCCCAUGGCCACCUCGGCGCCUGCGGCCAUGGUGCCCCCGGCACCCUGAUACGUCUCCAACGUAUCUAUAAUUUUUGAUUGUUCCAAGCUAUUAUAUUACCUGUUUUCGAUGUUUAUGGGCUUUACUUUACACUUUUAUAUAAUUUUUGGGACUAACCUACUAACCGGAGGCCCAGCCCGUAUUGCUGGUUUUUCCCUAUUUCAGUGUUUCGAAGAAAAGGAAUAUCAAAUGGAGUCCAAACGGAAUGAAACCUUCGGGAGCGUGAUUUUUGGAACAAACGUGAUCCACGGGACUUGGAGUGCAAGUCAAGAAGCUCCCGAGGCGGCCACGUGGGUGGAGGGCGCGUCCCCCCUACUGGGUGCGCCCCCUAUCUCGUGGGCCCCUCGGGCGUCCACCGACAUACUUAUUCCUCCUAUAUAUACCCAUGUACCCCGAAACCAUCAAGGGAGCCACCGAAAAACUAUUUCCACCACUGUAACCUUCUGUAUCCGCGAGAUCCCACCUUGGAGCCGUCGUCGGUGCUCUGUCGGAGGGGGAAUCCACCAUGGAGGGCCUCUACAUCAACUCCAAGGCCUCUCCGAUGAGUUGUGAAUAGUUUACCAUAGACCUUCAAGUCCAUAGUUAUUAGCUAGAUGGCUUCUUCUCUCUCUUUGAAUCUCAAUACCAUCUUCUUCCUCUUCUUGGAGAUCUAUUCGAUGUAACUCUUUUUGCGGUGUGUUUGUCGAGAUCCAAUGAAUUGUGGGUUUAUGAUCAAGUUUAUCUAUGAGAAAUAUUUGAAUCUCCUCUGAAUUCUUUUAUGUGUGAUUGAGUUAUCUUUGCAAGUCUCUUCGAAUUAUCGGUUUGGUUUGGCCUACUAGAUUGAUCUUUCUUGCCAUCGGAGAAGUGCUUAGCUGUGGGUUCAAUCUUGCGGUAUCCUUACCCAGUGACAGAAAGGGUUGCAAGGCACAUAUUGUAUUGUUGCCAUCGAGGAUAAAAAGAUGGGGUUUAUAUCAUAUUGCAUGAGUUUAUCCCUCUACAUCAUGUCAUCUUGCUUAAUGCGUUAGUCUGUUCUUUGUGAACUUAAUACUCUAGAUGCAGGCAGGAGUCGGUCGAUGUGUGGAGUAAUAGUAGUAGAUGCAGGCAGGAGUCGGUCUACUUGUUAUGGACGUGAUGCCUAUAUACAUGAUCAUGCCUAGAUAAUCUCAUAAUUAUUCGCUUUUCUAUCAAUUGCUCGACAGUAAUUUGUUCACCCACCGUAAUACUUCUGUACAUCCUAUAUACGUGUGUUUGCACCUGAGGAAUACAACAUGUAAUUCCCACAACAUACAUGGUAUCAUAGUCAAGAAGUCUUGAGUUCAAGACCUGGCUGGCGCAAUUAAAAUUGCAGCCCACUUUCGGUCCACUUUUAGCCUGAGCGAGCCACACAUGAGGGGGAGUGUUGUCGUAUAAUGUGCUGCCUAGUCUUUUCCAUCAGAUCGGUUUUUUCGUUGCAUUGGCUAGAGCAUGCACUUCUACAUGGUAUUAGUUUCCGGGUUCUAACCCUAGUCUUCUGCCGCUACCGCUGCGCGCUUCCUCUGUGCCGCCGCCGCCUCCCGCACCGGCCGCCUCUCCUUCCUCUCCCUGCCGCGUGCGCUACUCCAGCCGCCCACCAGCCGCGAUCGCCUCGAUCACCCGCCCGCCAAACCCGCUCACCCGCUACUCCAGCCAGCCCCGCCCGCCCGCCAGCCCGAUCGCCCUCGCCCGAUCUUGCUCGCCUCGCCAGCCGCUUCCAGCACCCGAUCGCCCGCUCGCCUACAUCGCCUCGCCAGCCGCUGCCGCCACCCAAGCCGUCGAAGCCGCCACACCCGAGCCAUGUCGUCCGUCACGUCUUCUGCGCCCACCAACUCCAGUCCGUUCGCCGAUGCCAACCCUCCUAAUGUCAAUGACAUCCGCAACCCGAACAUCUAUGAGUGGGUGCCGGUUCGUCUCUCUCAGGCGUACUCCUCCUAACUACACGUGGAAGACUUACUUCUCCCUCGUGUUUCGGUAGUAUCAUCUCAUUGAUCACAUGGACGGCACCGUCGACUCCAGCCUCGUCCCCGAGUUCCAUGACUGGUCCACCAUCGACACCAUGAUCAUCCGGUGGUUCUUCCUCACCAUCUCGUCGGACCUCUUUUAUACAGUUGUGCAGGACGGUGAUGAUGCAUGCGCCGUGUGGACCAAGCUGAACGUGCUCUUCAUCAACAACCAACUCCAAUGUUGCCACUAGGACAAGUCCUCCGUCGACGAUUAUUGUCGCUACCUCAAGACUCUCGCUCAUGAGCUCCGUGACAUUGGCACGAAGGUUGAUGAUGACCUCCUCCUCAACACGCUCACCGCCGGGCUCAACAAGGACUUUGGCAACGCCGCGGCGAACCUCACCCUCAUCCCCAACCCGUCCUUCGCCAAGUUUGUAGCUUACCUCCGCUUGGAGGAGCAGUGGAUGAAGCAGGUGAAGAUGUGAGCCAUCCACAACGCCCUCGCCGCCGACACCACCCGUGGCAGGCCCCCGACGCCUCCUGCUGCCUCGGCGCCCCAGCAGUCGCCGUGCCACCAGGCGCCUUAUCCGGCCCUGCCGCCGCCGUACCCGGUGCCCCAGCAGUUGGGGAUCCUCCCACUGCUGUACGGCCGGCCUGCGCCUCCCGCCCCUCCCGCCGAACGGCGCCGCAGGGGACGGCUCGGUGGCCACCGCGGCGGUCAACAUCAGCAGCCACACCAGGCCGGCCAGCCUCAUCAGCAACAGCAGCAGCAGCUCCAGGUGCCGCCCCCAUGGGCUUCCGACUACAACCACAAGACCGGCGUCGUCCAUGCGUACACCAUGCCACUUCCAUGGGCUCCUGCACCAACGUUUCCCGUGCCACACCCAUCGGCGCACCAGGCGUACUACGUGGCUCCACAUCCCUAUGGAGGGUACCCACCGCCGCAGCAGAGCCUUGGCUACGGCAUUCCUGUGUCGCCGCCGUCACCCUCGCUAGCCCUGCCGCCGGCGCCUUGGGAUCCGGCGCUCCUCGCCGUGCUGCACACCGGUCCUACGCCAAACAACUACACUGGAGGCGGUGAUUGCUACGUGGACACCGGGGCCAUGGCUCACAUGUUUUCUCAUUCUGGUAAUCUUGCCUCGUUCACCCUCGUCACCACCGACCGCCGCAUCAUUGUCGGUGACGGUUCCACACUUCCCAUCACACACGUCGGGCACACUUCUUUUCCUUUUAAUUCCAUGCCUAUAUCUUUGUGUAACAUACUUUUGUCUCCUCAUCUUAUUAAGAAUCUUAUUUCUGUUCGUUGUUUAACUCGUGAAAAUCUUGUCACUGUUGAAUUUGACAAGCUUGGUUUUUGUGUUAAGGACGCUCAAGCCAGGAUGGUACUCCAUUGAUGUGACAGCCCCGACGAGCUCUAUCCGGUGCAUUCGCCUUCAUCCACCACCACUGCACCAGUUGCUCUCUCCGCUGGCGUCAAUCUCUGGCACGCUCGUUUGGAUCAUCCCAACCCCGUCACACUUCAUCAUAUUAUUAGGAGUUUCAGUUUCAGUUGUAAUAAGAUAGAGGAUUACACUUUUCAUGCCUGUCGUGUCGACAAACAUGUUUGCCACCCAUUAAAUAACUCCACCACCAUUGCUUCUUUUCCCUUUCAUUUGAUUCAUAGCGAUGUGUGGACCUCUCUGGUUCCUAGUAAUUCGGGGUUUUUAUAUUAUCUGGUUAUCCUUGAUGAUUAUUCUCAUUAUGUGUGGACUUUUCUUUUGCGACGAAAGUCAGAUGCACUCUCCACUUUGUCAGCUUUUUACUCCUAUGUUAGCGUGCAGUUUGUGCAUCCCAUCCUUACUCUUCAGACUGACAAUGAAAAAGAGUUCGACAAUCUUGCUUUCCGCACUUUUCUGUCGCACCAUGGCACAAUUUUUCAUCUCACAUGCCCGUACACUUCACAGCAGACCGGACAAGACGAACGCGUCCUUCACACUCUGAAUGCCUACAUUCACACGCUCCUGUUUCACGCUAACGGGCCGCCUCACUUCUGGAUGGACGCACUCGCUACUGCAUCCCUUCUUCUUAACCUUCGACCAUUACGCCCACGGUGGAACUAUGCACCUCACCGUCUUCUCUUUGGUACGCCCCCGUCUUAUGAUGGCUUGCGUAUUCUUGGGUGCCUUUGCUAUCCCAGCACUGCCGACACUCCUCCUGACAAACUUGCACCACAUUCUGUCGCUUGUAUCUUCAUCGACUAUCCCUCUAACUCCAAAGAAUAUCAGUGCUAUGAUCCCGUCUUCCACUGUGUGUUCACUUCCCGGCACGUUUACUUUGAUGAGCAUGUGUUUCCGUUUCAUCAGGUACCCCGGCUGUUCCUCCCGCCGCCGAUGAUGCAGGCUCUUCGACGCCUCUCCCAGGGCGCUCGCGUGCCAUCCUUAGCCUGCCCCUGGCUUUGAGGCACGCCCCCUGUGGCCCCGACGCUGGUGCCCCUGGCGCCCCCUCCCGCGAUCUUGGUGCCCACGGACACAACUCCUGUGGUUGUGGCCCCUCCAGCCCCCACGGCACCCGUGGAUCCUGCGGACCCAUUGGCGCCCAUGGCCACCUCAGCGCCUGCAGCCAUGGCGCCCCCGGCACCCUGAUACGUCUCCAACGCAUCUAUAACUUUUUGAUUGUUCCAUGCUAUUAUAUUACCUUUUUUAGAUGUUUAUGGGCUUUACUUUACACUUUUAUAUCAUUUUUGGGACUAACCUACUAACCGGAGGCCUAGCCCGUAUUGCUGUUUUUUUGCCUAUUUCAGUGUUUCGAAGAAAAGGAAUAUCAAACGGAGUCCAAACGGAAUGAAACCUUCGGGAGCGUGAUUUUUGGAACAAACGUCAUCCACGGGACUUGGAGUGCAAGUCAAGAAGCUCCUGAGGUGGCCACGAGGGUGGAGGGCGCGUCCCCCCUACUGGGUGCGCCCCCUAUCUCGUGGGCCCCUCGGACGUCCACCGACGUACUUAUUCCUCCUAUAUAUACCCAUGUACCCCGAAACCAUCAAGGGAGCCACCGAAAAACUAUUUCCACCACUGUAACCUUCUGUAUCCGCGAGAUCCCAUCUUGGAGCCGUCGUCGGUGCUCUGUCAGAGGGGGAAUCCACCAUGGAGGGCCUCUACAUCAACUCUAAGGCCUCUCCGAUGAGUUGUGAGUAGUUUACCAUAGACCUUCGGGUCCAUAGUUAUUAGCUAGAUGGCUUCUUCUCUCUCUUUGAAUCUCAAUACCAUGUUCUUCUUCCUCUUCUUGGAGAUCUAUUCGAUGUAACUCUUUUUGCGGUGUGUUUGUCGAGAUCCGAUGAAUUGUGGGUUUAUGAUCAAGUUUGUCUAUGAGAAAUAUUUGAAUCUCCUCUGAAUUCUUUUAUGUGUGAUUGAGUUAUCUUUGCAAGUCUCUUCGUAUUAUCGGUUUGGUUUGGCCUACUAGAUUGAUCUUUCUUGCCAUGGGAGAAGUGCUUAGCUUUGGGUUCAAUCUUGCGGUGUCCUUUCCCAGUGACAGCAGGGGCAGCAAGGCACGUAUUGUAUUGUUGCCAUCGAGGAUAAAAACAUGGGGUUUAUAUCAUAUUGCAUGAGUUUAUCCUCUACAUCAUGUCAUCUUUCUUAAUGUGUUAUUCUGUUCUUAUGAACUUAAUACUCUAGAUGCAUGCUGGAUAGCGGUCGAUGUGUGGAGUAAUAAUAGUAGAUGCAGGCAGGAGUCGGUCUACUUGUCACGAACGUGAUGCCUAUAUACAUGAUCAUGCCUAGAUAAUCUCAUAAUUAUUCACUUUUCUAUCAAUUUCUCGACAGUAAUUUGUUCACCCACCGUAAUACUUAUGCUAUCUUGAGAGAAGCCACUAGUGAAACCUAUGGCCCCCGGGUCUAUCAUUUAUCAUAUAAGCUUUCAAUCUACUUUUAUUUGCAUCUUUACUUUUCCAAUCUAUAUUAUACAAUACCAAAAACAUAUUUAUGUUAUCAUAUUAUCUCUAUCAGAUCUCACUUUUGCAAGUGGCCGUGAAGGGAUUGACAACCCCUUUAUCGCGUUGGUUGCGAGUUCUUUGUUUGUUUGUGUAGGUGCGUGGGACUUGUGAGGUGGCUCCUACUGGAUUGAUACCUUGGUUCUCAAAAACUGAGGGAAAUAAUUAUGCUACUAUGCUUCAUCACCCUUUCCUCUUCAAGGAAAACCAAUGCAAGCUCAAGACGUAGCACACCCUCGUCACCGGCCCUAGCUGCGACCGACUCUUCUGUGGCUGGUUCGAUCACCCACGCCCGUGCGGGCAUUUUUCGCUCGAACUCGCGCUAUGCCUCGGAUGACUACGUCCAUGCGACAUCCACCUCUACGCCAUCGUUGUUGUCGUCCUCCAUUCGAGCCGCUCUUCGUGACCCGCUCUGGAUGGUUGCAAUGCAAGAGGAGUUUGACGCCCUGUUGCGCAACUGGACGUGGUAGCUUGUUCCUCGUCCCUGGCACACCAACGAGAUUACCGGGAAGUGGGUCUUCAAACACAAGCUCCAUCCCGAUGGUACCCUUGAUCCCUAUAAAGAGCGCUGGGUUGUUCGCAGUUUCCGACAACGUGCUGGCAUCGACUUCACCGACACCUUUGCUCCGGUUGUCAAGCCCGACAUGAUACGCACGGUUCUCCACCUUGCGGUCUCCCGUGCUUGGCCGGUGCACCAGAUGGAUGUCUGCAAUGGCUUCCUCCAUGGUCACCUCGAGGAGCAGGUCUUCUACUAGCAGCCUACCGGGUUUGUUGAUCCAGCGCUUCCCGGCCACGUAUGCCUGCUUUCGUGGUCCUUGUAUGGACUCAAGAAGGCUUCACGUGCUUGGUACCAGAGCAUCGCGGCAUUUCUACACCAGCUUGGGUUCCGCUCCAUCCGCUCGGACACAUUGCCCUUCGUCUAUCACCAGGGCUCCGACACAGCCUACUUGCUGCUCGAUGUUGAUGACAUCAUCCUAACGGCAUGUAAGGCUGGUCUUCUCAAUCAGCUCACGGCUCGUCUUCGCGCCGAGUUCGCCAUCAAGGACUUGGGUCUUUUGCACUACUUCCUCGGUGUUGAGGUGGUGCGCCGUCCGGAUGGCUUCUUUCUUCAUUAUCAGAAGUACGCUCAUGAGCUCUUGGAGCGCGCUGGCAUGCUUAAAUGCAAGCCCACCGCUACGCAUGUUGAUACGAAGGCCAAGCUUUCUGCCACGGAUGGUUCUCCUGCGUCGAAUGCUGCUUUCUACCGGUCUAUCGUUGGUGCUCUCUAGUACCUCACUUUGACUCGACCAGAGAUCCAGUAUGCCGUGCAGCAGGUGUGUCUCCAUAUGCAUGCUCCUCGGAACCUUCACUGGGCCGCUGUCAAGAGGAUUCUCCGCUAUGUCUGUGGCACUAUGGAUCUUGGCAUCACGCUUCACGCCUCCGCCGACACCGCCCUCACCGCCUACUCCGAUGCAGACUGCACUACAAAAAAAAGACACAUCCGUGAAAUUUUGGGCCGAACGAAUUUUUUUCCUGUCAUACAUAUGACACUUCUAUGAUGAUAAUUGUGACAAAACCCGGUAUCAUCAUAGAUGUGGUGGGCUCCUACUUCUAUGACAAAAAAUCAUGACAUAAAAUGGGCUUUUCGUCUUGGGAGGGCCGGAGACGUAGCUGCAUGACAUUCUUUGGGCCGUCCAUGACGGAAAAAACCGUGGUAGAAUCGAGGGAGAGGAAAAUUUCGAGGAGUUCCCGGUUAUGGUGGGAGGUCGGGGGCCGAGCGAUGUGUGUUCUCUCGUACACGUACGCGCGUGUGUGCGAGGUGUUGGGCUCUAACUGAACCCGAGCGAUUGCACUGCCGGCUACGCGUUACUGAACCCGAGCGAUUGAUCGAUGCCUGUUAACUGAACCCAAUCGAGCAAUUCCUUUGCUACUGCUGCUAACUGAAGCCGAUCNNNNNNNNNNNNNNNNNNNNNNNNNNNNNNNNNNNNNNNNNNNNNNNNNNNNNNNNNNNNNNNNNNNNNNNNNNNNNNNNNNNNNNNNNNNNNNNNNNNNNNNNNNNNNNNNNNNNNNNNNNNNNNNNNNNNNNNNNNNNNNNNNNNNNNNNNNNNNNNNNNNNNNNNNNNNNNNNNNNNNNNNNNNNNNNNNNNNNNNNNNNNNNNNNNNNNNNNNNNNNNNNNNNNNNNNNNNNNNNNNNNNNNNNNNNNNNNNNNNNNNNNNNNNNNNNNNNNNNNNNNNNNNNNNNNNNNNNNNNNNNNNNNNNNNNNNNNNNNNNNNNNNNNNNNNNNNNNNNNNNNNNNNNNNNNNNNNNNNNNNNNNNNNNNNNNNNNNNNNNNNNNNNNNNNNNNNNNNNNNNNNNNNNNNNNNNNNNNNNNNNNNNNNNNNNNNNNNNNNNNNNNNNNNNNNNNNNNNNNNNNNNNNNNNNNNNNNNNNNNNNNNNNNNNNNNNNNNNNNNNNNNNNNNNNNNNNNNNNNNNNNNNNNNNNNNNNNNNNNNNNNNNNNNNNNNNNNNNNNNNNNNNNNNNNNNUUUGCGGUACGCCACAGCCCUCCCGAUCAACAGGACCCCCGUUUCGACAGUAGGAGGUUCGUUUCCUCCGUUUUGCAGUACGCCACACUUCUCCUGAUCAAUAGGACCCCUGUUUUGACCAUAGGAGGUCCGUUUCGUCCAUUUUGCGGUACGGCAGACCCCUCCCGAUGAACAGGAUCCCGUUUCGAACGUGGCCGGUCGAACACAAUGUCAUUUCCUCUGUUCUGCGGUACACCAGACCUCGUUUCCAUUGACUGUUUUGUCCAAGCCCUCCCGAUGAACACGACUACACAUUCCAUUCCGACCCAGCCGGUUGGCUCCCCAUGAACACGACGACGACGUUGUUUCUCCGUUCCGACCCAGACAUGCACACGAGCCCUGGCCGUACGUAUGAGCGAGUAGGCGUUCGAGACCCCGCCCGUAUGUACACAUAUGUGGCUGUAUUUUUCUUUCUUGCACCCUGGCCGUUGUACAUACGUGUACAUGCUACGUGUGCACCUCUACUACGACACGUGCGUGCCUCUACAUCCACCAGUAUUUAUGUACACAUUCGCGACCAGAAUGACAAUGCUACGUACGCUUCGACCAGGUGGGUCCCAACUGUCAGGCACUUCCUUGCGUCCGAAGAUGUAGCUGGUGGGUCCCAGUAGUCAAGGGGCAAAUCGUUUUGUUUUUUUGCCCGGACGCACUUCCUUGCGUGCGAAGGUGUAGCUGGAGGGUCCCAGCAGUUAGGGGCAAAUCGUUUUUUUUGCUCGGACGCACUUCCUUGCGUGCGAAGGUGUAGCAGGUGGGUCCCACAGUCAGGGGGGAAACGUUUUUUCGUGAAAUACAGUGACCCGUCCGGUGGGUCCCCGCUGUCAGGUGGAGGAAUAAUUAUUUUGCGCGUAAUAAGGAGGCACUUCCUUGCGGCUGCCGUGGACCCAGCUGUCAGCCUCGCCACGUACAGUAUUCUUCCGAUGGAAGUUGGUCAUUGACCACAUUGACCACGCCGCGCUGAGAGCACCACAGCGGUGGACGAUGGCGAGGCCUAGGAAGGGACGACACGGAGCCGAGGAAGACGCAACAGUGCAUGUGUUGGGGAACGUAGCAUAAAUUCAAAAUUUUCUAUGCAUCACCAAGAUCAAUCUAUGGAGAUUCUAGCAACAAGAGAGAGGGGAGUGUAUCUUCAUACCCUUGAAGAUUGCGAUGCGGAAGCUUUGCAAGAACGUGGUCGGUGGAGUCGUUCACGAAGCGAUUCAGAUCGCGGCCGAAUCCGAUCUAAGCACCGAACAACGGUGCCUCCACGUUCAACACACGUGCAGCCCGGUGACGUCUCCCGUGCCUUGAUCCAUCAAGGAGAGAGGGAGAGGUUGGGGAAGACUCCGUCUAGCAGCAGCACAACGGUGUGGUGGUGAUGGAGGAGCGUGGCACUCCAACAGGGUUUCGCCAAGCACUGCGAAAGACGAAGAGGGAGAGGGGUAGGGUUGUGCCGGGAGAGAGGGAAACUCAUGUUCUUGGAAGCCCCAAAACCUCCACUAUAUAUAGGGGAGGGCGAUAGGGGGCCGGCCCCCGCCAGAUCCCAUCUAGAGGGGAGGGGCGGCGGCUAGGAGGGGAGGCUUGCCCCCCAAGCAAGGUGGAGGCGCCCCCCUCCCCUAGGGUUUUCAACCCUAGGCGCCUUGGGCCCUUGGGGAGGGGCGCACCAGCCCACUAGGGGCUGGUUCCCUCCCAUAUUCAGCCCAUCAAGUCCCACGGGGCAGGUGGCCCCACCCGGUGGACCUCCGGACACCUUUCGAUGGUCCCGGUACAAUACUGAAAACCCCCAAAACUAUUCCGGUGACUGAAACUGGACUUCCCAUAUAUAAAUAUUUACCUCCGGACAAUUCCGGAACUCCUUGUGACGUCUGAGAUCUCAUCCGGGACUCCGAACAACGUUCGGUAACCACAUACAAACUUCCUUUAUAACCCUAGCAUCAUCGAACCUUAAGUGUGUAGACCUUACGGGUUCGGGAAUCAUGCAGACAUGACCGAGACAGCUCUCUAGCCAUUAACCAACAACGGGAUCUGGAUACCCAUGUUGGCUCCCACAUAUUCCACGAUGAUCUCAUCGGAUGAACCACGAUGUCAUGGAUUCAAGCAAUCCCGUAUGCAAUUCCCUUUGUCAAUAGGUAUGUUACUUGCCCGAGAUUCGAUCGUCGGUAUCCCAAUACCUCGUUCAAUCUCGUUACCGGCAAGUCACUUUACUCGUUCCGUAAUGCAUGAUCCUGUGACUAACUAAUUAGUCACAUCGAGCUCAUUAUGAUGAUGCAUUACCGAGUGGGCCCAGAGAUACCUCUCUGUCAUACAGAGUGACAAAUCCCAGUCUCGAUUCGUGCCAACCCAACAGACACUUUCGGAGAUACCUGUAGUGCACCUUUAUAGUCACCCUGUUAAGUUGUGACGUUUGGUACACCUAAAGCACUCCUACGGUAUCCGGGACUUACACAAUCUCGUGGUCUAAGGAAAUGAUACUUGACAUUAGAAAAGCUCUUAGCAAACGAACUACGCGAUCUUGUGCUAUGCUUAGGAUUGGGUCUUGUCCAUCACAUCAUUCUCCUAAUGAUGUGAUCCCGUUAUCAAUGACAUCCAAUGUCCAUGGUCAAGAAACCAUAACCAUCUAUUGAUCAACGAGCUAGUCAACUAGAGGCUCGUUAGGGACAUGUUGUGGUCUAUGUAUUCACACAUGUAUUACGGUUUCCAGUUAAUACAAUUAUAGCAUGAACAAUAGACAAUUAUCAUGAACAAGGAAAUACAAUAAUAACCAUUUUAUUAUUGCCUCUAGGGCAUAUUUCCAACAGUCUCCCACUUGCACUAGAGUCAAUAAUCUAGUUCACAUCACUAUGUGAUUGUAAUGAAUUCAACACCCAUGGGGUUUGAUCACAUCUCGCUUGUGAGAGAGGUUAGUAGUCAAUGGGUGUGAAUCUUUCAGAUCCGUGUGUGCUUUACAAAUCUCUAUGUCAUCUCCUAGAUGCAGCUACCACGCGCUAUUUGGAACUACUCCAAAUAACUGCUCUACUAUACGAAUCUGGUCUACUACUCAGAGUCAUCUAGAUUAGUGUCAAAGUUUGCAUCGGGUAACCCUUUACGACGGACUCUUUUACCACCUCCAUAAUCGAGAAAAUUCCUUAGUCCACUAGUUACUAAGGUUAAGUUUGACCGCUGUCAUGUGAUCCAUUCCUGGAUCACUCUUGUACCCCCUGACUGACUCAUGGCAAGGCACACUUCAGGUGCAGUACUCAACAUAGCAUACUGUAGAGCCUAUGUGUCGGUGUCAAAACUGGCGGAUCUCGGGUAGGGGGUCCCGAACUGUGCGUCUAGGCGGAUGGUAACAGGAGACAAGGGACACAAUGUUUUUACCCAGGUUCGGGCCCUCUCGAUGGAUGUAAAACCCUACUCCUACUUGAUUAAUAUUGAUGAUAUGGGUAGUACAAGACUGGAUCUACCACGAGAUCAGAGAGGCUAAACCCUAGAAGCUAGCCUAUGGUAUGUCUGUUGUUCGUCCUACGGACUAAAACUCUCCAGUUUAUAUAGACACCGGAGAGGGCUAGGGUUACACAAAGUCGGUUACAAUGGGGAGGAGAUCUUCAUAUCGUAUCGCCAAGCUUCCCUUCCACGCCAACGAAAGUCCCAUCUGGACACGGGACGGAGUCUUCAAUCUUGUAUCUUCAUAGUCCGGGAGUCCGGCCGAAGGUCAUAGUCUGGCCAUCCGGACACCCCCUAAUCCAGGACUCCCUCAGUAGCCCCUGAACCAGGCUUCAAUGACGACGAGUCCGGCGCGCAAGUUGUCUUCGGCAUUGCAAGGCGGGUUCCUCCUCCGAAUACUUCAUAGAAGAUGUUGUACACCAGGAUAGUGUCCGGCUCUGCAAAAUAAGUUCCACAUCCCACCGUAGAGAGAAUAAUAUUUGCACCAAUCAGAUCUACUAACGUAUUACACAACGUGAUGUCACGGCCAGGCAUUUACUCGAAUAGUUUUACUGUUCCACCUCAGCGCGUUUAGCGAGGCGGUUUCCUUGGCACAUCUUGUCAAAGCAGAGAUCGUGUCCCCUUAUUCUAGGAUUCUCAUCAAUACGGGCGUGGGUAACCCAACCGUGCCUUUGGUAUGACUCCCUAAUUGAAAGCGAAUCUCAAACGGUUAUGGGGAGGGCUCUUGGUAUUCAACUCCUUUAUAAAGAGACCAAGGCUCGAUUCCCUCUUCUUUCAAUCCAAUCGAAUCCACCCCUUGCCUCGAGUUCCAACACUCAAAGCUUCUAGCUUUAGGCGCUUCGGACCUCCAACGAUGUCCGGCUCCAACCUUCAAGGCCGGUGGGUGCCUUCCUCCGUUACGGAAGAAGACGUGGGAAAGCUGAGAGAUGCCAGGUAUCUAACCGGCGAAAUCUCGCAUAGGCUGCCUGCUCAAGGGCAAGCCAUUCCUUCUCCUCGGCCCGGUGAGAGCAUGGUGUUCACAUCUCACUUCCUUCGGGGGUUAGGUUUCCCGAUUGAUCCCUUUGUGAGGGGGCUGAUGUUCUAUUACGGGCUAGAAUUUCACGACCUAGCUCCGGAGUCCAUCCUCCAAAUUUCAUCGUUUAUCGUAGUGUGCGAAGCCUUCCUCCAUAUCACCCCUCACUUCGGAUUGUGGCUUAAAACCUUCAAAGUAGAGCUGAAGAUGAUCGAGGGGCAGCACGCCGAGUGUGGAGGAGCUAUCAUAAGCAAGAUAGUCGGUGCUCCAUGGCCCGAGGGCACUUUCCAAGAAGAGUUCGGCUUAUGGCAAUGGGACUGGUUUUAUAUCACAGCCCCCAGGGGCACCACGUGGGUGGCGCCUCCUGCUUUUCGCUCGGGUCCCCCACCACGGCGAGCGUCAUGGGUCAACAAAGGGCUUAUCUGGGGGGCGCCCAAAGAUGUGCCCCUACUGCAGGACCGCAUUCAAGAUCUCCUAGAAAGAGAUAUUAACCUGGCCGUAGUGGUGCAAGUUAUGCUGAUUCGCCGCACGCUCCCCUGCAAAUGUCGCCCUCUCCGCCUGUGGGAAUUUAAUCCGGAGGGACCGUGAGUCCUUCAACAUUUUAUGGGCGCAACGCCCAUGGAGAUGUACAAAUUGUUCUUCGAACCACAAGCAGGGUGUCCGGACCUAUCCGAGGACGCAGGUCUGAGCUGCAAUCGCCAGGAUGUUAAGGUAAGUAGCCCCAUAUUUGGACACACCAUCCGUAUUUUCAUCAUAAAGUGGCCCUUUAACAGAGCUAUCCUGUGAACGGAGUGGAUAGCGAAGGCAAGGCUUAUCAGGUGUCCAGCCCCCCUACCCGAGACCACGCCGGAUCCCGUGUUAACCAGGAUGCUGCAGAGUAUGCUUUCGGCAGAGGGCGAAGAGGGGAACCAAGGAGCUACCGCCUCCACGAAGGAGACUGUCCAGGAGGGAGGAAUCAAUAAUUCCCCCAACCUGGGAAAGAAAAGGAGUGCCUCUGAAGACCCGGAGGAGAUGACCUCGAAACGGGGGAAGAAAUCUUUGUCAGAGGAUCCGGCACCGGAGACUGUCCCGGCCGCAUUGCGCCCUCAAAGGGAUCAGCUUUCCUCUAAGCCAUAAGUAAAGAGAUGGGCUCAAAAAUUAGUGGCAUCCCUAUUUUAUUUCUGAGGAAGAUAACCGAAAUAUUACCUUGCAGUUCGGAUGUCAACCCUUCUCAGCAGAGCUCGUCUUUAGGGGAUCUCCAUCCGGAGAUGAUAGAGAGCGAAACGCCUCCCCUAGCUGCACCGACUUACGAGGCAAGCGACCCCGAGGUGUUGUCCCGGCGGGUUUCUCCAAGUCCGGACCCUGAAAGAGGCCGUCGGGCUAGUCCGGUGCCCUUUGGUGCGCGGUCGGAGAGGCUGAGGAAUCUGCUCGGGCGUGCAUCCGUCUCAGAAGAACACCGUAUGUUGAUGAACACGGUGAUAGGAAGGAUUGCAUCCGCGGAAAGUGGAUUGUACGAGGCCGCCAGGAGUUUACUGACAGGCUUUGAGGUACGUAAAAAGGUGUACCUAUUGGUAGAGCCGCAUAGAAUGCGCCCUGUAUAAAUAGUAGCCCCUGAGACUCUGUGUGUCAUCAAGAGUGAUGGCGCACAGAGGAUCAAAACCCCAGGUAUAAAAUGUUACCUUUUUAUGAAGGUGGCGAGGUGUUCGGUGGCUAGCCGGACUAAUGGAUCUGCCGAGUUAAAGCGGCAAUCUGACAUGGCAGAUGCUGACAUCGCGCUUGUAAAUAAGCGGCUAGACGAGGCACAAGGUAUGCUCCACAGAUAUCUGAUAAGAGGAGUUGGAUGCUCGUUUCUUACAAUAUAUAUGCUUAUUGUAGAUAGUGUUGCUUCCGUGGAGAACCUUCGGGCGAAACUUGCCUGAGCCAAGGAGCAAGCAAGGAAAAGUGAUGCGGCUGCCGUUAAGGCCGCUGAAGAGCUGAAAGCCGAACAGGCUGCUCACUGCCAGAGUAAGAAGGCAAUAGCCGAGAUGGCUGUAAAAUUGAAAGAUGCUGCCGACCGCUGUAAAUUUCUCGAACAAGAAGAAAGGGCGGCUCAGAAGGACGAGAUGAGAGCUAUGAAGGAGGAGAUGCAUCAGGCCGGAGAUAUCACGGCUGGAAAGCCCUAUAUGCUGCGGAUGAAGUUCGGAGAUCCUAGGUAUGCUCCAUUAGACCGGCAGUGGAGUGCGGAAAACACUUAUCUGGAUGUGGCAGCGAGUGCGGCGGACGCAACCGAACACUUCCGAGGUCGAGGCGACCAUAAUUUGGAAGAAUUGUUUUGGUCGCAAUUCCACAAUCCAGAGCACCCACUUUCGGUACCCGACUGUUUGUCCGCCUUUGCGGAGCUAAACAGGUUAUCCGGACUCACCAUGAAGUAUGUCGCGAGUCGUUUGUGGCCGGGGGAGCCAGAGCCGAAAAGUUAUUUUGGAUUGGUGCAGCAGUUCCUUGGUUCUGUGCCGCAUGUCGAUGCAAUGAAGAGGUCGGCGUGUAUAGAGGGUGCACAAAUGGCUCUUGCCCGUGUCAAGACAUACUGGGCGGAUAUGCAGGCCAGUGUUGUAGCAUCCCAGGAUCCGGACGAAGGCCGGGUAUCUGCCAAGCACUACCUUGAUGAAGUUCUUCCGGGCGCUCGUUUAAUAGAAGCGUAGUGCUCGAAGGAUGUUUUUUUUCGAAUAGCAGGUGCUAUUGUAAAAGAAAUAUUUUGAUAGAAUAUAAAAGCUUUUUAUACUUGUGCUUGCAAGAAUUAUAACACCUCCUGUGUGGCCAUUAAUGUAUAUGUGUAUAUAACCUGAAAGAUGGCAGUCGUUGGCUUCAGCCCCCACGCAUAUAAUGCGGGGACGUUCGCAAAAAAUGCACCUUUUCACACUUAAUCCAACGUCUUGGUCCUACAAAGGAGGUGAUAGCGGGGCGAACAAGGCAACUGGACUAUAAUGCUUUAUCACUUUCACUUAGCCAUAGGAGUUUGACAUUGGGGCUACUCAAUAGCCCCUGGAGGCACCGCGCUCUCCCGAAUCCGGGGCGCGUGUGUGCUUGACCGGGAAGCGGUCCUUCGUUAAUGCAGAGGAAUCCUAGAGAUUCCAAGAGUCAUCGAGUGGUUGACCAGUCUCUCGCUAUAUCAUGACAGUCAGUUUUCGGCUUUCUCUACUGAGGUGCUCGCCUGGCCGAACCGGGGCACAAUCGCAGUAGUUCUCCUGGUGUCGCGUUAGCUGAUAUAAUGAAACGUAAGGUAGCAAAACGCAGGAGCCGGGCAAACCCAACAUUUGACCAAAGACAUGAUCCAGAGCUGAUGCAUAUAAGGCCUAACUCGCCACGCUGAACACUCCCUAAGGUAUUCGAUCUUUAUGAAGACGGGCCGAAACAGAGCCCUUGAUAAAAAAGCCCCUGGUGUCCAGGUACGCGCAAAAUUCUGGCGUGGCCAUAUGCCAAAAUGCCAGCCUCCUCCUCGGUUAUGGCGAAAACCGGGGGAUGUUUUCAACAAGAGACAGUAAAAAAGGUUUAUGCAGGGUCUUAAUCUGAAAAGAAUCCUUGGAACGGGUCCCUACUGCACGUCUGCGCCUGUGUAUCCGUUGUGUCGUAUCCUGGACGAGCGUAGCACGGUGUUCGUCUGCGAAAAAGAGGAACUUUAGUAAAUAAGCGUGCGAGAAAUCAAUAUUAAAACAAAACAUAGUUGGAGCAAGAAGUGAGCCGCAUUGUCUCCUGGCGUAGACACGCGGAGCCCCUUGUACAGGGUUAUGCGGCUAUUAAGUCCAUGUGUGUUGACACCGGACUCGUCUAACCGUAUCCGGAAUAGUAGGGCUAGAUUAGUGUUCGUCUAUCCAGGCGGCCGCACUAUUACCUGUACUCUGGGGGUCAAUUGUCAUUCCCCUAUGAUGAGAUGAUGCCUCGUGGGCCGGGCGUUUUAAGUGUAAGGGAUGCAUAAUGCGGUAUUGCGUUAAAGCGGGCGAAAGCUUCAUGUCCCAGUAGCGCUUGAUAGUGACUUACGAAUGGGGCGAUGUGGAAGGUUAGCUUUUCGCUUCGGAAGUUGUCGAGUGAGCCGAACGUGACCUCUAACGAAGGGGAACCCAUACUCUGGGUAUCUGGACCCGGCGUGGCUCCUUGAAAGGAAGUUUUGCCACAGCGGAUUAGCACUGGGUUUACCCCUAGUUUGUGGAUUGUGUCCUGAUAUAACAGGUUUAAGUCACUGCCGCCGUCCAUAAGGACUCGUGUAAAUUGUACUCCGUCAAUAACCGGAUUCAAGACCAAGGCAGUCUAGCCUGCGUUCCGGGCCCCUCUGGAGUAAUCCCGAUGAUCAAAAGUGAUUGGUUGUAACAACCAGUGGCAGUGCUCCUCUGGGGAUGGCUGUGUGGCGUGUGUCUUCAUAAGCGCCGUUCUGUUUUUCCCUUUUGUCAUGUGAAGUGAAUUUACUGUUUUGACUUCUUGUGGGAACUUCUUUUGUUCUCCGGUGUUCUGCUUGUGGGGUCCGUCAUCAUCCUCGCUUGGUGUGUCGAGCCCCUUGUGUUCGGCAUUGAGUUUGCCGGACUGCUUGAAAACCCAACAAUCUCUGUGGGUAUGGUUUGCAGGUCUCCCGGGGGUGCUGUGUAUUUGACAUAUUUUGUCCAAGAUUUUGUUUAGGUUGGAUAGCUCGUCCCUGUCAUCUUUGGGCAGCGGCUUUUUCUGAUGUUGCCGAGAGCUUUUGAAUCCGGCGUUGACUGUCGUGCUUGUUGGGCUGUUAUCCUUGAUUCGGCGCUGUUCUUUGUUACGAUGCGGUUGCCCGUUUCCAUCUCUGGGUUCGAAUGAACUCGGCUCGCUGGUGCUGCUUCUUGCCAACCAGCUAUCCUCUCCUACGCAAAAGCGGGUCAUGAGGCUUGUUAAUGCGGCCAUCGUUCUUGGCUUUUUUGGCUGAGGUGUCUGGUGAGCCAUUCAUCUCGGAUGCUAUGUUUGAAACCUGCUAGGGCCUCAGCGUCCGGACAGUCAACUUUCUGAUUCUUUUUAGUAAGGAAUCUGUUCCAGAGUUUCCGGGCUGACUCUCCGGGUUGCUGAGUUAUAUGACUCAAAUCAUCCGCAUCCGGAGGUCGGACAUAGGUCCCUUGAAAAUUUGCCCGGAAAGCCUCCUCGAGCGCUUCCCAACUUCCCAUGGUGUUUUCGGGAAGGCUUUUAAGCCAAUGUCGGGCUGGCCCUUUGAGCUUGAGGGGUAAGUAUUUGAUGGCAUGAAGGUCAUCUCCUCUGGCCAUGUGUAUGUGGAGGAUAUAAUCCUCUAUCCAGACUCCGGGGUCUGCUGUUCUGUCGUAUGCUUCUAUGUUCACGGGCUUGAAUCCAGCUGGAAAUUCGUGAUCCAGCACCUCAUCGGUAAAACACAACGGAUAUGCGGCGCCCCUGUAUGUAGGUGUGCCGCGAUGUUCGGAUAUUUUUUGCAUUGCAUUGCUCGUUGGAGCUUGCUUUCUUGGGCCAUAGAUGGAUCUGGUUGGGCCGGCUGUUUGAUGCGAAUCCUUAGGCGGAUCACUCGCCGUAUUAAGUGCGGCGCCCUUUGUUUCUUUAGAUCAAUCAUUGGGUCGUCUAUCUGACCUGAUGGCUUCCUUGUUUUUUGACUGUGGGGGCUUUAUGGCCUCUUCAUCAAAUUCCGGUAGUAAUUUCCGCUUCGGAUAGCUCUUUGUGUGACGACUGUUGCCGUACUUGUGUGCAGUAUUGAGUAAUUUGUUCCAUCUGAUCCUGAGUGCAUCUUCUUCUGUUUUGAGCCUCCACUUCUGCUUUUUUAGGUUACGUACAGUGGCGACGAGCCUUUGGUGGAGGUUCUGAUGUUCCAGCAAUUUGUCCGGCGUGAGAUUGUCCGGACGGUUAUCUUUACCGGGGAUGGGCUGUUCGGAUUGUCCGCCCUGUUUGGACGGUUGCUCGAUGGCGUGUUUGUCUUCCGUUGAUUCGCCCUGCUCUAUGGUUGUGUCUUUGUCAAGGUGGGGCUUUGCGUGGCGCUUACGUCGCCGCUUUGAUUGUUUUUCGAGGGAACGAUCCCUGUUUGCGCCCUUUUGAUCCUCGUUGUUAUCCCUUUUGGGUGUGUCCACCAUGUAUACAUCGUGUAAUGAGGUGGCUUUCCAGUGCCCUAUAGGUGCUAGUUCUUGGUUGUCUCCUUCAUCGGCGUCCAUACCAUCGAUGUCUUCGGAGUCGAAGUUGAGCAUGUCGGUUGUAUCGUCGACAGUGGCUACAAAUUGGGUGGUGGUGGGUUUCGAAUUUCUUCGUUGUCCGUAUCCCAACCCUGCUAACCAUAGUCCGGCCAGGGCUCUUCUGACAAAGAGAGAGACUUUAGGGAGUUCAGGAUAUCGCCAAAGGGCGAGUGCUGAAAGACGUCCGCGGCGGUGAACUCCAUGAUCGGAGCCCAAUCGGGUUCGAUCGGAACGGGUGCCGAAGAUUCGGAGUCCGGAAUAGAGUCCGGCACCUUGGAGUCACGGGCCUUGCAAAGGACUAGGCUGGUAUUCGGCUCUAUCGCCGUAGAGAUUGCGGCUCCGGGGGCGGCGGCCAACCGUUUGUCCCUGGUUAGCGCAGUCGGCUUUGAGCUAAUGGUCGGAGCGGACUCCUGAGCGGCACUCUGGGCGCUGUCCGGCAGCAGAGCUAGAUCAUGCCCAUCGAGACAGUGCGGCACGCUCGGCCGUGGCUCGAAUCCUUCGAAGAUCAAGUCCCCGCGAAUGUCGGCCGUGUAGUUUAAGCUUCCAAACCUGACCUGAUGGCUAGGGGCGUAGCUUUCGAUCUACUCCAGAUGGCCAAACGAGUUGGCCCGCAGUGCAAAGCUGCCGAAUACGAAGAUCUAUCCGGGGAGAAAAGUCUCGCCCUGGACUGCGUCGUGGUUGAUGAUCAAAGAAGCCAUCGGGCCUAAAGGCGACGACACAGAGGGACUCUCAAUGAAAGCACCAAUGUCGGUGUCAAAACCGGCGGAUCUCGGGUAGGGGGUCCCGAACUGUGCAUCUAGGCGGAUGGUAACAGGAGACAAGGGACACGAUGUUUUUACCCAGGUUCGGGCCCUCUCGAUGGAGGUAAAACCCUACUCCUGCUUGAUUAAUAUUGAUGAUAUGGGUAGUACAAGAGUGGAUCUACCACGAGAUCAGAGAGGCUAAACCCUAGAAGCUAGCCUAUGGUAUGACUGUUGUUCGUCCUACGGACUAAAACUCUCCAGUUUAUAUAGACACCGGAGAGGGCUAGGGUUACACAGAGUCGGUUACAAUGGGGAGGAGAUCUUCAUAUCGUAUUGCCAAGCUUGCCUUCCACGCCAAGGAAAGUCCCAUCCGGACACGGGACGGAGUCUUCAAUCUUGUAUCUUCAUAGUCCGGGAGUCCGGCCGAAGGUCAUAGUCCGGCCAUCCGGACACCCCCUAAUCCCAGACUCCCUCACUAUGUCUAAAGCGUAGGGGAUGACCUUCGUCCUUUCUCUCUAUUCUGCCAUGGUCAGGUCUUGAGUCUUACUCAGUACUCACACCUUAUAACACAGCCAAGAACUCCUUCUUUUCCGAUCUAUUUUGAACUCCUUCAAAAUCUUGCCACGGUAUGUGUUCGUUUGAAAGUACUAUCAAGCGAUCUUGAUCUAUCCUUAUAGAUCUUGAUGCUUAACGUUCAAGCAGCUUAAUCUAGGUUUUCCAUUGAAAAACACUUUUCAAAUAACCCUAUAUGCUUUCCAGAAACUCUACAUCAUUUCUGAUCAACAAUACGUCAACAACAUAUACUCAUCAGAAAUCCUAUAGUGCUCCCACUCACUUCUUUGGAAAUACAAGUUUCUCAUAAACUUUGUAUAAACCCAAAAUCUUUUAUCAUCUCAUCAAAGCGUAUAUUCCAACUCCGAGAUGCUUACUCUAGUCCUUAGAAGGAUUGCUGGAGCUUUGCAUACUUGUUAGCAUCUUUUAGGAUUGACAAAACCUUCUGGUUGUAUCACAUACAACCUUUCCUCAAGAAAAUCAUUAAGGAAACAAUGUUUUUUUACAUCCCAUCUGCAAUAUUUCAUAAAUAAUGCAGUAACUGCUAAUAUAAUUCCAACAGACUCUUAGCAUCGCUACAAAUGAGAAAGUCUCAUCGCAGUCAACUACUUGAACUUGUCGGAAAACAUCUUAACGACAAGUCGAUCCUUCUUAAUGGUGACACUUACCAUCAUUGUCUGUCUUCCUUUUAAAAUCCAUCUGUACCCAAUAGCCUUACGACCAUCAAGUAGUUCUUCCAAAGUCUACACCUUGGUUUCUAGACAUGGAUCCUCUCUCGGGCUUUAUGGCCUCUAGCCAUUUGUCAGAAUUCGGGCCCACCAUCGGUUCUCCAUAGCUCGUAGGUUCAUUGUUGUCUAGCAACAUGACCUCCAAGACAGGAUUACCGUACCACCCUGAAGCAGUAUGCGUCCUUGUCGUCCUACGAGGUUUGGUAGUGACUUGAUCCGAAGUUUCAUGAUCACUAUCAUCAGCUUCCACUUCAAUUGGUGUAGGUGCCACAGGAACAACUUCCUGUGCCCUGCUACACACUGGUUGAAGUGAUUAUGCAAUAACCUCAUCAAGUCUCCACCAUCCUCCCACUCAAUUCUUUCGAGAGAAACUUUUUCUCGAGAAAGGACCAAUUUCUAGAAACAAUCACUUUUCCUUCCGGAUCUGAAAUAGGAGGUAUACCCAACUAUUUUGGGUGACCUAUGAAGAUGCAUUUAUCCAUUAUGGGAUCGAGCUUACUAGGAUGAAACUUUUUCAUAUAAGCGUCGCAGCCCCAAACUUUCAAGAAACGACAGCUUAGGUUUCUCUAAACCAUAGUUCACAUGGUGUAAUCUCAACGGAAUUAUGUGGUGCCCUAUUAAACUGAAUGCGGUUGUCUCUAAUGCCUAAUCCAUAAACUGUUGGGGAACGUAGUAAUUUCAAAAAAAUUCCUACGCACACGCAAGAUCAUGGUGAUGCAUAGCAACGAGAGGGGAGAGUGUUGUCUACGUACCCUCGUAGACCGUAAGCGGAAGUGUUAUAUCAACGCGGUUGAUGUAGUCGUACGUCUUCACGAUCCAACCGAUCCAAGCACCGUUACUCCGGCACCUCUGAGUUCUUGGCACACGUUCAGCUCGAUGACGAUCCCCGGGCUCCGAUCCAGCAAAGCGUCGGGGAAGAGUUCCGUUAGCACGACGGCGUGGUGACGAUCUUGAUGUUCUACCGUCGCAGGGCUUCGCCUAAGCACCGCUACAAUAUGACCGAGGUGGAAUAUGGUGGAGGGGGGCACCGCACACGGCUAAGGAACGAUCACGAAGAUCAACUUGUGUGUCAUGGGGUGCCCCCCUGCCCCUGUAUAUAAAUGAGCAAGGGGGGAGGUGGCCGGCCCUAGGAGGGGGCGCGCCAAGUGUGGAGUCCUACUAGGACUCCCUAGUCCUAGUAGGAUUCCACCUCCCUUGUUGGAGUAGGAGAAAGGGAAAGAGGGGGAGAGGAAGAAGGAAAGGGGGGCUGCGCCCCUUGUCCAAUUCGGACCAGAGGGGGGGCGCAGGCCUCCUUCCUUUUGGCCUCUCUCCUCUAUUCCCGUAUGGCCCAAUAAGGCCCAUAUACUCCUCGGCGAAUUCCCGUAACUCUCCGGUACUCCGAAAAAUACCCGAAUCACUCGGAACCUUUCCGAACUCCGAAUAUAGUCAUCCAAUAUAUCGACCUUUACGUCUCGACCAUUUCGAGACUCCUCGUCAUGUCCCCGAUCUCAUCCGGGACUCCGAACUCCUUCGGUACAUCAAAACUCAUAAACUCAUAAUAUAAUUGUCAUCAAAACCUUAAGCGUGCGGACCCUACGGGUUCGAGAACUAUGUAGACAUGACCUAGAACUAUUCUUGGUCAAUAACCAAUAGCGGAACCUGGAUGCCCAUAUUGGCUCCUACAUAUUCUACGAAGAUCUUUAUCGGUCAAACCGCAUAACAACAUACUUUGUUCCCUUUGUCAUCGGCAUGUUACUUGCCCGAGAUUCGAUUGUCGGUAUCUAAUACCUAGUUAAAUCUUGUUACCGGCAAGUCUCUUUACUCGUUAUGUAAUCCAUCAUUCCGUAACUAACUCAUUAGCUACAUUGCUUGCAAGGUUUAUAGUGAUGUGCAUUACCGAGAGGGCCCAGAGAUACCUCUCCGACAAUCGGAGUGACAAAACCUAAUCUCGAAAUACGCCAACCCAACAUGUACCUUUAGAGACACCUGUAGUACUCCUUUAUAAUCACCCAGUUAUGUUGUGACGUUUGGUAGCACCCAAAGUGUUCCUCCGGUAAACGGGAGUUGCAUAAUCUCAUAGUUACAGGAACAUGUAUAAUUCAUGAAGAAAGCAAUAGCAAUAUACUAAACGAUCAAGUGCUAGGCUAACGGAAUGGGUCAUGUCAAUCACAUCAUUAUCCGAAUGAUAUGAUCCCAUUAAUCAAAUGACAACACAUGUCUAUGGUUAGGAAACAUAACCAUCUUUGAUUAAUGAGCCAGUCAAGUAGAGGCAUACUAGUGACCUAAGAUUUGUCUAUGUAUUCACACAUGUAUCAUGUUUCCGGUUAAUACAAUUCUAGCAUGAAUAAUAAACAUUUAUCAUGACAUAAGGAAAUAAAUAAUAGCUUUAUUAUUGCCUCUAGGGCAUAUUUCCUUCUGUCUCCCACUUGCACUAGAGUCAAUAAUCUAGUUCACAUCAUCAUGUGAUUCAACACCAAUAUUCACAUCUGUAUGUGAUUAACACCUAUAGUUCACAUCGUCAUGUGAUCAACACCCAAAGGGUUUACUAGAGUCAAUAAUCUAGUUCACAUCGUUAUGUGAUUUACACCCAAAGAGUACUAAGGUAUGAUCAUGUUUUGCUCGUGAGAGAAGUUUAGUCAACGGGUCUAUCACAUUCAGAGCCGUAUGUAUUUUACAAAUAUUCUAUGUCUACAAUGCUCUGCAUGGAGCUACUCUUGCUAAUUGCUCCCACUUUGAAUAUGUAUCCAGAUUGAGACUUAGAGUCAUCUGGAUCGGUGUAAAAGCUUGCACCGAUGUAACUUUUUAUGAAGGGCUCUUUUAUCACCUCCAUAAUCGAGAAGUAUUUCCUUAGUCCUCACUAAGGAUAUUCUUGACCGCUGUCCAGUGAUCUACUAUUAGAUCAAAAUUGUAUUCCUUUGCCAAACACAGAGCAAGGUAUACAAUAGGUCUGGUUCACAGCAUAGCAUACUUUAUAGAACCUAUGACUGAGGCAUAGGGAAUGACUUUUCAUUCUCUUUCUAUUUUCUGCCAUAGUCGGGUUUUGAGUCUUACUCAAUUUCACACCUUGCAACACAGGCAAGAACUCUUUCUUUGACUGUUCCAUUUUGCGCUACGUCAAAAAAAAAUUAUCAAGGUAUGAACUCAUUGAAAAACUUAUCAAGCGUCUUGAUCUAUCUAUAUAGAUCUUGAUGCUCAAUGUGUAAGCAGCUUCACCGAGGUCUUUCUUUGAAAAACUUCUUUCAAACACUCCUUUAUGCUUUCCAGAAAAUUCUACAUCAUUUCCAAUUAAUAAUAUGUCAUUCACAUAUACUUAUCAGAAAUGUUGUAGUGCUCCCACUCGCUUUCUUGUAAAUACAGGUCUUUCCAAAAGUCCGUAUAAAACCAUAUGCUUUGAUCAACUCAUCAAAGCGUAUAUUCCAACUCCGAGAUGCUUGCACCAGUCCAUUGAUGGAUUGCUGGAGCUUGCACACUUUGUUAGCAUCUUUAGGAUUGACAAAAACUUCCUGGUUGCAUCAUAUACAACUCUUCUUUAAUAAAUCCAUUAAGGAAUGCAGUUUUGACAUCCAUUUGCCAGAUUUCAUAAAAUGUGGCAAUUGCUAACAUGAUUCAGACAGACUUAAGCUUCGAUACGAGUGAGAAAAUCUCAUCAUAUUCAACACUUUGAACUUGUUAAAAAAACAUUUCACAACAAGUCGAGCUUACUAGAUAGUAACACUACUAUCAGUGUCCGUCUUCCUCUUGAAGAUCCAUUUACUUAACAUGGCUUGCUGAUCAUCGAGCAAGUCAAUCAAAGUCCAUACUUUGUUCUCAUACAUGGAUCAUAUCUCAGAUUUUAUGGUCUCAAGCCAUUUCGUGGAAUCUGGGCUCAUCAUCGCUUCCUCAUAGUUCGUAGGUUCAUCAUGGUCUAGUAACAUGACUUCUAGAACGGAAUUACCGUACCACUUUGGUGUGGAUCUUAUUCUGGAAGACCUACGAGGUUCGGUAGUAACUUGAUCUGAAGCUUCAUGAUCAUCAUCUUUAACUUCCUCACUAAUUGGUGUAGGCAUCACUAGAACUGAUUUCUGUGAUGAACUACUUUCCAAUUUGGGAGAAGGUACAAUUACCUUAUCAAGUUCUACUUUCCUCCCACUCACUUCUUUCGAGAGAAACUCCUUCUCUAGAAAGGAUCCAUCUUAGCAACGAAUCUUGCUUUCGGAUCUGUGAUAGAAGGUGUACCCAAUAGUUACCUUUGGGUAUUCUAUGAAGACGCACUUCUCCGAUUUGGGUUCGAGCUUAUCAGGUGAAAACUUUUUCACAUAAGCAUCGCAGCCCCAAACUUUAAGAAACGACAACUUUGGUUUCUCGCCAAACCACAGUUCAUAAGGCGUCGUCUCAACGGAUUUUGAUGGUGCCCCUUUUUAACGUGAAUGCAGCUGUCUUUAAUGCAUGACCCCAAAACGAUAGUGGUAAAUCGGUAAGAAACAUCAUAGAUUGUACAAUAUCCAAUAAAGUACGGUUAUGACGUUCGGACACACCAUUACGUUGUGGUGUUUCGGGUGGUGUGAGUUGCGAAACUAUUCCGCAUUGUUUCAAAUGUAGACCAAACUCGUAACUCAAAUAUUCUCCUCCACGAUCAGAUCGUAGAAAUUUUAUUUUCUUGUUGCGAUGAUUUUCAACUUCACUCUGAAAUUCUUUGAACUUUUCAAACGUUUCAGACUUAUGUUUCAUUAAGUAGAUAUACCCAUAUCUGCUCAAAUCAUCUGUGAAGGUCAGAAAAUAAUGAUACUUGCCGCGAGCCUCAACACUCAUCGGAUCGCAUACAUCAGUAUGUAUUAUUUCCAAUAAGUCAGUUGCUCACUCUAUUGUUCCGGAGAAUGGAGUCUUUAGUCAUCUUGCCCAUAAGGCAUGGUUCGCAAGCAUCAAGUGAUUCAUAAUCAAGUGAUUCCAAAAUCCCAUCAGCAUGGAGUUUCUUCAUGCGCUUUACACCAAUAUGACCUAAACUGCAGUGCCACAAAUAAGUUGCACUAUCAUUAUUAACUUUGCAUCUUUUGGUUUCAAUAUUAUGAAUAUGGGUAUCACUACGAUCGAGAUCCAAUGAACCAUUUUCAUUGGGUGUGUAACCAUAUGAGGUUUUAUUCAUGUAAACAGAACAACAAUUUAUUCUCUUACUUAAAUGAAUAACCGUAUUGCAAUAAACAUGAUCAAAUCAUAUUCAUGCUCAACGAAACACCAAAUAACACUUAUUUAGUUUCAACACUAAUCCCGAAAGUAUAGGGAGUGUGCGAUGAUGAUCAUAUCAAUCUUGGAACUACUUCCAACGCACAUCGUCACCUCGCCUUUUUACUAUUUUCUGUUUAUUCUGCAACUCCCGUUUUGAGUUACUACUCUUAGCAACUGAACCAGUAUCAAAAUGCCGAGGGGUUGCUAUAAACACUAGUAAAGUACACAUCAAUAACAUGUAUAUCCAAUAUACCUUUGUUCACUUUUGCCAUCCUUCUUAUCCGCCAAAUACUUGGGGCAGUUCCACUUCCAGUGACUAGUCCCUUUGCAGUAGAAGCACUUAGUCUCAAGCUUAGGACCAGACUUGGGCUUCUUCACUUGAGCAGCAACUUGCUUGCCAUUCUUCUUGAAAUUCCACUUCUUCCCUUUGCCCUUUUCUUGAAACUAGUGGUCUUGUCAACCAUCAACACUUGAUGCUUUUCUUGAUUUCUACCUUCAUCGAUUUCAGCAUCACGAAGAGCUUGGGAAUCGUUUUCGCCAUCCCUUGCAUACUAUAGUUCAUCACGAAGUUCUACUAACUUGGUGAUGGUGACUAGAGAAUUCUGUCAAUCACUAUCUUAUCUGGAAGAUUAACUCCCACUUGAUACAAGCGAUUGUAUUACCCAGACAAUCUGAGCACAUGCUCACUAGUUGAGCGAUUCUCCUCCAUCUUUUAGCUAUAGAACUUGUUGGAGACUUCAUAUCUCUCAACUCGGGUAUUUUCUUGAAAUAUUAACUUCAACUCCUGGAACAUCUCAUAUGGUCCAUGACGUUCAAAAUGUCUUUGAAGUCCCGAUUCUAAGCCGUUAAGCAUGGUGCACUAAACUAUCAAGUAGUCAUCAUAUUGAGCUAGCCAAACGUUCAUAACGUCUGCAUCUGCUCCUGCAAUAAGUCUGUCACCUAGCGAUGCAUCAAGAACAUAAUUCUUCUGUGCAGCAAUGAGGAUAAACCUCAGAUCACGAAUCCAAUCCGCAUCAUUGCUACUAACAUCUUUCAACAUAGUUUUCUCUAGGAACACAUAUAAAAAUAAACAUAUGAAAGCAACAACGCGAGUUAUUGAUCUACAACAUAAUUUGCAAAAUACUACCAGGACUAAGUUUAUGAUAAAUUAAAGUUCAAUUAAUCAUAUUACUUAAGAACUCCCACUUAGAAAGACAUCUCUCUAAUCUUCUAAGUGAUCACGUGAUCCAAAUCAACUAAACCAUAACCGAUCAUCACGUGAGAUGGAGUAGUUUUCAAUGGUGAACAUCACUAUGUUGAUCAUAUCUACUAUAUGAUUCACGCUCGACCUUUCGGUCUCCGUGUUCCGAGGCCAUAUCUGCAUAUGCUAGGCUCGUCAAGUUUAACCUGCGUAUUCUGCGUGUGCAAAACUGGCUUGCACCCGUUGUAGAUGGACGUAGAGCUUAUCACACCCGAUCAUCACGUGGUGUCUGGGCACGAUGAACUUUGGCAACGGUGCAUACUUAGGGAGAACACUUCUUGAUAAUUAGUGAGAGAUCAUCUUAAAAUGCUACCGUCAAUCAAAGCAAGAUAAGAUGCAUAAAGGAUAAACAUCACAUGCAAUCAAUAUAAGUGAUAUGAUAUGGCCAUCAUCAUCUUGUGCUUGUGAUCUCCAUCUCCAGAGCACCGUCAUGAUCACCAUCGUCACCGGCGCGACACCUUGAUCUCCAUCGUAGCAUCGUUGUCGUCUCGCCAACUAUUGCUUCUACGACUAUCGCUACCGCUUAGUGAUAAAGUAAUGCAAUUACAGGGCGUUUGCAUUUCAUACAAUAAAGCGACAACCAUAUGGCUCCUGCCAGUUGCCGAUAACUCGGUUACAAAACAUGAUCAUCUCAUACAAUAAAAUAUAGCAUCACGUCUUGACCAUAUCACAUCACAACAUGCCCUGCAAAAACAAGUUAGACGUCAUCUACUUUGUUGUUACAAAUUUUACGUGGCUGCUACGGGCUUAGCAAGAACCGUUCUUACCUACGCAUCAAAACCACAACGAUAGUUUGUCAAGUUGGUGUUGUUUUAACCUUCGCAAGGACCGGGCGUAGCCACACUCGGUUCAACUAAAGUUGGAGAAACUGACACCCGCCAGCCACCUGUGUGCAAAGCACGUCGGUAGAACCAGUCUCGCGUAAGCGUACGCGUAAUGUCGGUCCGAGCCGCUUCAUCCAACAAUACCGCCGAACCAAAGUAUGACAUGCUGGUAAGCAGUAUGACUUGUAUCGCCCACAACUCACUUGUGUUCUACUCGUGCAUCUAACAUCAACGCAUAAAACCUAGGCUCGGAUGCCACUGUUGGGGAACGUAGUAAUUUCAAAAAAAUUCCUACGCACACGCAAGAUCAUGGUGAUGCAUAGCAACGAGAGGGGAGAGUGUUGUCUACGUACCCUCGUAGACCGUAAGCGAAAGCGCUAUAUCAACGCGGUUGAUGUAGUCGUACGUCUUCACGAUCUGACCAAUCCAAGCACCGUUACUCCGGCACCUCCGAGUUCUUGGCACAUGUUCAGCUCGAUGACGAUCCCCGGGCUCCGAUCCAGCAAAGCGUCGGGGAGGAGUUCCGUCAGCAUGACGGCAUGGUGACGAUCUUGAUGUUCUACCGUCGCAGGGCUUCGCCUAAGCACCGCUACAAUAUGACCGAGGUGGAAUAUGGUGGAGGGGGGCACCGCACACGGCUAAGGAACGAUCACGAAGAUCAACUUGUGUGUCGUGGGGUCCCCCCUGCCCCCGUAUAUAAAGGAGCAAGGGGGGAGGUGGCCGGCCCUAGGAGGGGGCGCGCCAAGUGUGGAGUCCUACUAGGACUCCCUAGUCCUAGUAGGAUUCCACCUCCCUUGUUGGAGUAGGAGAAGGGGAAAGAGGGGGACAGGAAGAAGGAAAGGGGGGCUGCGCCCCUUGUCCAAUUCGGACCAGAGGGGGGGCACAGGCCUCCUUCCUUUUGGCCUCUCUCCUCUAUUCCCGUAUGGCCCAAUAAGGCCCAUAUACUCCCCGGCGAAUUCCCGUAACUCUCCGGUACUCCGAAAAAUACCCGAAUCACUCUGAACCUUUCCGAACUCCGAAUAUAGUCGUCCAAUAUAUCGAUCUUUAUGUCUCGACCAUUUCGAGACUCCUCGUCAUGUCCCCGAUCUCAUCCGGGACUCCGAAUUGCUUCGGUACAUCAAAACUCAUAAACUCAUAAUAUAACUGUCAUCGAAACCUUAAGUGUGCGGACCCUACGGGUUCGAGAACUAUGUAGACAUGACCUAGAACUAUUCUUGGUCAAUAACCAAUAGCGGAACCUGGAUGCUCAUAUUGGCUCCUACAUAUUCUACGAAGAUCUUUAUCGGUCAAACCGCAUAACAACAUACUUUGUUCCCUUUGUCAUCGGCAUGUCACUUGCCCGAGAUUCGAUCGUCGGUAUCUAAUACCUAGUUCAAUCUCGUUACCGGCAAGUCUCUUUACUCGUUAUGUAAUCCAUCAUUCCGUAACUAACUCAUUAGCUACAUUGCUUGCAAGGCUUAUAGUGAUGUGCAUUACCGAGAGGGCCCAGAGAUACCUCUCCGACAAUCGGAGUGACAAAACCUAAUCUCGAAAUACGACAACCCAACAUGUACCUUUGGAGACACCUGUGGUACUCCUUUAUAAUCACCCAGUUACGUUGUGACGUUUGGUAGCACCCAAAGUGUUCCUCCGGUAAACGGGAGUUGCAUAAUCUCAUAAUUACAGGAACAUGUAUAAGUCAUGAAGAAAGCAAUAGCAAUAUACUAAACGAUCAAGUGCUAGGCUAACAGAAUGGGUCAUGUCAAUCACAUCAUUCUCCUAAUGAUAUGAUCCCAUUAAUCAAAUGACAACACAUGUCUAUGGUUAGGAAACAUAACCAUCUUUGAUUAAUGAGCUAGUCAAGUAGAGGCAUACUAGUGACUAUAUGUUUGUCUAUGUAUUCACACAUGUAUCGUGUUUCCGGUUAAUACAAUUCUAGCAUGAAUAAUAAACAUUUAUCAUGAUAUAAGGAAAUAAAUAAUAACUUUAUUAUUGCCUCUAGGGCAUAUUUCCUUCAUAAACUAUAGUGGUAAUUCGAUAAGAGACAUCAUGGUAUGCCCCAUAUCCAAUAGGGUGCAUCUAUGAUGUUCGGACACACCAUCACACUAUGGUGUUCCAGGCGGUAUUAGUUAUGAAACAAUUUCCACAAUGUCUUAAUUGUGUACCAAACACGUAACUCAGAUAUUCAUCUCUAUGAUCAUAUCAUAGACAUUUUAUCCUCUUGUCACGACGAUCUUCAACUUCACUCUGAAAUUACAUGAACCUUUCAAUAAUUGAAACUUGUGUUUCAUUAAGUAAAUAUGCUCAGCAUCUACUCAAAUCAUCUAUGAAGUAAGAACAUAACGAUAUCCACUGCGUGCCUCGACACUCAUUUGACAGCACACAUCAAAAUGUAUUACUUCCGACAAGUUGCUCUCUUGUUCCAUCUUACUGAAAAAUAAGGCUUUUCAGUCAUCUUGCCCAUGUGGUAUGAUCUGCAUGUCUCAAGUGAUCUAGAAUCAAGUGAGUCCAAACGAUCCAUGUGCAUGGAGUUUCUUCAUGCGCACAUACCAAUAGACAUGGUUCGCAUGUCUCAAACUUUUCAAAAAUGAGUGAGUCCAAAGAUCCAUCAACAUGGAGCUUCUUCAUGCGUUUUAUACCAAUAUGACUCAAAUGGCAGUGCCACAAGCAGGUGGUACUAUCAUUACUAUCUUAUAUCUUUUGGCAUGAACAUGUGUAUUAGUACGAUCAAGAUUCAAUAAACCAUUCAUUUUAAGUGCGAGACCAUUAAAGGUAUUAUUCAAAUAAAUAGAGUAACCAUUAUUCUCCUUAAAUGAAUAACCGUAUUGCGAUAGACAUAAUCCAAUCAUGUCUAUGCUCAACGCAAACAUUUAGGUUUAACACCAAUCUUGAUGGUAGAGGGAGUAUGUGAUGCUUGAUCACAUCAACCUUGGAAACACUUCCAAAACAUAUCGUCAUCUCACCUUUAGCUAGUCUCCUUUUACUCCGUAGCUUUUAUUUCGAGUUACUAACACUUAGCAACCGAACCGGUAUCUAAUACCCUAGUGCUACUAGGAGUACCAGUAAAGUACACAUUAAUAUAAUGUAUAUCCAAUAUACUUAUGUCGACCUUGCCAGCCUUCUCGUCUACCAAGUAUCUAGGGUAGUUCUGCUUUAGUGACUGUUCCCUCAUUACAGAAGCACUUCAUCUCGGGUUUGGGUUCAACCUUGGGUUUCUUCACUAGAGCAGCAACUGUUUUGCCAUUUCAUGAAGUAUCCCUUAUUGCCCUUUCCCUCUUUGAAACUAGUGGUUUCACUACCCAUCAACAAUUGAUGCUCCUUCUUGAUUUCUACUUUCGGGGUGUCAAACAUCGCGAAUAGCUCAAGGAUCAUCAUAUCUAUCCUUGAUAUGUUAUAGUUCAUCACGAAGCUCUAGUAUCUUGGUGGCAAUGAAUUUGGAGAAACGUCACUAUCUCGUCUGGAAGAUUAACUCCCACUCGAUUCAAGUGAUUGUUAUACCAAGACAAUCUAAGUACAAGCUCAACGAUUGAGCUUUUCUCCCUUAGUUUGUAGGCUAAGAAACUCGUCGGAGGUCUUAUAUCUCUUGACGUGGGAACGAGCCUGAAAUCCCAAUUUCAGCCCUCGGAAUAUCUCAUAUGUUCCGUGACGUCUCAAAAACGUCUUCGGUGCCUCAAUUCUAAACCGUUAAACAUUAUUGAAGUAUCACGUAGUCAUCAAAACGUGUAUGUCAGAUGUUUGCAACAUCCACAGACGACGUUCGAGGUUCAGCACACCAAGCGGUGCAUUAAGGACAUAAGCCUUUUGCGCAGCAAUGAGGACAAUCCUCAGUUUACAGACCCAGUCCGCAUAGUUGCUACUAUUAACUUUCAACUAAAUUUUCUCUAGGAACAUAUCUAAAACAGUAGAACUAAAGCGCGAGCUAUGACAUAAUUUGCAAGACCUUUUGACUAUGUUUAGGAUAAUUAAGUUCAUCUAAUGAACUCCCACUCAGAUAGACAUCCCUCUAGUCAUCUAAGUGAUACAUGAUCCGAGUCAACUAGGCCGUGUCCGAUCAUCACGUGAGAUGGACUAGUCAUCAUCGGUGAACAUCUUCAUGUUGAUCGUAUCUACUAUACGACUCAUGUUCGACCUUUCGGUCUCUUGUGUUCCGAGGACAUGUCUGUACAUGCUAGGCUUGUCAAGUCAACCUAAGUGUUUUGCAUGUGUAAAUCUGGCUUACACCCGUUGUAUGUGAACGUUGGAAUCUAUCACACCCGAUCAUCACGUGGUGCUUCGAAGCAACGAUCUUUCGCAAUGGUGCACAGUUAGGGGGAACACUUUCUUGAAAUUAUUAUGAGGGAUCAUCUUAUUUACUACCGUCGUUCUAAGCAAAUAAGAUGCAUAAACAUGAUAAACAUCACAUGCAAUCAAAUAGUGACAUGAUAUGGCCAAUAUCAUUUUGCUCCUUUUGAUCUCCAUCUUCGGGGCUCGAUGAUCAUCAUCGUCACCGGCAUGACACCAUGAUCUCCAUCAUCAUGGUCUCCAUCAUCGUGUCUCCAUGAAGUUGUCUCGCCAACUAUUACUUCUACUACUAUGGCUAGCGGUUUAGCAAUGAAGUAAAGUAAUUGCAUGGCGUUAUUCAGUGACACGCAGGUCAUACAAUAAAUAAGGACAACUCCUGUAGCUCCUGCCGGUUGUCAUACUCAUUGACAUGCAAGUCGUGAUUCCUAUUACAAGAAUAUGAUCAAUUUCAUACAUCACAUAUAUUUCAUUCAUCACAUCCUUCUUGGCCAUAUCACAUCACAUGGCAUAUGCUGCAAAAACAAGUUAGAUGUCCUCUAAUUGUUUUUGCAAGUUUUUUACGUGGCUGCUAUAGGUUUCUAGCAAGAACGUUUCUUACCUACGCCAAAACCACAACGUGAUAUGCCAAUUGCUAUUUACCCAUCAUAAGGACCCUUUUCAUCGAAUCCGAUCUGACUAAAGUGGGAGAGACUGGCACCCGCUAGCCACCUUAUGCAACAAGUGCAUGUCAGUCGGUGGAACCUGUCUCACGUAAGUGUACGUGUAAGGUCGGUCCGGGCCGCUUCAUCCCACAUUACCGUCGAAACAAGAUAGGACUAGUAACGGUAAGCAUACUGAACAAAAUCAACACCCACAAUAACUUGUGUUCUACUCGUGCAUAGAAUCUACGCAAUAAACCUAGCUCAUGAUGCCACUGUUGGGGAACGUAGCAUAAAUUCAAAAUUUUCUACGCAUCACCAAAAUCAAUCUAUGGAGAUUCUAGCAACAAGAGAGAGGGGAGUGUAUCUUCAUACCAUUGAAGAUCACGAUGCGGAAGCGUUGCAAGAACGCGGUCGGUGGAGUCGUUCAUGAAGCGAUUCAGAUCGCGGCCGAAUCCGAUCUAAGCACCGAACAACAGUGCCUCCGCGUUCAACACACGUGCAGCUCGGUGACGUCUCCCAUGCCAUGAUCCAGCAAGGAGACAGGUAGAGGUUGGGGAAGACUCCAUCCAGCAGCAGCACAACGGAGUGGUGGUGAUGGAGGAGCAUGGCACUCCAGCAGGGCUUCGCCAAGCACCGCGAAAGACGAGGAGGGAGAGGGGUAGGGCUGCGCUAGGAGAGAGGGAAACUCAUGUUCUUGGCAGCCCCAAAACCUCCACUAUAUAUAGGGGAAGGGGAGGGGGGCCGGCCCCCUCCAGAUCCCAUCUAGAGGGGAGGGGCAGCGGCCAGGAGGGGAGGCUUGCCCCCCAAAAGCAAGGUGGAGGCGCCCCCCUCCCCUAGGGUUUUCAACCCUAGGCUCCUUGGGCCCUUGGGGAGGGGUGCACCAGCCCACUAGGGGCUGGUUCCCUCCCAUAUUCAGCCCAUCAAGUCCCCCGGGGCAGGUGGCCCCACACAGUGGACCUCCGGACACCUUUCGGUGGUCCCGGUAUAAUACCGACAACCCCCGAAACUAUUUCGGUGACUGAAACUGGACUUCCCAUAUAUAAAUCUUUACCUCCGGACCAUUCCGGAACUCCUCGUGACGUCUGGGAUCUCAUCCGGGACUCUGAACAACAUUCGGUAACCACAUACAAACUUCCUUUAUAACCCUAGCAUCAUCGAACCUUAAGUGUGUAGACCCUACGGGUUCGGGAAUCAUGCAGACAUGACCGAGAUAGCUCUCUGGCCAACAACCAACAGCGGGAUCUAGAUACCCAUGUUGGCUCCCACAUGUCCCACGAUGAUCUCAUCGGAUGAACCACGAUGUCAAGGAUUCAAGCAAUCCCGUAUGCAAUUCCCUUUGUCAAUCGGUAUGUUAUUUGCCCGAGAUUCAAUCGUCGGUAUCCCAAUACCUCGUUCAAUCUCGUUACCGGCAAGUCACUUUACUCGUUCCAUAAUGCAUGAUCCCAUGACUAACUAAUUAUUCACAUUGAGCUCAUUAUGAUGAUGCAUUACCGAGUGGGCCCAGAGAUACCUCUCCGUCAUAUGGAGUGACAAAUCCCAGUCUUGAUUCGUGCCAACCCAGCAGAAACUUUCGGAGAUACCUGUGGUGCACCUUUAUAGACACCCAGUUACGUUGUGACGUUUGGUACACCCAAAGCACUCCUACGGUAUCCGGGAGUUACACAAUCUCAUGGUCUAAGGAAAUGAUACUUGACAUUAGAAAAGCUCUUAGCAAACGAACUACACGAUCUUGUGCUAUGCUUAGGAUUGGGUCUGGUCCAUCACAUCAUUCUCCUAAUGAUGUGAUCCCGUUAUCAAUGACAUCCAAUGUCCAUGGUCAGGAAACCAUAACCAUCUAUUGAUCAAUGAGCUAGUCAACUAGAGUCUCACUAGGGACAUGUUGUGGUCUAUGUAUUCACACAUGUAUUACGGUUUCCAGUUAAUACAAUUGUAGCAUGAACAAUAGACAAUUAUCAUGAACAAGGAAAUACAAUAAUAACCAUUUUAUUAUUGCCUCCAGGGCAUAUUUCCAACAGGAUGCCCACGCGAAGAGGAGUACGAGGGUUCACUGGUUUGGCUGCGUGUGAGGCUGUCGUCGCCGCAGAAUAACAGGGGGUGUGGGUGAGUAGAGGGAUGGCCUGGCCAGCGGUGGGAGUAGUAGGGGGCAGUGAGGCCUUCGCGGCAUCACAGCCGGCCACGGGAGGCAGGAGCAUGCGACACGACCGGCGCUGCUUUGGGCGGCAGGAGCACGAAGACCAGAGGUUGAAGAAGCACUACGGCCAUUGGAUGGACAUUGUACGGUCACUCGAGCUAGAAUCGUUCAUAUUGACUAAGUUGACAAAGCCCUCCAUCCCUGUAAACUUAGUAGGCCCACAAGUCAUCCUCCCACCAAGGUGAGUCCCAGCUAGCAGGGGGAGUAUUCAUUCUUUUGUGCGUAAUAAGGAGGCAUUUCCGGUGGGUCCGAGCUGACAGCGGGGGGAACAUUUUUUUCACGAAUUACAGAGGCCCUUCCGGUGGGUCCCAGCUAUGAGGUGGAGGAAUCAUUAUUUUGCGUGUAAUAAGGAGGCAUUUCCCUGUGUGGGCCCCUACUGUCAGCCUCUUCCGAUGGCUGUUGUUUGUUGACCAUGUUAACCUCGCCGCGCUGAGAGCACAAACGCGAUGGACGAGGGCGAGGUCCAAGAAGAGAACCACCCGGAGCCGGCGAAGCCAUCGCAGCGGAUGCCCACGCUGAGGGGAGAACGAGCGCUGACUGGUCGGCGCGGGGUGAGGCUGACGUCGUCGGAAAAUAACAGGAUGUGUGGGUGGUUAGAGGGAUGGCCUGGCGGCAGCACAGCCAGCCACGGGAGGAGGGAGCAGGCAGUCCCGCCAGCGUGGGUUUGGGCUGCUGGAGCAGGAAGAUCAGAGAUUGAAGAAGCACGGCGGCCAUUGGAUGGACAUCCAACAGUCACUGCUGUGUGUUGACUAAGUUGACAAAGCCUUGCGUAUGCGUUAAAAAAAUUAGGACAGCGUCAUCAUGAACCUAGUAGGUCGAGAAGUUAGCCUCCAAAUCUGUGGAAAACAGCAUACAGCCCGUUAGCCAUUAUUUUCAAUAAUUUACAGCCCAUUUGCUAAUUCUUAAGGAUAUUUGAAGCCCAUAUUCUUUUUAUUAGCAUUACAGACCAUAUAUUCAGGCACUGCUAAAAAAAUCAACAAAAUUUUGCAUAUUUCGGUGGGGUCCGAACUCUUUUAAUCACGAAAUUUCGAGUGACGUUAAAAAUAAUUUUCAAAAAAUUAUAUCAAAAUAAAAUUCAAAAAAUAAUUCUCCGCAAAAAAAUGAAUGAAAUUUAGAAUCUUAACUAGCAAGAUGCCCGUUCGUUGCAAGGAACAUGAAGAUGCAUUUGUAUGAGUAGUUUAUCUUGUGGGAGAAAAGAUGAUAUUUUAAUGUAAUUACCAGUUGGCUUUGGUUUUUAUAAGAGUAGAGAGUAGAGAAAUCCUGAAAAAAUGAUAUUUUUAAUGGAAUUGCCGAUUGGCUUUGGUUUAAGAAUUUAUAGCCCAUUUCUUACAACUUAUAGCCCGUUUUCUGGGGAAGCCCAUUUCUUACUACUUACAUCCCUCCUCGUCUUGAAAGAUUUGCAGCCGAGCAGGGCUGAGAAAAGCAAGUAGGCCUCGGUUUUGGUAUUCUCCAAAAAAAGAACUGGGCUAGCCAAUUUCAGAAAGAAAAAAUAUAUCAACUGGGCUCGUCAUGUGCUUAAUAAAAGCGUAAGUGUGGGCUAGACGGGCCACAGCCCCCGCACAGCACGCAGUUGAGCUCCGUCUCUGAAACUGAAAAACAACUAGGCAAGCUGCUAGGUCCCUGGUGUUAUCCGCUCGUUGUGUAAUUUUCUCGUUUAUUGACUACAUUGACAACGGCGUGGAAUCUAGGUGUCAAACAAUUAGGAGGAAGUAUUUUUUUUUGGCUUGUAAUAAUGAGGCACCUGCUUACGAAAUGCAAUGACCCUACUGGGUCCCUACUGUCAGCCUCUCCACGGACAAUCAUCUCUUGAUUCCUCUUGGUUAUUGACCAUGUUGACAAUGCCAGAUGACGGCGGGCACGGCGAGCAAACCAAGGCGGAGAACAAUGGCAAGGUCUCGGACGGAAACGAACAGCAGCCAUGGAAGAUGCGGCAAUGUAGUGGCAGGUGGAGGGGAGUACGAGGGCAACAACAUGCAAGUCAAGCAUAGAAAUGGUACAAAAAGCCCAAGGAUUAAUUGUUCAUCAAAUUUUUAGACAAAACCCAGAUUGAACAUGACAGUAACAUCUAACCCAACCAUUCUUUUUUGCAGUCACAAACAAAUGGAUCGGUCUGAUCCAUAAAAUCAACAUCCUGUGCGAAAAAAUUUAUUUCAGGAUGUCUACAACUUAUUGUAAAUAGAAGCCGAGCACGUUUAGAAGCACAUUUGUCCACCUGAAACUUCUAUUUUUGCUGUUCAACAUGUUCGUCCGUGAGAAAUCUCUUGCUGUAAAAAUUAAGCCUCAUGGACAAUAGUAACCUCGCAUUCAACAGGAAGAAUGUGACAAAGCUUCUGUUUGCCUGGUUGGAUGCAUAUCGUCCCAUCAUUAUUGUCCUCAAACGAAUGUCAUGAGAACUGAGAAAAUCCUUGUGCUUAUUACACCAACUAUUGGUUAUAUGUUUUUCUCCAUGUGGUUCUGCCUAAGUAGACAUGAAGAUUGAAAACAGUUAAGGUCUAAAAAAAGAGUAUGUCGAAAGAACGAUAGAUGAAUAGUUAAUUCUAGUACAAUAUAUACGGGCUUUCAAUGUGCAUGAAAUCAUCACCUCUAUGUAUAAAUUCUCCAGAGAUCGAAAGCAUCGCAGCAAGCCAAUAAUUAUGUCCAGAUCAAAACUAUACAUUCUGAUAUAUAUGAUCUUGACAGAAUCCAGCAGCAUUGAUAGGCUAUCAAUGGACGAACUCUUCAUUGAGCAUAUAACAUAAUAUUAGUACCCAAAGUGUACACCAAGAUGAUAUAAAACUUAUGCGCACAAAUGAAAAAUGCAGCAUAUGAUUACAAAUGUGUAGAUGAUAAUAUACGGUACCUGAAAAAGUGAGGAGCCAAACACCAGCUUCUUGUGACUAUUAAACGGGUCACGAAUUACACCGAAGGUCUCCAGUUUGGGCGCAGAGACGACAGUUAUUUCUAAAGGUGUAUAACAAUUAUGAAGGAGCAACCUUUCAAGUGAAGGGGCAUCUUCGAUGAUGAGCUAUUGUCCUUUAAAACAAAUUCCAAUGCUUUUAAGGUGAGGUGACUUUAUUUGGAGACAACUGAUACCAAUUUCUAUUCCCAAAACAAUCAGCAAGCACUCCAGGGCAGGGCAACUGGAGUGGAUGAUGUUGUGCAGUGAGGCCUCCGACAGAUAAACCACCACAAGCGAAAGUUUUUUUAGCAGUGGGAGUCGAAGCAUUUGUACCAGAUCAUCUGGUAGAUGGCACCUGGCGAAGGUGGCGGUGUGGAGAGAGGAGGAAAACCACGAGAUGGACAACGGCGAUGUGGGCACGAAUUCUUGGUAUGUUUGUGGUAUGAAACUUUCAUGGUAAUGGUAGAACUCAAACUGCUGGAGUUUUCUGAAUUCAGGGGAUGUCAGCCAAGCGUCCACCUUGCCGGGUAUGGACAACAGGUAGCUUGUCAGGAUGCAGAGGCAUUGAACGGGGCCCUGCUGGUGAGAAGAGACGAUGGCUCUGAGGAGAUCAAAUUCAGGAAGGACAGAUAUUUGACGACAGUAGAGAUUGAGGGGCGCGAUGCGCCAUAGAGGGCACCACCGAGUUGAGAGGACUUGUGUGCGGCAGCAAUCCUUGGUGGGGAGAAGCGACAUGAUCUCCUCAACGAUGAUGCCCGGGAGAUCGCUGAUGCGGUCCACCGGAGAUUCUACCAGUUCCUCAUAUCCGGGUGGGGGGGGGGCUCGCCGCUUCUCCCCGCGCUACCGGGUGCGGGAUCUACAACUGGCGUCGCCGCUGGCGGGAGCCUCAUCUUCUUGACGUUGGGGCCAGCCGACUCCAUUUUACUUGUGGGUGUCGCGCCGAGCUCACGGGUUUGAGCAGAGUAGCCAGAGACGAGCCUAGUGGCAGUGCGAGUGGGGAAGAAGGAGGGCUGGGGAUUUCUGUAGGAGUGGAAGAACAGGAGCAGGCGUUUUCUGUACGAGUGAGGAAGAAGGUGAGCGGGGUUUUUUUGGACGAGUGAGGAAGAUUGGGGAGCGGGGGGAAUUGGGGGAGAUGGAAGGGGGAGACGGAAGCGGGAGAGCGAGUUGUUCGUGUUUAUAAGGCCCGCUGCACUAACUACUCACUUUUCCCAAGAACCGCUCUCUUCUUUUGCGUUGCUGCAUUGGAGCUGGCGCAUAAACUUGCCUGACUGGCCAUGCAUGCAGGAUGCAUGUGCCCGCCGGCCACUGCAUGCGCCUGGUUUUUUACUAGGCCUAUUUAAUAGGGUGGUUAUGGAGUAAAUUAAGGAGAUUUAUUUUCUCUGUGUGCAUCCACCAAAUUAGAGGAUGCGGUACUGGAUGCAGACACUCACAUUAAACUAACAUUGAGAAGAACCAAAGUUCAGCAUGUCUAUGCAUCUCAAUGAUUCACCAUACUAUAACCAAUACAAAGUUGUGAGAAGGUGUGGAAAUAAAGAAAAUCGAUCGAUGCUUCUCUAAGCAAAGGGCCUCCCUGCGCACGCAUUAAUUUCCUGGGCAUGCUUGUUUCUUAUCAAUGUUGCGAGCACUUUGAGCAUGUGGGCAACUCCACAGCUAGCUAGCUGCCUCAUCUUGCAAUUGAUGCUGACACAUUUGCAGCAAACACAUGAGGCAAUAGAGAUGACUCAACAUGGUUCCAUAUUGUGCAGUUCCCCUGAAAUCAUAUUCAUUGUCCUGAAUCUGAAAAGAUAGGAAAACAGUAGCUAUACUUAAACGGUGUUGCAAAACAGUAGCACAUAUCAAUAGCUCGGCAUGACAAAACACGAUCAUCUGGACGAAGGGGAUACUGACCUGCCUGAGGAAGAUUAUAUAUAAUUUCAUAAGUCCUUGGUUGAUUUCCACCUUCGGUUGAUUUCAUAAGUCAUUGUACCUAGUUACGAAUGUAGGAAUACCUGGAGCACCAUGAGGUUAGCUGACAGAAGGUAGAUGCAGCCAUAUAAAUUUUGUGCGGUGCUACCAAAAUUGAGGUUUUUAUCCCUUCCCGUUAUGAGAAUUCUUCUUGAAGUUGGUAGAAUGUGACGGCUUGUUCUUUGCAUCAAACUUGCCUUUCCCCUGAGAUUUGUUCUUCUUGUUUUGGGGCUGGUUGGGCUGGAAGUUCUUCUCGUGUACCAUGUGGGCACUAGAAGCUCCCUCAGCGACCCGAGAACGUGUGUCUUUUGCUCUCGCCUUCUCCUCAAAAUCAAGAGUGCUAAUGAGAUCCAAAACAGAAAACUCAUGUCUCUUGUUUUUCAGAGAAGUAGCAAAAUCGUUCCACGAAGGUGGAAGCUUGGAAAUGAUGGUCCUAGCAACAAAUUUGUCUGGCAACACACACUUAAAGUACUCAAGUUCCUUAGAGAGUGACUGUAUCUCAAGAGUCUGUGAUAACCCGCAAGUAUAGGGGAUAGUUGUAGCCUCUUUCGAUAAGUAAGAGUGUUGAACCCAACGAGGAGCUAAAGUUAGAACAAAUACUCUCUCAAGUCCUAUCUGCCACUGAUACAACUCUACGCACGCUUGACGUUCGCUUUACCUAGAACAAGUAUGAAACUAGAAGUACUUUGUAGGUGUGAUAGGAUAGGUUUGCAAGAUAAUAAAGAGCAUGUAAAUAAAAAGUAGGGGCUUUUUAGAUAAAGAAGCAAUAAACUAAAUAUAGUGAGUGUGGAAAAGUGGUGGUAGGAGUUGUGAAAUUGUCCCUAAGCAAUUGACUACGCUACUAGACCGAUAGCAAGUUUUAUGUGGGAGAGGCAUAAGCUAACAUACUUUCUCUACUUGGAUCAUAUGCACUUAUGAUUGGAACUCUAGCAAGCGUCCACAACUACUAAAGAUUCAUUAAGGUAAAACCCAACCACAGAAUUAAAGCAUCAAGUCCCCUUUAUCCCAUACGCAACAAACCCUUACUCGGGUUUAUGCUUCUGUCACUCAAGCAACCCACUAUAAGCGAAUCAUGAACGUAUUGCAACACCCUACAGCGGGAAUCCCUCACGCUUUCGCGACACGGAGGGCACAAUAGGACAUCAACAUAACCAAAAGCAAAUUAAACCAAUCAUAGCAAUUCAUCAAUCACCGAUAGGACAACAAAAAUCUACUCAGACAUCAUAGGAUGGCAACACAUCAUUGGAUAAUAGUAUGAAGCAUAAAGCACCAUGUUCAAGUAGAGGGUACAGCGGGUUGCGGGAGAGUGGACCGCUGAAUAUAGAUGGGGGAAGGUGAUGCAGAUGAUGGUGAAGAUGGCGGUGGUGUUGGUGAAGAUCGCGGUGAUGAUGAUGGCCUCCGGCGGCGUUCCGGCGCCACCGGAAGCAAGGAGGAGAGAGCCCCACCUCUUCUUCUUCUUCCUUGACCUCCUCCCUAGAUGUGAGAAGGGUUUCCCCUCUAGUCCUUGGUUCCCAUGGCGUGGGAGGGGCGAGAGCCCCUCCGAGAUUGGAUCUAUCUCUCUGUUUCUGUGUUCUGGGAUUCUGCCCUGGCACCAUUUCCUUUAUAUCUGGAGAUCCGUAACUCCGAUUGGAUUCAAACCUUCACCCAGAUCGUUUUCCAAAAUUUAGCUUUCUUGCGGCCAAAGAAGGGCAUCAACCGCCUUACGGGUGGCCCAUGAGGGUGGGGGCGCGCCCACUUUAAGUGGGCAGGGGCCCCUAUCUCGUGGCUACCUCGGGCAUCGUCUCGCGUUGAUUCUUCCUCCCAAAAAUCACAAAUAUUCCAAAAUAAUUCUCCGGCCAUUUUUAUCCCGUUUGGACUCCGUUUGAUAUGGGGAUUCUGCGGAACAUAAAACAUGCAACAGAUAAGAACUGGCACUGGGUACUAGAUCAAUAUGUUAGUCCCAAAAAAUAGUAUAAAAAGUUGCCAAAAGAAUAUGAAAGUUGUAGAAUAUUGGCAUGGAACAAUCAAAAAUUAUAGAUAAGACGGAGACGUAUCAGCAUCCCCAAGCUUAAUUCCUGCUCAUCCUCGAGUAGGUAAAUGAUAAAAAAGAUAACUUUUGAUGUGGAAUGCUACCUAGCAUAAUCUUGAUCAUGUGUCUAAUCAUGGCAUGAAUAUUAAGAUACGAGUGAUUCAAAGCAAUAGUCUAUCAUUUGACAUAAAAAUAAUAAUACUUUAAGCAUACCAACCAAGCAAUUAUGUCUUAUCGAAAUAACAUAGCCAAAGAAAGCUCAUCCCUACAAAAUCAUAUAGUCUGGCUAUGCUCCAUCUUCACCACACAAAGCAUUCAAAUCAUGCACAACCCCGAUGACGAGCCGAGAAAUUGGUUCAUACUUUUUAACGCGCUUUAGCUUUUUCAACUCUCACGCAAUACAUGAGCGCAAGCCAUGGACAUAGCACUAUGGUGGUAUAUGGUGGUGGUUGUGAGGACAAAAAGGGAGAAGAUAGUCUCACAUCAACUAGGCGUAUCAACGGGCUAUGGGGAUGCCCAUCAAUAGAUAUCAAUGUGAGUGAGUAGGGAUUGCCAUGCCACGGUUGCACUAGAGCUAUAAAUAUACGAAAGCUCAACAAAAGAAACUAAGUGGGUGUUCAUCCAACUUGCUUGCUCACGAAGACCUAGGGCAUUUUGAGUAAGCCCAUCAUUGGAAUAUACAAGCCAAGUUCUAUAAUGAAAAAUUCCCACUAGUAUAUGAAAGUGAAAGCAUAGGAGACUCUCUCUAUGAGGAACAUGGUGCUACUCUGAAGCACAAGUGUGGUAAAAGGAUAGUAACAUUGCCCCUUCUCUCUUUUUCUCUCAUUGUUUUUCUUUUAUUUUUCAUUUUUUUUUCUUUCUUUUUGGUGGGCUUCUUUGGCCUCUUUGUUUUUUAUUUGGUCUUCUUUGGCCUCUUUUAUUUUUCAUAAAGUCCGGAGUCUCAUCCCGACUUGUGGGGGAAUCAUAGUCUCCAUCAUCCUUUCCUCACUGGGGCAAUGCUCUAAUAAUGAUGAUCAUUACACUUUUAUUUACUUACAACUCGAUUUCUCGAACAAAGGUAUGACUCUAUAUGAAUGCUUCCGACAGUGUACCGGGAUGUGCAAUGAUCUAGCAUAGCAAUGACAUCAAAAAAUGGACAAGCCAUGAAAACAUCAUGCUAGCUAUCUUACGAUCAUGCAAAGCAAUAUGACAAUAAUGGAAUGAGACAUAAUAACAGAACGGUGGAAACUUGCAUGGCAAUAUAUCUCGGAAUGGCUAUGGAAAUGCCAUAAUAGGUAGGUAUGGUGGCUGUUUUGAGGGAGGUAAAUAAUGGGUUCAUGAUACCGGCGAAAGUUGCGCGGCACAAUAGAGGCUAGGAAAGUGGAAGGGUGAGUGUGCGUAUAUCCAUGGACUUACAUUAGUCAUAAAGAACUCAUAUAUUUAUUGCAAAAGUCUAUUUAGCACUCGAAGCAAAGUACUACUACGCAUGCCCCUAGGGGGAUAGAUUGGUAGGAAAAGACCAUCGCUCGUCCCCGACUGCCACUCAUAAGGAAAGCAAUCAAAGAGCACCUCAUGCUCCAACUUCGUUACAUAACGGUUUACCAUACGUGAAUGCUAUGGGCCAUGCAAACCUCAACACAAGUAUUUCUCAAUUUCACAAUUACUCAACUAGCACGACUCUAAUAUCACCACCUUUAUAUCGCAAAACUAUUGCAAGGAAUCAAACAUAUCAUAUUCAGCGAUCUACAAGUUUAUGUAGGAUUUUAUGACUAACCAUGUGAAUGACCGAUUCCUGUCAUCUCUCUAAAUAGAUAUAAGUGAAGCAAGAGAGAUUAAUUCUUUCUAUAAAAGAUAUGCCCACGCUAUAACAAAUAUAAGUGAAGCAAAAGAGCAUUCUACAAAUGGCGGUUUUCUAUGUGAAGAGAAACAGGCAAUCUAGACUUCAAAUGAUAUAAGUGAAGCACGUGAAGCAUUCUAUAAAGCCAUACUCAAAAGAUUUAAGUGAAGUGCAAUGAGCAUUCUAUAAAUCAACCAAGGACUAUCUCAUACCAGCAUGGUGCACAAAAUAAAAAUGAAAACUAAAUGCAAAAGACGCUCCAAGACUUGCACAUAUCGCACGAACGAAACGAAUACGAAAACAUACUGAUACUUGUUGAAGAAAGAGGGGAUGCCUUCCGGGGCAUCCCCAAGCUUAGACGCUUGAAUCUCCUUGAAUAUUUACUUGGUGUUCCUCGGGCAUCCCCAAGCUUGAGCUCUUGCCUCUCUUCCUUUUCCUCAUAUCAAGACCUCCUCGUUUAGACACUUCAUCCACACAAAACUUCAACAGAAAACUCGCUAAGAUCCGUUAGUAUAAUAAAGCAAAUCACCACUCUAAGUACUGUUGAAAACCAGUUCAUAUUUUGUUUUUCCAUUGUGUCUACUGUAAUAUAACUUUUCCAUGGCUUAAUCCACUGAUAUAAAUUGAUAUAUUCAUCAAAACAAGCAAACUAUGCAUCAAAAGCAGAAUCUGUCAAAAACAGAACAGUCUGUAGCAAUCUGAACAUCCACCAUACUUCUGGUACCCAAACAAUUCUACCAAAAUUAGUAAAAAUAAAAAAGUUGUAUAGAAAGACAGUGCAAAUAUAAUCAGAACUAAUUGACGUUCCAUUUAAAAAUGUAAAAUUGCGCACUAUAGCCAAAGUUUCUGUCCUGCACCGUACAAACCAACAAGCAUUGUAAACAUCCUAAAGGCAAACCUUGGCACAUUAUUUUUAUAGUACAAUGGAAUUGUACAAGGGGAUAAUUAUUUUUGAUGAAAAGUUUCUGUAAUCAAGAUUCAUAAAGUUUCCAUGAGCAUGAACAAAGUUCAAGGAGCUCUCCCACUUCAACAAUGCUUGUCUUUCUUACUUUCACUUUCCUUUUUGAAAAGUUUUUAGGUUCCCCUCUUUAUUUUUUUUGUUUUUAAACUAUAUAAAAGCACUCAACAGAAAUAAAUGACUCUCUAAAACUUCCGGGUUGUCUCCCUGGCAGCGCUUUCUUUAAAGCCAUUAAGCUAGGCAUAUAGUGCUCAAGUAAUGAAUCCACCCGGAUCCCAAGGUAUAUCAAAGCCAAUUUUAAUUAACAAUGAUUUGUAAUUUAGUAGUGAGCACAAAGUAACAUAUAUCAUGCAACAACUAAGUCUAACUCUCUUCCUAUGCAUCGGCAUGUCAUAAAAGAACAAUUCAUGCACACAUAGUAAAGGACAAUGCAUAGUAUAAACAGUUUCUUGCAAUUUUAUCAUAUUGGAAACAUAGAGAGGUGGAGAUAUAGUUCCUCUCUCAUAAUAAUUGCAAGUAGGAGCAGCAAGCACAUGCAUAUCACAUUCAUCAAAAUCAUCAUGUGCAAUGGUAAAAGGCAACCCAUCAAUAUAAUCCUUAGUAAGCACAAACUUAUCUGAUAUAGUGUCGUAGGGAGAAUUCAAAAAGAUAAUAGGACUAUCAUGCAUGGGUGCAAUAGCAACAAUUUCAUGUUUAACAUAAGGAACUAUAGCAAGAUCAUCUCCAUAAGUAUAAUUCAUAUUGGCAUCAUGGCCACAAGCAUAGCAAGCAUCAUCAAAAAGGGAUAUUUCAAGAGAAUCAAUGGGAUCAUAGCAAUCAUCAUAGCAAUCAUCCUUCGGUAAGCACGAAGGGGAAUUAAACAAUGUAUGAGUUGAAGAGUUACUCUCAUUAGAAGGUGGGCACGGGUGAUCAAUCCGCUCUUCCUCCUUUUGUUCUUCGCUCUCCUCAUCAUCUUUUUCAUCCAAUGAGCUCACAGUUUCAUCAAUUUCUUCUUCCAUAGCUUCUUGCUAAAAAUUAGUCUCUUCUUGGACAGCGGAGACUUUCUCAAUAAAUGCAUUAAUAUAGUAAUUGUAUUCAUAAUUUUCAUAGCAAUAUCUAAGUAUAGCAAGAUUUUCAGGCCUAUAAACAUCAUCAUCAAAAGCUUCAUACUUUUCAAACAAAGAUUCAAUUUCAUAAGCAACCUUAAAAGCAACAAAUUCUUCUAUUUGUUCCACAUCAUAGUAAUCAUAGAUACCAUUAGCAUAAGAAGCUAAGGUUUCAUUAUCAUUAAACUUGCAUGAAAAGGGAAGGUGUGGAGCCUUCAUCCUAGAGCAACAAGUAAUAUCAUAUCUCAAGCAUAGAUCCCGGGCAUACCAACACAACAUAAUAAAUUGAUCCCAUAAUAGUUUCCCUUUUUGUGUCGAGCGAUAAUCCCUGAAGUAUUCACGUUGAUCCAACGUGUCUCCCAUUAUAAAGUUGAAUGGGGUUUUCUCAGGAUUAUCAAAGUAGUACAUAAUAUCUUGAACAUAAUGAGCAUCGGGGGUUUUUAGGAGUUACCCCAUCUCCAUGAGUGGCAAGUACACCUAAUUUUUUUGGUAUUUCGUGUUCCAUAUCCAUAACUAAAGAUAGAGAACAACUUAGAACAGCAAAUAAAAAUUACUUAGUGAUAAAGCAAACAAGCACACACGAGAAUAUUCACCCCACGCUAUGACUCCCCGGCAACGGCGCCAGAAAAAGGUCUUGACAACCCGCAAGUAUAUGGGAUAGUUGUAGCCUCUUUCGAUAAGUAAGAGUGUCGAACCCAACGAGGAUCUAAAGGUAGAACAAAUACUCUCUCAAGUCCUAUCUGCCACUGAUACGACUCUACACACGCUUGACGUUCGCUUUACCUACAACAAGUAUGAAACUAGAAGUACUUCGUAGGUGUGAUAGGAUAGGUUUGCAAGAUAAUAAAGAGCACGUAAAUAAAAAGUAGGGGCUGUUUAGAUAAAGAAGCAAUAAAGUAAAUAUAGCAAGUGUGGAAAAGUGGUGGUAGGAGUUGUGAAAUUGUCCCUAAGCAAUUGACUACGUUACUAGACCGGUAGCAAGUUUUAUGUGGGAGAGGCAUAAGCUAACAUACUUUCUCUACUUGGAUCAUAUGCACUUAUGAUUGGAACUCUAGCAAGCAUCCGCAACUACUAAAGAUUCAUUAAGGUAAAACCCGACCAUACCAUUAAAGCAUCAAGUCCCCUUUAUCCCAUACGCAACAAUCCCCUUACUCGGGUUUAUGCUUCUGUCACUCAAGCAACCCACUAUAAGCGAAUCAUGAACGUAUUGCAACACCCUACAGCGGGAAUCCCUCACGCUUGCGCGACACGGAGGGCACAAUAGGACAGCAACAUAACCACAAGCAAAUUAAACCAAUCAUAGCAAUUCAUCAAUCACGGAGGGCACAAUAGGACAACAAAAAUCUACUCAGACAUCAUAGGAUGGCAACACAUCAUUGGAUAAUAAUAUGAAGCAUAAAGCACCAUGUUCAAGUAGAGGGUACAGCGGGUUGCGGGAGAGUGGGCCGCUGAAUAUAGAUGGGGGAAGGUGAUGCAGAUGUUGGUGAAGAUGGCGGUGGUGUUGGUGAAGAUCGCGGUGAUGCUGAUGGCCUCUGGCGGUGUUCCGGCGCCACCGGAAGCAAGGGGGAGAGAGCCCCCCUUCUUCUUCUACUUCCUUGACCUCCUCCCUAGAUGGGAUAAGGGUUUCCCCUCUGGUCCUUGGCUCCCAUGGCGUGGGAGGGGCGAGAGCCCCUUCGAGAUUGGAUCUAUCUCUCUGUUUCUGCGUUCUGGGAUUCUGCCCUUGCACCAUUUCCUUUAUAUCUGGAGAUCCGUAACUCCGAUUGGAUUCAAACCUUCACCCAGAUUGUUUUCCAAAAUUUAGCUUUCUUGCGGCCAAAGAAGGGCAUCAACCACCUUACGGGUGGCCCACGAGGGUGGGGGCGCGCCCACUUUAAGUGGGUGUGGGCCCCUAUCUCGUGGCCACCUCGGGCAUCAUCUCGCAUUGAUUCUUCCUCCCAAAAAUCACCAAUAUUCCAAAAUAAUUCUCCGUCCGUUUUUAUCCUGUUUGGACUCCGUUUGAUAUGGGGAUUCUGUGAAACAUAAAACAUGCAAUAGACAGGAAAUGGCACUGGGCACUGGAUCAAUAUGUUAGUCCCAAAAAAUAGUAUAAAAAGUUGCCAAAAGAAUAUGAAAGUUGUAGAAUAUUGGCAUGGAACAAUCAAAAAUUAUUGAUACGACAGAGACGUAUCAGUCUACUGAACAACAGAGCGCUCAUCAGUCAUCUUGUAGUCACAGAAUUGCUCCAUGACAUACAACUCGUUGCCAGCGCCCGAGGGCCCAAACGUGGCCUCGAGCGCAGCCCACAUGUCUUUGCCACUGUCAAAUGACAUAUAUGAAUCCACAAUGGAAUCGUCAAGAACACUCAGCAGGGCGGCUUUGAAGAGGGUAUCCAUGCUCUGAAAAGCUUCCUGCUGUGUAGGAUUAAGAUCGCCCUCAGGCUUACCCUUAGUGGCGUCAUAGCAGUACAUGAUCUGAAACCAAUAUACUGCUCUUGUGCGUCACCUUUUAUAUUGCACCCCCUUAAAAGUAGGCGGCUUCAAAAGCGUAGCAAGACCACUCGAAGUAAAUUGCCUGUAAUCAGGUUUUUGGAUUGGAUUGUUGAAUAUAUGAGCAAUUGAGUAUGAGAUUUAAUCCGAAUCAGCAGUAAAUAGAUCAUGACAACAAUUGCAAACAUCAAAGUAAUGAUGCGGACUAAACCAGGAGGACAGAAUCACAUACUGUACAGCGGGAGCAGAACCGAUGUGGUUGAUGUUGUCACGCAUGUCAUUGAUGAAGAGGUUACCGAGGUCGGGGAAGAAGGUUGUCGUUGAGGAAGUCGUCGCUGGCAGCAGUAACAGGAGUGUCCUCCCCAAAAACCUGAUCGCCCCUCUCCCGUACAGGAUCACAAAAGGCGGGGUUCGGAGGACUGUUGUCCCUUCUCGCGGUGCACGCCGAAAGGAGGGCUGGAGAAGAAUUGCAUGGUGGCGCUAAGAUCUGGAAUGGUGCGAAACCAUAUGAUACAGCAGCGGCUAGGGUAGAGCAUGUCAGGUCGGUCGUGCGAGUAUAAUAGUAGGCCUUUGGCCCCCAAACCCCACGUCCAAGUCAAUAAUAGCUCAAAAAAAGUCAAUAAUAGCCCCACCAAGGUUUAUCUCAAAAAACGGAGUAAUUAAGGCGUCCGAUAGUCCCUUUAGUAUAAAUACUAUAUCAUUAAUAAUGGCCCCACCUUUUGUCUCACAAAGUAUGUUGGAGUACAACCGGCUACACAUUUACAAUCCGCUUCACUUCUCUCUCCUCUUCUCUCUCCUUCAACUAAGGCUAGCCAUAGUGGGAGUAACUUAGGUAGUAACUUAAGACAUCCCAAGACAAUUUUGCUUAGGUGGAAAGUAUUUAAUGAGGGAAAGAGGUGCUUGUGGUAACAUAAUAUGUUAGUGUAACAUAGUGCUUCCCGAGGAAAAAUGAGUCUAUGAGAUAAUAAAUGAAGCAAUCUAUGAUACUACUACUAUGUUACUACCUCCGUCCUGGUUUAUUGGUCCCCGUAAUAUUUUGUGCCAAACUUUGACCAUAGAUUCGUAUUUGAACAUAGUUUUGAGAGAUAUUAUUUUUGGUUACAUGCAUUAACAUCUUUUAGUUAAAUCUAAGGUCAAAGUUUUGCACAAAAUACUAAAGGGACUAAUAAACCAGGACGGAGGUAGUACUUUGCACUAUGGAGGUAAUAACUGACAGUAGUGUCAUAUGCAUGACACUAGUCUAAGUUACUCCCCACUGACCAGCCUAAGCACAAAUACUAUAUUUAAAUCCUUAUAGCCUACUUAUGUCAUCUAAUUGUAGUACUUGCUCUAAAGUUACUCUCCCCUGUGUAGUCUGAAAUGUCGGGCAUGCAGCGGGUGGUGCCCUCGAUCGGCGCGCCGCUUCAACGGCGGAAGCAGUGAGAGGUCGCGUCGCCCUGACUUGCCAUUAAUGUGGAGCGGCGGGCUCAGCUGGUGCCGGGCGGGAAGCGCGCGCGGGAGGGGGGAGGGGUUUUUGUUGGGCCAAGAAGGUGAGAAGCCAACUUGGGAUCGGUCCGGAUGGGGAAAUAUCAUGUGCUCCCAUACUCUGCAUAUGACACUAGUCUAUGUUACUACUCCCUCCUUUCCGGUUUAUAGAGAUGUUUAGAGUAACAUAGUAAUAUGUUACAGUAUAAGUUACUCCCCACUAUGACCAGCCUUGGCCUCUCAUAGUGCUCCACCAUGUAUAGCUGCUAAGCCUGCCACAUAGGCAUAAAAUAUGAUGUGGCACCAAUAAACUAAGCACCUAUGCAUUGAAGACUUGAGUUACUAAGCCAUUUAAUGCACUUAGCACCUCAUCUAAAGAGCAUAGUUAAUAGUAUAGCCAGUUGCUGGCUAUAAACCAGUGCCAUGUCAUCUACAGCCCAUCUUAUAGUCAACAUGUACAAUAGUAGAUCAAAAGAGUGUACUACUUUUUUAUUAUGUGGCCCACCUUUCAUUCUCACAAAGUGCCUAGGAGCACAUGCUAGAGCUGGCUCUUCACAAAGAGCCCGCUUACCCUUCUCUCUCCUCUUCUCUUUCCUCCAACUAAGCAGAAAUAUACUAGUUUAUUCCUUAUAGCACGCUGACUCAGCUCUAUUGUACUUGCUCUAAGCACAUCUAAGCACUUACUAGCACCCCCUUGACCAUGGACCUUGACGGUGUAUGUCACCUUGUGUCUCAUAAUUUUCCUCGUCAUUAUCUGAGUCCUAGAAGAUCUCACCCACAUCAUCAUUAUCAUGCAGCCGCCUUGAUAGACAACGUGCGCAGAAGGAAUAGAGGCGACUAGGGACGCACCACCACCACAUUAUGGGCACUCCGUAUGUGCUCGUGUGCAUGCAGCAUGUGUGUUUUUCCAUCGGUGCUAGCUCUAAGGCCGAGGUUGCGGUCGUCUUCGUCUCCGACUAGUAGUUGAGCACCGACGGCAAAGAGGUGCUGCAAGAGAUGUGUAGCACGACGAACCAGACGUUGCCGCGGAUGGCGCACCCCUCCAUGCAGCCGAGUGUGUGCGCAUGCAUGUGUUAUUCACGUGCAUUCUGCGGCCGAGCAUGUGUGCAUGCACGUCUUGUGUACGUGUGUUGUGUGCUCCAUGUUGUGCUCAUAUGUGCAUGAGUUGGAUCGGAUGGAGUUAGUGCAUUGGCUUGUGUACAUGCGUGGCUGCAUGCGUCCUGUACAUGUGUGGCUUGUUGCGUGGUUAUCAAUAAUUCAAUAUAAACUACUCCCUCCGUUCCUAAAUAUAAGUCUUUCUAGCCAUUUCAAAUGGACUACAACAUACGGAUGUAUGUAGACAUAUUUUAGAGUGUAGAUUCACUCAUUUUGUUUCGUAUGUAGUCCCUUAUUGAAAUCUCUAAAAAGACUUAUAUUUGGGAACAGAGGGAGUAUAAAACAUCUUCAACUUAGCAUCCUGAUGUACCGUUUCUAGUGGUUAGCGAAAAGUCCAUGUUCUUUUAUUUGUUUAUAGGUGGGCAGGCGGCAAAAUACAGGGGGAAACGGGCAAGGUUCCUUGCAGACGCUCCACCACGAGGUUCCUUGCUCCAUCUCGGUCGUCAGGAAUCUAUGCUCUUCAACUCUUUUCUUUUACGUGAGCUUUGUUCAUCCUUUUCCCAACACGCGAGACAUCUAGCAUCAAGGUGCACGUGUCAUGCAAGAAAAUGGAGAUAAUCAGAUAAGCAGUGCGUAAGUGAGUCGUGUAGGGGGAAAAGCGGGGAGAAACCCUUUUUCGUAAGUGAGUUGUGCACUUCAAUGGCACCUACGCUAUAUUUUUUCUCCUCGAUGGCACGUGAAUAGUGCACAUACUCAACGAUGGAGCACGGGAUGGUACCAAUGACAUGGUCAGCCCUUUUUUGGAGAGAGCAUGUACUACUAGUAAAUAACUUUGAUGUGUCCCGUCAACUCACAGAAUGACGAGAAGCUUGAUUAUGCCUUCUCCCUCACCAACGCGUGCGCGGUGGCUCGCACCAUGAGGAGAAACUUUUGCUUACAAGCGGUGGACGUGCAGCAGUUCAUUUGUUGUCAGAUUGCCAGAAGCACUACUGUAGAACCAUCGACUUCUGAAAGAGGCGAAGAGCCAAGCGCAAUGUCACCUGCUAACCUUAGGCUAGGCGUAGUGGGAGUAACAUAAGUAGGGGUACCUCCUUUUUUAUUCUAGAAACAACCACACGCGAAUAUCAAGGUGCCGGUUACGUAGAACAAAUUUCCUGGAGGCCGUGCUUAGCCCUCCUCUAUCUCUCUUCUCAGCCAGCCAGCGGACGCACGGAGCCCAUCGUCUGUUUGCUCACAUGCGGUCCCACAUGUCAGUGAAAAUGCAAGAGGACCCACUGAACCUGCACAUCUUUCACCUCGACGUGCUGGUGAUGAAAAACAAAUGCAAUAAAGAUCUUCGGUGGCCGCUUUUGGAGUUACUCAAGAGUAGUAAGAUUCUAUUUACAGUUUAACCAAAGAUGCACAUCUCGUGGCUUCAACUACCACUCUAUGUUCUUUCAUGACACGACCUGGAUGCUGGAUGUCCCACGUGUCAGCAAAAGGAGGAAGAACCCGACCAAAUCUUCGGUUGUGCUCUUGGAUUAGACUAGUUGUGCUAACUUAAAAAAUUUAUUGUGUACUCCCUUCGUUCCAAAAUACUUGACUUCCAUUUGUCCAAAAAUGGAUGUACCUAUAUACUAAAACAUGUCUUGAUACAUAUAUAUUUUGACAAAUAGAAGGCAUGUAUUGUGCAACGGAGGGAGUAGAAUGGAUGCAAGUCUUGGUAUUGGGAAGAAGAGUACAUCCAUAUAUUGAUAGAGCGCAAUUUAGUAGAUGUUCUAGCACUUUUAGCUAGCAUAGAGGCUAGAGAUGAGACUAGUGCACUUGUUGAUACUCUUACUAGAAUAGAGGCUAGACAUGAGACUAGAUGCGAGGAAGCAACGUCUACUUCUUUACACUCGAAGAAGAAAGAAGCACGCAAGAUUGAGCCUCCGCAGAUCAACAAUGAAUGCAUCGAGAAGGCACUAAUCCAACUUACAGGAGUAGUAAAAUGUAUUCUUGUGGUUCUUGUUUUCUUUGGUCUUGCUUGUCUAGUCAAAAUUAUCGUUGGAGUUCAUGCAAAACAGAGGUCCAUUUGGGGUCGUGCGUUGGAGUUGGCCUUACAAGUGGGACCGCAGUUGAGGAAACUGACUAUCGGCAAACCCCCACCUCGCCCGCCGCGCGAUGGCUGAAGUUAGAGAAACGACGAGGUUGAAGAGAUUGCUCUAGCACGGACUCCAAGAAAUAAUAUGGUGUCAGAUGGAUGUCGUGGUGGUGGCGUGUGCCGUACUCCUAGACGUGAAUGCUUGUUCUGGCCCAUGCGACCCUACUACUCCUACUACUUACUAUAUACUACUAGUAUCGAGGACUCAAGGUGCUGGUUAUGUACAGCGAACACAUAUUAACAUAUGUCUACAGUAAAAACACUCGCCCGACGCGCGAAGCAUGUGAAGCUAGUACAAAUAGUGUACUACUAUUGUUGAUUGGCCUCAUUCGAUAACAUGUUGCAAUGCACGUACAAUUAUAUAUUCGGAAAAUAUUUUUUUGCCUCGUCGCACCACUCACUCAGAGAAGCGACUCGAAAGCCAUUCAUAAAUUUAGUAAGUUUAUCACAGGCAUACCAUUUUAUUACAUACAGCAGGUCAUCAACCCACAUCAACAACGAGGAUACAUUAUAAAUACUAAAAUUUUCACCACACAACAAAUAACAAGCAAUGAAAUGAACUUCAACUCAACCAUUCCUCGGCGUUGGAAACGCUUGCUUUGAACCACAAGUGAUUCUCUGGGAAGGGCCAUCUAUUGUCGAUCUCGAGACCAACGUAGGACUGAUCAUCCAGGCUGAAGCGGCCUACUAUAUAAGUACCAGGGUAGGGAACCACCCGAAUGUCCGAGGUAUAGACAUAGUUGCUUCUCAUAAAUGGUACUAGUACCGUUAUGUCAACAGCAGUUGGAUCGCCUUUCACCAUCAUCGGAUAGUUUUGUCCAAGGAAGAGUGAGUUUUCUCCAAGACUAUCAAUUCUGUACCAGGGAGAAGGUGUUGGCACUAGCACACUAGUAUCCAUCCCAAAUACCAUGCAACGGGUGUUGGAAUAGGUCCGGAGAGUGCGACCAUGGGAGAUAACACGUGCUCCCUUAGUAGUAACAAACUCAGUGCACUGUAUACACACAAGAAGAGGUGAUCCAUCGGAAUUAGUUUCCAGGCGCCACUGAGUAUAUACGUUCUGCUCGUCCUCAUGCUCGUGAUCAUCACCAUCGUCAUCUCCCCCUUGGUUAUAAAAAUUUUCAAGUAUAGGUGGUGGAAUGUUCACAGGACCUUGGAGACACAAGAAGAAGGUUAAUUAGUAAAGGGAAACUUGCUAACACACAUGCAUGUGGAUGAAACAAUUAUAAUUACGGUGGAAGACAAACGUACCGAAAGUAUAAGGAUUCCAUGCAAAAACAGUGCCACGAGUGGUGCCAGCAAACACAAGGCCCUCGUAUUGAAUUGCAUCACAGCACACAUCCGUGUAUAGAAACUGAUUUUUGAGCAAUAUCCAUCCAGUCGAACCACGAAGGACGGCAACAAGCUUGUCAAAGAUAGCAACAACUUCACAGUUGUUGCAAUUCCAAGAGAGGUUGGGAACUCGACAAAUUGCUAUCUUCCGUAGAAAACAGUCACCAUGAUCGUAUUUGAACGUGCGUACAAUACCGGUGUGCUCAACCUCUGGGCAGUCUGCUGAGAUUUUUGGAAGUGCAACCCGGUCACGAGUGUACACAUUCACAAGUUCCCACUCUCAGUUGGACCCAAUCUAAACAACCCAAUCUCCAUUUGCGCCUGCCCAAGCCUUGCCCUCAAGCAAUGGCAUCUUAACAUCAUAUGUAUCAUUAUCAAGCGGCAUCAACUUGCACAAGGCCAGGCCUCCGUCGUCCCCGCGCCAGUAGUCAUUAGGGUCACGGCGAAGAAGAUAGGGGAGAUCAAACCACUCCUUGACUCUUGGGUUCCUUGUAAUGAUGUUAUUAGUUGAGUCGAGAAUGUGCUUGAACGAACCUGCCAUGCUAGCCGAGGUGAUGAUGUCGCACCGAUCAAUGAGUUCCUCCACCACGUCAUCUUUCAGAUCGGGGCAAGAAUAAUGGGGUCGUUUCCGGCCUGUUCCCUCCAUGGAGAAGAUGAUCGAACAACGGCACAAGAAAGGGUGAAGGGCUGAAGGAAAAUGGAGGAGGGAGAGGAAGAGCGUGCGAUAGCAGUUCCAAAUCGAGAGGGAAAGGCGAAGAGUCGGUGGACGGUUGCCAGUUUGCCACGGUUCACGAAGAGGCGCCCCGGCCUACACGUCCAUUUGGAAAUACUACUACUCGCCGUCGUCUCACUGAUAUGUCAGAACGGGACCACAAGUGAACGAAACAUGGUGCGUAAUUACUCGUGCAAAAUGCGAUCUGGCCGCGUUGGCCCGAGGUGCCGCAUUAGUUUUUUUUUUGAAAGUUUGCCGCAUUAGUUAUCAACCUUUUUUUAACAUGCAAUCUAAAUGGAUAGCUCCUGUGGUCAUCACACGUGAGUGGAUAUAGUGAUGGUUGAUUCGCCCGAGCAACUUAUUACUGUGGUAAUAUGGGAGUAGCAGUAGAUUCAAGGAACAGAGAAAUGAUGGUUGCUUCGUCCGAGCAACUUACUGUGGCGAAGGUGGGGCUCUGUGAUUUGAUUGCUCACUAGUCAUUACUACUGCGGUGCAACGAUCGGGGUGAAUCUUUCCCUCAAGUUGUGUUGUGCACUCAAUAUUGCUGCAUGGCAGGUGGAGCCGGAUGAAGGAUGUCCAACAUGUCGGCAAAACGAAGUUGAAUUGUUUCUGUCAUUGCUAUCAAUCCUUCAGGAUUUGUUUAUAUGUACGCAUAAUUUUGAUGAAAUUGUACUAUGAUGCUAUGAAGGUUUCAACUUUGGUUCCCGCAGGAAAAAAAGGUUUCAACUUAGGAUUCAUGUGUCUUGCCUCGAGAUUAUCUCGUUACAACAUUCCAUCAAAUACAAAUGAAACUACCAUGGCUAAUGCAUCUCAAUGGUUCGCAGAUCAGCGCCAAUAUUCACAUCACAACUAAAGACAAAGUUGUGAGAAGGUGUACAAAUAAAGAAAAAAAUAUAAUUGAUCGAUGUUGUUCGUAGGCAUGGCUCCAUUUCCUUGGCACAGUGUUCAUUGCUUGGCAGCUAGUUUCACCCAGCUCUGUAGCCAAAAAAGAGGAGUAUGAAGGACACCACAAUCCGAUCAUUUUGUGUAGCUCCACUAAAAUCGAGCGGACCAUCCCUAUUUGCAAAGAUAUCCAGUUAGUGUGAUUACAAUAAUAGUGGAACUAGAUGAUGAAACAUAACACACAUAAAUAGAAGCCGAUCACCUCUACGAUCUCUCUUUAGGACUAACUUCUUGUUGGAGAAUAUUAGGCACGGAGUUGGAUGAGGAGGAUAGCAAAACCAAUCUCCCUUUCCGUAGUCCCAUAGAAAUGUAAAAAUGUUGCCCGUGUGAAAUUUUGGCGGAACUGCACAAAACACUCUUCAGAAAAGUGAUUUGUGCAGUUCACCAAAAGGUCGCAAUAGCAACGAGGUGAAAAUGGAUAGCCCUGUUUGCAAAAGGAGGUCGAAAGGAAACAAUUACUGCCCAAUAACACGAGUUGAAGACACAUACGCUGACAAAAAAGAAGCAUGUUCCAUGUAAUAAGGGAAAUAUAGUACAUGGUGGUUUAUCAAAAAUGGUUUGAGGAGGAGAUUGCAAGAGGGAAAGUACACCAGCUGAGAUAUGAUUUAAGCAAACAACUAAAGAAGAUCCACAUGCAGCAACGUGGGAAAAUGGGCAGUGGAGCAAGGCCAGAGGAAGCUGUACCUGAGGGUCGUCAGGAUGUUACUAGGAGGGCGCCGGCGGUCGGGAUCUGCCCAUACUGCGGCAGCGAGCAAGAGGCGAAGGCCCUACCGCGUCGGAGCUUGGUCAGAGAGAACGGCGGGUACCGCAGAUCGGGACGUGCUGCCUCAACGCCGUCGAACAGAGAGACGAUGCACAUCCUCCCUUUCCACCGGUGGACAAGAUGCGGUAGGAUCACUGACCAACGCUGAGAGAGAGAGGCCACGGCGGCCUUGUGUGAGAUGCUGUGACGAGAGACAAACCCAUUUUUCCAUUUUCCCCACGGCAAUCGUUUUAUAUUCUGUACGUCCCAUUGAGGAAUAUAUAACUUUAUUUAAUGCUAACACGUCAAGUUGAACUUUGUUCCGUUUAGGCGUGGUACCCGACCCUCCUUCGAGUAAACAACCGCUACACACAUCAAAUUAUCAUGUGGGCUGCCUUUUCAUACAGAAACGAACUCCACCGUGUACCGGCGCGGGUGUGGCCGGGAACGAGAUGUGAGUACGUGCGUCCUGCGUGCACUUCUUCUUUGGGUGCAGGUACGUACGUGGGUGGGUGUGAGAGAGAUGGUUUGUGCGAAACAGAGGCAUUGUAUUGAUGAUAUCUCAAUUAGAAAAAUGGAACAUAUGCAAUGUGUGUGAAACGGAGUCAUGGACGUGAGAUAUCGAUAGAAUUGAAAACAUGGAUGAAGUGUGUGGCUGCGCGAUCGAUAAAGAGUGCCAUCGAAUUUGUGUUUGCCCACGUCAAAGAUACAGGGCGGCUGGCCUAUUGGAAUUUGAGAGGGCAGAGGUGCAGUUUUUCUCCGUGUCAUGGAUACCUACCUACAACGUUCGACUAUCGGUGUGUGGGGGGAGGGGGUAGAGACCGAUCGACUAGUAUAUGUGUGGGGAAGGAGAGAGACCUAGCUAUGUAUUGAGGGAGAUCGAUCGACAUCCAUGGAUAUGUGUAGCAGAGGAAUAAGGUUGGGAAAAAGACAAAGGUAGAGCAUCGUAGGGUUGGUGGUGGAGUGGCGUCUCACAAAUGGUGGGAGAGGCCUGCUAGACAAACGGAGGGUAUGAGUGCAAUAUCAAUAAGAGAGGGCAGGGGAUGUCCGUCUGUCUAUGCACGUGCAUGUGAGAGACGGGGCGGGAGGUAUUCAAGGAUGAUGAGGGGAGAAGAUAUGGUUGUGGUAAGCAUACGUAACUACAUAGUAAGAUCAACCAUCGUGUGUCCAAGAAAAGGAGAGACAUAACUAGUGAGGUAAGUGUAUCGGUGCUUGGUGAAAACAAAUUAUAUUCGACCUGGCUAUAUGUAGGGAGAUCAGUUCAUAUACACGUCUGCAUGUGUUAGAGGCAAAUAAGGUCCGGAGAGGCAGACAGGGGGAGAGGGUGUGGCUAGGAGGUGGUGCGAAAGGCCUACCAUGUCGAGGGGGGAGGAGUGUGCGAGUAUGUGAUCAAUGAAAAGAGGGGCGGGAAUGUGCACCUGCGUGGAAUCGUAUUGGACAUAGGGGGCAUGGACGGUGAGAAGAGAAGAGGGGAAGUAUAUAUGUGUUUGUUGUAGGCACACUUGGCUAGAGAGAUAUAUCGACCGGUGUGUGCCGGAAAGAAGGAGCCGGGGGCCUACACACACCGCUGGUGGACGACCUAAAGAGAAAUAAUGAACGUGCGUGAUGGAGGGGACGCUAAGGGUGUGUGAGAGGGGGGCGGGCAUGUGCAUGCACGAUAGAAAGUUAGCGCUAGCUAGCUACAAAUAGAAGAGGAUCGUGAAGGUGUAAAAGACGAACAAAGAUCAUAAUUCAUUAUAAAAAAGUGUAUACGGAUACUUGAAGAAGAUAUCAUAAUGUAGAACAUUGAUUAUAAUUCGGGCUAAUGUGUGGCUUUUGCAACUCAGGUCUAAAUACUUGUCAUAAUGUAGGGGGCGGGGCACUAUACUUUGUGUGAUAAACACAGUGUAUGUACGUAUGGAAUAUGGUUUAGAUUAUGAAUAUAUAGUUGGUACAUCAAAUGUAAUAUUAUUUGGAAUCAACAUCAAGUGUAUUCAAUAAUUAGAAUUCGAGUUCACGUAGUACACAUAGUUCAUAUCUAUCUCUAUAGUAAUCAUGUGGUGUGUUAUUAAGGUAAUACACGAAUGAUGGUUGAAGUUGGCAACAAUCAUGAUUGUAGAUUCUUAUUGAAAUAGAGAAACGAAUUCAAAUUUAGUUCGAAUUGCAGCGGUAGUAUAGACAUUUGGAAUGCACUAAAAUGUUGGUAUGAGUAGGUUACAUGCAUUAUACAACAAGCAAAAAAAAUUUAAUCGGACAUAACAUGGAUUCAUACUCCCUCCUUCCAUCUAUAUAGGGCGUAAUGAGAUUUUUAAGACCGCCUUUGACUAUUCACAAGAUUAAUAGUACAUGACAUGCACAAUGUGAGAAUUAUAUCAUUGAAAGAACCUUUCACGGACGAAUUUAAUGGUGUGCUUUGCGUAAGUUGCAUGCCAUAUAUCAUUGCUCUAAUAUUUGGUCAAAGUUAGCAUCGAAAAACACAUUAGGCCCUAUAUAGAUGGAAGGAGGGAGUAGCUUUGAAUAGCAUUUGUAUAGUAAAAUGGGGCAAGACUCUCUCUUUGUGUGGUGUGAAUAGUUUUAUUUUUUUCGUUUUCUUUUUGGUUGAGGGAAGUGCGAAUUGAUUUGGUACGUACAAGUACAAUAUUACUACACGUUAGGCUUGUCCCUAAAAUUCAACCCGUGUCUUGUUAUAUCCCGAAAAUUCAGAUAUCGUGCUCCCAAAACUAGAGCCUUCACAACCCGCGCCUUGCUAUCCCAAAAUUACAACGCGUGCGAAAACUCCCUCCAGCUGCCAAAUCCCGACACGCAAAAUCCCUCUUCUAACCCUGAGCCGAAAGGGCCGCUAGUUCAAAUCGGUGGGGGGUACUUUUGUAACACACCCUACAUUUUUGACAAGCGCGUCCCUAAGUCAUGCUUCACCCCCUCCCAUCGCCCCCUUUUCGCCAUUCGAAAUCCCAGGCCGCCAUAACCUCUCCGCUCCAGUCGCGAAACCCCACCCUCCUUUGUCCACCACAUCACCGUUGCCCAGCCGGAGCCUCUUCCCCGACGACGUCGUCCACCGCAACAGCUCGACAUCCCUCGUCCACCUCCCCGGAUGAGGAUCCGUCGUCCAUCUCGCCGUCCUGCCGGUUCAGCCGCCCCAUCCUACACCUCCAAGGAGCUGCUCCGACGAUCGCCUCGUCUAUCGUGGCUGCUCCAUCCCCACAGCGCCGCCUUAACCUGCUCCACCGGAACCGCAUCAUCCUCACCGACUCCUCGGACGAAGCCGAGGCCUACUCGACGCCACCAAAGAGGUUGUACACUCAUCGCAUCGCACCUUCUCCUUAACUCGACCUCCCGACGCCGAUGGUGCUCCAUCCCGCACCCCCAUGGAGCGGCUACCUUGAAGCCGGCGCCGCGGGCGACAUCUCCACGGCGGCUCUCCCUCAGUGCGAGGCCCCUUCGGCGGCGGCGUCCAUACCAGCCGUAUUUGCUGCUGCUGCUCCGGCUCUCGCUUGAUCGCUCGCUCGCCCAGCUGUUGUUCCCGCCCUCCCCCUCACUUGUGCUGCUGCUCUGCUCCGAUUUAGCCACACUUCAGUCGACUGAAUCAACUUUUGGGUCAAUCGAUUUUCAGGGGUUGGGGGGCUCGCCGGAAUUAAGGAAGAACCACCCGCAGCGGGGACGGGGGCUCGCCGGAGAGGUACCCUACUAUCUAUCUUAGGGUUCAAGGUGGGGGGCGGGGGGCCUAGAGAGCUGGCCGGGGCGGCGAGGCAGCGCCGGGGCUGGCGGUUCGGCCGGUGGUGGUUGGCAGCUCAGGGGGGUGUAGGUUGAAGAUGAACUGCAGGCCCUCCCUAAGCUACAUGUCAAGCGCCUCUCUGCUACCAUUGCGUUUAGUUUCGGCAGUAGCAUUCAGAUUCCACAGUAAAUUUCAAUUUCGACAGUUAACUUCAGAGUCAACAAUUUUUACCUCAUCUAUUAUAGUCAGGUGGUUUUUGGUGUUGUUAAUUUUACAUCCAUUUUACAUCAUCUAUUGGAGAUGCUAUUAGAACCCCACUUGAGAUUGACGAUGUCUGUCGUGUGCUGCUUCAGCCUUGAUGUCUUACGGCUCACCGGAGCUGCUCCAACGACAGAACGAUCCAUCACAAUAGAGCAGUGCCCUGGACACCGUCUACAGAUUACUCAGAUCUUCCUCCACACCUCCGAUAGCCACCUCUACCUCAACUGCUUCAGCGACCAACCCAAUGAUGCUGAGGUCGACACAGCUACGACAAAGAGGUUGUACACUUGUUGCAUCACUUAUUACUAUACAUUCACGUCGAUCCAUUAGGGCUAUUUUGGUUCAACGAAAAAACAUAGCAAUGGGGAAUUUUCCAAUGGCACUCUACUAUUCAAUUAUUCAUGCAUUUUGUUGAAAAGAAUGAAGCAAAACAUCCACAUGUACCUACUUUUCAAAAUCCUAUGCAUGAAAACAAGACCAAGUGCAUGAGUGCCAGAAUAACAUUCUAACUGUACACGCUUUCAUAUGGUUUCACUUUAUUUUGGCCAUGUUUCUUUGCAUUCCUCUGCUCUUCCAAUUCCUGUAAACCAAACACCCAAGUUGACAGAAAUCAUGUGUUUACAAAUGCUCUGUUUACCAUGUGCAUUUUCCUAUCCUAUUCUGGUGUUUUUCCUAUCCCUCAUUUUAAGAAUCAUGCAAGCCAAAUGAGCCCUUAUAGAAUUACUUCAGUUACAGGUACGUGUCGAAGGGAACUUUGUGUGGUUUGUCCUGCUCCUGUCGCGACGUCGUCCACCUCACCUGAGCUGCUCCAUCGACAGAAGCAUCCGCCAAACUAGACAUCACGACUCCUGACCGUCUUUCACCACCAAAGAUCUCCUUCCCUACCGCCGGCACCCACCGCAACGGCAUCACCAUCAUCGGCUCAGUAGAUGAACCUGCGGGUCCACAAGAGAGGUCGCACUCUUUUAUUUCUGCUUAUGUUAUGCAUUGCUUAAGCUUACCUGCUACUUUAUCGUCAUGUUCAGCUCUUGGACUCCCAAGUCAGGUCCAAAUUAAUGUUCAAACUUGAGUUCUAAAUUAGUUGUGGGGCGCAUAUCGAGGCAUCAAUGAAUAGUAUGUUUGUCUAAUAUCUGGUUCACCUAGGGUAUGCCUAUGUUGUUCAUCUUGGGUGGGAAACAAAUAGUAAAGCAAUCAUCAUCUGUCUUUUUAUUAAUUUAAAGCAAUCAUCAGCCUGCUAUCAUUAUUUUUGGAUCCAUCCACUGGUUGUUACCAUCACUCUAAAUUUCUGCAUGCUCUCCUUACAUAAUCUCACCAUAUUUUUUUUCGUAUGCAUGUCAGAUAUUGUACACAGUCAUGCUAAACAUGUAGAGAAAAAGAGAAGAGUUUUGCGCGGCAAUACAAUGUCAUGCAGACAUCGCUCCAUGGUGGGUUCAAUGGAAAACCCUCCCCACCCCUCUCCAGAUUGUAAUCCAGAGGAAGAUAUCUAUUCUGAGGCGGAUUCACACGUCGUUGACCACUCCUAUUUACCCCCCCCCCAAGGUGUUUGCUCUACCUUGGCAUGAUGAUGUUAGUCAUAUCAUGCAUAUGUUGCCUUGCAAUGCCUACUUUUGACAUCAUAUAUGUCAUCUGCUUAGUUUAGACAUGUUCUGUAAUGCCACAUGUUUAGUUUAUAUAUCAUAUAUGGAAUUAUGCAGUCUCAUGUCUUUUAGCCAGCCAUAAUAUAUGUGAAAUGUGCAAUGCCAUCCUGUUUAACCAAGCAUCAUAUAUUUGAAUGAUAUCUUGCCCGUCCUUUUCUUCAUUACAUUUCCAUUUGUCGACAAUGUUUGUACAUUAAACUACUCUUCCUGUGAAUCAGCCAUUCGGGUGGGAGAUGGAAAAUUUUGGAGUGAAAACAAGGCCUUCACAGCAAACAGUGCUACCUGUCUAAGCAGAUCUCUUGUUGGGUCCCGAUAGCUCCUCAGAGAUGGAUUCAGAGACAGAUGACCAGUCCUAUUCCCCCACUGAGGUGUAUGCUCUAACUUGGCACGGUUAUACUGCUCAUAUCAUGCAUAUGGUGUCUUGCAUUGCAUAGUUUAGACAUCAUAUACACAAUAUUCAACACCAUGUUCUUACUUCAGACAUCAUACCGAAUGCCCUCUGUUUAGCAUAUAAAUCACAUAUGUGAAUUAAAUGAUGCGAUCCUGAUUACUUAGAUAACAUGUAGGUGAAUUAUGUCAUGCGAUCCUGUUUAGUUAUUCAUCAUAUCUUUGAAUUAUGUUAUGCUAUGCUAUCCAGUUUAGAUAGACAUCAUAUAUGUGAAAUUAUGUCAUACUAUCCGUUUUAGUUAAACAAUAUGCAUGUCAACUAUUUCAUGCCCUCUUUUUUCCACACUAUCUAUUGCAUCUGUCUCUCAUACAAUGUCUGUACAUUCAACUAUGUUUCCUGUUUAUCAACCAUUUGAAUUGGAGUGGGUGAUGCCAGUAUCUAGCGGACUAAAAACAUGUUCUUUAAAUAAAACAGUGCUACCUCUUGGUGGAGAUAGCACCCCGGUUGUACAUACACAAGAACCAGCCCUACCACACAUAACCCAAACUCUCACAGAUUGUACCCCUACUGCAAUGGACAGAGAACCAGCUUCACCCAAUCUAACCCCAACCCCAGCCGAUAGUAACUCAGUUCCUGUUGACACAGCGCCAUCUCCAUCACAGAGCUCCCAAACAAGAGCAGUUAGUAAGGCAGCUCUAGUGCCCAAAGGGCCAGUACUAUCACAGCGAACCCCAACUCCACCAGUUAGUACGCCUAUUCCUGUGGAGGAAGCACAACCAGCUAGUCGUAGUUUAGCAUCUAUCACAUUUGAUGUUGUUAAAUCGUAUAUGUGUAUCUUCCCAUCUUGGAAAUAUUAUACUGAAGAUGAAGGAAAAUGCCAGUUGCAGGUGUUUGUCCAGGAGUUAUGUGUAAGUAAUGUUAUUCAUGGCAAUUACUUUGCUUUGUCCCAUACAUCCUACCUCCAUGAUGGUUAUAAUAUAGCAAAUUUUCCCAUUUUUCUCUAUAAAGAAGGACUGAUUUGGAAACUCAAGAUGAGGUAACUUGUGCUAAUACCUCUGCUAUCUUCAAGAAUGCUUGAUGGCAGUAUCGGAAUUACCUGAAGAAAACGUACUUCACCAGCAAAUAAACUCAUCAAAUUCCCUUACAUUCUCCUGAGACACAUUUACUGGACGAUGACUGGGAACGCCUUGUUCUGUACUGGUCCCGAACCAAGAAUGUGGUAAGGUCUAUGAGCUCAUUUUCUAUUUUAAGUAUUAUAUUCUUGCGUCUUACUGUACUCUGUUCAUGUAGAACAAGUGCCUAAACCUGAAGAACAACUGUUCUAAUUUAAGAUUCCAUUGCUAUCAUAGUUCAAAAAAGCGUUAGGCGUUAAUUGUGUGUUUUGCCACCGUCUUGCGCUUUACUGGCCAAAGCGCAUGCUUAUGCGCAGUUAUGCACAGAUUAAGCAUAGUUAUGCGCAAUGCAUUUUGCCAACGCCUAGAGCCUAGGUGCGCUUAAGCGCUCACUUAGGCGCGCCUUUUUUAACUAUGAUUGUUUUUUUCUUGUAUCACUGUAUUUACUCAUAGAAACUUAUUUUUAAAUUGAAGGAUCCAAUCGAAACUCCAAUGGCACAGCAGGUAUGUUCACACAUGUUUCUUUAACAGGUUUGCUCUUAUCAAUAGCUCUGUUGAUUUCAAUUUCAAUUGUGUAUAUAGUUGACUUUCAUAUCAUGCACAUUACUAGCAUCACAACAGAGCCAAUAGUGUUGUUGUACAUGUAGACCUGUGGUACCCAUCUGAAAUCUUGUUGUGCCAUGUAGUUUCCCACGCUUUGUAUUCUUUCACUACUGCUUUGUCUUGAACUGAUAUGAUUUGAACCAUGUCUCUAUUUUGAUUUGGCAAAACAAUGCAGUGACCAUAGGACAUAGAUAUAUGUUUGUUUGAUGCUUUUAUUAUGUACUAGUACUUGGCAAUAGAAGACUUGGUAGUUUAAUCCUGUCCACCUUACUAAUGAACUGGUUCACCGAAAUGAGUUUCAUAUACUAGUACAUGCUAAACUUGUUAUGUGUAUGCUUGUUUCUUCUUUUAGAAUGCUCACAGAAUAUUGGGGAAGAGUGCCUUAUUAAGCAAUGGUAAAGGAAGUAAUGCAGAUAAGGUUCAGGAUAGUGACACAUCCUUGUUGGUCUCCAACAAAGCUGAUAAAACAGCUAAGGAAGACUAUCUUAAAGACAGCGAGACAACCCCAAAGUCAUGUCUUGGUUUAGUGUUCGAGCUACCGCUUGCACAAGCUAUUCAAACUCACUGUCUGAAUCAGUUGGGUUUCUUGAAUCUCAACUACGAGCUGAAAGACAUCGAUCAGCUGUGUUGCGACAAGAAGCGGAAGGACCGCGGAAGUCCCUGGAGCAUUCAGAUACAUACUUUCUGGUGCAAUAGCAAGCGUUGGAGGAUUUUAGCGCCAAACAGGACAAAGCUAAUAAGCUUGCUAAGCUUAUUGCCAGCAUGGUGGAUACCCAGGAUAACGUUUCUUGAGCUCUCCUAAAGUUGUUUCAGUUAUGCUCUUGUUUUCUGCCGUGUUUAUUUGCACUGGUGGCCAAUUUUGACGGCAAGUGUAUGUAAUAUGCUGCUUUGUUCCCUAUAUUUGCACUGGUGGCGAACUUUGAUGCCCAGUGGAUGUAAUAUGUGUAAUAGAGGUAAUAGGCUAGCGUUAAUUGCUUGCUUAUUUAUUUCCUUAUUGUCUUGUUUAGUUGUUUGCUUGUAGUCACUGCAGUUCUUUUUCUGUGUUUUUCUAGUGGCCACAAUAGCCUAUUUUUGGUAACUAGGCUAAAAUAAUCAUAGCAACACACGGACUGUCGUAACCAUGGGCCUCCUGCAGGCCAUAUGAUCCAUGGGCCUUCUUCCGGCCGUAGGAUCCAUUGGCCUUCUAUACGGGUAGUAGGAUCCAUUGGCCUUCUACGAGCCGUAGGGUCCAUUGGCCUUCUACGGGCCGUAGGGUCCAUGGGCCUUCUAAGGGCCGUAGGGUCCAUGGGCCUUCUACGGGUCGUACGAUCCAUGGGCCUUCUACGGGCCAUACUAUUCAUGGGCCUCAUACGGGCCGUAGGAUCCAUGGGCCUUCUAUGGGGUGUAUCAUCAUUUCACCAAUCAUGGGUCGUACUAUUCGUGGACCAUAACGGGCCAUUAAUAGGCCGUAUUUGAUAACUCUAUGAAAAUAGCCCAACGGGUUUUUUUACAUGAAAAUGGCCCAACGUAUUAACAGUCCGCAAACGGGCCGACUGUAACGACGGGUUGAAUUUGGCCCACAAGCAGAAAAUGACAGUAACGGGCCGUAUGUAACCGAAUGCUGCAAAUGAGCCCAAGAAUCAAUGGGCCCUCAAAAGGCCGAAAGAUAACUUGGGCUGGAAACGGCCCAAUGUAAUAACGGGCCGUUAAUGGGUAUAAACUGAUACACUGUUCAUUAUGGGCCAGUUUCACCACGGGCCAUUAAUGGGCCAAGAGUUACAAAGGGCCUCAUAUGGGCCAAAAGAAGUCAUGGGCCACACAUGGGUCGGAAGUUAAAACGGGCUGGAAUCAUAUUGGACGGCCCACAUGACGCUACUGGGCCUAAUUCGGAUAGGGCCUAACGGGCCCUGUGUUAGCGGGCUGUAAAUGGGCUAUAUGCGAACAUGCCAUUAACAGGCUUUCCGUGGGCCGGCCCGCCACCUUUUGACCAAGUCAAACGGGCCAGCCUUUUCACAGGAAUGGGCCUCUGUUGGGCCGUGCCACAUGUCGCCGUAUCAUAGGCGCCUUCUGUCCAAUGAGCGGAUGACAUCUGUCCCAACGGUGAGCCGACACGUGUUUCCUCCAGCCAAUGAUGAUUUUACGCGUGGAAAAUCCCCAUUGGUCGGGGCUGUUAACGGGUUAUCAGAUCCAAAACCCGACCCGAUAGCUUAACGGUGUUCCGUUACGAUGGAUGCCACGUGUCGGUCACCCUUGACGAAAGCACUUCUGUGACGCGCGAUUUAUCGUCAUGGAAGUGGACACUUCCGUGAUGAUAAUUUUGGUAAUGUCAUGGAACACUUCUACGACAGCACAGGUAUGACUAUCUUGAUUCUAUCAUAAAAUCGUCAUGGAUGUACAUGCAUGACAAAAAACGCGACCUACUAUGACAAACACGUAUCAUCACGGAAGUGUAUUUUUUUGUAGUGCUGGACGGGCUGCCCUGACACUCGUCGCUCCACCUCGGGCUAUUGUGUCUACCUUGGACCCUCACUCAUCGUGUGGUCGUCCAAGCGGUAGCCUAUGGUCUCUAGUUCCAGUGCUGAGGCUGAGUAUCAUGCGGUGGCCAACGUCGUCGCCGAGUGUUUGUGGCUUCGCCAGCUGCUUCAGGAGCUCUCUUCUCAUGUCGACCGUGCCACGGUGGUCUACUGCGACAACGUCUCGGCGGUCUACCUCUCCGCUAACCCGGUGCAUCAUCGACGGACCAAGCAUAUUGAGUUGGAUAUUCAUUUUGUUCAGGAACAGGUGAUCCUUGGCCAUAUUCGUGUUUUACACGUCCCUACUUCCGAACAAUUUGUAGAUAUCAUGACCAAGGGCUUGCAUACAACGUCAUUUGUGGAGUUCCGGUCCAGUCUUUGCGUCAGCAGUGGUGCCGCUUUGACUGCGGGGGGUGUUGAGUAUAUGUGGUGUGCAUAUUUGUGUAUUGGGCCCACCUCCUAGUUGCCUUGUAUAGUUGAGGUCGUGGCGUACUCCUAUACAUCAUAUAUCGUGUGUUUGCACCUGAGGAAUACAACACGUAAUUCCCACAACAUGCAGGAAUGAUACGAACGGUAUAGGAGAAGUUGAUGAUGUAGUAGAUGAAGAGGCUACUGAGCAUGAGGAUGCGCAGCUGCCACUCCUCCCACCAUUCCAUAGCACUUGAGAGACCCAUCCCAUAUCUGAGAUGAAUAUGAGGGCUGCUGGACAGCCCGGGCAUUUAAGGAGGCUUUGAGGGGUUUGGUUGGGUCAACCUUUUGCUACUUUUUGCCUGUCUCUCCUGUUCGGUCAGUGGUCCCCGUACCUGCCUGGUCAAUUUAAGAAGUCCGGCUAUAGAUGCUCUUACUACAAUUUGUCGAUAAUCUGGCAUGAGCGAACCUCCGCUCCCGAGUCGCUCCCGCGGGCGACUCUAGGAGCCAACCCUAGCGCCGCCGCUCCCCAGCCCCCCUCCCCGGCCUCCCUCCCCUCGCCGCCGCCGGUCGCGUCGCCGGCCAAGGCCGCACGGCGUAGGCGGCGGCGUGGCGUCUUCUUCCCGCGAACCGGAGGCUUGCGUCGUGGGGCGCAGCCUUCUGCGUCGUCGUCGGCGAUCGGUAAUCGUCCUCGGGCUCUGCUCCCUCCCUCCCCCGGCGUGCUGGCNNNNNNNNNNNNNNNNNNNNNNNNNNNNNNNNNNNNNNNNNNNNNNNNNNNNNNNNNNNNNNNNNNNNNNNNNNNNNNNNNNNNNNNNNNNNNNNNNNNNNNNNNNNNNNNNNNNNNNNNNNNNNNNNNNNNNNNNNNNNNNNNNNNNNNNNNNNNNNNNNNNNNNNNNNNNNNNNNNNNNNNNNNNNNNNNNNNNNNNNNNNNNNNNNNNNNNNNNNNNNNNNNNNNNNNNNNNNNNNNNNNNNNNNNNNNNNNNNNNNNNNNNNNNNNNNNNNNNNNNNNNNNNNNNNNNNNNNNNNNNNNNNNNNNNNNNNNNNNNNNNNNNNNNNNNNNNNNNNNNNNNNNNNNNNNNNNNNNNNNNNNNNNNNNNNNNNNNNNNNNNNNNNNNNNNNNNGCUGGCGGCGGAUCUGGGUGCCCCUGUCCAGAUCCGGGUGGUGGUGGUGGCAGUCGUGUGGGUGGCGGCGGCGACCUGGCUAAGGUGGUGGCAGGGCGGCCGGCGGUCAGGUUGCUCCUUGCAGGGUGGCGGGGCGCCGGGCGUCCAUGGCCGAGGGGUGGGCUGCGUCUCCGGCGGCGUGUCGCAGCCGCUGCAAAGUGGCUCGGGGCUGCUCCUCGAGGUCUCGGCGUGGAUGUGGGCUGCCGCGGCGUGGUGGUAGCUCCUGGUGGUGGUCUGGAUCAUUUCACGGCGGCGGCUGGUCUCCCCCGGCGUCGGCCGCCGGUGAGCGGCCCUUUUCGACCUUCGAUUCCUCCCCUCGUCGUCUGGGCUCUACCCUCGUCAUAGGGCUGGACCGCUCCCGGUUGCGGUCCAUUGCUCGUCUCGCGCCCGUGGCUGCGAGACCGAGCUCGUCUCGCGUCCGGCAGCAGGACCGAGCUCGUCUCGCGCCCGGCAGCAGGACCAACCUCGUCUCGCGCCCGGCAGCAGGACCGACCUCGUUUCGCGCCCGGCAGCAGGACCGAGCUUGUCUUGCACCCGGUGCAGCAGGACGGGUGAUGGAGGCCAUUUUUGGGCCAGCCCUUUGGGUCUCGGCGCCGGGGGCCGUCCAGGGGUGUGUAAAGGAGCGACCUUUCCACUCGUCUCUUUGGUUGGGGUAGCAACGGGUCUCGGGUGCGGUGGUGUCAAGGUCUUGGAUGCCGGGGCGGUGGCCUUGGUGGUGGUAGCGCGGUGCUCAUGGGCAGAGCCCGUGGCUUGGUGCUGCCCGGUGACCAUGGCCGUGUGGGCGGCAUGGUGGCAAGGGUGUGGCGUUCGGUGGCGGUGAGUGUUUGCUGGGGUGAAAACCUGUUCUAUCCUCGGACGGACCGGCGGCGGCGUAGCGCGUUACCUUCUUGAAGGCGUCGUCGCGGCUCUCACCAGUCAUCGUGUCGCUCCAGGGGAAACUCUGACCCCCGGGUCAGGCGGUGACGGCGCGAUAGCGUCGUAACCUUCUUGGAGGCGCCGCCUUGGAGCUCACGGUUCGUCAUAUGCGGCUUCAUCUCUUCACGGUGGCGUGUUCACGGUGGAGGUCCUCGAUUGCUCUUGUAGUGUUAGGGGUGGUGUUGCUGCGCUCAACGUCUAUGUAUCCCGCCUUGGGUGUGUGUGUGUUGUUGUGGGGUGUGUUUGUACUUGGGUUGUGAUUGAUCUGUGCUUUAUAUAUAAAGUGGGGCGAAAACCUUUUUGGGUACUACAAUUUGUCUCGUGAGGAAAGAAAAGAGGUGUGACUGUCCACAAUGGAUCUGAUGACCUAAACUAAUGUAGUUGCGAGGAAAGAAGGCAGAUGUGGUGGCACGAAGGUCAUGCUUCAAAUCUCACUGGUUGGCCGGUGGCGUCGGGGCCCUCGCAUUGCUGGGUGCAAUUGCAGAGGCAGAGGAAUUGACUCGAGAGGACGAAGACCCAACCCCAGUUAACGACGGAGCCAUGGAGACUAAAGCAAUCUUGGGUUCAAUAAUGCACUGAACCUAGAGCAAAAUCAAGACCUCUGCUUCAGUUCUUGUGCCAACUGCUGUAUUCCAGUGCAACUGGUGCCCACGCCACAAUCACAUCAGUAGAGGGAUCAGUGAUGCACAUGGAUUGAACUGAUUUCAUGAAAGGUUACUUCUCAUAAAGGAAUAAUAAUACAUGGAGUCAUGGACUCAUCCUUUUGGUAGGUAAAAUGACAAAUUCAGAACUGGUUGUGAGCCAGGCCCUAACAAAGAUCGGUUGCUAGUUCCAAGACAAAGUUGGCACCGGCACAGCAGGACCAGUACUGCUCUGCCAUGGAGUGUCUAGAAACUUUUUUGUCGAGAAAAAAAGGUGUCUUUGAAGAGGCUUUCUGAAACGUAAAACCAGCAUAGCAAAAUCUUCUACGUAUUCAGUAACAAAAACGCUCCUCGUGAAUCAGCUCGGGUCCAGUGUUGACUUGAGCGGUAAUGCUAGAACGCCAUGCGCGGCUUGCCAUUUCAGUGUUGUUAACUCUAAGCUAUGCAUAAGAAGCGUACUUAACGAGCAGCCACCGUGAUUAACACGUACGCAGUCUUCCCAAAUGCUGCAGGAGAAUACAGCACAGUAAACUCACAGCAGUAGCAAGGCCUAAGAGCAACUCUAGCAGAUCCCGCAUCUCGCCGGCCCGCAAAACGCGUUUGCAGUUCGCGCAAAACCGCUUUUGUGGGCCAGCGCAGAUGGCCACAGACGCAGACCCCUCAAAAGGACCGGCAUAAAAGUAUAUUCUAGAAUAUGCCUUUUUACGGGUCGGCUUUUGCGGGUUUUGCUCGGGCACCACCGCGAUGACCCGGAAACAGAAAACGCCCAAUUCUCGCAAUUGACAUAAGUUUUCGCAAAUAAGUUCAAAUUCAAACUCACAUAGUCAGAUUCCACGGUACCACUUGGAGGUGCAUUGCGUACUUGCUCCAAGCAAGCAGCCCAACGGCUGCACAUAGGCUUGAUGUUCUCCCAACGGCCUUGAAGCGACCGAAAUGUGUGAGGAGUCCUAUUGAGAUACUUUGUCAUGAUGCGAAAGUACUGAUCUUUGAUCCUUUGUCAAUAUCUCUUGGCGGUUUGAGAAGUACCCGUGCAUGCAUCAAGAGACACCGCACUCCAUGCUUUUGGAUCAAAGCUUGAUCUUUCAAGAUCGUGUAGUUCUUCGAUCUUUGGGUUUUCCCAGAUUUUGAUUGUGAUUGCUCAAAUGCUUCCGCUUCGAUCUCGGCCAAUUCAUCCUCACAACCAUGAUCAUCCACGCCACCCUCCGUUUCAUUGUACUCGAAUGCGAACGGGGCUUGAUCAAUGUCAACGACAUUGGUGUCCAACAAGGUCACGAACUCGGCAGUUCCAUUGUUUGAACCACCGCUAUAUUGAACGAUGACAAGUUACGAGCUAGCAACAAAUGGCGAAAACAAAAGGAAAGCACGAUGACUGAAGACUCAUACCUUCCGGCCAUUUCGUCGAACACCUCGCUUGCAGGGGGAGCAGCGUCGUUGGACGGCAUCGGCAGGGCACUUCUUGCCGGGAUGGAGUUCGAGGAUGAAGGAAGCGCCUUGUUUGUAGCCGGAUUCCUCUUCCUCUUUCCGCCCGCGGCCUUGGUCACCUUCUCCGCCGCCGGCCGAGAUCGCGCAGCAGCGUUGGCGCCGGGAGCGCAGGCCUUGGCGGCGGGGGCUGCCGAAUUCCCGCCCUGCCCUACGGGAACAGAUCUGAAUAGCAUAACAACCGAAGACUCACAAUUGUGGUGUUUUUGUGGUUUUUUUUUGUUUUUAAUGGUGAUGUCAUGGAACAAUAUAGGUCUGUCUCCUCUCAAAGCAGAUUAUUCUGAUCUGACGAGUUUAUAUUAUUGCAUCAUGUUGCUUUUAUUGUUUUGAUUUUUUUGGUGUUAAAUUCUUUCUUCAACGUUAUCGUGAAAAAUUUAUGGUUUGAUGGCCUGCACUUUUAGGAGAUCAUCAUAGCUUAAGUACAUUUAGUGUUCAGUGUUUUUCAUCUUUUCGGAUGAGCUAAAAUGGGGCUUUUAGAAACCUUCAUCGCUAAUCAAGUUUGUGCGAGUGAACAGAGGUAGCUGCUCCUGUCCUAUUGCAACCUUUACUAAAGUUUUGGCAUUAUUUCGUCCGCCAGAAAGAAGAUGUCUCCAAGAGAUUUAUCAUAGUUCUAGUUGUAUGAGUUACUUUGUAUUCUUGGAUGAUAGAUCUAAAGCAGUGUACCUGUAAUGAUUGCGAGUAUGAAUAAAGUUACAAGUGUUUAUGAAAUGAAAGCAAAUAUGGCAGCAAACACUCACGCCUCCCAUUAUAUGGUUUGCCUUAGCGUAGCCCAAUAAUAUUAUUUUUUAUAAAAUAAUUUGUUAAAUAUAUAUUUAGAAAAUAUUGUUAAGACAUGUUUAUACUUGAUUUUUUCACAACUGUAAAUAAUAUUUUAAAAUGUUCAUCACGUGUCUGAAAAAGUUUGAUUUAUGUUGAAAAAAUGCUUAUCCUGUUUAAAAAAAUAGUCAUCGUAUAUUAAAAGUAUUAAUAUAUCUUAGAAAAAUUAUCGUCAUGUAUUUGAAAAGUAUCCAUCUGUUAAAAAUAAUUUAUUUAUAGAAAAGACAAAAAGGAAGAGAGAGAAACAAAAAAUAGAAUAAAAGAAAAAGGGAAACACAAAAGGAAAAAGUGAAAAGGAAAUAAAACUAAUAACCAAAAUACAUACUUGGAGCGAAAAGAAUGAAGGCAAGGACGAAUAGAAUAGAACAUAUGCUACCAAUGUGAUUUAGGCGAGGACGAUUUAUGAGAAUUAAAGACAUCUCUAAUGGAACCCUAAAAUCCUUAACUCCUCAUAUUGGCAUCUUUGGCGCAAUUAUACCCUAUAUCUAACAAAAGCCUUAUAGCUAUAACUCAAACACUUAAAAGUUUAAGCAAAAAACCCAAUUCUCCCAAAUCUCCUACGUGAUCCUCUCACUGUGAAGAACGGUGCAACCACCGUGAGGCUCCUGAUUGACCCUUCCCACUGCUAUAAAUCUUCGUCGCCCAUCACCCCCCACCGCUAUAAAUCUUCGUCGUCCAUCAUCCCCAAAACUCUGACUCAUCCACGCCACUACUCCAUUUCCCAAAUAGUCGUCGUCCCCGCCACCCGAUUUGCCACCAUCGUCUCCCUAUUCGUCACGGCCGUCGCCAUAUUCACCAUCGCCACUACCCCAAAUCACCAUGGAAGGGAGCCAGCGACACAUGGGUAUGCGCACUCGUGCCAGCACCUCCCAGCAGUCGAUGAGGGUUGGCAGUGAUGAUUUAUGAGAAUUGCUAGCAUACAAUAACUGAGUUCAUUGAAAUUUCAUUUUAACAUUGGCCUCGGGAAGCAAAUAUUGUGGCCCAUGAGCUUGAUAGGGAAGCAAAAUUAUUUCUCCUUCAAUUGGGUUACCUAAUCGAUCUACAACAUUUGCUAAGAAAAUUCAUCUACAACCAUCGUAACACUCUUAGGUUUUUUUUGUUUGCUUUUUGAAAAUCGUAGCACUCUUAGUUGAUGGUGUAAAGAUUAUCGAGAACUCAAUAAGUAGUUUUUCUUGUAAAAAAAUGGUGGAGUAGACGUGUUGAUAACACUAGAUGAUGCCCCGCCCGUUGCUGCGGAACUGUUUGUCUUCUGCAUUUUAAGUGAAAUUUUGAUAUUUAUGUUGAAAGAAUAAUUUUUUGGUAAAAACCUACAAAACCAUUGAAAUAAUUAUUAUACACUUGGUUGGUUCACAUGGACUUUAAAAAAGGCAUUUAUUCAACUAUAUGAAAAUGUUAACAUUUAUGUAGCCAAGUCGUAACCACUGGAAAGAAAAUAUGGAGAUAUGGUCAUGGCAAAUGAGUUUCUGCCAAAAUUUACUCUGUCGCUUAGAAGUGAGCAGCUAUUAAAGAAAGAUGCAAGUGAGCAGCUAACUGAUGUCUUGAGUUUUUCACUGUCCGAAGAUUCCUUCUAUUCUAGUCAAUGUACCAUAAGCAUCUACGCCUGCUUGUUCCCAUAUAGGAAAACUGAUAAUUAACACAAAUUGACCUCAUCCCAGAAGACCAACGAAUAAACAUGCAUUGUCGGAUAUGCAAAUAAUACAAAUAUCCAUUGAAAAUAGUAACAGAAGUCAUGGUAGAAGGUACUCCUCCGAUCCAAAAUAAGUGUCGUUGUUUUAGUUGUAUGAUUACCUCAGGGUGAAGUAGCAAAAUGGUAGAGGAGGAUUUAGAAAUGAGCCAAUAAGGAAUAACCUAAUAUGGCUAGAGGAUUGAACGGCUCGCUGGCUAAAUCUCAACAUGUCAAUGUAAUGUUGAGAGGUAGGUACAGUAGGAGAAGGGGACUCCAAAUUCGUCUGGUUCAGCACCACUUGUAUGUACAGAAACUAACCAUGCAGGAAGUGAAACCAAAUGACACGGUGAGGUUAAUUGGGUGGAUCAAGACGGUAGCUACCUGCUCACAGGCGAAGUCCUUGGCACUGUUUAAGCAUUAGGGGCUUUUUCAUGACACGGCGGGCAGGAGAUAUGGGGUUCUAGAGACGCCAAAAAAGGUGACACAAAUUUGCCGCAAAGCUCAUCUGACAUGGAGGCAUCCGUUCGUCCUUGUGUCAAACUUGCAGCCUACGUCCCUACCAUGACCAUCACUCCAUCAGCGCCUUCACCUGAUCAGCUGUUCAAGACACAAACAAAAUCAUCAAUGAUUACAGAUUCAAUCUAAUUAGUGUCACCAACUUGAACGUGGAAGGCUGUUAGGCAGCGUCAACCGGAUCACCGGAGCUUGGGAAAGCCAGAAGAGCUAAUCUGUUCCCGCGUCCUAGCCCUGUCGCACGCAUACGUCAGCACGACUGCGUCCGCCGCCGCGGCCGGGCACCCUGUAAUCAGCUCUAUCAUGCACCCAGGUCUGCAAAAUAUAGAUGCGAGGAUGUAACGAAAUCCAAAACGCAAUCAAACUGAAGAAAGGCCAAAGCCAGCGAGUUUGGGAAAUCAGGACACGAAGGAGGUGUCUGUGAAGAUGAGCGGGGUGGGUUCUGAGAGGAGAUCCUUGGGGAGGUGGAUCAGGGCAUGAUGCGGGCGGCGGCGCCUCGGGGAACUACUUGGAGGCGAAGAGAGCGAUGAGGUUCGAGUUCUGGUGAUGUGGUCGCUGACAAUCACCGCCCGUAGGCCAUCAAGCACUAAAACGAUGCUUGGGGAGAAUAUGAAGGGGAACAUAAAUCCAUCGGACUAUGUGGAGAAGAUAAAGAGGCAGCAGACUUUGUGCAGAAGAUGAAGCAAGCAACAGAAAUCAAUUGUUGGGCGAGUAAUUGCAGCGGACGAUAGUUUACAGGCUUGCAACGCUAUAGUCGGAGGACUGGAUUUUUCUUUUAAAAAAAAGAUGCAAGUGGAUGAUAUGGCUUGCCAUGUUAUGUGAGGCAUGUGGUGGGACAUGGAUGGUGAGGUGGAUAGGCUGCAUGUCAAGAGAAAUGGGAUAGUGGGGAUGACUAUUUAGGUAUAAUAAUAAUAAUAGAUUACAUUUUUAUGGGUAAUCCUGAAAUUUACUUUUUUUUAGGGGAAAUCCCCGAAUUUACAUGGUUUUUCUUUUUGGGAAAUGGAAUUUACAAGGAUUUAACGUGCCCUAGUUAACUUGGGCCAGACACGUGUUCUAACAAAAAACUUGGGCCAGUCACUGGGCUUCAGAAUGGCAUAGAGGGGCUGCGGGAAGCCCGCACUUUCCACCCCUCCUAUGCGCUGCUACUCGUCGGCGUCGGCGACGAGGUCACAGUCACACAAGGAAGAGGAAACAAGGCGGCCGACCAUGACUUCGCCGAAGUCCUUCGCCGGCGAAUCCAUCCACCUCCGCUCUCUCUCCGCCGCGGACGGCGACGCCCGGCAUCCAACCCCAAUCCGUAAGCGCAUCUGCCCUUUCUGGUCCCGAUGCCUCAGAGGUGUAUUUUUCUUUCUCUCGUUUGGUCUAUCGGGUCGAUGCACGUACGUGGUGAGGUGAGGACUGGGGAGGGAGCCCUGGAUUAUGCCGCCUUAUUACGAGCUUACUGUUCUCCUGCAACAUUUUNNNNNNNNNNNNNNNNNNNNNNNNNNNNNNNNNNNNNNNNNNNNNNNNNNNNNNNNNNNNNNNNNNNNNNNNNNNNNNNNNNNNNNNNNNNNNNNNNNNNNNNNNNNNNNNNNNNNNNNNNNNNNNNNNNNNNNNNNNNNNNNNNNNNNNNNNNNNNNNNNNNNNNNNNNNNNNNNNNNNNNNNNNNNNNNNNNNNNNNNNNNNNNNNNNNNNNNNNNNNNNNNNNNNNNNNNNNNNNNNNNNNNNNNNNNNNNNNNNNNNNNNNNNNNNNNNNNNNNNNNNNNNNNNNNNNNNNNNNNNNNNNNNNNNNNNNNNNNNNNNNNNNNNNNNNNNNNNNNNNNNNNNNNNNNNNNNNNNNNNNNNNNNNNNNNNNNNNNNNNNNNNNNNNNNNNNNNNNNNNNNNNNNNNNNNNNNNNNNNNNNNNNNNNNNNNNNNNNCACGGUGGCUGCUCGUUUCUUAGUCUAGAGUUAACAGCACCGAGAUGACAAGCCCCACAUGGCGUUCUAGAAUUGCGAGGCCCUGACUUGUUUUUGUCAGGGCCGGCCUCGUUCCUCACUUGCCUCACUAUCAGCCUCUUAUUUCUGAAUUUGUCUGUUUAGCAGACCAACAGGAUGAGUCCAGCAAGGACUUGAUGCGUUUUUAUCCCUUUAUUAUCGGAAGUAACCCUGCGUCGGAUCAGCUCAUGAUACGGCCAACUGGGUCCUGGCCUAGGCUUGCUGCGAAAUCGAUCCCUCUUGCUAUGCUAUUGUGCCUCCGGCACCAGUUGCAUUAGAAUACAGCAGUUGGCGCGAGACCUGAAGCGGCCGUCUUGGUUUCACUGUAGGUGCGUCGCAUCCAAGCCGCGAUUGCCCUGCAACUACAUUAGUUUUGCCCAAGCCAUCACUUCAGUAACACAAGCAGCGGCUCAACAAACUUCCAAAGGCCACCGAGCGCUUAGUUGGCAGCGAUUCUUUUAGUUCGAUUCAAUCCAUUGGGGUAACCUGACAUUUUGUCUACCAGUCCAGUUGCUCUAUUCCAUGGGAGUGACGAGCGUCAUGUCUGCUGUCUUACUUGCAGGGUGCAGCGUUCCAUGUCACCGUUCUAGUGCCAUGAUCGUGAACCACUACCAUCCACCCGUAAACUAAGCCAGGCGGCAGAGGACAGCUAUGGUGGCAUAUUCUCCCUCCAAUCUCUGAUUCCCGUGGUGGCAUCUUCGAUAGCAAAGUCAUUUUUUGUUCUAUUCCUUGACCUGGAUGGGGGUGUUCCUGGUGACGAGCGAGUCGCUCCCUGCCUAUCCCAUAAACGGUAUUGGAUAAUAAUUCCAUGGUUUGAGCUUCCUGUUGUCUCCUGCUGCUUUUCUUGUACCUUCCUUUGAGACUGAAUAUUGCCAUUGCCAACCACCAGAGGAGUAAGGUAAUCAGGCCGGCACAGGAGACACCAAACUCUGGCGUCAGUGUUUAUGAUUCGCUGGUGCUAACCAUGUUUAUUCACAUGAAUCAUUACCGUGAAGAUCUGAAGUUCAAUUAGUCACCUCACAGGGUGCUUGCAAAGCUUCGCUUAUUCAAGUCCCAUCAUUUCUGCUGGUUGCAUUGCCACACUUACAGCUGCUGAUCAUCUCUCUGCAAUCUUAGACAAAUAUAAUUUACGUCUCUGCAUAUAAUCCCUGGUACUACUUGCUAGCUCCUCCACCCUCUCUGCGCAACCUAGCUCUAGUUUUAUUACCAAUGAAAACUUUUAUUUUUAUUACCAAUAGAAACCCUUUUUUAGAAUUUACCGAUAGAAACUUUUGCAGUGCUGGUUUACAUUGAUAAUACGUUUCAGCAAGACUCUUCAAAGUUUCCAGGAGACCUUUAUUCACGACAAAAAAUGUUCAAGACACCUUUGUAUUGGUCCUGCUCCACUGGCGCGAACUUUGUUUCAGAACUAGCAGCUGCCUUUUAUCAGUGCCUCGUUCAUCACUUGCCUCAUUAGCCUGUUUCUAAAUUUAUCUGUUUUGCAGACCAAAAGGAUAAUACAAAUCUUCAUUUAUCAGAAGUAACCCUGCGUGAGAUCAGUUAAUGAUACAGCCAACUGGGUCCUGGUGUGAAUUGUUUGCUUGCAAGGGCCGUGUACCCCCUCGCCCAUACAACCAAGACGAAGAGUCACCACCGCCGCGAAGUUGCCUGUCGGAGAGUCAACAAUGCGGACCGCCACCCCAGCAUCCAUGUCCCAAGCCAUUACCAUCCGCCCACAUCAUGGUGCACCCACCACGGCAGAGGGAGUAAAAGGCGUCUCCUUUCACUCCAAGCCCGACAUCAGCCACGAAGACUGGAUCGACACCUCCAUGGUAGGGGCGUGGACACCUGCACCUCCAGCCAGUCCCAGUGGACCAAGGGAGACAUAACUCCGUGACUACCGACGGCCGUCGUGGUCUUUGACUCUGAUCUGCCCGACGGACUCAUGAUGUCCCGACCACCACCAACACCACCAUACCUGCAAGGAGAGGGACCUCGGCGCCCGUGGGCACCACCCAGACCGAGCCCACCAUCGUCUACCAGAGUGAAGCUCCGACCCGUCCGGGGCCCAAAACUGGUCGGCCCGAGCAUGAGUACCCUGCACAAACGGCUCGAACCGGGAAAAAGAGGCUCCACCACCACCUGCGCCCCGCAGCCGACCGCCAACCACCACAGCAAUUUACCCACCGCCAGUUGCAACCACCUUGCGACGGGCGAACCAGACUGGGGCAAGGGAAGAACCCUGCCUUGGCCUAACCCUCCGCUCACCGGAGUCGCAGGGAGCAACCAAAGUUGGCCAGAGCCACGGACGACCUUGAGUAGCUCCUCCGCACUGCGCUCGUGGCACCCGGUCAGAUCCCCAAGGGAUCCGGGCCACCAGCACGCGCCCGCAGCGCACCCCCUCCGCCGCCAGCCAUGGCCGCCUGAAGGUAGGGCCGCGACUUCCAGCCCACGCCGAUCAGUGCACUAGAUCGUUCGGGCCACCGUUGUCAGAUCUGACGGCUGCGGUCCAGCCCGAUGCAGGCCUGCCGAGCACGCACCACCGCUCCUUCGAAGACCAAGGUAGCCGUCGCAGCCCCACCAUCCGCCCAUGCCGUUGGCGCGCCCCUCUGACUCACUGUUACCGCGCAUCACACUAGCGUUGUGCCCCCGGCGUGGUGUUGCGCCCCGUAUUGCACACACCAGUCGAAAGGGGAGAAAAUGCCCCACCGCAGCCUACACCGACCGGGCUUUACCCGCGGGGAGUGGAGGGGAGGCGGUGCGGCUAGGUCCACCGCCCCUUGGUGCUCACGGAGUCACGGGUCAGGCGAGAGAGGGGAAAGGGGAUCUCAAUAUGUCAUAGUCCCUCUGCCAACGCGAUUGUGCUGCCAGUCGGCAUCAGUUGCAUUACAAUAGGUCAGUUGAUACAAGAUCUGAAAUGGUCGUCUUGGUUUCACUGUAGGUGCAGUGCAUCCAAGCCACGGUUGCCUCGCAGCUACAUUGGUUUUGCCCAAGCCAAUCACAUGAGUAACACAAGCAGCGGCUCCACAAACUUCCAAAUGCAGCGAGUAGAGACAAACAGCAAGGCUGUGGCACAUGGAGCACUCAACUAUUCGCGGAGCAGCUGAGAAGUCUCCGUCUCCAUCUUCCAACCCCCGCGACUUGAUUACUUCCCAAUGGCACCUAAAAUUACGAGACCCAGCACCAAGUCUGAAGCCAGGUCCAGAUUUUAAUCGCGUGCCACCGAGCGCUUAGUUGGCAGCGAUUAUUUUAGUUUGAUCCAAUCCAUUGGGGUGACCUGCCAUUUUGUCUACCACUCCAGUUGGCAUUAUUCCAUCGGAGUGACGAGCGUCAUGUCUGCUGCUUUACUUGCAGGGUGCAGCGUUCCAUGUCACCGCUCUGGUGCCAUGAUCGUGAACCGCUACCCUCCACCUGUAAACUAAGCCAGCCGGCAGGGGUGGCAGACUAUAUAUGUUGGCAUGGUCACCCUCCAACCUCUACUUCCCAUGGUGGCAUCUUUAAUAACGAGGUUGAUUUUUGUUUUUUGUUUUGUUCCUUGGAUGGGAGUGUUCCUGGUGUCAUAGGGCAGCUUUUGCUAAAACUCGAGCGGUUUCUUCAAAACUUGCUUUAGGUAUAUAUAAAACUUUGGGUAUUCAGGGAAGCCCUUGUCAUUCCCAAUAAGAUUGCCCAAUAAUAGAUCGAUUCAUCCAAAGCUCGCCCUGCUCGUUCCGCUCGCAAUAGUCCGAUUAAUUCCCCAGGCGAAAAAACAUUAGACGUUCCAUCUUCGGAAGCCCGCACUGCACUUUUGAUGUUACUUGGCGUAUAAUAAUGGAUCUGUACCCCUUGGGAUCAAUAUAAACCUUUUGGAUUUUAUUGACCAAAGCGAUACGACUUUGGGCUGCCUAUCCCGUAAACAGACUUGGAUAAUAAUUCCAUGGUUUGAGCUUCCUGUUGUCUCCGUUGCUUGUUUUGUACUCCCUCCAUCCGAAAGUUCUAAAUACGUCCAUUAAUUUUUAUAUAUGUAUCCGACGAGUAAAUUCUGCCAUUGCCAAGUAAUCAGGCCGGCACAUGAGACUCAGACUCUGGUGUCAUUGUUUAUAAUUUGCUGAUGCUAACCAGGUUCAUUCAAAUGCGUCAAUGCCGUGACGAUCUCCGAGAUCUAAAGUUUAAUUAGUCACCUCAGUACCUCACAGGAUGCUUAGGAGGCUUCACUUAUUCAAGUUCCAUCAUUUCCGUUGGUGGCAUUGCCACGCCUACAGCUGCUGAUCAUUCUCUCUAGUAGUAUUUAAACAAAUGUACUCACAACUCUGUACUACUACGCCAGCUUCUCCACCCUCUCUGUCUGCACAACCCAACUAUACCUUUUUUUCAGACGGACACGCCUGCUCUUUCAGAAUUAGUCCAACUGGUGCUUUAAUUUCCAAGAUUUCAUUUGCAGUUAAAAUUAGGGUGCACACCUGCCAUCACUUUCAGUAACAAUUGACAACAGAAGCAUAACAGUAGUAAGUGGAUCGCAUAACAGUAAUGAGUGGACCAAAGCAACUCAUCUCGUAUGAAACUGUCAUGUGCAGUCACCCAGGGUAAUGAUUAGCGACUCAACAAAUUAACUUCUACUCCCUCCAUUCCUAAAUAUUUGUCUUUCUAGAGAUUUCAAUAAGUGACUACAUACGGAGCAAAAUGAGUGAAUCUACACUCUAAAAUGUGUCUACGUACAUCCGUAUGUGGUAUUUCAUUUGAAAUCCUAAAAAGAUAAAUAUUUAGGAACGGAGGGAGUAACAGUCACUGGAGUCGAUGCCCGAGGCAGGGACAGCUAGCCGGGGGAGUUUCUAGAACCCAUCAAUUAGUUACUACCACUCCCUCCGUCCCAUAAUAUAAGAGCGUUUUUAUACUAGUACUAGUGUUAAAAACGCUCUUACAUCAUGGGACGGAGGGAGUACUUCCCAUGACUUGGUGCAUGCUGAUUAGAUCUCGCAAUAUUUUUAGACGAAAAAUCCCGUCUUUGACAUUGUCUUCGUUAAGACAAAGCUUAACUAAUUCGAUUCACUUGCACGACUCUAUCUCUCUCGUUGUUCUAACUUAACUUACUGAAAGGUGAGCUUUAACGGAGUUGCAAGCGGCACUAUAUAUGCUGGGACUUGGUGCGAGGAUUGAAGCUAGCCUUAGCUUCCUAGUGUCAAAAACGUUCUUAUAUUUUGGGACAGAGGGAGUAGCUUUAAACUGCCAAAAGUAGGCUCUGAUGCUGCAAGAGAGAGAAAUUUUAUGUCGUGAAUCUCGAGCAGCCCAGCUAUCUAAUUCUGAAGACUCGGUGCGUGAUUUGAAGAAGAGUCUUGUUUUUCGCGCCACUCGUUUCUCAGCUAGCAAUGAUUUGUGAGGUUCCAUCAUGUUUUUUGGUGCCAUCCCCACUCUUACAACCCUGAUCAACUGUUCUAGUACUCACCAACUCCCUUACACAUCCUUCAUCGAUCCACCCUCACUGUGCUACCCUGCUCUAUCUUUUUUUUCUUUUUCAGACGAACGCCUACUCUCAGAAUCUGUCCCAACUGGUGGUUUAAUUUCUGAGAUUUUACUCACACUCAAAUUUCGGGUGUACACCUGCCAUCGCCUUCAGUAACAAUUAGUAACAGCAGAAGCAUGACAGUAAUAACCGAAUCAACGUAAUGGCUCACUUUGCUUCAGCUCUAUGCUGUUGCCACUGCUGCCAUUCAUAUACUGAAGCCCACUAAAUAGUUGUACAAACCAUGAUCUACAGAGGAACGUCAUUGUUAAUACGGCACUAGGACAAGGUUCCAUGUUGUUCUAGCGAAUUCUGCUGCAGGAAAGAUUUUACAGACAAUCACAUCUUCUCCAGGAAAGGCCUUGCGGAUAGUAACACAAAGUACCAACUCAACAAAUUAACUUCCAAAGGCAGUCAGGCCAGCCUCAGGACCCCAACGAUUAUUUACUCUAUCCGUAAACUAAUAUAAGAGCAUUUAGAACACUAAAAUAGUGAUCCAAGCGCUCUUAUAUUGGUUUACAGAGGGAGUACUUCUCAUUGUUUCCAAUGGCACCAAAACCAGGAGACCCAGCGUGAGGUCUGAACCCAAGUCUAAAUUUAAUUUCGCACCAACUACUGCCUAUUUAAUUAAUUGGCAGCGAUUAUUUUAGUUGAUGCCAUCCAUUCAAGUGACUUGACCUAGACGCUCCUCACAUCUCUUUAUAUAUCCACUCCUGCAUUUCUCUCUCACUCCUACAGAUCUCUCUGCAAUUUGCACAUCAAACACCCUCUCCAGCAUUACUCCCUCUGUCGCAUCACAUCGCCUGCCUUCACGGCAAGGGAGUUCAUACUUCAUACCGGUGAGUAAAUCUUUCUUUCUAGUUACUCUAGCAGCAUCAUCUGAUAUUAGCAUAACUUGGGACUAACUACGUCUGCUAAUGGUUUGCAGCGUCACAACCGAUGGACGUCGCCGUCAGUGCGGCAUGGUGGGUUGUAGGCAAGGCACUGGGCCCCGUCUCAGAUGGCUUCCUGGAGGCUUGGGCUGCUAGCAAGGAUCUCGGCCCCAACGUCGACGCACUCAAGAUGGAGCUCUUGUAUGUGCAGGGGAUGCUCAACAACACCCGUGGCAGGGAGAUCGACAAUCCAGCCCUGAACGAGCUCCUGCAAAAGCUGCGGCAGCUAGCGUACGGGGCCGAGGACGUGCUGGAUGAGCUGGAUUACUUCCGCAUCCAGGACGGUCUUUACGACACCUAUGAGACCGCCGGAAAACAUGCCAAUGGUUGCAUAUGCAACCUCUUCCUCAAUGCUCAUCACACCGCCAAAGCUGUUGGCAAACUGCUUGGGUGCUCUGCAUGUUCAUGUGCUGCUAACCCUCGUGAUCCUCAGGAGCCAAGAUCGGAAGAUAAUACAAGGCAGAAAGUUCACUGCUGCGCUUGGCCAUGUUCCAGGAGAACUGCAAGUGACAACACCUCAUUGGUCCCAAACACAGACCAAGCUGACGGGGAGGCCAGUGGAUGCAUUCGCAAGCUUGCUUCUGGUGCUCUCAACACCGUGCGUACUGUCGGUAAACUCUUCCCUUGCUCAUCCUUCCCACCCGUUCAUGAUGAUGUUUCUGGCAAGUCAGUCCUUUGUGGUGCCUGCAUAGGCAAGGCACCACAGCAAAAACAUGUGAAGGAAGCACCAAAAUUAGAGUUUGAUAGGGUGGAUUUAUCUAUAAGAAUGAAGCAUAUUGUAGAGCAACUGCAGCCCUUAUGUGCAAAGGUAACAGUUAUUCUUAAUCUUGAGUUGUUGGGUUCUAGUCAUACUACCACCACAGACAUUCCCAAGAGUCCCCCCACCACCACCUCUGACAUUAUAGAAUCAACCCUGUACGGGAGGGACGCUACAAAGAAGAGAAUCAUAGAUGGUAUCACUCAUGAUAAAUAUAGUGAUAAGAACCUAACUGUCCUGCCGAUUGUUGGUCCGGGUGGCAUAGGGAAGACAACAAUUAUACAACACAUAUAUGACAGCCAAGAAGUGAAAACACAUUUUCAGAUCAAGAUCUGGAUAUGUGUGUCCCAGAACUUCAUUGUUAAUAAGCUGAUUGAAGAGAUUGAAAAAGCUAUACCUAGUGUGGAAGGUGAAAAAAAGGGCAGAGCAGAAGAGCUCAUUGAACAAAGAUUAAAUUCUAAAAGCCUUUUGCUUAUAUUAGAUGAUAUAUGGAAGUGUGAAUCUGAGGACUGGAAAAGGAUUUUAGUACCACUCACGAAAGGGCAAGCAAAGGGUAACGUAAUUCUAGUUACAACUCGGUUUCCAGCUGUAGCAGAAAUUGUUAAAACAACUGAUAAUUCAAUAGAUCUGGAGGGCUUAGAACACGGUGAGUUUAGGAAAUUUUUCCGAGCAUGCAUAUUUGGCAAUGAGCAAUCACAAAAAGAUCAAGAUGGCUUGCUUAAUAUUGGAGAUAAGAUAGCAGAAAAGCUAAAGGGGUCCCCUCUUGCAGCAAAAACUGUAGGUAGAUUAUUGAGGAACCACCUUGAUGUGCAUCAUUGGACAAGAGUCCUAGAAAGUAGAGAAUGGGAAAUGCAGACCGGUAUGCAGACCGGUGAGGGUGACAUUUUGCCUGCACUGAAACUUAGCUAUGAUUAUCUACCUUAUCAUCUGCGACAAUGUUUUUCUAGUUGUGCUUUGUUUCCUGAAGAUUACAAGUUUCACAGUGAAGAACUCAUUCAUUUCUGGAUAGGACUAGAUAUUUUACAUCCUGGUGGUCGAAAUAAAACAAUUGAAGAUGUAGGUCUGGACAAUCUAAAUGAUUUGGUGAAGAGUGGAUUUUUCAAAAAAGAUGAAACCGAGGGGCAUUAUAUCAUCCAUGACCUGUUGCAUGAUUUAGCUUUAAAGGUUGCGUCUCAUGAAUAUCUUAGUUUGCAUCACUCUAAUGUUAGAUCAGUAGAAAUUCGGCCAUCUAUCCGUCACUUGUCGAUCGUAAUAGAUGGUCCAGAUGAUAGUAAUGGGAUAACUGAUGAAAAUUUUAAGAGUGAGUUAAUGAAACUUAAGGCAAAAUUGAAGGUUGAAAACUUGCAAACAUUAAUUAUAUUUGGAGGAGGAGACAGAAGUUCUAUCAAUAUUUUGGGUGAUUUGUUCAUGGAAGCAAAUGCUCUCCGUGUUCUUUGUUUGCCCACAUUAUCAUACCCCUUGGAAUCCAUGUUGCAUAACUUUUCAUCACUUCUGCACCUGCGAUACCUAAAGCUAGGUACUUCUAUGAGCCAUAUGAAUUUACCAACGACUUUAUCUAGAUUUUAUCAUUUGAAGAUUUUGGAUCUACAAAAAUGGGAUGGUUCUUUUCUGUUACCUAGAGAUAUGAGUAACCUUGCAAAAUUAUGUCAUUUUCUUGCCCAACACAAUGAGCUUCUUUCGGGUAUUUAUAACGUGGGGAAACUAAAACUCUUACAGGAGUUAAAGGCUUUUGCAGUCAAUAAGGAAAUCAAAGGGUUUGAACUCAAUCAACUAGAGCAUUUGACCGAGCUAAGGGAAGUUAGCAUUUAUAACCUUGAGAAGAUACACACGAAAGAAGAAGCGGUUGAAGCAAAACUAAUACAGAAAGACUACUUGCACAAAUUAACACUUGACUGGGAUAGUGAGCGACCUAAUAGUGAGCCUGGCGCGGAAGUAGUGGUUCUUGAGAGCCUUCAACCACAUAGAAAUCUUCAGGAGCUGAGAAUUACAGGACACCGUGGCCCUUCUUGUCCAACAUGGCUGGGUGAUAACCUGGUUGUUCAGGCUCUACAAUCUCUCACUCUCUUCUCUGUUUCUUGGGAUAUUUUACCUUCAUUUGGGAAGAUGUGGAGUCUUCAUGAGCUAGUAUUGUCGAAUAUUUCCACAAUAAAGGAGUUUUGUCUAGAGCAAAAAAAUUGCAAGCUAGUAAAGAUAACACUCACUGGCUUAAAGAAUUUUGAAAAAUGGGUACCACGGGCUGGUCAUUUGUUCCCUUGUUUGCAAGUACUGAUUAUUAAAGAUUGCUGUAAACUUUCGGAGUUGCCAUGGUCAAGCCACAUUGUUUACCCAUUGAAACAAGAUUGUAACAUAGAUUGGUUUCCCAAACUACAAGUUCUUAGGAUAGAAAAUUGCCCUGAAGUCUUGUUACUGCCUCCUAUCCCUUGGACCCAAUCUUUGUGCUCUGUCAAGAUAAGUCAUGUGGGAUCAAAACUACUGGACGAGUUGGUCUACUCAAAAUCAUCUUCUGGAGUAGCAUUGAAAAUUAAUGGAAGUGGUGGUCUGCAUAACUUAGAUCAGUUGCUACUAUUCAGUAAAUUAACAGAACUUCAGGAAUUGAAAAUCGAUAAUUGCCCACCUCUAGAGCUGAAGUAUUUUCUAAUGCUAACCUCAUUGAAGACAUUUACGGCAUGGUCUUCAAAUCUUGGGGUGGUGGCAUCAGAAGUUCAGAGUGGUGUCGAAUGGCAGCAUCCUAUUGAGUACAUUAGUAUUGGAUGGUCUGGUCCUAGUGGAAAGGAAUUGACACAGUUCCUGUCUCAUCUCCCAAAGCUGUCCAAACUGGAAGUAUAUUGUUGUGAAAACAUAACACAGUUUGCUGUGGGGGUGGAUUUGCAGCAAGCAACAUCACCAGUAUCAACGUCAACCUCUUUAGAUGUUACAAUGGAUGAAACACAAGCAAAAGAUGAGCAGCAAGAAAUAGCAGAGAUGGAGAAGGAGGAGGCAAACACAGUGGAUGAUGAUGGGAUGUUGCUCCUCCCUGCACAUCUCUCCAAGUCACUGCAGGCGUUGGACAUCGACAGUCGUGGUCUGGUAGUUCAUUCCCUCGAUGCCCUCCAAGGCCUAACUACCCUUUGGUUAGAAGAUUGCUCUUUUCGCCACCCUUUCCCGUCCUCCCUGCUAGACCUGCAACUUAAGUCCAUGAAGGGCGUGCAUACCCUUUCAAACCUCACCUCUCUCACUCGAUUAGAAAUAUCUCGUUGCGGAGAGGAUUUAAGAUGCGAGGGCCUGUUGCCUCUCCUUACUCGGGGCCAUCUCAGCCAAUUGGAAGUAUCUAAAAGCCCCAAUUUCUAUGGUGGGUGGGAAUCCAAUCCCAUGCAGGGGAUGGCAGAAUCCAGACUGCAGAAUCUCGAGACAGAUGGCAUGGAGGGCUUCCUCAAUGCGCCUGCCCUCUGUAGCCUCCUCUCUUCCUCCCUCACCAACUUGUCCUUUAAUGGGAACAAUGAGAUGACGUGCUUCACAAAGGAGCAGGAGGAGGCCUUUCAACGCCUCACCUCGCUCCAGGAACUCCAGUUUUGGUUUUGGGACAAGUUGGAACACCUCCCUGCAGGGCUAAACAAGCUGACCAACCUCAAGAGAUUACGAAUCUAUGAUUGUCCAGCCCUCCAGUCGCUGCCCAAGGGUGGCCUCCCGAGUUCAUUGCGAGAAUUAGAUGUCAAGGGGGGCGGCAACGAGGAGCUAACAAAGCAGUGCAGGCGGUUAAUUGGAACCAUCCCAAAAAUCACACUAUAGACUAAUCCAAGGUAACAAAUACUUUCCUUUACUUGUACCAAUUCCGGAUUUCACCAUUACCCUUACUUUUUCAUGAUACCACAGACACCCAAAUCAUUUUACUUUCGGUUUGGUUCACCUUGCUACUGCAUAUUCUGAAAAUUGCUUGAUUCCAUCAACCGUGCAGCUAGUCCAUGCAUCACUUUCACCUUGUGGAAUUAUCCCCAUCUGUAGACAGUUGGCACAUGAGGUCCUGUGUGGUAUUUUCUUCAUGUCAUCACAUCUGGUAAGUACAUGCAAAUGGUCUAAAAAGUGUCUGCCUAUAGUUAUCUGUCUGAUCUUGUUAGCGUCAUAUGAGGGUUUUUAAUGUAUCUAUUUGUACCUGUCUGAUAAAAGUUGUUCCCAGUUCUAUUACUUUAAAUAAUUGCUCUUGAGUGCAUGUUUUUUAUUACAAUAGGAGUAUGUGACUAACAAUUGGAGGGCCUGUCUAUUCAAUUGGAAAAUUAUUACCAUUAUGUAAACUAGUCAGUACUCCAAAUACGAGAGUGUGUGUUCCUAGUAGAAUAAUACACUAAAGUGAGAUUUUCUUUUCCGUCUGUGCAACAUUAACCUUGUUAGCCUGAUAUGAGGGUUUUUUAAUGCAUCUAUUUGUAUCUGUCCAGAGAUUAUGGCCUAUUUUAGUUCUUUGUUUCCUCAGAUUACCAUUUGUACAUGCCACAUAAAACUUUAUUGAUAACUUAAGAUUUUGGUUUUUCUUUUUCUUAUCUCUAUCCCAGGGCGUAUAAUGUAUUCACCAUUUCUUUUGGAUGAUUUGCAGGUUUCUUGUGUUAGCCAAAGAAACAAGAGAAGGGAGAAGAGAAAGUCCCAUUUCUUCAUCAAGUUGACGGGCAGAGUCACACAAGGUUGCGCAUGAAAAUUGCAGUCUCUUCAGUAUUAGUUCAUAGGAGCAGUGGCUCUGCAGGGAUCUUGCAAAGAGUGUGGCAGUUUCAGAACAGUGCACUUUUGAAAAAGUGCCAUUUGAGUGGUGAAAACAGUGCUACAAUGGAACAUUGAUAAGUUGCACGGCAGCGAUGCUCUCAGUGCUUGUUUUGGCAUUGGUUUGCGAGAACAGCAGUUAAUUAGGAACCAUCCUGAAAAUCAUACUAGGGUAUAAAGGUAAAACAGGAAGCUUCGCUAUCUGCGCUCAUCCCAAUACCCAACGUUGCCUUGCUUUUUCCUGGUCUCGCAUUUCAAGUCAUACUUCGGAUUUGAUUUACCUCAUAACUGCAAAAUCUGAACACUGUGUGUUUUGAUCUACUUUACAGGUUCUUUGCCUUGGGAGCUGUACAUUUUUUAGCCUUGUUGAAUCCUCCCCAUCCAUGCAAAGUCUGCACAUAAUGAUCUUGUGUCAUAUCUUACUGAACAUAGUACAUAAAUCUGGUAAGUACGUGUUAAACUUCUCGAACCUUAUUGAACUGAGAAAUAUAAAGAAAAUCAAUGUGAUCCUCAGCUAAUGCCAUUCCAUUCAUGGACGAAAUUUAAUAUGGUUUUUUUUGUUUCUUGUGCAGGUGUUCUUAUGCUUGUUCUAGUUGGUUUCAAGAUACUUUGCAGUUACAUUUUGGUCAUCAUUCACAAGAACUUGCUGGUGUACUUGUUCAGCUGUGAGGAUCAUAAUGGGGGAAUAACUGAUAUUUUGCUGAUUUGCUAUUGAAAUUAAGGUUUGCAGUUUCUUCAGUUCGAUGCUACAUUGAUACGGAUAGGAUGUGUUCCUGCAUUCAUGAUAAGCUUUGUUGCUAAAUGAAAUUUUGUUAUUAAUUACAGGAACUUUUUACAAGAACACCUUUCUUACCAUCUCAGUGCUUGCGUGGAGCAAAUUGAGAUCUCGGGCUUUCACUAAUUGGUAUGCCUUGUCUAUUCACAUUCAUACAAAAGUCUAAAAUGGUACUCGUGUAUUUUCGUAUUUAUCACGUUCCAACUUUUUAGACUGAACUAAGUUUCUUGGUUGCUCAAUAGACAUGGCAUGUGGACAACUUUGGAAUUCAACAAUGCAGUGGUAGCAGGUUUGUGGAAAGGUCAGUAAACCCCUGCUGAAAUUCAUGAUGGGUUUAGCUAUGUUAGAUUGUAUUCAAUGUGCGAUUGUCGAACGCUUAUUGCCUCAUGAGACCUUGGUUAGAGAACUUCCUGCUUCCUUGAUAAGCUGGCAGUCUAGCUUUUGAGCACUCUCAUAAUCUCUGAAUGGUUGUCAUGGUGAAUUAAAUAACACAAGAGAGUUUUCAGCUGAUACAUAUAGUCGUAAAGGUAGAGAACACUUGCUACUAGGUGAUUGAUGAACAUUGAUUGAGCAAAAGGACUCAAACUUGCUAAUGUUUAUUCCUAGAACCUCCUGAGUUUAGUACGGUGAAAGUGAUUUUAUUCUCUUCUUGAUCCAGAGUAUUUUUUUCUGUCCCACCAAUGCCAAAAACAGCAUAUUUCAUUAGCCUUUGAUUAUUGCAAUCUGAAUUUUUAGUGCGUAUAGUUAAGUUUGAUGUUCCUCUAGUCUGAAGUCUUUGAAAUCCAGUCAUUCUUUUUGCGUAACUUAUGUUUGCUAGCCUCUUCAACACUCGGCAUUGCAUUCCUUCAUCAGGAUAUCACAAACUCUGCCGGUGUACAUAUACAUAUCCCAGAAAAUAAAUCAUUUCUUCCAUGUGUUCACAUCUCUACCUACCUACCUACCUACCUACCUACCUACCUAUAUAGCACAUCUCUCGCUAUCCCACGGUAGUUGAUUAUUCCAUAAGCACACUCAUCAAUUUAAAGAAGACUCAAAAGCUCUUUGUUGUCAUUGACCCUGCAAAUGUCGUCAAUAUUGAUGCCUCUCACAAAAAUCAAAAAAGAAAUAAAGAAAAAGAGAGAGGGAAGCCAUUCAAAAGAUCAAAGGUUCAUCCUCAAGCAGGAAGAAAUAGUCAGCAGUGCUUCCAUAUUCAUGUGCGGAAUGCAAAAUGGCUAAUCAUACUACUACCUAUGCAAUAUUGAUAGCUUGAGUAUCAGUCACAUCAAUGGAUCACCUUGCAUUGCAUAGGCCCUCAAUCAUUUCUUUGGUGUGAGUCCAAUUUCUCCCACACCCCCUGGACACUACAAUUUUUUCCAAUGACUGGAAUGCGAAAGACUUCUUUGCACUGGAGUUGAACUCUUAUUUAGCUUUACCAUCUAGAUUUCAGAUUUGUUCAUUCUUUUAAUCACCCUACCAAGAUCCAGAUAAGCUUCCACAAAUAUAAAGUAGAUAGGAAAAACACUUCGGCCAUUGGCCAAUGAGGACUACAAUUAUGUGAUGAGAGUAAUUCUGGAUCAUGACGGGGUAAUUUCACUAGAUACCUACUAUUCUUGGAAAGUUCGCAAAGAAUAAAACUGUUGGCUGCUCUUGUUUUGUUUUGUUCUUGACAUUGAAGUCAAACAACCAAGUGACGAGUGUUCAAAAACUUUUAUAGCUAUAUUGUUGAUGCUGGUUACUCUCAAAAAAAUGAAAUCUAUUCCCUACUGGCAAUGAAUAGGAGUAGUUAUUUAAGUGUGUGCUCAAUCACUAGCCUGCUACUUUGAUAAGUUUGUGGGAAGUGUCUCUAUCCGAAGCUCAUGAGGAUUACAGUAAUUGUUUGCACAUGAGCACUUGUUUGCAAUCUAGCUAUGCUAAGCAUUCAGGUAUUUCACAAGCACGUGGGCAAGUUGAAUCGGGAGCCUAAAUCAUCGGCCGCGAUUUGAGACUCUUUUUCUCGAGGGAAGAAUCAGAAAGGGACAAGUCUGAGAUGAAUCAUACCUUUUGUUUCUAUUUGAAGCCACUUGCUUCCUGGCAGUGUUAUAAGAAGAGUGGAUGGGGUUUCCCCACUUAUUAUUUCCCUUCUAGCUUCAAUCUGUAGUACGCUGUUUCUGAAUGUACGAAAACAGGCCAAUUUUUUGCAUUCGAUCUUCUCAGUUGUGGACAUGUAUAUUCAGUGAAAAGAAAUGCAGUUCUUUGCAAUAGUAUCUUCAUAUCUGAACCUAUGCUUGGGUGUCACUUCUGGUUGCCUGUGCUAAAGCAUAAAUAAAUAAAGACACUGUAAUGGUUCACUGCAUAAUCUUCCUGAUUGCCUUUUGAUACCCAAUUGGCAAUCUGAACCAAUCAUUGUUGGCAUGUUGUUUUUCGUUUCUGAUGAAAAAAAAUCCAGCGAUUUCUGUUUACAAGACAAGAUUCGAGUGCUGCUGGCACCUAUGUUAGCAUCGGAACGGUGUGGUCUUUCAAGCUAUGGUGCCGUCUCUAGAUCGGGUGUUAAGCUGCUGUCGCGAGGAUGCUGCUCUCUGGCGGGAGCGGUUACGUCCAAGUGAUCGCUCGCAUGUUGAUGCUUGGGUGAGUGCGUUGGUGCGGUGAUCUAGUCUGGGUGUUGUUAGNNNNNNNNNNNNNNNNNNNNNNNNNNNNNNNNNNNNNNNNNNNNNNNNNNNNNNNNNNNNNNNNNNNNNNNNNNNNNNNNNNNNNNNNNNNNNNNNNNNNNNNNNNNNNNNNNNNNNNNNNNNNNNNNNNNNNNNNNNNNNNNNNNNNNNNNNNNNNNNNNNNNNNNNNNNNNNNNNNNNNNNNNNNNNNNNNNNNNNNNNNNNNNNNNNNNNNNNNNNNNNNNNNNNNNNNNNNNNNNNNNNNNNNNNNNNNNNNNNNNNNNNNNNNNNNNNNNNNNNNNNNNNNNNNNNNNNNNNNNNNNNNNNNNNNNNNNNNNNNNNNNNNNNNNNNNCGCUAUCCCUCCCCCGGUGACAGUUCAAAAAAAAAAAAGAUUCGAGUGCACAAGAUACACAGGGUUUUGCUGUAUGCACAGGCAUGACCUGGAGUCUGGAUACACACCUAUUGCUUGUCUUGUCCAGGCGAGAUCCCGUGAGAUUUGAGUUUGCUUUUGGGCCCUCACUGAAGAAGUAACAUCCUAGGAGUAGCCGUGGUUCAGCAGGGAGCAACGGGGAAACAUGUUGAGCGAGCAAGCUCCACUAACCACAUGCUAGAUCCGAGCUAGGUCUCCCAUUUUUCAGUCUCGUGCUUCCUCUGUCUACUGGUCCGUGCUGCCGCCGCCGCCACUGUCACUAAACUACUACGGCUCUUGGCGUGAGAUCUCUGAAGCAAUGCCGCGGCACCGGAACCAGCACAGGCCCACUGGAACUAGAGUGCUCACGUGUCCGCUCAGUCUUGUAUUUUCUAUUUCGCGCCACCGGGUUCUUAGCUGAUAGCCAUUUGUUAACUAAGUUCCAUCGUAUCCGUUGGAACCAUCGCUACACUUGUAGCCACUGGUCAAACCCUUCUACUAGUACUCAGCUGCGCUAUCCAGCUCUGUCUUUUCAUUUUUCAGAUGAACGCCCGCUCUGCCAGAAUUUGUCCCAACUGGUGGUUUAAUUUCUCAUAUUUUACUCACAAUCGAAAUUCAGGUGCAACUAUUAAAAGCAGAAUCAUGACAGUAGUAACUGAAUCAAUGUAAAAGCUCGCUUUGCUUCAGCUUUAUGCUGUUGCAACUGCUGUCAUCCAUGUACUGAUGCUCCCUAAGUAGUCGUACAAACCUCAUCAUCUACAGAUGAACAUCAUUGUCAGUAUAGCACUAGGACAAGGUUCCAUGUUAUUCCAACGAAUUUGGCUGCAUGAGAGAUUUCACAAACCGACACAUCUUCUCCAGGAAACGCCAUGGGGCCGCGGAAUAUUCCAUAUCUCUAUGCUAAGCUUUCAGGAAUUUCAGAAGUACAUGGGCGAUUUGAAUCAGGAGCGCGGGUCCUGUCAAGAAAUUUGGUCUGUCAGCCAUGUACUACGGUUUCAGAUAGUGUUUUUCCUUGAGGGGCAGUCAACAAGGGUGGGAGAAGCCUGAGUCAAGUCAGAGCUGUAUUUCUCUUUGUAGAAAAAGAAUGCAUGGUGAAGAGAUAAUGGGGGUGAUCCCAUGUAAUUUUUUUCCCCUUUAGCUUCUGUUAGUACUUGUCCUUUUAGCGUGAGAUAAAUCAUACAAGUAUUUCUCCUUGUAGCACAAACGUAUAUACAGACUAAGUUUUCCAUUCAUUCUUUGCAACAUCGUUGUACCUCAGCCUGCUUGUUGUGUGAAAGCAUAAAUAAAGCUCCUAAAAUGCUUCACCGAUUUUGUUUUGACCUUUCCAGCCCCCCUUUGAUUUGAAAUUAGAAGUGCUUUCAUGCUAGUUUUGCUCCCUACCUACGAAGAAGCAGAUCCUCUGAUUUUAUAUUAACAUGCAUGCGCUGCGCGUGUGUGGUGUGGUCACAGUAACCUGAGUCGUCUGUUGUUUGGAAGUAACUUGCUGCAGGACCAAGUUGGGAUGAAUGCAGUUACCAAAUUAGUGUGUCAAUUGCAAUGGAGCACUUAUCUCUAUCAUUACCAGUGGCAUUUCACAUCCUGUUCCCAUGUGGGAGCAUGCGUGUGGUCAGCGUGGGGCACUAAAAUUGAGAUGAUCCUCUUCUAGCGGAAUCAAGAAAAAGCCUUUUAGAUGAAAUAUAUACCUCGUAUUUAUUUGUUCUUCUCCUCACUUUUUACCCCUUCUGUACGCAUUUAUUUGUUUUUGUCAUAUCUUAAGGCUGAAACCAUUCUUGGAUGCUACAGUUGUUCGCUGCAAAAUGUAACAUGCGAGGCACACGAAUUCUCCUCUGUAGAGCAAAAAUCAAAGAUGUUGUAGAAAGUUGUGGCAGUGUAAAGCCCCUUGAUUCCCUGAACCAUGGCUAUCAUCAGUGUUUGACUGUCCGUGCGGCUGCUGCAACUAAUUCUGCUACGAGCAUCACACUAGUGGACUGUUCUUUUAAGAGAAAACAAACUGGUGAGUUAUUAGUUUUUUCAGCAACUAACCUUUUUAGGUGAUUUUUUAGUAGUGAACCAUUAGUGGUUAUUCGCAAAAAAAAGUGGGUUUUUUAGAUGAUUUUUUUUCUACUCAAAUGAAAAAACAUUAGUGGGCUGUUAGUGGAAAAGGACGAGGUGCUCUGUGCCUCAACAAGAACGUGGGCUCGUUUACUUGGGCUUUAAUCUGGGCUGUUUGGUAAGUCUACGGGGGCAAAGCUCAGACUCUGUAAGCUCCCCUCCACACUCGUCGGCGACAAGGCCAACGGAGAAUGUUAGAAUGCAUCGGAACAUGACCACAAGCAGCUCGUGUGCCAUCUGCGGAAAUACGGACUCUUGGAAGCAUAGCUUGAUUGAGUGUACUGCUGCCCGGUGUGUUUGGUCAUUGGUGGAUCAGGAGCUUAUUGAUGAUUUGCGAAGUAACACUGAAAAUGAUGCAAAGAAAUGGUUAUUUACUAUGAUCGAACAACUACCACACGACAAGUUCACCAAGGUAGCAGUUACCCUAUGGGCAAUAUGGUGGGCGAGGCGGAAGCUGAUCCAUGAAGGGUUGCAUCAAAGCCCUUUAUCCACUUACAUGUUCAUCACUCACUUCUUAUCAGAGUUGGAGGAGGAAAAGAAUCCAAUAAAGUCCCGUAUGAACAUCCCAGUUACUGCUGCACCAAGGAAGUGGAUUCCGGCCACUGGUGAUUAUGCUAAAAUCAAUGUUGACGCUGCUGUCUUCCGUGGAGUUGGUGCCGCUGCUGCAGUUUGCAGGAACAAUAACGGACAAUACCUGGGGUCCUCGGUGCUUGUCACUAGAGGGCUGGUUGAUCCGCCUACUUUGGAAGCUAUGGCAUGCAGAGAAGGAUUAUCGCUAGCGGAAGACCUGGGGCUGCAGAAACUAGUGAUUGCGUCUGACUGUCAAGAGGUGGUGAAGCAUAUCAAAGAAAAGUCAGGUGAAAACUAUGGUGCAGUUGUAAAAGAGAUUAUUUCUUGGCAAUCUUCUUUUAAUUCUUGCUGUUUUAAGUUUGAAUUUAGAGCCUCGGAUUUCGAUCCUCAUAAACUAGCUAGGCAUGCUGUAAAGUUAGAUCAUGGCCGCCACAUUUGGUUGGGGCAACCACAUGAUACUUCUGUAAUACCGGUAGCAAUACCAACUUUUGAAUAAAGCCUAGUUUGUUGCUCAAAAAAAGCAAGGCGGCCGCCGCCCAUGGCUCCGGCGGUGACCGUCGCCGCCGACGGCAGCUACGGCCUCCGUCUCCGUGGCCGCCCCCGACCCCUAAUCCGACGCCACUCGGUGAGCGCAUCUCCCUCCAAGCCCUUCUCUUCUCUCCCCGGCCAGUCUCGUAGGUGGGCCCAGAGCUAGAGGCGUUCGUCUUUCUCGUUUCGCUCGUUGAUUCAAUGCCUUAGCGUGAAGAGCAGAGCUGUUCUAAAUUAGGCCUCGUCAAUUUGACACCACUCUUCUUUUUUCUCUUUUUUUGUUCAAAGUAUCAACUGACACAGAUGAGCUGAAGUGUACUAAUCUAAUUAUGACAUUCUAAUAUCUUUUGUGCGUAGUUUGCUGGACUUGCUGAGAUAGAAGUUAAGCAUAUUUACAGGUUCAACCAAGUCCUGGAAGUAGCUAGAUUGUUUGCUCACCUUUCGGAAGAUGAUGUCAUAAUCGCUAUGUUAUCCACUCUUGCUCUGGUUUGAAAGGUUUCCCAAUCCAUUAUUUCGUUCAAAUAUCUGCCUGAGUAAUCAUUAACAUUACUGACCUAUCCUCCUUGAGUCAUGUACUUUUAGUUGUGCAUCUAUUUUCAGUCGAUGCAAUUGUUUGCAAUAUCACCAUAUCUCAAGCUGCUCUCGAAUGUCGAGAUGGUUGGUUGUUUUGCAAAAGCAUAAAUAAAGCUCCUAUAUAAAAUGGUUUGCUGAUUUUGUUUUUACCUUUCCGAUCUCCUUUUUGAUAUGAAUUGGAAAGGCUUUCGUGCUAGUUUUGCUCGAAAAUACUCCCUCCGUUCACUUUUGUAAGUCGUUUCAGACAACACAAAAUAGGUUGUUUUGCACAUUGUCUGAAAUGUCUUCAAGGUCUUAUAAAAAUGAACGGAGGGAGUAGUAUAUUUUCGAAGAAGCAAACCCUCUGUUUUGGUGUUAACAAGACAAGAAAAGAGCGCAAGAGGCAUCAGAUUGCACUUCCAAUGGUGGAUGCUGGCACAGAUUAGCAUAACAAGAGUGCAUGUGCUGUGCGUGUGCGGUCAUAAUAAUAAGCUGGAGGCGGAUUUCCACAAGAUAUUUGUACGUAGAUAAGAGUGCCGUGCCGUGGAGCACUGAUCUCUCUAUCACUACCGUACCCGAGGAAAUGGAGCUGCUGCAGUGCUGCAUCUGGACAAGGUGCAGACUCUGGUAGUCUCCUUUGACCCUGACACUUUGGCUGCAUCCUCCAGACCCUCGAGAUUCCUUGUCCUUGUGAUCGAUGCACUUGAUGUGGCUCUCGUUCCGUUCUUAAGUUGCUGCAGCCAACCGAGCCCAUCUUCAGCUUGAUUGGAGCGCUGCACUUGCGAAGGAUGCUUCUGUUAUUUCAGGAUUUUGAGGUAGGGUUACGAUGCAAUCUUCGGACUCUGUAUGUGUGCGUUUUAAAUUCUUAUUAUGCUAUCAGCACCUAAAUGACAAGAAACACAUGGUGUUCUAGCAUUCAACCUAUACAAUACAGUACUGUUCUAAUUGUGUGGUUUCAUCCAGUUAAAUCUACAUAUCUUGAACGGCACAAACACCUCUAAACAAAUUCUAGCUGCUUCAAUAUACUCCACAGGCAACUUCCUCAGGAGACUAAAAAGUUUGCGUGUUACGUGUGCUCUGCAGAACGAUAUUAAGGGGACAAAGCAAAAUCACCUAAGGGACAGGCAAACUGAUUUUGCAUUUGGCUGCUGGUGCCCCAGUUGGACAAUGACACCAUACUUUGUGGAGAAAAUAUCGCUUCUAGUUGCAAUGACAUCAUAGUUGUGACAUGGAUCGGAUAAGUAGGCUUAUGUGUGGUUCAGAUCUGUUUAUUGGUGCCCAUCCAAUAACUGAAAUGGACCACACCAUCCGCUGAAAACAACCACCCUGUUGACCAAGUGCUGCGACAAGGUUCAUGCACCUGUGCCUUGAGGAUUCAGUGCCACAGGUAAUUUGCAUCUCAUUAUCACACCACGCAGGCACAAGCAAUGAAGCAAGGAUAAUGCGUAAAUCGGUAGCCACCCCUCGGGCAUCACCUUGCUCUAUUUUUGGUUGAAUAAAAUCAAAGAGGUACAUGUGGUCCGAGAUGAAAGACAAAAAGAGAAGGCAUUCCCAGUCCCAGCACUCCACCCUUGACCUUUCUUCUUGCUAGUCCUCCUCCUCUUGCAGCAUCAGUGCGAGCACCAGGCGGGAGCAUGGCCAGCCAGCCUCUGGUAUAUAUAUAGCCUCCCUCCUGCCAUUAGUACUUAGACUAAUAACAUAGACAACUCUUACACAAUACAUACAUAAUUCGAAAGAAGUGCAGAACCAUUUUGAGGUAGUGGUUUGGACAUGUGUAUCUCUUAAUUUCGACCCAAAUAAGUUGUUAGAAGAGAUUAAAGGGAAAAUCCCUAGAGUUGAAGGGGAAAAGGAGGGUGGAGUAGAUAACGUGAUUGAACAAAGACUAAAAUCUAAAAGGUUUUUAAUUAUAUUGGACGAUAUGUGGAAAUUUGGUGAUCAGGAGGAUUGGCAAAGGUGGUUGUUGCCAUUCAAAAAAUCACAAACGAAAGGUAGCAUGAUUCUAGUCACAACUCGGUUUCAAGCACUAGCAGAAAUAGUUAAAACAAUUGAUCAUUAUAUAGAACUGAGAGGCUUAGAACCAGAAGAGUUUAAGAAGUUAUUCCUAGCAUAUGUCUUCGGUGACGAGGAUUCUAGAAGGGAUCACACUUACUUGCUUGAGACUGGAGAUAAGAUAAUGGAAAAACUAAAGGGAUCGCCUCUUGCGGCAAAAACUGUUGGUAGAUUACUGAGAGAUCACCUCAAUUUGCAUCAUUGGAAUAUGGUUCUUGAAAGUAAAGAAUGGGAGGCGCAAACUGGCAAUCAUGACAAUAUGCCUGCCUUGAAGCUUAGUUAUGACUAUCUCCCUUUCCAUAUCCAACAGUGUUUUUCCUAUUGUGCAUUAUUUCCUGAAGAUUACAAGUUUCGUAGCAAACAACUCAUUCACUUCUGGAUAGGACUCGAUAUUUUACAUUCUAGUGGCCAAACCAGAACAUUAGAAGACAUAGGUCUGAGCAAUUUAAAUGAUUUGGUCACCCAUGGUUUCUUCAGAAAAGAAGAAACCAGUGGAGAGCCAUAUUAUAUUAUCCAUGACCUACUACAUGAUUUAGCAUUGAAGAUUGCAUCUCAUGAAUGUCUUAGCUUGAAUUUUCCAAAUGUGAGAUCAGUAGAAAUUCAUCCAUGCACCCGUCACCUGUCCGUAAUCAUAGAUAGCGUAGAUUAUAAUAAUGCAAUGGUUGGUGAAAACUUCAGGAAUGAACUGAGAAAACUAGAGGCAAGAUUCAUGGUCGAAAAUUUGCAAACAUUGAUGGUGUUUGGAGAAAUGGAUGAAUGCAUUGCUAGUAUUUUUGGCGAUUUUCUUAGGCAAGCACAUGCUCUUCGUGUUCUUUUCUUGCCCAAAAUGUGUGUUCCCGUUGAAUCUAUGUUACAUAAAUUUUCAGCACUAGUCCACCUACGGUACCUAAGUCUAGGGCCAAUAACUGGGAUGCGCUUACCAUACACAAUCUCUAGAUAUUAUCAUUUAAAGAUUUUGGAUCUAGAAGAAUGGCAUGAAUGUCAUUAAUUAUGUGCCCAAAGACAUGUGCAACCUUGCAAAAUUGUGCCAUAUUCCUACAAAGUAUGACGGGCUUCAUUCUUCUAUUUAUAAUGUGGGAAAACUGAAACUCUUACAAGAGUUAAAGGCAUUCAAAGUCGGCAAUGAAAGUGAAGGGUUUGAACAAAAGCAACUAGAGGAUUUGGUCGAGCUAAGGGAACUUGGCAUCUAUAACCUUGAGAAAAUACACACACAAGAAGAAGCAGCCAAAGCAAAAUUGUUAAACAAAAACUACUUGCGCGUUUUAAAAUUAUCUUGGGAUAAUGGGCAAUCUAACUCUAAACCUGACAUGGAAGGAUUGGUUCUUGAGAGUCUUCAACCACAUAGAAAUCUUCAAGAGUUGUGCAUUAGAGGGAACAGAGGCCCUUCUUGUCCAACAUGGUUAGAUGAUAAACUCAGUGUUGAAGCUUUACAAUCUCUUCAUCUUGUUCAUGUUUCUUGGGAUGUUUUCCCUUCUUUUGGCAAGAUGUGGGAUCUUCGUGAAAUAAUAUUGGAUCAUAUUCCCACAAUAAAGGAGUUUAGUCUAGAGCAAAGCUUUUGCAAGCUAGUAAAGAUUACACUCAUUGGCUUAGAAAAUUUUGGAAAAUGGGUACCACGGGGCAGUCAUUUAUUCCCUUGUUUGCAAGUACUGAUUAUUAAGAAUUGCCCUAAAAUCUCGGAGUUGCCAUGUUCAAGCCAUUUUGCUUACCCACUGAAACAAGACGGCAACAUAGAUUGGUUUCCCAAACUACAAGAGCUUAAGAUAGAAAAUUGCCCUGAAGUCUUGCUACUGCCUCCUAUCCCUUGGACCCAAUCUUUGUGCUCUGUCGAGAUAAGUGAUGUGGGAUCAAAACUAGUGAACAGGUUGGUCUACUCAAAAUCAUCUUCUGGAGUAGCAUUGGAAGUUAAUGCAAAGGAUGGUCUGCAUAACUUAGAUCAGGUGUUACUAUUCAGUCAACUAAAAGAACUUCAGGAGUUGGAGAUAACAAAUUGCCCACCUUUGGAGCUGAAUUAUUUUCUAAUGCUAGCCUCAUUGAAGGAAUUGUGGGCAUUGUCUUCAAAUCAUGGGGUGCUGGCAUCAGAAGUUGAGAGUGGUGUCGAAUGGCAGCAUCCUGUUGAGGACAUUAAAAUUUGGGUUUCUAAUUCUAGUGGAAAGGAAUUGACGCAGUUCUUGUCUCAUCUCCCAAAGCUAUCCAAACUGGGAAUAUAUCGUUGUGAAAACAUAACACAGUUUGCUGUGGGGGUGGAUUUGCAGCAAACAACAUCACCAGUAUCAUCGUCAACCUCUUCAGAUGUUACAAUUGAUGAUACACAAGCAAAAGAUGAGCAGCAAGAAAUAGCAGAGGUGGAGAAGGAUGAUAGGUUGUUGGUCCUCCCUGCACAUCUCUCCAAUUCUCUGCAGACGUUGAGCAUCAUCAACUGUGAUGAUUUUGUAGUUCAUUCCCUCAAUGCCCUCCAAGGCCUAACUUCCCUUUGGUUAGAAGAUUGCUCUUUUUGCCACCCUUUCCCAUCCUCCCUGCUACACCUGGACCUUUCGUCCGUGAAGGGCGUGCAGACCCUUUCAAACCUCACCUCUCUCACCCGAUUAAACAUAUCUGGUUGCGGAGAGGAUUUAAGAUGCGAGGGCCUGUUCCCUGUUGCCUCUCCUUACUCGGGGCCACCUCAGCCAAUUAAAGGUCCGAAGAAGCCCCAAUUUGUUUGGUGGGUGGGAUCCCAAUCCCAUGCGGCGGAUGACAGAAUCCAAACUGCAGAAUCUCGAGACAGAUGACAUCGAGGGCUUCCUCGAUGCGCCCGCCCUCUCUUCCUCCCUCACAUCGUUGGACUUUACUGGGAACAAAGAGAAGACGUGCUUCACAAAGGAGCAGGAGGAGGCCUUUCAACGUCUCACCUCGCUCCAGGAAUUCCAGUUUUGGUAUUGCCGCAAGCUGCAGCACCUCCCUGCAGGCCUAAACAAGCUGACCAACCUCAAGAGAUUACGGAUCUGGAGUUGUCCAUCCCUUCGGUCGCUGCCCAAGGGCGGCCUCCCGAGUUCACUGCGAGAAUUAAAUGUCAACGAGUGCGACAAUGAGGAGCUAACAAAGCAGUGCAGGCGGUUAAUGGGGACCAUCCCGGAAAUCACACUAUAGGCUAAUCCAAGGUAACAGACACUUCCUUGCUCGUACCUAUUCUCGAUUUUCACCAUUGCCCUUACUUUUUCCUGAUCCCACAGACACCCAACUCAUUUUUCUUUGGGUUUGGUCUUUGGUGUACGUUGCUACUGCAUAUUCUGAAAAUUGCUUGAUUCCAUCAACCGUGCAGCUGGUCCGUGCACCACUUUCACCUUGUGGAAUUAUGCCCAUCUGUGGACAGUUGGCACAUGAGGUACUGUGUGGUAUUUUCUUCAUGAGGUACUGUAAGUAUCUGCUUAUAGUCAUCUGUGUUGGUACAUGUAAAUUGUCUGAAAAGUAUCUGCUUAUAGUCAUCUGUCUGAUCAAAAUCGCUCCCACUUCUAUUAGUUUAAAAUCACUGCUCAGGUUCGGCCACAUGGGUGUUUGGUUUCUGUUAUUAUUGCAUUAGUCUGAAUGGUGCGUGUUUUUUAUACUAUUCAGGUUCGGCCAUGAAGUUGUAAAUUUUUCCGUCCUUGUACAAUUCUCUGCAUUGACACACUGUUCCGACAUCAAAGCCUUGAGUGGCACUUACCUCUCAGCAGAAACUAAUAAUUAUGGUACGUGUAUGUAAUAUCAUAAUUUACUUUCCGUAGAAACUAAUGCAUGGUAUUUACCUUGCUUCUUUCUAAUCCCAUGUGUCAAGUCAAAUUUUCUUCGUUUGGUUUACCUCAUUACUGCACAAUUUCAAGUCUGAUCAAAAUGUUUAUUCUAUUUACUAUAUAUGCAGGGCUCCAUCUUGGAGUUGUACAUUCUUCUAGCUUUGUAAAGUUCUCUCCAUACACGUAUGUGCAGGUGGCAUAUGAGGGUCUAGUAUGAAAACCCAUAAAUCUGGUUAGUAUGUAUAACCAUGUUCACUGUAUAGCUAAUACCAUUUCAAAGUACUUUGUCUCUCCCUAGACAAACUUUGUGAUGUACUCAAUAAUUUUUUUCUUAAUAGAUGUGGCCUGUGGCACAACGUGGGGAAUCAACACAAUUCAGUAGGCACAUGAUUGUGAAGGUAUAACCCUUUCGUGCCCACGGAAGGUUUCAUGGUUGCCUUAGCUAUGCUAGAUUGUAUUCAAUGUGCAAUUGUGAAACUCUUAUUUCCUCAUGAGACCUAGGUUAGAGAAAUUACUGCAUUCUUGCUAAGUUGGCAGUCUAGCUGUUGAGCUCGCUUAUAAUUUCUGAAUUCAUUGCCAUACUGAAUUAAAUAACAUAAGAGAGUUUUCAGCUGAUACAUGUAGCCGUGAAGGUAGAGAACACCUGUUGUCGUUGGGUGAUUGAUGAACAUUGAUUGAGCAAAAAGGCCUGAGCUUGCUAAUUUUUAUUCACAGAACCUCCCAAUUUAAGUAUGGUGAAGGUGAUUUUAUUCUUUUGUUCUGGAGUAUUUUUUCUAUCCCACCAAUGCCAAAAUCAGAGCAGAUUUCAUGAGCCUUAUUAUUGCAAUCUGAAUAUUUAGUGUGUAUUGUUAAGUUUGAUGUUCCUCCAGUCUGAAGUCUUUCAAAACCAGUCAUUCUUUUUUCGUAACAUUUGGUUGCUAGCCUCUUCAACACUCGGCACUGCAUUCCUUCACCAGGAUACUACAAACUCCACCGGUGUACAUAUACAAAUCCCAGAAACUAAACCAAUUUCUUCCAUGUGUUCACACCAUACCUACCUAUAUAUCAUACAUCUAUCGCUAUUCCAUUGUAGUUGAUUAUUCCAUAAGCACACACAUCAAGUUGAAGAACACUGCAAAUUUCAUGAUUGAAUAUUCCUCAAAAUGGAUGCCUCUCUCACAAACAAAUGAAUGAAAUAGUCAGCAUCGCUUCCAUAUUCAUGUACAAAAUGACUAAUCAGCCUUUUUCGCGUGCGAGGCUAAUCGACCUACUACCUUUGCGAAAGGUAUUGAUAACAGGAACAACACUCACAUCAUUGGGUAACCUUACAUUACACUCACAUCAUUGGGUAACCUUACAUUGCAUAGGCAUCUCAAUCAUUUCUUUGGCGUGAGUCCAUCCCCUCCCACAUCAUCUGACACACUACUUUUUCCAAUGACUGGAAUGUGAAGACUUCUUUGUACUGGAGUUGAACUCUUAUUUAGCUUUACAAUCUAGAUUUCAGAUUUGCUAAAUUUUUUGAAUUACCUUACCAAGCUCCAGAUAAGCUUUCCACAAAUCUAAAGUAGAUAGGAAACACUACAGCCAUUGGCCAAUGAGGACUAUUAUUACAUGAUGAGAGCAAUUCCGGAUCAUGAUGAGGCAAUCUCACUAAACACCUGCUCUUGGAAGGUCAACAAAGGAUUAAAAUUGUUGGCAACUCUUGUUUCCUUUUGCUCUUGAUAUUGAAGUCAAACAACCCAGCGACUUGGUGUUCGAAAACUUUGAAAGUUAUACGGUUGAUGCUGACCAUUCUCAUAAAAUGAAAAGAACUCUCCUGAUGGCAAUGAAUAAAGUUGUUAUUUAAGCAUGUGCUCGAUUGUUAGGUUGCUACUCUGAUGAGUUUGUGAGAAGUGUCUCGGCCCGAAGUCUAUGAGGUUUUAAAUAAUUGUUUGCACAUGAGCACAUGCUUGCAGUCUCUCUAUGCUAAGCUUUCAGGCACUUCAGAAGUACAUGGGUGGUUUGAAUCAGGAGCCUACUGCGGUUGGAGAAGCCUGAGUCAAGUCAUAGCUGUAUUUCUCUUUGUAGCAAGAGAAUGCAUAGUGAAGAGAUAAUGGGGUGCUACGAUUUUUUCUUUUCCCUUUAAUUAGCUUCUGUUAGUACUUGUCCUUGUAGCCUGAGAUAAAUCAUACAUGUAUUUCUCCUUGUAGCAUGAAUGUAUAUACGGACCAAAAUUUGCAACCAUUUGUUCCAGUAUGUGCACAAAUGUAUUUUCAGUCAACGAAGAGGCUGUAGAAAGUUGGGGGCAGUUUAAGGCCCUGCGGGGGAUGGAUGUAAAUUUAUACACAUGUAUUUAUUUUACAAGUGUAUAUUACUGGUCACAGGCUGAUUUCCGACUGGAAACAAAAUGACGCGUCGAGACGUGUAUCAUAAACCGGCGGAAUACGAGGGGAAACGCUAAACCAAGCAGGGCCUAAGCCCCCUGAACGUCUGUGAUGCUGCUGCAAGAAUUUUUUCAUCUAAAAAUCACACUUUUUUAUGGAACGGAGAGGGUCACACCAGUGUUUUUUUAGCAAACUAGUUUUCUUUAGACUAACGAACUUGUUUUUUGUUACAGUAAUUAGGGACUUUAUUCAAAGUUCAUAACAAGAGGAAUACAAAUAAUGUCUGGACGAUUCCUUUGCCAGCACAUGAGAUUUGAAAUUAGCAUCCCUAUUCUCAUGACGAAAGACGGCAGCCGGAAACUCCUUUGCCCUGCAAGACCCAAAGGACAUGGAAGCUGACAAGGACAAAAAACCCAAAUCUGGAGGACCAGUUCAGAACUCUCUCUCAGAAGGCCCCUGCUAAGUCCAGAACACCUUUGGAGCUAGUGCAUUCACUAGAGAAAAAAGUGCAAAGUGCUAUACUGGGACUAAAAGCUGAUUCUAGCAAGAAGAAAGAAGUGAAGAAGAAGGAUCUUGAAGAUAACAUUGGUGUUCAGCUGCUGAAGCAAUUUGAUGAAGAGUCUGAUGGGGAUGGUGCCACCUUGGAGGAGCCAAGGCCACAAAAAUCCAAGUGGGGGCAUGUGGUGGCACCCAUGGUGAGUGCCAGUAUCAAAAAAGAUGGGAGAAAUGCUAUUUGGAAAGCUGAAGACCUUAGAAGACUUAAAGAUUUGGAAGUUCCUAAAGGUAACAAAAACUAUAAUUCCUUUUCUGCUUUUAAUGAUGAAGAUUUACUCUUGAAAGCUAGAAAAGCAGGUUUAAAAUUAGGUGAGAAUGAUAAUGUUAUUUCUCAAAAUAUACAAGUCAUGAAGCAAGUGGAGGAAAGCAGGCUAUCUGCAUGUAAAGACACUCAUCCUGAGUGUUUCCUCCCUGCUAAUCUAGACUUGAAUCCUGAUGAUUUUAGAGUAGAUCUUGCAGAGAGUUCAGCCACAGGAUGUGUUGACACUAGUGAGCACCCUGCAGAUGCCUCUACAUGGGCUGAGGUUGUCUCUGGUAGAAAGAGUAGUUGUAGAAAACUAGAUUUUAAUAAUGGUAGUAAGUCUAUUGUGGAAUGCUAGAGGUUUGAAUAAACCCGAGAAACUCAGGGCAGUGGGUAAGCUCAUUAGAGACACCCGUGCUGGCUUGAUUGGUUUUUCUGAAACUAAGAAGGAGUCUUUAAUUGACUUACAAAUUGCCAGUGUAGAUCCACAGGGUAGAUACUCCUGGCACUGGUUGCCUGCUGUGGGCACUACUGGGGGUAUACUUGUGGGGGUUAGUACAAAAUAUUUUGAGGUGGUUUCCACAGAUAUUCUAGAUUUCUCUAUUUCUUGCAUCCUUAAGGAUAAGAAGAAUAAAGUUGAGUGGAGAUUUAUUUCAGUUUAUGGGUCAGCGUAUGAUAGACUCAAACUAGAGUUCAUAAAUGAGCUACAUAAUAUUCUUGAUACAUGGUUGGGACCCACAAUUAUUGGGGGUGACUUCAACCUGGUCAGAAGUAGUCAAGAGAAAAACACUGGGGUUGUUAACGUGCAGUAGGUAACCCUGUUCAAUGACUGGGUUAACAAAUAUGGCUUGACUGAGCUUAAUAAUUCUAGUAGAAAGUAUACUUGGGCCAAUAACCAGGAUAAGCUGGUUAUGGCUAAUAUUGAUAAGGUUUUCAUUUCCACCUGCUGGGAAACUAUCUUCCCGGUUGUACAACUCAAAGCUCUUCCUAGAGUGGGUAGUGAUCACACUCCUCUAGUGGUAGACACUGGAGCUAUCCAGCGACCAAAAAACAAGCAAUUUAGGUCUGAAAAAUGGUGGUUAGGGGUAGAAGGUUUAGAAGACAUGGUGAAGAAAUGUUGGAAUGCUCCACGCUCUAUCAAAGAUCCUUUGGAUAGUUGGCAAUAUAAAAUUAGAUUACUUAGAAGAAUUUGCAAAGGCUGGAAUGCCAAUUAAGAGGCUGCCCAGAACAUAGAGAAACAACAGUUGGUUGCUGAGUACAAUUUAUUAGAUAUAGAGUCUGAAAGUAAAGUACUUUCUCCUCCUUCUAAAAACAGGAUGGACAAAAUUGCUUCUGGUCUUCAAAAAAUAUGGAGACUGGAGGAGAUUAAGUCCAGGCAGAGAUCCAGGGAUAGAAAUAUUCUAGAGGGGGGGUGGGGGAGAAAUACUGCUUACUUUCAUGCUAUUGCUAACCAUAGAGGGAGGAAAAAGCAGAUAGGCAUGCUUGUGGGACCAAAUGGCCCUAUAGAGUCAACUAGGGAUAUGAUGGAUAUUGCUGUAGAUUACUACAAAAAACUGUUUGGUAAAGAGGAUCCCCUAGAUAUUUCUUUGGAUGAAGAUUUUCGGGACCCUUCUGAAAAAAGUUUCUGAGGAUCAAAAUAGAAUCCUAGAAACUGAUAUUACUGAAGAGGAUGUAAAGAAAGAAGUCUUUGGAUCUUAUGCUGAAGGGGCUCCUGGCCUUGAUGGAUUUCCUUUCCUUUUCUACCAACAUUUCUGGUCAACCAUUAAGGAUGAUCUUAUGUUGUUGGUGGAGGCUUGGAACCAGGAUUCUUUAGACUUAUAUAGAUUAAUUUUUUCUCUGUUAACUCUCAUUCCAAAAGAGCCUGGUGCUGACACUAUUCAAAAUUUAGACCAAUUGCUUUGUCCAAUUGCAGUUUCAAAAUUUUUGCUAAGUGUUUGGCCAACCAAUUAGGAGACAUUGGUGAUGAGAUUAUCUCUCAGAACCAAACUGCUUUUAUUAAAGGCAGGUUUAUUGUGGAGAGUGUUGUGACAGCUCAUGAAAUUAUUCAUGAUGUUGUGACACAUGAUAAAAAGGGUUUUGUCUUUAAAUUGGACUAUGAGAAGGCUUAUGAUAGAGUUAGUAAAGAAUUUCUCCUGAAAAUUAGGUAUCAAAGGGGUUUUAGCCCCAAAUGGAUGAUGAAAGUUAAAUCCAUUUUAUACAUAGGAUCAGUGGGAGUUAGGAUUAAUGAUUUUAACAAUGAGUUUUUUGAGAUCUUUAAAGGAGUGAGACAGGGAGACCCUGCCUCCCCUCUACUAUUUAACUUAGUAGCGGAUGUGUUUAGUAGGAUGCUUAAUAAAGCAGCCAAAAGUAACAUGUUGACUAGGUUGAUGACCAAUAUAUUUCCACAGGGGGUGACAAAUCUGCAAUAUGCAGAUGAUACCCUCCUUUUUAUAGAAAACAACCUGGUCUCAGCUAGAAAUUUGAAAUGGCUUCUAUCCUGCUUUGAACAUAUGUCUAGGCUUAGAAUAAAUUUCCGUAAAUGUGAUCUAAUCCCUAUUAAUGUUCAAGAGGAUGAUGCUCAUAGCCCAGGCCCUGUCCUGUGGACUGGGGUCUUUUCCUUUAAAAUACCCGGGGUUUCCUAUUCAUUACACCAAGCUCAGGAGAGAAGACCUGCAACCUGUGGUUGAUAAGGUGCUGAAGAGAGCUGCUGGAUGGAGAGGUAGACUACUAGGUUAUGAGAAGAAAUUGGUAUUAGUUCAGUCAUGUCUAGCUAGUAUUCCCACAUAUCUGAUGAGCAUGAUAAAAUUCCCCAAGUGGGCUAUUAAUUUGAUCAACUCACAGAUGGCUCAUUGCUUUUGGGAUAAUUAUGAGGGACACCAUAAAUAUCACCUUGCCAACUAGGGGUUGGUGACCCAGAAAAAACAAUAUGGGGGCUUGGGGAUCCCAAAUAUUGCUGAGGUGAACUUAAGUCUACUAGCCUCCUGGGUUUAUAAAUUUCAUAAUGGUGAUAGCAAGAUGUGGAAGCAGAUUGUUGACUAUAAGUAUAGAGCAAAUAAUUCCAAUAUAUUCUCCUGCCCUGAUACUAACUCUUCUCCUUUUUGGAAAGGGGUUUUAUGGGCUGCUAAAGCAGUCAAGCAUGGGUAUCAAUGGAAAGUGGGCAAUGGGAAGAGAGUCAAAUUUCGGGAAGAUCAUUGGUGUGGGUCGUGUAGCUUGGCCAUUCAAUUCUGGGAAUUUUAUAGUAUUGCCAAUGAGCAUAACCAAGCUAUUGCUGACCUUUGGGAUGGGAGUAACCUUAAAAUCACAUUUAGAAGAUGUGUUGAUAAUAGAUUGCUUCUCUUGUGGUAUGACUUGUUAAAUAUUGUGCAAUCUGUAACCUUUUGUGAUGAAGAUGAUGCUUUAAUAUGGAAACAUGAAUCUAAUGGUAUAUAUUCUGUUAGAUUAAUGUAUGCCAUGAUUAAUUUUAGGGGCAUUAGCCCAGUUCAUAUUCCUGACAUGUGGAAAAUUCAUGUCCCCCCCAAUAUACACAUCUUUUUGUGGCUGCUAGCUCAUAACAAAUUAUUGGUUAGGGAGAACCUUGUUAAGAGGCAACACUUAAAUGAUUUAUCCUGCUUGUUCUGCUCUGAAGGUGAAAAUAUCAAUCAUUUGUUCUUUGAAUGUGUUGUAGCUAUGGAAAUUUGGAAAAAUAUCCACUCCAUCUUAGGUUGCCUCCAAUUACCUGCUCUUGAUAAAGUGGCAGAAAUGUGGAGUAGAAAUAAAAAUUUGCAAGCUGAGAAUCUUGUUAUAUCAGCUACUCUCUGGGCUAUCUGGAGAUGCAGAAAUGACAUGUGUUUUGAUAACACAAUAUGGAUGGGUGUGCAGGUGGUACUGAGAAAGAUUGCAGGAUAUUGCAACAUUUGGAAGAUCCUCUGCAAAGAAGUUGCAAGAGAGCGCGUGGAGAUGAUCAUUGUAGCUAUCUGGGAGGCUGCAAAAAACACUACAAGAAAUAUGUCAACUUGUGACCUUGACUAUUGGUCACUGAAAGGUUAUUGUUUUUCAUUUGCGACCUUUUUGUGACCAAAAACAGAAGGUCAAAAGCUGGCAGUCGUAAACUGAAAUUAACGACCUUCUCCGUGAGAAGGUUGUAGACGUUUACGACCAAAACAGAAGGUCGUUGAACCCAUGACCUUUUGUUUUGGUCACUGGCUAUCUGCCCAGGCCACGUCGGAUCCGACGUGGCAAUCUGACGUGGCAAAAUUACGACCAAUUCAAAAGGUCACUGACAAGAUUCAGCCCGGUCCGAUUAGGUGUUUUAGAUGGGCCGAGCCCAACAUGGCAAAACCAUCGCUGCUGCUCUGGCCAGAGCCAGGCUGAAGAGAUACAAGCUUUGGUUGCACUACUCCACGCAAAAGAUGGGAGGCUCGAUGGACAUGGAGGAGAUAGUUGAGGGCUAGGCCUCAUGUCCCUUCUGUGUGUGUGUGUGGAGAAAUGCCAGUCGCUAGUUCUGCUUAAGAACCUUUUUAGCUAGGUCUGUUUCAGAUGUUUUUAUGUAUGUGGGACUCAGGAAGUGUGUGCUGGAGAGAUAUCACAAUCUCCUCCCGCGGUCUGUAUUUGAUAUUGUACUCUGUGGGUUUCAUUUUCUAUGGAAAUGGAACUGGGGCAGGAGCCCUUUUCAUCUAAAAAAACUCCUUUGCAAUGUGUUGCGGAUCCCAUGCAAUCUGUUGCAAUGAUCAGGUGUGACAAGUUAAGGGGAGCUCCUAGUUGGCGCUCUAAGCCCCACUUUCCUGAACCAGAUCUAGCUACUCGCAUGCAGAGCUUCGUGCGCCAGCUCCUGUGCCAGCCCAGGAAAGGAGACGAUCCCUGGAUCGGGGAGUAACUCAUUUCCUGUUUUCUUCUAAAAAAUAAGCUCGUUUCCUGUUCCGUGGUCAUGGUUGACCGGUUGACUUUUCCACAAAAUAUUUUUCAUAAAAAACCACAAAAAUGAAAAAAAAAGAUCACCAAAUUCGAAGAAAGUUCACAAAUUUGUAAAAAGUUCAUCGCUUUUGAAAGAAGUUCAUCGAAUUUGAAAAUAAAAAUCAUCAAUUUAUAAAAAAAUUCAUCUAAUUUGAAAGAAGUUAAUCGAUCUUUAAAAAAAGUUCACCAAAAUUGAAAAAGUUCAAGACUUUUGAAAAAAAGUUCAUCAAAAAAAUAUAAAUAGGGGCAAGGGGCAGCCCGGUGCAUGUAGCUCCCGCUUGCGCAGGGUCCGGGGAAGGGUCCGACCACUUUGGGUCUAUAGUACGCAGUCUUUUCCUACAUUUCUGCACUGCGCCAAGGCUCCCCUUCGAAAAAAGUUCAUCGAAAAAUAUAAAAUACUUGUUUAAAAAAAUUAAAUGCUUCAUUAACAUUUUAUAAUACAUGAUCAAAAAAAUUAUACACAUUUUUAUUAUACAUUUGUCGUAUACAUUAUAAACAUUUUCUUCAUAUGCAUUUACCGUUUAAGUUUUUUAAUAGAGUAUUUUUGUAAUAUAUAUUUAGAAUAUUUUAAUUUAUAAACAAAAGUUAGAAAUAAAGCAAAAUACGUAACAGAAAACGUAAAAAACAGAAAAAAAAAGGAGGUUGUGGCCUCCCGUUUACCUGCUCAACAACAUGGGCUCGUUUACCUGGGCUUUGUACUGGGCUUUUUGGUACAUCUCGCGUCUCUGUGACCCACUCCAGUCGUCGGCCCACACGAGUCACACAAGGAGGAGGACAACAAAACAGGAAUUUCCUAUUCGCCGCUUAUUGCGGCAAGUAGUCGCCGCUUCGCACAGGCGCAGCUCACCAUGGGCCGGCGCAGCCGCCGCGACUGGCUUAUGCAUCUGUAAUAUUAGCAAUGCUAAACUUAAAGAAACUAAACACGAGAAAAAAACGAUUUGUUCUUUCUACUGCUUUUUCUUCAGUCUUAUUCUAACUUUCUUUUUUCUCGUUUUCUUUGUCUUAUUCUGUUUUAUUUUUUACUUUUUCUUUGUAAGCUUUUUGAAAAGUUCAAAUAUGGUUCAGAAUUUUUAAAAAUAUUCUUUUUGUCAAAAAUUGUUCAUAUUUCUGAUAUAGUGUUCACAUUUACAAAAUUUUGUUCACAAUUGCGAAAAUGUUCCUGAUUUUUUUUUGUUUUCUUUCUUUUUCUUCUCUUUUUCUCAAAUGAAAUUCAAAAUAUUCAAAUUUUGUUCGUAUUUUCAUAAAUCAGUUUUCGAAAAAAUGUUCUCCAAUUCAAAAUUUGUUCCCAUUACACAAAAAGUUCAAAACUUUCAAAAUGCAGAAAGUAUACCGGAUUUCAUAAAAUGUUCGUAUUUUCAUAAAAUGUUCGGGCUUCCAAAUUUGUUCGGGGUUUUCAAAAUUGUUCUCUAUUUCCAAAAUUUGUUCUCAAAUUCAAAAAAAUGUUUGUGCUUUAAAAAAUUGUUCAUGCUUCCAAAUUUGUUAGGGAUUUUUCAAAAUUGUUCUCUAUUUCAAAAUUUGUCCUCCAGAUUCAAAAAAUGUUCGUGCUUUAAAAAAUUGUUUGCGCUUCCAAAUUUGUUCGGGAGUUUUCAAAAUUUGUUCUCAAGAUUCAAAAAAUGUUCGUGCUUUAAAAAUGGUUCGCGCUUCCAAGUUUGUUCUCCAUUUCCAAAUUUGUUCUAAAGGUUCAAAAAAUGUUUGUGCUUUAAAAAAUUGUCCGUGCUUCCAAAUUUGUUCUCUGUUUCAAAAUUUGUUCUCAAGAUUCGGAAAAUGUUUGUGCUUUAAAGAAAUGUCACAAAUUCCAAAAAUGUUUGGGAAAUUCAAAAGUUGUUUGUGUUUCCAAAUUUUGUUUCAAAAUUUGUAAAAUUGUUCCUGUUCAGUUUUUUGGGUAGUUUAAAAAAUGUUUCCGUUCUAAAAAAUAUGUUCGCGUCUCCAAAAUUCGUUAGUGUGUUGAAAAAUGUUUGAGUUUUCUCAAAAUUUGUAAAAAAAACUAAUAAUGUUCGCGUUUGAUAAAACAUUCACGUUUUGUUUUUGCUAUUUGGAAAAUCGUAAAGGAUGUUUUUCAAACAGUCUUAUACUUUCUUUAGUUCUUGUAGCUUUCCGCUGUAUUUUGGUCAACUGAGAGCUUCUAUCCUAGUGGCUAGUAGGGUUCGAGUGCAAGUCGAAAGUGCUGUGUUCGAUUCCCAUCCAUCACGCUCUGCUAUUUUUUUUUUGCCAAUUAUCACUUGUAUUUGCAGCGUACUCCAAAUGGGCCGGCCCAAUCGGCGCACCGCAGUCGCCCCCUGUGCGUCGGCGCCCUGUUGGACGCAACGAGCGUCCAGUAGGAGCUCCCAACAAAACAGGCCGGCCGCGCCGCCGCCGGCGGCAGCUACGACCUCCACCUGCGCCUCCGAGCUACGGGACCGCCUCCGAGCUCUCUCAUCCAACGCCACUCCGUAAGCGCCUCUCUCUCCAAACCCUUCUCUCCCCCGGCCGGUCCCGUAGGUGGGCCCAGAGGCGUUUAGCUGAGGAGGCUGUUCUAGAUUAGUAGACCUCGUCAAUUUUCUCUGUUUUGUUUUGUACUCCCUCUGUAAACUAAUAUAAGAGUGUUUAGAAUAGUGAUCUAAACACUCUUAUAUUAGUUUACGGAGGGAGUACUGUAUUUGUAUAUGGUGGAGUAAAUCAAAGUAUCACCUGACAGAGAUGUGCUGAAGUACUCCACUGUAUAUAUAUGAUCUAAUAUGACAUUCUAAUAUUGUUUUGUGCGUAGCUUGCUGAACUUGCUGAGAUGGAGGUUAAGCAUAUAUAUACAGCUUCGACCAAGUUCUGGAACUUGGAAAGAUUCCCUUCAGGAAGAAAUAGCUAAGUUGUGUUUUGCUCACCAUUGGGAAGGCGAAGUCAUAAUCGUUAUGCCAUCCACCCUUGCUCAGGUUUGAAAAGGUUUCCGAUCCGUUAUUCCGUUAUAAUAUCAGAUCUUGACAGGUUAAUCGGUCACCUUACAAAUGCUUUUUAUUUCUCUGUAACAUCAGCAUUCACAUUCAGAGAGCUUCCCGGUGCCAGAUCGUGCCAAGGAGGUUUGCUUGUGUUGGUUUUGACAGAUCAUUCGGCAUGGAGUUCCUCCCGUCUUUGGGGCUGCUAGUUUUGGACACGCACUCACACCUUAUUAAUUUUGUAUAUGCUCUCUGAAGGUAUGUCAUAUUUAUCGUACAACUGACUGCAAAUAAAAUUAAAUGCACUAUGUUCUCUGUUUUAGUGUAUCUCUUUCCCUCUUCUGAUUUCUCUAAUCGUUCUAAAUUGAAACAAUUAGUGUGAUAUUUUAUUUCACUCCCAAAUUUAGUCAAUGUAAGAAUGAGAUUUCCUAAAAUAUCAAUGACUAUGUGGUGCAUUCCUGGAAUAACAAGGAUUGGGCGAUGCAUAUGUAGCCCUGGAUUUUUCUUCCCAAAACUUCUUUACAUACAUAUCAACAUUUUCAACUCUGUGUGCUCUGUAAAGAUAUCUUCUGAGCCGGGUCGGAGUUCGAAGCACCCCCCUCCUCUGUUCCCUCUCGCGUCGCCCCGCGCGCGACCGAGAGGGAACCCUAGCCGCCGCCGCCAGGUCUCCCCCCCCCCUACUCUCCUCCUCCCUCGCCGCCGCCCGAGAGGGCGCGGCCGGGCGAUGCCCGGUCGUCGCAGGCGGCGGGGGGGUUCCUCGUCUCCUCGCGCGGCGUCUUCGGCGUGGGAUGCGGCGGCCGGUCGGGGACGCAGCGUUUGGCGGCGGGCACGGCGGCGUGGCGUCUCAUCGGCGUUGAGGUGCGGCGAUGGUGCGGGCUGGCGGCGUGACAGGCGGCGCGAUGGUGGCGCACUCGUGCAGGCCGGGGAUGGCGUGGGCAUCUCUGGCAGCGGCGCUCAGAUCCGGUCGCCACGAGGUGCGGGUCAUGGGCGCACUUGGCUGCGGGCAGCCGCCCUCUGCCGUUGCUCUGCUGGUGGAGGGUAGCAGCGCUGCAGUGCUGGUGCUGUAGGCCAGCAGGUGGUGACGGCGCAGCGGCGCGUCCGGAUCCGCCCCUGUCGCUGCAGGCUGCGGGCGGCCUGGGCCGCGAGCAGCCCUCUUGCCGGAGCGCGUUGGUGAGGGGACGGCAUGGCAGCGGUGGAGGUGGGCGGCCCUCGUCUAGUCGGGCCCUUGCGGAUGGACGGCGGCGCUCGGCGUGGGAGGGCCUCCCUGGUGAGAUAUACAACUUGUCGAAAUCCAUUCAAGAAUGCAGUCUUGAUAUCCAUUUGCCAAAUUUCAUAAUCAUGAAAUGCAGCAAUAGCUAACAUGAUUCGGACAGACUUAAGCAUCGCUACGGGUGAGAAAGUCUCAUCGUAGUCAACCCCUUGAACUUGUCGAAAACCUUUCGCAACAAGUCGAGCUUUAUAGACAGUAACAUUACCAUCAGCGUCAGUCUUCUUCUUAAAGAUCCAUUUAUUCUCAAUGGUUUGCCGAUCAUCGGGCAAGUCAAGCAAAGUCCAUACUUUGUUUUCAUACAUGGAUCCUAUCUCAGAUUUCAUGGCCUCUAGCCAUUUUGCGGAAUCUGGGCUCAUCAUCGCUUCCUCAUAGUUCGUAGGUUCAUCAUGGUCAAGUAACAUGACUUCCAGAAUAGGAUUACCGUACCACUCUGGUGCAGAUCUUACUCUGGUGGACCUACGAGAUUCUGCAGAAACUUGAUUUGAAGUUUCAUGAUCAGUAUCAUUAGCUUCCUCACUAAUUGGUGUAGUCGUCACAGGAACCGGUUCUCGUGAUGAACUACCUUCCAACAAGGGAGUAGAUACAGUUAUCUCAUCAAGUUCUACUUUCCUCCCACUCACUUCUUUCGAGAGAAACUCCUUCUCUAGAAAGGAUCCAUUCUUAGCAACGAAUGUUUUGCCUUCGGAUCUGUGAUAGAAGGUGUACCCAACAGUCUCUUUUGGGUAUCCUAUGAAGACACAUUUCUCAGAUUUGGGUUCAAGCUUAUCUGGUUGAAGUUCUUCACAUAAGCAUCGCAGCCCCAAAUUUUAAGAAACGACAACUUUGAUUUCUUGCCAAACCACAGUUCAUAAGGUGUCAUCUCAACGGAUUUUGAUGGUGCCCUAUUUAACGUGAAUGCGGCCGUCUCUAAAGCAUAACCCCAAAAUGAUAGCGGUAAAUCGCUAAGAGACAUCAUAGAUCGCACCAUAUCAAGUAAAGUAUGAUUACGACGUUCGGACACACCAUUUCGUUGUGGUGUUCCAGGUGGCGUGAGUUGCGAAACUAUUCCGCAUUGUUUCAAAUGUAAACCAAACUCGUAACUCAAAUAUUCUCCUCCACGACCAGAUCGUAGAAACUUUAUUUUCUUGUUACGAUGAUUUUCUACUUCACUCUGAAAUUCUUUGAACUUUUCAAAUGUUUCAGACUUGUGCUUUAUUAAGUAGAUAUACCCAUAUCUGCUUAAAUCAUCUGUGAAGGUGAGAAAAUAACGAUAUCCGCCACGAGCCUCAACAUUCAUCGGUCCACAUACAUCUGUAUGUAUGAUUUCCAAUAAAUCUGUUGCUCUCUCCAUAGUUCCGGAGAACGGUGUUUUAGUCAUCUUGCCCAUGAGGCACGGUUCGCAAGUACCAAGUGAUUCAUAAUCAAGUGAUUCCAGAAGUCCAUCAGUAUGGAGUUUCUUCAUGCGUUUUACACCGAUAUGACCUAAACGGCAGUGCCACAAAUAAGUUGCACUAUCAUUAUCAACUCUGCAUCUUUUGGCUUCAACAUUAUGAAUAUGUGUAUCACUACUAUCGAGAUUCAAUAAAAAUAGACCACUCUUCAAGGGUGCAUGACCAUAAAAGAUAUUACUCAUAUAAAUAGAACAACCAUUAUUCUCUGAUUUAAAUGAAUAACCGUCUCGCAUCAAACAAGGUCCAGAUAUAAUGUUCAUGCUCAACGCUGGCACCAAAUAACAAUUAUUCAGGUCUAAAACUAAUCCCGAAGGUAGACGUAGAGGUAGUGUGCCGACCGCGAUCACAUCGACUUUGGAACCGUUUCCCACGCGCAUCGUCACCUCGUCCUUGGCCAGUGCUCGCUUAUUCCGUAGUCCCUGUUUCGAGUUGCAAAUAUUAGCAACAGAACCAGUAUCAAAUACCCAGGUGCUACUAUGAGCUCUAGUUAGGUACACAUCAAUAACAUGUAUAUCACAUAUACCUUUGUUCACUUUGCCAUCCUUCUUAUCCGCCAAAUACUUUGGGUUGUUCCGCUUCCAGUGACUAGUCUGCUUGCAGUAGAAGCACUCAGUUUCAGGCUUAGGUCCAGACUUGGGUUUCUUCUCUUGAGCAGCAACUUGCUUGCCGUUCUUUUUGAAGUUCCCCUUCUUCUUCCCUUUGCCCUUUUUCUUGAAACUAGUGGUCUUAUUGACCAUCAACACUUGAUGCUCCUUCUUGAUUUCUACCUCCGCGGCUUUCAGCAUCGCGAAGAGCUCGGGAAUAGUCUUGUUCAUCCCUUGCAUAUUAUAGUUCAUCACAAAGCUCUUGUAGCUUGGUGGCAGUGAUUGGAGAAAUUUUGUCAAUGACACUAUCAUCAGGAAGAUUAACCCCAGUUGAAUCAAGUGAUUAUUGUACCCAGACAUUCUGAGUAUGUGUUCACUGACAGAACUAUUCUCCUCCAUCUUGCAGCUAUAGAACUUAUUGGAGACUUCAUAUCUCUCAAUCCGGGCAUUUGCUUGAAAUAUUAACUUCAACUCCUGGAACAUCUCAUAUGCUCCAUGACGUUCAAAACGUCAUUGAAGACCCGGUUCUAAGACGUAAAGCAUGGCACACUGAACUAUAGAGUAGUCAUCAGCUUUGCUCUGCCAGACAUUCUUAACGUCGUCAGUUGCAUCAGCAGCAGGCCUGGCACCCAGCGGUGCUUCCAGGACGUAACUCUUCUGUGCAGCAAUGAGGAUAAUCCUCAGGUUACGGACCCAGUCCGUGUAAUUGCUACCAUCAUCUUUCAACUUUGCUUUCUCAAGGAAUGCAUUAAAAUUCAACGGAACAACAACACGAGCCAUCUAUCUACAAACAAACAUAGACAAGCAAGAUACUAUCAGGUACUAAGUUCAUGAUAAAUUUAAGUUCAAUUAAUCAUAUUACUUAAGAACUCCCACUUAGACAGAAAUCUCUCUGGUCAUCUAAGUGAUCACGUGAUCCAAAUUAACUAAACCAUAACCGAUCAUCACGUGAGAUGGGGUAGUUUUCAAUGGUGAACAUCAUUAUGUUGAUCAUAUCUACUAUAUGAUUCACGCUUGAACUUUCGGUCUCCGUGUUCCGAGGCCAUAUCUGCAUAUGCUAGGCUCGUCAAUUAUAACCUGAGUAUUCUGCGUGUGCAAAACUGGCUUGCACCCGUUGUAGAUGGACGUAGAGCUUAUCACACCCGAUCAUCACGUGGUGUCUCGGCACGACGAACUUUGGCAACGGUGCAUACUCAGGGAGAACACUACUUGAUAAUUUUAGUGAGAGAUCAUCUUAAAAUGCUACCGUCAAUCAAAGCAAGAUAAGAUGCAUAAAGGAUAAACAUCACAUGCAAUCAAUAUAAGUGAUAUGAUAUGGCCAUCAUCAUCUUGUGCUUGUGAUCUCCAUCUCCGAAGCACCGUCGUGAUCACCAUCGUCACCGGCGCGACACCUUGAUCUCCAUCGUAGCAUCGUUGUCGUUACGCCAUCUAUUGCUUCUACGACUAUCGCUACCGCUUAGUGAUAAAGUAAAGCAAUUACAGGGCGUUUUGCAUUUCAUACAAUAAAGCGACAACCAUAUGGCUCCUGCCAGUUGCCGAUAACUUCGGUUACAAAACAUGAUCAUCUCAUACAAUAAAAUAUAGCAUCACGUCUUGACCAUAUCACAUCACAACAUGCCCUGCAAAAACAAGUUAGACGUCCUCUACUUUGUUGUUGCAAAUUUUACGUGGCUGCUACGGGCAUAGCAAGAACCGUUCUUACCUACGCAUCAAUAACCACAAUGAUAGUUCGUCAAGUUGGUGCUGUUUUAACCUUCGCAAGGACCGGGCGUAGCCACACUCGAUUCAGCUAAAGUGAGAGAGACAGACACCCGCCAGCCACCUUUAAGCACGAGUGCUCGUAACGGUGAAACCAGUCUCGCGUAAGCGUACGCGUAAUGUCGGUCCGGGCCGCUUCAUCUCACAAUACCGCCGAACCAAAGUAUGACAUGCUGGUAAGCAGUAUGACUUGUAUCGCCCACAACUCACUUGUGUUCUACUCGUGCAUAUAACAUCAACGCAUAAAACCUAGGCUCGGAUGCCACUGUUGGGGAACGUAGUAAUUUCAAAAAAAUUCCUACGCACACGCAAGAUCAUGGUGAUGGCAUAGCAACGAGAGGGGAGAGUGUUCGUCCACGUACCCUCGUAGACCGUAAGAGGAAGCGUUAUCACAACACGGUUGAUGUAGUGGUACGUCUUCACGAUCCGACCGAUCCAAGCACCGAACGUACGGGGCCUCCGAGUUCAGCACAAGUUCAGCUCGAUGACUAUCUCCGGCCUCCGAUCCAGCCGAGCUCUGGAGAUGAGUUCCGUCAGCACGACGGCGUGGUGACGAUGUUGAUGCUCUACCAGCGCAGGGCUUCGCUAAGCUUCGCGACGAUAUGACAGAGGUGGAAUAUGAUGGAGGGGGGCACCGCACACGGCUAAGGAACGAUCCGUAGAUCAACUUGUGUGUCUAUGGGGUGCCCCCCGCCCCCGUAUAUAAAGGAGGGAGGGGGGAGGCCGGCCGGCCCCUUUGGGCGCGCCAAGGGAGGAGGAAUCCUCCUCCUAGUAGGAGUAGGACUCCUCCUUUCCUACUCCUACUAGGAGGGGGAAGGAAGGGGGAGAGGGGGGGCGCCGCCCCCCUCCUAGUCCAAUUCGGACCAGAGGGGGGAGGGGGCACGCGGCCCAUGCUGGCCGCACCUCUCUCCUUUCCCCUAAGGCCCAUAGGCCCAAUACUCUCCCGGGGGGUUCCGGUAACCCCCCCGGCACUCCGGUUUUCUCCGAAAUCACCCGGAACCUUUCCGGUGUCCGAAUAUAGUCGUCCAAUAUAUCAAUCUUUAUGUCUCGACCAUUUUGAGACUCCUCGUCAUGUCCGUGAUCACAUCCGGGACUCCGAACAAACUUCGGUACAUCAAAACUUAUAAACUCAUAAUAGAACUGUCAUCGAAACGUUAAGCGUGCGGACCCUACGGGUUCGAGAACUAUGUAGACAUGACCUAAAACCAUUCUCGGUCAAUAACCAAUAGCGGGACCUGGAUGCCCAUAUUGGUUCCUACAUAUUCUACGAAGAUCUUUGUCGAUCAAACCGCAUAACAAUAUACGUUGUUCCCUUUGUCAUCGGUAUGUUACUUACCCGAGAUUUGAUCGUCGGUAUCCAAUAUCUAGUUCAAUCUCGUUACCGGCAAGUCUCUUUACUCGUUCCAUAAUACAUCAUCUCAUAACUAACUCAUUAGUUACAUGCUUGCAAGGCUUAGGUGAUGAGUAUUACCGAGAGGGCCCAGAGAUACCUCUCCGACAAUCGGAGUGACAAAUCCUAAUCUCGAAUUAUACCAACCCAACAUGUACCUUCGGAAACACCUGUACAGCACCUUUAUAAUCACCCAGUUACGUUGUGACGUUUGGUAGCACACAAAAUGUUCUUCCGGUAAACGGGAGUUGCACAAUCUCAUAGUUGCAGGAACUUUGUAUAAGUCAUGAAGAAAGCAAUAGCAGUAUACUAAACGAUCAAGUGCUAGGCUAACGGAAUGGGUCAUGUCAAUCACAUCAUUCUCCUAAUGAUGUGAUCCCAUUAAUCAAAUGACAACACAUGUCUAUGGUCAGGAAACACAACCAUCUUUGAUUAAUGAGCUAGUCAAGUAGAGGCAUACUAGUGACUAUAUGUUUGUCUAUGUAUUCACACAUGUAUCAUGUUUCCGGUUAAUACAAUUCUAGCAUGAAUAAUAAACAUUUAUCAUGAUAUGAGGAAAUAAAUAAUAACUUUAUUAUUGCCUCUAGGGCAUAUUUCCUUCACUAGUAGGAGUAGGACUCCCCUUUUCCUACUCCUACUAGGAGGGGGAAAGGAAGGGGGAGAGGGAGAGGGAAAGAGGGGGGUGUCGUGGUUCUAAGCCUGACAGUAGAGUGGGGGGUAGGUAUGGAGAGGCAAGGUCCUAGCUAUGGAGAGGUUGUAAACACAAGGGAUGUACGAGUUCAGGCCCUUCUCGGAAGAAGUAAUAGCCCUACGUCUCGGAGCCCGGAGGCGGUCGAGUGGAUUAUGAGUAUAUGAGUUACAAGGUGUCGAACCCCUCUGCCUGUGGAGGGGGGUGGCUUAUAUAGAGUGCGCCAGGACCCCAGCCAGCCCACGUAGGAGAGGGUUUAAGGUGAGUUAAGUCUGGGGCGUUACUGGUAACGCCCCACAUAAAGUGUCUUUACUAUCAUAAAGCCUACUUAAUUACAGGCCGUUGCAGUGCAGAGUGCCUCUUGACCUCCUGGUGGUCGAGUGAGUCUUCGUGGUCGAGUCCUUCAAGUCAGUCAAGUGAGUCCUUCGUUGGUCGACUGGAAGGCGACCUCUUCUAAGGAUGUCCUUGGGUAAGGUACUUGGAUCAGGUCCAUGACCCUACCCUAGGUACAUAACCCCAUCAUUAGCCCCCGAAUGGAUUGAGGCUUUGAGUGAGGAAGGAGUUGAUGUCGUUUCCGAUUAACCUUUGCGCUCUGGUCGUGCGCUGUUCUGGACCAAAGAAUCUCUUCGUCGACAGUGAGCAACUUGUCUUCAGUCGACUCGAUCCAUUCUGUUCUUUCGUCGAGUGAUCUUUCGGGCUUCGACGAUCUCCGAGCGACGGAUCGCAGGAAGCCCCGUGUCUGACAGACUGAUCUGCUGUUCGCGGAUUCCGCGGGAUGCGAAAUUUGGGGACGCGCGCGAAGCGGAGCGGACCGCGGCGUUCGGAUGGGACGGGACAUAGACGCCUCGAUCUCCAUGCCACUUUCUUCGCCACGUAUCCUGUCUGCAUAACUGCUCCCGGAUAUGAUUAGAUCGACCGGGCCCACCUGUCAUCCACUCGGAAGGGACCUUAUAAAUGCGCCCGGCGAGGAUUUCUGUACCGUGCCUCAGCAUUCUCUCUCUCUCUCUGCUCCCUUCGUCCCCGUCCAGCGCGCUCGCUCUCGCCCCCGCACAACUUCCCCACGCGCAUCUCGCCGGCAAUCAUGGCCAAGGAGAAGACGGCGGCGCUAGAACGUGCGAAGAAGGCGUCGGCGUCAGAGAAGGCGAAGGGGAGAUCUACCAGCCGCGGCGGGUCCUCGUCCAGAUCCCGCCUGCCGAAGGGCUGGGUCCAAGGAGACUGGAUCCAGUCGACCAUCACAGAGAAAGACCUCCUCGACAUGGCCAACGAGGGCUUGAUCCCUCAUGGAGCUACGAGGCUUCCGGGGAAGGAGUGGCAGCCCCAGCUAGAAGAGGGUGAGUGUGUGCUCUUGGCCACCCAUGUUGAUCGUGGAUUUUCUUUGCCGCCGAGUAUUUUCUUCCGUGGCUUCUUGAACUUCUUCGGAGCGCAGCUCCACCACUUUACCCCAAAUUCUAUUGCCUAUCUUGUUGCGUUCGUGUCCAUGUGUGAGGGUUUCCUGGGCUGUCGACCGCACUGGGGUUUGUUCAAGCAUAUAUUCACGUGUCGCUCUCAGACCGUGAAGAAGGCGAGCCCAGGUGAUGAGAGAACCCGAGUCGUCCAAAUGUGUGGGGGUCUGGGGAUCCAGGUGAGGAAUAAGAGCACCUUCCCGCCCAUGACCUUUCCCGAGUCAGUCAGAGGCUGGCAGUCGACUUGGUUCUACUGCUAGGACCAGUCGACGCCGGGGCAGUCGAGUGGACUCCCUCAGUUUACCAUGGACCGAGUGAACAAGCCCUCCUCUCUGAAGCUGAUUCCGGAGGAGAAAGUUGACGUGAAGAUGUUGAUGGAACGCGUGGUGCAGUUGGUUCGGGAGGGAGUGACGGGCAUGGAUCUCCUGGAGGUCUUCCUUAGGCGUCGCAUCCAGCCCCUUCAGUUCCGGAGCCACUGCAUGUGGUUGUACUGUGGGACUGAAGACGAGACUCGAGUCCAUCCAGAAGCAGUCGACGAUGUCACUCUGGAAAGAUGGAUGGUAGCCGUUACCGGAAACAAGGACAACCCACGCGGAGCCAGAAGGAUUCCUCCACUCGACCACAACAGCGAUCCAAACAAGGUACACUUGCUCUGCUCUCCACUGCGUUCUUGUCGCAUUCAUUUCUGUUUACCCUACCGACUGGUCGACUGAUCCUUGUCUUGAUAUCUGCUAGGCUCUCACCGAGCUGUACUCGAUGCCCAAUGGGGCACAAGCUCCGACUGAGGAGGGUGAGGCGAGUGGGGGCGAGAGCCAGGACGAGGAGGAAUGGGACUCAGACGUUGCAGAGGAUGAUGACGACGAUGAUGAUGAUGACGGUGAUGAAGAUGACGUUGAGGACGAGGAAGAAGAGGAGGAGGAGGUCGUACCACCGCGCUCAGAAAGGCGGUCGAAGCUUGUCCACGACCCCUCGACUGAAUGUGGCAAGGGGGUUGCGACCGUUGUUCAGUCGACCAAGCGCCCUCGGACCACCUCUCCGGUGCCGACUGAAAAGGUGCCGAAGCAGCCCAGGGCGGCCUCGUCAAAGCCGAUCAAGCUCCUGCCGAAGAUGAAGGUGUCCAUCCCCACCAUAUCAGGGUAACCGUGCUGCUUAAGUCUUCUUAUUUUGUGUGAACUUUGUCUCCGGUCGACGCUGAAGUUAGUCGACUGAUCCUUUGGAGUUGCAGUGCUGCUACUUCUGAAACUUCAGCCCGGGCUGAUGACCACGAGAUGGAGGACGCAGCAACUUCGAAACCAGGUACUGUAUUCUUAACGCUGUUCUUAGUCGACUGACUCGCGAUCUCUGAUCUUGAUUCUUCUCCGUAGCUCCACCCAAUGUUGUUAUCGAUCUCCCUGAUGAUGAUGAGGAUGAAGAACCAUUGAAGCGCAGGAGGAGUCGGAAAGCGUCCGCCAGUAAGGUGCCUCAGGAUGUGACGGCGCCUGAGAUUCUGACUGCGGAGGAAGAGAACACCACUCGACACACGGUGUCCUUCGCAGAUCCAUUGACAAGUGCUCAGCAGCCCUCCCUCUUCACGAUGCACCACGUCCCAGAGGACCAAGCUGGCGCGGCGAAGGAAGCGAUACGCCAGGCGGGAAUCAUGAUGGAGCAGUUGAAGACCAUCCGGGAUGCGAGCCAGGCAGCUUAUGACGCCAGUUCUGCCCUCCAAAGCAAUGUUCAGGUCAGUCGACCACCGUUUGUUCUGUUGAAUAUGCUACCAAAAACUUUUCCUCUCCGGAAUUUAUAGUAGUCACCCACUGGGUGUGUCGAUUAAACUCCGUGUUAGCGGGGGCACGCUGAGUGCACCCGCUGGGUGUAGUCCCCAAGGCUAAGGUCGACUGCUGGCAGUCGGCCUUAGGCUUUAUGAUGUCAGUCUUUCUGUCAGUCGACUAUGUCGACUGGAUUUCACAAACCGGUGGGGGCACGCUGAGUGCACCCACUGGGUGUAGUCCCCGAGACUGUGGUCGACUGCUUGCAGUUGAUCACAGUCUUAGAGAAUGCAUCUCGCUUUUUUUUGAGGUCGACUGGUCGACUUUGUCUUCAACAGAAUUAGUGGGGGCACGCUGAGUGCACCCACUGGGUGUAGUCCCCGAGACUACGGUCGAAUGCUUGUAUUCGGCUGUAGUCUUAGAAACGUGUGUUUUUUCCUUUUUCACUCGGAAGUGAAUUAUAUUUGACAUUUAGUCGAUUGGUUCUUCGCAGAACUCUUGUGAUCUUGUGGCUCGCUACUCUGAGCUGGAAAACAAGCACACUCAACUCGAGCUGAGCUUGAAGCUGGUUCAGGAGAAGCUGACGAAGGCAAAGGAGGAGACCGAAGGUAUGUUUGGUGAGACCUUGACGACUGCUUUUCCCCUUGCUUGUUUCAAAAUCUGACCUUGCUGUACCUUGCAGGUAAGGUAAGGGAGGCCCAACAGAAGAAAGACCUCGAACUAGCUGAGAAGAUCAAGCUUGCUGACGAGAAGUUAGCUUCAGUCACCAAGCUUGAACAAGACAAUACCAAUCUGAAAGCUGCUCUUGGGAUCGCCAACAAGGAGGUCAGUCGACUAAAAACUGAUAAAGCUGCCUUGACCGACCAAGUCAGCAAAUUGACUGGGAAGAAAACUGAUCUGGAAGCCUUCCUGAGUGGUCUUGCCAAGAAGCUGUUUCUUAUGCUUGAAGGUAAACCUCUAUGCUUGGCAAACAUUUCCAAUUGUGGUUUUUCCAUUCGACCAUCCCCUUGAUUUAGUGAUCGUCCUUGCAGAAUUUUGUCAAAACUUUGAAGAAGAAACUAGCCGUCUGGAGCCAAACCUCGACCCCGUCAAUUCUCCGGUGAACGACGAAGUUGCCAUGGAUGUUUUCCGACUGGAGUCUCGUGUUGCAGCUGUCGUGGACUAUCUCGCAAGGCUGAAGGCCGCCACAUCUCGCAUCGACUCGACGCUCUGGCCUGAGGAGACACUUCAGAAUGACCUUGAGUCGCUGAUGGCCCGCUUGAACACGAUCCCUGGUCGAGUGCAGGAAUGGAAGAAGUCCUCGGCUCAGUGUGGUGCAGAUGUUGCUCUGUGUCUGGCCCGAGUCCACUGUAAAGACGCGCGAGAAGAGAAGCUGGCGGCUCUUCGGGUGGCCAACACCAAGAAACAUGACUUCAUGUCCUUUAUGUAAACUUUCCUUGCAGCUGCCACUCGGAUCGCCGACGGAAUCGACCUUGAUGAAUUCGUUGCACCUUCCAGCCCUCCACAGGAGGGGUAAAAAACUUCUUCUGGCUCGACGCUUUAAAUUUGCCUCGGUAUGCCGAGUGGAAUUGUAACCGAUAAACCUUAACAGGCUUAACGCCUGAGCACUUUCGGUUCCUUUAGAUAUCGAUUCAAACUUAAAUUUGGUGCUUGAAUACGAUUGCCUUUGGCUCGAAAUGUCUUUUGCAGGUUCAAAGCAAGGCGCCUUUACUGCAAUCGACUUAUUCUUUAGUCCACUUAGGCGAGCACUGGGCUGCGGCUAAGCCUCCGAGUGGAAGCCCGGCUUACCACUCGGUAGGAUUUCUAUAACUUAGGCGAGCACAGGGCUGCAGCUAAGCCUCCGAGUGAGAGGUUUGCUCUGCACUCGGUAGGAUUUUUAUAACUUAGGCGAGUGCUUGGACUGCAGCUAAGCCCCCGAGUGAGAGGGUCGCUCUUCACUUGGUAGGAUUUUUGUAACUUAGGUGAGCACAGGGCUGCAGCUAAGCCUCCGAGUGAAAGUCUGGCUUACCACUCGGUAGGAUUUUGAUAACUUAGGCGAGUGCUUGGACUGCAGCUAAGCCCCCGAGUGAGAGGGUCGCUCUUCACUCGGUAGGAUUUUUAUAACUUAGGCGAGUGNNNNNNNNNNNNNNNNNNNNNNNNNNNNNNNNNNNNNNNNNNNNNNNNNNNNNNNNNNNNNNNNNNNNNNNNNNNNNNNNNNNNNNNNNNNNNNNNNNNNNNNNNNNNNNNNNNNNNNNNNNNNNNNNNNNNNNNNNNNNNNNNNNNNNNNNNNNNNNNNNNNNNNNNNNNNNNNNNNNNNNNNNNNNNNNNNNNNNNNNNNNNNNNNNNNNNNNNNNNNNNNNNNNNNNNNNNNNNNNNNNNNNNNNNNNNNNNNNNNNNNNNNNNNNNNNNNNNNNNNNNNNNNNNNNNNNNNNNNNNNNNNNNNNNNNNNNNNNNNNNNNNNNNNNNNNNNNNNNNNNNNNNNNNNNNNNNNNNNNNNNNNNNNNNNNNNNNNNNNNNNNNNNNNNNNNNNNNNNNNNNNNNNNNNNNNNNNNNNNNNNNNNNNNNNNNNNNNNNNNNNNNNNNNNNNNNNNNNNNNNNNNNNNNNNNNNNNNNNNNNNNNNNNNNNNNNNNNNNNNNNNNNNNNNNNNNNNNNNNNNNNNNNNNNNNNNNNNNNNUGAUAACUUAGGCGAGUGCUUGGACUGCAGCUAAGCCCCCGAGUGAGAGGUUUGCUCUCCACUCGGUAGGAUUUUUAUAACUUAGGCGAGCGUAGGGCUGCAGCUAAGCCUCCGAGUGAAAGUCUGGCUUACCACUCGGUAGGAUUUUGAUAACUUAGGCGAGUGCUUGGACUGCAGCUAAGCCCCCGAGUGAGAGGUUUGCUCUCCACUCGGUAGGAUUUUGACAAACUUAGGCGAGUCCUUGGACUGCAGCUAAGCCUCCGAGUGAAAGUCUGGCUUACCACUCGGUAGGAUUUUGAUAACUUAGGCGAAACGGAUUCGCAGCUAAGCCUCCGAGUGGGAGUCUGGCUCACCACUCGGUAGGAUUUUUACAAACUUAGGCGAAAUGGAUUCGCAGCUAAGUCACCCACUGAGGGGGAAUUUUAUUGGACAAAAAUAAAAAGUGACAGAAAUUAUGGAGGAACUAUGACACUAUUAUUUUGAGGUCCAUGAACUACAGAAGUACUUUAUUGCAACUCAUCCGAGUGAUAAAACUUAAGUAUAAAAUGGGCGGAGUAGCUCCGCGUUCCAAGCUCAGGGCUCGUCGAUAUUAUGCUCGACGUUGUAAAGAUGGUACGCCCCGUUGUGGAGAACCUUGGUGACGAUGAAGGGGCCUUCCCAAGAAGGAGCAAGCUUGUGUGGUUUGUGCUGAUCCACUCGGAGAACUAAAUCUCCUUCUUGGAAGGCUCGACCUCUCACGUUUCUGGCGUGGAAACGACGCAAAUCUUGUUGGUAGAUGGUCGACCGGAUCAGAGCCAUCUCCCUUUCUUCCUCUAAAAGGUCGACUGCGUCCUGCCGCGCUUGUUCAGCCUCUGCUUCGUUGUAGAUUUCAACUCGAGGAGCAUUGUGGAGAAGAUCACUCGGCAAGACUCCUUCAGCUCCGUAGACCAAAAAGAAUGGAGUUCUUCUGGUCGACCGAUUAGGUGUGGUCCGCAGCCCCCAAAGCACUGAGGGAAGUUCGUCGACCCAAGCUCCAGCCGCGUGUUUGAGAUCACGCAUCAGUCGAGGCUUCAAUCCCUUAAGAAUCAGUCCGUUAGCUCGCUUUGCUUGUCCAUUCGACUGCGGAUGGGCGACUGAAGCGUAGUCGACCCGUGUGCCUUGGGAGUUGCAGAAAUCUCUGAAUUCCUUUGAGUCAAAGUUCGACCCAUUAUCUGUAAUGAUGCUGUGCGGGACUCCAUAUCUGAAUAUUAGUUCCCUGAUGAAGCUGACAGCAGUACCGGUGUCAAGGCUCUUGAUUGGUUUAGCCUCGAUCCACUUGGUGAACUUGUCGACUGCCACCAGUACAUGCGUGAAGCCACUUCGUCCUGUUCUCAAAGGACCGACCAUGUCCAGUCCCCAUACUGCGAAAGGCCAGACGAGUGCGAUGGUCUUCAGGGCCGACGCAGGCUUGUGCGACAUAUUCGAGUAGAACUGACAUCCCUCGCACUUACCCACUAUCUCUUUUGCCAUCUCAUUCGCCUUUGGCCAGUAAAAUCCGGCUCGGUAUGCUUUGGCCACGAUGGUCCGAGAGGACGCAUGAUGACCACAGGUUCCCGAGUGGAUAUCAUUGAGGAUGAGUCGACCUUCUUCUGGUGUUAUGCACUUCUGACCAACUCCAGUCGCGCUUUCUCUGUACAAUUGUCCUUUGAUUACGGUAAAGGCCUUAGAUCGACGGACGAUCUGUCGAGCCUCUUCCUCAUCCUCCGGGAGCUCUUUUCUCAGGAUAUACGCGACGUAUGGAACUGUCUAGUCGGGAAUGACCACCAAAACCUCCAUGAUCAAGUCGACCACCGCUGGGACUUCAACCUCAGUCGGAUCCGUGGCACUCUUGGGCUGUGGAGCUUCUUCGGUGAAAGGAUCUUCUUUGACUGACGGAGUGUGUAUAUGCUCCAAGAACACACCACUCGGAAUGGCUUCUCUCUUGGAACCUAUCUUUGCUAGAUCAUCAGCUGCUUGAUUUUUCAGUCGGGGUAUAUGAUGGAGCUCCAACCCCUCGAACUUCUUUUCCAGCUUCCUCACUGCACUGCAGUAUCCAGUCAUGGCUGGGCUUCUCACGUCCCACUCUUUCAUCACCUGGUUGACCACUAAAUCCGAGUCGCCAUAGACCAUCAGGCGACGGACGCCGAGUGAAAUGGCCAUGCGCAACCCAUAUAAGAGGGCCUCAUAUUCUGCCUCAUUGUUGGAAGAAUCAAAGUGAAUCUGGAGCACAUAUCUGAGCUUAUCUCCUCUGGGGGAAACCAGGACAACCCCAGCACCGGAACCAUUCAACAUCUUAGAGCCAUCAAAGAACAUGGUCCAAUGCUCCGAGUGAACUUCAGUCGGCUGCUGUUGUUCAAUCCACUCGGCGAGGAAAUCUGCUAUUGCCUGGGACUUAAUGGCUUUCUUUGCCUCAAACUUGAUAUCAAAGGGAAGAAGUUCAAUCGCCCAUUUGGCCACUCGACCAGUUGCAUCUCUGUUGUGCAAAAUCUCUGAUAGUGGAGCGUCGCUGACGACUGUGAUGGAAUGAUCAGAAAAAUAAUGAGCAACCUUCUUUGUGGUCAUGUAUAUUCCAUACACAAGCUUCUGAUAAUGAGGAUAUCUCUGCUUGGAUGGAGUCAAGACUUCAGACAAAUAAUACACUGGGCGCUGAACUUUGAGAGCUUUUCCUUCUUCUUCCCGCUCGACCGUAAGCACAGUACUGACGACUUGUCAUGUGGCUGCGAUAUAGAGCAAUAGAGGCUCUUUGCUGAUUGGAGCAGCAAGCACCGGCUGGGUGGAGAGCAGAGCUUUUAGCUCGGCAAACGCUGCAUCAGCUUCUGGAGUCCACUCGAACUUGUCUGUCUUCUUCAUCAGUCGGUAAAGAGGCAAUGCCUUUUCACCGAGUCGUGAGAUGAAUCAACUUAAUGCGGCCAAGCAUCCAGUAAGCUUCUGGACAUCGUGCACUCGCACAGGGCGUUUCAUUCGGAGAAUAGUGCCAAUCUUCUCUGGGUUAGCGUCGAUUCCCCGUCCGGAAACGAGAAAACCGAGUAACUUGCCACCAGGAACUCCAAAUGUGCACUUUGAUGGAUUGAGCUUGAUAUCAUAUCUUCUGAGGUUGGCAAAUGUUUCGGCGAGAUCAGCGAGCAGGUCGGAACCUUUUCGUGACUUGACAACAAUAUCAUCCAUAUAUGCUUCCACAUUCCGACUGAUUUGAGUGAGUAGACACUUCUGAAUCAUUCGCAUAAAUGUGGCUCCGGCAUUCUUGAGGCCGAAUGGCAUGGUGAUAUAGCAGAAGCACCCGAAUGGAGUGAUGAAAGCUGUUUUUACCUCGUCGGGUCCGUACAGACGGAUCUGGUGGUACCCGCAGUAGGCAUCUAAAAAAGAUAGCCUCUCGCAUCCCGCGGUCGAGUCAACAAUUUGAUCUAUGCGAGGGAGAGGAAAAUGAUCUUUCGGGCAGGCCCGGUUGAUGUGCUUGAAAUCAAUGCACAUUCGGAGCGACUUGUCCUUCUUAGGAACCAUGACGACAUUAGCGAGCCACUCGGAGUGGUAUAUCGGAUAAAUCCUGCCGCCAACAGUCGAGCCACUUCUUCACCAAUGGAUUUUCUCUUCUGGACGGCGGACCGCCGAAGAUGCUCUUUGACUGGUUUUGCAGAUGAGUCGACUCUUAGGCGAUGCUCAGCCAGUCCCCUGGGAACACCUGGCAUGUCAGCGGGCUUCCAUGCAAAAAUGUCCCAGUUCUCACGGAGGAACUGGAUGAGCGCUUCUUCCUAUUUUGGGUCGAGUGUUGUGGAGAUGCGGGUCGGAGCUGCAUCGGGUUCGGUCGGGUGAAUGUGAACAGGCUUCGUCUCACCGGACGACUGGAAUGCAGACUCUGUGGCUGGUUUCUUUGAUCGCAGCAAGUCACUCGGAUCUGCAUUUUGCUUGUAUUCUUCGAACUCAACCGCUGUCACCUGGGAAUCGGCAAUCUUUGAGCCCUUCUGAAAGCACUCUUCUGCCUUUUUCCGAUCACCGGCGACAGUGAUUACUCCUUUGGGGCCGGGCAUCUUCAAUUUGAGGUACACGUAACAUGGUCGAGCCAUGAACCGUGCGUAAGCUGGUCUCCCCAAAAUGGCAUGAUAUGCACUCUGAAAAUCCACGACCUCAAACGUCAACUUUUCUUUGCGAAAAUGUUUCGAAUCACCAAACACCACGUCCAAAGCUAUUUGGCUGAGUGACUCGGCUUUCUUCCCUGGUAUAACUCCAUGAAAGCUCAUGUUACUAGUUCUCAGUCGGGACAUCGGAAUGCCCAUUCCUUUCAGUGUGUCUGCAUACAACAAAUUCAGCCCACUUCCACCAUCCAUCAGCACCUUUGUCAGUCGAGUGCCUUCGACAACUGGAUCGACCACCAAAGCUUGCCUCCCAGGGGUGGCAAUAUGAGUCGGGUGAUCAGAUUGGUCGAAUGUGAUGGGUAUUUGAGACCAUUUCAGAUAAUUUGCCUUUGCUGGGGCAACCAUGUUCACCUCUCGGUUAAUGACUUUCAGUCGACUCCUGCUUUCCACAUCUGCAAAGAUCAUCAGAGUGGAGUUGAUAUGCGGAUAUCCUUCCUCACUGUCCUCCUUGUCUUCGGCCUUGUCCGACUCCUUCUCCUUGUCCUUAGACUGUUUUCCCUGAAACUGCUGGAUCAGGAGUCGACAUUGGCGAGUGGUGUGCUUUGGGUAGAUGAUAUUCCCCUCUUCGUCUUUCUUCGUGUGGAUGUGACAUGGCAUAUCCAUUACGUCGUUCCCUUCUUUAUCCUUUACCUUCUUGGGGUUCCAGGAUCCUUUUGGUUUUCCCUUAAACUUUCCUUGAGUCACGGCCAGAGCCUCUCCAGGAGCUGCCGGUUCAGCCUUCCGCUUCUGUUUCCGACUGGUGUUUCCUUUUUCCGACUGACUCGGUUUGUGUUUGCCGCUUCGGAGUCGGUCUUCUUCUUCGCCGUUGGCGUACUUGGUAGCAAUCUCCAUCAUCCGACUCAAGGUCAUGUCACCGGUUCGACCAAACUUCAAACUCAGUUCUCUGUUCUUGACGCCAUCUUUGAAGGCGCAGACUGCCUGAUGAUCAGACACAUUCUCCACAGUGUGGUGCAAAGUGAUCCACCUCUGAAUAUACUCUCUGAGAGUCUCAUUAGCCUUCUGCACGCAGACUUGCAACUCUGUCAAUCCAGCUGGUCGCUUGCAAGUUCCUUCAAACAUUCUGAUGAACACUCGGGACAGAUCUUCCCAAGUGUAAAUGCUGCUAGGAGGUAAUUGAGUCAACCAUGCCCUGGCAGAACCUUCCAGCAUGAGGGGCAAAUGCUUCAUGGCCACCUCGUCGUUCCCACCGCCAAUCUGAACUGCCACUCGGUAAUCUUCAAGCCAAGUUUCAGGCUUAGACUCACCAGUGAACUUGCUGACUCCUGUUGCCAACCUGAAAUUGGGAGGGAUAACUGCGGCUCUGAUAGCUCUGCUGAAACAUUCAGGACCAGAAACAUGCACUCGACUGCUUGUGUGUGCAUCUCUGUCGAGUCCACCUCGAUGGGCUCUGUUCCGGUCGACCAUACCUUGCAUGAUAAUGGAUCGCGCGUCGAAGCCUGGUUCUCUGGGGUCGACUGGAACCCUUCGCCCUGUACUAUACUGACGCCUGUCAUCUUGCUGCCGAGGAGCGUAAGACCCACCCCUCGGAGGGGAAUUGGGCGCUCGACGCCUAUCAUCUCGGUCGAGUCGGUCACCAUAUUGAUCUCGCCGAUUCUCGCGCCCUUCACGCCGCGGAGGCGAUCUGGGGCUGUGAGCCGACUGAACCGUAUUCGCAGUGACGGAUCGACUGUGAAUUCUGUUGCGCGACUGAGACACGGCUGAAUUCUGAUCUCCUGCUGCCCGGAGCAGAUCCCUGAUCUGCAGCAAACCUCUGCCAGCUUCCGACUGCGAAGGCUGGAUGGACUCUGCUAUACGGGUCGCAGCUGCUAAAUUCUGGAUUGGGGUUCGAUAUACCUGAGUCGGCGGGAAGAGUUGACGUCGACUGGUGUCGGGAACUCGUUGCCGCGCGCGCUCGUCGAGUGCUCGCUGAAGAUUCUCCAGUCGAGUGCGUUCGGCCAAAUUGGCCAGGCGUGCCUCCUCCAAGGCACGAGCCUCGGGGGUUUCUCCUGCGAUGGGAGUACACAGAGCAUCCACGUUCCUGCGGCGAAGUUCCUCUCUUUGCAGAGAGUCAAGUGGCUCGGGCUGGUACUCUUCGUGGCCUCGUGCGGGGUCGCCUCCGUCACCUGCUCCACCAUCACGGGCGAAGCCAGGGGGACUGCGGGGCCCGUCGACCAUCAAGAUUUCCGCCGCUGGAUCAUUGCUACCGCACUCGGAUGCAGUCCCUACGAAGCCAGUCGACAGAUCGAACAAGCCGUAGAGGGAUUCGUCGGGCUCGAUUGCCGCAACUUGGGUGGUGGCCGAUUGGCGAGCCACCGCGUGCCUCACCCAUCGCUGAAGCCUCGACCGGCCCGAGCGCUUGCGCUGGCGGGAGACCGGGAGGGUGGACGAUGGAGGAGCCGACCGAUACUGGGUCGACGGUUGCCGCAGCAGAACGCCGCGGACACAUGCGCGAAAAUGCGUCGCACCGCGGACGGGGAGCGCAUCUACGUCGAGUGGAGCCUCCUGGAGCCACGCGGAGUCGUCAGCGAUGAAGGUGAGAGUGCCGAGACGGAUCUCUUGACCCCCGACCAAAACUCCAGCAGACACCAUGAUGAAAGUACUCGGAAGAAUCGCAACUUCUCCACAAAAUCGCUAAAACACCUGCCCCACGGUGGGCGCCAACUGUCGUGGUUCUAAGCCUGACAGUAGAGUGGGGGUAGGUAUGGAGAGGCAAGGUCCUAGCUAUGGAGAGGUUGUAAACACAAGGGAUGUACGAGUUCAGGCCCUUCUCGGAAGAAGUAAUAGCCCUACGUCUCGGAGCCCGGAGGCGGUCGAGUGGAUUAUGAGUAUAUGAGUUACAAGGUGCCGAACCCCUCUGCCUGUGGAGGGGGGUGGCUUAUAUAGAGUGCGCCAGGACCCCAGCCAGCCCACGUAGGAGAGGGUUUAAGGUGAGUUAAGUCUGGGGCGUUACUGGUAACGCCCCACAUAAAGUGUCUUUACUAUCAUAAAGCCUACUUAAUUACAGGCCGUUGCAGUGCAGAGUGCCUCUUGACCUCCUGGUGGUCGAGUGAGUCUUCGUGGUCAAGUCCUUCAAGUCAGUCGAGUGAGUCCUUCGUUGGUCGACUGGAAGGCGACCUCUUCUAAGGAUGUCCUUGGGUAAGGUACUUGGAUCAGGUCCAUGACCCUACCCUAGGUACAUAACCCCAUCAGGGGGCGCCGCCCCCCUUCGUAGUCCAAUUCGGACCAGAGGGGGAGGGGCGCGCGGCCCAUGCUGGCUGCCCCUCUCUCUCUCCACUAAGGCCCAUAGGGCCCAUUACUUCUCCCGAGGGGGUUCCGGUAACCCUCCGGCACUCCGGUUUUCUCCGAAAACGUCCGGAACACUUUCGGUGUCCGAAUAUAGUCGUCCAAUAUAUCAAUCUUUAUGUCUCGACCAUUUCGAGACUCCUCGUCAUGUCCGUGAUCACAUCCGAGACUCCGAACAAACUUAGGUAUAUCAAAACUUAUAAACUCAUAAUAAAACUGUCAUCGUAACGUUAAGCGUGCGGACCCUACGGGUUCGAGAACUAUGUAGACAUGACCUAGAACCAUUCUCGGUCAAUAACCAAUAGCGAAACCUGGAUGCCCAUAUUGGUUCCUACAUAUUCUACGAAGAUCUUUAUCGGUCAAACCGCAUAACAACAUACGUUGUUCCCUUUGUCAUCGGUAUGUUACUUGCCCGGGAUUCGAUCGUCGGUAUCCAAUACCUAGUUCAAUCUCGUUACCGGCAAGUCUCUUUACUCGUUACGUAAUGCAUCAUUCCGUAACUAACUCAUUAGCUACAUUGCUUGCAAGGCUUAUAGUGAUGUGCAUUACCGAGAGGGCCCAGAGAUACCUCUCCGACAAUCGGAGUGACAAAACCUAAUCUCGAAAUACGCCAACUCAACAUGUACCUUUGGAGACACCUGUAGUACUCCUUUAUAAUCACCCAGUUACGUUGUGACGUUUGGUAGCACCCAAAGUGUUCCUAAGGUAAACAGGAGUUGCAUAAUCUCAUAGUUAUAGGAACAUGUAUAAGUCAUGAAGAAAGCAAUAGCAAUAUACCAAACGAUCAAGUGCUAGGCUAACGGAAUGGGUCUUGUCAAUCACAUCAUUCUCCUAAUGAUGUGAUCCCAUUAAUCAAAUGACAACACAUGUCUAUGGCUAGGAAACAUAACCAUCUUUGAUUAAUGAGCUAGUCAAGUAGAGGCAUACUAGUGACUAUAUGUUUGUCUAUGUAUUCACACAUGUAUCAUGUUUCUGGUUAAUACAAUUCUAGCAUGAAUAAUAAACAUUUAUCAUGAUAUGAGGAAAUAAAUAAUAACUUUAUUAUUGCCUCUAGGGCAAAUUUCCUUCAGUAGCCACCUUCGAUGUCCCAUGAACACGGUUUUCAAAGACCCGGGAUCUCUAUCUAGCUGGCGAUACGUUGUGUCUUCCAUGCACCUGAUGCAUCCAGAAAAUCCGUGGACCACCUGCCCUGCGACAUAUCCGUAACCGAGAUAGUCCUGCACCGUCGUGAGCAAUGCAGCUCUCAUAGGGAAAUAUUCUUUCUCUACGGCGUCCCACGUAUUGGCUGGCUUUUUCCACAGCGUGUCUAGCUCCUCUUUCAGCAGCCCCAGAUACAGAUUGAUGUUGUUCCCUGGUUGUUUCGGCCCUUCAAUUAGCAUACUCAUGUGAAUGUACUUCCUCUUCAUGCACAACCAAGGGGAAGGCUGUACAUCCACACAAACACAUGCCAUGUGCUAUCUGUGCUUCUCUGGCUGCCAAACGGAUUGACUCCAUCGGUGCUCGCGCCCAGCACGAUGUUCCUUGGAUCGUCCCCAAAUUCUGGGUAUUCGAAGUUCAACGCUUGCCACUGGCUCGCAUCCUUAGAGUGACUCAGCAUCUUGUCUUUUUUAUUUAUCUCCAGAUCAUUUCCGUCAUCUUCUCGCUUCUUCUCCUCCCUAUCUGCAUGCCAACGCAGGAGCUUUGCUACCUUAGGGUCCGCGAAGUACCGCUGCAGACUAGGAGUGAUCGGAAAGUACCACACCACUUUUCGAGGAGCUUUCUUCCUCUUCUUGUAUCGAGUGAUGCCGCACACCGGACAUAUGGUAGACUCCGUGUGCUCGUCCCGAUAAAUGAUGCAAUUGUUCAUUCACACAUGGUAUUUCAUGUGCGGUAAAUCCAGAGGACACACGAUUUUCUUCGCCUCCUCGAAACUGGUCGGGCACUUGUUCCCCUUGGGAAGACGUUCGUGCCAGAAUGACAUGUUCUCGUCGAAGCAUGCGUCGGUCAUUUUGUGUUUUACCUUCAUCUCCAGAGCCAUGAGCAUUACUUUCAGGCGGGUAUCCUCGGGCCUGCAUCCUUCAUACAAUGGAGUAACCGCGUCUAUCUCCAGUUGAUCCAGCUUGGCUUUCUCUUGGGCGGCGCUCUUGCGUUAUCCAUCUGCUUGAGAAGCAGCUCUUGAAUAUGAGGGUCCUGCACCCAGCCCAUCGAUGGUCCAUCGUCGUCUGCUCCGGCAUCUUCAUCUUCAUGAUCAUGCCCUUCGUCUGCUCCGGCAUCUUCCUCAUCAUCAUGUCCUGUACUGCAUCUACUUCAUGAUCAUGUCCUGGAGAUUCUUUGUCUUCUCGCCCACCCUCGCCGCGGUUGUCUUGCUGCCCUUCCUCAUUUGUUGCCCGGCCCCCAUGGAUGACUUCAUAAUCAUCUUCAUCACCUUGCCACCGAUAGCCAUCCAUGAAACCACGCAAGAGCAGGUGGUCCGGCACCUGUACGGAAUCCGGGUCCAUAAGGCUCCUCAGCUUGCAUCUUCGACACGGACAUCUUAUCUCCAUCUCGUUCUUUUGAAGUAUCUCAGCCUUCGCGGAGCUCAAAAACCUAUUCACGAUGCCUUCGGUCAUCGUGCGGACCAUGGUCGCCUGCGGGGUAGAGCAAAACGAUAUUUUAGAACCAAGAAAAAAAUUGGCAUGACUUUGCCUAAAAAUAAGACCAAAAAGAAUGCAUAGUGCCAAAUUCUUGCCGCAACAAAAAUGAAUCAACAUUCCGGCAAAAUAGUGGCGACUAUCACAUUUCAAAUACCGAUACCUGCAAACACAAACAUAUAUGCAACACCACAAACAUAUGCAACACCACAAACAUACAUAGAUCUAGCUAGGCCAUAAAAAGUACAUGUGCACGUUGUUGGAGGGAGGAAAAAAUAGAUCUACAACAUAAAGAAAGUUUUCCCCUUACUUACCUAUAAAAAAAGGUAAUUUAACCACAUAAUUUGGGUGAAUCUAUGGUGCAAAUGUGGUGAGGAGGAGGAGGCAGCCGAGACAAGCUUGGAGGAGGAGGUGGAGAGAAUGAAGUGGGGAAAGUGAGUGUGGUAGGUGGCUGUCCAAAAUAUCUACCUGGUCUCAGGUUACUAAUGGCGCACCACCUAUAAAUGUGCCAUUAGUAACCCUGGUUACUAAUGGCACACCAGUUAGGUGGUGCGCCAUUACUAGUUUUGCAAAAAAAAGUAAAUGUUAGUAGUGGCGCACCGUGUAUGUGGUGCGCCAUUACUAGUUUGAACUAGUAAUGACGCACUAUACUCUGGUGCGCCAUUACUAGUUUUGAAAAAAUUGUUAGUAGUGGCGCACCUGGUGUGUGGUGCGCCAUUACUAGUACUAGUAAUGGCGCACUAAGGCUUAGUGCGCCAUUACUAGUUUUAAAAAAAAUAAAAAAAAUUGCUAGUAGUGGCGCACCGUGGCUAUGGUGCGCCAUUAAUGUGAUGGACACUAAUGGCGUACCAACACAUGGUGCGCCACUGCUAUAUAGCAGUGGCGCAUCACAUGUGCGGUGCGCCAUUAAUGUCCAUAUUAUCUAUAGCCCUUUUCCAAGUAGUGUCAAGAAAACCAACAUGAUCCUCAGCUAAUGCCAUUCCAUUCAUGGACGAAAUAUAAUAUUCAUUUUUUUGUUUCUUGUGCAGGCGUUCUUAUGCUUGUUCUGGUUGGUUUCAGAUACUUUGCAGUUACAUUUUGGUCAUCAUUCACCAAAGCUUGCUGGUGUACUUGUUCAGCUGUGAGGAUCAUAAUGGGGGAAUAACUGAUAUUUUGCUGAUUUGCUAUUGAAAUUAAGGUCUGCAUUUUCUUCAGUUCGAUGCUGCAUUGAUACAGAUAGGAGAUGUUCCUGCAUUUGUCAUAACCUUUGUUCCUAAAUGAAAUUUUGUUAAUUACAGGAACUUUUUGCAAGAAUACCUUUCUUACCAUCUCGGUGCUUGCGUUGAGCGAAAUGAGAUCUCAGGCUUUCACUAAUGGGUAUGCCUUGUCUAUUCACAUUCGUACAAAAUUCAAAAAGGGUACUCGUGUAUUUGUCUUACAUUCCAAACUUUUUAGACUGAACUAAGCUUCUUGGUUGCUCAAUAGACGUGGCAUGUGCACAAUUUUGGAAUUUGACAAUGCAGUGGUAGCAGGUUUGUGGAAAGGUCAGUAAACCCCUGCUGAAAUUCAUGAUUGGUUUAGCUAAGAUAGAUUGUAUUCAAUGUGCAAUUGUCGAACAAUUAUUGCCUCAUGAGACCUAGGUUAGAGAACUUCCUGCUUUCUUGCUAAGUUGGCAGUCUAGCUUUUGAGCAUGCUCAUAAUCUCUGAAUUCAUUGUCAUGCUGAAUUAAAUAACACAAGAGAGUUUUCAGCUGAUACAUAUAGUCGUAAAGGUAGAGAACACUUGUUAUUAGGUGAUUGAUGAACAUUGAUUGAGCAAAAAGACUCGAGCUUGCUAAUUUUUAUUCCUAGAACCUCCUGAGUUUAGUAUGGUGAAGGUGAUUUUAUUCUCUUCUUGAUCCAGAGUAUUUUUUCUGUCCCACCAAUGCUAAAAACAGAAUAUUUCAUUAGCCUUUGAUUCCUGCAAUCUGAAUUUUUAGUGCGUAUAGUUAAGUUUGAUGUUCAUCUAGUCUCAAGUCUUUGAAAUCCAGUCAUUCUGUUUGCGUAACUUGUGUUUGGUAGCCUCUUCAACACUCAGCAUUGCAUUCCUUCAUCCAGAUAUCACAAAUUCUGCCAGUGUACAUAUACAAAUCCCAGAAAAUAAACCAUUUCGUCCAUGUCUUCACACCAUACCUACCUACCUGUAUGGCACAUCUCUCGCUAUCCCACAGUAGUUGAUUAUUCCAUAAGCACACUCAUCAAGUGAAAGAAGACUCAAAAGCGCUUUGUUGUCGUUGACCCUGCAAAUUUCAUCAUUACACCUCUCUCACAAAACUCAAAAAGAAAUAAAUAAAAGAGUAAAGGCCACCAUUCAUCAAAAGAUCGAAGGUUCAUCCUCAAGCAGGAACAAAUAGUCAGCAGUGCUUCCAUAUUCAUGUGCAGAAUUCAGAAUGGCUAAUCAAACUACUACCUAUGCAAUAUUGAUAGCUUGAGCAUUAGUCGCAUCCUGGGAUCACCUUGCAUCACACCUUGUGUACCGAAAAAGGCUUUCGCCCCGCUUUAUAUAUAAAGCACAGAUCAACCACAACCAAAGUACAAGCACACCCCACGACAACACACGCACACACCCAAGGCGGGAUACAUAGGCGCUGUGCCCAGCAACACCAUCCCUAACACUACAAAAGCAAUCAGGGAUCUCCAUCGGGAACACGCCACUGCGAAGAGAUGAAGCCACAUAUGACGAACCGAGAGCUCCAAGGCGGUGCCUCCAAGAAGGUUACGACGCUAGCACGCCGCCACCGCCUGACCCGGGGGUCAGAGUUUCCUCUGGAGCGACACGAUGACCGGUGAAAGCCGCGAAGACGCCUUCAAGAAGGUAACGCGCUACGCCGCCGCCGGUCCGUCCGAGGAUAGAACAGGUUUUCACCCCAGCAAACACUCACCGCCACCGAACGCUGCACCCCUGCCACCAUGCCUCCCACACGGCCAUGGUCACCGGGCAGCACCAAGCCACGGGCUCUGCCCAUGAGCACCGCGCUACCACCACCAGGGCCGCCGCCCCGGCAUCCAAGACCUUGACACCACCGCACCCGAGAUCCGUCGCUACCCCAACCAAAGAAACGAGUAGAAAGGUCGCUCCUUUACACACCCCUGGACGGCCCCCGGCGCCGAGACCAAAAGGGCCGGCCCAAAAAAGGCCUCCAUUACCCGUCCUGCUGCACCGAGUGCAAGACAAGCUCAGUUCUGCUGCCAGGCGCGAGACAAGGUCGGUCCUGCUGCUAGAUGCGAGACAAGCACGGUCCUGCUGCCGGGCGCGAGACGAGCUCGGUCCUGCUGCCGGGCGCGAGACGAGCUCUAUCUCGCAACUGGGAGCAUUCCAGCCCUAUGACGAGGGUAGAGCCCGGACGAUGAGGGGAGGGAUCGAAGGUCGAAAAAGGCCGCUCACCGACGGCCGACGCUGCUCUCGGAGAUGACCAGCCACCGUCGUGACACGAUCCAGACCACCGCCAUUAGCCACCACCACGCCGUGGCAGCCCACAGCCCCGCAUCCAUGCCCUGGCCAACACCACCGGAGGCUCCACCACCCCACCGGAGAAGCACAGCCGCCAGCAGCACCACCACCACCUUAGCAGGGCCGCCGGCCGUCCUCGCCGCCACCAACCACCAACACCAACCAGAUCUGGGCAGAGCCACCCAGAUCCGCCGCCAGAGCAACCCGCCUCCUCGGAUCCCCACAAGCCGCGCUGGAGGGGGGAGGGAGGAGAAGGGGGCACGCCUGUGGGACACCACGACGUCGGAGAGGGGGAGGGGAGCCGGAGCAGAGGAGAGCCGUCGCCCGACGCCGACGGGCAGGAGAGGGCGCCCCGCGACGCCGGCCACCUGCGCGCGGGAGGAGACGCCCCACCGCCGCCUGCGCCACGCGGCCUUUAGCCGGUGACGUCACCGGCGGUGGCGAGGAAGGAGAGGCCGAGGCGAGGGGCUGGGGCGGCGGCGCUAGGGAAGCCGCCCGGAGUCGCCCGCGGGAGCGACUCUGGGGCGGACGCAUUUUCGAGAGGAGUCCGUUCUAUUCUGCCAGAUCUGUUCACGGUCCUUGCAUCACACCUUGCAUCUCAAUCAUUCUUUGGCGCGAGUCCAUUCCCUCCCACAUCCCCUGGGCACUACCUUUCUCCAAUGACUGGAACACUACUAGGAAAAGGCAUGCUAGUGGCGCACCAGUUUUGCCUUCUAAUGGCGCACUACUGGUGCGCCACUAGCAUCACGCCAUUAGAAUUAAAUUCUAAUGGCGCACCACUGGUGCGCCAUUAGUAUCUGGUGUUCUAAUGGCGCACCACGUAGUGCGCCAUUAGUAUUUCCCACAGUGCGCCAUUAGAAUUCUUUCCAGGGGGCCAUAUGUACCCAUGUGCUUUGGCAUACUAAUGGCGCACCAGUGGGCGAUGCGCCAUUAGUGUGAUUAUCACAGUGGGGCAUUAGUGUCUUGCGUGGUGCGCCACUAGUAUGAAUAUUAGGGAUUAUGUUUUUUCUUUUCUGAUAUUUUCACAGGUUACAAAAUAUAUUAUUGGACAGAAUUUAGACAACACCACACAGCAACAACAGAUUCAUCGAAUACAAUAGAAGAUUAGUCUCCGAAUACAAAUCAUCAUAUUAGUCUCUGAAUUCAAAAGACCGAACAAAGAUAGAACAUUACAAGUCUCGAGACCGCGAGUAGCUAGUUUGUCUUCACAUUACAAGUCGAUAUCGACCAUCUAAACUACCAUCACAUAGAAGAGAGUUGUGGUCAUCACGAUGAGCAUCAUCGCGAUCAAACUGGUCUUCAUCCGGUUCCUCCAACGCUCCCUCCUCUCUCCCGCUAGAUAGCGGGCGUAUCUAGAUUCGGCCUCCGCCCUAGUGGUGUACCCUUUGUAACUAUUACCGCUGAAACGGUGAACCUGUCUCCGACACUCCUCCCAGUCGUCGUAGACUCUGGGAACCUUACCCUUGUACACGACAUACGACGGCAUCUCUGUGCACAAGCCAAACAACAGACAAUACAUAAGCAAUAUGUAAGUAUGCAACAAAAGGAUCGGAAGAGAAAAGCAAGACAUUAAUAGCAUGAUUCAUGGUCCUACUAAUAAAUAGCAUCAAUUACAUCUAAGUUGAACGACUGUCCAAACCAAAGAGACAUACGAAUUCAUUAAAGUUUAAUUACAAGAUGAGCCAAUCAAUGUUUCAGAACUACACAUCACUACUUUCGACUCGACUCAUCAGACAGGAGUGUGGAUGAAGCCGCCGUCUGUCGCGAUGGUCAUGAAAUCGCGGUCGUUGUCACCCUGCAUUUGUAGCAUUCCAUCUAUCUCAUUGUUGGACGGUUGAUAUCUGAGGAAGAACUGCCCCGACGUAUGAAGGACAUCUUGAUGGAUGAUGUCCGCAAAGUCCGACUGGAUGCGAAAGAAUUCUUGUCUGAGGUCCGCGUCCUGGAUUGCCGACAAGUUCACGGCCCAAUCUUUGAGAUUAUCUGGUAGCAGAAGUUGAUGAUGGUCCCUUACGAUCGCCCGCAUGUGAUGGAGGGCGUAGUAGGCAUCCUUCUGACCGCCAGGCGGCUGCUUGACACAGCAGAACUUUGUAUUGUGUGAGAACAUGUGCUUGCCGUACUUACGAAAAGUCCUGGUGUAGGUGCCUCCAGAUUUGGCGUAGCCGGGGAGAACAUCAUCAAGAACUUUCUUGACAUUUGUGUAGUCUAUCUUGGAGUUACGGUUCGGGUCAAAAUACGUGGCCAUGGAAUAUUUCUGGCUUAAGAGGAUGAGUGUGCAAUGUGUGUCACUGCACAAAACAUGGAAUGUUAGAAAAAAAAGAAAGAUCGAAAUCUAAGAAAUCAUAUGUUACGGGGCGGUUAAGGGAUGACUUACUCGGGAAAGUAAGCCACAAGGAAGUUAUCCUUAUCUGGGUUUGCCAGAAUGACGCCGUCGAGGUGUGAACUCGCAACUUGGCGGUCCCCAACGCUGCUCAAGUUCUUGGCACGCAUGUAGAAGGGGUCGACUAUCACGAUGUCCGGGGUCUUGUUUCUAAUGAUCCGCAUCUCCAUACUCAGCAAAAACGGCCGAACGAAGGUGUAGUGCAGCGGAUGAAGGUUAAACAUAGCAAAGAUGUCAUCAAACCACAGGACGAUCAUACCCCCGAUGUCGCCAUCCACAAAGCCCUUACCCUCUGGCACCUUGGCCACGAAAACCGGGUAUGCCACAUCCUUCUCUCUGAGACGCCGCUUCUCCAAAGAAAGAACACUGUCGUGCAGACUCCGCAUAGCACCGGUUGCAGCAUUCAGCAUAUUUGGCGGUAGCAUCGCCCUACCCGCCACAUGCACCCUCCUCGAGAUAUCCUUAGGUGAAGGUGGCCCGUCCUAAGCACGGAUCAUACUCGGUGCCGGUUGGCUCACACCGGCGCCCUUGUUAGUCUUUCGUUUCCGUCCCUUCUUCUUGAUCUCCUGUAAUGGGACCAAGUUCUGCUCACAAACCGCCUUCUUGAGCAUGUUGGGGCUGAUAAUAUUUCGCACCUCAGCUAUCUGAGGCUCGGUGAAGGCGGGAGCUGGAGGCGUCUCCUGAGAACUGAACGCCAGACGACGCCUAUUGCAAUUGGAUUUCUCCGACGUACCAGCUAGAUUGCGGUCGUCUUGGUUGGGUUCUUGAGAAAGAGGCCUGCAGAACUCGUCAGCGUACCCAUGUUCGGCAAAGUACUUAUCGACUUUGGUAAAUGUACCGUCGUUGUUGUCGUCGUCGUCCGGAUCAUGUGCCAUAGGGCUGUCCGGAUCCUAUGCCAUAGGGAUGUCCGACAUAGGAAUGUCUGGCAGGUCCGGUAGCGUUGCGGCAUUCUUGCCAUGGCUUGGCGCCGGCACGACUGGCGGUCUUGUCUUUGGGUGGUGUCCCCCGCCCCCAAACGAAUCUGGCUGUUCGGCCAAAGCAGCGGCCAGUUUACGCAGGCGCUGAGGGUCAUCUCAUCUUCUUCGUCGGCCCCAGCGGGUCGAACCGGAGGUAACAGCUCAUCGCAGCCUGACAGCACCUGAACCACUUCAACCAUAUACAUUGUGGGUGGCAUCGGAUUACCGUGGAACAUGCGGUUGCCCGGUUGAACGAUUCUGCCCUUGGUGACAUCGACCAGCUCGGCGCCCACGAAGUGCAGAAGAGUGCAAGGAACGUCAGCGGUGCCCUGCGAAAACAUCUACAGGGCGUCAGGGAUGCCCAGUCAAAGGCAAGGAGAUGAAGUCAUCGGCCGAGAGGCUUAGUUACCGUGAUGCUGUUGAGCUCGGCUAAUGUCGAGGCACCGCCAACGGCGGGCAUGCAACUGACGGAGGGGGCGCUUGCUGGCGAGGUGCUGGUCGGCGUACACCCGGGUGCAUUAAGCUCCAAUGCCCGUGCCGGCGCCGGAGACACGAAUACCGCCUCCGCCGAAGACACCAAUGGCGCCGCCGCCGGAGACACCAUUGGCGCCGCCGGAGACACCAAUGGCGCCGCCUGCGCGCUGUGCGAGUUGCUGGCCGUGAAGCUGGGAACCGGGGGAGGCCCCUGUUGGCCGCCCGCAAUCCAUGUCGUCAGCCCAUGAAUCAACGUAGGCACCAUGGCGUUGAGCUUCGUUCCCAGCUGUUGUUCCACUUGCUCUUGGACAAGCUCCGGAAUCCGCGCCACUUGUGCCUUGAGUGCUUCAACCUCGCGCAUCUGGCUUUCCGAGCUGGCCUUUUUCUCCUUCCGCACACCAGCGGAAUAGUAUGACCCCCAUUUUGUGGACAAGCCUUUGUCGGCCACACGACCAGCUGACGUCGGCUUAGUGAGCUUAUCCUUGCUUUUUCAUUAUGUUCAACGCCCUAUUUAAAGGGGUGUCGAAUGGGGAGCUCUGAGACAACCCCGCGCUACUGCUUUCAGUUUCCUACGAAAGGAACGCGAACCAUUUAGAAAUAUUGGGGAUUAAUUAGAGUGCAACCAUAUGGAGCUAAUUACGCGGGGGUGUAUUCCUUACCAGAACAAGCUCAAGCGCCCUGGUCUUCGGAUCCGUGGUAAGCUCCUUUGUUAUCGGGUCCUCCUUGUACCGGGCCCUGACAUAGUUCCUGGUCUGCUUGUUACCGCUGUAUUUCUCGAAGCGGGGCGGUAGGCCUUGCUCGGCACGCUCCGCGUCCUCCUUGUCCCAUAUAGGCUCCACCACUCUGUAACCGCCGGGACUGAGUUUGUGUUCCCCUAAGUUCAACUCCCGCAUUUCUUUCCCCUCACUGACUUGAUUCGGAGGUUGCGCUGCUCGAGCACUUGAUCUUGAACUCCUUGUACUCAUCUUCGCUCAUCAAAGGAUAUUUCGCCUUGCUCUUCUCAUAACUAUCACCUUUAUCAAUCAUUCUCUUCACCGUGCUUCUCCAAGUAGACAGGGUCGUGCUCAUCUUCAUGAGUGCGGCACUGUUCACUUUAUUCCCUGAGAGGCGUGUGUUUUCAAAUUCGGCGGGGAACUUGUAUCGUUCGUGCAGCUUCGUGAAGAGGAGGUUGCGCAAAUUCCCGUGGUCCUUAUUCCUAAGGUUAUCGGUGUUGAUCGAGACAGUGCUCCGGGGAAUGCACCCGAGCUGAACCGAGUACCCCUUGACUAUAUGUUUGGGCUCCGUUGGAUUCCCGUCGGAGUCCACUUGAGUGAAUUCCUCCUUGACAGUGCGGUGCGCAUUCGGACGCCGGUCCUUCCUUUGCUUCUUCGAUUGGCUGCCAUCUGUGUGUUCGCCGCCAUCAUCAGUGGUGGCAUCCUCGGCGGCACCAUCAGUGGUGUCGUCCCCGACGCCACUAGGGGUUGUGUAAUCAGGAUCGGUGUCUUCCGCGGUGUCCUCAUAGCGGUGAGGUUGUUCCUCCAGCUCCUGGGACAGCUCCCAGAAUUGCUUGCCGCCCGAACCACCGGCCUCAUCGUUGUGGGCCAUGUUUCGCUCUAAAUAGGAAAAAAGUUUGGUCAAAAAGUUGGUUAUUGUCAAGGAACAAGAUAAUGGUCUCAUCAUUUAGGGUUUAUCGAUACCGAGGCACCCUAAAAGCCUAAGCUUUCAUCAUUUAGGGUUUGUCGACGCCGAGGCACCCUAAAAGCCUAAGCGUACAUCAUUUAGGUUCUCAUCGACACCGAGGCAUCCGGGGCAGCCAAGUUAAGUUUUCAUCAUUUAGGGUUUAUCGAUGUCGAGGCACCCUAGGUUGGGCCUAAUCACUUGGCACUAAUCACUUGGCUCUAUUGCCACCUAUGUUGGGUUUAUCAUCUAGGGUUUAUCGAUGCUAAGGAGAAUUCUAAGUUGGGCCUAAUCACUUGGCUCUAUUGCCACUUAUAGUUUAAUGCAGCAAGAAUAAAGGGGCAGUUGAUCCUACUUAAUUAAGUACUAAGAUACCCCGACCCAUGCAUUAGUCGCAAGUACCCCAUAUGUCCUAUUUUUAGCAAAGUCAUGCUAAAAUUCACGGAAAAUUUCAGCAUGACCUUUGCUGAAAAAUAGGACAUAUGGAGUACCCGAAUUUGCAGGAACGGAAGUUAAUCAACAUUCCGGCAAACUCAAGGGCCGGAACGGAAGUUAAUCAAGUUGACAAAAUUCCCAAGUAGUACAGCAGCAGCAUCACAAGUAGUACCAAUGAACAUAUAGUCCAGCAAGUUGAAAAAGCUGAAGUUCUCAGCAUGAAGAAUCACACAACACAGCACCUACAUUAUGAUGAUACAUUUGGAGAUUGCACAUACAGUUUUCACAUAAGCGUAAUUAUUUUGGAGAUUGCACAUAUAGUUUUGACAGCACAACACCUAUGACAGCACAUACAGUUUUUCACAUUUGUAGAUUGCACAUACAGUUUUCACAUAGAGCAAUGUUCUUUUCAUUUCACCUUCCAUUUUUUUGCAAUUCAACUCACUUCCUUUUCUUAUAGUUACUGCUCCCAAAUGAAAUGACACUUUGACAUGGCUGCAAUUUUCAGUGUCUACUUAUCUGCAAUUUUUCUGUGUCUGCUUAGGAGAAAUAGGUUUCAAACUUCAGCUUGUUUUGUAUAAGGAGACUAAAAAACUAUCUAAGGAGUUCUUCAAGUUCAAGUUACAGCCUGCAUGACAUUUUCCUACACAAUGCUUGUUGUAAAUAAUUACUUAAAGUAAACACUUUUUUAUCUCAGCUUACUUGCUACCCUGUCUAUUUCUUCUAUGCUAUCCUUAUACUCUGCUUAAGGACAGAUGCUACUUGUCUUGGCUAUAUACAACAAAUUGACCUGGUUGUGUUCUAUACUAUUGUGCUACUUGUCUUCUAUGUUAUCCUUAUACUAUGCAAAUUGACCUGGUUCGAAUUCAUACAACAACAGUAACAGUUAACUAAACUUCUUUUGCAUGCAUUUAUCACUCCAGAAAACUUUCAGUAACAAGUGAGAAGCAUCUGCAUUUUCUUAGUGAACUUUUGAGUGCAUUUAUCACUUGUUGGAGUAUGCUACAGCUUUUGCAAAUCACGAACUCCUUUAGUUUACAUCUCAGUUUUAGCAAAUACAAGGGGGGAGGAGGGGAAGGGGGGAUAGGUGAGGAAUCACCUGUGGGAUAACGGCAGGCUGCCGUAGGAGGACGCCGGUGUUGAGGAGGCAGCGGGCGGCGGCGCGUCGAGGAGGCGGCGCGUCGAGGAGAAGGAGGCGCGUCGAGGAGGUGGCACGUCGAGGAGGAGGAGGUGCGUCGAGGAGGUGGCGCUUCGAGGAGGCGGUGCAUCGAGGAGGAGGCGGUGGAGGCGGGGCAACGGAGGGUUCGGUUGGCUGGGCGCGCCGUGGNNNNNNNNNNNNNNNNNNNNNNNNNNNNNNNNNNNNNNNNNNNNNNNNNNNNNNNNNNNNNNNNNNNNNNNNNNNNNNNNNNNNNNNNNNNNNNNNNNNNNNNNNNNNNNNNNNNNNNNNNNNNNNNNNNNNNNNNNNNNNNNNNNNNNNNNNNNNNNNNNNNNNNNNNNNNNNNNNNNNNNNNNNNNNNNNNNNNNNNNNNNNNNNNNNNNNNNNNNNNNNNNNNNNNNNNNNNNNNNNNNNNNNNNNNNNNNNNNNNNNNNNNNNNNNNNNNNNNNNNNNNNNNNNNNNNNNNNNNNNNNNNNNNNNNNNNNNNNNNNNNNNNNNNNNNNNNNNNNNNNNNNNNNNNNNNNNNNNNNNNNNNNNNNNNNNNNNNNNNNNNNNNNNNNNNNNNNNNNNNNNNNNNNNNNNNNNNNNNNNNNNNNNNNNNNNNNNNNNNNNNNNNNNNNNNNNNNNNNNNNNNNNNNNNNNNNNNNNNNNNNGGGACGGCAAAGUAGGCGAGGGGGACGGCGAACAUGGGGGGGGGGGCAGCGGGAGAGAUUAGAGAGAUUGGGGAUUUAGUGUGGGGGAACUUUCUAAUGGCGCACCAGCUCUCGGUGCGCCAUAAGUACGACUAUUCUAAUGGCGCACCAGCUCUCGGCGCGCCAUUAAAAUUUUGUUCUAAUCUAGCCCACUAGCCCUAUCUACCACCUAACCCUAUCUACAAUAGAACCCACCCACUAGCCCGACUGGUCAGCACGCAGCACACACACCAGGAGGUCCUGGGUUCGACUCCCAGGCUCCCCAAUAUUUUUUUAUGCAUUUUAAAUGCUGUUUUUUAUAUUUAUUGUGUUUAAAAAAUAUGUUCAAAUUUGUUACUUGAAAAUAUCAUCGGCGGCGGCGGUGGAGCGGGGGAGGGUGCGGGGAUCGAGAUCGAGAUGGAGGGGGAUCGAGAUCAAGUGUCCUCAUGAAUUCAAAAAGUGCCCAUGAAAUUUAAAAAUAUUCAUGAUAUCAAAAAGUGCCCAUGAAAUACAAUCGAGAAAUGAAGACUACGAUUUAAAUACAAUCAAUCUUAGCUAGCUAUCCGUUCACAAUCUUCUUGCCCUUCUUUUUCACAAAUGGAGUUCUUCUGUGGAACGGACGUCCUUUAGGUAGGGUGGUCCUGCUUCUUCUUGUGGUGUGUGCUGCUACUUCAUCGUCGUCGUCAUGUUCGAUCUUCGGGUCGCCGUACUUGUCGAAGUCUUGCUCAUUGGCUACUCCAUCCAUUCCGAUGAUCUUCCUUUUGCCUCUCCUCACGACAACACGACUGGGCUUUGACGGGUCGGUAAUGAAGAAGCAUUGGUCCACUUGGGAAGCCAGUACCCAUGGCUCAUUUUUCGCGGUGACGUUUGCGCCCGCGGUCUUGGAUUUGGCUUCGGGUAUAACCAUGGUGGUGAAAUAUCGGUCUUCUUUUAGGACGCUCUUGGCCCAUCUGACACGGAACAUCGGCACCUUCUCUCCAGCGUAGCUCAGCUCCCAGAUCUCCUCGAUCCUUCCGUAGUAUCUAUCCUUGUCCUUACUGGUGUAGGAUUCCAUCGUUACCCCGGAGUUCUGAUAACCAUCGCUCUUCAUGUCCUUGUCCUUGGUGUAGAAUGUGUAGCCGUUGAUAUCGUACGCCUCAUAGGUCAUCAGGUUGUGCUCGGCGCCCUGUGACAAGGCGAAUAUGAGUUGUUCUUCCGCGGAAGAAUAUUCAUGUAAAGGGUACGACAGAAGCUUCUGCUUGAACCAACGCGUGAAACAUGAGUUGUGCUCUUUGAGUAUAUCUCCGUCCGUCCUCUGUUGGCCUCAGUCAUUGUACGUCUUCUCAAUAAAGGUUUUGUGCUCUACCACCCAAGGAUCGACCACGUCUAUGUGUUGUAGCGCGACUAGGUUUGCUCUUUCAAAGUCGGCGAGUCGACCCUCGAAGUCGACAUGCAUUUCGCGGCGACCCUCACGGUGACCUCAUCCAGCGAGCCUGUCGAGGUGCCUGUUGACGGGCAGACCAACGGGGUUCUCGAUGCCUAGAUAAUUCGUGCAGUAGGAGAUGCACUCUUCGAUCAGAAAGCCCCUGGCUAUACUUCCCUCUAGACGUGACAUGUUGUGAACGUAUCCUUUGAUGACACCAUUCAUCCUUUCGAAUGGCAUCAUGCUGUGUAGGAACGUCGCCCCGAGUUGGAUGAUAUCCUCCAUGAUAUGGACCAGCAGAUGCACCAUAACGUCGAAGAAUGCGGGCGGGAAGUACAUCUCAAGCUCGAAUAGUAUCACCACGAUCUCUUCCUGUAGUCUUCUGAGUUGCCUCACGCCAAUCGACUUCCGAGAGAUGACGUUGAAAAAGUUGCAUAGGCCAAAUAGCAUUUCACGGACGUGCGCGUCCAUGAUCCCACGGAUUGCAACUGGAAGUGUCUGCAUCAUCAGCACGUGACAGUCGUGAGACUUCAUCCCGCUGAACUUCUGCUUCGCUGGGUCUAGGUAUCUGCUUAUCUUCCCCGCGUAACCGUAAGGAAGUUUUACUCCUAGGAGGCAGGUGAAAAACUGCUCGAUCUCCUCCUGACUUAGAGUGAAGCAUGCGGGAGGGUAGUCAUUUCCAGUCUUCUUGGCCUUUUUGCCUUUGCGACGACUUUCUGUGCCCUGCUUCGCCUCAUCAUCAUCUUCAUUAGCGUGAAGCUCUUGCCUGAUGCCCAUUGAUUUCAAGUCUGCCCUUGCUUUUGGCCCAUCUUUGGUCCUCUCUGGCAUGUUGAGCAGGGUACCAAGCAGACUCUCGCACACGUUCUUCGUGAUAUGCAUGACAUCAAGGCUGUGAGGCACACGAUGGAUCUUCCAGUACGGCAAGUCCCAGAAAACAGACCUCGUUUUCCAUACCUUCAGCAGCGGCUCUGGCGCCUUUCGCUUCUUUCCCGGCUCUGGCGCCUUUUGCUUCUUUCCCGGCAGUGGGCAGUCUUUCCAAUAUUUCAACAGCUCGUCUAUUUCCUCGCCGCUCCUCGUACAAGGGCGUUUUCGGGGUUCGGUUUCACCAUCGAACAGAUCCUUGCGUUUCCUCCACGAGUCAUCGUCGCGAAGCCACCUUCAAUGUCCCAUGAACACGGUUUUUGAAGACCCGGGAUCUCUAUCUAGCUGGCGAUACGUUGUGUCAUCCAUGCACCUUACGCAUCCAGAAAAUCCGUGGACUACCUACCCCGCGAGAUAUCCGUAACCGAGAUAGUCGUGCACUGUCAUGAGCAGUGCGGCUCUCAUUGGGAAAUAUUCUCUUUCUGCAGCGUCCCACGUAUUGGCUGGCGUUUUCCACAGCAUGUCUAGAUCCUCCUUCAGCAGCCCCAGAUACAGAUUGAUGUUGUUCCCUGGUUGUUUCGGCCCUUCAAUUAGCAUACUCAUGUGAAUGUACUUCCUCUUCAUGCACAACCAGGGGGGAAGGUUGUACAUCCACACAAACACAGGCCAGGUGCUAUGUGUGCUUCUUUGGCUGCCAAACGGAUUGACUCCAUCGGUGCUCGCGCCCAGCACGAUGUUCCUUGGAUCCUUCCCAAAUUCUGGGUCUUCGAAGUUCAACGCUUGCCACUGGCUCGCAUCCUUAGGGUGACUCAGCAUCUUGUCUUUUUUAUUUAUCUCCGGAUCAUUUCCGUCAUCUUCCUGCUUCUUCUCCUCCCUAUCUGCGUGCCAACGCAGGAGCUUUGCUAUCUUAGGGUCCGCGAAAUACCGCUGCAGACGAGGAGUGAUCGGAAAGUACCAUACCGAUUUUCGAGGAGCUUUCUUCCUCUUCUUGUAUCGAGUGACGCCGCACACCGGACAUAUGGUAGACUCCGCGUGCUCGUCCCGAUAAAUGAUACAAUUAUUCAUGCACACAUGGUAUUUCACGUGCGGUAAAUCGAGAGGACACACGAUUUUCUUCGCCUCCUCGAAACUGGUCGGGCACUUGUUCCCCUUGGGAAGACAUUCGUGCCAGAAUGACAUGUUCUCGUCGAAGCAUGCGUCGGUCAUUUUGUGUUUUACCUUCAUCUCCAAAGCCAUGAGCGUUACUUUCAGGCGGGUAUCCUCGGGCCUGCAUCCUUCAUUCAAUGGAGUAACCGCGUCUAUCUCCAGUUGAUCCAGCUUGGCUUUCUCUCGGACGGCAGCUCUUGCGUAUCCGUCUGCUUGAGAAGCAGCUCUUGAAUAUGAGGGUCCUGCACCCAGCCUCCAUCGUCGUCUGCUCCGGCAUCUUCAUAUUCAUGAUCAUGCCCUUCGUCUUGAUCUUCCCCAUCAUCAUUUACGACAUCUUCUACAUGAUGACUGUGUACAGCAUCACCGUCGUGAUCAUGUCCUAGAGAUUCUUCGUCUUCUCGCCCGCCCUCGCCGCGGUGGUACUUGCCUUGUUGCCCUUCCUCAUUUCUUGCCCGACCCCCAUGCAAGACUUCAUAGUCAUCUUCAUCACCUUGCCACCGAUAGCCAUCCAUGAAACCACGCAAGAGCAGGUGGUCCCACACCUGCCCGGAAUCCGGGUCCGCAAUAAGGCUCUUCAGCUUGCAUCUUCGACACGGACAUCUUAUCUCCGUCUCGUUCUUUUGAAGCAUCUCGGCCUUCGCGGAGCUCAAAAACCUAUUCACGAUGCCUUCAGUCAUCGUGCGGACCAUGGUCGCCUGCGGGGUAGAGCAAAACGAUAUUUUAGAACCAAGAAAAAAUUUGGCAUGACCUUCCCUAAAAAUAGGACCAAAAAGAAUGCAUAGUGCCAAAAAUCUCGCCGAAACGGAAAUGAAUCAAAACAUUCCGGCAAAAUAUUGACAACUAUCGCAUUUCAAAUACCGGUACCUUCAAACACAAUCAUAUAUGCAACACCACAAACACAUGUAACACCACAAAUAUACAUAGACCUAGCUAGGCCACAAAAAGUGCAUGUGCACGUUGUUGGAGCGAGCUAGGGAGAAAAAAAGUAGAUCUACAUCAUGAAGAUAGCUUUCCCCUUACUUACCUAUCAAAAAAAGGUAAUUUCACCACUUAAUUUUGAUGAAUUUAUGGUGGAAAUGAGGUGAGGAGGAGGAGGCAGCCGAGACAAGCUUGGAGGAGGAGGUGGAGAGAAUGAAGUGGGGAAAGUGAGUGGGUAGGUGGGUUGUCCAAAAUAUCUUGUUGGUUCCAGGUUACUAAUGGUGCACCACCACAUAACGCGUCAUUAGUAACCCUGGUUACUAAUGGCGCACCUGCAGGUGGUGCACCAUUAGUACUUUUUGCAGAAAAGUAAAAAAAACAUAUGUAUACUAAUGGCGCACGGUAUCACAGUGCGCCAUUAGUAGUUUAACUACUAAUGGCGCACUGUGAUACGGUGCGCCAUUAGUAGGUUUGCAAAAAAGUAAAAAAAAUAUAUACUAAUGGCGCACUGUCUCGGCCAUGCGCCAUUACUAGUUCUAACUAGUAAUGGCGCACUUUGUCUUCAUGCGCCAUUAGUUUGUAUGGAAAAAUGGGAAAAAAAUCAAUAGAAGUGGCGCACCGUGGGGCUGGUGCGCCAUUAGUGUCUGCCACACUAAUGGCGUACCUGAAUCCAGUGCGCCAUUAGUAUAUAGUAGUGGCGCACUGUCUACCUGGUGCGCCAUUAGAAUCAGUCCUAUCUAUAGCCCUUUUCCUAGUAGUGGAAUGUGAAGGCUUCUUUGUACUAGAGUUGAACUCUUAUUUAGCUUUACAAUCUUGAUUUCAGAUUUGCUCAUUCUUUGAAUUACCCAACCAAGUUCGAGAUAAGCUUUCACAAAUAUAAAGUAGAUAGAAAAAACUUCGGCCACUGGCCAGUGAGGACUAUAAUUAAGUGAUGAGAGUAAUUCCAGAUCAUGACGAGGUAAUUUCUCUAGAUACCUACUCUCGAAAGGUUAACAAGGAAUAAUAUUGUUGGUUACUCAUGUUUCCUUUUGUUCUUGACAUUAAGUUAAACAACCAAGUGACUGGUGUUCAAAAACUUCUAUAGAUAUAUUGUUGAUGCUGUUCACUCUAAAAAAAGGAAAUACUCCCUAUUGGCAAUGAAUAAGAGUACUUAUUUAAGUGUGUGCUCAAUCGCUCGCUUGCUACUUUGUUAAGUUUGUGGGAAGUGCCUCUGCCCGAAGUUCAUGAGGAUUUUAAUAAUUGUUUGCACAUGAACACUUGUUUGCAAUCUGGCUAUGCUAAGCUUUCAGGUAUUUCACAAGCACGUGGGAAAGUUGAAUCAGGAGCCUAAAUCAUCUGGCCUGCCACUGACCGCAAUCUAAGACUCAUUUUCCCGAGGGAAGAACCGGAAGGGAGAAGCCUGAGAUGAAUCAUACAUUUUCUUUCUCUUUGUAGCCACUUGCUUCCUAACAAUGUUAUAAGGAAGAGAGAAUGGGGUUUCCCCCCUUAUUAUGUCUCUUCGAGCUUCAAUCUGCUGUAGUAGUCAGUCGAUGAAUCAUACGAAAACAGGCCAAUUUUAUCAUUUGUUCUUGUCAAUGUGGACAUCAACAUUGUUGGAGUUGUGUCGAAUAUUGUGUACAAGGUAGGUUACAGUUGGACUUGUAGUUGUAUUGUGUUUAUAUAGGAUAUGUAGUCGUGUCCUAGUAGGACACUUGUAUCCUAGGCCUCUCAUAUAUAGCGGGGGUAGACACACGAUGUAACCUAUGCCAACAUAAUAGCACCGGAACGAAGGGAAGCCGGCGGCAUGUGCCGGUGUCCAGGGCGACCGGGUGUGGUAUUGUAGCAGUAUCAUGGGGAGGAGCGCCCAUAGUCAGGACCCGGGGAUGUAGCCAUAUCGGUAAACCUCGUUAACAAAUCUCGGUGCCAUGCUCGUGUGAUUGUUUGGUUCUCGGAUGAUCGACGGUAUGUCUCGGAUUUAUUCUGACAAGUGGUAUCAUCAGCAAGGUUCAAAUAGGUAGUUGUGUGUCAAUUUAAAGGAAGAUCAACGUUGAGUUCGUCGUGGAGAUGACGUGGAAGUCUAUCUUGUACCACGGUCGAUUUAUUCUAUGGGAUCUCGGCGGAGAUUGCAAGCAUCGCGACGGAAGGAUCAUGGUCGGCGGUGGCAGCAGCAGGCUCGAGCGAGUAGUCAGUCAGGCACCUUAUCGAUCAGAUCGAUCAGGAGCAGCGAGGGGCUCUAUGCCGCAGAAGCACGAGGCGCGUGCUAUGGAGGAAGGAGGCCGAUGUUGGGCGCGUGGACGCUAGAGAUCAGGGCCUCGUGGGCCACCGUGGUUAGGUGCAAGUGCGUUGUGCGGCUGAGGAGGGCGUCGGGCGAGCGAUGUAGGCUGCAGAGGACAGAAGCGAUUGGACAGAGAUUUGUUUUUUGGAAAAAGGAGAUAGAGUCUCUGUAGUACUAUAUGACACGGAUAGGCAGGCAAGUCAGUGUGAGUGGAACAAAGAUCCAUCAAGCCAUCAGAAGCAGGUUUGACACAAAGGGCAGCACUAGCUUUGGAAAGUUGAGCCAAGACUGGAGCUUUACGUGAAGAGACCAGAAGUUUUUUGUUCUUUGGUUGAUUUUCUAUUAGUGCACGAGGGGGUACCACAUCAGGUUUUGCUUGUGUACUUGGGUAUCAUGUGAGGAGCUCGGAUAAUUUUUUCAUUGGGUCACAGUCAUAUGAAGAACCAUGGCGCCAAUGGGUAUCAGGUUUGAGGUGGAGAAGUUCAACGGGACAGAAAACCUUGGGUUAUGAAAGACGGGGAUGGAAAAUUUGUUGGCACAACAUGGAUGCUUGAAGGCGUUGCAGGAAGUCGUGUCAACUAAGAUGGAAUUAUCAUGUGAUGGAUGAAAAAUCGCGGAAGAUGAUUUGGAGCCUGGGUCGGAUUAGACAGUCUAACGGAUCGACUUGGAUGUCGGUUGGUACAGAAUACGGUGGUGGGAUCGGCGACGACGACGUAGGAGCGUGAUGCUGAUGGUGACCGACUUCUGGGCGUGGAAACACGUGGCAUAGGCCCCGAGGGCUUGUGUGGCUUCGACAAGAUUAUGGCGCGGAGUUGAUUCAAGAUAGUGCACAUGAGAGCUAGAAGUCGACGGGGCGUAAGGGUGGACUGAUCAUCUAACAUGGAGUCAUGUUGAAGGUGGAGCUGGAUUGAGGGGCUACGAUGUAAGGAUCCAGGGAAUCGAAGCCUAUUCAGCAAGCGGGGAAAAGCGAGGGACACGUAAUUUGGACUGGAGCCCAGUGGUCUGAUGGAAGCGUGAAACUCGUCAUCGGUCGGUGAUGAUCGGUGGUACUCUGCAGUGGAGGUUGAGUGGUGUGGGUUUGCGACCCUUGAGACUCGACCAGGACAGCGGAGACUCGACGCGGUAAUAGCGGCGAGGCAUGCGGUAUGUUCAUGGCAUGGAGAUGGGCCAGGGCUCUGGUGGUCAUACAUGUGGUGAGACAACUGCGAAUUUGACUCGAGAUGACUACAAGUAAUGGUGUAGUUCCUUCAAGUUUUAGACAGGCGGUCAAGAAAGGAGCGAUGAUGUUGAGUUCAGGUAACUCUUAUUGUGACACCCAAUAUGUGAGUUGUUCAUUUUUCACGCAGGUCAGUGAUCAGUGUGUGAUGGUGUUGGACUGAUACUCUAGAAGUUGGGAGCGCAAAUUAGAGUAACAAGGAACUUAAUUUUGCUCGAGUGUUGACUGUGGUCAAGAAAAGAAGGGACUACAAGUUGGAGGUGGAGUCAUAUGCACUACUAGAAAAAGGACUAUAGAUGGGAUUGACACUAAUGGUGCACCAGACAAGUGGUGCGCCAUUAGUAUAUACUAAUGGCGCACCACGUUCUGAUACGCCAUUAGUGUUGAAACUACUAAUGGCGCACCUGGCCCAAGGUGCGCCAUUAGUAUCAAAAAAAAUUGAACUAGUGCGCCUGUCCAGACAUACUAAUGGCGCAUCCAGACGAAGUGCGCCAUUACUAGUUGUAACUAGUAAUGGCGCACCUGUCAGAAAGUGCGCCACUAAUGUUGUUUUUUUAAUUAUUUUUUUAUUCCUUUUUUGCAAAACUACUAAUGGUGCACUGUCCCACGGUGCUCCAUUACUAGUUUGAACUAGUAAUGGCGCACCGUGGGACAUUGCGCCAUUAGUAUGUUUUUUUUCAAAACUACUAAUGGCGCACCACCAGAGGGUGCGCCAUUAGUAACCUGGAUUACUAAUGGCGCAUUUAUGGUUGGUGCGCCAUUAGUAAGUAGGAAGCAACAAGAUAUUUUGGACAGCCUCUCCUCCCACACUCACUUUCUCCCCACUUCAUUCUCUCCACCGCCUCCUCCUUGUCUCGGGUGCCUCCUCUUUUUCACCUCAUUUCCACCAUAGAUUCAUUCAAAUUAAGCGGUUAAAUUACCUUGUUUUGAUAGGUAAGUAAGGGGGAAGCUAUAUUUAUGUUGUUCUCCCUACAACAAUGUGCAAAUGCACUUUUUAUGGCCUAGCUAGAUCUAUGAAUGUUCGUGGUGUUGCAUAUGUUUGUGGUGUUGCAUAUGUGUUUGUGUUUGGAGGUGUACCGGUAUUUGAAAUGCGAUAGUUGCCAAUAUUUUGCCGGAAUGUUGAUUCAUUUCCGUUUCGGCAAGAAUUUUGGCAUUAAGCAUUCUUUUUGGUCCUAUUUUUAGGGAAAGUCAUGCCAAAUUUUUUCUUGGUUCUAAAAUAUCGUUUUGCUCUACCCCGCAGGCGACCAUGGUCCGCACGAUGACCGAAGGCAUCGUGAAUAGGUUUUUGAGGUCCGCGAAGCCCGAGAUGCUUCAAAAGAACGAGACGGAGAUAAGAUGUCCGUGUCGAAGAUGCAAGCUGAAGAGCCUUAUUGCGGACCCGGAUUCCGGGCAGGUGCGAGACCACCUGCUCUUGCGUGGUUUCAUGGAUGGCUAUCGGUGGCAAGGUGAUGAAGAUGACUACGAAGUCGUCCAUGGGGGCCAGGCAAGAAAUGAGGAAGGGCAGCAAGACAACCACCGCGGCUCGGGCAGGCGAGAAGACGAAGAAUCCCCAGGAGAUGAUCACGACGGUGAUGCUGUACACAGUCAUCAUGUAGAAGAUGCAGGACAUGAUGAUGAUGCCGGCGGAGCAGACGACGCUGGACCAUCGAUGGGCUGGGUGCAGGACCCUCAUAUUCAAGAGCUGCUUCUCAAGCAGACAGAUAACGCAAGAGCUGCCGCCCGAGAGAAAGCCAAGAUGGAUCAACUUGAGUUAGACGCGGUUACUCCAUUGUAUGAAGGAUGUAGGCCUGAGGAUACCCGCCUGAAAGUAACGCUCAUGGCUCUGGAGAUGAAGGUAAAACACAAAAUGACCGACGCAUGCUUCGACGAGAACAUGUCAUUCUGGCACGAACGUCUUCCCAAGGGGAACAAGUGCCCGGCCAGUUUGGAGGAGGCAAAGAAAAUCGUGUGUCCUCUGGAUUUACCGCACGUGAAAUACCAUGUGUGCAUGAACAAUUGCAUCAUUUAUCGGGACGAGCACGCGGAGUCUACCAUAUGUCCGGUGUGUGGCGUCACUCGAUACAAGAAGAGGAAGAAAGCUCCUUGAAAAGUGGUGUGGUACUUUCCGAUCACUCCUCGUCUGCAGCGGUAUUUCGCGGACCCUAAGGUAGCAAAGCUCCUGCGUUGGCACGCGGAUAGGGAGGAGAAGAAGCGAGAAGAUGACGCAAAUGAUCCGGAGAUAGAUAAAAAAGACAAGAUGCUGAGUCACCCUAAGGAUGCGAGCCAGUGGCAACCGUUGAACUUCGAAUACCCAGAAUUUGGGAACGAUCCAAGGAACAUCGUGCUGGGCGCGAGCACCGAUGGAGUCAAUCCGUUUGGCAGCCAGAGAAGCACACAUAGCACCUGGCAUGUGUUUGUGUGGAUGUACAACCUUCCCCCCUGGUUGUGCAUGAAGAGGAAGUACAUUCACAUGAGUAUGCUAAUUGAAGGGCCGAAACAACUAGGGAACGACAUCAAUCUGUAUCUGGGGCUGCUGAAAGAGGAGCUUGACACGCUGUGGAAAAUGCCUGCCAAUACGUGGGAUGCCGCAGAGAAAGAAUAUUUCCCUAUGAGAGCCGCACUGCUCACGAUGGUGCACGACUAUCUCGGUUACGGAUAUCUCGCGGGGCAGGUAGUCCAUGGAUUUUCUGGAUGCGUAAGGUGCAUGGAUGACACAAUGUAUCGCCAACUAGAUAGAGAUCCCGGGUCUUCGAAAACCGUGUUCAUGGGACAUCGAAGGUGGCUUCACGACGAUGACCCGUGGAGGAAGCGCAAGGAUCUGUUCGAUGGUGAAACCGAACCCCGAAAACGCCCGUGUACGAGGAGCGGUGAGGAAAUAGACAAGCUGUUGAAAAAUUGGAAAGACUGCCCACUACCGGGAAAGAAGCAAAAGGCGCCAGAGCCAGGAAAGAAGCGAAAGGCGCCAGAGCCGCUGCUGAAGGUAUGGAAAACGAGGUCUGUUUUCUGGGACUUGCCGUACUGGAAGAUCCACCGUGUGCCUCACAGCCUUGAUGUCAUGCAUAUCACGAAGAACGUGUGCGAGAGUCUGCUUGGUACCCUGCUCAACAUGCCAGAGAGGACCAAAGAUGGGCCGAAAGCAAGGGCAGACUUGAAAUCAAUGGGCAUCAGGCAGGAGCUUCACGCUAAUGGUGAUGAUGAUGAUGAUGAUGAUGAUGAUGAUGAUGAUGAUGAUGCGAAGCAGGACACAGAAAGUCGUCGCAAAGGCAAAAAGGCCAAGAAGACCGGAAAUGACUACCCUCCCGCGUGCUUCACUCUAAGUCAGGAGGAGAUCGACCAGUUUUUCACCUGCCUCCAAGGAGUAAAAUUUCCUUACGGUUACGCGGGGAAGAUAAGCAGAUACCUAGACCCAGCGAAGCAGAAGUUCAGUGGGAUGAAGUCUCACGACUGUCACGUGCUGAUGACGCAGAUACUUCUAGUUGCAAUCUGUGGGAUCGUGGACGCGCACGUCCGUGAAACGCUAUUUGGCCUAUGCAACUUUUUCGACGUCAUCUCUCGGAAGUCGAUUGGCGUGAGGCAACUCAGAAGGCUACAUGAAGAGAUCGUGGUGAUACUAUGCGAUCUUGAGAUGUACUUCCCGCCCGCAUUCUUCGACGUUAUGGUGCAUCUGCUGGUCCAUAUAGUGGAGGAUAUCAUCCAACUCGGGCCGACGUUCCUGCAUAGCAUGAUGCCGUUCGAAAGGAUGAAUGGUGUCAUCAAAGGAUACGUUCGCAACAUGUCAUGUCCAGAGGGAAGUAUAGCCAGGGGCUUUCUGACCGAAGAGUACAUCUCCUACUGCAUGAAUUAUCUAGGCAUCGAGAACCCCGUUGGUCUGCCCGUCAACAGGCACCUCGGCAGGCUCGCUGGAUGCGGUCACCGUGAGGGUCGCCGCAAAAUGCAUGUCGACUUAGAGGGUCGACUCGCCGACUUUGAAAGAGCAAACCUAGUCGCGCUACAACACAUAGACGUGGUCGAUCCUUGGGUGGUAGAGCACAAAACCUUUAUUAAGAAGACGUACAAUGACCGAGGCCAACAGAGGACGGACGGAGAUAUAAUCAAAGCGCACAACUCAUGUUUCACGCGUUGGUUCAAGCAGAAGCUUCUGUCAUACCCUUUACAUGAGGAUUCUUCCGCGGAAGAACAACUCAUAUUCGCCUUUUCACAGGGCGCCGAGCACAACCUGAUGACAUAUGAGGCGUACGAUAUCAACGGCUACACAUUCUACACCGAGGCCAAGGACAUGAAGAGCGAUGGUUAUCAGAACUCCGGGGUAACGAUGGAAUCCUACACCGGUAAUGACAAGGACAGAUACUACGGAAGGAUCAAGGAGAUCUGGGAGCUGAGCUACGCUGGAGAGAAGGUCCCGAUGUUCCGUGUCAGAUGGGCGAAGAGCGUCCUAAAAGAAGACCGGUAUUUCACCACCAUGGUUAUACCCGAAGCCAAAUCCAAGACCGCGGGCGCAAACGUCACCGCGAAAAAUGAUCCAUGGGUACUGGCUUCCCAAGUUGACCAAUGCUUCUUCAUUACCGACCCGUCAAAGCCCAGUCGUGUUGUCGUGAGGAGAGGCAAAAGGAAGAUCAUCGGAAUGGAUGGAGUAGCCAAUGAGCAAGACUUCGACAAGUACGGCGACCCGAGGAUUGAACAUGACGACGAUGAUGAAGUAGCAGCAUACACCACAAGAAGAAGCAGGACCACCCUACCUAAAGGACGUCCGUUCCACAGAAGAACUCCAUUUGCGAAAAAGAAGGGCAAGAAGAAUGUGAACAGAUAGCUAGCUAAGAUCGAUUGUAUUUAAAUCGUAGCCUUCAUUUCUCGAUUGUAUUUCAUGGGCACUUUUUGAACUAUCAUGAAUAUUUUCAAAUUUCAUGGGCACUCGAUCUCGAUCCCCCUCCAUCUCGAUCGCUAUCCCACCUCGCCAGAUCCGGUCCCCCUCGCCGCCGAGCACCCCCCGGUCCACCGGCCGCCACCGCCGACCCCCCGCACCCUCNNNNNNNNNNNNNNNNNNNNNNNNNNNNNNNNNNNNNNNNNNNNNNNNNNNNNNNNNNNNNNNNNNNNNNNNNNNNNNNNNNNNNNNNNNNNNNNNNNNNNNNNNNNNNNNNNNNNNNNNNNNNNNNNNNNNNNNNNNNNNNNNNNNNNNNNNNNNNNNNNNNNNNNNNNNNNNNNNNNNNNNNNNNNNNNNNNNNNNNNNNNNNNNNNNNNNNNNNNNNNNNNNNNNNNNNNNNNNNNNNNNNNNNNNNNNNNNNNNNNNNNNNNNNNNNNNNNNNNNNNNNNNNNNNNNNNNNNNNNNNNNNNNNNNNNNNNNNNNNNNNNNNNNNNNNNNNNNNNNNNNNNNNNNNNNNNNNNNNNNNNNNNNNNNNNNNNNNNNNNNNNNNNNNNNNNNNNNNNNNNNNNNNNNNNNGUUUGAUGAUAUUUUAAAAAAAUUAUUACUGUCUUAUAAAAAAAAUAUUACUGUUAUGAUUUAAACAAGUUUGAACAUAUUUAAACACAAAUAAGUAUCAAACAGCAUUUUAAAUGAAAAAAAAUUGUGGAGUCUGGGAAUUGAACCCAGGACCUCCUGGUGCGAGAACUGGCUGCUGACCAGUCGAGCUAGUAGAGGGAGUUGAUGUGGAUCACGUCAGGUGGAAUAUAACCUGUUGGCUCGAGCAGAAAAAAAUACUAAUGGCGCACCAGGGUGAGGUGCGCCAUUAGUGUGGAUGUACUUAGUAUUGUGCCGCCCCCAUCCAUAGUUCCUCCCCGGCGCGGCCCACCUCUCUCCCUCGCCCUCGAUCCCCUCUCUCUCCCUCGCCCUCGCCCUCGAUCCCCUUCCCCGAGGCCGCUGCCCCGCCGCCUCGACGCCGCCCCGACGCCGCUGCCCCGCCGCCUCGACGCUGCCCCGCCGCCUCCGUCCCCCAUCGUCGCCGCCACUCGCUUCCCCCGCAGUGCACACAUCUUCCGCCGGAAGUUAUCGCCCUCCCUCUGCCGCCGGACGCCGCCCCUCCCCCGUUGUGCAGAGCNNNNNNNNNNNNNNNNNNNNNNNNNNNNNNNNNNNNNNNNNNNNNNNNNNNNNNNNNNNNNNNNNNNNNNNNNNNNNNNNNNNNNNNNNNNNNNNNNNNNNNNNNNNNNNAGCAUCCAGGCGAGACGCGGACACCCCCCCCCCUCCUCAUCUGGACACCGCCCUCCUCGACGACGACCCGCCUCUGCCUCCUCUUCAACGCCGGAGCUGCUGCCGACCUGCCUCCGCCUUGUCACCGGGCGGUGAGAUCCUCUUCUACUCUUGUGCGUGUGCUACCUGCUGCCGCUUGAGCCUUGAGCUACUGGUGUUGUGCUGCUGCUUGUGCUACUGUACUCUGUUGAACGGGUGGUUGUGCUAAUGCUAGUGGCUGGUGUUCUAAAAUAUUGUCGGUUUUUCAAUUGAAGCAUGUGUACACAUUGGUCAUUGCUAUGCGAAUUUGUCAAUUGAAGCAUGUGUGCACGGUGUGCAUUUCACCUGCCAAUUGGUAUGUGUGGAGAUAGUAUGCAUCGCUAUGUUGUCUGUCGAUAGUACACAAUGCAACUUUUAUCACAUCACACGAGUGAUACAGGUAUCAUGUCUUGAUAGGUAUCAUGACUCAAUACACCAGUCUGGCACAUAGGUGAAGUACAGAUGCAAGAACAUAAAUGCAUCUAUAGCUGGUUAAUAUCCCAGGUGUUCACUAAAUGCAAGUAGCAGCACUGAUGCGAAUGCGAUGUGCCGUGCUUCCCAAAUCCCAAGUGUUGGUUGGUAUCUCUUAUGUUUCGACAUGUGUCACAUCCUAGCUAGUUAUGCAUUAGAGUGUUGCAUCAUGUUUACUCUUUCAUCAGAAACUUGAAAUGGGGAUGACAGAACCCCCAGUCCCCUCUGAAACCAACUAGGGUUACUAAAAUAAUUUUUCAAUGAACCUGAAAUGCCCUUCUAAAAUGCCCAUCAUUUUUGUCUUGGUUCAGAACCUCUGCCAAAAAUGGUGCACAUUUUCCUAGGCCCUCCUAGGGUUUUUGAUUUAAAUCAUAACUAUUUGAAUUUGAGCAUUUAAAAUAAUAUAAAAUAAUUAAAUGCUCAAAUAUCUCCAAACUAAAAUGUUUCAUCUUGGAAAUAAUCCAACUAUGGGCCAGGAAUAGUUUGGUGAUUUUUGAAGUGGCCUAGGUAUUUUAUUUAAUUCAACAAAGUUGCAGAUAUAUUAAAUAAAAACAGAAAACAGAAAAGAGAGGGAAAGACUUACCUGUGCGGCCCAGCCAGCUGGCCGGCCCAGCCAGCAACCGACCCAGCCCAGCACUGUAGCUCCCCGUCGUCUUCCUCCCCUCGCCCCGAAGCUGCUGCGUGCUCGCGCGCGCACGGCCGCGCGGCCACCUCCUGCUUGCCGACGCCCUCCUGGCCGCGUGGACGACGCCCGCAGCUCGUCCCGAUCCCCCCUGCUCUCUCUCACUCUCCCCGGCUCUCUCCUUCCUCUCCCUCGCUCUCUCUCUCGCUCGGCCGAACACCACCGUCGCCGCCGAUCGCCAUAGCCACCAUCUCCGGCCACCCCUCGCUCCCCCGACCAGCUCAGGAGCUCCGCCUCGACUCCCUCUUCCUCCCCACCGCUCCACGGGUCUCCGGAAGCCCUGCAUCGCCGCCACGUCGCCGUUCCCCUCUUCGGACUCCGACCACCGUCGCCGUCAAAUUCGUCGUCUCCGGCGCGUCCCCGAGCCCGCUUCGACGCCCACUGCAACCGCGGUGAGCCCCCGGAGCGUUUCCCCCUUCUUCCCUGGUCUCUCCUGACCCCUAGGCCCUAGCUCCACCUCGAUCGAGAGCUCCACGCCGCCGGCGAUGUCGCCGUCGUGGCCACGGUCACCGUAGCACCCAACCGAGCUCACCAUCGUGCUCCACACAUCACCAGGAGCACGUAGAACGCACCAAUGCCUCCCCAAACCCCCUGCAACACUGAUCCCGACCGCACCCGAACUCCGGCCGCCGCAGCCGAGCUCGCCGCCGUCAACUCCGGCCACCCCGAGCCCAACCACCACCACCAAUAGACGCGGCUCAACCUCAGCAACACGUAGAUGCCCUCCGCCGUCCAUUUGGUCGCCGGAAUGGCAAAAAGCACUCUCGCCGCCGUCUCGGAUCUCGCCGGCGUCAUGUCGCCGGUGGGGUUUGACUUGACCGACCUGGGGUUUGACCCCCCCAGGGUCGCUGACGCGUGGGCCCUGUCGGCCAGAUGGUUAGGUUAGCGCUAACUACUGUUAGUCAACCCCCCCUGACACUGACAGUGGGCCGCAGCGCCACUAAUUAGUAAUUAGAAUUAAUUUAAAUCUGUUUAACCCCCCCUGUCACUGACGUGUGGCCCCCACACGUCAGGUUUGACUUCAGCCAGCCGCAGUUGACCUGCUGACGUCACACUGACGUCAGGCUGACGCAGUAAUUAAUUUUCUGGACUUAAAUUAAAUCAGGAAAUUCCAGAAUAUUAGUUAAACUUCAAAAAUUCAUAACUUUUAUUCUGUAACUCCAAAUUGGACAAAUUAUAUAUGAAAAAUGAUCAGAAAAAUCCAAUCUAUCCAUCUGUACCAUUUUCAUGCAUGAUCAAACAAGUUAAAUUGAUGUUUUAAUCAGAACAAGGAAAAGCACUUUAAAAGGCCAUAUUUGAAUUUGAAAUUUGAAUCUUUGAUUCAAAUUUGCUCAAACCCUUCUGGUUUUAGUUGCAUUAGCCCAACACACUCAUAUUGCCAUGUUUCAUGCAUGCAUCAUAUUGUUGCAUAUUGUUUGGUAAUGUUGUGUAUCGGUGCUCUCUGCGGCAGGUUCCGUCCCCGAAGAGUACCCUGAUUACCCUAGCGAAGAACCGUAUCCGUGCAACGAACCAUCAGGCAAGCAACCAACCAUUUGAUCAUAUCGAUACAAUCCCAUGUUCUCGCUCCUGCUCUCUUUUACUGCAUUAGGACAACGCGAUUCAAACUGCUGUGUGCUACGGUAGUUGAACCCAUUUCCUCUGCAUGACCUGUCAUUGCCACAGUAACUAGAUGAAACCCACUAGCAUGUGUAGGAGUUGAUUGAGCCAUAUGUAUGUGUUGUUCCUACCUUGCUAUGCCUGCUAUGCUUAGAGUCGUGUCAGGUCUGGUUCAUCUGGGUGAUGGGCUAGAGUGAAAUGAUUAUGUCGGUAAUGAGAGUGGUGUGGUGAACCCGAUUUGGUAAAGGUAUCGAUGAGAGGCCAUGUAGGAGUACAUGGUGGGUUGUUUCAUUGAAGCCGACCUUAAGCACUGAGAUCUGUAUGUGUGAUUUAAGAAUCAGCUACUACCAUACAUUGGGCCCUGAAAUAUGACCCCGCUCGACUUCUUAUUCACCCUAGCUCUCUGUCCAGGAGUUGCAAGUAGUUUCUGGUGUUUGUAGCCUACUGGAGGCCGUGGACAGCACUGACCGUAGGGGUGGGCUGUGAUGCGGUAGGUACGUGGCCGGGUGUACCGAAUACCCGUUAGGUAUCUCGGGAACCCUGUUCACAUCGUUCGGGGCCGUAUGGGAAACCUCGGCCGGACUCCCUGCGGAUGGAACCUGAAUAGGCGAUAAACCUGGACUAGAGGCUUAAGUGUUUAGGUAGGUCGUGGUCUACACCCACGUCGGCUUUCGCUUGAAGUCUGCCGAGCACAUGUCGUGUGCAGACGCUAAGUGGUGGAAACAUGUAUGAAGAAGUACACCCCUGCAGGGUUAACAUGAUCUAUUCGAAUAGCCGCGUCCGCGGUAAAGGACUACUUGGUUGCCUAUACAGUUCAUAGACAAGUAAAUGGAAAACUACUAAAAGCCUCAAGAUAAGUGUGAGUGCCGAGGAUGGCUCUUCCGUAGGAAGACGGAGGUGGAUCCUCGGUAGUGUAUUGAAGUGGUGAAUAGUGGACUCGUGUGCGCAAAACUAUUUCAAACUGGAGUAUCGUAGGAUAGUCUAGCCAAGAGUCAAAGCUGGCUUGCUGCAAUAACUCCACCAACCCUUCUUGAUACUAUGCAUGUAUGUAGGAUCUGAUGUAAGUCUUGCUGAGUACCUUUGUACUCAUGUUGCUAUAAUCUACAUUUUUACAGAAGACGCUGCAACCCCUUCUGAUGGGUUCUAUGUAGACGUUGACAUCAACGAGUAGGCUAAAAGACCCAGGUGGUGACCCUGAGCUUGUGAAGGACCACAUAGUAUAGCCAGGCUUUCCAAGCCUCUUUUAUUUUACUAGUUGUCUGUACUCAGACAAGUUACUUCCGCUGUUGGCUGGUAUGAUUGUAUGACUUGUAUGUUGGGUCGUGAGACCCGUAUCUUUGUGUGUAUGUUAUGUAUGGCUCACUGAGCCUUAAAUAAAGUACUUGUGUCGUAGAGUCAUGUUGUGAUGCUUCGUUGUAUUUGCACAUAUCGAGCAUAUUGUGUGUAUGAUUGAAAUGCUUGGUAUGUGUGGGAUCUGACUAUCUAGUUGUUUAUCUUUAGUAGCCUCUCUUACCGGGAAAUGUCUCCUAGUGUUACCGCUGAGCCAUGGUAGCUUGCUACUGCUCUGGAACACUUAGGCUGGCCGGCAUGUGUCCUUCUUCGUUCCUGUGUCUGUCCCUUCGGGGAAAUGUCACGCUUUGAGUACCGGAGUCCUGUUAGCCCGCUACAGCCCGGUUUACCGGAGUCCUGCUAGCCCAGUGCUACAGCCCGGACCCACUUGCUGAUGACCGACACGUUCGAAGAUGGGUCAUGGAUGCCUGUCCCUGUAAGUCUGUGCCACUUUGGGUUUACGACUAGUCAUGUCAGCCCGGGCUCUUUAUCAUAUGGAUGCUAGCGACACUAUCAUAUACGUGAGCCAAAAGGCGCAAACGGUCCCGGGAAAAGGUAAGACGACACCCGUGGGGAUACCGUGCGUGAGGCCGCAAAGUGAUAUGAGGUGUUACCAGCUAGAUCGAUGUGACAUCGAGUCGGGGUCCUGACAGCGUUGGCAUCAGAGCCGGACUGCCUGUAGGUUCUCCAAGCCAAACUGGUCGAUGUUGAGUCUAGAAAUUCUUUAGUUAUAUGUAGGGGAAUUGUUUGUGGGUUGGAACGUAAGGCUCUUUUUACUCCUUAUACCUUAUGACUUUCUGAUCUGAGUCGGUCCAUUCUUCCACCGGGGGUUAAGGAAUUAGGAUCUGUUCUCUCUAUCAGGAUCACAUGUUACUAAUCAGUAGUACCUUAUAAGUUUGAUGGUUACAAGCCUAGUUCAGUUCUACUACCACAUUAUGUUGUUAGAAUGGUUCCAGAACUUUGAUGUGAUGAUGUUGAGUGUGUACGAAAUCCUUUGUCAAAUGUCUCAAUGUCCUUUUUGAGCAUUUACAGCUGUUAUGCUGCCGAAAUUUUGCUAGAAAUUCUAAUGCCUUUGCAUUAUGAUUAUGCUUUCAGAUGGCCACUCGCGACCUUAAUCAAGUGGUUCGCCUGACUCGAUGCCUAGAUGUACCCGGCCAUACUGCUAAGUUGGUCAGGGUAAUGACUGAGGCUGGAUAUCGCCGGUAUCCUGAGUACACGGUCGAAGAGCAAUUCCGAGACUUUAACCAAAGCCAGUAUCUCUGCACUGUCAGGAUAUUUCCAUCUUAUCCUAGAUCCACUGAGCCUCUUCACUGCUCCUAUGGACUCGGGGUUACUAUUGAGAUGGCUGUGCAGGAUGCCGCCUACUCUAUGAUGACCAUUAUGCGAGUCAGAUCUGGUCUAUUUCGGGACUCUGACUUCCGGUAUAUGCCAGGAUCACUUCCGGGAGCACAAGGGUAUCUCCAGGCUAUCUAUGCUGACUCCACUCAGGAGGAUUCACGGACUCGCACCACUGCUGAGAUGCUCGAGGAUAAGGACCGUGAAAAUCGGGCCUUAAGGUUAGAGCUCUUCAAUACCCGUGCUGACCACUGGGCUACUUUGACUCGGUUCGCACCGGCGGUGCAAGCUGGAUAUUCGGAUAUGCGCGAUCUCUAUCCUGUGAGGUCUGCUCUGCCAGACGUGAUGGUUUGGCGUGAUGUAGGAGGCAUCACCCCACCUCGCGGUCCCCGCAGGCCACCGUUUGUUGGUCCAAGGCCUCAUCCUAGCCCCUAUGGUCCACAAGCUCCGCGAGAUCGUCUGUUUCCGGAUGAACAUGUUGAGCUUCCAGGCUAUGGAGGUGACUUUUAUGAGGACUACUACGGAUCGGUCUGAGUUAGGGGUAGCAUCACUAGUUCGCACUAGCUGUGUCAUCUAUCGUUCCGCGUGACUCGUGGGAUAUGACCUAGUUGUACUUCUUCCGGAGGUGUAGAAAAAUAAUGUAUAGGAGCUUGGAAUGCCUCCGAUGAGAUGUAAUCCUUUUCUCACCGUAAUAGUACUUUGUUUGGUCUUGUACUAAACCUUGUAUGGUGUGUAUGACGAUGGAAUAAAGAAGCAGUUUCUGUAUCUACCAUGUCAUACGGAUGAUCAUCUUGCAUUCCGAGUUAUUUCUUACAUUAUGUAUCCCAUGUCGGAAUUUCAUCAUUCUGACUAAAUCAUUGUCUUGUUUACCUAGGAUGGUCAACACGCGCGCCAACCCUGCUUCCCAAGAGCAGGCCGAAGGCAGUGAAGCCAGGAAUGAAAAUCUGCCUCAUCCUCCUUCACUAGCCGAGGUGAUGAUGGAAGCUGAGAGAAACAAGCGGGAGACAAACCGUUUGUUGGAGCGUAUUGAACAGAAUACAGCACACCAUCAGAGGGCUAACGUGGUGUCACUCAGUGAUUUUAUCAAAUUGCAUCCACCCACGUUCCACCACUCCGUCGAGCCUCUCGACGCUGAUGACUGGCUUCGCAGUAUCUCUCACAAACUGCGUUCCGCGCUGGUAGCGGAGGCUGACAAGGUCACCUUUGCCGCAUAUCAUCUUGAAGGCCCCGCCAGUCUAUGGUGGGAGAAUUAUGGAGCCAUGCGCCCAGCGGGCCAUGUCACAACUUGGGCUGAAUUCAGCGAGGCUUUCCGCGAACAUCACAUUCCGGAGGGUCUCAUGGACCGUAAACGUAAAGAAUUUUGCAGUUUCACCCAAGGCCGACUUUCUGUGGAUGCCUAUAGCAGAGAGUUCGGUAAUCUCGCCCGAUAUGCAACUGAGGAAGUGUCUACUGACGCCAAGAAGCAAGCAAGGUUCCGUAAGGGCCUUAGUCCUGAGCUUCGCCGCGACCUCCGCCUGCAUGAGUGCACAUCUUUUUCGAAACUUGUCAACAAAGCCAUCAGUGCUGAAACUGGUCAGACUGACUAUGACGCAACACGCAAGCAUGGACGUGACAUGGGUUCCUCAUCCGGUGCUGGUCCUCAGAAGCGCCGCGUGUGGGUACCCAACGCUGCCUUGCCACCCAGGUUCACACCGAGGCCAUCUUUCCAGGCGCCUCGCCCCGCUCAACAGUCUGCUCCAGCCAAGCCCUAUGGGGGUCCAACCAGUAAUGCUCCUCCACGUACCAGUUCCGUGACUUGUUUCAAGUGUGGGGAAUCUGGUCAUUAUAUGCGUGAGUGUCCCCAGACCAACCCCAAUAAAUCUGCUAAAGCUGUUGGCCGUGGCAAGCCGACAGGAAAAGUGUUUCAUGCUAAACCGGUCACCGCUUCACGUGGCCAUGUCAACUGUAUCUCUGCCGAAGAAGCUCAAGAAGAUCCCAACGUCGUUCUCGGUAUGCUUCUUGUUAAUUGCCACCCGGCAUCUGUACUUUUCGAUACAGGAGCCUCUCAUUCUUUUAUAUCUGAAAAUUAUGCUCGUUUGCAUAACGUUGCAUUCUGUGACCUGCCAUCCUCCAUGGUAAUUCAAACUCCGGGGUCCAAAUGGCAAACUUCUAGAGUAAGCCAUGGAAAUGAAAUCCAAGUCGAUAGACUUGUUUUUCUCGCAUCUUUGAUAGCCCUUAAAUCUUCAGAUAUUAAUAUCAUUUUGGGUAUGGACUGGAUGUCAGCUCAUCAAGCCAAAAUUGAUUACUUCUCUAGGACUGUUCAACUCACCCAUCCUUCGGGAAAGAUAGUCAAUGUCUUGACCCGAAUAGCCAAGCGACAAUUAUAUUCUCUUAACGCCAGCCCUUUGCCAGACCUUGAGGACGUUCCGGUAGUCCGUGACUUCCCGGAUGUCUUUCCAGAGGAAUUGCCAGGUGUUCCACCUGACAGGGAUGUUGAGUUCGUAAUAGACCUCAUUCCAGGAACCGUUCCGAUUGCUAGAAGACCCUACAAGAUGGCACCCCUAGAACUAGCCGAGCUUAAGAAACAACUCGAUGAAUCCUUGAAAAAGGGUUUCAUCCGCCCUAGUUCAUCUCCGUGGGCUUGCCCCGUCCUAUUCGUUAAGAAAAAGGAUGGUACGGACCGGAUGGUUGUAGAUUACCGACCUGUUAAUUUGGUCACAAUCAAGAACAAAUAUCCACUUCCCAGGAUCAACGACCUGUAUGAUCAGCUCGCUGGAUCCUCAGUCUUCUCCAAGAUGGAUUUGAGGUUGGGAUACCAUCAAAUCAAAAUCAGAAACGGGGACAUUCCUAAGACGGCCUUUGUUACCCGUUAUGGCCAAUACGAGUACACCGUCAUGUCCUUCGGUUUAACCAACGCUCCAGCCACCUUUUCUCGGUUAAUGAACUCAAUCUUCAUGGAGUAUUUGGAUAAAUUCGUCGUAGUUUAUCUCGAUGAUAUACUCAUCUACUCCAAGAACGAGGAAGAACAUGCCGAACAUUUAAGGCUAGUGUUGAAGAAACUUCGAGAGCAUCGCCUUUAUGCCAAAUUUUCAAAAUGUGAAUUCUGGUUGUCAGAAGUGACCUAUCUGGGCCAUGUAAUAUCUGGUAAAGGUAUUGCUGUUAACCCUGAGCGAGUUCAAGCCGUCCUUGAUUGGACACCACCUGAAUCGGUCAAGCAAGUUCGGAGUUUUCUGGGCUUAGCGAGCUAUUGUCGUCGCUUUGUCGAGAACUUCUCCAAAGUUGCCAAACCUCUAACCGAACUCCUCAAGAAAGAUAAGAAGUUCGAAUGGACUCCACAAUGUGAGCACAGCUUUCAGGAACUGAAAAGACGCCUGACUUCUGCUCCCGUGCUGGUACCGCCAGACUUCUCCAAGGACUUUGUUAUCUACUGUGACGCCUUGCGACAAGGACUAGGUUGCAUUCUCAUGCAAGAUCGACACGUAAUUGCUUACGCUUCACGGCAAUUGCACCCACAUGAGGAGAAUUAUCCUACUCAUGAUCUAGAACUUGCAGCCGUAGUCUAUGCACUUAAGACCUGGCGACAUUACCUCCUCGGUAAUCGUUGCGAAAUAUUCACUGAUCACCAAAGUCUGAAGUACAUCUUCACCCAACCGGAUCUGAAUCUCAGGCAAAGACGUUGGGUUGAAUUGAUCACAGACUUCGACUUAGGGAUAACCUAUACCCCAGGGAAAGCCAACGUCAUGGCUGAUGCGUUAAGUCGUAAAUCUUAUUGUAACAACCUGAUGUUACAACAAAGUCAACCGCUUCUCCAUGAUGAAUUUCGGAAGCUUAACCUUCACAUUGUACCUCAAGGUUUUCUCUCCACCUUGGUAGCAAAACCUACUCUUACGGAUCAAAUCAUCGCUGCCCAAAAGCGAGAUAAGGGAAUAUCUAAAAUCAAAGAGAACAUUGCUAGCGGAGGUGCUAGUUGUUUCUCCACAAAUGAUCAUGGUGUUGUAUACUUUGAGAACCGUCUAGUGGUUCCCAAGAACCAGCAUCUAUGGCAGUUGAUCCUUAAGGAGGCUCAUGAAUCUCCUCUCACCAUUCAUCCCGGUAGUACUAAAAUGUAUCAGGACCUACGCCAGAGGUUCUGGUGGACUAGGAUGAAGAGAGAAAUUGCUCAGUAUAUUGCAAAUUGCGACGUCUAUCGUCGUGUAAAAGCAGAGCAUCAACGGCCUGCUGGCACCCUUCAACCCUUAGCUAUUCCUGAAUGGAAAUGGGAUAAAAUUGGUAUGGAUUUCAUUACCGGUUUUCCCAGGACCAAAAGAGGGAAUAAUGCUAUUUUCGUCGUGGUCGAUCGUCUUUCCAAAAUAGCUCAUUUCUUACCCGUUCGUGAGAGUAUAACCGCUAGUCAGCUGGCAGACUUGUACAUCUCCCGAAUAGUGUCCCUCCAUGGUGUUCCUUUGGAAAUUAACUCGGAUCGAGGAAGUCUUUUCACCUCUCGAUUUUGGGAAAGUUUCCAAAAUGCUAUGGGAACUCGUCUCUCCUUUAGCACCGCUUUCCACCCUCAGUCAAGUGGUCAAGUGGAACGCGUCAAUCAGAUUCUAGAAGACAUGCUUCGAGCCUCUAUUAUCUCGUUCGGAAUGGACUGGGAGAAGUGCCUUCCAUUUGCCGAAUUCGCUUACAACAACAGCUAUCAAUCUAGCUUGGGUAAAGCCCCUUUUGAAGUUCUCUAUGGACGACGAUGUCGAACACCCCUUAACUGGUCAGAGACCGGGGAAAGACAAUUCUUUGGCCCGGAUAUGAUUCAGGAAGCAGAAGAACAGGUUCGUAUCGUUCGUGAAAAGUUGAAAACAGCCCAAUCCCGUCAAAAGAGUCAAUAUGACCGAAAACAUAAGGCUAUGACUUUCGAGGUUGACGAGAAGGCUUACCUUCGGGUCACCCCUCUGAAGGGAACCCAUCUUUUCGGUAUCAAAGGCAAAUUGGCUCCUCGUUACAUUGGACCUUUUCGCAUUCUUGCCAAACGAGGAGAAGUUGCCUAUCAACUGGAACUACCUCCGCACCUCUCCAGAGUUCACGAUGUCUUCCACGUCUCUCAACUCAGGCGUUGCUUCUCGGAUCCUAUCCGUGAAGUGGACCACGAAACGCUUGAUCUCCAAGAUGAUCUUACAUAUCGAGAGUACCCCAUUCGUAUCCUCGAUCAGGCCGAGCGUACCACCCGACGUCAUAACAUCAAGUUUCUCAAAGUUCAAUGGUCGCACCAUUCUGAAGAUGAAGCAACUUGGGAAAGGGAGGAUCGUCUUCGACUUGAAUAUCCCGCUUUCUUCUCGGAGGAACCCAAAUCUCGGGACGAGAUUCUUUUGAGUGGGGGUGAGUUGUCACAUCCUAGCUAGUUAUGCAUUAGAGUGUUGCAUCAUGUUUACUCUUUCAUCAGAAACUUGAAAUGGGGAUGACAGAACCCCCAGUCCCCUCUGAAACCAACUAGGGUUACUAAAAUAAUUUUUCAAUGAACCUGAAAUGCCCUUCUAAAAUGCCCAUCAUUUUUGUCUUGGUUCAGAACCUCUGCCAAAAAUGGUGCACAUUUUCCUAGGCCCUCCUAGGGUUUUUGAUUUAAAUCAUAACUAUUUGAAUUUGAGCAUUUAAAAUAAUAUAAAAUAAUUAAAUGCUCAAAUAUCUCCAAACUAAAAUGUUUCAUGUUGGAAAUAAUCCAACUAUGGGCCAGGAAUAGUUUGGUGAUUUUUGAAGUGGCCUAGGUAUUUUAUUUAAUUCAACAAAGUUGCAGAUAUAUUAAAUAAAAACAGAAAACAGAAAAGAGAGGGAAAGACUUACCUGUGCGGCCCAGCCAGCUGGCUGGCCCAGCCAGCAACCGACCCAGCCCAGCACUGUAGCUCCCCGUCGUCUUCCUCCCCUCGCCCCGAAGCUGCUGCGUGCUCGCGCGCGCACGGCCGCGCGGCCACCUCCUGCUUGCCGAUGCCCUCCUGGCCGCGUGGACGACGCCCGCAGCCCGUCCCGAUCCCCCCUGCUCUCUCUCACUCUCCCCGGCUCUCUCCUUCCUCUCCCUCGCUCUCUCUCUCGCUCGGCCGAACACCACCGUCGCCGCCGAUCGCCAUAGCCACCAUCUCCGGCCACCCCUCGCUCCCCCGACCAGCUCAGGAGCUCCGCCUCGACUCCCUCUUCCUCCCCACCGCUCCACGGGUCUUCGGAAGCCCUGCAUCGCCGCCACGUCGCCGUUCCCCUCUUCGGACUCCGACCACCGUCGCCGUCAAAUUCGUCGUCUCCGGCGCGUCCCCGAGCCCGCUUCGACGCCCACUGCAACCGCGGUGAGCCCCCGGAGCGUUUCCCCCUUCUUCCCUGGUCUCUCCCGACCCCUAGGCCCUAGCUCCACCUCGACCGAGAGCUCCACGCCGCCGGCGAUGUCGCCGUCGUGGCCACGGUCGCCGUAGCACCCAACCGAGCUCACCAUCGUGCUCCACACAUCACCAGGAGCACGUAGAACGCACCAACGCCUCCCCAAACCCCCUGCAACACUGAUCCCGACCGCACCCGAACUCCGGCCGCCGCAGCCGAGCUCGCCGCCGUCAACUCCGGCCACCCCGAGCCCAACCACCACCACCAAUAGACGCGGCUCAACCUCAGCAACACGUAGAUGCCCUCCGCCGUCCAUUUGGUCGCCGGAAUGGCAAAAAGCACUCUCGCCGCCGUCUCGGAUCUCGCCGGCGUCAUGUCGCCGGUGGGGUUUGACUUGACCGACCUGGGGUUUGACCCCCCCAGGGUCGCUGACGCGUGGGCCCUGUCGGCCAGAUGGUUAGGUUAGCGCUAACUACUGUUAGUCAACCCCCCCUGACACUGACAGUGGGCCCCAGCGCCACUAAUUAGUAAUUAGAAUUAAUUUAAAUCUGUUUAACCCCCCCUGUCACUGACGUGUGGCCCCCACACGUCAGGUUUGACUUCAGCCAGCCGCAGUUGACCUGCUGACGUCACACUGACGUCAGGCUGACGCAGUAAUUAAUUUUCUGGAUUUAAAUUAAAUCAGGAAAUUCCAGAAUAUUAGUUAAACUUCAAAAAUUCAUAACUUUUAUUCUGUAACUCCAAAUUGGACAAAUUAUAUAUGAAAAAUGAUCAGAAAAAUCCAAUCUAUCCAUCUGUACCAUUUUCAUGCAUGAUCAAACAAGUUAAAUUGAUGUUUUAAUCAGAACAAGGAAAAGCACUUUAAAAGGCCAUAUUUGAAUUUGAAAUUUGAAUCUUUGAUUCAAAUUUGCUCAAACCCUUCUGGUUUUAGUUGCAUUAGCCCAACACACUCAUAUUGCCAUGUUUCAUGCAUGAAUCAUAUUGUUGCAUAUUGUUUGGUAAUGUUGUGUAUCGGUGCUCUCUGCGGCAGGUUCCGUCCCCGAAGAGUACCCUGAUUACCCUAGCGAAGAACCGUAUCCGUGCAACGAACCAUCAGGCAAGCAACCAACCAUUUGAUCAUAUCGAUACAAUCCCAUGUUCUCGCUCCUGCUCUCUUUUACUGCAUUAGGACAACGCGAUUCAAACUGUUGUGUGCUACGGUAGUUGAACCCAUUUCCUCUGCAUGACCUGUCAUUGCCACAGUAACUAGAUGAAACCCACUAGCAUGUGUAGGAGUUGAUUGAGCCAUAUGUAUGUGUUGUUCCUACCUUGCUAUGCCUGCUAUGCUUAGAGUCGUGUCAGGUCUGGUUCAUCUGGGUGAUGGGCUAGAGUGAAAUGAUUAUGUCGGUAAUGAGAGUGGUGUGGUGAACCCGAUUUGGUAAAGGUAUCGAUGAGAGGCCAUGUAGGAGUACAUGGUGGGUUGUUUCAUUGAAGCCGACCUUAAGCACUGAGAUCUGUAUGUGUGAUUUAAGAAUCAGCUACUACCAUACAUUGGGCCCUGAAAUAUGACCCUGCUCGACUUCUUAUUCACCCUAGCUCUCUGUCCAGGAGUUGCAAGUAGUUUCUGGUGUUUGUAGCCUACUGGAGGCCGUGGACAGCGCUGACCGUAGGGGUGGGCUGUGAUGCGGUAGGUACGUGGCACGGUGUACCGAAUACCCGUUAGGUAUCUCGGGAACCCUGUUCACAUCGUUCGGGGCUGUAUGGGAAACCUCGGCCGGACUCCCUGCGGAUGGAACCUGAAUAGGCGAUAAACCUGGACUAGAGGCUUAAGUGUUUAGGUAGGUCGUGGUCUACACCCACGUCGGCUUUCGCUUGAAGUCUGUCGAGCACAUGUCGUGUGCAGACGCUAAGUGGGGGAAACAUGUAUGAAGAAGUACACCCCUGCAGGGUUAACAUGAUCUAUUUGAAUAGCCGCGUCCGCGGUAAAGGACUACUUGGUUGCCUAUACAGUUCAUAGACAAGUAAAUGGAAACUAUUAAAAGCCUCAAGAUAAGUGUGAGUGCCGAGGAUGGCUCUUCCAUAGGAAGACGGAGGUGGAUCCUCGGUAGUGUAUUGAAGUGGUGAGUAGUGGACUCGUGUGCGCAAAACAUUUCAAGUUGGAGUAUCGUAGGAUAGUCUAGCCAAGAGUCAAAGCUAGCUUGCUGCAAUAACUCCACCAACCCUUCCUUGAUACUAUGCAUGUAUGUAGGAUCUGAUGUAAGUCUUGCUGAGUACUUUUGUACUCAUGUUGCUAUAAUCUACAUUUUUACAGAAGACGCUGCAACCCCUUCUGAUGGGUUCUAUGUAGACGUUGACAUCAACGAGUAGGCUAAGGACCCAGGUGGUGACCCUGAGCUUGUGAUGGACCACGUAGUACAGUUAGGCUUCCAAGCCUCUUUUAUUUUACUAGUUGUCUGUACCCAGACAAAGUACUUCCGCUGUUGGCUUGUAUGACUGUAUGACUUGUAUGUUGGGUCGUGAGACCCGUACCUUUGUGUAUGAUAUGUAUGGCUCCCUGAGCCUUAAAUAAAGUACUUGUGUCGUAGAGUCAUGUUGUGAUGCUUCGUUGUAUUUGCACAUAUCGAGCAUAUUGUGUGUAUGAUUGAAAUGCUUGGUAUGUGUGGGAUCUGACUAUCUAGUUGUUUAUCUUUAGUAGCCUCUCUUACCGGGAAAUGUCUCCUAGUGUUACCGCUGAGCCAUGGUAGCUUGCUACUGCUCUGGAACACUUAGGUUGGCCGGCAUGUGUCCUUCUUCGUUCCUGUGUCUGUCCCUUCGGGGAAAUGUCACGCAUUGAGUACCGGAGUCCUGUUAGCCCGCUACAGCCCGGUUUACCGGAGUCCUGCUAGCCCAGUGCUACAGCCCGGACCCACUUGCUGAUGACCGACACGUUCGAAGCUGGGUCAUGGAUGCCUGUCCCUGUAAGUCUGUGCCACUUUGGGUUUACGACUAGUCAUGUCAGCCCGGGCUCCUUAUCAUAUGGAUGCUAGCGACACUAUCAUAUACGUGAGCCAAAAGGCGCAAACGGUCCCGGGCAAAGGUAAGGCGACACCCGUGGGGAUACCGUGCGUGAGGCCGCAAAGUGAUAUGAGGUGUUACCGGCUAGAUCGAUGUGACAUCGAGUCGGGGUCCUGACAGCGUUGGUAUCAAUAGGCGAUAAACCUGGACUGGAGGCUUAGGUGAUUAGGUAGGUCGUGGCCGACACCCACGUUGGGCUUCCGCUUGAAGGAUGCCGAGUACAUGUCGUGUAAACGACGGUAAGUGGUGAGAGCGUGUAUGAAGAAGUACCCCCUGCAGGGUUAACAUGAUCUAUUCGAAUAGCCGCGUCCGCGGUAAAGGACUACUUGGUUGCCUAUACAGUUCAUAGACAAGUAAAUGGAAACUAUUAAAAGCCUCAAGCUAAGUGUGAGUGCCGAGGAUGGCUCUUCCGUAGGAAGACGGAGGUGGAUCCUCGGUAGUGUAUUGAAGUGGUGAGUAGUGGACUCGUGUGCGCAAAACUAUUUCAAGUUGGAGUAUCGUAGGAUAGUCUAGCCAAGAGUCAAAGCUGGCUUGCUGCAAUAACUCCACCAACCCUUCUUGAUACUAUGCAUGUAUGUAGGAUCUGAUGUAAGUCUUGCUGAGUACCUUUGUACUCAUGUUGCUAUAAUCUACAUUUUUACAGAAGACGCUGCAACCCCUUCUGAUGGGUUCUAUGUAGACGUUGACAUCAACGAGUAGGCUAAAGACCCAGGUGGUGACCCUGAGCUUGUGAAGGACCACGUAGUAUAGUUAGGCUUCCAAGCCUCUUUUAUUUUACUAGUUGUCUGUACCCAGACAAAGUACUUCCGCUGUUGGCUUGUAUGAUGGUAUGACUUGUAUGUUGGGUCGUGAGACCCGUACCUUUGUGUGUAUGUUAUGUAUGGCUCCCUGAGCCUUAAAUAAAGUACUUGUGUCAUAGAGUCAUGUUGUGAUGCUUCGUUGUAUUUGCACAUAUCGAGCAUAUUGUGUGUAUGAUUGAAAUGCUUGGUAUGUGUGGGAUCUGACUAUCUAGUUGUUUAUCUUUAGUAGCCUCUCUUACCGGGAAAUGUCUCCUAGUGUUACCGCUGAGCCAUGGUAGCUUGCUACUGCUCUGGAACACUUAGGCUGGCCGGCAUGUGUCCUUCUUCGUUCCUGUGUCUGUCCCUUCGGGGAAAUGUCACGCUUUGAGUACCGGAGUCCUGUUAGCCCGCUACAGCCCGGUUUACCAGAGUCCUGCUAGCCCAGUGCUACAGCCCGGACCCACUUGCUGAUGACCGACACGUUCGAAGCUGGGUCAUGGAUGCCUGUCCCUGUAAGUCUGUGCCACUUUGGGUUUACGACUAGUCAUGUCAGCCCGGGCUCUUUAUCAUAUGGAUGCUAGCGACACUAUCAUAUACGUGAUCCAAAAGGCGCAAACGGUCCCGGGAAAAGGUAAGACGACACCCGUGGGGAUACCGUGCGUGAGGCCGCAAAGUGAUAUGAGGUGUUACCAGCUAGAUCGAUGUGACAUCGAGUCGGGGUCCUGACAACAUGCCUGACUCAUCAAUAUGCAUUGUAGCUGUGAAAGUGCUCGGUUUAUGAUUUCUUGAUGCAAUGCCUUUGAGUCUGGCUGUUCAAUUCAGAAUUUAUGUGAACACCUGAAAUGAUAGAUAGAGUAGGAAACUGCGGCUACCAAACAUAUGUUAUAUACUCCAAGAUUUAUUGAAGUUGUUAUCUUGUGUUUUCCUAGCAUCUCCCAGCCAAUGCAGCAUGUGAACAAUAAUUGAAUGUUUUGCUCAGGCUUCAGUUCUUAUGCCAUUUUUUCUUCAGAAGGCUACACCAUGGGGCUCAUCUUCAAGAGACAAUCUACCUGACCUGCUUGCUGCAACCACUCAGGUGAGUUUCUUUGCCCCACUCAAGUCCAGAGGCCCUCCAUAUGUGUGGAUGUCAUGAAUAUGUAGAGAUGCCUCCUUAUGUUUGGCACUCAUUUUUUAUAUUGUCUGAUUUGGUUGGUUACUAGGAUUCUUGCUCCCAACGACUCAGCUUCCAGCAGCGACGCAGCGAUCCCCUUUCCGUGCUUGUCACUGCAUCCUCCACCAGUUGGUGAGUCGACCACAACUUUGAUCUGUUCUAUUUAUGGCGGUAUCUAUCUUUAUUAUGUGUACUACCAUUGAAUUGGUUCUAUGAUUCUUCCUUUCUUUAGAUCUAUUUACGACAUAGCUUAACAAUUUGUAGUCGGUAGAUAUAACUAUGCAAAUGGUAUAACUGGGCUUGAUACUCGAACCAACAAACAACCACCUACUGGCAAAACACAAGUAGAUAGAUUUAGCAGGGCAAAGGGUAUCAUUUUCAUACCAUACUUCGUAGCAUUCUUCUUUAACAACAUUUAGCUGUGCCCUGUGCACCACGUUGAUCACAUGUUAAACAGGACUAAUAACUGGUUCAUGAGCAAGUUAACAUGCUUGCAUACCGUCUAUGUCACGAGUGAAAACUGAGCUCAAAUUCUAUAUUUCUAUUGACUGGGCACAGGUUUUGAGCAAGACAAAAAAGAAAACUGAGUGUUUCGCUGCAACUCAAGUUCCCAGCAGAGCUUAUCCAUCUGAAUCUAGUUGUAACAGAAUGAAUGCAAAUAUUAUUCAAGACUAGGGAGAGUAAGAUGGCAUAUUAACAAAAUAUUCCAGACUCUUUGCAUAAUGUGCCUGCUAAAUAGUCAAACCAGAAAUACUUCCCACAGCAUGUCUGCUUAAUAGCUAGUAGCAUGAUGGCUGGACUUGCUAACUUGCAAUUGCUCUGCAUCUAAUUUGAAACAUCAAUGAAAAUUGAAAAAAAAUUACUCUUAAUUUGCUCUUAAUUUUGUGGUUUGCAAGCUAGACUUUGCUCUUAAUUUUGUGAAUGCUACUUCUGGCGUUCUUACUUCAGCAUCUGUAUGCCCAUGCAAUGAUUUGCUUUGUUGUGAUGGAGGCUUUUUUUGCCUUGUCCACCCGAGAGGCCCUUGAGUUUGCUGGAAUGUCGAUUAACUUCCGUUCCAGCAAAUUCGGCUACUCCAUAUGUCCUAUUUUCAACAAAGAUCAUGCUGAAAUUUUCCGUGAAUUUUAGCAUGACUUUGCUAAAAAUAGGACAUAUGGGGUACUUGUGACUAAUGAUGAAAGCUUAGGCUUUUAGGGUGCCUCGGCGUCGAAAAAACCUCAAUGACAAAAGCUUAGCUUUUAGGAUGCCUCGGUGUCGACAAACCGUAAACAAUAACCAACUUUUUGACCAAACUUUGUUCCUAUUUAGAGAGAAACAUGGCCAACAACGAUGAGGCCGGGGGUUCGGGCGGCAAGGCAUUCUGGGAGCUGUCCCAGGAGAUGCAGGACCAACCUUAGUUGUAUGAGGACGCCGCCUUCCCCACCGAUCCUGAGACCAUUGAUGGUACCGCCGAGGAUGACCCCACUGAUGCCACCACUGAUGGCGCCGCCGAGGAUGCCACCACUGAUGAUGGCGGCGCACGCACAGAUGGCAGCCAACCGAAGAGGCAAUGGAAGGAUCGGCGCCCGAUCGUGCUCCUCACCCUCAAGGAGGAAGUUACUGAAGUGGACUCCAACGGGAAUCCAACGGCGCCCAAACGAAUAGUCAAGGGGUACUCGCUUCAGCUCGGGUGCAUUCUCCGGAGCACCGUCUCGAUCAACACCGAGAACCUGAGGCAUCCUGACCGAGGGAAUUUGCGCAACCUCCUCUUCACGAAGCUGCACGAACGAUACAAGUUCCCCGCUGAAUUUGCAAACACAAGCCUCAAAGGGAAUAAAGUGAACAAUGCUGCCCUCACGAAGAUGAGCAAGGCCCUGUCUACUUGGAAAAGCAAUGUGAAGAGAAUGAUCGAGAAAGGUGAGAGUUAUCAGAAGAUCAAGGAGAAAAAUCCUUCGAUCACCGAAGAUGACUACAACGACUUCAAGAUCAAUAGCUCGAGCACCGCUGUCACGCCCAAUAUGCGACCCUAUCCAAAAGGAACUCGAAGGUCCCACCAAGGAUAGACCCGCAUAUUGAAACGCUUUUGCAAGGUGGAUAUCAUUACAUCAACAUUACAUAAUAGAUGGGGAUACAUACAAAAGGCAUACAAUGCCACAUGAAUACAACAUCACAAUACAUCAGAGCACCAUCCGACUACGGAUGAAACACAAACAGAAACUCAAACGACAUCCACCCUGCUAGCCCAGGCUGCCGACCUGGAACCUAUCCCCUGAUCGAGGAAGAAGCAGAAGAAGAACUCCAAAACAAGGAACAUCGCUCUCGCGUCAAGAUCAUCGCAUAACCUGUACCUGCAACUGUUGUUGUAGUAAUCUGUGAGCCACGAGGACUCAGCAAUCCCAUUACCAUGGGUAUCAAGACUAGCAAAGCUUAAUGGGAAAGGAAGGGGUAAAGUGGUGAGGUUGCAGCAGCGACUAAGCAAGCAUGGUGGCUAACAUACGCAAAUAAGAGCGAGAAGAGAAGCAAAGGAACGGUCGUCAAGCUAGCAAUGAUCAAGAGGUGAUCCUGAACACCUACUUACGUCAAACAUAACACAGGAACCGUGUUCACUUCCCGGACUCCGCCGAGAAGAGACCAUCACGGCUACACACGCGGUUGAUGCGUUUUAAUUCGGAUCAGGUGUAAGUUGUCUACAACCGGACAUUAACAAAUUCCCAUCUGCCACAUAAACGCGGGCACGGCUCUCGAAAGUUUAUACCCUGCAGGGGUGUCCCAACUUAGCCCAUGACAAGCUCUCGCGAUCAACGAAGGAAUAGACCUUCUCCCAGGAAGACCCGAUCAGUCUCGGAAUCCCGGUUUACAAGACAUUUCGACAAUGGUAAAACAAGACCAGCAAAGCCGCCCGAUGCGCCGACAAUCCCGAUAGGAGCUGCACAUAUCUCGUUCUCAGGGCAACACCGGAUAAGUCAAGCUACGAGUAAAACCAGACUUCGAGUUUCCCCGAGGUGGCCCCGCAGGCUGCUCAGUUCAGACCAACACUUAGACAAGCACUGGCCCGGGGGGGCUAUAAUAAAGAUGACCCUUGGGUUAAUUACUCCCAAGGGAAAUGGUAGGUGGUGGUGAGGCAAAUGGUAAAACCAAGGUUGGGCCUUGCUGGACAAGUUUUAUUCAAAGCGAACUGUCAGGGGGGGUCCCAUAAAUCACCCGACCGCAUAAGGAACGCAAAAUCCGGGAACAUAACACCGGUAUGACGGAAACUAGGGCGGCAAGAGUGGAACAAAACACCAGUCAUAAGGCCGAGCCUUCCACCCUUUACCAAAUAUAUAGAUGCAUUAAUAAUAUAAGAGAUAUUGUGAUAUCCCAACAUAACCCUGUUCACCAUGGAGCAAUCUUCAACUUCACCUGCAACUAGCAACGCUAUAAGAGGGGCUGAGCAAAGCGGUAACAUAGCCAAUCAAUGGUUUGCUAGGAAGGGUGUCAAAGGUUAGAGGUUCAUGGCAAUUUGGGAGGCUUGAAGAGCAAAUGAUAGGUAACGCAUCAUAGCGAUAGAACGAAGCAACUAGCAUAGCAAUGAUAGUAGUGAGAUCCAAGGUGACAGUCAUCUUGCCUGAAAUCCCGCAAGGAAGAAGAACGAGUCCAUGAAGAAGAUGAAGCCAUGAAGACGAACCAAGCGUAGACGAACGAAUCCUCACGAUCGCAACGAAACGGGAACUAUCGAGAAGAAGCACACAACAUGGUAAACACACCACACAUGAACAAGACGUGAUGCACAAAAAGCAUGAGGCAUGACAAAGCUACAUGAAGCUACUCAUGGCAAGAUAUGAUGCAAACAAGAACAACACGUCAAGGCAAGUUUAAAUGAGGCCGGGAACAACAUAUAACAAUUCCGGUAAGUCCUCAUAUGCAAAUUUCGAAAUUGGUCCAGAUCUGAAUAAACAUUAAGUUGAAGUUGUUAAACAGCAAGUUAAAGAGCACAAAGAGGAACUACACGAAAUUCUAGUCAAGUUACAUAUAAAGUUCAUUUAAUUCGGAGCUACGGCCUAGAAGAUAUGAGCAAAACAAGUUAAGCAUGGCAUUGAUGCAAAAUGCAUACAAACAUCAAGAAAACACCUCAAAAUAAGGAUGCAACAUGAUAAUAUGAAACUACAUGCAAAAUCAAUCAAGUUACAUAUAGAGCACACUCAAAACGGAGCAACGGUGCAACACAUACACUCUAUACAAGUCAUAACAACAAUCUGCCCAAAACAGCAACUAGGCAUCUUGCAAGCAUCAAAACAACAUGCUACAGCACCCCAACAUAAUAACAAAAGGCAUGGGCAUAAAGUAAAGGUAAAGCAUAACAAAACAUGAACACUGAGCUAACUCCAGAAAUCACUAGAACAUGCUCAAAAACACAUGGUAAGAUUGCAAAUAAUAACAGUUUCAGACUUAUCAGGAAAUAAUAUCAGGUUGCAAUGUUUAGAGCUAUAAAACAACAAGCUAAAGGAACUUAUAAUGGCAAACAAAGGCAUGGCAUGAUACUACUAAAUGCAUAGAUCAAAAGUCCCUUACUGACCAUGAGCCAAAAAGGCACAGAAAAUAUGAUGGCACCCAUGUAAACAUGGCAAGUUAUAUUACAGAUUCAUACAUGGCAGGAACAACAAUAAGUAGGCAUGUUGGUGAGCUUGAACCACUCACCACAGAGCAAUACAUGGCAUGGCAAGGCAACCAACAGUAAGAAGGCAUGUUUAUGAAGCUAAGCAUGGCAAGAACAAGUUCAUAGGGGGCAUGGAUCACUAGAAAAGCACAUGGCCAAAACUGAACUUAAUGUUAACAGGUUGACAGCAACAUUAUUUAGCAACUUUGGAGCAAGAUUACAACAUGCUACAGCAAGCUAUAAAUGCAACCAGGGGCAUGAAUGGAUAGAGCAAGACAUGUAUAACAACUCAUCCUUAGUGAACAUCUCCAGAAUAAUGCACGACAUGACUUGUAGCAGCAGGUUUACAUAGCAACAAAAUAUAACAGAAUCUGUCAGGAAAACAGCAACAGCAAGUACCCUACUUAACAAGCUUGAUGCACUCAGCCCACAACUCACAAAAAUACAUGGAUAGCACCAAUGGAAAGAUGGCAUUGCAUAGAUCAAAACACAUGUAGACAUCAACCUCAUAGGAUGCACACAUCAAUCAUGGCAAAAAUGACAAAUGAGCAAGUUAUAACAGUUUCAGCAGGUUAACAUCAACAUGCACUCUUCCAACAGCAUUUAGGGCAUCAAGAUGAGCUCAAAUGAAAAUUAUGCAAUGGAAUUAAAUGAACUACUCGUUGAGGCAAACAAUUUGACAUAUUACACGCACGAAACGGAGCAGUAUGCACAGAGAUACAAUGCGAUGAACAUGGCAUGAUUAUGAUGAAAACUUAUGGACUUGGAGGAAUUUUUGGGGUCAACCUCGUUGCACGGAUUUCAAAGCGGCGCGGAUCUCGACGGAGGGACUCGCCGGAGAGCGACCGGAGUCGAGGGAGAGGCCAGGAAGAGCCGGGGCGGAUGGAUCCGGGCAUGGGGCCCCCGGAUCUGGCGUCAGAGGAGGCCGGAGGGCUUGGCGCAGGGCGGCCGGGGUUCCUGCCGGCGGCGAAGCUCGGCGGAGGACGGCGGCGGGGGCGACCAAGGCGCCGGCGCACGAGGCACGGAGGCGCGGGGCCUNNNNNNNNNNNNNNNNNNNNNNNNNNNNNNNNNNNNNNNNNNNNNNNNNNNNNNNNNNNNNNNNNNNNNNNNNNNNNNNNNNNNNNNNNNNNNNNNNNNNNNNNNNNNNNNNNNNNNNNNNNNNNNNNNNNNNNNNNNNNNNNNNNNNNNNNNNNNNNNNNNNNNNNNNNNNNNNNNNNNNNNNNNNNNNNNNNNNNNNNNNNNNNNNNNNNNNNNNNNNNNNNNNNNNNNNNNNNNNNNNNNNNNNNNNNNNNNNNNNNNNNNNNNNNNNNNNNNNNNNNNNNNNNNNNNNNNNNNNNNNNNNNNNNNNNNNNNNNNNNNNNNNNNNNNNNNNNNNNNNNNNNNNNNNNNNNNNNNNNNNNNNNNNNNNNNNNNNNNNNNNNNNNNNNNNNNNNNNNNNNNNNNNNNNNNNNNNNNNNNNNNNNNNNNNNNNNNNNNNNNNNNNNNNNNNNNNNNNNNNNNNNNNNNNNNNNNNNNNNNNNNNNNNNNNNNNNNNNNNNNNNNNNNNNNNNNNNNNNNNNNNNNNNNNNNNNNNNNNNNNNNNNNNNNNNNNNNNNNNNNNNNNNNNNNNNNNNNNNNNNNNNNNNNNNNNNNNNNNNNNNNNNNNNNNNNNNNNNNNNNNNNNNNNNNNNNNNNNNNNNNNNNNNNNNNNNNNNNNNNNNNNNGCCAUGCGGCAGGCCGCGAUUGGACGGGGGAGCAGGGCGGACACGUCCGGUCGCCGGGCGGACAUGUCCGGCGGCGCGGAAGGGAUGGAUCUAGGGUUUGGACUGCAAAUUCGGGGGGAGGGGGCUAAUUUAUAAGUAGAGGGAGCUAGGAGAGUCCAAAUGAGGUGCGGUUUUCGGCCACGCGAUCGUGAUCGAACGACCGAGAGCAUGGAGGGGAGUUUGCUGGGUUUUGGGCCACUUUGGAAGGGAUGUUGGGCUGCACACAAAAGAGGCUUUUACGGUUACCCAGUUAACCAUUGGAAUAUCAAACAACCUCCAAAUGGCACGAAACUUGACAGGCGGUCUACCGGUGGUGUACCAAGGCCGCUUGGCAAGACUCGGUCCAUUCCGAGAACGUUUAACACCCGCACAUGCAAAGAGGCAAAAGGGGAACGCCGGAGGGCAUAGGAGUGCCGGAUUGCAAAACGGACAACGGGAAAAAUGCUCGGAUGCAUGAGACGAACACGUAUGCGAAAUGAAAUGCACAAGAUGACAUGAUAUGAAAUGCAGAUGAUGAUAUGGAAAAGUGCAACACGCAAGCAAAUGACAUGGCAACGAAGGCGAAUAACUAGCAGACACCUGGCGCAUCGGAUCUGGGGCGUUAUAACCGCAAACUCCCAAUCAAGUGAGUGGGGGAAACAAAUGCGGGAGCUGAACAUAGGGGAACACACACUCGGUCCCGGCGGUUACAGAGUGGCGGAGCCUAUAUGGGACAAGGAGGAGGCGGACCGUGCCGAGCAAGGCCUACCGCCCCUCUUCGAUAAAUACGGUGACAAGCAGACCAGGAACUUUGUCAGGGCCCGGUACAAGAAGGACCCAAAAACAAAGGAGCUUACCACGGAUCCGAAGACCAGGAAGCUUGAGCUUGUUCUGGUAAGGAAUACACCCCCGCGUAAUUAGCUCCAUAUGGUUGCAUUCUAAUUAAUGAAGCCAAAUUUCUAAAUGGUUCACAUUCCUUCCGCAGGCGACUGAAAGCUGUAGCGCGGGGUCGACUAAGAGCAACCCUUGGGACACCACUCUAAAUAAGGCGUUGAAUGUAAUGAAGAACAAGGAUAAGCUCAGUAAGCCGACGUCAUCUGGUCGUGUGGCCGGCAUAGGCUUGUCGACAAAAUGGGGGUCAUACUAUCCCGCUGGUGUGCGGAAGGAGAAAAAGACCAGCUCGGAAAGCCAGGUGCGCGAGGUUCAAGAACUCAAGGCACAGGUGGCGCGGAUUCCGGAGAUUGUCCAAGAGCAAGUGGAACAACGACUCGGAGCGACGAUCACCGCCAUUGUGCCUACCUUGAUCUCGGGGUUGAGUGCGUGGAUUGCGGGCGGCCAACAGGGGCCGCCCCGAUUCCUAGCUUCACGGCCAGUAACUCGCAUAAUGCGAUGGUAGGGCCAUUGGUGCCUCCGGCGGAGGCGGCAUUGGUGUCUCCGACGCCGGCACGGGAGCUUAAUGCACCCGGGUGUACGCCGGCCGGCACCUCUGCAGCAAGCGGCCCCUCCGUCAACUGCACGCCCGCCGUUGGCGGUGCCUCGACAUUAGCCGAGCUCGACGCCAUCAUCACAGUAACUAAUUAAGCCUCUCUCGGCAGAGGACUUCAUCUCCUUGCCUUUGACUGGGCAUCCCUGACGCCCUACAUGUUUUCGCAGGGCGCCGCCGACGUUCCGUGCACUCUCCUCCACUUCGUGAACAACGAGUUGGUCGAUGUCGCCAAGGGCAAAAUAGUUCAACCGGGCAACCCCUUGUUCCACGGUACCCAGAUGCCACCCAACUUGUUUAGGGUUCAACUGGUUCGGGUGCUGCCAGGCUGCGACGAGUUUUUACCUCCGAUUCGACCCGUCGGGGCCGACGAUGAUGACGUGAUGACCCUCAGCGCCUGCCUGAGCGGGCCCCUGCUUUGGCCGAAGAGCCAGAUUCGUUUGGGGGCGGGGGACACCACCCCAAAGACAACACCGCCAGUCGUGCCGGCGCCAAGUCGGCCCCAUGGCAAGACCGCCGCAACGGUGCCGGACAUCCCUAUGCCACUGGAUCCAAACAUGCAUAUGGCACAGGAUCAGAACGACGACGACGACGACGAUACAUUUGGCAACGUCGAUCAGUACUUUGCCGAUCAUGGGUACGAUGGCGACUUCAUGGGGCCUCCUUCUCAAGAACCCAACCCAACAAAAGACGUGUGCGAUCUAGCUGGUACCGCGGAGAAGCCAAGUUGCAACAGGCGCCGUCUGGCGUUCAGCUCUCAGGAGACGCCUCCAGCUGCCGACUUCACCGAGCCUCAGAUAAGCGAGGUGCGAAAUAUUAUCAGCCCCAACACACUCAAGAAGGCGGUCUGUGAGCAGAACUCGGUCCCAUUACAGGAGAAGAAGAAGGCACGCAAAAGAAAGACUAAGAAGGGUGCGAGCCAGCCGGCACCGAGUACGAUCCAUGCUCAGGACGGGCCACCUUCACCUAAGGAUAUCUCGAGGAGGGUGCAUGUGGCGGGUAGGGCGAUGCUACCGACAAAUAUGCUCAAUGCUGCAACCGGUGCUAUGCGGAGUCUGCAUGACAGUGUUCUUUCUUUGGAGAAGCGGCGUCUCAGAGAGAAGGAUGUGGCAUACCCGGUUUUCGCGGCCAAGGUGCCAGAGGGCAAGGGCUUUGUGGAUAACUCCAUCGGGCGUACGAUCGUCCUGCGUUUUGAUGACAUCCACGCUAUGUUGAACCUUCAUCCGCUGCACUACACCUUCGUUCGGCUAUUUUCGCUGAGUAUGGAGAUGCGGUUCAUUCGCGACAAGACCCCGGACAUCGUGAUAGUCGACCCCUUCUACAUGCGUGCCAAGAUCUUGGGCAGCGCUGGGGACCGGCAAGUCGCGAGUUCUUACCUCGAAGGCGUCAUUCUGGCAAACCAAGAUAAGGAUAACUUCCUCGUGCCUUAAUUUCUCGAGUAAGUCCUCCCCUCAACCAGCCCGUAACAUAUGAAUUCUUAGAUUUCGAUCGUUUUUCUUUUAACAUUCCGUGUUUUCUGCAGUGACACACAUUGCACGCUCAUCCUCCUAAGCCCCAAAUAUUCCAUGGCCACGUAUUUCAACCCGGACCGUCAGUCGAACGUAGACUACACAAAUGUCAAGAAGGUUCUUGAUGAUGUUCUCCCCGGCUACGCCAAAUCUGGAGACACCUUCACCAAGCCUAUUCGUAAGUACGGCAAGCAUGUGUUCUCCCACAAUACGACGUUCUGCUGCGUCAAGCAGCCGCCUGGCGGUCAGAAGGGUGCCUACUACGCCAUCCAUCACAUGCGGGCGAUCGUACGGGACCAUCAUCAACUUCUGCUACCGAGUAAACUCAAAGAUUGGGCAAAGAGCGUGUCGGCAAUCCAGGACGCGGACCUCCGACAAGAAUUCUUUCGCAUCCGGUCGGAGUUUGCGGAAAUCAUCCAUCAAGAUGUCCUUCGUACCUCGGGGCAGUUCUACCUCAACAAUCAACCGUCCAACAGUGACAUCGACACAAUGCUACAAAUGCAGGCUGACAACGACCGUUAUUUCAUGACUCACACGAUAGACGGCGGCUUCAUCCACGCUCCGGUCCCUUGAGUCGAGUCGAAAGCAGUGAUGCUGUGUCUAGUUCUGAAACAUCGAUUGGCUCAUGUUGUAAUUAAACUUUAAUGAACUUGUAGUAUGUCUCUUUGGUUUCGAGAGUCGUUCAACUUAGAUGUAAUCGAUGCUAUUAAUGUCUUGCUUUUCUCUUCCGAUCGUUCUGUUGCAUACUUAUAUAUUGCUUAUGUAUUGUCUGUGAAUUGGUACUAACGUUUCGUUUGGCUAGUGCAUAGCGAUGCCGACGUAUGUCGUGUACAAGGGUAAGGUUCCCGGAGUCUACGACGACUGGAAGGAGUAUCGGAGACAGGUUCACCGAUUCAGCGGUAACAGUUACAAAGGGUACACCACUAGGGCCGAGGCUGAAUCUAGAUACGCCCGCUAUCUAGCGGGAGAGGGGAGGGAGCGUUGGAGGAACCGGAUGAAGACGAGUUUCAUCGUGAUGAUGCUCAUCGUGAUGACCGCAGCUCUCUUCUAUGUGAUGGUAGUUUAGAUGAUCGAUAUCGACUUGUAAUGUGAAGACAAACUCGCUACUCGCGGUCUCGAGAUUUGUAAUAUAAUGUUCUAUCUUUGUUUGGUCUUUUCAAUUCGGAGACUAAUAUGAUGAAUUGUAUUCGGAGACUAAUAUGAUGAAUUGUAUUCAAAGACUAAUCUUCUAUUGUAUUCGAUGAAUCUGUUGUUGAUGUGUGCUGUCUAUAUUUUGUCCAAUUAUACAUUUUGUAACCUGUGCAAAAAACAGAAAAUAAAAAAUAAAAAAAAAACUAAUAUUCAUAUUAAUGGCGCAUCACAUCACAGUGCGCCAUUAGUAUGACAAAGUAUACUAAUGGCGCAUUACUAAACAGUGCGCCAUUAGUAUGCCGAGGUUACUAAUGGCGCAUCUUGUUGCUGUGCGCCAUUAGUAUGCCAGAGCACCUGGGUAUACAUGGCCCCUGAGAGGCAUACUAAUGGCGCACUUAUGUAUACACUAAUGGCGCAUCAGAGGUGCGCCAUUAGUAUAUCAGAUACUAAUGGCGCAUCAGGGGGUGCGCCAUUAGUAAAAUAUACUAAUGGCGUGGCACUAAUGGCGCACCACUAAUGUGCCAUUAAUGGCCAAAUUAGGUGCACCAUUAGUAGGCCUUUUCCUAGUAGUGAUGGGAUCUUUGGAGUAGCAGCGGUUCUCAUGAGAUAAGCUCAAGUCCAAUGUACAUGGAAGUUUGACGCAUGGAUAAAUUCAAGGUGGUGGAGAAUAUUCGUCAAGGUGGAGUUUGUUGGAGUUGUGUCGAAUAUUGUGUACAAGGUAGGUCACAGUUGGACUUGUAGUUGUAUUGUGUUUAUAUAGGAUAUAUAGUCAUGUCCUAGUAAGACACUUGUAUCAUAGUCCUCUCAUAUAUAGCGGGGGUAGACACACGAUGUAACCUAUGCCAACAUAAUAGCACCGGAACGCAGGGAAAGCCGGCGGCAUGUGCGGGUGUCCAGGGCGACCGGGUGCGGUAUUGUAGCGGUAUCAUGAGGAGGAGCGCCAAUAGUCAGGACCCGGUGAUGUAGCGGUGUUCGUCGACUCGGCGUUGAGGUGUGAUUAGGUGCAAGCGUCGUCAGAUCGAAAGCGGCUAGAAUCGGCUAGUCGGCGAGAUCGGAUUGUAGCGGUUGCACGCCGAAUCACAGCAGCAGGAGUCGUACAUCGAUCGGACUGAGCUUACACGGUGGAGCCUGAAGCUAGUCAAAGAGGCCUAGCGGGCAGUUGUGCACGUGUCGCAAGGGACCGCUGAGACGUGCCUGUUGUACAGGACUGAAGGAAAGCUAGAUGCGAGAUUUGUUAACGAGGUUCACCGAUAUGACUACAUCCCCAGGGCAUUGACUACAAGCGCUCCUCCCCGUGACACCGUCACAAUACCGCACACCGGCCAUCCGGGCGCCGGCAUACGCCGUCAGCUCCCCCUUGUGCGCAUGUGCUAUUAUGUUGGCAUAGGUUACAUCAUGUGUCUACCCCGCUAUAUAUGAGAGGUCUAGGAUACAAGUGUCCUACUAGGACACGACUCCAUAUCCUACCUAAACACAAUACUACUCAGAGUCCAACUGUAACCACCUUGUACACUAUAUUCGACACAACUUCAACACACGUCCCCGUGCACCGGUGACAGUAAAAUUAUACUCACAACAACACUCGGGCGGGGCGCAAGCGCAAUAUGCGAGACCAACCUCUUGUCCUCAAUUUGGCGGCAGACAUGGCUUCACGUGCAGCGCCAAGUAUCAAGUCUCCGCUCAAGUUGCCACCAGCAACAAGGACGUCUGCUACAUCGACGCAAACGACGCUCCCGGCCGGGUCACUGCUAAAUUUCUGCUUGCCCGUUAAGGUCUUUGCAAGUCCACCAACUAUAUACGUGAGGUAACUCUUUACCGCUGUUCGCGCCAACGAUGAACAAGCACGUUAAACAAGUAGACUCCGGGCGCAAUGAAAGCCCAAACCCCGGCAUCUUUUUAAAUUUGAAUAUUUCUUGCUAAAAGAUCUUUUCAAAUUUGAUAUAGCAUCGCUCUCGCGUGGCUUCACGUCCUGUGACUCGUGGGUUGUGCCAGCCAAUGUCCGUGGAAUCCGCCGCUCCGGCGAGUAAAAGUGGAGUGGCGCUAGCCGCCGGCCGGCAACUCCAUUGGCAAGCACUCCAACCUCUUGAUUACUUGGCCCGAUGCCGUCGUCUAGUGCCACGCACCACGCACGGUGGUUCUUCGAGGCAAGACUCCGCAGUCCACAGUCCACACACAGAUCUGGUUUUGAGAUGUGCGUCAUCAAAUGCAUGCCUGCGUGCAUGUGCGUCUCGGAUUCAGAGGUUUCACUUUCAUCCCUCGCUUCUCAAAGGCGGUCGAUCCCUCCUCGUACACAUCAUCUGCUCCAUGCGUCGAAAUCUAAAGAGCAGUGCUAUGCAGACGAUGAAAUUUGGACGAUCGGCGCACAACAAUGAAAUCCAGUCGGGAAAUCUCAUCCACAACAGAGCAACUACCUGUGGAUUGUUUGUCGUGCACAUAUCGCCAACACUCUGUCGUGCGUGGAGCAAUUCCGAAAUGUAAAGAGCGGUGCUAUGCCGAUGAUGAAAUUUGGAUGACCAGCGUGCACCACGACCUUUCUUGUUUGCUUUUGAUACCCAAUCGCCUCUCAAGAAAUCCGUUGGUGUAUGUUGGAUUAUUCGCCCUGUUUUCUCUCUGUCUGAGAGAAAAUAGAUGCGUCCGAUUUAGAAACAGCAGCAGAAGAAAAGAGAAGGCAUGGUUUUUGAAUGUACUAUAAGCAAUUUGUAUGUGAGUAUGUGUUUUGACUUGAAAUGGAUUAUGAUGGAUCUCUCCAUCAGAGAUUCGUAUUUGGGGCGUUCUUUUCUUCUGUGUGAAGAUAAAAGUGGAGGAUGCGUACUGUAUGCACUGGAUCUGGAUGCUGGAUAGGUAACUCGGUCGCCAACGGGACGGUCAUUCAUGCAGUGUUGCUCCGCAGUUGGGCCUCUGCCGGGAGAGUCUACUGCGCGUCGUGCCAGCCGUGGAGUUCGCCGGCGCUACAGGGCCUGGUCCGGCCAACGGUAAAGAAUACGUAGAUUCGUAUCUGCGUGCGGGCUUCACGUGCAGUGCAGUGCAGCGUGGCUCCUGCGUCCCGUACGUCGUCGUUUGAUUAUUACUCCCUCCGUCCGGGUUUAUUAGGCCUAAAGACAACUUCUCUUAAACCAAGACACAUAGUAAUUUGCUCACAUUAAUUAUUCUAUUCCAUUUCCAAUGCACUCUCUCACAUGCAUGCAGCCAAUGAAAAAACACACAUGAAGUGUAUUAACUUUUCAGCCAUGGCACCAACAACAAUAGCUUUCAAUACAACCAAUGAAAUGGUUGCAUGCAUGCACCUUUCCAAUGCGAGGCCUUAUAAAAGGGGACAUGCUUGUGAUGCUGAGAGGCCUAAUAAACCCGGACGGAGGGAGUACUUGGCCCCAGGUGCGAUUCAAUCUACUACUAGUGGAAUAUAUACUGGAGCUAGCCACCGGCCGGCAACUCCAUCGAUCGGCAACCACUCCAGCGUCUUGAUUACUCUGCCCGAUGCCGUCGCCUAGUGCCGUGCCAUGCCAGUGUGCCACCCACCGCGCACGGUGGUUCUUCGAGGCGAGACUCCGCAAUCCACAGUCCACACGCUGAUCUGGUUUCGAGAUGAGGGCCAUCAAACGCAUGCGUGCGUGCGUGCAUGUGCGUCUCGGAUUCUGAGGUUUUACUUUGGUCCCAAAGCGACCGGUCCCUCCUCGUACGGCUCCAUGCGUCAAAAUUGAAAUGGGCUCCCACAGUUGUGCUCUAGCAUUUGUAUACAUUGGUAAUAGAUAAGUUUAUGUAUCAACUUGAUGAUAAUAUAGUAAAGUAAGUGUAAGAAUCUGUUUGUCUUUGCAGGAAAAUAAUACUCCCUCUGUCUAGGUGAGUAAGUCAUCUUAGGUUGUGCACCGUGACCAAGAAGGAGGGGAAAACGAGAGUACUUAAUGUUCAUUUGCUAAUUAAUAGCAUUGCAUGUCGUGUUUAGUAGUCUCAUGUCGUUAAAAACAUGUACACCCCACAUCUCUUAUUGGUUGAUAUGUCAAGAAACAAGAAACGAGGUAGAAUUUAAUGCACCGCGCCUAAGAGUUUUGAGAAUAUUUGGUUUUCGUAAGAUGACUUACACACCUAGACGGAGGGAGUAGUAAGACUCGGGCGUGAAACCAAACUAGUGUAUCGUCUUAUAAUUUGGCAUGAGAUGCAGAUGGCUAAAAAUGGCGAAAAUGAGCAAAAACAGAUUAUUAUUUUUUUGUGGAAAGCAAAAAUAGACAUUUGAUGGAACAUUUUAAUAAAUUAGAUAAAAUAGAAACAUGUGAAUAGAACCUUGGCAACGCCAGAUAACCAAGCCGUGUGAUUAACUCUACAAACGGUGUGAUUAGCUUUGGCGCUCAGAUUCGGUCUUGCUCUUGCACAAAGGGUAGGAUGCAACCGACUCGUUAUCAAUUCUGAUAAUCUGGAGGUCAUUGAAAUUAUGAAGAAGAGUGGUCUUUAUUUGGGGGUGGCUGCGAUGAUUUUCUAUGAUUGCUAUAACUCUAUUUGUGAUUUUACUAUUGCUAGGUUUCAUCUACGUAACAGGUAGCAAAUAAAGUUGCUCACGGGCUUGCUAGCUUAGCUAGAUUUUCUUCGAUGCUCGAUUGGUUUGAGGAACCCGCGAGUGAGAUUGUACCAUUGCUUAUAAAUGAUGUAACUAUUAUUUUUCAAUGAACAAGCUCUGGUAUGUUUUGUUUCGAAGAAAAAAUAUGGGGAUGACGUUAAAAUGAAGUCUGAUAUUUUGAUCUUUUGUGGCUUAACUUCUUACUUUUCUCUUCCUUUCUUCUCUUCGCAACUAGGCCACAAUGUUGAGAUCCAAAAAAAAAAAUCCUUACAAUACUAAUGCAAUAUUACUUAGGGUGAUUGUCUCCCAUUUCUCUCUACCUAGGAUGACGUGUUAAGAGACAAUAACUUUCGGAGUGCCCUUGUCAUCGUGGGAAUAACUAAGCUAGUACUAGUAACAUACUACCUCCGUCCUGAUUUACUGGUCCCCUUUGUAUUUAGUGUCCAAUUGACCAUAAAUUUAAUUGACAAAAUGUCAAUGCAUGUCAUAAAAAUUUAUACCAAAUUUUAGGAAAUAUAGAGUGGAGUAAAAAAUGCAUUUGAAAAGUGUAAGCCAUCAUCUCUCUCCGCUUUAAUUGCCCAAUCCCCAAUGAGCUAAGUGCAUGUAUAAAUUAAGAAGACCAUGUGUAGAAUGUUAUUGGUCUUGAUUACCGUGUGAUGAAAGAGAAGAUUUUUUUUCUAUUUUAAUGUGCAUUGAGAAGAUAGAAGCACACUUUUUUGUGGACAAAUUUUAAAAGAGAACAUACACUCUUCGCCAGACGGAAGGAGUACCAUCACAUAACGCUUCCCAAGAAAAAAAUAGUUUACAAGCUAAUAAAUGCAACCAUCUAUGGUACCACAUCUAUGUUUCUUUUCAUUAUGAGGUAGUAGUAAUAUAGACUAGUGUCAUAAGUUACUCACCACUAUAUAUGACUAGCCUUAGCCUUAGUUUCAUGCUGCCGUCACUACAUAGGCUCGAACCACUAGAGUAGAAAUUUCUCAAUACUGUGUACGAACCCUACAUCCUACAAGAUACAAGUUGUAAAUUUGUAGUGAACACGUAGUGCCUCAUAAAAAAGGUACACGCUCACCAACUUUGAUAUCUAUGUGUUCCAACCUGCUUUCUACAUGCGCAAAGUAUUUCACAAUUUUUUGGAUUUAUUUUUUCUUAUUGUACUCAACAUGAUUCUGGGAUAUACGCCCCCAUGCGGUUAUUUUGAUAAUAAACAUUGUUUUGCUUGGGUAUUUUUCUGUUUUGUGCACAACAUGUUAUUGAUUCUUGUCUUACUGGCAAGUGUGCCACUUAUAACGGGCAAAAGUUUGGAAGCUGGGUGUAUAUGCACCUAUAUUUCAAUAAAAAAAUAGUAAACACAAAAGGUGUCGAAAAAUUCAUUUUUUGGCAAUAAAAUCAAGAGUUCUAAUGGUGAUUCUUUUCCAAGGAAUGAUUUUGAUGGUAUUGUUGGUGAAAAAAGAAUAAGGUCACGAAAGUGUUGCUCUAAUCUCGAGCUCAUGUGAGCUCGGGUGAGCAGCAAAAUAAGAAAGAAAAAAAACUGAACUUUUAUUGUACCAAACAUGGACAAAUGUUUUGAUUAACUGGUUGCAAAGUUUCAUCACCAGAUGACAUUCAUGCAAAACGUGGCAAAAAAGAUAAAAUUGAUGUUCCAAAAUGCUUUUGCAAGUAACAUUUUGAAGCAUCUUGUUUUUUGCGAUGUUUUUCACUAAUGUCAUAUGGUGAUGAAACUUUGUAACCAAUAAAAACAUUCGUAAAUGUUUGGCACAAACAAAAUUCAGAUUAUUUUGAUUUUUUUUAAUUUUAAUGUUCACCCGAGCUCACAUGAGCUUGGGAUUAGAACAAUUGUGUCCAGAAAAGUCAGCACUAUAUUGAAGUUACUAUUCACACUUUUUGUGCUUCAAUUUUUUUAUUUGCCAAAAAGUCGAUGGGACUUCCUCGUUGGCCAAUUUUUUAUACGAGUACAAUACAAGGUCGAGAUUGUUAACAGAAUAAUUCAGUUUUUAAAAAUUUCUGCAAUUUCUAUUUGGCAUAUCAGGUGCAUAUCACCCGAGGGUCUAGGGGUAUUUUCCACUUAUAACGACACUAGUUUUUUUAUAGGGGUUGCAAGAGGCAAAGAUGGUGUACUACAGAUAAGAAAUGCGUGUCUACCGUUCCCUUGCCUCCUGCCGGCUCCAUCGUCGGUCUGCCUCGUCUCUGGUAGCCUUAGGGCCAUGGCAGCGCGGUGGAUCUCUGCCCAUGCCGGCAGGAGGACUCUGUUUUCAGUUGUUUCUUUACGUUUUGUUAGGGUUUGUGUCCUGCUCAGGAAGACGAGACGGCGGCGGCUCCCUGAAGAUGGAAUAAGGUUCUCCCCGCCUAGCCCCUGUCCCGAUGGUGUGUGGAGGUGUGUCUCCGGCAGAUCUAUCCUUCGUGGAUUUGCUUGGAUCUGGUCGUAGUCCAUCUAUGUUCAUGUGUUUUCAGGUUGGAUCCUUCCGAUCUACACUACUCUUCAUCGGCGGCGUUUGUUGUUUGCUGCACUGGUCCUAUGGGNNNNNNNNNNNNNNNNNNNNNNNNNNNNNNNNNNNNNNNNNNNNNNNNNNNNNNNNNNNNNNNNNNNNNNNNNNNNNNNNNNNNNNNNNNNNNNNNNNNNNNNNNNNNNNNNNNNNNNNNNNNNNNNNNNNNNNNNNNNNNNNNNNNNNNNNNNNNNNNNNNNNNNNNNNNNNNNNNNNNNNNNNNNNNNNNNNNNNNNNNNNNNNNNNNNNNNNNNNNNNNNNNNNNNNNNNNNNNNNNNNNCAAUGACGGCGGCGCGCCUUCGGCUCGUUUCAGUGUUUGUAGUCGUCGCUAGGUGGUCUACGGAUCUGGAUGUAUUUUUAUCAUUUCUUGUUCUCGAUGUACUGUCAUGAUUGAAAAUGAAUAGAUUGGAAGUUUUCUGCAAAAGAAAAAAACAACAGUAGCUUUUUUUGGCGGUAAUAUAAUGACACUAGUUAAAAGGGCUAGAAGUAGCGAAAACAAAUAUUCAUUCCAUCCAUGUAUACAGAGCCACUAAAUCUUGUAUAGGCUUGAUCAAUUUUAUAAAAAAAAUACUAUUAAUAACAUCUUUAAAACAAAUUAAUAUUACUAGAUCUAUCAAAAACGUGUUCACAUAAUGUGUUUAGUAGGUGUUGUAUUUUUUUCAUAAACUUGGUCAAACUUAAAAUAGUUUAACCUGAGACGAGAAUAAGCGGCCUUGUAUACAGGGCGUAGUUAAGGUUAGUUUUGUUUUAGUAGGGAAAAGAUGAACCUUGGGUAAUAUUGAGGACCAAAUUCUGCAAUUGAGCCUAUGCACAUUUUAAAAACCUACAUUAACCCUAGAUAACAUUUUUUGAGGGAUUUAACCAUUGAGCAACGGACCGAUGCAUUGCCCAUGACACAUGCUUGUAUGCAAUCACAUAAGGUUAUUCACAACCCGUACAUGUGAUGUGAUGCAUUUUUAUAAAACACAAUCUUGUUUUCUAGGGGAAAAUUAGAAUCUUGUUGUGAUGUACGUACGUAGGUAGUAUAACAUGAGCUCGUCUGUGAUGUGUCUAGAGCAUCGUUGUCCGCCCCUAACAAUAAAACGAGCAUAUGUUUCUGUAUUCACGAGAGCGUAAGACCCGUCAAGCUAGAGGGAUUCGAAGGUCAGUCUGAAACCUUUGCUUUGCUCUCCAUUUCGCACCCUAAAGGUUUUCACUGGCAUGCAACGAUUAGCUUAGUUCAUCCGCUCUGAGUGGUGGUUAUUUUAGUUCAUCCUACUGGCUACCCUUACACUUACACUGAGAAUAAGCUGCUUGCUUUUACCUCUAUAAAUAUCACCUCUAAGCAUCUCCACAUCUCCACACAGCUGCUCUGUCAUUCGUACUCUCUUUGCAUCUUGACACACCUUCGCCUUUCACAUUUCCUCCUCUGGUGCAGCGUAGCCUUCCUUGACACCUUCCUCUGGUACGCACACAUUUUCCUCUUCAUGCUCCAACACUUUUUUUUUUUGAGGGGGCUCUCUUUGUAACACUUGUGUGUAGUUUUUUUUCCUCCUUUUUGAGGGAGUAUGUACAAAUUUUCUGGCAACGAGUAUUUUGUUUUCAGAAUCAAGAGAAACGAGGAGGCCCUCUAUCAAUCAGGCCCCAUAGAAUAAUAACCCGGUGUGUGCUAAUGAACAACAUAUGGGCUUGGAUGAAUCCCUCGUUUUCCUUGCGAGGGCCCAUCCCAAAUCCGCUCGUCCUCUACGCAAUAAUUCUAGAGAAACCCUAGAGGGUGAGCGGCGGAAUCGGCGGCGGCGGCGACAAGCUCCCGCACCGCGGCGCCGCCCCCUUGCUCAAUUUCCAUGUUUUUUUUUUCCUUCUGUAAGUAUAGUUACCCAGUUUAUCAGGCAAAGUUGGAAAGUUAAUGCUUUAUCCCAGCCGGUGGUGCCUAAUUGAUGAUCUGAAUCCUGUAGCUCCGACCGCAAUCUUCAGCUAAAUCUCGAUUGCUCUCACGCAGGCAGGACCGGAGCCAACGGGUCGAUGGAGCCGGUGGGCAUCUCGGCGGCGAGCUGGGUGGUGGGCAAGGCGCUGAGCCCACUGUCCGGGGGCGUGCUGGAGGCGUGGGCGGCCAGCACCAAGCUCGGGUCAAACAUUGAGGCUCUGAAAAUGGUGCUGCUGCAGGCGCAGGGGAUGCUGAACAGUGCCGGGGGCAGGGAGAUCCACAACCCGGCCCUGACUGAGCUGCUAAACAAGCUGCGGCAGCUGGCGUACGUGGCUGACGACGUGCUCGACGAGCUCGACUACUUCCGCAUCCAGGAUGAGCUCGACGGCACUUCCGAUGCCGCCGACGUGCAUGCUGCUGGCUGCGUGCAGGACCUCGCCCUCCACGCCCGUCACACGGCCAGAGCUUGUGUGAACAAACUCAAGUUUCCUGUGUGCACGCGUGCUGCCACUGCCAGGCAUGAUGAUACCGACCAACAAGGUAAACAAGGAUUCCUCUCAGGCCUCCGCUUUUGUGGUGGCCGGCGUGAGAUCGGAUCGUCAUCAAGGUCAACCGCAAACAAUGUCGGUAAGCGCUUCUCUUGCUUCUCCUCGUUACCUUCUGUCGACCAUGAUGUUGAAACUGACAUGAUGGGGAAUCCCAGCAUGACUGGAAAUGACCCCUUACAAAUUCCGAAAUUGAUGUUUGAUAGGGUGGAAAUGUCUAGAAAGAUAUCAGACAUCACAGAGCAGCUCAAGCCCGUGUGUGCUAUGUACAUGCCAUUCUUAGUCUAGAGCUACCAAACUCUGUCCGUAUACCUACCCAGGACAUUGCUAUGAGCAGACCCAAGUCCACCCCGCUGAUUAUAGAGCCUAAGUUAUAUGGAAGGGAUAGCCAUAAGAAGAUCAUUGUAGAUGAAAUUGUUAAUAGCGAGGGUCGUGGACUUACUGUGCUUCCAAUUGUUGGCCCGGGGGGUAUCGGGAAGACAACUUUCACACAACAUAUAUAUGAACAAAUGAAGAACCAUUUCCAGAUAUCCAUUUGGAUAUGCGUCUCUCUCGAUUUUAACGCAAAUAGGUUAACGAAAGAUAUCGUUGAAAAAAUCCCCCAAGUUAACAAUGAAAACAAAAAUUGUAGUGCCGAAGAGCUCAUCGAACAAAGAUUAAAAGGAAAGAGGGUUUUACUUGUCUUAGAUGAUGUUUGGGAAUAUCGUGAGGUUGAGUGGAAAAAUGUAAUAGCUCUUUUCAAAAAAGAGGGGGGGAAAGGUAACAUGGUCAUAGUCACGACUCGAAUAUCCGAGGUAGCAAACGCUGUUAAGACAACUAAAUACUCACUAAAACUGGAGCGUUUGUGUUCAGCAGAUAUCAUGUCUUUCUUCGAAGAGUGUGUAUUUGGUGACCAAAAACCAUGGGUUGACCAUCCAGAACUAGUUGACAUUGGGAGCAAAAUAGUGGACAAGCUGAAGGGUUCCCCUCUUGCAGCAAGAACUGUUGGUAGAUUACUAAGAACAAAACUUAUAUUGAACCACUGGAGAAGCGUACUGGAAAGUAAAGAAUGGGAAUCAACAACGGACGAUAAUGAUAUUAUGCCAGCUCUAAAGCUCAGCUAUGAUUAUCUUCCUUUCCAUUUGCAACAAUGUUUUUCUUUUUGUGGUUUGUUUCCUGAAGAUUAUGUGUUUGGUAGUGAAGAGUUGGUUCACUUGUGGAUUGGACUAGACAUUUUACAUUCAGGUGACCAGAAGACAAAAAGACUUGAAGAUGUUGGACUGUGCUAUUUAAAUGACUUGGUAAAUUAUGGAUUUUUUAAAAUGAAUUCAAAAGGAAAUGAGCAUCCUUACUACGAUAUGCAUGACCUAAUGCAUGAGUUGGCAGUGAAGGUUUCAUCCCAUGAGUGUCUUAGCAUAUACAGUUCUAAUGUGAGGGACAUACAAAUUCCCCCAUCUGUACGUCACAUUUCAAUCAUUGUAGAUGACACAGAUAUCAAGGACAAAAUGUCUUUUGAAGAAUAUGAUGGGAAUUUGCGUGCACUUGGUACAAAAUUGGAAGUUGAAAACUCACACACUUUAAUGUUAUUUGGAUAUUACCAUGGAAGGUUUUCCAAAACUUUCGCUAGCUUGUUUGGCGAAGCUAGAGCUCUCCGCAUCAUAUUUUUGUGCGGCACGCAAUAUAACAUUGAGGAUAUAUUGCACAACUUCUCAAAACUAGUCCAUCUGCGGUACUUGAGGAUCGAGACGGGGCUUUACCGGCCUUUGUUCUUACCUUGUGCGUUGUUUAGAUUGUAUCAUUUAGUAGUCAUUGAUCUACAACGUGAGUAUAGAUGCCUUGAAUCAACUGCACAUAUGAGCAACCUCGUAAAAAAAAUAUGAGCAACCUUGUAAAAAUGCGUCACUUUCUUGUGCAAAGGCCUGAAUUUCAUUCUAAUAUUUGUUGGGUGGGAAAACUAAAAUUCCUGCAGGAAUUAAUGGAAUUUAGAGUGGGUAAGGAGAGUGAGGGUUUUGAACCGAGCCAGCUCGGGCAAUUGAAAGAGAUUGGAUCACUUGGCAUUUAUAAUCUUGAAAAGGUGCAAUCAAAGGAGGAAGCAAACGAAUUCAAACUGAUACAAAAGAACCACUUACGUGAACUCAUAUUAGAAUGGGAUGUUAGGGGCUCUAACAAGGAUCCAGUGAAGGAAGAAUACGUUCUUGAAAGUCUUGUACCACAUAGCAAUCUUCAAGAGCUAUGCAUUAGAGGGCAUGGGGGCACUAAUUGCCCAACAUGGCUAUGUACGAAUCUCUCGGUUAAAUGUUUGGAAUCUCUUUCUCUGGAUGGCUUAUCUUGGAAUAAUCUUCCACCUCUGGGAGAGAUGUGGAUGAUUAAUGAGCUUGGUGAAGAGUAUCAAUGUGGUAGUAUCUCUGCUCCAAGCUUUCAUAAGUUGAAAAGUCUACAACUAAGUAACAUAUCCAGGUUGAAACGGUGGGUUGGAAGUGGCACUUGUCCUAUUUUUUCUCACCUGGAAGUGCUCCUCAUUAAAAAUUGCUCUGAACUCAUCGAGUUGCCGUUUUCAUGUCCUCCUAGUUGCUGUCAAGCACAGCAGGAGGAGAAAAUAGGCUGGUUCCCUAGACUAGGAAAACUUGUCAUUGUCGACUGCCCGAAACUAGAGUCCUUGCCUCCUAUCCCUUGGCGGGCUGGUGCUCCCCGUUCUGCUGAGAUAGCAAGAGUAGGAUCAGGUAUUGAGCGGGUGGUUUACCCAUGUAGAUACAGAUCGAAAUUAAGCUUGGAAAUAGAGGGGAAGGGUGGUCAGGGUGAUGUGUUGUGGAAUGGGUUGAAUUUCUCUAAUCUAACUGAUUUAGAAGAGUUGUGUGUGAACAAUGUCCCUCCCCUACAGCUGGAUCACCUCCAGCUGCUAACAUCUCUGAAGAAAAUCAAGAUAUAUCGUUCAAGUGGUGUCUUGCUGCCGGUUGGAGGUAAGAGUCAUGCCAUAUGCCAGUCUCUGGUUGAAGAACUCGAGAUCAUUAAGUGUGAUACUAGUGGGAAAGAAUUGACGCUGCUGCUCUCUUUCCUUCCAAGCCUCUCAAAGUUGAAAAUACAAGAGUGUGACAAUAUAACUGGGUUGGGUGUGGUGGAGCAUGCAGAAACUGGAGAGAAGAAGGAACCUAAAAAAGGAGAGGGGGAAAUAAUAACAGCAGCGGCAACAGAAGGACUGCUGCUCUUGCCUCCCCACCUACAGGAGGUAUCGAUUUUAGAUUGCGAAAAGGUGAGCUUACUCUCCGGCUCACUGUGGGGCGGGGGGCUCCAGCGUCUCUGCUCCCUUCGCUUCUUGUAUGUAAUGCCUUGCGGCGAGUUCCUCUCUUCCUAUUCGUCCCCGUCAUCAUCUUGUUUCCCUUUCCCAGCAUGCUUGCAACACCUAAUCCUAAGCGGCGUGAGGUACAUGGAGACACUGCAACUCCUCUCAAACCUCACUUCUCUUACUGAAUUAUUCUUGAAUAUAUGGGGGGAUUCAAGAGACGAGGGCUUAUGGCCUCUCCUCGCCUACGGCCGCCUCACAAAAUUAACCCUCUAUACUUCCUCCGAUUUCUUUGCUGGUUCCUAUCCCUCAGGCUCACAUGACAGAGAGGUUUGUUCCCGUUCCUCCAAGCUCUUUGAUCUGAGUACGAAAAACAACACAGGAGUCCUUGCCGCUCCCGUUUGCAGCCUCCUCUCCUCCACCCUCACCAGAUUCGAGCUUGGUUUCACCAACGAGGUAGAGUGCUUGACAGAGGAGCAAGAGGAGGCCCUUCAACUUCUGACCUCUCUUAAGAGGAUCCGAUUUUUUGGGGGAUACAAGCUGCAUCGCCUCCCUGAAGGUCUACACAAGCUUAUCAACCUCAAGCAAUUAGUGAUCUGUGCGUGUUCAGCCAUCAGGUCGCUGCCCAGCCUUCCGAACUCUCUGCAGGAAUUAGAGAUAGAGCGUUGUCGUGCCAUCAAGUCGCUGCCGAACAGCCUCCCGAGUUCUCUGGAAAGAUUACGUCUCUCCAGCUGUAAUGACAUCAAGUCACUUCCCAAGGACGGCCUUCCAAGUUCAAUGAUAGAGUUAGAUGUCAGCUGUGGCAACAGCCAGGAGCUAAAGAGGGAGUGCCGCAAGAUGACAGCAAUCAUCCCUAUUGUCAGAACCUGACCAAUCCAAGGUACAUAACAAACACUGCCCUCCAUCUUUGUACUCAUUACCAGUUCCAUUCCCUGCCUUUGCCCUUUUCGUUCCUAAUUAACUUUGUAAGCACUGAAGCCAUUUUCUUUUCUUUCGUUUGCUUCAUCGCUGUUAGCUGCUAUGUCAUCUAAUAAUAAAACAACUUGGUUGUUUUAAUCUACUUCGCAGGCAUCUUAUUCGAUUUGCGUAUUCUUCUAGCUUCCUACAAGUCCGAGCAAGGUUGCCAACGCAAGCAUGAUGGUCUCAGUUUGUUUCUCCCGUCCUGCAUCUAAAGCUGGUUAGUACAUGCAUAAUUAAUCGUCCCAUACUGUUGUAUUUCCCGUCCACUGUUUAUAGAAAAAAAAUAUACGUCUUCUGCUGAUCUGCACGUUGUUGUUUUGAACUUUGCCCUUCAUGCAUUUGUUAUAGACUGCGAGUGUUAGAGUCCAGCUUGCAAAAUAAUACUCCCUGUGUGUACAAUACAUCCACAAUCCACAGUUUACUCUUCGUAAAAAUUAAUGCAAAGUACUUACCUUGCUUCUUCCUAAUCCCACAUGUCAAGUCAUUUUUUUCAUUUGGUUUACCUCAUUACCACAUAAUCUAUUGUCUGAGCAAAAUUUCUAUGCAGAGCUUCAUCUUGGAGUUGUACAUUAUUUUAGCCUUGUAAAAUUCGCCCCAUGCACACACUGGUGGCACAUGAGGGUCUUGUAUGAAAAUUCCUAAAUCUCUGGUUAGUAUGUGUAAAUCCAAUCUGUUCAUCGUAUAGCGAAUACCAUUUCAAAGUUUCAUUGUCUCACUCCCUGGACGAAAUAUAUGAUGUACUCAACAUUUUUUUCUUUCCCCUGCAGGUGUUCUUUGCUCAUUCUGGUUGGUUCUUAGAUACUUUACAUUUACAUUUUGGUCGUCUUCCAUGAUGACUUGAUAGUAUGCUUGGCUUAUUCGACUGUGAUGGUCAAAAGAUCACCAUGGAAUAAUAUGGUGGAAGCAAGGAGAUCUGGUGACUUUCUACUGAAAUUAAGGUCAGCCGUUUUUAAAACUCGGUGCUGCACCAGAUGAAGAUAGAAGGUGUUCUUGCAUAUGUCUUAAUUGUUGUUGCUUAACAGAAUUUAAUGGAUGCAGGAACUUUACAAGAAUACCCCUCAUUUCGAAUGAUUGCUGGUGUGCAGCGAAUUCAGAUCUCCUCUUGUUAUUAACUGGUAUGGCCAAUGUUCUCCUUUUCAUCCAUAUAGAAGUCUACAAGAUAACUUGUGUAACCCUUUAGACUAAACUAUGGUUCUUGGGUUCUUGAUAGAUGUGGCAUGUGGCACAACUUUGGAACUUGAUGAUGUACAGGCACAUGUUUGUUAAUGUACAACCCUUUUGUGCUGAUGCAAGGUUAGCAAACCCCUGCCGAAAUUCAUGAUCGCUUUAGCUAUGCUAGAUUGUAUUCAGUGUGUGAUUGUCAAACUCAUAUUGCCUCGUGAGACCUAGGUUAGAGAACUUGUUGCUUUCUUGAUAAGUUGGUAGUCUAGCUUUUGAGCACACUCAUAAUCUCUGAAUUCAUUGCCAUGCUGAAUUAAAUGACAUAAGAGAGUUUUCAGCUGAUACAUAUAGUCGUAAAGGUAGAGAACACUUAUUAUUAGGGAUUGAUGAACAUCGAUUGAGCAAAAAAGGCUCGAGUUUGCUAAUUUUUAUUCAUAGAACCACCUGAGUUAAGCAUGGUGAAGGUGAUUUUAUUCUCUUAUUGGCCAGAGUAAUUUUUUUUUCUAUCCCACCAAUGCCAAAAACAGAGCACAAUUCAUUAGCCUUUGAUUAUUGCAAUCUGAAUAUUUAGUGCGUAUUGUUAAGUUUGAUGUUCCUCUAGUCUGAAGUCUUCGAAAUCCAGUCAAUCUUUUUGCGUAACUUAUAUUUUGCUAGCCUCUUCAACACUCGGCAUUGCAUUCCCUCAUCGGGAUAUCACAAACUCUGCCGGUGUACAUAUACAAAUCCCUGAAAAUAAACCAUUUCUUCCAUGUGUUCACACCAUACCUACCUACCUAUAUAGCACAUCUCUCCCUAUCCCACAGUAGUUGAUUAUUCCAUACGCACACUCAUCAAGUGAAAGAAGACUCAAAAGCGCUUUGUUGUCAUUGACCCUGCAAAUUUCAUAUUAUGAAGAGCUAUAUUCGUCAAUAUUGAUGACUCUCUCACAAAAAUCAAAAAAAAAGUGAGGGUCGUCAUUCAAAAGAUCAAGGGUUCAAAAGAUCAAGAAAUAGUCAGCAUUGCUUCCAUAUUCAUGAGCAGAAUUCAGAAUGGCUAAUCAAACUACUACCUAUGCAAUAUUGAUAGCUUGAGCAUUAGUCGCAUUCUGGGAUCACCUUGCAUUGCACAGGCAUCUCAUCAUUUCUUUGGCGUGAGUCCAUUCCCUCCCACCUCCCCUGGGCACUACCUUUCUCCAAUGACUGGAAUGUGAAGACUUCUUUGUACUAGAGUGGAACACUUAUUUAGCUUUACUAUCUAGAUUUCAGUUUUGCUCAUUCUUUGAAUUACCCUACCAAGCUUCAGAUAAGCUUUCCACAAAUAUAAAGUAGAUAGAAAACACUUCGGCCACUGGCCAGUGAGGACUAUAAUUAUGCGAUCGAUGAGAGUAAUUCCAGAUCAUGACGAGGUAAUCUCACUAGAUACCUGCUCUUGGAAGGUUCACAAAGGAAUAAAACUGUUGGCUGCUUGUGUUCUCUUUUGUUCUUGAAAUUGAAGUCAAACCUCCUAGUGAUUGUUUUCAAAAACUUUCAUGGCUAUAUUGUUGAUUCUGUUCACUCUCAUAAAAUGGAACCCGUUCCAUAGUGGCAAUGAAUAGGAGUUGUUAUUUAAGCUUGUGCUCAAUUGCUAGCCUGCUACUUUGAUAAGUUUGUGGGAAGUGUCUCGAUCCAAAGUUUAUGAGGAUUUUAAUAAUUGUUUGCACAUGAGCACUUGUCUGCAAUCUCGCUAUGCUAAGCUUUCAGGUGUUUCACAAGCACAUGGGCAAGUUGAAUCACGAGGGAAGAAUCAGAAAGGGAGAAACCUGAGAUGAACCAUACCCUUUGUUUGUCUUUGCAGCCUGAGAUGAAGAGCCUAUAAGGAAGAGAGGAUACUUUUUUCGCAGUCAUUUCCUUGUAGCUUCAGUUUGUAGUAGGUUUCGAUGAGUGGUACGAAAACAGGACAAUUUUUUUGUCAUUCGUUUUCUCAGUGUGGGCAUGUAUAUUCAGUGAAAUGAAAUGCAGUUCUUUGCAAUACUUCUUCAUAUCUGAACCUAUGCUUGGGUGUCACUUUUGGCUGUCUGUGCUAACGCAUAAUUAAAUAAAGACACCACAAUGGUUCACUAUAGAAUCUUUCUAAUUGCCUUUUGAUACCCAAUUGGCAAUCUGAACCAAUCAUUGUUUGCCAUGUUGUUUUUCUUUUUGGAUAAAAGAAAUCCUGCGAUUCUGUUUACAACACAAGAUUCGAAUGCACAAGAUACACAGCCAUGACCUGGAGUGCAUGGUCUGGACACACUACACCUAUUGCUUGUCUUGUGAGCAGAGCACACGGUAUGAGUGCAUCCGGUGAGAUUUGGUUUGUUUUUGGGCCCUUACUGAAGAAGUAGCAUCCUAUUCCUAGGGACGGGGUGGGUCAUCAGGGAACAUCUUGAAGGAGCAAAUCCGAGCCAAGUCUCCUAUCAGGGGUGGGUCUACUAACCACGCGCUAGUCUCCCAUUUUCAGUUUGGUGAUGUACGUCUGAUCUGCUUCCUCUGUCUCCAUCCAGAUCAGGAAGGAGCCCCAGAAAAACAACGACUUGCCAUGUGAGGAGUGAUGUAGCGGCUCGAGACUGAAUGAAGACUUGGAUUCUUGCGAGAUUUGAAGCUCGGCCAUUUGUUAAGUUCCAUCGUAUACGUUAGUUGGGGUCAUUGCUAUACUUGCAGCCACUGGUCAACCUUCUACUAGCACCCACCGAACCUCUCACACAUCUGCCGUCGAUCCACCCUCAGCUGCGCUACCGAGCUCUAUCUUCUCAUUUUACUCACACUCAAAAUUCAGGUGUAACUAUUAACAGCAGAAGCUUCAGCUUUGAAAUACUGACAGUAGUAACUGAAUCAAUGUCAGGCUCGCUUUGCUUCAUCUUUAUGCUGUUGCCACUGCUGUCAUCCAUGUGCUUACAAAGCUCCCUAAACUACUCUUACUUCUUCUUCAAGUGUGUGCUCAAUCGCUAGCUUGCUACUUUGUUAAGUGUGUGCUCAAUCGCUAGCUUGCUACUUUGUUAAGUUUGUGGGAAGUGUCUCUAUCCGAAGUUCAUGAGGAUUUUAAUAAUUGUUUGCACAUGAACACUUUUGCAAUCUAGCUAUGCUAAGCUUUCAGGUUAUUUCACAAGCACGUGGGCAAGUUGAAUCAGGAGCCUCAAUCAUCUGACCGCAAUCUGAGACUCAUUUUCCCGAGGGAAGAACCGGGAAGGGAGAAGCCUGAGAUGUUAUAAGGAAGAAAGAAUGGGGUUUCCCCGCUUAUUAUGACCCUUCUAGCUUUAAUCUGCUGUAGUAGUCUGUCGAUGAAUCAUACGAAAACAGGCCAAUUUUUUCAUUCGUUCUUGUCAGCGUGGACAUCUAUAUUCAGUGUAAUGUGCAAUGUCUUCAUAUCUGAAACUAUGCUUGCAUGUCACAGUGGUUACCUGUGCUAAAACACCCCUGUUAUUGUUCACUUCAAAAACUUGGACUUUCUUGUUCACUUUUGAUAUCCAAUUGCCUCUCAAGAACUGUGACGGUGUAUGUUGGAUUAUUCACCAUGUUUUCUCUCUGUUUGAGAAACAGAUCGUCCGAUUUAAUUUUAGCAGCACAAGAAAAGAGAAGACGAGUCUGCGGGGGCUCGAUGGCUCCAACGGCUCCUGUACGGAGCGGCGACCAGGGAGGCAUUCAUGCGGGCGAUGCGCGCGCGUCGGAUCCGGACCGGCGGGGCGCGUCGGAGUGGACGCUGGUCAAGGUGGGCGCGACGCCGGCGUGUCCUACGCCCAGUGAGGGGUUGCGGCGCGCCCCGGCGGGCGUCGGUGGCUGGUCCGGCAGCCGCUUUUUGGCCCUGGCGGGGGCGGACUCUGAAGACGAAGCAGAAGACGAGGCAGUUGGAGCGGGGGCGGCGUGCGGUCCGUCCCAGUGCUCGGUGGGUGAUUUCAUGAUCAGGGCGGAGGAGCUCGGGGACUCACUCCUGGCUCGGCGGCAGCGGGCGUUCGCGCCAGGUGGUCGUGGCCCGCACCGGCGUGGUUCUUAGGCCGGGGCCGUGCGUCGUGUCGCUCAGGCGGCGACUCCGCGGCAGGGGCUUGCUGCCCUCGCGGGCUUCGUGCGCAGGCCAAGGCGCAAGGCGCGGCAUGUGACGGCGAGGCUGGUGGUUGGGGGCCGCUGCCGUCGUGGUGGCUGAAGGAGCAGGAGCGCAAGAAUCGAAAGAAGGAAGAAUAAAAGAAGAAGGGGCUCGAGCUCAAGCGCUUAGAGGAGAUGCCUCAGUUCCAGGGCGACCGGAUCAGCGACCCCUCCGCCGCGAAGAAGAAGAAAAAGUUCAAGCCGGUGGGGAAGUCGGGCUCCAAGCUGCCGUCCUCGCUGCCUGCGGGGUCCUCCAAGGGCACGACGGCCGAGCCCAUUUCGGUGGAGGAGGCAGACGAUAGGGAGUGCUUCAAGUGCGGCCGUGCAGGGCAUUUUCAGAGCAACUGCAAGUUCCAGCCUCUCUUCAAAUCUUGGGGUGGUGGCAUCAGAAGUUCAGAGUGGUGGCGGAUGGCAGCAUCCUAUUGAGUGCAUUAGUAUUGGAUGGUCUGAUUCUAGUGGAAAGGAAUUGACACAGUUCCUGUCUCACCUCCCAAAGCUAUCCAAAUUGCAAGUGCAUCGUUGUGAAAACAUAACACAGUUUGCUGUGGGGGUGGAUUUGCAGCAAACAACAUCACCAGUAGUAUCAUGGUCAACCUCUUUAGAAGUUUUUUUUUCCUUUUUUGAGAAAGUGCAAAAUCUUUGUGUCUCGUAGUAUUGAAAAGGCAGGAACGUCAACGUCUUUAGAUGUUAGAAGGAUGAUACAAAUGCAGAAGAUGAGCAGCAACAAAUAGCAGACGUGGAGGAGGCAACUCUCCAACUCUGCACAUCUAAUGGUGGUGGAUGAUGAUGGGUUGUUGCUCCUCUCUGCACAUCUCUCCAACUCUCUGCAGGCGUUGGUCAUCAACUAUAAUGGUCGGGUAGUAGUUCAUUCCCUCGAAGCCCUCCAAGCCCUAACUACCCUUCGGUUAAAAGAUUGCUCUUUUCGCCACCCUUUCACGUCCUCCCUGCUAGACCUGAAACUUGUGUCCGUGAAGGGUGUGCUGACCCUUUCAAACCUCACCUCUCUCACCCGAUUAAAAAUAUGGAGUUGCGGAGAGGAUUUAAGAUGUGAGGGCCUGUUGCCUCUCCUUACCAUAGUUUUAAAUAGCCCGCUAUAGCCUUUUCAGCAGGUUGCCGUGAAAUGGUCGCCUUUAUAAAUAGCCCGCUAUAGCGGAGGGUUCGCUGCUAUUUUCCAUAGCCCGCUAUUUAAAACAUUGCUCCUUACUCGGGGCCAACUCAGCAAUUUAAAAGUCCAUGACAACCCCAGUUUCUUUGGUGGGUGGGAUCCCAAUCCCAUGCAGGGGAUGACAGAAUCCAAACUGCAGGAUCUCGAGACAGAUGACAUCGAGGGCUUCCUUGGUGCGCCCGCCCUCUGUAGCUUCCUCUCUUCCUCCCUCACCAACUUGGCCUUUAUUAGGAACAAUGAGAUGACGUGCUUCACAAAGGAGCAGGAGGAGGCCUUUCAACGCCUCACCUCGCUCCAGGAACUCCAGUUUAUCAGUUGCAACAAGCUGGAGCACCUCCCUGCAAGGCUAAACAAGCUGCAACACCUCAAGAGAUUAGGCAUCUGGUGGUGUCCAGUUCUCCGGUCACCAAAGCCCAAGGAUGGCCUCCCAAGUUCGCUGCAAGAAUUACAAGUCAGCGCGCGCGACAAUGAGGAGCUGACGCAGCAGUGCAAGCGAUUAAUUGGAACCAUCCCAAAAAUCACACUAUACUAAUCUAAGGUAAAAAAAUACUUUCCUUUGCUCGUACCAAUUCCGGAUUUCACCAUUAUCCUUACUUUUUCGGUUUUUCCUGAUACCACAGACACCCAACUCAUUUUUCUUUGGGUUUGGUGUACCUUGCUACUGCAUAUUCUGAAAAUUGUUUGAUCCAUCAACCGUGCAGCUGGUCCGUGCAUCACUUUCACCUUGUGGAAUUAUCCCCAUCUGUGGACAGUUGGCACAUGAGGUCCUGUGUGGUAUUUUCUUCAUGUCAAUACAUCUGGUAAGUACAUGCAAAUUGUCUGAAAAGUAUCUGCUUAUAAUUAUCUGUCUGAUAAAAGUUGCUCCCAAUUCUAUUAGUUUAAAUCACUGCUCUUGAGCGCAUGUUUUUUAUUACUAUACGAGUAUGUGAUUAACAAUUUGAGGGCCUGUCUGUUCAACUGGAAAAUUAUUAACACUAUGUAAAUUGGUCAGCACUCCAAAUACAGGAGAGUGUGUUCCUAACAGAAUAAUACAGAAAAGUGAGAUUUUUUUAGAACAGAAAAGUGAGAUUUUGUUUCUUUGUUUGUGCAAAAUUAACCUUGUUAGCCUGAUCUGAGGAUAGUGUAUCUAUUUGUAUCUGUCCAGAGAUCAUGGGAAAUUUUAAUUAUUCUCAAAACUUACCUUGUUUCCUUUUUGGCAUAGCACAGGACUAGUGCUUUGUUCCCUCAGAUUCACCAUUUGUUUUUUGCUGUAUGUUUCCUUGUGUUUGUCAAGGAAACAAGUGAAGGGAGAAGAGGAAAUCCCAUUUCUUAAUCAAGUCGAUGGACAGUCAGGCAAGGUUGAACAUGAAAUUUGUACAGUCUCUUCAGUGUUAGUUCAGAGGAGCACUGAAUCUGCAGGGAUUUUGCAGAGAGCGGCAGUUUCAGAACACCGCAGUUUUGACAAAGGACCAUUUGAGUGGUGAAAACAGUGUUACCAUGGAACAUUGAUAGGUUGUACAACAGUGAUGCUCUCAUUGCUUGUUUUGGCAUUGAUUUACGAGAACUAAGCACCAUGUUGCAUCAUCGAGGAGCUAGAACAGGAGUUAAUCAGGAACCAUCCUGAAAAUCAUACUAGAGUACUAGACUGAUCCAAAAAAAAACUUCGCUGUCUGCCCUCAUCCUAAUAUCCAACAUCAAGUCAUCUUUUGCAUUUGAUUUACCUCAUAACUGCAAAAAACUCUGUUUUGAUCUACUUUACAGGUUCUCUGUCUUGGGAGUUGUACACUUUUUAGCCUUGUUGAAUCCUCCCCAUCCAUACAAAGUCUGCACAUGAGGAUCUUGUGUUGUAUCUUCUUACUGUACAUAGUAGACAAAUCUGGUAAGUACGUGUUAAACUCCUCCAACCAUAUUACUGAUACCUAGAUGUUUUCUCUUGAACUGUGAAGUAUCAAGAAAGUCAACAUGGUCCUCAGUUAACGCUAUUUCAGAAUUUCCUUCUCUUCCUUCAUGGACUAUCAUGCAUUCAACAUUUUAUUUAUUUGUUGUGGUUGGUUCUGAGAUACUUUGCAGUUACAUUUUGAUCGUCACUCAAUAAGACUGGCUGGUGUGCUUAGCUUGUUUGGUUGUGAGGAUCAUAAUGGUAGAAUAUAUAUUGCUGAGUUGCUACUGAAUAUAAGGUUUGCAGUUUUUUCAGUUCGGCAUUACAUUGACACCGAUUCAAGUUGUUCUUGCAUUCAUCAUAAUUAUUGUUGCUUAAUGAAAUUUUGUUAAUUACAGGACCUUUACAAGAAUACCCUUCAUACCAUCAUAGUGCUUGCGUGUUGCCUGGAGCCAGCCGAGAUAUCAGGUAUGCCCAAUGUUGCCUAUUCGCACACAUAUAGAAGUCUAAAAGGUUACUCAUGUAUUUAUCUUAAGUUCCAAACUUUUAGACUAAACUAAGCUUCUUGGUUGCUUGAUAGAUGUGGCAUGUGGACAAGUUUGGAAUUCAACAAUUAAGUAGUAGCAUAUCUGUGCAAAGGUUAGUAAACCCCCUGCUGAAAUUCACGAUCGCUUUAGCUAUGAUAGGUUGUAUUCAAAGUGGAAUUGUCAAACUCUUAUUACCUCAUGAGACCAAAGUUAGAGAACUUGUUGCUUUCUUCAUAUGUCGGCAGUCUAGCUUUUGAGCACGCUCAUAAUCUCUGAAUUCAUUGCCAUUCUGAAUUAAAUAACACGGGAGAGUUUUCAGCUGAUACAUUUAGUCGUAAAGGUAGAGAACACUUGUUACUAGGUGAUUGAUGAACAUGUAUUGAGCAAAAAGACUUGAGCUUGCUAAUUUUUAUUCAUAGAACCAGCUGAGUUGAUUAUGGUGAAGGUGAUUUUAUUCUCUUAUCGAUUUGGAGUAUUUUUCUAUCCCACCAAUGCCAAAAAUAGAGCAGAUUCCAUGAGCCUUGAUUAUUGCAAUUUGAAUAUUUUUAGUGCGUAUUGUUAAGUUCGACGUUCCUCUAGUCUGAAGUCUUUCAAAGACAGUCAUUCUCUUCGCGUAACUUUACACUUCCUAACCUCUUCACUCGGCAUUGCGUUCCUUCAUAAGGAUAUCAUGAACAUUACCAGUGUACAUAUACAAAUCCCAGAAAUUAAACCAUACCUACCUAUAUAAUGCAUCACUGCGCACUGGGUAUUCCAUAGUAGUUGAUUAUUCCAUGAGCACAGUCAUCAAAGUUCGAGAAGAUUGUAAAGCGCUUUAUUGCCAUCAACCCUGCAAAAUUCAUUAUUAUGAAGAGCUAUAUUCAUCAGCAUUGAUUCCUCUCUUAGAUACAAAUGGAAAAAAAGAAAUAAAGAAAAAGAGAGAUGAGCACCAUGCAAAAGAUCAAAGGGUUCUUGUGCAGAUUGAUGAAACUACUACCUAUGUGCAGAUUAAUCAAAAUACUACCUAUGCAUAUCGAUAACAGGAACAUCACUCACAUCCUGGGAUCACCUUACAUUGCAUAGGCCUCUCAAAUCAUUUCUUUGGUGUGACUCCAUUCCCUCCCAC
rnacentral:lncRNA from 1 species